rnacentral:lncRNA from 1 species
UGUAAGCCACCGGUCCGAUACGCUCUAAUACCUCGAACGGGCCAACAAACCGUGGACUAAGCUUUCCACGUACUCCAAAUUGGCGUAUCCCUCUGGACGGCGAGACUUUGAGAAAAACAUGAUCUCCAACCUGAAACUCUAAGUCUCGUCUCCUGGUAUCGGCGUAGCUUCUCUGUCGGCUCUGUGCUGUCAGAAGGUGUCGUCGGACGACUCUCACCUUUUCCUCAGCCUCAAGUAAAAUCUCCGGUCCAAGUGUCCUCCGCUCACCCACAUCACUCCAAAACAGGGGGGAUCGACAUCUGCGCCGAUACAACGCCUCAAACGGAGCCAUCUGAAUGCUCGUUUGAUAGCUGUUGUUGUACGCAAACUCAACCAGUCUCAGCAUGUCCUCUAGAGUCUGUAUGGUCCGCUCUGACUGACCAUCUGUCUGUGGGUGGAACGUCGUGCUAAAAUACAGCUGUGUACCCAAGGCUGUCUGCAAACUCUUCCAGAAAUGUGAUACAAACCUCGGGUCUCUGUCUGAUAUAAUCGACACUGGCACGCCGUGCAGCCUAACGAUCUCAUCUAAGUAUAGCUGCGCGAGUCUCUCUCCGGACCAAGUAGUCUGAACCGGUAGGAAGUGAGCAGACUUGGUCAGUCUGUCCACUAUCACCCAAAUCGCGUCGUAGCCACCCUGCGCUCUAGGCAAUCCAACGACGAAGUCCAUCGUGAUGUGCUCCCACUUCCACUCGGGAACUGGCAGACUCUGAAGCUUGCCAGCAGGCACCUGAUGCUCGGCCUUCACCUGUUGGCAAGUCAAACACUGAGCCACAAAUCUGCCAAUGUCCCUCUUCAUUCCAGGCCACCAGAACCGUGCCUUAAGAUCCUUAUACAUCUUGGUUCCCCCAGGGUGAACCGUAUAAGGGGAACAAUGAGCCUCUCUCAGAAUAUCCGCUCGAAUCUCCGGAUCCACAGGCACACACAGUCGGUCCCUGUACCGUAGUACUCCCGAACUGUCCAAAGCAAAACCCUCAGCCUGCCCCCUGUCUAGCUGCUCUCUAAUCCUCAACAAGUACGGAUCUCCACUCUGUUUCUCUCGGAUCCUAUCCAACAGAGUGGGCUGUAAAACUAGAGACGUCAGCCUCGCCGUAGACCCAGGGGGUACUAUCUCGAGUCCCAGCCGCUGUAGCUCCUCGAGUAGGGGUCUCUGCUCAGUAAUCCUCAAACUCAGGCUCUGCACUGACUUCCUGCUCAACGCAUCUGCCACCACAUUCGCCCUGCCGGGAUGAUACUGAAUACUAAUGUCAUAGUCCUUCAGUAACUCCAACCACCGGCGCUGCCUCAGAUUCAGCUCCCUCUGUGUGAACAGAUACUUGAGACUUUGAUGAUCGGUGAAAACCUCGCAGUGCUCGCCGUACAAGUAAUGCCGCCAGAGCUUCAAAGCAAAAACCACCGCGGCAAGCUCCAAGUCAUGCGUAGGGUAAUUCUUCUCAUAAUCCUUUAACUGCCGUGAAGCAUAAGCAAUCACCCUACCAUGCUGCAUCAGCACGCAACCAAGUCCACUGUGCGAUGCAUCACUGUAGAUCACAAAUCCUUCGCCCAUAACAGGAAGGGCAAGGAUAGGAGCCGACAUCAACCUCAAUCUCAACUCGUCAAAGCUCCUCUGACAGUCGUCGCUCCAGACAAAACGAAUCCCCUUCCGCGUCAAGCGUGUGAGGGGUGUGGAAAGCUUCGCAAAGCCUUCCACAAACCGACGGUAAUAUCCUGCCAGUCCCAGGAAGCUCCGUACCUCAGUAACCGUCGUCGGUCUAGGCCAAUCUCGAAUCGCCUCAAUCUUCUUCGGGUCCACUGCUACGCCCUCAGCUGAAAUCACGUGGCCCAAGAAAGCAACCUCCCGUAGCCAGAACUCGCACUUCUUUAACUUGGCAUACAACUUCUUCUCGCGCAGAAGCUGUAGCACAAUCCUCAAGUGCUCCUCAUGCUCAGCAUCACUCCGGGAGUAAAUCAGGAUAUCGUCGAUGAAGACUACCACAAACCUAUCCAAGAACGGCUUGAACACUCUGUUCAUCAAAUCCAUGAAUGCGGCAGGGGCAUUCGUCAAUCCAAAAGGCAUCACCGUGAACUCAUAAUGCCCGUACCGAGUCCGAAAAGCCGUCUUGGGAACAUCCUCGGCCCUCACCCUCAGCUGGUGGUAACCUGACUGGAGAUCAAUCUUCGAAAAGACACAAGAUCCUUGCAGCUGAUCGAAUAGAUCAUCAAUGCGCGGCAGAGGAUACUUGUUCUUGAUGGUCACUUUAUUCAGCUCCCGGUAAUCCACACAUAACCUGAGCGAACCAUCCUUCUUCUUUACAAAUAACACCGGCGCUCCCCAAGGCGACACACUGGGUCUCACAAACCCUCUAUCCAUCAAAUCCUGAAACUGUGCCUUUAGCUCUCUCAGCUCUGCCGGCGCCAUCCGAUAAGGUACCUGUGAGAUUGGUGCAGUUCCCGGAACUACAUCAAUCACAAACUCAAUCUCCCUCUCCGGCGGCAACGUCGUCAACUCAGGGGGAAACACAUCCGGAAACUAGCGGACUACUGGGAUGUCCUCGAGUCCUGGCGCCGCCGUAGGUACCUCCACAACAGUUGCUAGAAAAGCGAUACACCCGCUACUCAACAGCUGUCGAGCCCUCGCCGAAGAGAUCCAGGUGGCAAACAACGUACUCCUGCAGCCUCUGAAAGUAAACUCCUCCUGGCCAGGCUCGCGGAACGUCAUCGUCCUCGCUCCACAGUCGAUCGUAGUAUAGUACCGUGCCGGCCAAUCCAUACCGAGUACAACGUCGAAGUCCUGCAGCUGCCCUAGCACCAACAGGUCUGCGGGCAUAACCCAAGAGUCUAACUGCACCGGACAUGACCAACAACACUCUGUAACCUGCAAGACAUGGUCGGGGAUCUACACCUCUCGUGCCUGUGACAAGGAUCCUAACUCUAGACCAUGCAAUAAUGCAAAUGCUCGGCUAACAAAAGAAUGCGAGGCUCUAGUAUCAAAAAGAGUACGAGUACGAAUGCCGAAAAUCAAAGUGAUACCUGCCACCACUCGGUCAGCUGCCGUAGAGUCCUCCACCUGUGCUGCAUAGACUCUGCCACUCGGAGCUUGCUGUCGCCGCUCACCCUGUCGCGGCACGGAAGAUCUAUCCUCCUGGCGGUAACUCGGUGCUGCUCUGAAUGACUGCUGAGGUGCUGGUAGAGCUGAAGCUGAUGAUGGUGCUGGAGAUGCUGCUCGAGGACAAGCUGCCCUCAUGUGUCCCGGCUGACCACAUCCGUAGCACCGGCCCUCCCUCUGCUCGCACUGUCUGGGCCAGUGUGGUCCUCUGCAGAUCACACACUGCGGCGUCCUCUCUCGCUGUUCCCUCUGACGGGAGUUCCUGGAUCGUUGACGCCCCGAGAACCCACGACCCUGUGAACGCGAUCGUGGAGGCCUCGGCGGACGCCUGCUACUCGACUGACCUUCUCCGUCUAGAGCUGGGCGCUUCCUGUCCUGACUCUGUCCCGGCCCCUGAGCCCUCUCCCGCAGCGACACCUCUCCUCUCUCCUCCCAUAAUGCCUGCUCAAUGGACGCAUCCAAAAUCCUCGACUUCUGCGCCCUAACGAACCUGAAAAGGUCGGGUCUCAAACCCUUCUCGAACAAAUAGACCCUAUGUGCCUCGUCUCUGGCCACGAACGGAACACAGUUCAGGAGCCUAGUAAACUCCCGAACAUACUCUUGAACUGUCCGCUCAUCCUGCUGGAUCCUCUUCAAAUCCUCCUCAAUCUUUUGUUUCAUGCUGUUGGGGAAAUACAUCCCAUACAGCAUUCCACAGAACUCAUCCCACCUCAACUGUGUCGCCACCAGUCCCUGGUCUCGCCUCGCUCUCCGCCACCAAUCAUGUGCAUCACCUGACAGACAGUGUACUCCCAAAGGUACCUGCUCCCACUCUGGAACGAAUAGAUCCUCGAAUAACUUUUCCAUUGCACUAACCCAUCCCUCAACAAUCCAGGCCUCAAUGCCUCUGCCAUCGAAGAUCGGUGGGUCAAAUCGACGAAAACGAGCUAACCUCUCCGUCCACCGCUCCUGCUCGGCCUCAGUCAACAGUACUGGCCCCCUAGCAGGCGCAACUGGCGCUACUGGAACUGCUGCCGACAGAGGAAAUGCUGCAGCUGGUGCGGUCACUGGAGUAGUCGGGGGUGGAACUGGCGACUCUGGUACUCUCAGUGCUGAACUUGGUGGCUGUGCUAUCCUCUCACACAACCUCUGCAACAACUCCCCCUGCUGCCGCGCCACCUCAGUCAGGGCAGCCAACUGUGGGGCCCUCUGCUCUACAACUGGGGGUGCACUCGCCUCUGCCUGCUCAGGCAUCUCGGGAGAUCUAGCACGAUCCUGCGCCAACUGCGGACGCUCUCACAACAACGGUCGACCUCGACGACGAUACAUAGCUGCAAGGAACAGAUCGGGGUCAGUUGAAACACAAACACUCUCGACCAAAUCAAACGAAAGUCUAGAAGGCGGUCCCUGUUUUCCUCCAAAAUUAUGUCGUCUGCAGCCAACAUAAUUUCUCAGGCCAAAACAGGAACUCCUUCGGUCACUCACCCCACUCUAGGAGGAGUUAGAACAAAUAAUCAUUGACUUUCGCAAUAAAUUACGCCUCUCGCAUCAUGCUUUCCUAAGGUUUGCCAAACUUAGGUUUCCUAGGUCCCAACGACCUAUAGCAAAGCUCUGAUACCAACUUAAUCUGUCACGCCCUGGAUGUCUUGUUCCCCGGGCAUGCCAACAAAUCCGCCGUAUACAAAGAAAUUUUUUCGGUAUACGAAGCGACAGCUGUACCUGUAAAUUAAACACUACUACGAACAGUAGUAGAGAGCUGCUAGAGAAAACAGAAGCUAAACAAACUGAGUUUCAUAUNNNNNNNNNNNNNNNNNNNNNNNNNNNNNNNNNNNNNNNNNNNNNNNNNNNNNNNNNNNNNNNNNNNNNNNNNNNNNNNNNNNNNNNNNNNNNNNNNNNNACGUCGGUAGCUCUAACUCGCGACCCCUUGCCUCGAUGUCCUGUCCACGGAAGGGGCCAGCAGCCGUGUCACGCCCCGGGACCCGACACCAAAUUUGGCCCGACCGAUGCACGUAAACAGACGCGAACGGACAAGAGUUUCCCUAUCCCGCCCAAGCUGCAUCCAAUGUACAUUUUCAUCAAUAGAGAAAAGGCACUAGCGAAAAGGCAUACACAAACCUAUCACGAGGUAAGCAAUAGCCAUUAGUGAAAAGAAAGGAAACACUAAACAUGUACAAAGUACAUGAUUCAUGUAGAUCAUAUACAUUAUUACAUUCCAUCUCUUACAUUUAGGAUCUUACAUUAUAUACAUAAUUCCAAUCUUUCUUCUUACAUCACAAUUGCCAUCAAAAUACAGCUUUAACAAUUCUUUUCUUACAUCCUAAUCAUCAAGACAAAGAUAAUCAUAGGUAACUUUACUACAAAAUGAACCCAACUUUGGUGCUCUGUCUAAGGACGGCGAUACCUUUACCUCGGUCGCCAGCGCCGCUCCGCUUCGGUCCCGCUCCUGUGGAAAUAGUGGUGACGAAUACAACAAAAAUUCCCAGUUGGGAUUCGGCCUCAAACAUCAACCGAUUUUCCCACCUAGGACAACUCAGGCAAAUAAUAAAAGGAUUAAGCUGAAUAAUAGAGAUUCAAAUCCUAACAUGAUCUAAUUAUCCUGAACCAAUAGGCAAGAAUUAUGCUCAACAAUUAACAUAUCAGGUUAUGCAUAGUUCUUUAGUUCUUUGCACUUUACCACUUUUGCUUUGCUCUUUGUUCUUUACUCUUUGCUCUUUAAUCAUAAGGCUAGCCGGGGGUUCGCCACAUUACUUGCUUCACAUUAAGAUCCAUCAUCGCAAGAACUCAACCAGCUAGACGUCUUACAGGUCUACUGCCCAACCCGGAUCGCCAAAUCCGGAGCGCAUCGCCCGAGGGGAGCCGACCGCCCUCGAGCAGGAACCUCAAUAGCAAGUAUACUCGUAUCCUUACGUCAAAGAUUAUAUUUAAAAUUCUUGACUUACAACUAGCUCAGUUGUUUAUGUCCUUUUUGUUGCCAACUCUAGCAUCGUUGUUCUUUACUUCUUUUACUUUUGCUAUACUCUACAUAUAAUUCUUUACAUCUUUACUUUGCUACUCUAGCAUUCGUGUUCUUACUCCGCCAGCAUUACCGUAACUAUACCAUUGGUCAUUCAUUCAUCUUUUUCAUACAUGUCUUCUAACCUAAACAUCCUCUAGUGUUUAGCACUUAACUUAUCAAGGCCACUCGAUCUAUGUCAAUUGUUCACUCUGUCUAUUCUGCUUACUUGGGCUCGCUUUUCUCUCAAUGCAUCCAUAGGUUUUCCGACAUCACAACUAGUCCUCAUUCAACAUACAUAUGACGGCAGUUGUACUCACAAUCAUCAUCAUUAAAUUUCAUCGUUAGCUUUACCAAAAAUGCAUCACAAAUAUGUUAAAUAUCUCAACUUGAAAUGGUACAAACGUCAGGCAUAAGAGAGAAGAUUCAACUGAAGUGAGACACCCACCCACCUCCGUAGGCUCAAAGGGUGCUCGCGACUGAAUUUCUUGGAAUUUUUUAAACCGCUUCUAUCUCUACCUGCGCACAACGAACCCUAUUAGGCAUCUUUGCCCAUAACUCUUUGAUUGGACCUUUCGUAUACUUCAAGGAGCGACACCAAACGCGUCGUCGGGUCAUCCCAGAAUUACGGUUUUUGGAGGGUCAUUGCACAAUAGAAACCCUUCAAUUGAGCAAAAGCCCGCAAUUUGGGGCCUUAGCUCCAAUGUAUACAAAACCUACAGGUUGAUCUCUGGGCAAGCAAAGUAGCUUCACUUAAUAAUAGUCCAUUAGAACCAUUCUUAGCUUCCAAAACCUAGAUUUUUUAGAUUUCACCAUUAGAGGUGGGUGAAGCUCAACUUGAGCUCAACCAUGGUCUUUGGAUCUUACAUAAAGAAGCAAAAAGAAAGUUUCAAACUACUAGAUAUUCCAUUAGAAACCAUUUCUAGAUUCAUUCAAACCCCUAUCUAGGGUUUUACUACAUUAGGGUUCAAAACUUACCUUGUAAGUUUCCUUUUCUUGCACUAGAGAAGAAGGAGAUGGAGCCGCUUUGCACCAAAAGCUUCUUCUUCACCUUCUUUUCCUUCUUUUCCUUCCUUUCUUUCUUUCUUCUUCUUCUCCUUUGUCUUCUAGAGAGAGAGAGGGAGAGAAGAGAGGGAAUGAGAGAGUGAAAAUGAGAGAAAUCCCUCAUUUACCCCAAUACAUAGCCUAUUGGGUUGCAAAAUUGCAGCUAAACCCCUCAACUUUCACUUUAAUACACUGCCCGAACUGGGCAGUUCGCGCAGGCGGGGACCGGUCUCUCCUUCAGGGACCGGUUCCCGAACGUCGUCCCAGCAUAGCCAGAGCUGCUGCGCGCAGUGCAACCGGUCUCUCCUUGGGGGACCGGUCUCUCGGGGACCGGUAUCUCAGGCAGGGACCGGUUCCCGAGAGCUAGUUUCUCAGGACUUAGCCGAUUUUUCGGCUGUCUCAUUUCAUACGCGUUCGGGGACCGGUCUCUCCCUUCAGGGACCGGUCCCCGAGAGCUGAAAACCUGCAGAAUGCAGAUUUCACAACUUUAGCUAUCGAAAACCACCCACAACGCACUUUUGAUCAUUUUAACAUCUUCGGACUUUCCGAAGUGUAUCGUCCUCGCACUUUGGUCAAUUUGACUAAAGUUCGACAUUUUAUAUUCCGAAUUUACGGUACAUUACAAGCUGAAACCUGUGGCUCUGCAAAACAGGAGUAACAACUGGGCGUGAGAACUACUGUAAAAACAAGUAGUCCUCAGUGGGUACUGCCCAAAAUAACAUCGGUCCACCCACUAAGUCUACAGAAGGGAGCAAGAAUAGUAGGAAAAGCAGGAAGUAAACUCUACCGCUAUCAAUCACUACACUAUCAUGCUCUACACUAACCAACUGUAGGAAAUGUCAAAUCUGACCCAAUCCAAUCGGAACUGUAAGCAUACCCGUUCCCGGGACUGUGAAUACACCCGUCCCUGCCCCGUUGCGACUAUCAGGCUCUAUCCACACUAACUGGUCCGUGGAGAGCAAGUCCAACUGGCAUGAGCGACACUAACGCGAAAGCACAAAGCCUGACUCCGGAGUGGCACUCGUGGGCGCUACCCAACCGAGUAUGCAGCGUAUCUCUGUGCGGAGCGUCAAUUCGGCUCAACACAAGUCAGUGAACAUGUCAAACAUGUGGUCUAGACCAACCACGUGCCCCGGCCAAUUUUGACCAAUCAGAAUCUGGGUUCCACCGCUACGCGCGGCUAUCCAAGACCCACAACAGGCUUACUCUGUAAAAAUAGGCUCGGCAUCCAGCAACGGGGGCGUAAAUGCGCUUCUGAUACACGUAUCCAUGGCGCCACUACUCGUGGCACGGCAUCAUCGAAUCAUGGUCUAGAUGCUAAUUUGGUGUUAAGCAUUGCCGAUUCCAAUCGUGUUUUCUCCUAAGUCAAAUCCCAGUCAUGUAAUUUGAUAAUAGUCAUGUUGCUCAACUGUUUUAUCCGGAUGCUCACGAUAUCAAGCUACCACGAUGGGAUUACGAAGCUGAAAAUCUACAUGUUGACGCAUUACAGGUACUAGAUAAAACCGAUUAAGACCUACCUCGAAGCUAUCCUGCAGCGGUACACUCUCACAGCUGGUGGCGCCACCUCGCGGUCGAUCGUCGGCCCUUCUGCGACCAAGAAUCGCGUGUCUAAUCCAAAGCUCUAACCACAAUCAGCGUUUUGUUUAGUUUCGCGCCGGUGGAGGUCCAGGAUCGACCAAGCUAACUUUCACAAAUCAGCAAGUAAUGGACCUUUGCGAUUCCUCUCGCGUCUCCGAAUCAAACCAAGUUGCGUCGCAAGUCCGAUGCUCUACGUCUUAGACGAGCUAAUACUACAGGUUCGGACGGUGGAUUCAAGCACAAUAAUAUACGAGUAGAAUGUAAACCUGCCUAAACUCAGAAUUAAUGAAAUACCACGCUCGUAAACCGCGCCCGAGUUGACGCAGGAACGCGAAUCCUGUAGCCCUGGCCCCAUGCGACCCCGGUCAACACAGCUCGACGGCCGUCGCGGCGCGACGUCGGGCGCAAACUCACGAGCUCACUAGCCUUCAACGGAAUUGAGAGUGAGAGUGAGAUUUGGAGAGGGAGGAUUGCUCAGAGCUCUCUCUCUCUCUCUACACGAAAGCUUAGAGGGGAUGGUGAGCGCGUAAACAACGAGGGAGGAUUACCAAAUAACGCCUUAUAUCCCUUGUACCGGUAGGUCGGGUAACGGUUUUUUUUGUUGGUUAUACGGUACAGAGCCCGCGCGGUUUAUCCUUCUGUGCGUUCGUUGGUACGGUACAGCCACGCGGUUGUACCGGUACGCAAGCAGAGAAAUCUGCCAGUUUUGCAGAUUUCUUCUGCUAAAAGCUGCCUUCGCGUUGCCGGCUCCGUUUUUAGUCUAUUUGACUAGCCAACGCGACCUGAUUCUGCCGAACUUCCAGAGCUUUGUCGGCAAGCUCACAGUGAAAAGAUCUCACAGAUUAUCUCUUAUCUUUAUAUAUAAUGAUAUUUAUAUAUAUAAUUUUUUAAAAUUAUAUAAUUUUUUAAAAAAACUUUCUUCUUUCUCUUCAGCACCUCUUUUUUUUUAUUCUUUUUUUAUUUUGGGUUCUAGCCCCUCACAAUGUAAUUCAUGCAUGUGGAUGUGCUGGGUAUGGACACGUUUCUCCUCUCAACAAGAAUUUAUAGAGCUCCAAGCCCAAAUCUUCAUGAUUGCAUUUAGAUUUCUUCAAAUCUAAAGUGAUCUCGAGAAAUUCAUGAGGGUGGCAUGGGAUCGUGAUCUUGAAUUAUGAGUUUUUCGGAGUCCUGUUGGAUGGGGAUGCAUAGAUUCUGUAGAGAGAGAAAGACAGAAAGAGAGAGAAAGAGAGAAGCAGAUUUGCCCUGUUCCACAUAUAUAUAUAUAUAUAUAUAUAUUAAAUGGCCAAUGUUGGGCCUCUCUUGGGUUGUGCUACUUAAUUUAGACAGGCCCAAGAAAUGAUACUUUGACUUCAAAGUUUGAACGCAUCGUUUAUUUUGACUGAUUUAGUUAGUAUAUUUUCUGCAAUUUAUACAAUUAGAAAUUCACUAAAGUAAGCACUUAACUUAAACUUUGAAUUCAAAAUGCUAUUAUCUAAUUCAAAUCAAGCAAAUUGAAAGAUAAGUUAGUUAAAUCAAAAUUUGAAAGGUCGGAUAGUUAUUUCAAAAUGAUCCACAAUUCAGAUAAAUUUUAUACAUUUUUAUUUAAAUUGUAAAUAUUUUUCUUUUUUUACGUUGUCUCCAACUGCAUGCAUUAUUAUCUACACUAUAUUUUUAAUCACAUCGAACCAAACGAUCCAUAAUAUAUACCAAUAAAGUACAUACAUAAGCAACAAACCAAACGGCCCCUAAAAGCAACAAAUUACAAAUACAUGUAGCAAGCACCAAACUAAAAGCAGAAAUACAUCUCAUACAUGGCAAGCCAAAACAAGCAUAACACAACUAAAAGUAUUUUGCAUAAAUCGACUCUAAAACCCUUUUACAUACUCUAAAAAGGUUGACUUGAUAGUGAACACUAGUGGAAAAUAGGUUUUAACACAUCACCACGCAAGACGAAGGCAUAUUACUUUUGAUCGAAACACACCUCACCAUGCAAGACACAAAACGCAACGAAAAUCAGCUGAAGGAUGGGAAUAGAUGUCUUCCUUUCCUCAGCAUGAAUCAUGCUGCCUUUCUCAUGACUUCCUGAUCACUACAAAAAUUAAAAGUUAGGGUUCAUUGGGAAGAGUUUCUGUCACGCCCCGUAACUGUCAGUUUGGCCGGUUCGGGCACGUCGAACAAACGCCGGACGAACAACACCUCCCCUUUCCGCCCAAGGCUCAACAACAGAGUCGUGUACAAAUAUGUCGCCCAGAAAGACAUACAAUAUACACAAGGCACUACAAGUGCAACACAAGUAAGAGCAGGAAUCACGAGUACAUACAAGUGAAGGAGUUGAGGGGCGUCGGCAGAAUUGAAAGAGUUGAGGGCUCAGUUACAUGAUCUGCUCGACAAGAAAUUCAUCAAGCCGAGUGUGUCGCCGUGGGAAGCCCCGGUAUUAUUUGUGCUGAGAAGAAGAAUGAAUCGUUUUGACUCUGCGUAGACUACCGCGAGUUGAACAAGGUCACUAUCAAGAACAAGUACCUGUUGCCCCGAAUCGAUGAUUUCUUUGAUCAGUUGCAGGGGUCUCGGGUGUACUCAAAGAUAGACCUUCAGUCCGGUUAUCAUCAGCUAAAGAUAAAGCUGGAGGAUAUGCAGAAGACCGCGUUCCGCAUGCGGUAUGGGCACUAUGAAUUCACGGUUAUGCUGUUUGGGUUUACAAAAGCCCCGGCAGCAAUCAUGAACUUCAUGAACCGUGUCUUCAGGGAGUAUUUAGACUAAUUUGUCAUGGUCUUCAUAGACGACAUCUUGAUCUAUUCUCACAGUGAUGAGGAGCAUGCCGAGCAUUUGAGGAUAGUGCUUCAAAUCCUUCGGGAGAAGAAGUUAUAUGCGAAGCUAAAGAAAUGUGACUUUUGGCUCCUACGCGUACGGGGACCGGUCCCCUCCCAUGAGGGAUCGGACCCCGAGAGCAAAACUUGUGCGCAGUAUUUUUCUGCCACUUUUCCACACGGGGUCUGAUCCCUCCUACUAGGGAUCGGUCCCCGAGAGCUCAAAAAUUCUGAAAUUUGCAGGAUUUCAUUCUCUUGCUCUCCGAGGCCCUCUACAAUGCACUAAAGCCGUUUUCGACGCCUUCGGCCUUUCCGAAGCGUCCCGAACUCAACUUCGAUCAAUUUCGAUCGAAGUUUGGAUUUCACGUAUCGAGAAUUCAUUUCCUGACAGUUUUAGGUCAAGUAAAUACGCUCAUUUCGAGGGUUGUUUUGUACCGGCUUUUAUUCUUGUCCUUAAUUAGAUUUGUUCUUAUCUGGAGUUUUGUCGUUAUUUUUUUUUUUUUGUUCUUUGAGUUUGUUGCCUCCUUCCUGUAGCCAAAUUUAUCAGCUUAAUGAAUAAAACAGUAACAUGCAUGCAUGUGACACUACUACCUUAGUUUUGAUUAUUUGUUGUCUGAUGCCUCCUUUCCACGAGCCUUCUCCUUGUAUUUAUGAGCCUAACAAGCCAAGCUCAAGCCAGUUCAAUAAUUUGAUGGCUGAGCUUGUUUGUAAUUAAGCUGAGCAAAGAUGAGCUCAACUCGCUAAAGCUUGUUUACACCACUACGUAACUACAUUUCGUAGGUGUAAUUAUUGAGAUUUGUACAUGAAAGACAAGUUAUAAAUCUGCGUGCAUAAACAUGUGUGCAUGCAUGCGCGCACAGACACAGGGCAGCACCACCAAUAAGUAUAGCAGCGCCAUCAAUUCAUUAGAUACAAUAAUCGAUAUAAUGCUAUGUACUCCAACCAUUUUGUGUUUGCAAAUUUCUCGCAUGAACAUCUAUCUCUUAUUCAAAAAAUGAGGAAUUAGGAAGGUAGGGAGUUAACAAGACCAAAUGGUCCAAUUAUCCCUUAAUUGUAAGAAAGAUAAUUAAAGCAACGUGUGUGUGUGUGUGUGUGUGUGUGUGUGUGUGUGUGUGUGUGUGUGUGUGUGUGUGUGUGUUGGGUAGGGCUCUAACUCGCGACGCCCUUGCCUCGGUCCAGAUCGGCAACAGCAGCAGCCGAAGACGAUGGCUCUGCAAAAGUAGGGUAACAACAGGGCGUGAGAACUACUGUAAAACAAGUAGUCCUCAGUAGGUGCCGCUCUCAACAACAUCGGACCAUCCACUAAGUUUACAGAAGGGAGUAAGGAUAGUAUUAAAUGCAGGAAUAAAAUCUACCGCUAUGAAUCACUAUACUAUCAUGCUCUACACUAACCAACUGUAGGAAAUGUCAAAUCUGACCCAAUCUAAUCGGGACUGUAAGCAUACCCGUCCCUGGGACUGUGAACACACCCGUCCCUGCCAAGUUGCGACUAUCCAGCUACCUUCACACUAUCUAGUCCGUGGAGAGCAAGUCCAACCGGCAUGAGCGACACCAAAUGCGAAAGCACAACGCCCGUCUCCGGAGUGGCACUCGUGGGAGCUACCCAACCGAGUAUGCAGCGUAUCUCUGUCGAGCUCAAUCAGGCUCUACCUCAAGCCAAAAUCCAAGUAACCGAUUCUAACUGGUCUAACCACCAACAGGUCACGUGCCCUCGGCACAAUCCGUCGCCAAAAAGGCAAUACGGGUCCACCGUCAACCUCGACGGCACCCAACAGUCCGGAACAGCCUGAACGCUAUUAUAAAAAUAUACUCGGCAUCCCAGCACGAGCGUCACUGAAAGCUACACUAUCUACAAUACUCACUAUGAGGAUACUGCUACAGUAUAAAAUAAUACAACGGCCCCUAGGGCUAAAUCAGGUAGUAUAACUGAUGACAGGUCCAACUCGCCCGUUUUCUCCUAAUUUAAUUUUCAAGUCCCACAUGUAUAAAUUACUUAAUUUAUUAUCGCAUGCUCCAAAUUCUGAUUUACAAUUCGCAUAAUAAUCCAUGAAUUCGAGCUAAAGAAAACUACACAAAAUCUGAAAUUUACACAUGUUGGUUACUAAGCACUUAGGAGUAUAAGUCGAUGAUUAACCCAACUUAGUGGCUAAUCCCCUGCAGCGAGGAAGUCCCGACACAAGGGAAUACCCUGCUGGAUCAACCGAAAACCUCCAAAAGCCAGAAGUCAAGCUCCCGCCAAACUCUACACGUAGAAUCCGACAAUAAGCAUCAAUUCUGCCUCAAAGACAGCAGCAGAGAAGAUUAAAAUUAUGACCCAGCAAACCUUCACCAAAUCCAGCAAAUAAGGGCUUCGUGGAUUCUUCUCGAAGUUCUGAAUCCAACGAACCAAAUCUCGUCAAAAUCCAACGCUCCCACGUCGAGUACGAGCCGAAACGCCAAUGAUUGAUGCUGGAAAUCUGCAGGGACAGCACCUAGCUCGAAAUUGAAGAAGCUUGGAAAUAAAGAAGCAAUUUGACGACACACCUACCUCGACAGUGACCCUAGUAUCUGUGCGACGUCGAGGACGGCGGUAACACACCCUCGCCCGGCCUCCUCGCGAUGCUACGGCGACAAACGUAGGCUCGAACGGCUCCGCGGCGCGACGUCGAUGGCGAAUCUACUCCACCAAAGCUCCUCCUAUUUGAUCAAUCUAGAGAGAGAGAGAGAGGAGAAGAGUAGCAAAUAGCUCUCUCUCUCUCUGCUCCUACACGUAUAUAGCAAGGGGAUAAGAGUAGAUGCAAAUGAGGCAAACAAAUUUACCAAAAAGCCCUCCACCAACUCAAAUGUACCGGUACACGUGCAAGUGUACCGGUACAGAUGCCAACCCGAGAGCAUCUGCGCGUGGUCUGCAGAAGUGUACCGGUACGCCGCGAUGGUUGUACCGUGUAACGGUACGCCGUGAUGGUUGUACCGGUACAACAAGCAGAAAUCUGCAAUUUGCAGAUUUUCAACGCUAAGUUCUGCUCUCGCGUCCUUGCUGAGUCCGUUUGGCGUCUAUUUCGCGCCAACGCGACUCGGACUUGUCUCGACACUCUUCAGAGCUGUCGACAAGCCUUCACUGCUGAACACCAGGGGUCUCACAUCCUCCCCUACUACAAAAAGUUUCGUCCUCGAAACUUAAACAUACCUCAGNUAUAUAUAUAUAUAUAUAUAUAUAAAGUAUAAAUAUGCAGCACUCAUUAAUCUUAAAAGGAUCCUGAUUCUGAAAAUUAGUUCUAAAUUGUACAAGAUCAGAUACGAGGAAUUAAUGCUUUAUCCACUAAUUUAUAGAUUUGAUGGAGUAGUAUUUCACUUUGAUGUUCGAUGCAGUUAAAAGAAUAAUCUUUGGACGGUAUAGAUACUUUGUUUUCUGUUUCUUAUGUUUUAUUCUGAUUAAAAUCCUCCAUCCACAAGUAACAUAAUCAGACGAUAUGGAUAGCUUUGAUUAUGGUUUUUUUAUUAAUUAGAAAUAAGAGAAGCAAUUUCAUCUACUUUUGUGAUUUUUUCAUUUAUAGCAAUCAAGUUUUGUUGGUAACUAUAACUAAUUAUACUUGGUAUUUUGUUUUCACCUCAAGGCUCCAAGUUUGGUGGCUCAGAGUGGCAGAGAUUAGUAUGACACCUUGCUAAGUAUCGUUGACCCGGGAAAGAAGAUGGAUUCCGACAAGGAGGCUUCUGCAGAAUGCUCUUUGAGUUGAGCUGCCUGAAAAGCACCAACAGUCCAACAGUUUCUCUGUUCUGCAUCAUCCUAACAGCUCCUUCGGUAGUGGAGGUAGAAAAUUUAAAUAAGACCUUUUGCUUUGGAGCCUAGAGUAAGCAAAAUUUUCAUACGGUACUUCAGAUCAUUAUUAUCUAAUUGUGGUUGUUCAUUUGUAUAGUUUCAGUAGGUUAUGGUGAAGUUAGUGCUUUAUGUAAUUUAAUGAUGAAUACAUCUGUAGAAACUUAAAAUACUAAGUAAUAUCAACACUUAGCACCAAAAGACUAACAGAACCUGCAUUUAUCGAUUCUGUAUCACAUUAUACUUUGUGCAGAAUUUCAAGCUCAGUUGCAAAUGAUCAUAGCGCAUAUUCCUGGACUAGAGAAUGUGCAUUCUGCAUCAUCAACAUUAGAUGGCUAUCCUAUCCGUAUAAAUACUCUAUUGCUUAUAUUAGUCAGUUGAAUUUAAGUUUUGUUUAUCGACUAUUGAAAUCUCUAUUUUAACUGGUUGUAGGUUCACAAAGAGGGGAGAGGGCCUCCACUAGCUCCCUUCCCACGCUUUCUAGAGCCAACAAGGUGAGUUUCAAAAUAGUCAUUUUUUUAAUAAUUGUUAAAAUGCAAAAAAACUACUUGAAAUUACGUUUAUUAUCAUUUUUUAUACAUUACUAUGUUGUAUUGCGAUUAAUAGCUUACAUAUCUUCAUGUUAGUAUCAAUGUAGAUUGUAGUAUGAUUUUAAUAUCAGUUCAUAUGGUGGUAAGUUGAUGGUUAUAAUAUAGCCUACCAAAACAUGAAAAAAUAGUAUGUAGUAAGUGUCACACCGCAAUAAUCCCACAUCGGAUGGGAAUGGGGAUGUGAUUAGGUAUAUAAGAGAUUUAGACACUAGUAAUAAUAACUGAGCUUAAGCAUUUUGGGCCAUGGUUGGGCCCAACGAGUUAUUGUUGCUAGUGGGCUAGGUUGUUACAUUUGGUAUCAGAGCCGGUUCCCCAGCUGGACAUGUGUGGCGAGUCUCAGCUGAGCCAGGGUCUGAAAGCAAGGUGAUAGGCUAUGCCGGAGCCUGAAUGACAAGGUGACCGGCUAUGCCAGGGUCUGGAUGACAAGGCUAGCGAGAUGAGUCUCACAUCGCUUGGUGAUCUUGGGCGUCUCACAUCACUCGGUGAUCUUGGGCUGUGUGUGUGAUUGGACUGACAAAGACAUCAGGGCCUUAACGGAGGGAGUCUGUCACACCCCAAUAAUCCCACACAGGAUAGGAAUGGGGAUGUGAUUGGGUGAAUGGGGAUGCAAUUGGAUAUAUAAGAGAUUUAGACACUAGUAAUAAUAACUGGGCUUAAACAUUUUGGGCCGUGGUUGGGCCCAAUGAGUUAUAGACUCCCUACCCCAAUAAUCCCACAUAGUAUAGGAAUGGGGAUGUGAUUGGGUAUAUAAGAGGUUUAAACACUAGUAAUAAUAACUGGGCUUAAGCAUUUUGGGCCGUGGUUGGGCCCAACGAGUUAUAGACUCCCCACCCCAAUAAUCCCACAUAGGAUAGGAAUGGGGAUGUGAUUGGGUAUAUAAGAGAUUUAGACACUACUAAUAAUAACUGGGUUUAAGCAUUUUGGGCCGUGGUUGGGCCCAACGAGUUAUUCUUGCUAGUGGGCUAGGUCGUUAUAGUAAGAGCUCAUGAGAUGUGUGUUUUUUUCAUUAAAUCAUGGAAUUAAACGUAGUUCGGGGAAGUUAAGUUGCAACUAUAUCUAAUAGUGCAUGGAAGACAAAGUUGCUUGUUUGCUUUAUUCCUUGUAGAAGCAUGCGUGCGUGCGUGCAUGAACGUAGACUAAGUUUACUACUAAAAAGGUUUGCGGACCUUAUCAUGGCUGUUCGAUUCGAAAAUAUGAGAAAAUAAAAACAUAGUGAUUUGUGUGUGUAUGUUAUUAAAGGACCAUUUUGUGUGGACAAAGAUAGGAUUGAGAGAAGUAUAAUUUUAAUACGUCUAAUUGAAGCAGCAUUAAUGGAUUCUCUGUUUAAAUCUUUUCAUGUAGUUUCGCACUGGAGGUAGAAAUAACAGUUUCCCAUUGCAAAUAUUAUUUUGCACUUCCUACUUAUGUCGGAAGCUGUAAUUUCUCUUUUUAUGCCAAAUAAAUGACUUUUGUAUUUUGAACAGCAAAUUUCUUUAAAGAACUAUGCCAUAGACUCAGAGGCAGUUAUGUCAUGCCCUGAAUUACUCGUUUCCCUAGGCACGCCGAUAAAUCCGCUGUAUACAAAGGAGUUUUUCCUGUAUACGAAGCAAUAACAGUACUUGUACCUGUAAUCACACAAUACUACAACCAGUAUUAUAGAGUUGCUAAAGGAAAAAACAUAUAUAAAUAUCAUCGGUUCAGUAUAUACAUAGUAUCCUGGUACAUAAACACUUGCUCCAGCGAGUAACAACAUAAGUAUGUAAAGAACCAAAAACUACAACUACCUAUAGCUAGUGUACUCUAGCCUAGCAGUAACUCGGAGGGAACCUAACUCGCGACUCCCUUUCCUCGGUCAAAGUCCGCAACAGCAGCAGCCGAAGAAGAAGGCUCUGCAAAAGGUUUCAACAACUGGGUGUGAGAACUACUGCAAAAAAAGUAGUCCUCAGUGGGUACCGCUACCGACCUCAACGGCUCACCCACUAAAUCUACAGAUGUAAACAAUGAUAAUAAGAAAAGCUGGAACAAAUCUACAGCUAUGUGCCACUAUACUAUCGUGAUUCAACACUAUCUAUAGAAAAUGCAACACCUGACCCAAUCUCACUAGGGACUGUGAACACACCCGUCCCGCCUGUCGAAGCUACUCUAACUGCCACCAAACUAGGUCGGUAGUGGAGAGCAAAUCCAACUAGGACAAACCGACAUCAACGCAAAAACACUAAGCCCGACUCCGGAGUGGCACUCGUGGGCGCUACCCAACUGAGUAUGCAAGCAUAUCUCUGCCGAGCUCAAUCAAGCUCUCACAAGCUGUAAUCGAUGCAAAUUGGUCAAACUGGUCUAACAAUCAUAAAUCAUAUGCCCUCGGCACAAUCCAAUGCUAAAACAGCAAAUCCGGUCCACCUUUAACCACAACGGCACCCGACAGUCAGGACCAGUCUGUACACUACUGUAAAAAUAAGUUCGGCAUCUCAGCACGAGCGUAAAUGCAUUCUACACUAUUCUAGGUAUCCACCGCCUACAAACUGCGGUGAUACAAACAAAUUAUGGCCCCUAGAGCUAAAUCUGGUAGUUUCAGAAUAUGACGGUGUAGAAUCCACAAUGUAUAAUUUAGCUAAUUUUUCAAGCUCCAAUUCAGAUUUGAAAACAUGCAAAAUCCAAGAAUCGAGCUACUAAACAUGUUAAACGAAGCUAAAACACAUGCUGACAAUAUAUGGGCUUAGGAGGUACUCUGAAAAUUCCGGUAAGCAUAUCAUUAACCCACCUCAAAAGCACAUCCAACAACGGCGAGAAGUCGAAAGAAGCGGAACCACACGCUCGCCCGGCCUCCCAACGCAGCAACUACAACGUCCACGCGCUCGAACUGCUCCCCUGCACGACGUCGGCGCUAAUCCGAGCACUAAUCGCGACCUCCACCUUGCUACGGUCAAGGACUAGAGGGAGAGAGGGAAGAGCAUGCAAAAAUCUCUCUCUCAGCCUCUCUACACGUAUAAGAAGGGAAAAGGAUAAGGGUGACACAAUCGAGGCAGCAAAAGACCAAACAGUCCCUCACCUACCCUGAAGUACCGGUACCAGGCCGAUGCCAUACCGGUACCCCGCAACAAAAAAUGGCAACCCGAAAGUAGUAGUUCAGAAAUUUACACUCGUACCGGUACUCCCCUAUAUGGCACUGGUACUAAAUGUUGAAAAUCUGCUAAUUGCAGAUUUUAGUGCUAACUUCCUACUCUCGCGUCGCAUUGAGUCCGGUUUAUGUUUAUUUCGCAUCAACCUGACUCAGAUUUGUCCCGACACUCACCAGACAUGUCGACAAGCCUCAGAUGCAGAACUCCAGGGAUACUGCAAGUCAAUAUGCAUCGGUGCAUUUUUUUGAUUUUUUUCACUUAAUGAGUGUUAGUAGAUAGAAUAGUAUAUAUUACAGUUUUGACAAAUGUCUAUUUUGUUAAUAAUCUAUUGAAAAUCAGAAAUUCAAGAGGACAAAUUGUUUGUGUAUCCAACUAUAAAAAAAAUACUCCAAUUCUUGUUGUAGAUUUUUUAAUUUAUAUAAUUUCUUUUUCUUCCUUUUAUUUAUUGCAGGAAAUGAAUUGCUGUUGAAAUAAGAGCUGAAGCUUUUUAUUUUAUCAUUUUUAAGUGUUUUCUAUUUUUAAAUUUAGCGAGUCAAGAAUGAUAUUGAACUGUAUAUCGAAUAUUAUUACUCUAUUGCUUUUAAAUUGAUGUUGCUAUUAUUUUGUUUUUAAGCUGUUGUGGAUCAUAAGUCAAUUAGCCUUGUAAAUUAUUGUUAAAAAAAUAAUUUUGUUUACUUAAAUAUUUUUCUUGUCAUUUUGUAUAUAUUGUGUUUGUAAAAUAUAAGCUGUGUAUUUUUAUAUUUUAUUUUAUUACUUUUUUAUUAUUGAUGGCUAUUUUAUUCGCACAGUUGGUGGUGACAAAAAGUUGCCUCUUUAUCUACAACUAAACUGGCGGCUGUGGUGGUUGCCACUUAAGCUAUAUAUUUGGUGGCGAAAUGUAUAGCUAUCUUAUCUUUAUAAUAGGUGGCGAUUAAUAAGGGCCACUAAAAAGUCAUAUUUGAUGGCGACAAAAUGUCGUCACGCUAUCUUUAAUAAGGUGGCAACUAAUAGUUGCCACUAAAAGUCAUAUUUGGUGGCGACAAAAUAUCGCCACGCUAUCUUUAAUAAGAUGGCGACUAACAAUGGCCACUAAAAGUGAUAUUUCGUGGCGACGAAAUAUCACCACACUAUUUUUAAAAAGGUAGCGAUUUUUUAUGCUUCGUCACAAUUUCAUUUAGCGGCAAAACUUUCAGUGGCAACUUGUGGCGACUUUAAAAGUCGCCACAUUUUAGAAAGGUUGCAACUUUUUAUACAUAUGGUGGUUAUAUUACUCGCGAGCAAUAUAUAAUAUUCUUGUAGUGUAUAUAUGAAAAUAAUAUAAUAUUAUAAUAGCACUUUGAAGCACGUACAAUCAAAUUACUUAUUUAUAUAUAGUUGCAGUAUUGCUUAUUACAUUCAACCAAACAAGAUAUAUGUGAUCAUAGCUAUUGUAUUUUUAUUAAUAUGGAUCUCAAACUACACUACAUUUAUAAUUAUACUUAACCAAACGACCUUGUAAAAAAUAAUUGAAAUUUCCUUCAGAAUCUUCUGCUUUAUUAUCAUAUUAAAACACUCAUUAAUCUAUGUGAUAAGAAAAAUACUAUAUACAAAUUCAAAAGUGGGUGUAUGUCAUAUUCCACAUCCAUCCAAUGGUAAGGAAUUGUGUAACGACCCGACUGUCUGCCGCGAACGAAUCGACCCUGCCGUAGGUAUUUCUAAGGCGAGUGGUCAUUCAUAGUACAGAUUAAAUUUGUUUAAAUUUUAUUUUAAAUCCGGAUUACAGGUUUAUAACUUCCAACAGACUCAAGAGUCUGCUGUUUAUUAAUAUAAUUUACCGUGUACAUGGCUUUAGCAGGGACAUUCCCCCGCGAUACAUAGAUUUUAUAAAAUUAAAUACUCAGUUUAUAAACUUGAUGGUCGAUUGGAAUCAGAUUGCUCAGUUUAAUAACAUGGCGGUCAUUUGAAAUAAGUUGAUGUUGAGUUUAAUUUUAAUUUGCUCAGUUUAACGACAUGGCGGUCAAAAGGAGUUUAAUUUUUAUUUGCUCAGUUUAACGACAUGGCGGUCAUAUCUGAACUUGAUUUACUCAGUUUAGCGACUUGGCGGUCGAUUGAAGUUGAGAGGCUCAGUUUAGUGACAUAACGGUCAGUUUGAAUUAUGGUGCUCAGUUUAAUGACAUGACAGUCAUUUGUUCAGUUUAACGACUUGUUAUAUCUUAACAUGAUUUGCUCAGUUUAGCGACUUGGCGGUCGAUUGAAGUUGAGAUGCUUAGUUUAGCGACAUGUCGGUUGAUUUUAGAUUGAGUUGCUCAGUUUAAUGACAUGACGGUCGAUUUUAGAUUGAGUUGCUCAGUUUAAUGACAUGGCGGUCGGUUUGAGUUUGGUGUUCAGCUUAAUGACGUGGCGGUCGGUUUGAGUUUUAUUGCUCAGUUUACCGACAUACCGGUCAGAUGUUCAGUUUAACGACUUGAUGGUCAAAUAUUCAGUUUAACGACUUGAUGGUCAUAUCUGAAUUUGAUUUGCUCAGUUUACUGACUUGGCGGUCGAUUGAAGUUGAGGUGCUCAGUUUAGCGACAUGGCAGUCGAUUUUAGAUUGACUUGCUCAGUUUAAUGACAUGACAGUCGGCUUGAGUUUUGAUGCUCAGUUUAAUGACAUGGCGAUCGGUUUGAGUUUUGGUGCUUAGUUAAUGAGAGCCGGUCGGCUUGAGUUUUGGUGUUUAGCUUAAUGACGUGGCGGUCGGUUUGAGUUUUGGUGCUAAGUUUAUCAACAUAGCGGAUAGAUGUUUAGUUUAACGACUUGAUGGUCAAAUGUUCAGUUUAACGACUUGAUGGCCAUAUCUGAAUUUGAUUUACUCAGUUUAGCGACUUGGCGGUCGACUGAAAUUAAGAUACUCAGUUUAGCGACAUGGCGGUCGAAAGGGUUUGAUUUGAUUGCUCAGUUUAACGACUUGGCGACCAAAUAUUCAGCUUAAUGAUUUAGUAGUUAUUUAUUCAGUGUAACAACUUGAUGGUCAUAUCUAAAUUUGAUUUGCUCAGUUUAGCGACUUGGCGGCCGAUUAAAGUUGAGAUGCUCAUGAAACGGAUUCAUAAAAUUAAUUCAUGCUAGAAGCUCGUUUGUAAAGUCUAUUAAAUUAAUUGAUGAAAUUAAUUUACGAUAGGGGGCCAUUUGGAGAGUCCAUAAAAUGGGUUCAUGAAAGUAGUUUAUAAUGGAGAUCCAUUUAGAAAGUCUAUUGAAUUGGGUUCAUGACAAAGGCCCAUUUGGAGAGCCCAUGAAAUGAGUUUAUAAAAUUAGUUUGUUAUGAGCCAUUUGGAAGGCUCAUUAGUUCAUAAAAUUAAUUUAUGAAAACGAUGGCCCAUUUGGCAAACCCAUGAAAUUAAUUCAUAGAAUUAAUUUGUAAUAGGGCCGGGGCCCAUUUGGAAAGCCCAUAAAAUUAAUUCAUGAUAAGGGGGCCCAUUUGGCAAACUCAUGAAAUUAAUUCGUAAUAGGGGGCCCAUUUGAAAAAUCCAUGAAAUUAAUUUAUAGAAUUAAUUCAUGAUAAGGGGCCCAUUUGGAAAGUCUAAAAAAUUAAUUCGUAGAAUUAAUUCAUAAUAAGGGGUCAUUUGGAAAGCCCAUGAAUUCGGUUUGGGUUGGAGGUAUUUGGAUGACAUAGAUUUGGUAGAUUUGGUUUGGUUUUAUUUAUGGACUUUGACUUUUGGAUUUUAUUUGUGAACUUUGGGUAUUGGAUCGUAUUUGUGGAUUUUGAAUUUUGGAACACAUUUGUGGACUUUGGGUUUUGGGUUAAGAAAUUCAUUUAUAUAGAUUUUUAUUGGUUUUGGACCCAAAUCUACAUGUGGGUUGAGAUAGACUGCGGGCUUUGCAUGUUUUGGGCCGAAUUUGCCUGUGGGCUAGAUAGAGUAAUUUAUUCAUGUGGAUUUUAUUUGUUUUGGAUCCAAAUGUGCAUGUGGGCUGAGACGGGUUUCGAGCUUUACAUGUUUCGUUCCUUGGACCCGAAUCUGCAAGUGGACUGAGAUAGAUUUUGGACUUUAUAUGUUCUGGGCCCGAGUCUACAUGUGGAUUGUGAUGAGUUUUGGACUUAAAUGUUCUGCGCCUAAAUCUGCAUGUGGGCUUGAUGCUUUAUAUUUUUUUGGACUGCUUAUGGAAUUUGUUCAUUGGGCCCAUAAGUAAAUGAUGGGUUGAACUAUUUUCAAAUUAAAAAGCUCGAAUCCAUUUUCUCAAAUUUUUGUUUUUCCUUUUUUUUGUUCUUUUUUUUUUUUGACUGAGAGAGAGGGAACAACUCUUUUUUUUUCUUUUGUAUUUGUUGUUUUUCUUUUCUUUUCUUUUUUUGUUUGUUUUAUUUGUUUAUUCAUUUUUUUUGUCCAAAUAUACCAAAUUUCGUCUUUUUUUUCAAAUAUAUGAAAUUGACCACAUCGAGCCUAUCAUGAAGAUGGCGAUGCNAAGCUCGAAUCCAUUUUCUCAAAUUUUUGUUUUUUUUUUUUCUUCUUCUUUUUUCUUUUGUUGAGAGAGAGAGAGAGAGAGGUGCCCUCCUUUCCUUUCUUUUCUUUUUUUUUUACUCUUUUUUUUGUUUGUUUGUUUUAUUUGUUUAUUCAUUUUUUUUGUCGAAAUAUACGAAAUUUCGUCUUUUUUUUCAAAUAUAUGAAAUUGACCACAUCGAGCCUAUCAUGAAGAUGGCGAUGCUUAUCACAAAGAUAACAAUACGAUCGAAUCGAACGAAGAUGGCGAAUCAAAACAGUACCCGUCCAUUUUUUUUGUUAUCAUUUUUAUUAUUUUUUUUAUCACAUUUUGUUCAAGUACGUAGAAUUUAAUCGUGUCGAGCCUACCACGAAGAUGGCCGCUUGAUCAACCUUUUUGACCAUGUCGAGCCUAUCGCGAAAUGACCGCACAGUUUACAUAAUAAAAUAUCUGGUGUUCGAUCAACUAUUUCGACCAUGUCGAGCCUAUCGCGAAGAUGGCGGCACGGUUUAGAGAUUAGCGAUGCAUACGCACAGCGAAAGUGAUGAUUUGAUGUCAAAUUUGAUCGGUUUGAAACCUAUCACGAAGAUGGUCGGAUUGAUCAAAUCGAUAAAAAAAUUACACUUACGCUAUUCGUAUGCAUACAUAUCUCUUACUGUCGUAGAAGUCAUCGUAAUUGUCGUUGCCGAAGUCGGAGUCAAAUGCAAGAGCCAAAGUCUUCUUCUUUUUCUUUUUUUUUUUUUGCUGUGGUACGAACAAAGGAGGGGGAUGCACAUGGCAUGCCCUCUGCCAAACCCCUGUAAGAAUUAAUCCGGCACAAAAAAAAUCACAGCGAAAAUUAAUAUCGUAUUUUUCGAAAAUAAAAAUCCAUAUCACAUAUGAACCAAAAUAAAAGCAAAUCAAUCCAGUGCCGGUGGAUCAUUCUCAUGUUACAAUGUAAAAUAAUAAUCUAACCUAAAAAGAUUUGAAGUUCAUGCUACAUGACCAUGAACCAGUUAAGGUUUCUUGAUCUAUGUACGGUUAAAACUGAGAUUCUGAUUAGCCACGCACGUGCCCGGCCUCUAUGCGUAUCCAUACGGAAUUGAUGCAGAUCCAACAUCCUCCGUCGCAUAGAACAGAUGAGUCGUAGAUUACAAAAACGGUGCUAGCAGUCUUCUGAUAUCUACGUUCCCUUUUGUAAGAUUUACUGAUUUUCACGAAGGAUAACAGAGAGAGAUGGAUGAUCUAAUACUUCUCAAAAGGCAAUCAUUAAAUCCCUCUCGUAAAGAUAUUAUAUAUCUUCACGUGGCCACUUCAUUAACUACUAAUGAAGCCGCGCCUUAUGUACACCUCCUCUUAGUAGAGCCAUACAAAUCGGCAGCCCCGCAAUCUGUUACAACUGAUUGGAUCAUAUCCAAUUAGUUGCCACAUAGGAUAAGUAAAAAGUAAAUAUAUGCUUAUCCAUAUGGAUAUUUUAUCUUUACCUCUCUCUUUAAUAAAUUUAAUUUAAUUGGAUCUUAUCCAUUAAAUUAUAAUUAAAUAUUCAUAUUUAAAUCUAAUCUAAUUAGAAUAUUAUCUCAUAAUAAUAUAUGAAUAUUUAAUUGUUCUCUAAUCUAAUUAGAGAUUAAAUCUUUCGUAACAUUCAAAUUCAAAUUAUAAUUCUCACUAUUUCCACUAGACUGUUUAGUGUAUUAAUUAGACUCAUUUUGUCAAGUUGGAUGCACACAGUUCCUAUUGUGUGUGACCGCAUAGAUACCGGUUCAUUAUCAUUUGGCAGUGGAGUUGAAUAUCAAACUCUUUAAUAUUGAAUUAGAACUCUUCUAAUCUAUAAAAUAAUUUAUUUUAAAUUAUUUUUACUUCUCUCAUUGUCCACGAGUUACACCUAACAGUAUAUCACGGCAAUCUAGAAUGAUGAUGAAAAACGAACCUUUUCGCUAACAGUUGCCGUGUGAUUAAUUCAUUCCAACACACAACGCCCCAAUCGAACUAAAAUUAUGGUUACUCGCCGUAUCUUAUUAUUCAAUCAUAUGACUAGAAUAUCUAAAACCUACUCAAUAUGGUAACACAGCUGGAAACUUUUUCCACACACCACGUACCCUGACUAGGGAUUUUUCGAGUCGAGUCUGAUAGUCUAUAUAGGACGUUCUCUCUCAAUAUUGAGAGUAUUGAAUUCCUUAUUGCGCAUUCACACGCCUCCCCAUAUAAAGUACUACAGCCAAUCAGUACCAGAUGUAGACUAAUGAUUAGAGUCUAAGUAUCAGUACAGUCAAACGGUAGCAAUCUAUAUGUGAAGCAACCAUGAUACCUCAGGUCGGAGGAGUACUUCACACAACUGUAGCAAAGAACUAGUAAUUGGCAAAUUUGGAACCAUGUGACUGUUCAACUAAAUGGUCACGCUCAGUGUGCUUGUUCGCUAACAAGCACCUGCAUGCUUCCUUUAGUGUCCCUACACUAAUGACUCGAGAUUCGUCACCUCAACGUAGAAGUGUAGCAUGCACCGGCUUAUCCGGAAAUAUCAUCGUCCUUAUGAUAUUCCUAUGGCUAGGAGCGUUUAAGAAUCUUGUACAAAGAAUUAUAUAUCUCAAAUUCCUAAUUUUUAGGAAUAUAUUUUCUCAACAAAGAUUCAACGGACGAUUCAUAUAAAUGUAUUGUACUGCUAACAAUAAAUAUGAAUAAAACUUGACCUUUAUUAAUUAAGAAAAAUACUUAAUAUGUUCACAAGCCUAUGUCACCAAUUAGCUUUAGGUUAUAUCACUAACAGUCUCCCACUUGCACUAAUGCCAAUCGCUCAUGUAUCUCAUACCCAUUCUUUCUAAAUGCACAUCCAGCUUUUGAAGUGUGAGCGGCUUAGUAAGGGGAUCCGCUAUAUUGUCUACGGAUGCUACUUUCUGCACAACAAUCUGACGCUCAUCUAUAAAUUGUCGGAUGAUGUAGUAGCGCCGAUCUAUAUGCUUGGACUUCCGAUGAGAUCUCGGUUCUUUAGCUUGCGGUAUAGCUCCAUUAUUGUCACAGUAAAGUGGCAUUGGCUUCUCAAUAGAAGGCACCAUUCCUAAUUUCGUGACGAAUUUUUGAAGCCAAACUGCCUCCUUUGAUGCCUCAGAUGCUGCAAUAUACUCUGCCUCAGUGGUGGAAUCUGCUGUUGUAUUCUGUUUGGAACUCUUCCAAAUGAUAGCCCCACCAUUCAAAGUAAAGACAUGUCCUGAUGUUGAUUUUCUAUCAUCAACAUCUGACAUGAAGCCUGAAUCUGUGAAGCCUUCUAACGUUAGCUCAUUUCUACCAUGCACUAAACACAAAUCCUUAGUUUUUCUCAAGUACUUAAGGAUAUUUUUCACAGCAGUCCAGUGUUCUUCACCUGGAUUGGACUAGUACCUGCUCAUAACACUUACAGCAUGUGCAAUAUCCGGUCUUGUACAUAGCAUAGUAUACAUGAGACUUUCUAUUGUAGAAGCAUAUGGAAUUCUGCUCAUGCGCUCUCUUUCCUCUGGUGUUCUCCGACACAUCUUCUUGGAAAGAUUAAUUUCAUGCCUAAGAGGAAGAAGACCCCUUUUUGGAAUUUUUCAUGUUGAACAUUUUCAACACAUCUUCUAUGUACAUUUGCUGUGACAAACCGAUUAACCUCUUAGAUCUAUCUCUAUAGACUUUAAUUCCGAGGAUAUAGGCUGCCUCUCCUAGAUCUUUCAUUAAGAAAUUCUAGGACAACCAAACCUUGACAGAGGCUAUUGUCUGCGACCACGAAUGACAUACCUCGCACGGUUAAUCUUAUUUUUAAUUUUCCGUGGGGUAGUAUUCAUGAUUCAGAUUAAUAUUUGAAUAUGUAUGGUUAUCAAGUAUUAUGGAUCCAUGGCUUCCAAUAAUUGCAAGCAUUUACUGUUAAUUACCCCUAUAAAAUAUUAGGGUACCUUCGAUUAAGAGACCUCUGAAAUGCUGAAGGAGAAAUAAACUGGAAUUGAACAAAAAGAUUUUAUAAUAUAGUUUAUCAUUCAAUUACAUAGCUUUAACCAAGGGCAUACCCUCAGUGUACAUAAACAGAGCAUAAAAAAAAAAAAGAGCUUAAUGAUGGUCAACUGAACUUAAUUUUGAUUGCACCUUGGUUAUAUAUUCCAAGAUGCCCAAAGUAUAUGAUCAAAUUAAUUUGGUUGGGCCCUAUAUGUUUUGGAGCUCAACAUUGUUCGUCCUAAGAUGAAGGAUUGAUUAAAUUCCAUGUAUGUAUUGGGAUUUAAUCGGAUUUGAUUCAAAUUAAACUCUAAUUAAAUGUAUUAGAGUUUGAUUUGGUUAAUUGAACUUUAAUUGUAUGUGAUAAAGUCCAAUAGAAUUUGAUUUGAUACUCAAUUUAAGCCUUCAUCCUAAAUGUAUGUGUUAGGAUUAGCCCAAAUAUUUUGAAUUGGACUCUAAUUUUAUAUCUUAGAGUCUAGUGUAAUUAGGCUCUAAGCUUAUGUGUUAGAGCUUAAUCAUAUUUACUCUGGGUUCACCAUAACGUGAAAUGUUAACUAAAUCCUAAUUAUAUAUAUUAGGAUUAGUCCAAUAAAUUUAAUUUGAUUAGGUGAAACCUAAUCUAUUAUUUUUUACCUUAGUCACAUAUACUAAGAUAAAUAGAUGGUUUGAUUGAUUCUAAACAAAUGUUUUAGAAUUUGAUUUAGUUUGGGGAUCCAUAUAGUUUGGAUGUGAGUUUGAACUUUGGUUCUUAAGUCUCAUGAAGAUCUAAAUUGGCCUUGAUCUAGUUUGGGCACACUCUUUUUUUUUGGGUUAGGUUUGUAUUCAAACUUGAGCCUGGGCUCAGAGCGGGUUCAUGUAAUUCAAGUUAUGGUUCAAUUCUGCUGUGGGUUCAAGCAUGGUCUAAAUUCGGGCCCGUAUAAUUGCAUUCAGACAUGGACUAAUUUUGGGCUUAUGGAUUCGGGCAUGGGCUAUAUUCAGGCCCGUAUAGUAUGGAUUCAGGUUGAGGCCUGAAUUAUAUCUAAAUUCUGGAUGUGGGCUCAGGCUCCAUUCAGGCCCAUAUGGCUUAGGUCCAUGUUUUCUUUAGGCAAGCCAUAAAAUUGGGCUCAGAUUCAGGUUUGGGUUGGUCACAAACAAGAUUUUUUAAUUUUGAGGUGGUUCGUUUGAGAAAAUGUUAACCCCAAAAAUUUAAAUAUCAGAUUCAGAAUCAAAUUUAAGAACUUCGCAUGCAUUUUUUAUUUUCAAAUUCUUAGUCAUGAAUAAUGAAAAUUCAACUCACAUUAGUAAUGAAAAGUCAAAAGGCUAAAUCAACUUAAACAUCAUGACUUAGCAUAAAGCAUCCAAUGGAAGUAAAUCUCAAUUUGGUCUAAUUUGAUCAAAUUGAGAGGUCGAUUCUGAAUAGAAUCAAGGUUAUCGAUUAUUUUUCGAACAUCCUGUUGUUCUUCCAAUAAAAAGAUGAUCAAUGAGUAACAAUCGGUAACCCGAUUGAUUCUUUUGUCUUCCAAUAUAAGAGAAUCAAGAGAACACAUUUUUUCUCUUUAUCUCCUUUGAAGGUAUAGGACAACAAAGAUGGAUAAUCCAUCUUUGCCUCUCUUAUAUUCAUGGGACAAUCAAGGUAGGAAAGAUUCCUUCCUUGCCUUCCUUUUGGUAACAAAGCUCCCUCUUUCUUAAUUAGAGAAGUAAUCUCUUUCUCUCUUUUGAUGAUAUUUUUUUUACAAAGAGAAGAGCACCGCUCUCUCCCUCUUUUGAUGAUAUAUAUAUUUUUUUUCUUACAAAGAGAAGAGCACCGCUCUCUCUCUUUAUGUACAGAUUAGGUUCGCCGUAAAAAAAACAUCUUAGGCAUUUCAUCAAACAAUUGGUGGGCGUGAUGCAUUGCGCAACUCCGAUUGCUUUGGAUUCACAGCAAAGAGUUGAAAGUCGCGGCUAUGAUAUAGUCGAUGUAGUGGCAAGGUCGAAGGUGAAGAAAUCGACGAAGUUGUCGGGCGUCAACUCGGGAUGGACGCCGACGUUCCGCAGCAUCCGCAGCAGGUGCUCUAACAGCACCACUUCGCGCACGAUGAUCACCGCCGACGACAUCCCCUCUCCUCCGUCCGAGCGCUCGAUGAGGACGCGGAUCUGCGGGUGGUCGAUAAGGUCGGAGCUGACCAGGUACCGACGCCGGGACUUGUCGACAUAGAUUGGGUGCAGCCCGCGCGGCACGACGUCCAAAUGCUCGUCGACGGCUCUGUCGGCGUCGAAUUUUGGCUCCUCCAACCGCUGCUGCCACAUGUUGUCAUCUUCGUUGUGGGGAAUCAAGAGUCCGCAGGCGAUGAGCGAGAUGCAACGGCUGCUGCCGGAGGGGGAGUAGACUUAUAGAAGCCUCUUUUUAAAGAAGCGCUGCUCAUUGCGGACGUAGAUCGAACACCUGGUGAGCGGUGACGAGGCCGGCCAUGACGGAGACGAGGCCGGUGUCGGGGCGGUUGGCAGCAUAGUCGAGGGAGAUGAGCGCGGCAUCAGUGGAGUAGGCGAAGAAGGUGUAGGCGUUGACCAUGAGGUAGGAGCCGGUGUGGCGGAGGAGGUCGAGCAUCGGGCGCAUUACGCGCUCCGCGAGGUCGUUGGGGAACGUGCCCGCGAAGGGCGGGUACGAGGAGCGGAGCACGGUGAGGGCGAUGGGGGAGGAGACCUUCACGGAGCCGUCGAGGCCGAGGCGCGCGAGCGUGGCGUGGACGUUGGUCAUGGCCGGGACGGGGAGCGUGAUGAGGUUGCUGCGCGGGCUCGCGAACACCUCAUUGCCCACGGCCACGGCCGCGAUCCCCCCGCUCAUAAACAAUUCACCUCCCAGCGCUACCGCUCCUGCGAAGUCCAAGAAAGCCUUAACGCAAUCGCCGUCGUACUCCGUCCUCGUCGGCCAGAUGCUCACCACCAUAUUAUAAGCNGGCCGCGAUCUGGAUCGCCGGGUAGUACGCCGCCACGUUGCGCUGCACCCACCCGAGCGUGUAGCCCGGGUGCGACGUGGCCGCGGCGAGGAGCUCGUUGGGGAGCGCCACCACCACCCGGAUACCGGGCUUGUACAAGAACGUGGAGAGGGAGAGAGCUUUUUUCUUCUUCUCUUUUCUUUUUUUUUUUUUUUUUUUUUAGAGAGAGAACUAUUUUCGGGUGAAAAAAAUAGCAUUUGAAAAUAAAGAGGAGAACAAAGUUGAUGGGUUUUUUUUUUUUUUGUUAGAGAUAGGUUUGAGAGUUGAAAAAAAGUCUUUUCUUACAAUUGGGGUCCAAAUAGAUAUUUAUGGACUUAGGUUAUAACUACUUGGAAUUUUUUUCUCCUUUUCCUUUUUUUUCUUUUCUUUUAGAACGUGCAGAUGAUGGGGUAGUAGGAUGUGGGUAGUUAAGAUAUUUUGGUCAUGGGAUCAUGGGUAUGGUAUUGCAUAUUAGCCCUUCUCACUUGUUUAUAUUAUACUUUAGUUAAAAAAUUAUAUGCUUGAAGUGGAGCAUCUUGCAAAUAUAUGGAAGGGAAAGGACUAAUUUGCUAUAUGUAAUACGCAUACGAGAGCAUUCUCUCUUCCUUCUUUUUGUAGUCUAUGCACCUGGUGCAUGGAUUAAUCUAUGCACCACGUUCAGAAUUUAAACUCAAAUUUUCUCCAUGCACCUAGUGCAUAGAUCGUCUCAUACACCAUUAUUCAAAUUUUCUCUAUUUCCACCUUUUUCUUUCUUUCUUUUUUUUUUUUUCUCUUCUUCUUCCAUUCUUUUUUUUUAUACUUCAACAGCUAUCAAACCAGUAUCAUUUCCAAUCAAAAGAAUACUGUCCACGUACAAUACGAGAAAGACAAGUUGGCUCCCACUAGUCUUCUUGUAAACACAAGGUUCAUCUUGAUUUCUCACAAAGCCAAACAUUUUGACUGCAUCAGUGAACCGUACGUUCCAACUCCUCGAAGCCUGUUUCAAUCUAUAAAUGGACCUCUGAAGCUUGCAUACUUUAUGUUUCUCGCUAUUGGACACAAAUCCCUCAGGCUGCUGCAUAUAUAUGUCCUCCUAUAUGAAUCCAUUGAGGAGAGCAGUUUUUACAUCCAUUUGCCAGAUCUCAUAGUCAUAGUAUACGGCUAUGGCAAGUAACGUUCGAAUGGAUUUAAGCAUAACCACAGGAGAGAACGUUUCUUUAUAGUCGAGACCUUCUCGUUGACUAUAGCCUUUUGCUACAAGUCUCGCCUUGUAUGUCUCUACUUUUCCAUCCACACCAAUCUUUUUCUUGAAAAUCUAUUUACAACCAACAGGUACUAUACUGUCACGCUCCGGGGCCGAUUUAAAAGCCAUUACCAUUUUUAAAACUCAGAGUCGCGGAAGAUGUACCAAAUUUUUUUUUUUUUUUUUUGAAAAACCUGGCCCACGUGACGUACAGACCCGCCACAAAUACAAAGUUCCUCUGUUCACUCGGGCAGAGUCUACUUUGUAUCUGCACGGCGUACCAACGAAUACAACAGGAUCACAACCACAACCUACAUUUACCAAUCAGCAACCAAUUCAUGAUAUGCAUUUCCAUACAGCUAACAAUCCUUAGAAUGAUGCAUGCCUCUAAGCACUCCUUAGGCGCUGGAUGAUGCAAUGCACAAUACAACAACCAUCCUAUUUAAAAGUGCUCNACGAGCCUGAAGCCAACUUCACACCGUGGCUUCUCCGGAAAAUCGAGUUACUAUUCACUUUAAGUGAAACUUGGAAAUCGCGUAGAAUCUCCGUUUUAACUCAUUUUCGCCCGAAACUUGACGAGUACUUUUGUAAUUAAAUUACACACAAAAACAUCGUCAACUGAGAGUUUAGCUACACUGCAAAAAUCUCAGUCCUUACAUAUACCUUCUGGUGGAUCAACAAGAGUUCAUACAUGAUUGGUAUACAUUGAGUCCAUUUCAGACUUCAUAGCUUCUUGCCAUUUUAUUGAGUCGAUGUCUGACAUCGCCUCUUCGUAACUGGUAGGAUCAUCCCUACGAUCACUAUCGCCAAUGAGGAACAUUUCCUUUGUGCAUUCCAUAAUGAAAUCUCGAUAUUUCUCUAGAGAUUGGGAUAUUCUACCAAAUCUUCGAGGUAAUUGUGUAAUAGUGGGUUUAGUUUGAAUAACUUGUUCAAAUUGUUCUAGAGAAAUUGUUUGCUCAUUUGAGACCAUCUCUUUGAGCACUAUCUCCUUUCCUGCACCACCUUCUUGGAUAAACUCUUUUUCCAAAAAUAUUGCAUGUCGGCUAACAAUCACGUUUUGUUCAUUUUGAAGAUAAAAAUAGUACCCUGUAGACUCCUUAGGAUAACCAAUAAAUCUUCCUUUAUCCGACCUAGCCUCCAAUUUAUAUGUUUUAAGUUUUUUAACAAAAGCUGGGCAUCCCCAAAUCCUUAAAUGAUUGAGACACGAUUUUUUGUCAAACCCCAUUUCAUGUGGCGUAUAAGGAAUAUAUUUUGAAGGCAUCCUGUUUAGAUUAUAGGCUGCGGUUAAUAGAGCAUAUCCCCAAAGAAAUAAAGGUAAGUCUGUGAAGCUCAUCAUCGAUCGUACCAUAUCUAAUAAAGUACGAUUCCUUCUUUCUGAAACUCCAUUCAAUUUCAGAGUUCCAGGAGGUGUCCAUUGCGAGAGAAUACCAUUUUCUUUGAGAUAAUUUAGAAAUUCAGCACUAAGGUAUUCGUCUCCUCGAUCUGAUCGAAGAGCAUUAAUACUUUUUUCUGUCUGCUUCUCUACUUCAUAUUUGAACUCUUUGAACUUUUCAAAGGUUCUAGACUUGUGUUUCAUAAGAAACACAGACCCAUACCGUGAAUAAUCAUCGGUAAAAGUCACAAAGUAAAGAUACCCAUCCCGAGCCAUUUCACUAAACGGUCCACACACAUCUGAGUGCACAAGGGCUAGUAACUCUGUGGUUCGCUCUCUUUGUCCAACAAAGGGUGACUUGGCCAUUUUGCCUUGAAGACAAGACUCACAAACUGGAUAGGAUUUUAAAGCACAAGUUCCCAAGUGUCCAUCCUUGGCCAGUCGGUUUAUCCUAUCUUCUGGAAUGUGACCUAGUCGAAGGUGUCAUUGAUACUUUGGGUUCAGACUAUUAUCUCUAGGCCUCUUGAUUUGAGAAUUAUUCUCUUUAUGUUCAAUAUUAGCAACAUUUUCAUCCAGAUUUAGAAAGUAGAGAUUGUUAACUAAACUACCAGUAGCUAUCAAUUUAUUUUGGAAAUAAAUAAAACAACCAUUAGUUUCAAAAAUAAAACGAUAACCAGUUCGAACUAAAGUUGUAACAGAAAUCAAAUUCCUAACAACUAAAGAAGAAUAAUAACAAUUCUCUAAUUCUAAAAUAUGUCCAGAUGGAAGUCUCAAAGAACAGCUCCCUACGGCUAACACAGCAACACUUGCUCCAUUACCCACACGUAGGGUUACCUCGCUGUCCUUCAGUGUUCUACUUCCCUUUAGAUUCUGCAAUGAAUUACAAAGAUGUAAGGUACAUGUAGAAUCUAAUACGUAAGAAGAAGUAGAGCCAAUCAUAUUGGCCUCAACGAUGAGCAUUUGGUUCGUACCUUCAGAAGGCCCUUCUUUCAAUUUUUCUUUUAGGGUGGAAAGAUAUUCUUUACAAUUUCUCUUCCAAUGCCCUUCUUUUCCGCAAUGAAAACAUUUUCCUUUAGCCUUGCCUUUGUCGGGUUUCUUAAAAUUGACUUUCUUCACUCCUCCCGAUGACUUGAGCUUGGAAAACUUUUUCUUUCCUUUGAACUUUCUUUUGAAGUUCUCUUAACAGCCAUCGCCAUCCAGUUUGUUUUCAACGUGCUUUCCGCUGUGACUAGCAUAUUCAUAAAGUGGCAUGAAUCUUAUUCAUGUUGAAGUUUAUAACAAAAUGAGAGAACAAUUCAGGCAAAGACUGUAGAACUAGAUCGAUCUGCAAGUCUAUGUCUAAGUUCAAGCUGAGGUUUAUUAGCUGCUCCAUAUCGUCAAUCAUUUUAAGACAAUGUUCACUAACUGACAUGCCUGGAGUCAUCUGAGCCUUAAACAAUCGCUUUGAUAUCUCAUAUCUUGCGAUUCGGCUUUGUGCACCAUACAACUCUUGUAAGUGCGCAAGCAUCUCAUAUGCUCGAGCAUAGUUCUCAUGCUGCCGUUGCAGCUCAUUCGACAUAGAGGCCAGCAUGUAAUAUUUGACACGCUGGUCAUUAUCAACCCACUUGCCUCAACUUCUUUAGGAGUGGCUUGAGCGGUAAACUCGAGAAUUGGAGCUUGAAGAACAUAAUCAAGCUUUUAAAUACCUAAAACAAUUUUUAGGUUAUGAAGCCAGUCUUACAAAUUAGGGUCGGUUAAUCGGUUAGAUUCCAUUAUGCGAGAAAGAGGGUUAGAGACAUUCAUUUUGUCUGCAGAAAGUAGAGAUUUUAGUUAGAUGAGUAUUUUUUUUUUUAACCUAUUAAACUAGGGUCUUUUAGUUUAAAAAGGUUUCUUCCACUAAUUUUAUCGAAUUUCUACACUCCCUAAGUAGAAAGACGGAAAUUCUCAUCCGUUAGAUUUCUUAGUGGUGAUUGGGUUUCAUAAAUUACGAUUUACCUCACUGGACAGUUUCUUGGAAAAUCGUAAUUUAAUGAAUGGGUAACAUCUUACCUCGACACAUCUCAUGUGCAAUCCAAUCGUCCUUUGGCGUCUAAGAUUUUUACGCCUCACCGAACGGUUUCUUGGUGCGACAACCUCAGUUAAGUCAAAUCCUCCUCUCAUACAAAUAUGAAAUUAUCAAAAGACCCUCACCAGAUGGUUUCUUGGAUCCAUUGAUAAUGCCAUAUUAUAGCAUCCUUGUAGUAUCCCUAAAAUACAGCAUCUGAAGCUUGUCGACACGUCGGGAGAGUGUCGGGACAAGUCAGAGUCGUGUUGGCGCGAAAUAGACGCAAAACGGACUCUGUGCGACGCGACAGCAGGAAAUUAGCAUUAGAAUCUGCAAAUUGCAGAUUUUCUGCUUGUUGUACCGGUCCAAUAUAGGGGCGUACCAGUACUCAGUAUAUUUUCUUACACAGACUGCUCUCGGUUGGCCAUCUCUGCUACGUGUACCGAUAUAACAUUGAUGUUGUACCGGUACACUAGGCUAGGUGAGAGGGCAUUUUGGUCUUUCCAUGCCUCGUUUGUGUCACCUUCUCUCCAACAGCCUUUAUACGUAUAGAGGAGCUGAGGAGGGGUUCUUGCAUGCUGUAUAUAUAUAUAUAUAUAGUCGACAGGUACUCGUGGGUAGUUUCGCAUAUUGUAGUUGCUCGAUUUACUGAUUUGGCAUGUUUAGAAAUCUGAAUUGGAGCCUAGAACCUUUACCGUAUAUGUUUGUACUUGUUGGACUUUGAUUGGACUUAGGAGAAAAUCAGCGAUUUUAACCUGUCAUAUGCUUAACUACCAGAUUUAGCUCUAGAAGCCGAGGUUCGAUCGUAUUAUUGCAGUUCCAGAGCGGUAGAUACCUCAGGUAGUUUAAAGUGCUGUUACGCUCGUGCUGGGGUGUCGAGCCUAUUUUUAUAGCAGUGUUCAUACUAUUCCAGACUGUUGGGUGCUGUUGGGGUUGACGGUGGACCCGGAUUGUUGAUGUAGCAUCAGAUUGUGCCGAGGGCACGUGUGUUUUGGUUGUUAGACUGGUUCGAUCCUGUUUACUUGACUUUAGCCUGUGAGAGCCAGAUUGUGCCAGUUGUUUCUUUUCCUUUUGCAGAGCCAUCGUUUUCGGCCGUGCUACUGCUGCUGAUGAUCCUGAUCGUGGCAAGGGCGUCGCGAGUUAGAACCCUACCAGACGAGCCAGAGUAGUGGAGGACCAGCUACAGGUAGUUGUAGUUUUUGAGUUCAUAUACAUACUUAUGUUGUAUCUCGCUGGAACGAGGGUUUUGUGUAUCUGGAUGUUUGUAUGUAUAGUGAACUUCAGUUUUAUAUAUCUCUUUUCUAUUAGCAGCUCUAUACUACUGGUUAUAGUAUUGUAUGAUUACAGUUUCAACUUCGCUUCGUAUACAAGAGAAAUUUUCGUGUAUACGGCGGGUCUGUUGGCGUGCCCGGGAAAACGUGUAAUUCAGGGCGUGACAGCAGGUCCUGUACUAGUAUAUUAUAAUUUAUUAUUCAAAUAAUGUAAUAUUUGCAUAAAUAAUCCGGGGCGUGACAAUCCUAUGUCAAGAUGUUUGCAUAGUUCAAACACAAGUAGCCCCAUGGGACUAUGCGUGACUACUCAAUGCUGAAACAAUGCUACAUCUUGUGAUCGGUGGAAGGCCACGAUAGAGCAUCAAAUGCCUUUUCGUUUCAACUUUAUAUUUUAUAGGGAGUUUCAAACAUUAAAAUUAUAUCGGUCUCAUCAUCACAUGUUAUAUCUUAUAUAAAAUAAAUCACAGGUAAAACAUACACAAAAAUUAAUUGCAUAGUUUAGGGAUGAUCAUGGACUUUUCUGAUUCGACUCGAACCGAUGAGUCAAAUCGGUCUAUAGAGUAAUACACAUGUAUUCUCAAUUCUUGAGAUUAUUUCACUUGUAAAUAUUUAGCCAUCUUCUUUUGUUGGAUCUGAUACAUCCUUUGAUGCCAUCACAAUUUGCCACGCCAAUCCAUCAACGCUUGAUAUGCAUUCUUCUCUAAAUAAUCCUAAUUUUAUCUAAUAAAAAAUACAAAGAUUCGUAGAUCCCAAUAAAAUGGCACGCAGGCCCUUCGUGAUCAAAGUAAUAAAAUUACAUCUGUGAGAUCCCAGGUGUUCUGUUGAGGAGGCUUAUCGGCAGCUCUGGAGAGUGUCGGGACAAGUCUGAGUCGCGUUGGCGUCAAAUAGACACAAAACGGACUCCGUGCGAUGCGAGGGCAGCUAAUAGCGAAGAAAUCUGCAAACUGCAGAUUUCUCUGCUUGCUGUACCGGUACAACUAGCAAGCUAUACCGGUACAAUCAGCGCGCACUGGCUUAGCUUCUCUUGGGUUGGCUCUUGUACCGGUACAGGAACCCGUGUACCGGUACAAGGGGGUAGGUAGAGGGCUUUUUAGUAAUUCCAAACCUCGUUUGUAUCACCCCACCCCUUCCUUCUCUUUAUACAUGCGUAGAGAGCUGAGAGAGGAGAGGUUACCUGUUCUUCUUCCUCUCCCUCUCUAGCAUCGGCCGAGUAAGGAGGAGGGACUGUUGGAGCUCGGAUUUGUCACCGACGUAGUGUCGCGGAGUCGUUCGAGCGCACGUUUGUCACCAUGGUGCUGUGAGGAGCUCGGGCGAGCCUGGAUUUGCAUCGUCUUCGACGUGGCGUCAACUCUUGAAGGUUGUCAAGGUGAGUGUUCUGAUUGGAACCACCUCAAUUACUUCGGGUAUCAUCAAUUCAAGCUUAAGUGCUGAUUCGCAGGAUCUUGUCGUCGACUAUUAGUAUUUCAGCUCGUUCUCGACGUAGGAGCAUCGGAUUGCGACGAGACUUGGUUCGUUGGUUUCGGGACUUCGAGAGGAAUCCGCGAAGUCCUUACUUGCUGGAUUUGGUGAAGGUUAGCUUGGUCGAAUCCCUUUUCUACUCUGUUGCUGCGAAAUUGGGGCUGAAUUGGUGGAUUUUGAUCGUAGAGCUUGGAGUUAGCUCGAGUGCUAGACUUGGAGGGUUCCCGUUGAUCCAGCAGGGGUCACUUUGGUUCGAGGCCUUGUUCGCUGCCAGGAGCUAGCUUCUUGAGGUGGGUUACAUCGGUUUUGACUCUUAAGUUCUAUCGUCAACAUGUAUGAACUUCAAUUUUGGUAUAGUUUAUUCUAGCUCGAAUUCAUAGAUUAUUUUGUAGAUUGACAAUCUGAAUUUGGAGCAUGUGGUAAUAAAUUGAGUAGUUUAUACAUGUUGGACUUGGAAAUUGAAUUAGGAGAAAACCUGCUAUUUGGACCUGUCACCUGUUUAAACUACCUGAUUUAGCCUUAAGAGCCGUUGUAUGAUUUUAUACUGUUGCAGUAUCAUCAUAGCAAGUAUCCCAGGUAGUUUAGAUUUCAGUUACACUCGCGCUGGGAUGCCGAGUGAAUUUUUACAGUAGCGGUUAGGCUGUUCCGGACUGUUGGGUGCCGUCGGGAUUGACGGUAGACCCGUAUCGCCGUUUUGGCAUCAGAUUGUGCCGAGGGCAUGUGACCUGUUGGUUGUUAGACUAGUGAGAGUCGUUUACUUGACCUUAGCCAAUGAGAGCCGUGUGACUUACAGAGUUACUUGUAAACUCGUUGGGUCGCGCACACAAAUGCCAUUCCGGAAUGAGGUUUCAGUGCGAUGUGUGUCGCAGUUUCUGUUGGACAGUUCUUAAGCCGGCUACCCACGGGGUGGUAUACGGCGCAGCUUGAUACAGGCAGGGUGGGUCCGUUUUGGGCAGCCCGGGUGAGAUAGUGAGGUCGUGACGUGAGUGGGGUCUUAGCCAUUCUGUUGGAUCUUUUUCGGGACCGGCUACUCUUGUGAUACGGUGUAGUAUAAUUAGGCGAGACGGGUGUAUUCACAGUCUCUAGAGAGUUUUCUCCGCCGGUUACUCUUGAGAUACGGUGUAAUCUAGUGGAUGAGACGGGUGUAUUCACAGUCUCUAGAGAGUUUUCUCCGCCGGUUACUCUUGAGAUACGGUGUAAUCUAGUGGAUGAGACGGGUGUAUUCACAGUCUCUAGAGAGUUUUCUCCGCCGGUUACUCUUGAGAUACGGUGUAAUCUAGUGGAUGAGACGGGUGUAUUCACAGUCUCUAGAGAGUUUUCUCCACCGGUUACUCUUGAGCAACGGUGUUACCUAAUUAGACGGGAUUGGUGUAUUCACAAUCCCUAGAGAGUUGUCUCCACCAGCUAUUCCUGGAGUAGGACUCGGGUUCGAUCCGACAAGCGGGACGGGUGUGUUCACAGUUCCUAGUGAGACUGAGCCAGUUUUGACUUUUCCUAUAGUUGGUUAGCAUAGAGCAGGAUAGUGUAGUGACUAGUAGCUGUAGAGUCUAUUCCAGCAUUUACUACUACCUUUCCUCCCUUCUGUAGACUUAGUGGGUGGACCGAUAUUGUUUUGGGCGGCACCCACUGAGGACUACUUGUUUUACAGUAGUUCUCACGCCCAGUUGUUACCCCUGUUUUGCAGAGCCACAAGUUUCGGCUGCUGCGCCUUCCGCAGAUCAGGAUCGAGGCCAGGGCAUCGCGAGUUAGAGCCCUACCCGACGAGCAGAGCUAGAGGCACCCUACUGCAGGUAGUUUUAUUUUGAGUUUAUGUACAUAGUAUACUUAACUCGCCAGUGCGAGUAACUCAGUAUUUUGGAUUUGGACUAUGUAUAUGAAACUCAGUUUGUUUAGCUUCUGUUUUCUCUAGCAGCUCUCUACUACUGUUCAUAGUAGUGUUUGACUUACAGGUACAGCUGUCGCUUAGUAUACAGGGGAAAUUUCUUUGUAUACGGCGGAUUUGUCGGCGUGCCCGGGGAACGAGACAUCCGGGGCGUGACAACAACAUCAUAUAUACAUCCAUAAUCAAAUCACAAAUACAUUCAUAAUCACAUCACAGAUGUCUUAGGUCCAUGAUCAUCACCCAUCUAAAAACUAAGCAGAAAAUAAUAACAAAAUCGAUCUAAACAUCAAUUAAAAAUUGGAACGCAAUAAUAUGGUUUUUUCAAGUCUCCACGUAUUCAUUUUAUGGUGUGAAACCAAUAAAUCGCAGUACGUGCAACUUAAGAAAAACAAUAUCGAUCUAAUCGUAAAAGGUUCCAAAAUUUCAAUCAAACAAUACAAAUCGUUAAUAUUUUACAUAGAACAUGAGAAUCGGCUCUGAUACCACAGUAAGAAUUAAUCCGGCACAAAAAAAAAAAUCACAGCGAAAAUUAAUAUCAUAUUUUUCGAAAACAAAAAUCCAUAUCACAUAUGAACCAAAACAAAAACAAAUCAAUCCAAUGCUGGUGGAUCAUUCUCAUGUUACAAUAUAAAAUAAUAAUCUAACCUAAAUAGAUUUGAAGUUCAGGCUACAUCACCUCAGACCAGCUAAGGUCUCUUGAUCUACUGUAAGGUUGAAACUGAGAUUCUGAUUAGCCGCGCACGUGCCAGGCCUCUACGCGUAUCCACACGGAAUUGAUGCAGAUCCAACAUCUUCCGUCGCAUAGAACAAAUGAGUCGUAGAUUACAAAGACGGUGCUAGCAGUCUUCUGAUAUCUACGUGCCCUUUUGUACGAUUUACUGAUUUUCACGAAGGAUAAUAGAGAGAGAUGGAUGAUCUAAUACUUCUCAAGAGGCAAUCAUUAAAUCCCUCUCGUAAAAAUAUUAUAUAUCUUCACGUGGCCACUUCAUUAACUACUAAUGAAGCCGCGCCUUAUGUACACCUCCUCUUAGGGCAUGUUUGUUUUGGUGUAAGUGGAGUGAUGGAACUCAAGUUCCAUCACUUCCGUAAUUUGUUUUGGUGUAAGUGAAAAAUAUAAUGUAACUCAAGUUACGUAAGACCUCCACUUCACCUACUCUCGACUUCCUCCUCUAAAGUGCCGAACUCGACUUCCAUCACACUCAACCUCCUCUAAAAUACUUAUUAAACAGUAAAACCUAAACUCUACUUCCCUUAUAAUAGAUUAGAAUUACCUUAUUUAUAAUAAAUUAGGAUUAUCUUUAAAUAAUAAUAAAAAAAUCAAUUAUAUAAUAAGUUAAAUUUUAUAGCGGUAAAUUUACUAUUAUAUUUAGGAGAUAAUGGAAUCCACUUACUUACAUCAAAACAAACAACGGAACUCACAAAACUAAUUUCACCAGCACCAAGUUACAUCAAAACAAACAGAAGAAGUAAUUGAAUCUAAUUUUCAGGCUAUACGAGUUACGUCAAAACAAACAACCAAAAUAUAAUCACACUUCAGGAAAACUCAAACACCACUGCACUUGACUUACGUUGGAUCUACAGAUUCGUCAAUCCAAAUGGACCCUUAGUAGAGCCAUACAAAUCGGCACCCCUGCAAUCUGUUACAACUGAUUGGAUCAUAUCCAAUUAGUUGCCACAUAGGAUAAGUAAAAAGUAAAUAUAUGCUUAGCCAAUGGAUAUUUUAUCUUUAUCUCUCUCUUUAAUAAAUUUAAUUUAAUUGGAUCUUAUCCAUUAAAUUAUAAUUAAAUAUUCAUAUUUAAAUCUAAUUUAAUUAGAAUAUUAUCUCAUAAUAAUAUAUGAUUAUUUAAUUGUUCUCUAAUCUAAUUAGAGAUUAAAUCUUUCGUAACAUUCAAAUUCAAAUUUUAAUUCUCACUAUUUUCACUAGAUUGUUUAGUGUAUUAAUUAGACUCAUCUUGUCAAGUUGGAUGCACACAAUUCCUAUUGUGUAUGACCGCAUAGGUUCAUUAUCAUUCGGCAGUGGAGUUUAAUAUCAAAAUCUUUAAUAUUGAAUUAGAACUCUUCUAAUCUAUAAAAUAAUUUAUUUUAAAUUACUUUUACUUCUCUCACUGUCCGCGAGUGACACCUAGCAAUAUAUCACGGCAAUCCAAUAAUGAAAAAUGAACCUUUCCGCUAACAGUUGUCGUGUGAUUAAUUUCUUCCAACACACAACGCCCCGAUCGAACUAAAAUUAUGAUUACUCACCGAAUCUUAUUAUUCGAUCAUAUGACUAGAAUAUCUAAAACCGACUCAAUAUGGUAACACAGCUGGAAACUCUUUCCACACAUCACAUACCGUGGCCAGGGAUUUUUCGAGUCGAGUCUGAUAGUCUAAUCGGACGUUCUCUCUCAAUAUCGAGAGUGUUGAAUCCCUUUUUGCGCAUUCACACGCCUCCCCAUAUAAACUACUACAGUCAAUCAGUAUCAGACGUAGACUAAUGAUUAGAGUCUAAAUAUCAGUACAGUCAAAUGGUAACAAUCUAUAUAUGAAGCAACUGUAAUACCCUUCAUUUUGAGUUGGUCUAGGGGCAUUGUGGUCAUGUUUUUUUUGGAUAAGAAUGCCACCGCCCUUUUCAUGUUUAUCCCUUCAAAUUAACAGAGAGUGUGCACUUUUUGUUCUCUCUAGUUAAUUACGUGCAUGGUGGAGAGCACGGGUAGAGGUAGCCGAGGAGCUCGGAUUCGACGCCGACGACGCGCCGCGAAGCCGUUCGAGGGUACAGUUGGGAUCGUAGCGCUGCGAGGAAGCUAGGCGAGGGUGUGUUUUCGCCGUUCUCGACGCCACGUCGAUGUCCGAUUAGCCAUUAAGGUGAGUGUUCCGUUGCAUUGCUUCAAGUAUUAUCAUUUCGAGCUUGGUGCUGAUUUGCAGAAUUUCAGCGUCAACCUUUGGUGUUUCAGCUCGUUCUCUGUGUAGGAGUGUCGAAACGCGACGAAAUUUGGCGUGCUAGAUUCGCGACUUCGAGACGAAGAUUCUGAGCCCAAGAUCGCGAUUUUUGGAGCAGGUUUGCCCUGUCGAACCCUAGUUUUACUAGGCUGCUGUUUGCCGAGCAGAUUUCAGAGAUGCUGUUCCGCAGGUUCCAGCGUCGACCAUUGGUGUUUCGGCUCGUUCUCCGCGUAGGAGCGUCGGAUCGCGACGAGACUUGGUUCAUUGGAUUCGGGACUUCGAGAGGAAUCCACAGAGCCCUCACUUACAAUUUUUGGUCAAGGUUAGCUUGGUCGAAAUCAUGCUCUUCUCAGCUGCUGUGAAUGGGGACUGAAUUGUGGACUUUUGUCGUUUUAGCUUGGCGUUGGCUUGGCGACCGGACUUGGAGAUCCCCGAUUGAUCCAGCAGAGUUCCUUUUAGGCCGAGGCUUCGUUUGCUGCCAGGAGAUAGCACUUUAGGUGGGUUACAUCGGUUUCGACUCCUAAGUUCAUAAUCGUCGACAUGUAUAGAUCUGAAUUUUUGGUAAUCUAGUUUAGCUCAAAUUCAUGGAUUAUGUGCUUGAAUGUGAGAACUGAAUUUUGAGCAUGCUUUAUAAUUAAUUAGAUUAUGCAUGUUGGACUUGGAAAUUGAAUUAGGAGAAAACCUGCGAUUUGGACCUGUCACCAGUUUUAGCUACCUGAUUUAGCUCUAGNNNNNNNNNNNNNNNNNAUCAAAAGCACCAAGCUAUUGGUGCUAUUGAUUUUUUAGCCCUUAGAUUGAGAAAUAGAUGGUUAGGAUGAUGUGGGCCCCCUAGGGUUGAGUGAGUGGUUGGUUGAAUAGUAUAAUCUAACAGGUAAAAAUCAUCAGAGGGUUAAAUCUAAGGGGAAAAACUCGAUAGUAUCCCAGCCGGACUAUAUAUAUAUAUAUAUAUAUAUAUAUAUAUAUAUAUAUAUAGCAAGACUACUGUGCUAUUAGCAGCACUGCAGUCCUUAUACUCCGAAGUUUUUAACCAUUCAUUAAUUUUGAUGGAUGGCUAAGGUGAUAGAGAGAAGAAAAAUUGGAAAAAAAUUAGGGCUCUCAAUAUCUCUUCUUUUUUAAUAUCUCCUUAAUCUCUCUUCUCUCUCUCUCACCCUACCCACCCAUCAAAAUUGAUAAAUGGCUAGAAACUUAGGAGCACAAGGAUUGAUGUGCUCUUACUAGCACAGUAGUCCUACUAUAUAUAUAUAUAUAUAUAUAUAUAUAUAUAUAUAUAUAUAUAUUUUGAAAGUCAAAGGUUAUUGGCUUGUAUCAUUUGUGACGCGUGAUUAAGAGGAUGUGUGUUAGGAUGAUGUGAGGACUUUAAAGUUGAGUAGAAGUUAGUUGAAUAGUAUAUUAUCUAACGGAUAGAAAUAAUCAAGGUGUAAAUCAUAAUGCUAAAAAUUUAUAAGCUAAGUGCUUGGUCUUUACAGGCACCGAUAGCGACUAUCAUAUAAUAUAUAAUAUACUAUAUAGAGAAAGAAGAAGAUAGAGAGAGAGAGACGAGAUGUUAGUUGGAAUGCUCUCAGUAGCAGAUAUGCUUCAUUACCCCCAUUUGUUCGUUGAUGAGCCUCCAUAUUGUUACCAGUAAAUAAUUGAAUAUGAUACUAGACAUUAAGUAAGUUUAAAACUAAAUUUUCAAAUUUUUUCGAUACAUUGCUAAUAGAUUAAAAGGUUUCAAAUUUUCUAUUUUAAUAAUCGAGUAUGAAGACUUUUCUCUUUACACAAUAAUAGAAUAUCCAAAUCGAAUAAUAUUUUAGUAAAACUUACAUUAAUACCAUUGUAAAUAAGAUCUAUAUCUUUAUUUGAUUUUAAAACAUCUCUGUAUUCUAUAUUUUAAAGAUUAUUUAGUUUUCCAGUGUUAUUUUUGUAUGCUAUUUGAUAGGCAUAAGAGACAUAACAGAAAAAGGUUAGAAUACUUGAUUAUAGAUACUUUCUGGUCUUAGAUCAUUGUUCAAUAGUCCGUCGUCAUUUGGAGCUCCAUCAUCGAAAAUAAUAUGUGGGGUCACGAAGCCCGAUUUGAUACUCGAUAGUAUUUCCUAGCUCAACUAAAUAUAUAUAUAUCGAAACAAUCUCUAUGAUACGAUGGCUUCCAUAUCUAUAAGUAUAUGUACUAUCUGCCUAUAUAUAAUAUAUCGAGUAGAGAGAGACGAGAGAAUGAGAGAAGAUGAGAGAGAGAGAGAGUGAGAGAGAGAGGAGAGAGGAGAGUUUCUCUGUGGUGUUUUGAAAAGCAUCAAGCACCUGGUGCUCGUAAGUUUUUUCGGUCGUUAGAUCUCGCCAUUUGAUAAUUUUUAAUUCGUUAUAAUCAUAGCUAUUAAUCAACCACUUAACUUAACCUUUUGAAAAAAGUGGACCCACUAAUCAUUGCUAAUUGACACAUCUUUUAAUCUAAGGCCAAAAAAUCUAUUAAGUAUCAAUGAUUGAUAUUUUUAAAGUAUAGUAACUUAAUACACACACACAAACUAAAUCCACUUCUAUAUGUUUACAUUCUAAAUAAUAAAAGGAUAAAUUCCAAAUUUCUCCACUGUGGUCAUUGAGCAUCUUUCAUCUCUUUUCCAACUUAUCAAUUUAAUUUUUAAUUUGACUAAAAAAAUUCUUUCUACCUCAAAUAAGAUUUGACAAAGAGAACAUUUUUGAAAGCUAGAGAGCGGGCAAGUUAAUUAAUAUCGAUCUAUAAAUACACAGGGAUUAUGUGGGUAACAGUUUCCUUUAUUAGAAAUAUAAGAGGAUCAAAAUGAUAGUUUUUGAGAGAUUAGUGCAAAAAUGAAAACACCCGAGUUAUUAAUUAAAGGGAAGUGCUACUAGUAGAAAUAAGCAUUUUAAAAGGCAUCAUUGAACGUUCAAAAGCGGUCCCCAAACUUUUGUUUUGUUUAUAUUAUCAUUAACUAAGUCUUUCCUCGUAUCCUCUAUUUGUGCUAUGAUAAACCAUCUUAGCCUCUACAGUCGAGAAAAAUCAAAACUUUAAGGCUGACGAUCGACUAACGGGAACCAAGGCGGCGUUUGGUUCACGUAUAAGUAUUAUUAAGGAAUAUUUCACAACCAAUAAUGCGGUAUAUGAGAUUCCUGCUUGGUUACAUUGUGAUUUAAUCAAGUAUAUAUAAUACUACUAGAUUACAAAUACUUUUAUCUGAUAUUAUUAGUUGUUCGGUUUUUCUUUAUUUUUCUAUAAAGAUUUAAUAAUCUACAAAAAUAUUAAGUUUAUUCUAACAUUGUCCCUUAUUUGUUAUUAUUUGGCAAAUGUAAAAUUAUCAAAAUACAAAAGUUAAAUUUUAAAAUUACAAAAAUUUAUAAUUAAUGAAUAUAAAUUAAGAAUCUAAAUUUUUAGAUUUUUAAAUUCAUAAUAUAAUAUAUUAUAAAUUAUAAUAUUCUAAUAUUUAAUAUUUUAAAAUUUGUGAAAUUUGUAUUUAAAAUUUAAUAAUUAAAAUAUAUAUUUUAAAUUUUUAAAAUUGAAUUGAUGAUUUACAAUUUGGCAUAUUCAAAAAAUUUAAGAUAAAAUUUUAGAAAUGCAUAUAAAUAAGAGUUUGGAGGAGGGGCGGGGGUUUGGAGGGAUAAACUUAUCAUUUUAUAUCUAUGGACGAGGAUUAUUGAUCAUCAGUAAUAUAAGAUCCUCUUCCUAUUCAAUAAUAUAUUACUGACAUUCCAGAAUUAAUAUACUGAUUGAAACUAAAGUACAAUAAUUUAGCAUGGAUUGUCUAUGAUCCUGUCAGGAUAGUGUUGAACCGCAAACUCAUCUCUAAGCAAAUUUGACAUAUCUGAGGAUGCCAACUUUUAAUGUUUGUUAACUGAGAGUCAUACUUUAGGAUUAAUUUAUUAAGCAAUCGCAGAAUUUAACGAUUCAAUUACUAUUAGGAAUGAUCUGUCGCAUUAACUGUCUAUUUGGAAACAUCAGUUUAAAUGGUUGAAAAUGUCGAUUCAAGUGGCCAAUUCACGCAUCUUCUUAUACGACUUAAAUAAAUCUAAGGCUCCUAGCCUUCUUUUGCUAUAACUAUCCGUCUUUUCCCAAUCCUAAUUCGGGCAAUGUCAGUUAGAACGACAUGCUUCUGUAAACAACUUCUUGUCAUUCUUGCAAGAUGUUUCUUUCGGUACCAACGGCAUCAAGCUAUUUGCCCACUAAGGUCGGUUUUCUAUGUGAAUGCAGAAUAAUUUCGUUAAGAUCAGGCCGACCUUAAGUCAACAGCAAUAUAAUCUGGCGAGGCAUUCAAAGUACACAUUCCGAGCAUAGACUUAUAGUGUCAUGGCCUAGCUCCUAUUGGGAAAAAAUAUUUCCAAUCUAAUCUUUCUUUCAAAAAUUUUCUAAUCUAGGCUUUCCUUUGAUAGAUAGAGAAACAAAAGAUGAGCUUAAUAGCACUUAUAUAUAUGUUGUAUUAGGAGAUGGAUAAAGUUUUUUUCUUCUCUCGUUCUCCUUCGGCAAAUUAAAUCAUUAUUAAUAUUAUUACUUUAAUGUUUUAAGAUAUAUUUAAAUAUUAUUAUUCGGAUGAUAAUUAUUAGUAUCUAUUAUUAUUAUUAUUACUAUUACUAGUAUUUUAAUUUGACUAUACAAGCCAUUAUGACAAAUUUGCACUUGGUUAUAGUCAAGAUUAAAUUAAUACUUGUAAUAGUAGUAUAGUAAUCAAAAAUAAAAAUUAAUAUUCACGGAUAAUAAUAAUCAUUUAUUUAUUAUUAAAUAUACAAAUUUUUAAAUAUUAUUAUUUAUAUAAAAUUAUUAUUUUAAAUAUUAGAAGGAGUUGGGAGGAAAUAGAGAAAAAAAUAAUAUUUUGUACUCCUAAUUAACUAUAUAGUAUAUGUUAUUAAGUUCAUAUUCUUGUUUUCUAAUUCUUAGAAAGAAGAGGCUAUCUUAGAAAUAUUUUUUAAAAAAAGACUAGAUGGGAGAAAAAAGAAAAAAUAAAUUCAAGUGAGAGCUAAGCAUGACGCAUUAGCUCUCGAGCAUAUGGAUGAAAUUAUUUGGGAGAUGCCCUUUAACUAAAAUAAAUGAGUUUUAAGCAUCCCUACGUAUUAUGCGUCACAUUCUAUUUACUUAUGUGUGUAGUAGCAUUACCUCUCUACAUAUUUUGAAAGUAACAGUUAUCUAAGUAAUGAGUGUUUUUGUUUUUCCCAGAUGGCAUCAUCUCUAAGCUCUUUUGUGAGGAAAAAUGCGACCAAUGGGCAGAGUGUGGGGGGGGGUCGACAGAACGCUAGGUAUCAAGUAUCAACUCAUGGUCCCCUUUUUUUUUAUAUGAAAUUAUAGCAACUGAUCAAAUAAAUAAACUGUCUAAAAUAGCCGAUAUUUCAUAACGCCAACUCGACUACUAUCCAAACGGACCCGAUAAAAAAUAGUAUAGUAUACGAGUAAAAAAAUUAUCUAUUAAAAUUUCGGGUAAUGGUCGGAAAUUCUUUAUAUUCCAUACUCGACUGGAAGGAUCCGAACGACGCUUUACAGUCGGUAGGCGUCGCGGAAAGUUUCCAGAUACGAACGGCCGGGCUUGAAAUGAACAUGAUGAAAUACUCUAUUGUAACAUAAAAAAAUUUGAAGUUGAAGGAUCAAAUUUAAGCAGGACUUAUAAAUGAAGGUUCUUUAUACUUUUUCAUUCGCAGUGAAAACAUCUCGGUCUGCUUCUAUUUAUUCACUUUUUUUAACUUUUAUUUUACUUUAUCAUUGUUUUUAAAUCUAGCUGUUUAUUACUUGAAAUUUUUUUUUAAGCCAAAUUAUUGGAUGGAUGCCAAUAAUUAGAACGGCUGAGUUUUUCUAUAGUCGGAAGUUAAGAUUUGUUCCAUAAAUAUCUUUAAUAAUGUUAAAAUAUGUACAUUUCGGGUAUCCAUAGACCUAAUAUAAGAUUUGAUGUCCGUAUCGCGAUCCAUACGGCGUAUUAUGCGGUUGUAGUAUACGGAUAGUCCACUUGCCGUCAGACCGUUGAAUAACCCACAAUGGUAUAUUGNNNNNNNNNNNNNNNNNNNNNNNNNCACACAGAAAGAUUGAUACAAUGGUUUGACUCCAACUCAUAUCUCCGACAUAAGGGAUAUAAUUUUUGGAAGGCUAGUUAGGCUCAAAUCAUUCGAUAUGGCUUAAGUAGAACUGAUUUAGCAUUUGCUUAAAUUAAUUAAUUAUACACUGUGAUUGGAAAUUGAAUAGGAGAACGCCGGGUUUUGGACCCUUCAGCUCGUUACACCCUGAUUAGCUCUAGAGUCCGUAAAAAUGUAACUGGAUUCUUCGGAAGAUAACAAGUGAAAUGUAGUUAGCUUUGCCGUCGCCGAUGAAUUGAAGGGUUCGAUAUGUGUGGACUGGUCCGUCAGAGUUGACGGUGGAUUCCAUAUCGCCUUUUUGGCGUAAUUUGCGAGGCACUUACAUUGUUGCUAGACCUCAGUUGAGUUGAUUACUGACUAUGGUUAUUGACUUGAAUGAGUCCGACAGAGAUACCGAUCUGGGUACCAAGUGCCACUCCCGAGCAGGCUUUUGCUUUGCGUUGGUGUGCAUGCCCGUGACUUGCUCUCCAUCGAUCCAGUUUAGGUGGAUAAGAGCCCGGAUAGUUAACGGGGAGGGACGGUUGUAUACAUCCGGCGUACGGUAUCAUUACUAGUCUCAUUGGGAUUGGGCAUAGGUGACCAUUUCUAAUGGUUAAGCUGAGAGCCAUGAUAGAGUAGUUUGAUCGAUAAACGUAAGUAUUCCUGAUUUCGACUACUUUGCUCCGUCUGUAGAUCUUAGGGUGGACGAUUUUUUUUGGUCGGUAUCCACAUGAGACUAUUUUUUACAUAUUCUCACCCAUGUUACCUAUUUCUGCAGAGCCGGCCGCAGUUCCUCGCUGAGCUGCAGUUUAAUGUUUAUGUAUAGUUGUCAGCCCCGGAAGAUCGAGGCAAUUGGUGGCCCGAGCCGUCGCGAUAGAGCCUAUCCCGACUUGCGAGCUAGAGGUGCUCCUACUGAUGUAGUGUUUAUUCGAGUUUUAUACAUAUGGCUUAACCGGCCAGUCGCGAGUUUGAGUCUUGUAUUUUGAUUGGACUAGUAACUAAACUCCAUGUUGUUAGCUUCUGUUUUUCUACAGCUCUAAUACUACGUUAUUAUGUUGAUUACAGACUAGCUAACCUCGAUACAGGGGAAAUUUCUUUGUUAACACGGAUUUCUGCGUGCCCGUCGGAACGUGUAUGCCGGGCGUGACAGAUUAAUUGUAUCAGAGCUUGCUUAGGUCGGGGACCUAGAAACUAAUUUGGCAAACCUAGGGAAGCAAAGUAGAGAUUUAAGUUAUUGGCAAGUCAAAUGAUAAUUUGUUUAACUCUCUUGGAUAGAUAAGUGAACUGAAGGAUUCUGUUCGGCAUAUGAAGAAAAUAUAAUGUUGCUUCAACAUACAUAAAUUGAGAGAUAAACAGGGCCGCCUAUGAAUGUUCGUUGAUUGGUGAGAGGUUUGGUGUAUCUGACAGCCCUAUUAUCUUGCAGCAUGACGUAUUCCGAUGCCGUGAUACGUCGAUGCGAUUGAGUGCCAGUUGGCGCAGAUCUGCAAUUCCACCGAAGCUUAGCAGGGAGCGGUCACCCCAGUUGUAAAGCACAGGCCCCGACCAGUAGAUCUAGCAUCCCAGAUUGAGUGCACAGUUUGCUUACCCUGAUGAGUGACGACAGCAUGGGAGCUAUUCAUAUGUGUGUAGAGAUAGCUCAGACAUCCGAAGUUCUGUACCGAGGGACUAGGUCGCAGUUCCACCCCCACACUCAUGACGAGCACCAGCUGCAGGAGUCCUUCCACGCAGCAGUUACUUACGCCAUUGCGCCUCUAGUGGGCCAUAGUAUGUUGACUUGAGAGCUUCGAGCAGGAACGUGGAUCUGAGAGGUUACUCGUCUCGCCGAUAUUAUCCACCAGAAACUUAUUUUCUUCGAUGCAAGCACUGGAGGCUGAUUGAGGUAUGGUCAUGCGAUGGAUAAUUAUCGACGUGGACUGUUCGUUCUCAGAGGACAUAGGCCUGGAUACAUUCUGUUACAAGUGAUUGCCAUUAUUGCUGAGUGACGAGCGGGACUCAGGGCUAUCGGCGCAGCUUCCGAGUUGGGUACGAUUAUGUGAAUGCUAGUUGGAUUUCUUCCCAACAGAGUUAAGGAAGAUCGAGAGAUUGAGGAAGACUCAGCUCAUGAGAUCGCCCAGUGCAGAGUAUGUCGUAGUUUACUUCUAUCUCCUGAACUGUGUAUCCAUUUUGGCCAGAGAGGCGCAAGAAUUACAAUGUCAGCAGGGCCUAGACCGACAAUCUUAGGUUAGUGCGGAAGGUCGAGGACCUGGAUGCUCCCAUAACAGGCCCUAAGUGGUGAGAGCGAGUGUCGCUGCAUUGGACAAUGAACAGCCUGUGGGCAAGGGUCAACAGAAGCGCCCGACCUUUCCAGAUACGAGGGCAGUCGAGCACAACGACCGCGGCGAGACUCCACUAUCACGCUCUCAGGUCGUGGGCUUCGGAGCUCAGCGUUCCAGGAUCUCCGCUCAGCAGGAGCAGACUCAUGUAGACGCGCACAGUGUGAGGGGACACACGGCCUCACAGUGCAGCAUAGAGAGGUAGCUCCAGUGGGUCUAUGAGGUGGUAGCCGGUACACAAUGAGGGACUUGUCCCAGAGCACAUCUCCAGCACCGCGAGCCAUCGCACCACCGCCCUACCCUGGCAUCCACAGCAGCUUACGAGCAUGCACCGAGCUACCUGCCAUGAGAUAGAUGUCUUUGCCACGUCGCUGAGCGUGACAGUCAGGCUCCGAGUGCAAGUAUAUCACCAGGGAGGACCUUCAGUCACCGAUUCCGAGUGGGCAGUAUCCUGAUUCUGCAUAGAUCCACCGUUUUUGAUAACCGCUGCAUCACAUUCCUCUUGUUAGCCGAAGCAUUCAUUGUUGCAUGUCAUUAGAAGCGUGCCAGCAAACGAGAGUGCAUGAUAUCCCCUGACCAUGUCUCAGGUUACGGAUGUUGUUGUCUUUGUCGGAUGCAGUAGACUCGUGAGUAUCCCGCAAAACCUUUGUUUAGGGCACUGCAGACUUCGAACGUAAGCGCGUAAUGGAUUGGUGCGCGAUACUAUACUAACAUCGACUGUGACAGGACGUAACUCGCAGUCAGCCAGGAAGAGUUUACAUUCAAGGCUGCAGGACACGCUGUUUGCCACUCGUGGAUACUGCGCGAGCUCGACAAUGCUUGAGCAGUGUGUACGGGUUUCUCGUCUAUGGACAGUGAGUACUUACGGCGCGAGACUCGAGGACAUCCAAGUAGUCCGCGAGUUUUCAGGAUUGUUUUCCCCCGAUUGACUGAUUCAUUGCCCGCCGAAGGGAGAUUGAUUUUAUGAUUGGGGAUAGUUCCUGAAGCCACCAAUCACAAAGGUACUUUCAGAUGCAACCCCCCGGAGGUAUGAGAGAUCAAGCGCGCAUUCAGACUAUGAUUAGGUUUUGUUGAGACUCAGGUGUCGCUUUGGGGAGCGCCGGGUUAUUUGUAAAGAAAAGAGUUCGCUCAUUAUUAUUUAAUUCACGCGGGGAGCUGAAUAAAUUGACAUACAGAACCAAUUCCCUGGCCGCUCAUUAUUAUGAUCUAUUCGAUCAGCUGGCAAGGAUCUUAUGUCUUCUCGAAGAAUGAUCUCCAGUCAGUUACCACCAGCUGAGGGUGAGCCGAGGAAGUUUCCCAACCUUUCGGACACGUACGGCAUUGAUAUUCGAGCCUUUUGAUUGACGAAUCCCUACCGGCAUUCAUGAUUUGAUGAACAGAGUGUCAAAUGCCGUUUCUUGGAAGAUUUGUGGUAGUCUCCAUCGAUAGAUCCUGAUUACUCCUUGGGGAGUGAUGAUGAGCAUCGAGGACACUUGAGAUUUGUCAUCAUGCUUCCUCCGAGAAGAAUGUUCAAUUAAAGAAUGCGAGUUCUGGCUACGGGAGGUGUUCUUGGUCCAACUGAUCAGCACGAGGGCGUAGCAGUGGGGACCCAAGAUUCGAGAUGAGGCAUUCGGGAUGCGAACGGAGACGUGACUGAAGGUACGGAGUUUCUAGGCUGGAGGAUAUAACGGCCGUUGUGGAGAAUUUUGCGAAGCUUCAACCCUCACACGCUUGACAACGAGGAUUCGUUUUGUAUGGACGAUUGAUUACAAGAGCUGAUAGUGAAUUGAGGUUGAUUCGGGCCUAUCUCUUCCCUCCUGUUAUGGGCGAAGAUUGUGAAUCUUAAGUGAUGCAUCGCACAGUGGUAACUUGGUUCGUUGCUGAUGCAGUCAUGUAGCGUAAAUUUGCUUAUGCUCAUACGCAGUUAGGAGUAUGAGAAAAUUACACAACCCACCUCAUGACUUGGACCUUGCCGCGUGUUUUGCUUUUGAAGCUUGCCAUACUGUAGACGCAGCACUGCGAACUUUUACUGACAUAAAUCUCAAUUAUCGCCCCAAAGAGUUAAUUGAGACAGCGCCGUGGUUGAGUUGCUGAGAUAUGACAUCAAUCCAGUAUCCAUCCCGUCAAGCGAAUGUGGGCAGAUGCGUUACAGGUAAGGCAUGCAAGCUUUCGAUAUGUUGAUUACUGAGCAUAGACCCCUACUCGAGGAGCAUAUACAGCGGCUUGGGACUCGAGAUAUACUCCCUGUUCCUAUGUCGGCUGAUGUCUCUACUAUUACUGACUGCCGGUCGUGUACUUGUGAAGAUCCAGAGAACAGAGUGGAGAUCCGCACUUGUUGAGAGAUAUGAGAGACAGUCUAAGAACAUGGGGAACUGAAGGAUUGUUGUGACAGUUCGGAGUACUGCGGUAGAUGGGAUCGACUGUGUGGUACGCUACUGGAUUCAGAGAUUGAGAGACAUCUUAAGAGGCCACUUGGUCACGUCUUAUACCGGUUCACCCCGUGGAGUACCUAAAAUACUAUAAGAUUUAAAAGCCAGUUGGUAGAAUGGAAAAGGACAUUGGAGAUUUUGCUAUGUCCUGACUUGCAACAGGUAAAGGACACAGUUACGUCUGCGAAGCCUUCAAUGAGUCUAGCACAGUCCGAGAUGAAAUGGGUAGACAGAUAGCACGAUGGACGCUUUGUCGUCGUGAUUGCGAGACGCACGAAGUGUUGAUCGAUUGGGUGAUAGUGACGUGUCAGACUGACCAAUCUGCUCACUUCUUACCGAUCAGUGACCACUGGUCCAAGAGAGACUCGCCAGUGUAUUGCUAAUAAGGAGGUUACAUGCGUGCCACACUUUCGAAUAAAUCCGACCGGACCCGAGUCGACCACAUUCUGGAGGAUCUUCAGACGCCAUUCGGCACUCAGUUGCAGUGUCAGCACAGCAUCUCACACCGCAGACAGAGCAGCUUCAACGGACCCAUCACUUUACCGAGGACAUCUAGGGCAUGUGUCCUUGGACUUUGAAAGAUGGUAUCGCAUCUGAGACUGGUUUCAUUUGCGUACCAACAACAGACUAUCACGAGCAUUUUCCGGUGGCUUCCUUUGAGCGUCAUGUCCGGACCGCAUAUCCAAUCCUUUGUUUGAGUGAUUGGGUAGAAGAAACGCUGGGCCUGAGAUCUGAUGAAGGCUUAGAAAAGGUAAAAAGCACACGUAACAUAUACCCCAAGUCGACAGAGGCACUAUGCUGACACCUUCGAGACGAACAUUGGAGGUUUCAGAUGGAGAUCAUCUUCUUAAAGCUCUGACGUCCAGAGGGAUCGCCGAUUUAGUUACGUGGAACUCAUUCCACGUUUUGACCCUUCGACGUUGGAGCGUACGACCGGUUACUACAGGAUUGCCUACCACACGACUAGUCCCGGCAUCUCAUGAUUGUUCCACGUCUCGGCUUGAGAAAAUAUGUGUUCGCCCUCCCACGUGAUCGACUUCACUCGCUUGAGAUGGCGAGACCUGAGCUACAGGAUCCGAUCCUGGUACGAUUCUGGCUCUUGAUACGAGGAAUUGCUGCACCUGUGUCCAAUACCUUGUAAAGUAGUGGAUAACACGAGGAACGGAGUCGACAUUGGGACCGGAGGCAUAAUAAGGAGUCUAUCCUACUGUUCAAGGAAGCAGGUUUGAGGUAUGUUUUAAUUUCGAGGAGAAAACUUUAUAGUGGGGGAGGAUAUAUAUACCUUCAAUUUUGAGUUGGUCUAAUGGGCAUUGUGUCAAUGUUUUUUUGAUAAGAACACCGCUCCUUUUCAUUUUAUCCCUUCAAAAUUAACAGAGAGUAUGACUUUUUGGUCUCUCAGUUAAUUACCUGCAUGGUGAGAGCACUGGGUAGAUAGCCGAGGAGCUCGGGAUUCGACGCCUCGACUACCGUGCCCGCGAAUUCGAAGCCUUCGAGGUACGUUGGAUCGUUCAGCGCCGCGAGAAGCAGCGAGUGUGUGUUUCGUCCGUUCUCUCGACUGUCCACGUGAAUGUCCGAAUUACCAUUAAGGUGAGUGUUACCCGUGCAUUGCUCCAACGUAUUACAUUAUCGAACAUUGGUGUGAUUUUGCACGAAUUCAAGCGCAAACCCAUAUGGUGUUCAGCUCGUUCUCUCUUGUAGAUUGAAAGCGCGACAAAUUUGGCGUGCUAGAUUCGCGACAUCGAGACUAAAUUCUGAGCCCAAAUCGUGAUUUGGAGAGGUUGCCCUGUUCACCCUAGUUUACUAGCUGCUGUUUUGGCCGAGCAGAUUAAAGAGAAUCUGUUCGCAGGUUCCACGUCGAACAUUGAUUAGUGUUCGGCUCGUUCUUCACGCAGUAGGAGCGUCGCUUCGGCGACGAGCCUUGGUCAUUGGAUUCGGUAUUCGAGAGGAAUCCUACUAAGCCUCUCACUUACAUUUUUGGCACGGUAGCUGGUCGAAAUCAUACUUUCUCAGACUGCUGGAAUGGGACUGAAUUAGUGGACUUUUGUCGUUUAGCUUGGCGUUGGCUGGCGACCGAUUGGAGAUCCCCGAAUGAUCAGCAGAGUUAACUUUUAGCCGAGCCAUCGUUUGCGGCCCGCCGCCCGCCCCCUUUGUUUUUCCCCUAGGAGAUUAGCACUUUAGUGGGUUACAUCGGUUCACUGCCUAAGUCAAUAAUCGUCGACAUGUAUAGAUCUUGAAUUUUGGAAAAAUUCCUAGUUUUAAGCCAAAUUCCUGGAAUAUUCUUGAAUGGAAACUGAAUUUGAGCAUGCCUUUAUAACUUAAUUAGAUUAACAUGUUGGACUUCGAAUUGAAUUGAGAAAACCCGCGUUUUGGGACCUGUCAUCUUUACUACCGUUGAUUAGCUCUAGGAUCCGUUAGAAAAUUGUACUGUCCUGCAGUUUCUUCGAGAAAUACUCACCAGGUAGUUAGAAUGCAUUUAAUUCUUGUGCUGAUUCGGCACUAGUGGAUUUUACAGGUGAUCCGUUCAGUCCGUUCGACUGUUGAGGUGCCGUCAGAUUUUUACGUGGACACAUAUGCCUUUCGGCGAUCAGAUGUGCCUGAGUGCACGUACCUAUGUUUAGAUUCAUUGAAGUUGAAUUACUUACUAUGCCUAAGUCGACUGAUUGGAGCUCCGACAAAUUACGCCGCCAUACCGUGCGUACGGCCACAUGAUGCACUCCAGUCAGGCUUAUGCUUUUUCGUUGGUUCGCUCAUAUUUCCAUUGGUACUUGCUCUCCGGGACACAGUUAGUGGGAUAAUCCCGAUUAUCGCAAGGGCAGGACGGGUUGUAUUCACAGUCCCGGGGACGGGUAUGCUUAACAGUCCGAUUAGGAUGGGUGCAGAGUGACAUAUCUACCGUUGGUUUAGUUGUAGAGCAUGAAGAUAGUGACGAUAGCAGUAUAGUUUAUUUCUCUGCUUUUCUGACUACUGUGCUCCUUCUUAUACUUAGUGGGUGACGUGCUCCCUUCUGUAGACUUAGUGGGUGGACCGAUGUUGUUUUGGGCGGUACCCACUGAGGACUACUUGUUUUUACAGUAGUUCUCGCGCCCAGUUGUUACCUAUGUUUUUGCAGAGCCACAGGUUCCGGCUGCUGCACCGUCCGCGGAUCAGGAUCGAGGCAAGGGCGUCGCGAGUUAAAGCCCUACCCGACUUGCUGAGCUAGAGGUGCCCCUACUGCAGGUAGAUGUUUUGUUUCGAGUUUAUGUACAUAGUGGACUUAACUCGCCAGUGCGAGUAGCUUUGUAUUUUUGGAUUUGGACUAUGUAUAUGAAACUCAGUUUGUUUAGCUUCUGUUUUCUCUAGCAGCUCUAUACUACUGUUCGUAGUAGUGUUUGAUUUACAGGUACAGCUAACGCUUCGUAUACAGGGGAAAUUUCUUUGUAUACGGCGGAUUUGUCGGCGUGCCCGGGGAACGUGUAAUCCGGGGCGUGACAGCAACCAUGAUGCCUCAGGUCCGAGGAGUACUUCACACAACUGUAGCAAAGAACUAGUCACUGGCGAAUUUGGAACCAUGUGACUGUUCAACUAAAUGGUCACACUCAGUAUACUUAUUAGCUAACAAGCACCUGCAUGCUUACUUUAGUGUCCCUACAGUUAAGGACUUGAGAUUCGUUACCUCACAUAGAAGUGUAGCAUGCACCAGCCUAUCCGGAAAUAUCAUCGUUCUUAUGAUAUUCCUAUGGCUAGGAGCGUUUAAAAAUCUUGCACAAAGAAAUAUAUAUCUCAAAUUCCUAACUCUUAGGAAUAUAUUUUCUAAACGAAGAUUCAACGGAUGAUUCAUAUAAAUGUAUUAUAUUGCUAAUAAUAAAUAUGAAUAAAACUCGCCCCUUAUUAAUUAAGAAAAAUACUUACUAUGUUCACAAGCCUAUGUCACCGAUUGGCUCUAGAGUAUAUCACUAGAAAUCUCCUCCUCGUGCAUGCAUCCGAGAGAAAGAGAGAGGAGAGUGUUAAAAAAAACUUUUCUUUUUUUCAUCUUUUUUUUUCUUUUCUUUCUUCUUCUUCUUUAUGUUCUUUUCUUCUUUUUUUUUUCUCUUUUGGUUCUCUCUCCUUUUUCUUCUCUUUGGAUUCUCUUUCUUCCCUUUUUUUUUUCCUUUUAUUUUGGAAAUUAUUCAAAAAAAAAUUCAAAAGGGAAAGGUAUGGGUUAAUCUUUUCUUUCUUUUCUUUUCUUUUUUUUUGGAAAGAGAAGGUGGGAUAUUUUUUUUUUUCAAAUCUUUACAUCUUUCCCUUUUUUUUUAUUUCUUCCCCUUUUUAUUUUUAUUUUAUUUUAUUUUAUUUUUUUUAAUCAAACAUCAACCCGUUAAUAAUAAUAAUUCGUUAAGUCAAAACUAUUAGCCCAAAAUGCUUCAUCUACUUAUCUUUGUUAUUCUGAUCCUGAUUUAGCCUGUCAUUCAUCGAACAUGGCUCAACUAAAACUCAUCUCAUACUUCCGACUAGUGAGCUAGCUGUGGUACCAAAUGUAACGACUCAACCCACUAAUAAUAAUAACUCAUUAAGCAAAAAUCACCGACCCAAUAUGUUUAAGUAUAGUUAUUAUUACUAGAAUAGAGUACUCUUAUAUAGCUAAUGAUAAUUUCAUUUUUAUUCAAUGUGGGACUAUUAAAAUAUUACAAAUUACCCACUAAUCACUUGCUUUUACUAAUAGAGAAAACUCUGCCUUCAAAUGGGGCGAUACAUGCAUAAUAUACACCAACUUUUUUAUGCCCAUACGAUAAAGCUGCAAAAAAUAUAAUAUUUAAAUUAUUUAAUACAAAAGUUCUCUCUCACAUAAUUUAUAUUCUAUUUCAAAGUUCUAUUCAAAAAGGCAUAAAACCUUAUUCUCAAUACAAUAAAUAAUUCUCCUGAAGGGGCAUUCUGUGUUUUUAAGUAUCGGCUACGGUGCCCCCCCGGUCGCACGUACGCCUUAGGGUGCUGCUUCUUUUUUUUUUCUUUUUUUCUUUUUUUUUUUUUCUUUUUUUUUUUUUUGUGAGAGAAAGGUAGCAUGCUACUUGCUUCAUUCAUUGAAGAAGUGAACUAAGCUACAUGGGUGAGGCAUCACGGGCCUGGGGAAGGGCGCGAAAAGUAAAAUAAAAUAAAAAUAUAAAAUAACAUAAAAUAAAAUAAGAAAAAAGAAAAAAUGAGUUCUAGAUAUCUAUAUAUAUAUAUAUAUAUAUAACUAUAUAUAUAAGGCUACCUGGUAAAAUUAAGUCUAACUGUUGGUAGGAGUUGCUCCCACAAGUUCGUCAGUUGUUUAAUCUUGUAAAUUCCUACAAAAGGGUCUGGUUUGAUUGAUCUGAAGAUUGCGCCGUUCCGGACAUCCCAAGUAACCCACCAGCAGGCUAUUAAACUGAUUAGUCUAGGACGUGACGAUGAUGAACCUUUUCUAUUUUUCCAUUUGUCCCAGACCAGAAACACAUCCUCACCCAAAUCACUUUGCUGGACAUUGUCCAAUGUCUUCACCAUUAGAAAUCUGGAGAACACGCACCAAGUAAAUAAGUGAUCAACCGUUUCCUCUUCCAUUCCGCAUAAAACGCAGCAUGUGUUACCAACCCAUCAUCUCUUAAGUAGAUUCUCUGCAGUAAGUGUUCUUUUCCGGAGGACGAGCCAGCAAAAUACUUUCACUUUUAGAGGGAUACGAAGCUUCCAAAUCUUACUUGUGCGAGCAUCUCUAGUACCCCCAUCGCACAACACAGAAUAGGUUGAUUUGACCGUAAAAUGUCCGUCAGUAGUCCAUCGCCAGAGCACACUGUCGGGGCCUUCUUCAGUUCUGAAAUUGGACACCCCAGCCUUAAGUUCGGAUAUCGUAGAAUUUAAUCGGUGAUCAAUAUUGCUGUCACAACCCAGUAUCUUGUGCCAAUUCCAUUCAUUGUUCCGCCAGCACUCACUAAUUUUUAGCUUUUUGUGAUUCGAUAACUGGAACACCUCCGGGAAAGACGAUUGCAAAGAAGUGUCCCCACACCAACGGUCAGUCCAAAAAUCGAUAUUUCUACCAUUGCCCAACUUACAGAAUGCUCCUAAUUUAUAAAUUUCUUUUUGACAAAGAANUUUUUAAUUUUUUAUUUAUCGAUAUAAGAGUAAGUUUUUAAUUGACAUUCAGAAACACCUAUUUUUCUUCGCAAAUUAUUUUAUCAAAAAAAUAAAAAAAAUAUGAAUAUAAUUGUAGUCCUAUUCUGAUUGUUCUAGUAAUUAUAUACUUUCUAAUCAAAUCAAUAAUUUUUUUUUUGAAAAUUUUAUUAUUAUAUUUUACUUUCUAUUCUACAUCAGGUAUAGCUAUACUUUAUAUACAAAAAGUUUAGAUAUAUAUUAAUUAAUAAGUGUAGUAAGCUAUACAUAAUAAAUAUUUAUAAUUAUUUAUGUAAAUUUUUCAAAAUAACAUUAUAAGAGUUUAUUAGAAUAAAAAAAAUUUAAAUAAAUCCGUGCCAAAAUAUGCCAGUAGAGGGUCAUGCGUAUCCAUCGGCACGCAUGCGUACCACGCAUCGAUACGAAAGUAUGUCCGUACCGUAUUAUACUGUGUCAGAAAAAGAACAGCACUUUAUGCCACGGCACUUUAAAUCUUAGGACAACACUUGCAGUAUAUAAUGAUAAACACGACACAAAGCCCAACGCAGUCACUCAUUCCCCAUAUCAGUCUCACUGACACUCGCUUGCCGGCCAGUCGCACUCUCUUGCAGCAGUCGCAGCAGCAACCGGGCCUUUGCCUCUUCCUUGUUUCUUGGUAAGUUACAAGCUAGAUUCUUAAUUUGCUACAGCAGUUUGUCCCCGAACUAAAUCGAAUUUUCUUUUGACCAAUAAACUCUUUAAGUUUGACAUUAAGGACCAUUUAAGAUACUUCAAUUUUCGUAAUUGUCUUACUUUAGUACUUUCCAUAGAAUAAGAAUUAUUUAAUUCAUUUGGCUUAUAUAUAUAUAUAUAUAUAUAUAUAUAUAUAUAUAUAGAGUCCGGCUACUAUGCUUUUAUAGAAAAUUUUUUUCACUAUUUAGAGUAAGAUCAGUAUAUCUGAUCUUGAAUUUAAAUCUUUUAUCAUCAUUUUUCAUGAAAUUUUUAUUUUCAGCCGUUCAAUUUUAGACUACUUGUUUGAUAGGCAAAUGAUAUUGAAAAAUUAUGAAAUUUAGUUUCUAAAUACUUUCAAUAGUGUAGAUCAAGUCUAACGGAGCCGAUCGUCGAUUUGAAAGCCGCAUCAUCGAAAACAACUUGGAUAGCACGUACGCUACCGUGCUAGCCGAUAGUAUAGUAGACCUAGUCUAUAAUAGUAGUAUAUAUAUAUUAAUGUAUAUAGAUAGCGAACUAUCUGUGCUAUCAGCAGCAUCUGCAUGUCCUUAUACUCCGAAGUUUUAUACAUACUGUAUUUUGAUGAUGGCUGAAGGUGAUAGAGAGAAGAAAAUUGGAAAAAAUAAGGGCUCUCAAUUAUCUCAUUUUUUUAAUAUCUCUAUAAUCUCUUCUCUCUCUCUUCACCCUAUCCGCACGCCAUUCAAAAUUGAUAAAUGCUAGAAACUGUAGGACACAAGGAUUGAUGUGCUCUUACUGCACGUACCUACUAUAUAUAUAAUAUAUAUAUUAUAAAUAUAAUAUAAUAGUUUUGAAAGUCAAAGUUAUUGGGCUUGUGAUAUUUGUGACGUGUGAUUAAAAGGAUGUGUGUUAGGAUGAUGUGAGACUUUCAAAGUUGAGUAGAGGUUAGUUGAAUAUAUAUUAUCUAAAACGGAUGAAAUAAUCAAAGGUGUAAAUCAUAAUGGCUAAAAAUUUAUAAGCGUAAGUGCUUGGUCUUUUACAGGGCAGAUAGCGACUAUCAUAUAAUAUAUAAUAUAUAUAUAGAAAAAGAAGAAGAUGAGAGAGAGAGAGUAAGAGAGUUAUUGGAAUGCUCUCAGUAGCAGAUAGCUUGCAUUACCACCCAUAUUGUUCGUCUGAUGAGCCUCCAUAUUGUUACAGUAAAUAAUUGAAUAAUGAUACUAGACAUUAAAAGUUUAAAACAAAUUUUCAAAUUUUUUCGAUACAUUGCCUUAAUAGAUUAAAAGGUUUCAAAUUUUCUAUUUUAAUAAUCGAUAUGAGACUAUUCUCUUUAACAAUAAAGAAUCCAAAUCGAAUAAUAUUUUGUAGAAACUUCAUUAAACCUAUUUAAAUAAAUUAUACUCUUUGAAUUUGAUUUUAAAACAUCCUGAUUAUUUAUAUUUUAAAAGAUAUAGUUUUUCAGUGUUAUUUUGUAUGCUAUUGAUAUGGAUAAGAGAACAAUAAAGAAAAAGUUAAAUUUGAUUAAGAUACUUCAAUGGUCUAGAUCAUGUUCAAGAGUGCCUGUCGUCAAUUUGGAGGACUCCAUCAUCGAAAAAAUGUGGUUCAACGAAGCCCUUUGAUACCGAUAGUAUUCAGCUCAACUAUAAUAUAUAUAUAGUUCGUGAAAACAACUUUAAGAUACAUGCUCAAUAUACUUCAUAAUAGUAUACGAAGCCNNNNNNNNNNNNNNNNNNNNNNNNNNNNNNNNNNNNNNNNNNNNNNNNNNNNNNNNNNNNNNNNNNNNNNNNNNNNNNNNNNNNNNNNNNNNNNNNNNNNNNNNNNNNNNNNNNNNNNNNNNNNNNNNNNNNNNNNNNNNNNNNNNNNNNNNNNNNNNNNNNNNNNNNNNNNNNNNNNNNNNNNNNNNNNNNNNNNNNNNNNNNNNNNNNNNNNNNNNNNNNNNNNNNNNNNNNNNNNNNNNNNNNNNNNNNNNNNNNNNNNNNNNNNNNNNNNNNNNNNNNNNNNNNNNNNNNNNNNNNNNNNNNNNNNNNNNNNNNNNNNNNNNNNNNNNNNNNNNNNNNNNNNNNNNNNNNNNNNNNNNNNNNNNNNNNNNNNNNNNNNNNNNNNNNNNNNNNNNNNNNNNNNNNNNNNNNNNNNNNNNNNNNNNNNNNNNNNNNNNNNNNNNNNNNNNNNNNNNNNNNNNNNNNNNNNNNNNNNNNNNNNNNNNNNNNNNNNNNNNNNNNNNNNNNNNNNNNNNNNNNNNNNNNNNNNNNNNNNNNNNNNNNNNNNNNNNNNNNNNNNNNNNNNNNNNNNNNNNNNNNNNNNNNNNNNNNNNNNNNNNNNNNNNNNNNNNNNNNNNNNNNNNNNNNNNNNNNNNNNNNNNNNNNNNNNNNNNNNNNNNNNNNNNNNNNNNNNNNNNNNNNNNNNNNNNNNNNNNNNNNNNNNNNNNNNNNNNNNNNNNNNNNNNNNNNNNNNNNNNNNNNNNNNNNNNNNNNNNNNNNNNNNNNNNNNNNNNNNNNNNNNNNNNNNNNNNNNNNNNNNNNNNNNNNNNNNNNNNNNNNNNNNNNNNNNNNNNNNNNNNNNNNNNNNNNNNNNNNNNNNNNNNNNNNNNNNNNNNNNNNNNNNNNNNNNNNNNNNNNNNNNNNNNNNNNNNNNNNNNNNNNNNNNNNNNNNNNNNNNNNNNNNNNNNNNNNNNNNNNNNNNNNNNNNNNNNNNNNNNNNNNNNNNNNNNNNNNNNNNNNNNNNNNNNNNNNNNNNNNNNNNNNNNNNNNNNNNNNNNNNNNNNNNNNNNNNNNNNNNNNNNNNNNNNNNNNNNNNNNNNNNNNNNNNNNNNNNNNNNNNNNNNNNNNNNNNNNNNNNNNNNNNNNNNNNNNNNNNNNNNNNNNNNNNNNNNNNNNNNNNNNNNNNNNNNNNNNNNNNNNNNNNNNNNNNNNNNNNNNNNNNNNNNNNNNNNNNNNNNNNNNNNNNNNNNNNAGAGAGAGAGAGAGAGAGAGAGAGAGAGAGAGUUGAGUUGGAAUGCUCUCAGUAGCAGAUAUGCUUCAUUACCACCCAUUUGUUUCGAUGAUAGAGCCUCCAUAUUGUUGACCAGUAUCAUUGAAUAUGAUCUAGACCACUUAAAGUAUUUAAAACUAAAUUUUCAAAUUUUUUCGAUAUCAUUGGCCUAAUGAUUAAAAGGUUUCAAAUUUUCUAAUUUUAAUAAUCGAUAUGAGACAUUUUCUCGUUUAACAAUAUAAGAUAUCCAAAUCGAAUGAAUUUUUGUUAGAAAAUUCAUUAAACCAUUUAAAAUAAGAUCUAUACUCUUAAUUUUGAUUAUAAAACUCCUAUUAUUAUUUUUUAAAAGAUAUUUAUUUUCAGCUGUUUAUUUUUGUAUCUAUUUGAUGGAUAAGAGAACAAUAACGAAAAAGUAUGAAAUUUGAUUUAUAGAUACUUUAACUGGUCUAGAUCAUGUUCAAUAGUGCCGAUCGUCAAUUUGGAGGCUCCAUCAUCGAAAAUAAAUGUGUGGCAACGAAGCCCGUUUGAUACCGAUAGUAUUCCAGCUCAACUAUAUAUAUAUAUAUCGAAAACAACUUAUGAGUACGAUGGCUCCAAUACUCAUAAUAGUAUAGUAGCCAUUGCCUAUAUAUAUAUAUAGAGAGAGAGAGAGAGAGAGAGAGAGAGAGAGUUGAGUUGGAAUGCUCUCAGUAGCAGAUAUGCUUCAUUACCACCCAUUUGUUUCGAUGAUAGAGCCUCCAUAUUGUUGACCAGUAUCAUUGAAUAUGAUCUAGACCACUUAAAGUAUUUAAAACUAAAUUUUCAAAUUUUUUCGAUAUCAUUGGCCUAAUGAUUAAAAGGUUUCAAAUUUUCUAAUUUUAAUAAUCGAUAUGAGACAUUUUCUCGUUUAACAAUAUAAGAUAUCCAAAUCGAAUGAAUUUUUGUUAGAAAAUUCAUUAAACCAUUUAAAAUAAGAUCUAUACUCUUAAUUUUGAUUAUAAAACUCCUAUUAUUAUUUUUUAAAAGAUAUUUAUUUUCAGCUGUUUAUUUUUGUAUCUAUUUGAUGGAUAAGAGAACAAUAACGAAAAAGUAUGAAAUUUGAUUUAUAGAUACUUUAACUGGUCUAGAUCAUGUUCAAUAGUGCCGAUCGUCAAUUUGGAGGCUCCAUCAUCGAAAAUAAAUGUGUGGCAACGAAGCCCGUUUGAUACCGAUAGUAUUCCAGCUCAACUAUAUAUAUAUAUAUCGAAAACAACUUAUGAGUACGAUGGCUCCAAUACUCAUAAUAGUAUAGUAGCCAUUGCCUAUAUAUAUAUAUAGAGAGAGAGAGAGAGAGAGAGAGAGAGAGAGAGAGAGAGAGAGAGAGAGAGAGAGUUCUGCUGUGGUGUUUUUGAAAGCAUCAAGCACCUGGUGCUCGUAAGUUUUUCGUCGUUAGAUCUACCCAUUUUAUAAUUUUUAUUCGUUAUAUCAUACUAUUCAAUCAACCACUUACUUAACUUUGAGUGGACCACUAUCAUUCUAAUCACACAUCUUUUAAUCUAAGGCCAAAAAUCUAUAAGUAUCAAUGACUUGAUAUUUUUAAAAGUAUAGAAGCUUAAUACACACACACAAACUAUCCACUUCUCAUAUGUUUACAUGUCUAAAUAAAUAAAAGGAUAAAUUCCAAAUUUCUCCACUGUGGUAUUGAGCAUUUUCACUUUUCCAACUUACAAUUUAAUUUUUAUUUGACUAAAAAAUUCUACCUCAAAUAAGAUGACAAAGUAAAAUUUUUGAAAAGCUAGAGAGCGGCAAAGUUAAUAAUACUCGAUCUAUAAAACACAGGGUAGUGUGGGUAACAGUUUCCUUUUUAAUUAGAAAUAUAGAGAGGAAUCAAAAUGAUAGUUUGAGAGAUUAGUGGCAAAAAUGAAAACACCCGAGUUAUUAAUUAAGGAAGUGCUAGCUAGCUAGAAUAAGCAUUUAAAAGCCAUGCAUGAACCUUCAACAAGCGGUCCCCAAAUUUUGUUUGUUUUAUAUUAUCAUUAAUAAGUCUUUCCUCGUAUCUCUAUUUGUGCUAUGAUAACACCAUCUUAGACCUCUACAGUGAUGAAAAUCAAAACUUUAAGGCUGACGUCGAUAACGAACAAGGCGCGUUUGGUUCACGUUAUAUAGUAUUAUUACAGAAUAUUUCAACACAAUUAACUGGGUAUAUGAGAUUCCUGCAUUGUUACAUUUGAUUUAAUACAGUAAUAUAAUACUAGAUUACAAUAUAUAUGAAAUUAUUAUGUUCGGUUUAUUUUAUAAAAUUUAAUAAUCCUGACAAUAAAAUAUAAUUUAUUCUACAAUUGCCCUUAUGUUAUAUUUCGCAAAAUGUAAAAUUCAAAAUACAAAAGUAAAAUUUUAAAAUUAAAAAUUUAUAAUAUGAAAUAUAAAUUUAAAAUCUAAAUUUUAGAUUUUAAAUUCAUAAUAUAAAUUUUAAAUUUUAAAUUUAAUAUUUAAAUUUUAAAAUUUUGAAAUUUGAUUAAAAUUUUAAAAUUUAAAAUAUAUAUUUUAAAUUUUAAAAAUUGAAAUUGAUAUUUACAAUUUGGCAAUUCAAAAAUUUAAAUAAAAUUUUAGAAAUGACAUAUACAAAGAGUUUGGAGGAGGGGGACGAGGGGUUGGAGGGAUAAACUUAUAAUUUUAUAUAAUAUGCAGGAUUACUUGACAUCAGUAAUAUAAGAUACUCUUCCCUAUUCAAUAAUUAUAUUACUGACCAGAUUAAAUACUGAAUGAACUAAAUACAAUAAUCUUAGCAGGAUUGUCUGUAAUCCUGUCAGGAUAGUUUGAACCAAACGCAUCCUAAAGCAAAUUUGAAAUCGAGGCCAACUUUUAAUGUUAACUGAGAGUCACACUUUAGGAUUAAUUUAUUAACAAUCCAAACUUUAACCGAUCAAACUUUAGGGAAUGAAUUCGCCAUUAACUCUAUUGGAAAACCAUCAGUUUAAAUGGUUGAAAAUGUCGAUUCAAGUGCCAAUUCACCAUCUUCUUAUACGACUUAAAUAAAUCUAGAGGCUCCUAGCCUUCUUUUGCUAUAACUAUCCGUCUUUCCCUCGCUAAUUAGGGCAAGUCAGUUAUGAACGACAGUGCUUCUGUAAACAACAUUCUUGUCACUUGCAAGAUGUUUCUUUUCGGGUACCAACCAUCAAGCUAUUUGCCACUACGGUCGGUUUUUCUAUGUGAAUGCCAGAUAAUUUCGUUAAGAUAGGCCGACCUUACAAGUUCAACACAAUAAAUCUGCGACAAUUCAAAGUACACAUUCGAGCAUAGAACUUAUAGUGUCAUGCCUAGCUCUAUUGGGAAAAAAAAAAUAUUUCCAAUCUAAUCUUUCUUUCAAAAAAUUUUCUAAUCUAGCUUUCCUUUGAUAGAUUAGAAAACAAAAGAUGACUUAAUAGCAUUUAUAUAUAUGUUGAUUAGGAGAUGGAAAUUUUUUUCUCUCUCUCCCCUUCCAAAAUUAAUAUUAAUAAUAUNAGAUGGAAAUUUUUUUCUCUCUCUCCCCUUCCAAAUUAUCAUUCAGUAAUAAUAAUAUUUAUUAUUAUUAAAUAUAAAAUUUUAAAUAUUAUUAUUAUAAAAAUUAAUUAUUUUUAAAUAUUAGAAGAUUGGGAGGAAAUAGAGAAAAAAAAUAUUUUCUGUCUCCUAAUUAACAUAUAAAUGUUAUUAAGUCAUAUUUUGUUUUCUAAUCUUAGAAAGAGAGGCUAUAUUAGAAAUAUUUUUUAAAAAAAGACUAGAUUGGAGAAAAAAAAAAAAAAUUCAAUGAGACUAAGCAUAGCAUUAGCUCUCGAGCAUAUGGAUGAAAUAUUUGGAGAUCGCCUUAACUAAACUAUGAGUUUUAACAUCCCACGUAAAUGCGCACAUUCUAUUUACCUUAUGGUUGUAGUACAUUACAUCUCUACAUAUUUGAAAGUAACGUUCUUCUAAGUUAAGAGUGUUUGUUUCAGAUGGGCAUCAUCUCUAGCCUUUUGAGGAAAAAUGUCGACCCUAAUGGGCAGAGUGUCGGACAGAACCAGGUAUCAAGUAUCAACUCAUGUCCCCUUUUUUUUUAUAUAGAAAUUAUAGCAAGACUGUAUCAAAUAAAUAAAACUGUCUAAAAUAGCCGAUAUUUCAUACCCAACUCGGACUCUAUCCAAACCGGACCCGAUAAAAAAUGUAUAGUAUACGAGUAAAAAAAUUAUCUAUUAAAAUUUCGGGUAUGGUCCGAAUUCUUUAUAUCCAUACUCGACUUGGACAGGAUCCGAACCCGACCUUUCAGUCGGUAGGGUCCGGAAGAGUUUCCAAAUACGAACCCGGGCCUGAACAUGAACCUGAUGAAAUACUCUAUUGUAAAUAAAAAAAUUUGAAGUUGAAGGAUCAAUUUAAGCAGGACUUAUAAAUGAAGGGUCUCUUUAUAUUUUUCAUUCCAGUGAAAACUCCGGUCGCUCUAUUUACUCACUUUUUUUAACUUUUUAUUUUACUCAUUGUUUUUAAUUCUAGCUGUUUAUUACUUGAAUUUUUUUUUUAAGCAAAUUUUAUUGGAUGGAUGCAACUAAUUAGAACGCGAGUUUUCUAUAGUCGGAAGUUAAUGAUUUGUCCAUAAAUUCUUUAAUAAAAUGUGUAAAAAAUAUGUACAUUCGGGUAUCCAUACCUAAUAUAGAUUUGAUCCGUAUCCGAUCCAUACCCGUCUUAAGCGGGUAGUAUACGGAUAGUCACUGCCCAGACCCGUUGAAAUAACCCCAAUGGGUAUAUUAUUAACUUAAGUGCUCAGAUCCAAACUCGAUCCGAAGUUAAAUGGAUAGAAUAUAUUUUUUUUCUAUUUAUUUUUUUUAGAGUAUGAAUAUAGUAUAUCAACUAUCCAGAUCCGACCUGACUUUCGGACAUCUUUACAGACAAAACCAUUACUAUUCUAGUAAGAAAGGCACAAUAAAACUACCCCCACCACACACACACAUAGAGGUGGCAAUCCAGCUCGUUGUUCGCGAGCUGGCUCGUGUUGAGCUCGAAAUCAGUUCGAGAUAAAGUCGCUUGUUUAGUAAACGAGUCAAAUACGAGCUGAAUUGUUUAGCUUGUUUAAUAAACAAGCCGAACACGAGAUGGGGUUAGCUUGCUUGUGUUCGGCUCAAUAAUAGCUCAAAUACAUAUAUUUUAUAUUUAUAUAAUUUAUAUUUAUAUAAAUAAAUAAAUAAUUAUAUAUAUAAUAUAAAUUUUUAUUAUUUAAUUUUUAGUCUAACCUAAAUAUAAAAACUAACUCAAUUAUAAAAAUGUCCGGUGUAUAUGUAAACAAGUUUCAACNAAGUCUAAUGAAUAAGAUUUUAUAAAUUUAUUUUUUAUACAUAUUCAAUCUAAUCCGUUUUAACUUAUUGUUCGUCGGCCAGCUCAUAAGCCAGCUCGUGUUCGGGCCGAACACGAGCUGAAUUUUUCGGCUCAAUACUUUAUCAAGCUAGCUCGUGUUCGGCUCGUUUAUUAAACAAGCCGAACAAGAGCCGGACCUAACUCGCUCGUGUUCAGCUUGUUUACACCCCUACACACACAUCCAAAUAGGUGCCCACAUAGUAAUAAAGUAACCCAACACUGCAACCAAUAAAGUAGAGCACAAAAGCAAUUUCAAAAUUGAAGCGUUGAAGAAGAAUGAGAUAUUGAGAGCAAAAAUCUUAAUUAACAAUGCGAGUUAAUAAAUAUUAAUUGAAGCAAUCAACCUAAGCCAGCUUUCUAGGUGUUAGCAAUGUGGAGAAAAUCUUUGGAUGUUGGAUUUAAAAUAUGGAACAAACAUCAUAUCACAGUACAGCAAAAAAAAAAAAAAAAAAAGAAAAAGAAAAAAAAGAACAAGAAGAUAUGCUAGAGGCAUCUGUUUAUCACCAAAUAGUUUAGAUAAAAAUCUAACUACAAACGAAAUCUAACCCGUAUUGCAACCUAAGGCACCGUUUGGUUAGGAGAUAAGAAUAGGAAUAGGCCCUUAUCCCCCCUUUAUAUUCAAACACUAAUUUUUUUUUCGAAAAUAGUAAUUCUCGGUUAUCCCCACCAACACCUCUAUUUUUUAUAUAAAACUAUCUAAAAUUGUUCUUAUCUCCGGGAACAACCCAAUUUUCAUCUAAACGCUAUUUUUUUUAUCCCCAUACUUGUAUCUAUUCCUGUAAUAGCUAGUUUUUGCUUAUACUCGAACCAAACGGUAUCUUAAGAAAGAAGAUGGAAGGAGUUGACUAUCUAUAACAAAUUACUUAACAGCUCCUUGAAUUCUGCGUCAUUCCUCAGCAAUUAAUGCUAGCUGCUGGUCUUUUUAGAAUAGAUUGAAAUUAUAAUUUGUGCAUGGUUUCAUUAAUAGCUUUAACUUCUCUGACUUCACUUCUCCGUGAACAAAUCGAUCUGUAAGAUUGAUAUCGAACUAUCUUCUCCGGCGGUUAAUUCAACGACGACGGCUGAAGCUGAACCCAAUAACUCUGAGUCUUCCAGAAACGGGCGAUCUGAGAUCACAAAUGAGGAAACUAACAUAUGCAGGAUUUUCAAAGUUCAGGAUCUAAUUAGCGACGAGAACAUUGUCCAAUCCUUCAAGCCGAAAAUUCUAUCCAUCGGUCCUUAUCACCACGGAUCUUCUUCUUCACAUUUAGAAGUCACGGAGUCGGUGAAGUUGCGUUGUCAACGUAACAUCCUCGGUUCGAUUAGCGAGGACAGCUACGACGGAUGCAGAAUCACGACACGAGCAAAAGACUUUUACAGCGAGAAGUACAUCACAAUGGGAGAAGAGAAUUUUGCGAGGAUGCUCUUGCGCGACGGAUGCUUCAUUCUUGCUGCUCUCGGACUGAUGCGAGGUGAUCUUACCCAGCUCGAAUUCGAAGCGUUGCCUUGGCAUGAUGUAGUGCAUGACCUACUUCUGGUAGAGAAUCAAAUUCCUUUUCUCGUCCUCGAGGAAAUACGUAUGCUAGCUGCACCUAUACCAGGAGAAACAACAGAAUCACUUAAAGAAAAGAUUGCGGCAUCUGUGAAAGUCGAGCUACAACACUACACAAAUGCGAUCGAUAUCCGUGAGAUCCAUUCGAAAGAUUUUCACCAUCUGCUGCACUUGUGCCAUAUGUUCUUUCGACCUAGUCAAAUUGCAGUGGAGCACCAUCGCGCUCGAGCAGUGACGAACCUGCAGUGGCACCGAGCAGUGCAGUACCAUGAAGCGGGAGUCGAAUUCAGAGCGAAGGACCCUUCGACUCCCCAUUCUCUUUUGGACGUAACAUUCAGCAACGGAGUAAUGGAAAUUCCACGACUGUCUAUCGACGGGCAGACAGAAUCUCUCUUCAAAAACCUUAUCAUGUUUGAGCUGGGAUGCCCUCAGGUAGGGAAAUAUAUGAAUGCGUACAUCAUAUUCAUGUCGCAGCUGCUCAGCAAACCCGAUGAUGUUGAAUUACUUGCUCAGAGAGGAAUCAUUGAGAUACUCGGUCGUGCGGACGAGGUUUUACGUAUCUUCGGCAGGCUUAACGAAUUGGCUAUUUUGCCCUGUUGGGACGACUAUUAUUUAAAAUCUACGCUUCGGUCGGUGGGAGCGCACUACAAUCGCCGUUCGAACUGGUGGUUCGCGUGGUUGAAGCACAAGCACUGCAAAAAUCCAUUCUUGGCCUUAGCAGCAUUAGGAGCUUUUAUAGUUCUUCUGUGUACUGUAAUUCAAGCAUUGUUUUCUGUUUUGCAAUAUUUCACACCGACAAAGUAAUCAUCUUCGUGGAUAUGCAGCUUCAUAGAGUACAUUUGUUUCUUCAAUCCGGUCUACGUACCCGGCCCGCCUUAAUUUGUUUUGAAUAUAUGAUCUAUUUUCUACUUGCAUUCAUCAAUGUUAACAUUUGUUUCUUCAAUCCGGUUUACGUACGUACUCGGCCCGCCUUAAUUUGUUUUGAAUAUAUGAUCUAUUUUCUACUUGCAUUCAUCAAUGUCAUAUAUGCAUGCAUGUGUUAGCUACUAAGUACUAAUGUCUAACAAUCGAUCGUUUCAUUAGAAACUUACAUUCAUGGAAGAUCAUAUUUGAUUUUUGUGGAAUUAUAUUGUAUUAGCUCUUUACAUUAAUUCUUGGAAGAUCAUAUUUACUUAUAGAUUUUAGUGCUCAAUAAAUAGGUUUAAUUUAUAUAUGCGAGCUGUUUCUUGUAACCCAGUCAUUCAUACUGAGUGUGCUGGCCAACAUAAUCGUAAUAGUACGAUAUAUUUUAGUGAUAGUGGAACCGACGCAAAUUAAUUUCUUGCCUUCAGGUUUUGAACUGAAUUAGCGCAUUCCUGUCAUCUGAUUCACGGGAUAAAACUUUAUUGAGAAGCUCUCCAACGAGGCUUUGUAGGAAAUCCGCCAUCUGUUAUGUAUUAGCUUUGUCUCCAUCCAAUCACUUUCUUUUUUAAUAUAUAUUAAAAUCCCCAAAACAAAAAAUUUAAACUCUAGAGGGAAGGGUUAUAAUGCUUGGAUAGAGAUAAAAUGACACCUAGCACCGGAUUAGAAAAUUUCUAUCUAUGUAAUUAUCCAUUUUGCACUUUUUCUUCAUGACUUUCAAAAAUCUAUAAUUUGCCUUUUAAAAUUUCAAAAAUAUUUUCAAGGGGGUACGACGUUAACAUAGAGAGCAAAAUGACCAAACUAAUCUUACUUCUUCUAUAAAAAAAGAAUAAUUUUUUAAUAUUAAUUUUUUAUCAUUUUGAAGGACAUUUUCAAUAUAAAUUAUAAGAAAUUAACGGAAUAGUAAUGGAACCUUGAUGGAGGAGGACUAAAUGUAACAACCUAAAAUACUGAGGGAGUAAAAUGUACGUAGGUUUUUAAAAGUUAGAGAGAAAGUUAAAAAGUGAGUAUUUAUAGGAGAAUUUUUUAUAAUUUAGCCUUUAAAUAAUUAUCAUCCUAACUAAAGUUAAAAAUAGUCUUAAUUAAGAGGGCAUAAUUUUGACCAUAUAAAAAAACAAUCAAUUUACUCCUAUUUUCUUAUCUCUAAUUUGAGCACAUUGUCCGACUUUUUCAUAAAAUAAUUAACCCUGUAAAAAUUUGAAAUUUACAAAAUGAUCCUUUCAAAAUUUUAUUUGAAAAACUAACCCUCAUUUCGUCACGUCGGCACCAUGUCAGAAUUUUUUUUAAAGACGGUGAAUAGUUCUACGCUUUCUCUCAAUUCUUUUAAAGGCAGUGAAUCAUUCCCCGCUUUCUCCCGUUUCUUUUAAAGGCGGUAAAUCGUUCACCGCAUUCAUUGAAAUUGUGCGUGGAUUAUAUAAAAAAUAAAAAAAAAGUGAGGUUGUUAGGAUUAUAUGUGGAUCAUUAGAAUUUUUAUUUGAUUAUUAGAAUUGUAUGGAUAGAUUAUUAGAAUUUUUAGGCUGUUAAGAUUAUAUAAAAUUAUAUGGAUAAAUUAUUAAGAUUUAAAGGUUGUUAAGAUUAUAUGUGAUUUGUUAAAAUUUUUAUUUAGUUGUUAGGAUUAUAUAUAGAAUACAGAAAGAAACAGUAAAUAAGUAUGUCAAUGAUUCACCAUUUUUAAAAGAAAUGAAAAAAAAGGACAAAUAAUUUACCACCUUUAAAAGAAAUAGGAGAAAGUAAGAAACGAUUCACCGCUUUUAAAAUAAAUUCUGACGUGGCGUUGAUGUGGCGAAAGAAUGAUUAAUUUUUAAAAUAAAAUUUUGAAAGGAUUAUUUAUAAAAAAGCCCACACUGUCAGCUCUCUUUUGGAAGUUCAAACAAAAAAUGAGAUAAAUUUUUUAGCCUGUUCCAAAUAUAAUAUGUAUAAUUGGCAACACGGAAAUAAAAUCAUAACCAAACAUUAUCACCUUAGUCUUGGCUACUUUUGUAUGUAUGCCCCUACAGAAUAGAACAAGUUCUUCGAUAAUUACAAUGGCACAAAUAAUCAUCACUUGAUACUUCAAAAUCAGUAAACCAAUAUAUAUUUUCGCACUGAUAUAUCACGUCCAGAUUGUCAAAGAUAAGAUCAAAUUAUUAGUUAAAUAUAUUUUUUGUUAUGUAAAAGGUAUAAAGGAUUGACUUCUAGAUUGUUAAUAAGUUUGAAAUUUGAUUUUUUUUUUCUUUAUUUUUUUUUCUAAUUUGGCAUUGCUGCAAAGCUCAAAAUACGCUUCUUUCUCCAGUACUGUUGGAUAUGCAAGAUACCAUUUAUUUAACCAAGUUGAAACAAAAGGAACACAUCUCUUGGAUUCUUCAACAACACAUACGAUCGAUAAAACACGCACACGAAACACUACGGUAUCCAUAGAUGCAUGCCCUCUCUCGCGCUCAGACAUGCACGCAUGCAUGCAUGCAGGGGCUUACGGAGAAGCUGCAGUGGUGUUAAGUCCGGAAAGCCGCGGAAGUGGCGGAAGACGCGGAAGUGGUGGAAGACGAAGUCUAGGCAACCCGAGUGGUCCCUUUUCAUCCUCAACGUAGGUGAUAUUGCCACCUUUCCCUGAUCAUAGUGAAGGAAAAUGAAUCUACAUGAGAUAUAGAGUGAAGUAUAUAUAUAUAGGGCUAGAAAGUAGCAAACGGACUCCGUUACCAUCUAUUUGUUUUCGAUGAUGAAGCCUCUGAAUUGACGAUCUGUACCGUUGAACGUGAUCUAUACCACUUGAAGCAUCUAGAAAUCAAAUUUGAUACUUUUUCGAUAUUGUUUUCUUGUCCAUUAAGUGGACACAAAAAUGAACGGUUGCAAAUAAAUAUUCUUUAAAAAAUAAUAAUAGGAGUCUUGUAAUCAAGAUUAAGAGUAUAUAUCUUGUUCUAAAUAGUUUAAAGAAUUUUUUAACAAAAAAUUCAAUUGAUUUGGAUAUCUUUACGCAGUUAAACGAGAAAACGUCUCAUAUCGACCAUUAAAAUUAUAAAUUUUGAAAUUCUUUGAUCAUUAGGUAAAUGAUAUCGAAAAGAUUUGAAAUUUGAUUUCUAAAUACUUUAACUAAUAUAGAUCAUGUUCAACGAUGCCGAUCGUCGAUUUGGAGGCUCUAUCUUCAAAAACAAAUGAAUGACAAUAGAGCCUGUUUGCUAUCGAUACGUAUUUCUAGCUCAACUCUAUAUAUAUAUAUAUAUAUAUAUAUAUAUAUAUAGGAGAGAGGAGAGAGAGAAGGAGAGAGAGAGAGAGAAGAGACGAGAGAGAGAGACGAAGAGUAGAGAGAGAGAUCUAGUUUGUCGCGAGUAUAUAAUAUAUGAUUCCAGCAUUGAUUGACGAUAUAGUUCGAUAUCAUCAAUCUAUACAUAAAUAAAAGGCGAAACCCUCACUAGGCCACACUGUUGCUUUCUCACGACCCUCCCCCCCCCCUUCUCAAGCUUGCUGAGGGGGGGCGGCUUCUCUCACACACACAAGCCAACAGCACCUUCUUGGCUUCUCGAUCCCGAAGUCUCUCUCCUCUCUCUCGCUGGUGCGCCUGGAGAGGGGACUGGCGCACAUGCCUCCCCCCCCCGGCUCUCUCUCUCUCUCUGCUGCCCCGUCCCUCUCUUGUCUCGUCUUCUCUCGUCGCUCUCUCUCUCUCUCAUCUCUUCUCUGACCGUGCCCCCAGGCGAGAGGGACCCGCGCACCAUGGCAGGGCCCCCCGCGUUGUCUCUCCUCUCUCUCUGAGCUCUCGCUCCCUCCUCCCGCUGCCUCCUCCCACUCGUACUAUGGCCACGUGGCCCGUCCCCGUCCGACUCUCUCGGCUCUGCUCUCCGCAGUCCUCUCGACCCUUAACACAUCUUCCGCGUGGACGUGGGCACCGACGACAGAAUCUCCCUCAUAUCAUCUCUCGCUCUCGUCUCCUCGCCUCUCUCUGCGGCGCGCCAGGAACGCUUCACGCGUGGAGGAGGCGCGCGCCGGGUCUGCGGUGUCGCCCCAUGUCAGACCAUGGCAAGGCGUCCCCACAGCCCCUACCGGUUCUGUCUCUCUCUUCUACGUGUCAUCCCCGCUUUAACGAACCAACCACCCGAAAACCCCCCUCGAAUCCUUCCCACACGCGCCCCCCUACCCCGGAUCUCUCGCUCCCCCCCGCGUCCCCGCGCCGGCCUGGCCGGCGACCCCCCCCGCGCGUUACCCCGCGCACCCUGUACCUGGCCCUGUCUGUUUCGCCUCGGUCCUCCUCACCCCCCCAGCCCCGGCUCUCUCGUCUUCCACCAUUUUCCUGCUCCCCCUCACGAGGGGCAGGGCGAGGCGCGAGGGGGGGCGGCGCGAGCGGGCGGCGGCGCGCAGGCGGGAUCAACGUGGUCUGGCGCGCGGCACCGGCGCGGGCGGCAGGGGGCAGGCACGGAGCGCGGGGCUCGGCGCGGGCGGGCCGAAGACGGCUGCGGCAGCAGGGCAGAGCGAGCGUCGCGGGGAAUAGGCGCGUGGGCGUGUGCGGGGGCGUGCGGGGGCCGUGCGGGCGAGCGGUGGCAUGCGGGGGGCCCAGUGCGGGACCCAGCAGGGGAGAGGGAGAAAGAAUUUUUUUCCCCUCUGCUCUUCAUUUCUUUUUCUUUUUUUUUUUCUCGUCUGCCCUUUUUCCUUCAAAUUUUUUAUUUUAACUGCCGGGCCCGGCCAAACCCUGCGACCAAGGGCCGGAGCCCUAACCGCUUGGCGCUCUGCGCACAUUCAGCAGUCUCAUCGUUGACGGCUCGCGUGAGCGUCUGGCGCCGGAACAUCACGGGGCUCCUGCAUGCGGUCCACGCACGCGGGCGGCCCUCAUGUGGACGCGCUGAGGGAGACGGGGUACGUUGGACGCCCUCUCUCCCUCUUUGUUGCUCAAUUUAUAUAUAUAUAAUAAUAUAUGAUCAUAAAUAUAUAAGGUCGCAUCUGCCUGCCCCGCCCGCUGGAGGGUUCCGCGGCCACCCAGAGCUCCGUUCGUGGUUAUAAUAUAUAUAUAUUAUAUAUAUAUAUAUAUACAUACCCAAUUUUGAAUUUUUUCACGAUAAUUUUAAAUUUUAAAUUUAAUUUUAAAAUUUAAAAGUUGAAAUUUAGAAUUUAACAUCAAAUUUAAAUUUGAAAAUUUAAAAAUAUCAAAUUUAAAAUUUAAAACUAUAAUUUUAGUUUUGAAAUAAUAAAUUAUAAAUAUUUUAGUUUUAAAUAUUCAAAUUGUAAAAUUUAAAUUUAAAUUUUAAAAUUUAUUAUAAAAGGGGGGAGAGAGAGGAAAAAGAUGGAUAUAACAUUGUUCCACAUAGGGAUGGGAACUAGGAAUAGCUAUUCUCACUCUUAAAAAUUAGUGUUUGGGCAUGUUUGGGGGCUUCAAUAUUAAUGUUCUUCGCGGGCCCAGCUGUGGAUUCUUUUGUAAAAGGAGAAAACGGUGUUCACAUGAAUGAACCUGUUUUCGUUUUCGACCUUAGAAUCUAAUUAGUUACUUUCAUAAUCAUAUAUUUAUAUAUAUGUAUACGCGCGCCCGCGCACACACACACACACAUAUAAACAGUACACAUAUUUCAAAAUUUUAAGUGACGAUAUACAUGUUCAGAAAUUUAAUGAUAAAAGCCAGAAAGUAAACACAGUAAAUUAGAAGUAACGAUAUACAUGCUUGAAAAUUUAAGGCAAAAAAAACUUGGUCAAAUGCUCACUCAGAUAGUCAAAACAUCUUCAUUCUUUUCAUAGCAUAGCCAAAACGUUUUUUCCCCCUUUUAGUAAGAUUUUAUCUAUUUUUUCCAACUUUGUCAAAGAAAUGUUGUAUUUUAUAAACUAAUUAAGGAAUAAUCAUAACAAACAAUAGUAUGAAUUAUAUUAUAACUGCGUAUGGGAAAAGAGGAGGAGGCAGUUGAGGACAGGCAAAACUACCCAUAAGCAUAGAGCAGUAGUAGGAACAGCAGGAAACCGCAAGGGGAGAAAGUGUGCAGGGGAAAAAACGCAGCAAUGACAGAACAUAGUUUGGCGAAUAGUAGAUUACCAUUAAUUAAUCUAUUUGCUUUCUUUUAAAUUACAAUCUUGAUUAUUUAUGUUAUGCAGGCGCGGUCACGCCCGAGCGGGAGCAGGCGCAAGCGAGCAGGAGCGGGAGCGGGAGCGGGCGCGGGUGCGGGGCAGGUGCGGACGCUGCGCCCGCGCAUGAGCGUAGGGAAAGGAGUUUGGUGGAGAUAUUUUUUUUCCCCUUCUCUCUCUUUACAUAUAGAGAAGAGGAUUUUAGGGUUUUUUUUAAUUUUAAUUUAAUUUUGACUUUAAUUUAAGGUAUUUAAAUUUAGAUAUUUAAUUUGUAAUUAUAGAUUUUGAAUUAGAAAUUGNUAUAUGAUUUUAGUUUCUGAAUUGUAGAUUUUAAAUUUUAUAUUCAAAUUAUAAAGUUUAAAAUUUUAAAAAUUAUAUAUAUUAAUUUACUAAAUAUAUCAUGGAAUGUCAAAUUACCUAACUGAAUUCCUGAAAAUUCAAAAUUACAGCGAGUUAUUCGAUGCAUAUAAAAGUUUAGAAUUAGAAAGAUUAGGAAUAAACAAAACUCUAACUAAAAUCAUAUAUUCAAAAUAUACAAAUUGAAUUAAGAUAAAAUGUAUUUUUUAAAAUUUAAAUGUUCAAAAUGUUAAUUUCAAAUUUUAGAAUUUAAACAAAUGGGUGCUAAAAAUUUUUAAUUUUAAAUAAAUUGUAUAAAUUUCCCGCCGCGAAGCGCGGGCCUACACUAGUAAUAAUAAUGAUUCAAUGGUGAAAAUGCGGAUAGUAUAUAUAUUAAUAGUAUUACAGCUAAAGAGAGAGAGAGAGAGAGAUUUUUUAGAAACAUUUAUUAUAAACAAUUGAGUCGUCUUUUGUUUUUAAAGAGGAAUAUUUAAUCAAAGAAAAAUCAUUAUUGUGUACUCAAAAAAGGGUGUAGAUCUUACACAUCAUCUAAAUAUAGAUAAAAAUUCGAAUGAGUUUUAGUAUAAAAAAAAAAUUGAUGUGGUAAAUAAAAAAUUAAUGGUUCUUGAAUGGUAUAAGUGUAAGAUAUAUAUACACCCCACGUUGCAGUGUACCAAUAACAUUACUUUUUGGUUAGACAUCUUUGUUAUAACUGAAACUAAUGGAUUAUACUUUUUAUAUUUAACAGUUUAAUUGUCGCUGAAAUAACUAGAUUUUAAUUUUAUAAUGUAAGCACUAUUUUCGAAGGAGAUUGUAGUGAUCAUUAUUAUAAUUCAAGUUUUUAAUGGUGAUCAAAGACUGUUUUUAUAAUGUUCUUUAAUGGGUUUUGUUUAAAAUUUGGUGGCAAUAGUAAUUGUGUGAAAGCACUUUAUAGUUAAAUUAAAUAUACCGAGCUAGACUCCUAUACUUUCGAAAGUAUAUAGACCUCCGUACUUGUAAGUUGUUUUCGAUGAUAGGACGUCCGAUUUGGCGAUCGAUUUUAUUAGAUAUGAUCUAUGCCAUUGGAACUAUCUAGAAACCAAAUUUCAUAACUUUUUGACUUAGUUUGCCUAGUGAACGAGUAGCCUCAAAAUGAAUGGCUGAAAAUGAAAAUCUCAUAAAAAAUAGUGAUAAAGAAUUCAAAUUUUAAAUCAGAAAUAUUGUUCUUGCUCCCGAUGUUACGUAGAAUUUUCUAUUAAAGUUUCAUGUAAUUUGAAUACUUCUACACCGUUGAACUUAAAAACGUGCCACAUCAACCAUUAAAAUAGUUAUUUUCGAGACCAUAUGAUCAUUUGGUAAAUGAUGUCGAAAAAUUAUAAAAUUUGGUUUCUAAAGUUCCAAUAGCAUAGAUUCCAUUAGACAUGAUCUACACUAUUAUAACUAUCUAGAAAUCAAAUUUCAUAACUUUUUGACUUAGUUUGCCUAAUGAACGAGUAACUUCAAAAUGAACGACUGAAAAUAAAAAUCUCACAAAAAACAGUAAUAAAGAACUCAAAUUUUAAAUCAGAAAUAUUGUUCUUUUUUCUGAUGUUAUGUAGAAUUUUCGAUUAAAGUUUUAUGUAAUUUGGAUACUUCUACACCGUUGAACUUAAAAACGUGCCACAUCGACCAUUAUCAUUUUUGAGACCCUGUGAUCAUUUGGUAAAUGAUGUCGAAAAAUUAUAAAAUUUAGUUUCUAGAUAGUUCCAAUAGCAUAGAUUAUACCUAAUAGGACCGAUUGUCGAAUCGAAUAUUCUAUCAUCAAAAACAACUUACAAGUACGGAAGCCUCCAUACUUUCGAAAGCACGGAAGAUGUACUCAUAUAUACCUUAUAAUGACACUUGUAAUUAUUGGUAUAGUAUUUAUAUUUUAGGGGCAUUUAUUUUUAUCUUUACCGGCUAUCCGAAUAAAAGCCACUAAAAUCUUUUCCGACCCUGCCUAGAGCGGCAAUUAUAUCCAUUGUUAGUAAACGAAUUGGUGGCGAAUACAAAUGCUGGAAUACAAAUGCUGCUAAUUUAUAAAGUAAUCGCCACUAAAAGUUAAUUUUGUUAUAGUUAAAGCUAAAAACAAGGGAUGUAUUGGAUCAAGAGAAAAUGCCAUUGUGAUGCAUGAAUUAAUUGCAAAUAGCUAUACUUUAAAACUAGGAGUGGAAAUAUAAAUUUUUAAAAUUGAGAUAUCUGUUUUGCAAAUAGCCCAGCAUUUAGAUAACUAUUUAGAUAACCUUCAAAUUAAGGAAAUAAAUGUUAAAUAAGUGAUUACUCUUAAAAUUAACUUAUUAGAUAUUGGUGCUUUGGUCAUUUAUAUUUAACACUUCAUCUUAUGUCUAGGUUCAAAAAAUUUGAUUGGUCUAGAACAUAGGCGUAAAUUAAAUAGAAUGAGGUGAUUUGAACUCAAAAUCUCAUACUUUAAUGUUUUUUCGUUCAAUUUCAUUUUAAAGAAAACAAUCUUUUAUGGAAAAAAACUAGUGUUUUUUUUUUCCUAAUAAUACAGAAAUAUAAAAAUGCUAGUUUUCCGUGAAUAUAAAUUAAAGAUUUUCAAAAAUAUAAUACUUGUUUUUUCUACAAAUCAAAUACUCGAAAAAUUAGAAAAUGAGUUUUCGAUGAAAAAUUUUAUUCUUCGAAAACGUUUUUCAACAUUUUUCCGAGAAACCAAAUAGCCCCUAAGAUCAUAAUGAUAUUUUGUGUACGCUAAAUUACAGAAACUUCCUUACAAAUACUCACUUUGUUACUUUUUCUUUUUAACUUUUAAAAAUCUAUAUUUUACCCCUUAAUAUUUCAAAUUGGUUCCAUCACUAUUCCAGCAAUUUUUUAUAAUUUAUACCGAAAAAACUCUUCAAAAAUUAUUUUGCCUUGUCCAUUAACGCCGUACCCAACUAAAAAUAUUUUUGAAAUUUUAAGUGAGAGAAAUGUAAGUUUUCGAAAGUCAGAAAAAAAUAUAUAUAUAUUUAUAUAAGAGUUUUCUGUAAUUCAGCAUUUGUUUAUUUGUAUCACAAAACAAGGGCACGAAGAGAGUCACCGACCGGUAGUUGUGGUUGUCACAUUUGAUUUUUCCUCGGGGGCCGCCGGAGAGGCGAAGGGGACUUGCCGUGCCGCGGCCCCGGCGGCAAACACGCCGGCGACGAGCAGCAGGACGGCGAAGGUGAGGAAGGCAGCAGCUUUGGAAGCCAUCGUUGUUAACCCCAGUUCGUAACUUCCUUCCCCCUUCGGCUCAAGUUAAGUGUUUAUUUUUUAGCAUGAAAUUAUGCCUGCCGUGGUGCACAAUUUAUAGGGGGCAAUCAGCUUGGUGAAGCAAAAGCCUACACGUAGCCAGUGGAGCGUUUGGUACGUAAAUUAAUCCAAAUAUGUAUGUUAAAGAGAUUGAGACUAGAGCUACUAUAUUCUUAUGAAUAUAAAUUUUUUUCUAUUAAUAAAUUUUCGGUCGUUAGAUAGAAAAAUGUGCGAUUAGAAUAAUAGUGGCCUCAGAUUAGGAUGGUAGUGGUCCUAUAUUAGGAUUGAGUUGGUUGUCGGUUGAAUAAUAUGAUCUAACGGAUGGAAAUAAUCAAAGCAGUAAAUCUAACGGCCGAAAACUUAGGAGUACGAAGAGGUCUUUACUCAUAAGAGUACAGUAGCCAGACUCAAGAAAUCGAAACAAUUAAUAAAGGAGUGCUUUUGUUUCAUUCAUUAACUAAGUACUUAAUUUGUACCUAUUGGCUCUUAUAUAUAUAUUUGGGUUAAUUACAUACAGAUUCCUACAAACAUAGUAAAAUACAAAUAUACAUUCCUACAAAGUUCAAUUUUCAUAUGUUAUUUCUGUAAAAGUUCUAAUAUUUCAAAUAUGUCCCCGCCGUUAGGAUCCGUUAGAAAAAUUUUGUUAACUAUAGAUAUAAUACUUAACCCUGGUUAGUCAAUGACACAAAUUGAUAUUUUUACCCCUCUUAUUUUAUAUUUUCUUCUCUCAAUUAAAAUCAUAGCAAUAGAAACUCUUCUUCCUCCUCCUGCUCUUCCUCUUUCUCUCUCCUUCAUGCUAGUUUCGAAUAUGUAAUUUGAAUUUCUCUAUCCCCAUUCAUCCACAUCAAAUGCGUGUUGCUCCUCUCAGUUUUUUCUAUGAUUUUUUCUUAUUUUUCUUAAAAAAAAAUUUAGGAGAAAAAGAGAGAGAAGAUAUUGCAACAAUGGUGGAUUGAUGUUAGGUUUUAAAAAGGAAGAAGAUGAGGAAAAGAUAACUAUUGAAAAUUUUUUGGGGAGAUAUUUUUGCACGAUUAUAAUAGUUGAGGCUUUUGAAGGGACAUAUUUGUCAUGAUAAAAUUGGCAUUUUACUUAUAUGCUGUUAAAAAAUAAAAAAAAUUUUAACGGUAACUAAUUAGAAUGACAUAUUUAAAAUUAUUAGGACUUUUAUGGUAACAACAUAUAAAAGUUGAACUUUAUAUAAAUAUAUUUUUUAAUUCACUAUAUUUACAAGGAUCUGUAUACAAUUUACCUUAUAUAUUUUGUGCAAUCUAUAAUUGUUACACGGAGGAACUUACGCGAUUGAUCUCGCCUUAGGGUACCGUAGAAGAUGGACUGGAAGAUUCGGCUGAAAUAAAGCUAACUGAGGAUCCUUUUUGAUGCAAUUUGUACAAAAGUUAAAAAACAAUCACAAAUUUAUACUCGGAUGUCUGUUUUGAACAUGUUAGAUAUGUCUCGAAUUUUGAAACCGUAAAAUUUUUUAACUUUAUUCUAUUUUGAUUAUCAUCCAUUAAGUUAAGUUUUUGCAGGUUUAAUAGUAUUAGAAUUUAGCUAUAUUAUAAAUAUAUACUUUAUUUCAUUAAUUUGGUGUGGUAAAUGAUAAAGAGUAUAGGUGUAAUUUUUCAAAACUAUUGUUCUGUGGGAGGGACAUAUACAUAUUUUAUACUUCAAUUUGUUCAUAAUAAACUCUUCACUUAGUUUUUAUUUCAUCUUCGCUCGUGAAUGUAGGCCGAUGAUCGAACCACAUAAACAUCUGAAUGCUUUACUUUUGUUCCUUCCUUUGCGAUUCUAUUUUGAUAUUUUUGCGCCUAACAAAAUAAAUCUUUUCCACUUUUGUCAUUAAUAAAUUGAUAUUAAAGAAAAUCUGGUAUAAAUAAAAGUUGCUGAUUUCUAUCAAAACAUGCAACUCCAGUUGCAAAAUAUUUUUCUAGUAUAUAGUUUUUGGGCACAAAUUCUAUUGUCUCAGUCUCCAAUACAUCAGUUUAAUUUACUUUUUUUUUAGUUUUUGGGUACCAACCACCAAUCCCCUGUCCACUUGCUCUAGAGACGGUCGGUAAAAAAAAAAUUGGUUCAUUAUUUUUGAAUUUUUAAAAUAGCAACUCUUACUUAAAAUUAAAUAAAAUUCUUAUCCAACAGGAUACACAUGAACUAACAAAUUAGCUGUUUCGCAAAAAAGUCAAUGAGAUAGGAUGCAAUUGGAUGUACACUUCCCACUUUAUUUGAUACAGUAAUAAAUAGGAAGUGACUAGAUGCAAUAUAGUCAUGUACAUCUAGUUUGUUGCACCUGUUUAAUUUGUUUAAUGUGGAGUAAAUGGAGUUUGGUUUAAUAACAAACACCCACCAACAUUUAUUAUCACUAUAUAUCUUCAUAACCAACCGUCCCUAGAGCAAGUGGCAAAGGGUUUGGUGGUUGGUAUCCGAGACCCAAGUUCGAAUCCUAGUUGAUUCACAUUUCUAGCUAAGUUUAUUUCUGAAUGAAAUAAACGAAGCGGGUAGCAUGCUACCUAUCUCUCAAAAAAAAUAAUUAAGAUAAUUCAUUUAAAGUUACUUACUAGAUCAAUUUUUUGGGUAACUUUAUGAGAAAAUUUUCUCCACAAACUUCAAGAACACUACAACAAAAACGGUCUAUAGCGACACUUUUAAAUGUAGGUACAUGUCAAAAAAGUGCUGCUAGCUAAAAUUACCGACACUUUUAAAAAAUGUUGCUAUAUGCGGGGUCGCUAGUUAUAUAGUGACAGUUAAAAAGUGUCGCUAUGACCUAAAAAAGUGCUGCUAAUUUACCAACACUUAUUUAAGCAUUUAGCAACCGCCGAAACUCCAUCUCGUUGGCUGCGGUGGCGGAGGAGGACGACAGGAAAGGCUCUUCGUCUAAAAUUUCAGUGGAUUGAGUGAAGAGAGAAGAAAAGAUGGUAAUUGAUUUUUCUUUUUUUUUUCUUUUCUGUUUGUAAUCGGGCCAAAUGGACUGGGUGUGGUGGGUUGAGUAGAGUAAUCUUUUAUUUUUGAUUGAUUAGGCUUUAUAUUUAGGCAUUAGUAAAUAUUUUUUUAAGUUUUAGUAUAAAUGGAACACUUACUCAAAAGUGUCCCAAACAUAUGUCCCUAUAACUUAAUUCUGUUGUAGUGGAAGAAGCAAGAAGAAGCAAAGCUCUCUACUGGAACUACAGGUCUGUUCAUUAUUGAGGGUUAUCUAAUGUUUGUUAGGCAAAGAAAAUUUAAUUGGGACAUAUUAAGCAUAUACAAAUAUGCUUCUCUACGUAUAAUAGGAUCAAAAAAAUUAUUUCGUAACUACUUUACAAUUUUUUUUAGGCAGAAACAAAAUAUUUUUCUAUUACACUUUCUCACUAUAUAUACCACAUUCUAACUAUAAUAUGAAAGAGACCUAAAUUUGGUUGGCUCUAAAAUAUACUGAAAAUUAGUUUUCAAUUUGAGAAAAAUAUGGGGUGUUUUUGUUUUCUGGCGAUCGACAAAAAAUGAAAAUUAAAGCUACAUAAUUUAUUUUUUUUUCUACCGAACCAAAUAAAUGUGAAUUUUUUUUCUUGUUAUCGAACAAAAUAUUGAUGGAAAACUACUCUCUUCGCCGAACCCAGACUAAAGUCCCGGUAAAAACUUGCCGUGAAGCACAUGAAAUUGUUUCGGGUUGGGCUCCGGCUUCGGGUUGGGCUUGGAAUAGCUCGAUCCGAACCCGAUUGCUAUCCUAAGAAUUGCUAAUAGCUCUUUAAGGUUGAAGAAUUAGGUUGGAAAAUCUUUGUUUGUUAGAUGACUUUCGCAAUUGCAGCAUCUUUCCCGAAGCAUGUUUUGAAGCUCAGCUACAACUAGGGGUGCCAAAACCGGCUAGGAGCGGGCUUGGCCCGCCCUUAUUUCCAAUUCUGGCCGAGCCAUGCCGGGCCCAAGCUAUCUAGCCUCCAUCCCAACACGGCCCUUUGGCCUGGAAGGCACAGGACAUGCCAGGCUAGGCCGUGCUCCGAUCUGGCCCCUUAAAAUAUUUAUUUUUUUAAUUUUUAAAAAAUUUUAUAUAAAAUCUAAAAUAUAAAUAAUUAUAUUUAAAUUUAUAUUUUGAUUAAAUAUUUAAAAUUUAUAGAAAUUAUUAUAAAAUAACAAACAUUUUAAAAAAUUAAAAAAAUAAAAUUGUAUUAUUUUUUUGUAAAAAAAUUGAAAGGCGUUUUUGGUCCCAUGCAUGGACCAAACAGCUGUUUGGUCCAUUAGACUAACACCACUCCUCCCAAUUAGCCGACCUUGGGAAUGAGAGCUCCAUUGGCUCUCCUCCCCAGGAGCUCAGACCUUUGGGGCUCCGGGCCGUACUGGCCUGGCUAGCACGACCCAAGCGGGUCGUACCGUGCCGUGCCGUGCCGGGCCGGGCUGUCAGCAUCUCCUCGGCUUGGCACGGCAGAGGCUUGCUUUGGUCCGUGCCGUGCCGGGCAGCAAAAUAUAGGCCCAACACAGUCCGGACGUUCGGGCUGGGCCGGGCUGGCACGGGUGCUACAACACCCGUGCCCUGCUGUAGUCCGGCCCAUGGCCGUGCGUAGGCCACCCGGCCAUUUUACACCCCUAGCUACACCAAAUUGUCCAAAUUUUUAGACAAACAAUUUUUUUUGUUUUGUUUUUUUUUUUUUGCAAAAAUAGAGAAACUUACCCUAUGAAUACCCACCCUUUUUUUUUUAACUUUUUCUUUCUGACUUUCAAAAACCAAUAUUAAUUUUGUCACUUUAAAUUUCCAAAAAUAACCAACAUUAAUUUUGUCACUUUAAAUUUCCAAAAAUAUUUUUAGAGGUUUAUGGCGUUGAUGGAGAGCAAAAAAAUGAUCAAAAUCUUCGUACUUAUUCUAUAGAAAAAAUAAUGUUGAACCUAUAUAUUUGAUUACUAGAUAAAUAAUAUCGAAAAAUUACGAAAUCUAUUUUCUAGUUAUUUCAAAUACUAUAAAUCAAAUUUAAUGGAGCCGAUCGUUGAUUCAAAAUUUUCAACAUUGAAAACGACUUAUUAGCAUCGAGGCCAUAAUACUUCUAAAAGCACACAAGUCUAGCUCACUCUCUCUCUCUCUCUCUCUCUCUAUAUAUAUUUAUUAUAUACACACAAGUCUCUCACUCUAUUAAUUGUACACACAAUGGGGCCCAAGGAGGACUCUUCAUCCACAUCUAAGGAAAGGGUGGGAGGUAGAAGAAGGUAGGCAUAUUAUUAAAUGAACAGGCCAAAAUACUCCUUUCUUCCAAAUAAGAUAUUUUUUGGGGGGCUAAUGGCAUACAGCUCCUUGUUAAGAUAUCGAAUAACAUAUAUGUUCCUACAAAAUUCAACUUCUGGAAACAUCCUAACGUUUUCAAUUACACCCCAGCUAUAUAUUAGGAUCCAUUAGAAAAAAUAUAGUUAACUCUAGGUAAAAUAAAUUAACCCUUGUUAUAUAAUGAAUGAGGUAAAUUGACUUUUUUAUCUUUCUUAUAUCAUUUGUGAUGAUCAAAAACAAAGAAGAUGACCAUUGAAAAUUUUUUAGUAGGAUAUUUUUGCAUAAUUCAGAUAUUUGGAGCUUUUAGAGGGAUAUAUUUGUGAUGGCAGAUAUGUCAACAAACAGAGGGACAAAUAUGAAUAUCACUGAACUUUUAUAAGAAUAAAUAUAAAAAGUUAAAUUUUAUCGAAAUAUAUAUUUACUAUUCGAUAUAUUUACAGUAAAUUGUAUUGACAUUAACCCUUUUUUUGUUUGUAGUAAAGCAUACCAAUACAUCGUGGUACGGGUAUUAGCUAGAUACUUAACUGAUGUGGUACAAGCGUGCAGGUGUUGGUGCUAGUUUUAUAUAUUGAAUAUUGGAAAAUAAAAAAAAAUAUUAUCACAUCUGGUUGAUAUGAAAAAUCUAUCAGGCAGGUUCAGAUUUGCGAUACGUACGUGGUGCAAAUUUAUCCUUUUUUUUAUAUAUAUUCUCACAAUGACACAACCAUCUAAAGGAUUUUUUUACCAAACAGAUCUUAUAAUAGUUUUCUCUGUAUCUGAGUAUGUAUCAUAUAUAGUUUUCUCGUAUCUAAGUAUGUAACAGAUGAACCGACUGUCCCUAACGCAAGUGGCAAAGGGUUUGGUAGUUGAUAUCCGAGACCCAAGUUCGAAUUCUAGUUGAUUCACAUUUAUAGCUAAGUUUAUUUUUAAAUGAAAUAAACGAAAUUGGUAGCGUGCUACCUAUCUCUCUCUCAAAAAAAAAAAAAAAAAGAGUAUGUAACUGAUGAGAUCGAUAUUGGCUUGAAGGCUAUGUAUGUACCUCUAUAUCUACGAUUCUACGGUGAUAGCUAGCUUACCCACUGUAUUGAUUUUUUGAACUUUAAAAAUAGACUCAAAUUCCCUUGGGGCCUCUUUGGCUCAACGUAUAUAAAACUGUAAAAAAUAAUUUUUCGUGAAAAAUAUUUUUGAUGAAAAUUUCUUUUUUAGUUUUGUAGUAUUUGAUUUGUAAGAAAAAAAAAAUUUCAAAAUUUUUCAUCAACAAAUAUUUGGUUGAAAGAAAAAAAGUUCACAUUUAUUUGGUUUGGUGGAAAACAAAAGAAAUAAAAAAUAUUUUACGCAAUUUGAAUUUUUCGUUUUCAGCUAAAAAACAGCGAAAAACGAAAACCUUAAAUCUUUUUUUUCAAAUAUAAAAAAAAUACUUUUACAGAAAAAUAUUUUUACAUCAAAUUAAAUAAACGAAUUUCAAAUAUAAAAAAAAUACUUUUACAGAAAAAUAUUUUUACAUCAAAUUAAAUAAACGAAAAAAUAUUUUUCGCACUGAAAAUAAUUUUUCGAAUCGUUUUACAACGAACCAAAAACAUCCUUAACCUAAAGCCAAAGCUCUCCAUGCUUAACUAGCUAAAACAUGUUUAUUUGCAUUUUACAUGGAAUUUCAUACUUGAUUUUAUUUUUUUAAUGAUCAUACAAACUGUGAGACGAGGCCAGGAGUUUCAUUAUGGUAGCUAGUGAGUUUUUAAGCUACAAUAAAAUGAAGAAAUAAAAUGAGUUCACAUCGAAAUUAAUUAGACUAAAAUGAAGAAAUAAAAAUGGUAAUAAAGUUCCUCUUGGAAUUAAUACUUUUCUCACCAUUACAAGAGGGCAAAAUGAUCAUUAAUUUCUAGCUAGUGACAACAAUGGAAGAGCCCUCCCCCUAAAAAAAAAGAAAAAAAAAAAAAGAAAAAACUAGCUAGCUAGUAGUAUAUAUAUGUAGAUGAGUACAUGUACAAAAAGAGUGGCUUGGAACCACAAAAAACCCACCUUGGUAUUAGUAGGGGAGCCCAAAAAAAGAUUAAAGAAGGAAAAAAAAGCAAAGUAAAAUAAAAUGCCUCUAUAUAUUUAUGUGUUGUGGGUGCAUGAGAUCAAUCAUGCCAACUUAGUAGCAAAACAAUGCAGCGUCGGAUGAUGUAAAGCUUGGCUCUUUGCUCCUUCAGGGUCCUGCUGAACCCCCCCUUCUCCUUCCUUUGGCUCCCAAGUAGCUUCAUUUUUAUGAUGAGAGAGGAAGAGAGAGAGAAAAAGAGAGAGAGAGAGAUCUAGAGAGAGAGAGAGAGAGAUAUUAAGUUGUAGUGAUGAUCAAAUUGGUUGGAUGGGUGGAGGAGGAUAGAAGGGGGGUGGGGUUUAAAUAGGAGGAAUGUGGGAGGGGGGAGGGGAUGAGGGGGGAGUAGUAUAAAAAUUUGGUUCUCCCAAAAUGUUGUCUGUAUGAGCUGUUGAUAUGUUAGUAUACGUAAGUAAAGAAUUAGCGUACGUAGUAAUCCGUCCGAUGCAAUAAAUAGAUAAUUGAAAAAAAAAUAAAAAACACCGAUAAAAAAAAAGAAAACGGCGAUAAAAGAAGCGAUGAUAAAAGAUGAGAUUCAUCUUGUCGAUUAACGAAGAUAACAGCCAAAGAAAGAAGAAAAAAGAGUACUUGAGCUGAUUCGGUAAAUAAUGAAGAAAAAGUUGUCAUGUGGCAACUUUAAGAGAAAUAAUGUAUAGGUAUAGAUGUUAUAACUUGUCGUAUAGAUUUUAUGUUACUUGAAUGAUCAAGUUAAUAAGAAAUGAUUUAAAAGUACUGACCAUACAUCGUGUAAUUGACUAAAGGAUUUAAUGGUUGGUAUUUUAUGUAUCUAGUGUAAUUGGUUAAAGAUUUAACUGUUUGUAAUUUAUGUCCCAUGUUCGAAGCCUGGCUAGCUAUGUAUUUCACAUUUAUUGGUCUUUUACUUUUUAAAAAAUAAAAUAAAUGAAGUGUACAGCAGACUACCUUCCACCCAAAAACAAAAUUUAAAAAUAGUCUUAAUUACACUUCUGCUUAUACGCAUGCAGGUGGAAAUCAAAAGUAAUGCACUAACAAAAGUAAAAAAUAAAUAGUAAUUCCCUAAUAAAAGUUUAGUUUUAAAAAAUAAAUAAACAAAGUGAAUAACAGGCUAUCUUUUUCUCAAAAAUGAGAAGUCAAAACAAGUACUAAAGAUAUUGAUUAGAGAGAUAACAAAAGGAACAUAAUUAUAAAUUUAUGUCACUAAAUGUAUAAAAUAUAUUUUAUUAUUUUCUAUCAAAUAUUUGAUCUUUUCGAUAACAAAAUGAGUAGAAUAUGGCGAUGUUAAAUAUAUAUUGAGAUCGUCUUCUAUCAGAUUGAUCAUUUGAAUAACAUAAUUUUUAAAAAAUUACUGAAAAAAAAUUUAUGACUUAGGGUGUGUUCAUUUGACCGUAAAAUAUAUUGAAACUUAUAAAUUACUUUCCAGCUAGAAGAAUUAUUUUCCGUAUAUUUAUUUAGGCGUAAAAAUUUUUUCAGAAAAAUAUUUUUACAGAUUUAAGAAAAAUAAAGUAUUUUGCUUUUACUGAUUUUUAGCAAAAAAACGAAAACUCAAGCCACAAUUUUUAUUUUUUACUGUUUUUUUAGCAAAAACGAAAACUCAAGCCACUUAAAUUUUUUAUAUUUAUUUUUUUAAUCAAACUAAACAAAUAUAAUUUUUUUUUUCUUUCAGCCAAAUAAACACAAACGAAAAAUUAUUUUUUUUUUACAAAUCAAAUGCUAUAGAAAGCAAAAAAAAAAAAAAAAAAAUUCNNNNNAAAGCAAAAAAAAAAAAAAAAAGUUUUCAUCAAAAUUUUUUAAUAAAAAAUAUCUUUUAAAAUUUUACAUAGAAACAAACACUCUGGCUCAAAUAAUAUAUUACUAAGAGAGAUCAAUCUAACUAAAAACAAAACAUAUUAAGAAGGACACUCUCAUGAGUCCAAUGGUGGGGGAGGGGAGGGGUAUAUGAUUGAGGGGGAAAUUAGCUCUUACUAUGAGUCCAUCCCCCACGUACGCGCGCCUAACUCACGUGGGAGUGAUGGGCACGCAGGAGACACGGCUCUGAACCUUUGGGCCUCAUUUAUUCCUCCUGUCCCCUUGACUAUACCUUCCCCCUCUCCUGGGUUUGGUAACAGCAGGUUGUUUCUAGCUUAUAAUUAACUUGCUUUUGCUUAAAGUUUGAACUAAAUAUUUUCAUACUGAUCCCUACAAAUAUAAUAAAUAAUAAAUAUAUUUUUAUAAAGUUUAAUAUUCAUAUAUUGCUUCUAUAAAAAUUCUGAUGGUUUCAAAUAUAUUCUUGUCGUUAGAAAAAUAUAGUUAACCAUAGAUUAAAUACUUAAUUCUGGUUAAUUUUUGACGUUUUUACUCCUCUUAUAUUAUACUUUUAUGACUUUUGGAGGGACAUAUUUGUGAUUGCAAAAUUGAAAAUAUAAACAGUUCUCUAAUGGUUGUCUAAUAGUAACAAACCAAAGUACAUAUUUGAAAACAUCGAUUAGAACUUUUGCAAUAACAACAUAUCAAGGUUUAACUUUGUAGAAAUAUAUUUGUCAUUUACUAUAAUGCAGGGACCUGUAUGAAAUUAACUCAUAUAUAUAUAUGUAUAUAUAUAUAUAUAUAUGUAUAUAUAUAUAUAUAUAUGUAUAUAUAUAUAUAUAUAGAGAGAGAGAGAGAGAGAGAGAGAGAGAGAGAGAGAGAGUUAAGCUGGAAUACUAUUGAUAGCAAACGGCUCCCGUUGCUAUCCAUUUGUUUUCGAUGAUAGGACCUCCAAAUCGACAAUCGGCACCGUUGAAUAUGAUCUAUACCACUUGAAGCGUAAAACUAAAUUUCAUACUUUUUCGAUAUUAUUUUGUUGUCCAUCAUGUGGACACAAAAAUAAACAGUUGAAAAUGAAUAUUCUUUAAAAGUGAUGAUAGGAGUCUUGUAAUCAAGAUCGAGAGUUUAGAUUUUGUUCUAAAUAGUUUAAAGAAUUUUCUAAUCAAAAUGAAAUUGAUUUGGAUAUCUUUACACCGUCAAAUGAGAAAACGCCUCAUAUCAACCGUUAAAAUUACAAAUUUUGAAACGCUUUGAUCAUUAAGCCAAUGAUAUUGAAUGUAGUGUCCCUGGUAUUUUGAUUUGCCUGUGAGGUUUCAGUAUCUGGGGCUUGUCGACACAUCUGGAGAGUGUUGGGACAAGUCGGAGUCGUUUUGGCGCGAAAUGGAUGCAAAACGGACUCAACGCUAGAUGAGAGUGGAGUUCUAACGCUGAAAUCCGUAAAAUGUAGGAUUUCAGUGUUGAGUACCGGUACCAUACAGGGGAGUACCGGUACCCCAGUGUAAUUCCAGAAUAACAUGCUCUCGGGUUGCGCCAAUUUGAUGCUGAGUACCGGUACCGCAUCGGGCUAGUACUGGUACCCGGUGUGCGAGCUUACGGGCUGAGAGGCCGAGUACCGGUAAGCAAAUCGGAUACCGGUAUUCCAGCUGGAUUUUUGAGUUGGUGAGGGGUAUUGUGGUCAUUUUGCUGCUGGAUAAGAUCGCCACUUACCCUCCCUCAUAUUUAUCAACCCGACCAGCUGAGAAGGUAUACUUCUCCUUUUCCUUUCUCUCUCUAGUUUUGAGCGUGUGCAUGGUGGAGGUCGCGACUCGAGCUGGGGAGAUUUUCGACGUCGAUUUGGAGGGUCGUUCGAGCGUGCAUGCGUCGCGGUUGCGUCGUUGGAGACCGGCGAGUGUGUGAUUUUCUCUCCUUUCGACUUCUCGCCAUGGUUGGAUGAGCUUUUCGAGGUAGGUUAAUGUUAACCGAAAUUAUUGGAAUACCUCCUAAGUUUUAGCAUCAUCGACAUGAAUCAUUGGUUUAUUUUCUUGCUAUUACUCGAAUUCAUAGAUUAGAGGUAAAAUCUGAAUUUGGAGUUAAGCUAAUAGUAUAAUUUUACAUGUUGGCCUUGAAAUUGACUUAGAAAAAAACAUAUAGAUCCUACACUGUCAUUUUCUGAAAAUUACCAGAUUUAGCUUUAUGAGCUGUGGUUCUUUUGUAUCAUCGAUGUUAGUAUGCGAUGGAUACCCAGAUUAGUGUAGGAUGAGUUUACACUCCUGCUGGGAUGCCGAGCUUAUUUUACAGUAGUGUGUAGACUGUUUCGGACUAUCGGGUGCCGUCGCGGUUGACGGUGGACUCAGAUUACUGUUUGUGCAUCAGAUUAUGCCAAGGGCACGUGAGUUUUGGUUGUAGGACCAGUUAGACCCAUUUGCUUUGAUUAUAGCCUGUGAGAGCCUGAUUGAGCUCGACAGAGACUCGCUUGCAUACUCGGUUGGAUAGCGCCAACAAGUGCCACUCCGGAGUCGGACUUUGUGCGUUUGCGUUGAUGUCGUAGUAUCCGAGUUGGACUUGCUCUCCACCGACAACCCAGCGUGGUGGUGGUCGGUGUAGCUUCGACAGGGGGGACGAGUGCGUUCACAGUCCCUAGUGAGAUUGGGUCAGAGAGUGUAUUUCUAUAUCUACAGAGAGUGGUUAACGAUAGUAUAGUAACAUAUAGCUGUAGAGUUUUAUCAGCAUCCUUUACUAUCCUUGUACAUACUUUCUGUAAACUUAGUGAGUGAGUCAUUGAGGUCGGUAGCGGUACCCACUAAGCACUACUUCUUUUUGCAGUAGUUCUCACACCCAAUUGUUGACCCCUUUUUGCAGUCUUUUUCUGCGGCUGCUGCUGUCGCUGAUUCUGAUCGUCGAAAGGGAGUCGCAAGUUAGAUCCCUUCCAGCUUUAUUGCAGUACUAGAGAAGUACCUUCCACAGGUAAUUUUGGGGCUUUUUGUACAUAUGGUCUUAUUAUCUGGGUACUCGCUGAAGCGAGUGAUGUAAUAAACAUUUUGUAUGUACUGGAACCCCUCGAGGUUAUAUAUAUAUAUAUAUAUAUAUAUAUAUAUAUGCUACUAUACUAUCAAUAAUACUAAGCCCUUGGUAUUAUUGAGUUUUCGGCCGUUGGAUGAAAAGAUGUGCGGUUCGGAUGAUAGUGGUCCCCGGUUAAAUUGAUAGUGGUCCCCUAGGGUUGACUAGGUGGUUGGUUUAAUAGUAUAAUCUAACGGUGGAAAUGAUCAAAGAGUAGAUCUAACGGUAAAAAACUCAAUAGUACCAAGGGCUUGGUACUAUCGAUAGUAUAGUAGCCGGACUAUAUAUAUAUAUAUAUAUAUAUAUAUAUAUAUAUUAUUUUCAGUUUGGGGCAAUUGCUUAUAUACCCUUGAAAAGUUUCCGACUUUCCGAUUUAUCCCUCUUAGAAGGCUAAUAUUGAAAACACCUUUUCUACGUUCCAACCUAUUUCUAACAUACCCGUAGAGUUAAAAUCUGUUAAUUAACUAUAUUAUCUCUAUAAAAUUACUAUUUUGCCCUUUCAAAUAUACCCUUCCACCAUUACUGACUUUCUUAUUUGCCCUUAAAGUCAAGGGCACAAAAAGUAUUUUGACUUUUAGUCUUUUCCAAUAUACCCCUCUACCGUUACCAAUAUUUAUUAUUUGCCCUUAAGUUAAGGGCAAAAUUGGUAUUUUAAUUUUUUUUAACUGUAAUAGAUAUUUAACUCACGUUUAACUCAAGUUAAUUUAACAGGAGAUAACUGCGGGGGUAUUUUGCCAUAACGAUGGAACAUAUGAGAGGUAUUUUAGAAAAAAAAAAAAAAGUAAGGAUAAAUCGGAUAUUUUCAAACAUAUAAGGGGUAUAUAGGUAAUUAUUCCUUUCAGUUUAACAGCUCUUUACCUUGUAGUUGUAGCUUGAUUUUGCUUACAGAUACAGCUAUCGCUUCGUAUACAGAAAAAAUUUCUAUAUAUACGGCGGGUCUGUUGGUGUGCCCGGAGAAACGUGUAAUCCGGGACGUGACAUUGAAAUGAUUUGAAAUUUAGUUUCUAGAUACUUCAAGUAGUAUAGAUCAUAUUUAACAGUACCGAUCGUCGAUUUGAAAACUCCAUCAUCGAAAACAAAUGGAUGGCAACAGAGUUCGUUUGCUACCGACCGCAUUCGAGCUCAACUCUCUCUCUCUCUCUCUCUCUCUCUCUCUCUCUCUCUCUAUAUAUAUAUAUAUAUAUAGAGUUGGACUGGGCACUAUUAUAGCAAAAUCCCAUUAUUGCUACCAGUUUUUUACCUUUGGAUCAACUCUUUUCCUCAUUUCUAACCAUUUAGAUUAAAUGCUAUAACCAAUGGAGACCACUCAACCCUAGGGGACCAACUCAACUCUAACUGACUAAUAAUCAUCCUAACCCUACAAUUUUUCAUCCAAGGGCUAAAAACUUGAUAGCAAAAGAGGAUUUUACUAUUAUAUAGUAUUCCAAUCUAAUUUAAUAAAUAUUAUACAUAUAUAUAGAAUUAGGUUAGAAUACUAUUAAUAGUAAAACGCUCUUUUUGCUAUCAAGUUUUUAACCCUUGGAUGAAAAAUUAUAGGGUUAGGAUGAUAUUAGUCGGUUAGAGUUGAGUGGUCCCCCAAGGGUUGAGUGGUCCCCACUGGGUUAUAGUAUUUAAUCCAAUGGUUAGAAAUAAUGAAAAUAAUUGAUCCAAAGGCUAAAAAAUUGGUAGCAACAAUAGAAUUUUGCUACUAAUAGUAGCCCAGUCCAACUCUAUAUAUAUAUAUAUAUAUAUAUAUAUAACAAAGCUUCAAUUACAUGUAUCCUAGAGCAACAAAUUCUCUAAACAUUUAUUGGUCCGCCAUGCAUAUAUCACAUUCGGAAUCGAAUUGAAUAGGAUAAAAUAAAAUAAGAUAAUAAUAACAAGAGUAGAACUACUGUCCUAGCUAUUAGAAGCACAACAAUCGUUAUAUUCCUAACUUAAUUUCUAACCAUUCAUCAAUUUUGAUGCGUGAUUAGAAUGAGAGAGAGAAGAGAAAUUGAAGAGUAAUUCAAAGAGAAGAGAAAGUGAGAAACCUAGUUUCUCUCCAAUUUUUUUCUCUCUCACAUCCUAACCAUCCAUCAAAAUAGAUGAAUGGUUAGAAAGUUAGAAGUAGAAAAACUAUUGUGCUUCUAAUAGCACAGUAGCCCUACUCAUAAUAACAAUAUUGAGAGAAAGAUAUAGCAAAUUUGAGGUAUUAGGAGCCUGUUUCGUUCAGAAAUAAUGAAGAUUGAAAUGGAAUAAUUUGCUAUUGUGAAAUAAUUAUGAAUAAAAGUAAAAUUAUAUUUAAUUUGUAAUAUUGCUAUCCUCAUAAAUAAUUUAAAUUGUGUUUGGUUAAUUUUUUGAAAUAGUGGAUAAUAGUGAAAAAAACUGAUUGUUAAAUUUCAUAUAAAAUAUGAUUUAACAAAACUAUUUUCUUAUAAAAUAUGAUUUAGAAAAAUAAUCUGUUAUAAAAAUAAUUUAUUUUUUCUAAAUUCUAUUGCAACUUAAAUUUAAUAAAAAUAAUUUAUUAUAAUUUUCAAGUAUAAUAUAUUACAAUAUUAUAAUAAUAAUAAUAUUAAGGGAAGGAUAUAGAAAAUGUAAGGCAUUAGGAGCCCAUCUGGCUCGGGAAUAACGAACAUAUUAGGAUUAAUUUUUUUAGUUUUUGAAAUAAUUUACUAUUCUAGAAUAGUCAUAAAUAAAUGUAAAAUUUUGUUUGAUUUAUAAUGUUGCUAUUUUCAAGAAUAACUUAAAUUGUAUUUAGUUAAUUUUAUUGAACAAUAGAUGAUAGUGCAAAAAAAUGAUGGUGGAAUUUGAUAUAAAAUAUGAUUUAAUAAAAAUAAUUUCUUACAAAAAUAAUUCAUUACAAUAUUUAAUAAAAAUAAUUUAUUAUAACAUAUUAUUUAGUAAAAAUAAUCUGUUAUAAAAAUAAUUAUUUUUUUCAAAUUCCACUUCAACUUAAAUUUAAUAAAAUAAUUUAUUAUAAUAUUUAAUAAUAAAUAAUAUAUAUUAACAUAGUACAAUUAAUAAUUUUAUAUUAUAUAUAAUUUAUAAUAUAUUAUGUUUAUAUAAUUUACUCUAAUUCAAUUUAUAAUAUUAAUAAAACAUAGAAUAAGACCUUAAAAUAGAUAUUCCGAGCUAUUUUAUUCCAAGCUAUUCCGAGAUAAUCGGAAAUAGCUAGAUUUGACAGGAAUAUUUUAUCCUAGCCAAAAAUUAUUUCUGUUUUUUUUUAGGGAAAACACGUCGUGAGGCGAUUUUAUUUAAUUAAUCAGUAGAUACAGACUGAGAAAAUUCAUCAAUAGAAGACCAAAAAAAAAGUUUUUUGCGUGCGAGUCCCCAAGUAGCCAAAAAUUAUUUCAUUUGAUGAAUAGCAUAGAUAACUUUUGUUAUUCUCGCAUUAUUUCCAAAUCAAUUAAACUUGGUCUAGAAGUUUUGAUAAAGAAAAAAAAUUAAUUAAACUCUCCUUAAUUCAAUCCUCAAUUACCACUCAAUCCAUAAAACUUAGAAGCAAACCCUAUUUCCUCUUAAUAUUUUUCUUUAUCUUCUUUUAUCUAACCCAAUAUUUUAUAUUAAAUUUGCAUACUAAGAAAUGGCGGUGAUAACAAUGUUCCAAGCAAGAUGUGAGUGCUCACGGUAUUGAUAGCGACACAUCGCAGUUGCACCUAAAAGAUUGUCACACUAGACCAAAUUGCUCCUCCAAUGUUUCGUGCAAUAAAGAACCAUACAUUAUUUCUAUUCGUAUUAAUUGUUAAUAUAUAUAUAUAAACUUCUUAUGAUAAAAAAAUAUAUAUAUGUUCGUAGUUAAUGGCUUAAAAAAGAUGAAUUUAUUUAUAAAUUAAUCAACAUUAAUAAUAGUAAGGAAUUACGCACCUUAAAUUGAAUGCACAGGUACAUUAUCAUGUUUUAUUAAAAUAUUGUUAUCAAUCAAUCAACUGGAUAAAGAAUUUUGUAGUGUCCAGCAGAGAGUCUUUUUUGCGAGUCCCACGCCACCUAAGAUUGCUCCAAAAGCAACCUAACUUAACUGUACACAUAGGUUUUAUGAUUAUUUUUCAGGAUGUUAUUUUUAUGAAUUGUUUAUAUUUAUAUAAAUAGAGUAUGUUUUCUGUAAUUUCGAAAGCACGAGGUUAUAUAAACAUAUAAUUCGACGAUCUUAUCCAUUGGACGUAAUCUAUGCUAUUAAAAUAUAUAUAGUAAAUUCAAACUUAAAUAUGAUUAAUUGGACUAUAUUUAUAAAAUUUCUAACAUCAAAAGCAUGCAAUAUAGGUUUUUCGACAUCAUUUAACUUACGAUUAAAAGAUAUCUGUGACACCCCAACUUCCCAGGGGUCACACAUCCGAGGACUACUCUCGUCCUAGCACGUUUAACUCUCUUAACCUCUUAAUUAGGUGUAGCCACUAUCCAAAAUGCUUAAGUCGGGUUAAGAGUGAUAGCCCUACUAUAUCUUAUAUAUAGGACUAUAUGGGAUCUCAAAUUCCUCCCCAUUUAAGGCAUGACGUUCUCAUCAGGCUCAGACUCAUAAGUAUCAGGCGAUGUGAGACUCGUUUUACUAGCUUUGUUAUUCCGACCUUGGCACAACCGAGACUCAUCUCACACUUCCGGCUGGUAAUUGGCUCUGAUACCAACUGUGACGCCCCGACUUCCCAGGCGGUCACCCAUCCUAGGACUACUCUCGUCCUAGCACGCUUAACUCUCUUAAUCUCUUGGGUCUAGCUACCACCCAAAAUGUUUAAGUCGGGUUAAGAGUGAUAGUCCUAUUAUAUCUUAUAUAUAGGACUAUUUAGGGUCUCACAAUAUCAAAAUUGAUAAAUUUAAACGACUGGUACGUAUGAGAUACUUGCUAAUUUAACGGUGUAAAAAAAUUGAAAUCGGUUGAAUUUAUGAUAGAAAAUUCUAUCCACUAUUUAGAUAAAGAUUAAUUACUCCGAUUUUAAAUUGAAACAUCCGAUUCUCUAUUUUAAGUGGUCAUUCGAUUUUGACCAUUCAUUUUAUGCCUACUUGAUGGAUUUUAUUAUUAUUUUAAAAAAUUACAAAAUUAGUUUUCUCGAAAUUAUAAAUGCUUUAGAUUAUGUUUAACAGUACGGAUUAUCGACCCGGAAGCUCUAUCAUCGAAAACGACUUAUGCAUGAGUAUGAAGGCCUCCGUACUUAUAAGAGUAUAGUAGCGCUACUCUAUAUAUGUAUAUGUAGGUUAAUCAAUAUUUCAUAUAGAUUUAUUAAUAUAUUAACAGCAGCACAUAAAUCCUAAGAGAUUAGAGAUGGUCUAGGAACCCUUUAAAGAUGAUUAAUUCUUAAGAGAAGAUUGACAGCUAGAAGCAAAUUGGAGACUCAGAUGGACGGCACAAAGUGUUUCCUACUAAAAUUAGGGUUUUAGGAUAAUGUAAACUCUUAUAAUUAAUCUUUUAGAGAUAAAAGUUUCAUUGUAGACCACCUAAUUGAAAAUAUAUAUAUAUAUAUAUGAAGAGUUGCUAAGAGAGAGUUUUAUGUUAACUCAAUUUUACUUUUUAUACAUUUUUGCAUCGCGGAUUAAAUGAAGAACGCAUUGAGGUGGUCUUAUCUAUGGACACGUAAACUCUGUCUUAUUAUUUUCUUUUGCUUGCUUUAUUGUUUUGUUAUCUUCAAACCUUUUUUUUUUUUUUUUAAAUCGUUCUCGUCUUUAUAUUUUUUAACAAAAAAUCUUAUUUUUACUGUACAUGUGUGCUGUGUGACUUUGAGAUGUAUUCGGUAACCCUUUCGAUCGGUCCCUUCAUCUUUGUAUUAGUACACACUAGGGCCAAAAUAAUCAACCAAAUGGUAUGUGAGCAUGGGUACAUAUACAUAUGUGCGUUGCACAGAGCACUAGUACACAAAAGUCUCUUUCACUUUUGAAGCACAGGCGUGGGUUCAUCAUUAUUGGGCGUGAGAAAUAUGAUGUGAUGAUGAUAGUUCAUCGAAUUGGAAGGAAUAUGUGCCCUUUACUAAAAAGCUGACAUGUGAACGGCUNAUAUAUAUAUAUACACACACACACACACACAAAUAUACACUAUAUUUGUAAAAUUUUUCUCUUAAAAUUUAAAUUAUGUAUUUUUUUAUACAACGAUAUUUUACGUGAUUUAUGUCACGCUCCGGAUUUCUCAUAUCCCCGGGCUCGCUAACAGACCCGCCGUAUACAUAGGUAUUUCCUCUGUAUACAAAACGAAAAAGUAGUACAUGUAAUCAUACAAUACUACAAACAGUAGUAUAGAGCAGCUAGGAAAAUAAACCAUAUAUAAAAACUGUGGUUCAAUACAUACAUGUGAUUCAGGUAUACAAAUACUCGCUCUGACGAGAUAACAACAACUGUAUGUAAAGACCCAAAAACUACAACUAUCUGUAGCUAGUGCUCCUCUAGCUCUGCGACUCGACUGGNUUUGAAGUACCUAAAAAAUAAAUUUUGCGAUUUUUCGAUAUCAUUUGCCUAGUGAUCGAAGGGGCUCAAAAUCAAUAAUUUUAACGGCCGUGGUGUGCCGGUUGCAAGUUUAACGAUAUAGAAAUAUCCAAAUCACAUAAAAGUUUGAUAGAAAAUUUUUUAUAUCAUAUAAAACAAGAUCAAUAACUUUGAUCUAAAAUUUUAAUGCCAUAUCAUCAUAUUUUGUAAGAUUUUUAUUUUCAGCCGUUGAUUUUGAGCCACUUCGAUCACUAGGCAAAUAAUAUCGAAAAAUCGCAAAAUUUAUUUUCUAGAUACUUCAAAUACUCUAGAUCAAGUCUAACAGAGCCGAUCGUCGAUUCAAAAGUCCGAACAUCGAAAACAAAGUGGAAGCACGGAGCCCUCCAUGCUUCCGUAAGCAUCCUAGCCGCACUCAUAUAUACCAGUGAAAUACCCGCGAUGCUGCGGAUAUAAAAAUAUUUUUACAAUAAAUUUUAUUUUUUUAAUAUUUUUAUAUAAUUUUAUAAAUUUAAUUAUUAAUUAAAUAAAAAUUAUAUAAAAAUAAUUUAAUAGUUAAAUCUACUUAAAUAAAAGUCAUUAAAAUUGGUAUAUGCGCAAGUAAAUUGUGAGAUCCCUGGUGUUCAGUUGUGGAGGCUUGUCGGCAGCUCUGGAGAGUGUCGGGACAAGUCCUAGUCGCGUUGGCGUCAAAUUGAUGCAAAACGGACUCUGUGCGACGCGAGGGCGGCUUUCAGCGAAGAAAUCUGCAAAAUAGCAGAUUUUCCUGCUUGUUGUACCGGUACAGCCAUCAUGGCGUACCGGUACACUAUACUGAUGCCGCGCAAUCUGCUCUCGGGUUGCUUCCUGUACCGGUACGCAAUCCCGUGUACCGGUACACCAGGGUAGGUGAGAGGGUGUUUUGGUCUUUUCUCUCCCUCGUUUGUAUCACCAGCCCUCUCUCUCUCUAUUUAGCCUUGUGAGGACAGAGAGAGGGAGUUCCUCUGUUGCUACUUCCUCUCUCUCACUCUCCAACAGAUCUUAGGCUAGGGAGGAUCUCGGUUGGAGCUUUCGUUGCCGACGUCGCGCCGCGGAGCCGUCCGGGGAUACGGUUGCUGCCGUUACAACGCGAGGAGGCCGGGCGAGCGGAGGUUUUCAUCGUUUUUGCUGUCGCAGCAGUGCCCGGUGUUGUCGAGGUGAGUGUCUGUUGGAGGAAAAAUUCUAAAAUGCAACGAGUAUAUUAGUGACGUGGCGUAACAAACCAAUCAAAUUAAUCCUUUUAAGAAUAUAUGUCCCAUCAUGAUUGUAAAAAAGUAUUUUUAUUGUACUUUUGUUUAAAAAAAGGAAUGUGAUUGGCUUGUUAUUGAUGAUGUGGUGCAAGUGUGACAGUGUAGAAUUCCUCCUGUUGGAGUGGCUUCGAUUAAUCCGGGUAUCACCGAAUUAGAGCUUAAGUGCUGUUUUCGCAGAAUUUCACCGUCGACUGUUUGUAUUUUUGGCUCGUUCUCGACGUAGGAGCAUCGGAUUGCGACGAGACUUGGUUCGUUGGAUUCAGGACUGCGAGAGGAAUCCACGAAGCCCUUACUUGCUGGAUUUGGUGAAGGUUAGCUUGGUCGAAUCCCUGUUGUACCUCACUGCUGAAAUUCGGGACUGAAACGGUGAUUUAUUGUCGUGUAGAGCUCGAGCGUGGACGAUUUCUGGACUCGGAGCUGUGCGUGUGAUCCAGCAAGUUGCUCGACACCAGUGGGAGUCCUUCGCUGCCANCAUACAAUACUACAAACAGUAGUAUAGAGCAGCUAGGAAAAUAAACCAUAUAUAAAAACUGUGGUUCAAUACAUACAUGUGAUUCAGGUAUACAAAUACUCGCUCUGACGAGAUAACAACAACUGUAUGUAAAGACCCAAAAACUACAACUAUCUGUAGCUAGUGCUCCUCUAGCUCUGCGACUCGACUGGAAGGGCUCUAACUUGCGACGCCCUUGCCACGAUCAAGAUCAGCAACAGCAGCAGCCGAAGGCGACGGCUCUACAAAACAGUGAUAACAACUGGGCGUGAGAACUACGAAAGAAGUAGUCCUCAAUGGGUACCGCCCUCAAACUCAUCGGUCCACUCACUAAGUCUACAGGGAUAAGCAGGAAUAGUAAAGAAAGGUGGAACAAAUCUACAGCUAAAUACCGCUAUACUAUCAUGCUCUAGCUCUAACUCUCUGUAGAACAAUGUUAACUCAUGACUCAAUCUCAAAUAAGAACUAUAAUCAUACCCGUCCCUGGGACUGUGAACACACCCGUCCCGCCUGGUUGCGACUAUACAGCUACCUCCACACUAACCAGUCUGUGGAGAGCAAGUCCAAUCUGUACGAACGACACCAACGCAAAAGUACAGCGCCCGUCUCCGGAGUGGCACUCGUGGGAGCUAUCCAACCGAGUAUGCAGCGUAUCUCUAUUGAGCUCAAUCAGGCUCUAACAAGCAAAAGUCAAGUAGCUAGGGUCAAAACAAGUCAAGAAACCAAACCCACGUGCCCUCAGCACAAUCUAAGACCAAAAACAGGAAUCUAGGUCCACCGUCCACCCUGACGGCACCCGACAAUCCGAAACAGCCUAGACUCUACUGUAAAAAUAAACUUGGCAUCCCAUCACGAGCGUAAAUGCAUUCUAAACUAUCUCGGGUAUCCACCGCGCUGAAACAGCGAUGAUACAAUUAAAUCACGGCUCUUAGAGCUAAAUCAGGUAGUAGAAUCAUAUGACAGGUCGAAUCGCUAGUUUUCUCCUAAGACAAGUUCCAAGUCCAACAUGUAUAUUUAUCUAAUUAAUAAUCAUGCUUCCAAUUCAGAUUUCAUACAUGCUACAAUCAAUGAAUCUGAGCGACCACAUGAAAUACAAGAAUCGAAAUCAUACAUGUCGACUACAUAAGCACUUAGGAGCGAAACCGAUGAAACGCCUACCUCUAUAGCAAAUCCCUGGCAGCAAGGAGGUCACGAACCACCAAGAAGCUGAGCCGCACCUGCUCUCAGCCAGCAAUGGUCCGCAUCUAAGAGCUAAACAUUAAUUCCACUAAAAUUUAUCAAAACCUUCAAUUUCAGCACUUAAGCUAACUUUAAUCCCAAUUGAAAUGUCAAAACUCACCUAAUCACAUCCAAAUCUGGUGAGAAAGGUCUAAAAUUCAGUGGAAUAUAUUGAGAUAUCAAGCUAAGGGCCAAAAUCCCACUGCCUCCAAAGAUAGCAUCAAAGAAAACUCAUAAACUUGAAAAUCUGCCGAAAGCAACAGCAGUAGAGAAGAACUUGAGUUCGACCAAGCUAGCCCUCACCAAAAUCUACAAUAUUAGACUUCGACCAAGCUAGCCCUCACCAAAAUCUGCAAUAUUAGACUUCGUGGAUUCCUCUUGAAGUCUAGAAUCAAACAAACUAAGUUUCACCGCAAUCCGACCUUCCUACGUCACACACGAGCUAAAACACCGAAGGUCGUCGCUGGAAAACUACAGAAUCAGCACUCCUCAAGCUGAAUUUGUGGACUUUUGAUACAAUUUGAGUGAUUUGGAGGGGUUGAAAUGCAUUUGUAAGCUUCCUUGUGAGAAAGAGAGGAAAAGAGCUUACCAGGGGCAUCUCCCACCUAUUUAUAGGAUGAUCAAACGGUCAAAUAAGCCUCAGGAAUAUUGGAUACAAACCUACACUGCUGCAGAAAAACCAAGUUGUAAGCGCCCUAAACCAAGUUCUGGGUGCCGAGAACUUCCAGCCUGCACAAACAGCCCUCUUCUGUUCCUCCGCCUGCGGUGUGUUGCACCCUUAUCCUGGUCCGGCGGACCUCACAUACCACAAACACGUGUCAACGCCAACGAUAUUUCCAAAGUAACUUCUAGACCCACUUCUGGGCGCCCGGAACAUAGGAUCCGAAUUGGCUUUCAGUUUUGCUCAAACCAGCACUCAAGAUCUGAGCGCCCUAAACCAAGUUCUGGGCACUCUAAACUGGAAAAACUCCAGUUUUGCUUAUUUGAGUGCGCCGAGUCCAUUUCUGCAUCCAUUUCGUGCCGAAACGAUUCCGACUCAGUCCGACACUCUCCAGACGUGUCGUCCAGUCACUAAUAUUAUAGCCAAUCCUAUCCAAACCUCUGGAACGCUACAAUUUAAAUUGCAUCUAUCAAGUUAGAUUUUAUUAUGCUAUUUAUUACGCGUAUUAUUAAUAAAAUUAAUUAAUUAAUUUUAAAGAGUUUAGAGAUUUAAAUUGAAGUUAAAAAAUUGGAAAUAAAUAUUAUAAACUUUAAAUUUUAAAAUUUAAAAUUUUAAAAUUUGAAAUUUAAAAGUUUGAAAUUUAAAAUUUAAAAUUUAAAAUUUUGAAAGUAUCAAUAAUUUAAAUUUGGUAUCAAAAUUUAAAUUUAUAUAAAAAUAUAAUUAUAUUUAUAUAUAGAAGUGUGUCUGGAUAUGCUUCUGGAAGCACGAGCGCUACCGUGCUUUCCAAGUUGUUCUUCCGAUGUUCGGACUUUCGAAUCGACGAUCGGCUCCGUAGAGCUUGAUCUAGAGAAAUUUGAAGUAUCUAAAAAAUAAGAUUUUGCGAUUUUCGAUAUCAUUUGCCUAGUAAUUCGAAGUGGCUCAAAAACAACGGCUGAGGAAAUAAAAAUCAUACAAAAUAUGAUGAUACGAUAUUAAAAUUUUAGAUCAAAGUAUAUUGAUCUUGUUUUAUAUGGUAUAAAGAAUUCUAUCAAAAUUUCAAAUGUGAUUUGGAUAUGUUUACAACGCGUUAAAACUUGCACCGGCUCACACACGGCAUUAAAUUAUUGAUUUUUGAGCCCCUUCGAUUACUAGCAAAAUGAUAUUGAAAAAUCACACAAUAUUUUAUUUUCUACGGUACUUUCAAUGACUCUAGGACAACUCUAACGGGCACCGUCGUCGAUUCGAAAGUCCGAACAUCGAAACACAACUUGGAAGGAAGAGAGGGCUCCGGCCUUCCAUAACAUCAACCAGCCCACUCUAUAUACUAGCUAUAUAGUAUAAUAUAAUAUAUCAGAUAUAUAUAUUAUAUAUAUAUAUAUAUUAUACUAUAGAAUUAGCAUACUAUACUUAUCACUAGUACCAACCUGUACUAUGUGGACCGUUUGGCGUUGGAUGAAAGAUAGGUGGCGGUUAAAGAAGAUCAGUGGUCCUAGGGUUGAGUGGGUGGAUUGGUUUAAAAUAAUUAUCUAACAGCGUGAAAAUGAAUCAACCAGGGUAAGAUCAUAUACGGUAGAAAAACUUAAUAGUAUCGAAGGGCUUGGUACAUCAUAGAGUAGUACCCGACUCUUAUAGGUAUAUAUAUAUAAUAUUAUAUAGUAUACGAGAGAAGAGCAGAGAGAGAGAGUUGAACUAAAUACUAAUCGCUAGUCUAACCACGAGCCGUUUACUACGAUUGUGUUUUCGAAUGAUAAAACUUCCAAAUUGACGAUCGCUCCGUUAAAUAUAAUCUAAACAUUUAAACACAUAGAAAAUCAAAUUUCACGGCACGUUGAAAUAUGUUCUUUUAAUCCAUCAAGUCAAAGAAAAGAAUGGGCUGAAAAUGAAUACUCUUCUAAAGAAAUGAUGAUAGGAGUCUUGUAAUCAGAGAUCAAGAGGAUGAGAUUUCUAUUUAAAUAGUUUUAAAAAAAUUUUCUACAAAAUUCAAUUGAUUUGGAGAUCGUUACGGCCGUUAAAUCAAGAAAACGCCUCUUAUACGACCAUUAAAUUAAAAUUUUCUGAAACGGCCUUGUAUCAUUAGCAAAUGAAUGUCGAAAAGAUUUGGAAUAUUUGAUUUCUAACACUUCAGUGUAUAAAUCAUGUGUCAACGGAGCCGAUCGUCCAAUUUGAAGUUCUAUCAUCGAAAACAAAUCGUAGUUAAAAACAGGCUCGUUUACCUACCUGAUACGUAUCUACAAAACUCUCUAAUACUAAUAUAUAUACUCAGCUAUAAUACAUAUACCUAGAGAGAGAGAGAGAGAGAGAGAGAGAGAGAGAGAGAGAGAGAGUAGGGCUGUUGUGCUUUCAGGAGUAUGGAGGCCUCUAUGCUCCUGAGCCGUUUUCGAUGAUGGAAUUUUCGAAUUGACGAUCGGCUCCAUUAGACUUGAUCUAGGGUAUUUGAAGUUUCUAAAAAAUAAUUUUUGUUAUUUUUUUAUAUCAUUUACCUAGUUAUCGAAAGGAUUCAAAAUCAAUAAUUUUUAAUGGUUGAUAUAUGCCGUUUUCAAGUUUAACGGUGUAGAAGUAUUCAAAUCAGAUGAAAUUUUGAUACAAAAUUCUUUAUACUAUCUACAACAAGAUCAAUAUUUCUGAUCGAAAAUUAUAGUGCUAUAUCACCACUUUUUAUAGGAUUUUUAUUUUCAGCCGUUAAAAAUUAUUGACUUUGAAUCCUUUCGAUUGCUAGGUAAUGAUAUCAAAAAAUGGCAAAAAUUAUUUUCUAGAAACUUCAAAUACGCUAGAUCAAGUCUAACGGAGCCGAUCGUUGAUUCGGAAAUUCCAUCAUCGAAAAUGGCUCAGGAGCACGGAGGCCUCCUUGCUCCUGAGAGCACAGCAGCACUUAUAAAAGCACCAAGCACUUAUUGCUUGUAAAUUUUUUACCUUUAGAUCUACACCUUUGAUCAUUUUUACCCGUUAGUUUGUACUAUUGAACCAACCACCUACUCAACCCUAGGGGGCCCACAUAUAGAGUCCAGCUAUGGUGCUAGUAAAAGCACCAAGCACUUAUUGCUUGUAAAUUUUUUACCUUUAGAUCUACACCUUUGAUCAUUUUUACCCGUUAGUUUAUACUAUUGAACCAACCACCCCCUCAACCCUAGGGGGCCCACAUCAUCCUAACCACACAUCUCUUAAUCUAAGGGCCGAAAACUUACAUGUACCAAUGACUUGGUACUUUUAAAAGCAUAGGAGCUCAAUUCUAUAUAUAUAGAAUUAGGCUACUAUACUAUCUCUAGUACCGGAGCUCCGGUACUAUAGUCUUAUUUUCGAUCUUAGGGUGUUCAAAUUAACGAUCCACACCGUUAAUACCCUAGAUCAGUUUUAACGGUGUGGAUCGUUGAUUUGAACACCCUAAGUUUGAAAACGAAACUAUAGUACCGGAGCCCCGGUACUAUAGAUAAUAUAGGAGACUAGUUCUCUCUCUCUCUAUAUAUAUAUAUAUAUAUAGGCUAAGACUAUUAUAUUCUUAAGAGUAUAAAUUUUUUUACACUCAUAAAUUUUUGAUCGUUGGAUGACGAGAUAAGGUGGUUAGGAUGAUAAUGGUCUUCUAGGAUUGAGUGGAUGGUUGGUUGACUUGUAUGAUCUGAUUGAGUGGGUGGUUUUCUUGACUAGUAUGAUCUAAUUGAUGGAAAUAGUCNAUAUAUAUAUAUAUAUAUAUAUAUAUAUAUAUAGAGAGAGAGAGAGAGAGAGAGAGAGAGUUGAGUUGCAAUGCUAUCAGUAGCAAAAGAGCUUCGUUGUCACUAAUUUAUUUUCGAUGAUGGAGCCUCUAAAUCGACGAUUGGCAUCGUUGAACAUAAUCUAUACCGCGUUAAGUAUCUAGAAAUCAAUUUUCAAAUAUUUUCGACAUCAUUGGCCUAAUGAUCAAAUGUUUUCAAAAUUUGUAAUUUUUACGGUCGAUAUAAAAUAUUUUCUCGUUUAACGAUGUAAAGAUAUACCGAACGUCCCUAGAGCAAGUGGCAAAAGGCUUUGUGGUUAUUACCCGAGACCCAGGUUAGAAUCCUAGUUGAUUCAUAUUUCCAGCUAAGUUUAUUUCUAAAUGAAAUAAAUAAAGCGGGUAGCGUGCCACCUAUCUCUCAAAAAAAAAAUUUGAUGUAAAGAUAUUCAAAUUAAUUGAAUUUUGACUAGAAAAUUUUUUAAACUAUUUAGAAAACGAUCUAGUUGAAUUUUUAUACUUAAUUAAGCUUGACUUUUUAUUAAAUUGAAUGGCUUUAUUAAUUGUAAAUUGUUAAUUGUUUUAGUUUUUACUUGGUAAAUUUUGUUACAAUUAUCAAUAAAUCUAAUAAAAAUUUAAAAAACUUUAAAAGUACUUGAGAAAGCUUGGAAAAAAGAAAAAGAAAAAUAGUUGGGGACAUGAAUUUUUACCUCCUCAUCAAUAUGUGACCUACCCUAUGCUACCCUAACCCAUAGCUCAUAAAAAUGAUGUGACGUUUUGACCAGUACCACAUGUGCACUCAUGGAGAUCUGAAAAUUAAACCACCUAGGGAUCUGGUAUUUGUAAUAAAACAAAAAUUUACAAAGAACCAUACAUCUAUGCACCACUUAUACAAUUUUAAAGAAAUUAUUUUAUAGAUCUUUGUGCUUGGCAUUAUUUUUGAAUUAUUUUUUACUCGAUAAAUCUAGGUACUGAGUUCAAUUUUUGCUUUACGAUUUAAAGUUAUAAACUCCGACCUCUUCACCACUCAUGUUCUUUUUUAUUCAUAAUAACUAUUAUCGAAGAAAAAUUCAAAAUCUAAAUGAUAAUAAAAGAUAUAUAAAUGUUACAACGAGCACACAAACAAAAAUGAAAACAGCUAUUGUAAAAUAAACAAACCAUAAAGUAGUAAGGAAAGAUAGAACAUAAAAAUUUACGCGAAAAAAAAAUUUCAAAGAAAAAUCACGAGCGAAAGAGAGAACUUCACUAUAUGAAAAAAAAAAAGAAGGUAUAAUCUUGUGGAGAAAUAUAAUAUGCGAUAUAUUGUCUAGGGCAAAGAAAAAGAAAACUGAAAUGUAAUGGAAAGACCUCCACAUCUGACCCGUUUGUUUCUUAAUGGGUUCUUUCAAAAUUUGAUCAGAUUUUUCUUUUUCACCACAUAUAAUUUUUUUUUUUUAAUUUAUCACACCGCAAAGCUUUCGGCAAAUAGGGGCACAAAAUCAAACUCGAUAACUAAACUUUGAUACAAAUCUAAUAAUAAUUUAGCAUGUUACCCUUUUAUUUACCCUAGAAAGGCCUAGAUUCCAUUAUACAAAAAGAAUCACAAUUUGUCUCCCAGGAAAGCGUGCUCACAAAAACCUAGCAAUGCAUGGCUGGCAAACACUUAGUUUGUCUUACUAAUCACUUAUUUAAUCAUGCAUUAAAUCUAAAGUUAAUCUUAUUCCUUUCCUUAAACCGAGGAGUCAAUUUGUCCUUGUGUAUAAAUUUAUAUGUUUCAAUUGCUUCCAUUUGGAUUAAACAAAGAUAUAUAUAACAUCUAAAACCAAGGGCUAGGAAGGUACUUCUUAAUUACUUUCCCCUUGUUUGAGGAAAUUAACCACCAUGAGAGGGACCUUUUUUGGCACAUUGUAGUUACUUUUUUUUCAAAUGUGAUUAAGUGAUCAAUUGCCCCAGGGAUUCUUAAAUUUUUUGCGCGGUUUCAAUUUAGUCCUCAACCUUAUACAUUGCAAUCUUGUUCUUUUUAUUAGAUUUGUCCAAUAAAUUUGGCAGAAAUAAACGCGUAUGUGCUAAGUUACGUUUACAUAAGAGACGGUUGAACUUCUCAUUAGCNAGAGAGAGAGAGAGAGAGAGAGAGAGAGAGAGAGAGAGUUGAGUUGCAAUGCUAUCAGUAGCAAAAGAGCUUCGUUGUCACUAAUUUGUUUUCGAUGAUGGAGUCUCUAAAUCGACGAUUGGCACCGUUGAACAUAAUCUAUACCACGUUAAGUAUCUAGAAAUCAAAUUUCAAAUAUUUUCGACAUCAUUGGCCUAAUGAUCAAAUGUUUUCAAAAUUUGUAAUUUUUACGGUCGAUAUAAAAUAUUUUCUCGUUUAACGAUGUAAAGAUAUACUGAACGUCCCUAGAGCAAGUGGCAAAAGGCUUGGUGGUUAGUACCCGAGACCCAGGUUAGAAUCCUAGUUGAUUCACAUUUCCAGCUAAGUUUAUUUUUAAAUGAAAUAAAUAAAGCGGGUACAGUGCCACCUAUCUCUCAAAAAAAAAAUGAUGUAAAGAUAUUCAAAUCAAUUGAAUUUUGACUAGAAAAUUUUUUAAACUAUUCAGAAAAAGAUCUAGUUGAAUUUUUAUACUUAAUUAAGCUUGACUUUUUAUUAAAUUGAAUGGCUUUAUUAAUUGUAAAUUGUUAAUUGUUUUAGUUUUUACUUGGUAAAUUUUGUUACAAUUAUCAAUAAAUCUAAUAAAAAUUUAAAAAACUUUAAAAGUACUUGAGAAAGCUUGGAAAAAAGAAAAAGAAAAAUUGUUGGGGACAUGAAUUUUUACCUCCUCAUCAAUAUGUGACUACCCUAUGCUACCCUAACCCAUAGCUCAUGAGGAUGAUGUGACGUUUUGACCAGUACCACAUGUGCACUCAUGGAGAUCUGAAAAUUAAACCACCUAGGGAUCUGGUAUUUGUAAUAAAACAAAAAUUUACAAAGAACUAUACAUCUAUGCACCACUUAUACAAUUUUAAAGAAAUUAUUUUAUAGAUCUUUGUGCUUGGCAUUAUUUUUGAAUUAUUUUUUACUCGAUAAAUCUAGGUACUGAGUUCAAUUUUUGCUUUACGAUUUAAUGUUAUAAACUCCUACCUCUUCACCACUCAUGGUCUUUUUCAUUCAUAAUAAGUAUUAUUGAAAAAAAUUCAAAAUCUAAAUGCUAAUAAAAGAUAUACAGCUGAGAUAAAUGUUACGACGAGCGCACAAACAAAAAUGAAAACAACGAUUAUAAAAUAAACAAACCACAAAGUAGUAAGGAAAGAUAGAACAUAAAGAUUUACGUGAAAAAUUUUUUGCGAAGAAAAACCUCGAGCGAAGAGAGAAUUUCACUAUAUGAAAAGAAAGGUAUAAUCUUGUGGAGAAAUACAAUAUGUGAUAUAUUGUCUAGGGCAAAGAAAAAGAAAAUUGAAAUAUAAUGGAAAGACUUCCACAUCUGACCCAUUUGUUUCUUAAUGGAUUUUUUCAAAAUCUGAUCAGAUUUUGAAUUUCCACCAUAUAUAAUCUUUUUUAAAAAAUUUGUGACACCGCAAAACUUUCGACAAAUAGAGACACAAAAUCGAACUAAAAAACUAAACUUUGAGACAAAUCUAAUAAUAAUUUAGCAUGUUACCCUUUUAUUUACCCUAGAAAGGCCUAGAUUCCAUUAUACAAAAAGAAUCACAAUUUGUCUCCCAGGAAAGCGUGCUCACAAAAACCUAGCAAUGCAUGGCUGGCAAACACUUAGUUUGUCUUACUAAUCACUUAUUUAAUCAUGCAUUAAAUCUAAAGUUAAUGUUAUUCCUUUCCUUAAACCGAGGAGUCAAUUUGUCCUUGUGUAUAAAUUUAUAUGUUUCAAUUGCUUCCAUUUGGAUUAAACAAAGAUAUAUAUAACAUCUAAAACCAAGGGCUAGGAAGGUACUUCUUAAUUACUUUCCCCUUGUUUGAGGAAAUUAACCACCAUGAGAGGGACCUUUUUUGGCACAUUGUAGUUACUUUUUUUUCAAAUGUGAUUAAGUGAUCAAUUGCCCCCGGGAUUCUUAAAUUUUUUGCACGGUUUCAAUUUAGUCCUCAACCUUAUACAUUGCAAUCUUGUUCUUUUUAUUAGAUUUGUCCAAUAAAUUUGGCAGAAAUAAACGCGUAUGUGCUAAGUUACUUUUACAUAAGAGACGGUUGAACUUCUCAUUAGCGUGAUUUGUGAAUGGUUUUGUUUAGAUGCAUGUGCGGAAUUGUCACUUGAUAGUUAUGUCAUAUGUGGCACAAAUAGUGAUAUUUCCUUGCAACUUAAUAGCAACUUUAAGAUUAUUGAACAAUAUUUUAAUUAGAGACUCAAAUGAGAGAACACCUUUGCAAAUUACUUAAUCCAUUUAUCAUGUAUUUGUGAUAAUUAAGAGAAAUGUAAUUUUAGUGAGAGUAAAAACUAUAUGUGCACACUUGUGUGGAGGUGAUAUUUCAAUUGCAAAGGAGACAAACCUUUAACUCUUCAAGUAGUUUAUUGACUUUUCUUCUUGCCCUUUGACCAUGAUGAAUAGUUCCUUUAUUUGUUUCUUGUUUAAACACUAUUUUGAGAACCUUUUGUUCCAACACUUUCACGCACAUCCACGAAAACAGUAUCAUGUGUCUCCGUAUACUUUAAAAUGCAUGAGAAAUACAAAUAUAUAUGUUAUACUCAAAGAGAGAGAGAAAUAUGAGGUGCUAAUUCCUCACUACUUUAAGAGCAGCCAUUUUGAAAAGUUUCAAUUCGUAAUCAUCUUGAUAACCAAGAGCUAGCAUGUUGUUAGGCAUGUGGAAAAGAUCUAGUUCGUGGACGUGAAAAUAUCAAAAAGAAUUGAGAAAGAUAAAAGAAAAAUAAAACACACAAAUAUUUACUUGGUUCGAUUACUAGUCAACAUUCGCAGGAGAAGACAGAGUGAAGAUUUUUAUUUUAAUCAAACUGAAGUACACAUUAUAUAUCUCUCACAAAAUUCUAAUCCUAAAAAUACAACCAUACUUUUCAUCUACCAAACUGAAUCAAUUCAUAAUCAUAUUGACAUGUACAUUGUAUGAUUAGUAAUCAUCUCGAAAUAUCAUCUUGUUAAUUAACCAAGAGCAUGCAUGUACAUGUAACUUGUGUACUACAAUUUGCGCUCGACAUUUGUAUGAUUAGUAGCCAAAACAAGAACGUGAAUAUAUGGAUUUUUUUAUGGCGUUCGCCGCAUCACACACAAAAUCAAAUGGCUAUUCAUAUCAAAGAAAGAAGACCACAUGCAUCAAUAUCCCUGAACAACAAGAAUUUGCUAGUAAAUUUUCUAUUUCUUGUUGUAAUUUGUACAUGUUUUAAAUUCAUUAUUUCUUGUCUCAUGCUCCUCGCAGCGUGCGCACAUAUAUAUAUUGCCCUAAAGUACUCUUGUUUAAUUAUACAUAUAUAUAUAUAUUAAUUCCUAAUACAACUUCUCAACAGAGACCAUGCACGAAGUAUCUGAUCCAGUUGACAAUUAACUAUUUUGCUCACAACACUUGUCCAGCAAUUUUAACUUGUAUAUGUUAAUUAGCUAAAUUCAAAACAAAUGUUACACAGAUUCCUUAUGCACAUUAAUUUUUCCUCCAAGCAUUGCUCAUAGUUACUCUUGUUUAUUUGUUUGUUAACUUUAAAAUGAAUUUUCACAUAUUCCUUAUAUUAUAUGGUGUAUUAAACUCUUGGUCCAAAAACUAAAGUUAUUGUCCACCAAUUAAUUUCAGCUUGUAUAUAUAUUUAUUAAACUCCAACAUAGUUUGCCUCCAACAUAUUAUAUAAGUUCUGUUCACAACUUUUCCUAUGGAUUGAUUAAUUUGAGGACUAAAACGUUUAACAAGAUCAAAGUUAAUUAAAUUUAAUUUAAGUGGUCCAAGUGAUUUGAUUCUUUCUGCUUUAAUUUUUUUUAAUCUCUUUAGAAGAAUUGUCGGGUUUUUCAUAUGCAUCAAUUACUACCUUAGGGGUGUUUGUUAGACAACUUGUCCUCUAGUAAUCACUAUUUGAGACAAAUUGUCUCUACCUUCAGAAAAUAAAACGUAAAAAAAAAAAAGAAAUUACCCGCAAAUUAAUAUAGGUUGCUCAAACAAGUUGUCCCUUGGUUUUUUAUUGAUAGCAGUUUGUGUGAAUUACUUAAGUAAGAAUUAGGUAUUAAAUUAAUUAUAUACAUUAUUGAACUUUUGCACUAUAAAUUGUUGUUCUUGCCUCUGAAUUUUAUGAGUUUNUAUAUAUAUAUAUGAGUUUGGUUACUAUACUAUCGAUAAUAUCAAGCCUUGGUACUAUUGAGUUUUCUACCGUUAGAUCUACACUUUGAUUAUUUUCACCCGUUAGAUUAUACUAUUAAACCAACCACCCACUCAACCCUAGGGGACCACUAUUAUCCUAACCACACAUCCUUUCAUCCAACAGCCGAAAACUCAAUAGUACCAAAAGCUUGAUACUAUCAAUAGUAUAGUAGCAUAAUUCUAUAUAUAUAUAUCUAUAUAAUACGAACGUUGCAAAUACAACUUAUGUACUGAUUAACCACUGCAUCUUCUAUAUAAAUAUCUUCCGUGCUUAUUUUAUAUAUAUAUAUAUAUAUAUAUAUAUAGAAUUAGGCUGGAAUUCUAUUAAUAGUAAAACGCUCUUUUUGCUAUCAAGUUUUUAACCCUUGGAUGAAAAAUUGUAGGAUCGGGAUGAUAUUAGUCGUUUAGAGUUGAGUGGUCCCCUUAGGGUUGAGUGGUCCCUACUGGGUUAUAGUAUUUAAUCUAAUGGUUAGAAAUAAUGAAAAGAGUUGAUCCAAAGGCUAAAAAACUGGUAACAACGAUGGGAUUUUGCUACUAAUAUUAAGUUGUUUCUGUAUAACUAUAUAUAAUAAUACAUGCUAUAUUUAUUUACUUACCGAGAUAUAUAUAUAUAUAUUGUGUCUUCUUGUAAAGACGCCAUAUCAGACACCAGAUAUACAACCGCAACACAAUCUAAUGUGACAACAUGCCAUGGGGACUCACUACAACAGAAUUAGGUUAUAGGGACACAUGUUUGGGACAUUUUUGAGUAAGUGUCCCAUUUAUGCUAAAACUUAAAAAAAUAUCUGCUAAUGCCUAAAUAUAAAGCCCAAUCCAACCAAAAAUAAAAGAUUACUCUACUCAACCCACCACACCCAGUUCAUUUGGCCCGAUUACAAACAGAAAAGAAAAAAAAAAAGAAAAAUCAAUUACCAUCUUUUCUUCUCUCUUCACUCAAUCCACUGAAAUUCUAGACGAAGAGCCUUUCCUGUCGUCCUCCUCCGCCACCGCAGCCAACGAGAUAAAAUUUCGGCGGUUGCUAAAUGCUUAAAUAAGUGUUCGUAAAUUAGCAGCACUCUUUUAGGUUAUAGCGACACUCUUUAACUGUCAAUAUAUACCUAGCGACCCCACAUAUAGUAACACUUUUUAAAAGUGUCGGUAAUUUUAGCUAGCAGCACUUUUUUGACAUGUACCUAUAUUUAAAAGUAUCGCUAUAGACCGUUUUUGUUGUAGUGACUUUUGAGAGAAGUCCCAACUCAACACGGCAUUAGCUAGUCUUACCUAUAAAUGCAAAAAACUAACAUGAUAGAUAUAUGGCGCAGUAAAGAAAAAGGUUAAAAUAUUUUGAACAUAAGUAUACCAAGUUGGAGACACUUAGACACAAACCUGUUAAUUAAUUGAGAAAAAUAACAUGACUGUCGAAGAUGAAUGCUGCAAAUAUGUUUGUUUUUGCACCAAGUAAUCACUCAAUUGAUCUGCCAAUGAUUAGAAAUUAUGAACUCACAAAUGACUUCUUAUAAGAGCUCCUUUAUUCAUGUGAAAACUUUUGAAUACUACAAGGUAUAUAAUCAAACACUAAUCUUACAAUUAAUGACAAGAAAUGUUCAACAAACAAUUAAUUAAAUUCAAUGAAUAUAUCAUUGCUUUUACAAGUUAUAAAUCAUUUCCUGUUAUUACUAUCUUAAGUUGUCAUAUCUAAUUAAUGGAUCUACUGCUUCUGAGUUUGAUGAAGUUGUAAUUUAUGUCUGAUGGUUAAAACCGCAUCUGCACGUGAGUUAAACAGCGGGAAUUAAAAAAAAAAUUUAGCGGUUUGCUUUUAGCAUCUUUAGCUAUUGUUAUUAUUGUUUGUAUUCGAGUAAAAGCAACAAUUUGCGCGCUUUAUCUUCAUGAUCUAUGUUCAAGUGCACUAAACAAGUACAAAAUAUUCUAUCAGCGACAAGCUAUUAUUUAGUUACUCCAAAAAAAAAAGCUCAAAACCACUAAUAUAAUACUAAUUAAGCCUGGUAACACCAACCGUCCCUAGUGCAAGUGGCAAAAAGCUUGGUUGUUGGUACCCGAGGUCCCAAGUUCGAAUUCUAGUUGAUUCACAUUUCUAGUUAAGCUUAUUUCUAAUGAAAUAAACGAAGCGGAUAACAUGUUACCUAUCUCUUAAAAAAAAAAAAAAUUAAGCCUGCUAACACUUAGCUUGAGAAUCAAUUUCUCAGACCAAAUGUUAAUCAAAUCUCCACUUGCUUUUAGCGCUUCGAGCUACAAAAAGGCAAAAAGUUCAAAAGAGAAUAUUCAUGUUUUAAUCAAUUGACUAAUUAUAACAAAACAGAUCCUUUACUAUUGAUGAUAUGUGCUAUAUAUAGCCAUAUCUUGCAUGAUGCAUCAAUCAUUCAAAACAUAUAGUUUAUGUUAAACAACUGUUGUAUUCUAACAACUUAAGCUUUUAGAGUAUGUCAGUUAUUUAACAAAAUAUCAGAACAAGAGAUCCUAAGUCCGAAUCACGCCAGACUCCUAAAUUACUAAUUUUUCCCAUUUAAUUCAAAUCCACGUCAUGAACCUUGUAAAAAGUCUCGAGCCCAUACAUGAGGAGGAGAGUGUUAAAUAUAAAAAUAUAUAAAUACUGUUCUCUAACGGCUUUAGCUUUUAGAGUACGGUGGUUGCUUGACAGUUUAUGAGCUUUAUCUGAAAAGAAGUUGUAGAUUGCUUUAUAAUGAUAGUCUAUGCAAGAAGUAUUGAUUGCCUUCAUUCUAAUUGAGGAUUAGCUAGGGCAAAGUGAUGAAACAUGAAACAGGUCAUUAGGUUGCGUUAUUUGGAAAAGAUCAUAUACUAGAAAAACGUCGCCUUUCGAUACAUUCUUGUUACCAUUUAGAAAGUAGGAAACUUAAUUACAGUACAGCAACAAUUCGCUUCCUCUUUAUACUUUUGUAUCUUGUGGAGUUGCAUUACCAUUUAGAGACUGUUUGAAUUUAAAGUUUGUUUGGUUAGUGAUCAUGUAAUUUGAUUUAUUCAAAUUUUUCAGAAACAAAGUAUGCAGAUGCAUACGUUGCUAAAUUUGUUUGAUUUGAUCAAAAGCAGUCGAUUGAUCUUACUUAUUCAUUUCAUUUAUGCACAAUAGAUCCAAAGAGAAAAUUUGAAAUUAUAACAGAAACUGAAAAAUGCAAGUAAAGAAGAAUGUUUCAUCUAAAAUUUUGUAGUACUAAUCCCUCUCGGAGUUUCUUUCUCACCAUACGAAUGGUACUGAUAUCGCAUCCUUAGAGUAAGAAAAGGAGAAAAACUAUGACUAGUAUGUGUACAAAUAGAGUGGUUCAACUACAAACACCACCAUGUUGGCAGGGAAAAAAAAAAAAGAAAAGAACAAGAACAAGAACAAGAAAAAGAAAAUGGUGCUUGAUUAUGGUCAAUCGUGCCAACAAAGAAGCAUCACGACGCAGCGUCGUAUAAUGUAUAGUUUGGCUCUUUGCUCCCUUAGAGCUCUGCUGAGCCCUCCUUUUUGCUUCUCCUGGCUAUGUAGCUUCAUUGUCAUGGCGUAAUUAGCUUGAAUAGUUGUAAAGUGGAGAGGAGAAAAUAGUGUGUUGAGAAACAAUAAGUGAGAGAGAGAGAAGUAGAGGGUACUCUUUGCUAGCAAUUGUAGUUGGAUUGAAUAGUUUGAGGGGAUUCACAUAUGGAUUUUAUAGAGAGAUCAGAGAAAAUGGGGGGAAAUUAAGGGAGUGGUCCAACACCUAGAGGGCUUGUUAAUUAAGAGGUGCUUUCACACAAGUGUAGUAUCUUGAUUGUUACUUAGGAGACAAGGCUCUGAAUUCAUGUAUAUUGUUUUAUCUUUCUUGCUUCUUUUGCCUAUAAUUGUUUUGUUUUCUUUAAGCUAUAGAAAUUGUGGCCUUAAGCAAGCAUCAAAUUCAGGUAUAUUUGUCUCUCCUGCCUCUUUCACUGUACUGAGAAGUACUUCCUCGCCGAUCGAUUGCUUGAAGAAAACAAUGUUGAUAAAAUAUUACUUGUCGGAUCGUUAGCGCUAAUCAUUAAUCCCAAAAGCUCGAGCUGUAGAAAUACGUAACCAAUUCACUUAAAACGUACAGAUACAGCGCCCACAGGUCUCGAUUAUGACUGGGUCCAACCAGCCUCAUGCCACUUCGAACAUGACUCAACUCACCCUCACGCUAUUUCGAACAUAACUCAGCCCAACAUAGCCUUUCGCCAUAAAGCAAAAUGCUAACUCAUUUAAGCCAGCAAUCCCCUCUCUAGCAUCUGCACACAUUUGCAGUAUUGGGGAAUCGAACUCGCGAUUUCUGGCUCUGAUACCACUUGUCGAAUCGUUAGCGCUAACCAUUAAUUCCAAAAGCACGUGCCGUUAGAAAUAUAAAACCAAUUCACUUAAAACAUACAGAUACAGCGCUCACGAGUCUCGAUUGUGACUCGACCUAACAGGCCUCACGUCACUUCGAACAUGACUCGGCCCAACAUGACCUUCCGCCACAGGACAAGAUGCUGACUUAUUUAAGCCAACAUUAGGUACGUACGCACGCAUUUUCUUUUUUCUCUCAGUUGGCACAUGCAACCUAUCCUAUCAUGGCGCUCGCAACGAGAGCUUUACUAGAGCAAGUGACAGGUUUUGUUUGCCUAUCGAGGCAGUCGCACUCAUCGUCACAUAAAAAAGAAAAUCGACUGGCCUCUUGUGUGAAUGAAAAGCUAAAUUCGACUAUAUUAUGUCGAGAUCCGAGCGUGCACUAGAAUAUUUUUGCGAGCUAACUGUUCUUGAUCACUGAUCAGUCUCUUGUAUCUGUCCUUCGACUGCACGGAAAAUGCUUUUUUUUGUUCCCCUCCUAAUAUUCAAUAACAAGUUGCAUGGAGCAUGUCUCCUGAUCAGAGUAUAUAUACUUGUUUAUUAAUUCCUAGAAUGGCUUUUCAUAUAUAUACUGUUGUAGUACAUGGCUUGACAAUUCUUUACUCACAAAUCCAUGCCAUUUGUAGCAUUAAUUUUUUAAUUAAAUCCCUACUUUCUUUGCCUCCUUUCACAUUCAAUUCUCUUCACCACCUUCCUGUGGACACAAAGUUUCUAUGCCUAGGAUGCUUAAAACAAUCAUGAUUUUCAUUUGUACCUAAUUUUGUUAGUUUCUUUACUUGCCCUCUCCUUCAUGGUCUCUGUUUGUUCAGUUCUUGUCAUGUUGAAAUAACAAUGACAUGCAAAUACCAAAAUAAAGGAAUAUUUUAUGUAAUUUUAAGCAAAUGCUGUCGCUGUUCGACACAAAUUUUUGCUGCAUUUGAAACAGUUGGCAAGCUAUAUAGUGUUCAAUGCUGCAGCAUUUUUUUUUCUCAUUUCUUGCUUAAAAAUAUCCUAAUAAAAGAACAUUAGAUAGAUAUAAAAUAUUGAAGUACAUCUCCUAAGUUUUUGAAAUUACGGAAGCCUCCGUACUUAUAAGUUAUUUUUUAUGAUGGGAUAUCUAAUUCGAUGAUCAACUCUAUUGUGAAUGAUCUAUACUAUUAGAACUAUUUAGAAAUUAAAUUUCAUAAUUUUUCGACAUCAUUUAGCAAGUAAUCAAUAAGUCUAAAAAAUGACUAUUUUAAUGGCCGAUGUGGCACGUUUGUAAGUUCAACGAUAUAGAACAAUUCAAAUUACAUAAAACUUUGGCUAAAUUACAUAAAAACCCAGUCAAAACCUGAUUUUUCACUUUUCCCCCCUGUCAUUUAAAAACCUACACUUUGUCCCCUUAUAAAAUGAAAAAUGUUCACGGGGUUGUACGAUGUGAACAGUGAUGACAAAAUGACCAUUUUGCCCCUCACCAUUUUCGUCUCCUCCCUCAUCUUGCUCAUCCGCCGCCUCGAUCGGCCGCAGUUCGCGCCUCAAUCGACCGCAGUGCCUUUCCAUUUUCUUCUUCACCUACUUCCCUUCUCCUCCUACACCUUCGUCGCCCCUCCAUUUCAGCGACAGUAGGGAGGAAAUCGAGGUGGGCGUGGAGGGAGAGGUGGGCAAGGGCAACGAGGGCGAAGGCGAGGCGGUGGAGGAGAGCGAGGGGGUGUUUGUGGGUGCGGACGGAGAUGUAGGCGAGGGCGAGACAGUGGAGGAGGGCGAGGCGGCAAGGCGGAGGAGGGUUAAGCAUCAGUAGAGAGGGUGGAGGGUAUUUUUGACAUAAAAAAAUAUUUUAUAACGGAACCCUAACGGAUCACUAACGGUAGGGGAUAAAGUGAAUUUUUUUCAUUUUACAGGGGGGCAAAGUGUAGGUUUUUAAAUGACAGGAGAAAAAACUGAAAAAUUAAAUUUUUACAGGGGGGUUUUCUGUAAUUUAGCCUAAAACUUUAAUAGAAAAUUUUACUUAAUAUUAAGAGUAAAAUCAAUAAUUCCGGUUUGAAAUUUAAAUUUUUUAUUACUAUUUUUUGUAAGAUUUUUAUUUUCAGCCGUUUAUUUUGAGACUACAAGCUUACUAUGCAAACAAAGCUAAAAAAUUGUGAAAUUUGGAUUCUAAAUAGUUCUAAUAAUAUGGAUUAUGCCUAAUAGAGCCAAUCGUUGAAUCAGAUGUCCUAUUAUCAAAAACAACUUAUAAGUAUGGAGACCUCCGUACUUUCGAAAGUACAGGAGUCUAGCUCUAAACUAUUGUUACUCUUAUCAAUCUGGGACUCCUCUAUAUACUAUUCCCGUUAUGCUUCUAAUUUCAAUCAUAUAAAUAUAUAUAAAAAGUUAGGCUGGUAUAUUAUCGAUAACACAGAGGCCUUUAUACUACCAAAUUAUUUUCAAUGAUGUAGCUUCCAACUCGAUGAUCGACUCCAUUAGACUUGAUCUAUAUUAUUGAAAGUAUUUGGAAACAAAAUUUCAUAAUUUUCGAUAUCAUUUACCUAUCAAACGAGUAGUCUAAAAAUGAAAAGCUGAAAAUAAAAAUCUCAUAAAAAAUGAUGAUAAAAGACUUGAAUUUAAGAUCAGGGGUACUGAUCUUACUCUAAAUAGUGAAAGAAUUUUCUAUAAAAAUUUUAUCAGAUUUGAAUUAUUUUACACCGUUAAAUUCACAAACGCAUCACAUAUACCAUUAAAAUUGUCAAUUUUGAGACCUUUUGAUCACUAGUCAAAUGAUGUCGAAAAAUUAUGAAAUUUAAUUUUCAAAUACUUUUAAUAGUGUAAAUACAAGUCUAAGGGAGUCGAUCGUCGAUUUGGAAGCCGCAUCAUUAAAAACAACUUAGCAGUACGGAGGCCUCCGUGCUACCAAUAGUAUACCAGCCUAGCUCUAUAUAUAUAUUUAUAUAUAUAUAUAUAUAUAGAGAGAGAGAGAGAGAGAGAGAUCUAGAGAGAGAGAGAGAGGGAAAGAGAGAGGAUUGCUAUGCUCUUAGGAGCAUGGAGGUCUCAGUGCUUCUGAGCUGUUUUCGAUGAUAGAAUCUUGGAAUCGACAAACGGCUCCGUUAGACUUGAUCUAGCAUAUUUCGGAGUAAGGAUAUCUGAAAUUCCACAGUAUGAGAUACUUACUUUGCCCAUUAUACGAUGGCAAAAGAAUCUUUUUUUUCUUUUUCUUCAACGUAUACUUUAUAGAACAAGCAUCCGUGUGAAGGGUGAUUUUCGCCCUAAGUUAGAACCCAGUGUUAUGACUCUCGCUCAUCAUACAUAAUUAAUAGAAUCUUUCAAUAAUUAGCAGUACUCUGGGUUACUCUGGGUUUGGGAUUUAAGUUUAAAUCUUUGGUGACUAAAAUCAACAUUUGUUGAAUUAAAGAUCCCAAUUAAAGUGGUUAUGGAAAGUUUUCAACUUUUAUAGUAUUUAUGAGAAUGUUUUAGUCAUUAUAGUACGAAUGGAUAGAUUUAUAUAUGUAAGAAAGUUUAAAUGGGAAUAAACAUUUGAGGCAAUUUGUAACAUUAACAAAGUAACCUAAUUUUUAAUUUAAUGGCUGAGAUGGGAACUGGGAAUUUUCCACAACUUCCUAUAUCACUCUUUUAUAUAUAAGUUGGGGGAGUUUUGAUAUCCGACAAAACUUCUUCUAGUUGUUAGUUAUCUACUUUAUAACCUCUUUUUUUUUCUUUCUUUUAUAUAAGACUUAAAUAAUUACACUGAUCUUUGAUUUUUCGUAACACCCCUAGAUUCUUUUCGAUUCUUCUAAAAGCCUCCGGUUUUCAUAUUCGAAACGAAGUCGAAGAAGUAGAAACCGCAGACGACGUUGUUUUUAGAUAUAAUCUUCUACAACUACUUCGUUGACUAUGGACUAUUCGUAGAGAUAGGUUUUUCAUGAAAGAGUGUCUGUUCGGUUAGUUCUUAUUAAUAUAUAAAUUAUUACUUUCUAAAUACUUACGGACUACGUACCAUCCUACUAAUUAAGGGAGGUUAAUUGUUACUUAAUAAUAGUAACAUUUUAGUAAAGAAUUAAAUCCUUUCUUUAUAACAUCGAUUUUUCAACCACCACAGUGCAACGUACCGUAACAUGGUAUCUAAGAGGUGACGGAUUUUGCACUGUUUGAUAUACGUACGAAAAAAAAAAAAAGAUUAAUUUCAUUAAGUAAUUACACAGUAGUGUGUACGCGGAUUAAUAUUGGAGUUUUAUUAGGAGAGAAACUGUUAGUAAAAAAAAAUUAAUCAAUAUAGGUAAACGUAAUUAGUCGACAAACUAAUAGAUGUAACAUUCGAUAUUAUAUCCAUGUUAACAUGUGUUCGAGCUUUUUCAGAUAAAUUAAUGGAUAUCACAUCCUGAAUCUAUGUUAUUAACCUAAAUAUAUCUAUUUCCGAACUAACAACGUAAAGCAGGAUAUAGCUUUAAUCUACAUUUAGUAUUAAAUCGUCGACCUCUCUCAUUGAGAUGAGCUAUUUAUUAAUUAAUGAAUAGAAAGCGGAGUAGUCCUUUUCUUUUCUCUUUUCAAACGAAGAAACUCCAAUUAGAGUGGUAGAGCAUAAAUUUUAUCUUUCUACAUGCUUAUAACGAAAGUUAACGUUCAUUGGUUUUGAAUUUUAGGCAUCAGCGUUGUAAGAGUUAAUUUAUCAUGGCACGCUCAAUUUACGUUUACAAUAUUGAUGUAGGCUGGUUUGUUUUGUGGUCAAAAUAAAUUCUCGAAAAAACCUACGAACUUGUACGCCAAAUCAUAGUACACCGAAUUGGCUGGCAGGGAUCUCGUUCACCGUUUUCCAAACCACCAACCAUGGGCUCUGGAUUCAAGCUUAGGAUCAACUAAGUGUAAAGGUCGAUUUAAAUAAAGAUUUACUUUAUUUGCUUCGCCCAUCGCAUGCACGAUGAAUAGAGAGAGAGUUUUUUUUUCAUAGUACACCGAAUCAAAUGAGUUCCUAGUACGUUGUUAACUGUCUACUUAUCAUAUGAAUCUAUAUACAACGAAGAUUUAAUAAUAAGACUUUUUUCUUUUUGAUUAGUAUUCACGGAAAUCUCUGAAACUAGGUUCAAGAUCAUAAGUUUGUAAGUUUAUCAAAGAUUUUCUUUGACUAGAUAUUUCACACCUCUCACUAACCAGAAUAUGGUUUCUUAAGAAUUUAAUUUUCACAAUGCUGCUCACGUGUUUGUUUUUGCUUUCUGCCGUUUGCACUUUAUUUGUUUCAUGUUCGUCUUUUAUUUUAUUUGUGUUUCUAAAUGCACUUUUUAAGAAAAGUCCUUUUUUUAAUACCUACUUUCUCCUCUCUUAAAAUGAUACUUUUUUUUUCAUAUUACAAUACUUCUAAUGUUAUGCGAUGUAGUCUGGUUCCAGAGGCGAUGGGUGGUGUCUGUAGAUAAAAAGAAGGUGUUAAGUAAAGGGUUUUUAAGAUAGCGUGAUGCUUUAACAGUUAUUUAGUACCCGGGUUUUAGUUUCAACUAUUAGUUUAAAGCUCCGUGGAGAUUAAACGUUGGUGAAUGAGUUAAUCACUCCGACCAUACUAAGGCCUUCGUGUUUUGGGAGGUAUGAAGAUUCACGUACCAAAAGCUACAACUCUAAAAGCUUAGUUGUUAAACGAGACAAUCUGAACUAGUUCACAUAAACUUAAUGGACUUUUUAUUUAAAACACUAAAAAGCUAUAGUAAACGGAUUACUAGCUUCCCCGAGUUUUAAUUAUUAAAAUUACCGGCACCACUCGGCAAACGUUCAAAUUGCCACAUUUUUAUAAGUUUAGUACAUUUUAAAACUAUCUUUUAAAAAAUAUGAUAUAUUUUGUUCUAGUUAUAGAAACUAGAUUUUAAAAUUAUAAUAUAGUAGUGUAAAACAUUCUAAAAAUAAAAAUCGGCAACUAAAACUGGGGGAAGCUAGUAAUCCGUUUACUAUAACUUUUAGUUUUUUUAAUAAAAGAUAGUUUUAUUAGAUCUAAUUCAAAUUGUCUCGGUGGCUAGCAGCUAAACUUUCAGGGUUAUAGCUUUUACUGAACCUUCGUGCCUCCCGAGGCACGAAGGUCUUCGUAUGGUUGGCAUUAGAGAGAGAGAGAGAGAGAGAGAGAGAGAGAGAGAGAGAGAGAGAGAUAUAUAUAUAUAUAUAUAUAUAUAUAUAUAUAUCUCUCUCUCUCUCUCUCUCUCCCCCCUUUCUCUCUCGCGUUCCGACGACACGAGAAUCUUCGUGUCUUCUGAGGCGGGAAGCACGAGGACUCGGUAAAAGUUACUACUUUAAAAGCUUAAUUGCUAGCCGAGGCAAUUUAAACUAGAUCGCAUAAACUUCAAACCCUAUUAACGGAUAUAUGGGCAGUAUACAAACUUUUAUAGGUUAAAUGGGGAUAAAAAAAAAAGAAAGAUUUUAUGGGGAAUAUACAAGGUGGCAAUCACGUUUUAUGAGGGCGUCAAUAGAGGACAAUUCAAUUGAACCCAAUUUGCACUCAAUUUGUAGAUGGCGUCAAUUUUUUUUAAUUUUACGGUUAAAACGGGAAUUGAAUUCCCGUUUAUUCUUUACAACCACUGUCAUCUCCCCAUAUAUAACCUUUUCUGGUUUUCAAUUUCAUUAAAAACAUGGGGACCGAAAUUCCCGAUUAUUCUUUCAGUCACUACCACCUUCCCAUAUAAACUUUCCCGUUUUAUCAUUAAAAUGUCUCAAUUAUCUCAAUUAAUUGUUUAAAAUUAUAUAAUCUUUAUCCAACCUUGCAUUUCUCCCAUAAAAGUUAUAAUCGUAAGAUUCUCCCCAUUUAACCUUUCAGCCUUUGAAAAGUGCCCAUAUAUUCGUUAACGGGGAAUUUCAAAGAUCUUUUAUUAAAAACACUAAAAAGCUAUAAUAAAUGGAUCACUAGUUUUCCCAAGUUUUAGUUAUCAAAAAUUAUUAACUACAGACGGCAAAGUUCAAAUUGCCCCAUCUUCAUAAAUUUAGUCUAUUUUAAAACUAUGUUUUAAGAAAUAUAAUAGAUGUUGUCGUAGUUAUUGAAACUAGCUUUUAAAAUUACAAUAUAGUGUUGAAAAAUAUCUUAAAAAUAAAAAUCGGCAACUACAAUUUAGGAAGACUAACGAUUCAUUUAUUAUAGUUUUUUGACAUUUUUAAUAAAAGAUCUUUGAAGNGCUAGUUUAACGGUGUAAAAGAAUCGAAAUUUGUUGAAUUUUUGAUAGAAAAUUCUAUUCACUACAUAGAUAAAGAUCAAUAACUCCGAUCUUGAAUUGAAGAAUCCGAUUAUCCUUUUUUAGGACGUCGUUCGAUUUUGACCAUUCAUUUUAUGCCCACUUGAUGGAUUUAAUUAUGAUUUCGAAAAUUUACGAAAUUUAUUUUCUAGAAGUUUCAAAUACUCUAGAUCAUAUUUAACGGAGUGGAUUGUCGAUUCGGAAGCUCCAUCAUUAAAAAUAACUUAUGAGUACGAUGGCUCCAAUACUCAUAAUAGUAUAGUAGCCAUGGCCUAUAUAUAUAUAUAUAUCACACACACACACACACACACACACACACACACACACACACACACACACACACACGAAGGUUGCAAAUACAACUUAUAUAUAUCACACACACACACACGAAGGUUGCAAAUACAACUUAUCUAAUGUGACAACAUGCCAUGGGGACUUUUGAGAGAAGUCCCAACUCAACACGGCAUGAGCUAUAGUCUUACCUAUAAAUGCAAAAAACUAACAUGAUAGAUAUAUGGCGCAGUAAAGAAAAAAGUUAAAAUAUUUUGAACAUAAGUAUACCAAGUUGGAGACUCUCAGACACAAACCUGUUAAUUAAUUGAGAAAAAUAACAUGACUGUCGAAGAUGAAUGCUGCAAAUAUGUUUGUUUUUGCACCAAGUAAUCACUCAAUUGAUCUGCCAAGGAUUAGAAAUUAUGAACCCACAAAUGACUUCUUAUAAGAGCUUCUUUAUUCAUGUGAAAACUUUUGACUACUGCAAGGUAUAAUCAAACACCAAUCUUACAAUUAUUGACAAGAAAUGUUCAACAAACAAUUAAUUAAAUUCUAUGAAUAUAUCAUUGCUUUUACAAGUUAUAAAUCAUUUCCUGUUAUUACUAUCUUAAGUUGUCAUAUCUAAUUAAUGGAUCUACUGCUUCUGAGUUUGAUGAAGUUGUAAUUUAUGUCUGAUGAUUAAAAUUGCAUCUGCGCGCACGUGAGAUGAAAAAAAAUUUAUCGGUUUGCUUAAUUUUAGCAUCAUUAGUUAUUGUUAUUAUUGUUUGUAUUUUAAAAAAAGCAACAAUUUGCUUUAUCUUCAUGAUCUAUGUUCACGUGCACUAAACAAGUUCAAAAUAUUUGAUCAGCGAUAACCUAUUAUUUAAUUACUCUAAAAAAAGCUCAAAACCACUAAUAUAAUACUAAUUAUGCCUGCUAACACUUAAGUCGACAGUCAAUUUAUUAGACCAAAUGUUAAUCAACUCUCCACUCGCUUUUAGCGCUUCGAGCUACAAAAAGGCGAUAAGUUCAAAUGAGAAUAUUCAUGUUUUAAUCGAUUGACUAAUUAUAACAAAAUAGAUCCUUCACUAUUGAUGAUAUGUGCUAUUAAUAAUAUUCCAGCCUAGUUAUAUAUAUAUAUAGAGCAGGGCUGCUGUGCUCUCAGGAGCACGGAGGAGCACGUCCGUGCUCCUGAGCCGUUUUCGAUGAUGGAGUUUUCGAAUCGACGAUCGGCUCCGUUAAACUUGAUCUAGUAUAUUUGAAGUUUCUAGAAAUAAUUUUUGCGAUUUUUCGUUAUCAUUUACCUAGCAAUCGAAAUGAUUCAAAAUCAAUAAUUUUUAACAGCUUAAAAUAAAAAUUCUAUAAAAAGUGGUGAUAUAGCACUAAAAUUUUCGAUCAAAAUUAUUGAUCUUGUUAUAAAUAGUAUAAAGAAUUUUGUAUCAAAAUUUCAUCUGAUUUGAAUACUUCUACACCGUUAAACUUGAAAACGGCAGAUAUCAACCAUUAAAAAUUAUGGAUUUUGAAUCCUUUCGAUCACUAGGUAAAUGAUAUCGAAAAAUCGCAAAAAUUAUUUUCUAGAAACUUCAAAUGCGCUAGAUCAAGUCUAACGGAGCCGAUCGUCGAUUCGAAAAUUCCAUCAUCGAAAACAACUCAGGAGCACGGAGGCCUCCGUGCUCCUGAGAGCACAGCAGCUCUGCACUAUAUAUAUAUAUAUAUAUAUAUAUAUAUAUAGAGAGAGAGAGAGAGAGAGAGAGAGAGAGAGAGAGAGAGAGAGUUGGGCUAGAAUACUAUUAAUAGCAAAACGUCAUUUUUGCUAUCAAGUUUUCAGCCAUUGGAUCAACUCCUUUCAUCAUUUCUAAUCAUUGGAUUAAAUACUAUAAACCAGUGGGGACCACUCAACCCUAGGGGACCACUCAACUCUAACUGACUAAUAUCAUCCUAACCCUACAAUUUCUCAUCCAAUGGUUAAAAACUUGAUAACAAAAAGAGCGUUUUGCUAUCAAUAUAUUCCAGCCUAAUUUUAUAUAUAUAUAUAUAGUUGAGCUAGAAUACUAUCGGUAGUAAACGAGCCGUUUUACUACCGAUUUGUUUUCGAUGAUAGAAUUUCCAAAUUGACGAUCGGCUCCGUUGAACAUGAUCUAUACCACUUAAAGUGUUUAGAAAUCAAAUUUUAAAUCUUUUCGACAUCAUUUGCCUAAUGAUCAAAGGGUUUCAAAAUUUGUAAUUUUAAUGGUCGAUAAGAAGCGUUUUCUCGUUUAACGGCGUAAAGAUAUCCAAAUCAAUUGAAUUUUUGUUAGAAAUUUUUAAACUAUUUAAAACAAGAUCUAUACUUUGAUCUUGAUUACAAGACUCCUAUCAUCAUUUUCUAAAGAGUAUUCAUUUUCAGCCAUUCAUUUUUCUGUUCACUUGAUGGAUAAAAGAACAAAGAACAAUAUCGAAAGUGCGUGAAAUUUGAUUUCUAGGUAGUUUAAAUGGUUUAGAUCAUAUUUAACGCGAGACCGCAUCGGAUCAAUUUGGGAAGCUCUAUCAUCGAAAACGAAAUCGCGUAGUAAAAAGUGGCUCCGAUUUACUACCGAGUAGUAUUCUAACUAACUCUAUAUAUAGUAUAUAUACUAUAUAUUUAUAUAUAUAUAUAUAUAUAUCAAUCAUUCAAAACAUAUAGUUUAUGGGCUUUAUCUGAAAAGAAAUUGUAGAUUGCUUUAUAAUGAUAGAGUCUAUGCGAGAAGUAUUGAUUGCCUUCAUUCUAAUUGAGGAUUAGCUAGGGCAAAGUGAGGAAACAUGAAAAAGGUCAUUAGGUUGCGUUAUUUGGAAAAGAUCAUAUACUAGAAGAAUGUCGCCUUUUGAUACAUUCUUGUUACCAUUUAGAAAGUAGGAAACUUAAUUACAGUACAGCAUCAAUUCGUUUCCUCUUUAUACUUUUGUAUCUUGUGGAGUUGCAUUACCAUUUAGGGACUGUUUGAAUUUAAAGUUUGUUUGGUUAGUGAUCAUGUAAUUUGAUUUAUUCAAAUUUUUCAGAAACAAAGUAUGCAGAUGCAUACGUUGCUAAAUUUGUUUGAUUUGAUCAUAAGCAGUCGAUUGAUCUUACUUGUUCAUUUCAUUUAUCCGCAAUAGAUCCAAAGAGAAAAAUUGAAAUUGUAACAAAAACUGAAAAAUGCAAGUAAUGAAGAAUGUUUCAUCUAAAAUUUUGCAGUACUAAUCCCUCUCGGAGUUUCUUUCUCACCAUACGAAUGGUACUGAUAUCGCAUCCUUAGAGUAAGAAAAGGAGAAAAACUAUGACUAGUAUGUGUACAAAUAGAGUGGUUCAACUACAAACACCACCAUGUUGGCAGGGAAAAAAAAAAAAGAACAAGAACAAGAACAAGAAAAAGAAAAUGGUGCUUGAUUAUGGUCAAUCGUGCCAACAAAGAAGCAUCACGACGCAACGUCGUAUAAUGUAUAGUUUGGCUCUUUGCUCCCUUAGAGCUCUGCUGAGCCCUCCUCUUUGCUUCUCCUGGCUAUGUAGCUUCAUUGUCAUGGCUUAAUUAGCUUGAACAGUUGUAAAGUGGAGAGGAGAAAAUAGUGUGUUGAGAAACAAUAAGUGAGAGAGAGAGAAGUAGAGGGUACUCUUUGCUAUCAAUUGUAGUUGGAUUGAAUAGUUUGAGGGGAUUCACAUAUGGAUUUUAUAGAGAGAUCAGGGAAAAUGGGGGGAAAUUAAGGGAGUGGUCCAACACCUAGAGGGCUUGUUAAUUAAGAGGUGCUUUCACACAAGUGUAGUAUCUUGAUUGUUACUUAGGAGACAAGGCUCUGAAUUCAUGUAUAUUGUUUUAUCUUUCUUGCUUCUUUUGCCUAUAAUUGUUUUGUUUUCUUUAAGCUAUAGAAAUUGUGGCCUUAAGCAAGCAUCAGAUAUUGAGGUAUAUUUGUCUCUCCUGCGCGCCUCUUUGACUGUACUGAGAAGUACUUCCUCGCCGAUCGAUUGCUUGAAGAAAACAAUGUUGAUAAAAUAUUACUUGUCGGAUCGUUAGCGCUAACCAUUAAUCCCAAAAGCUCGAGCUGUAGAAAUACGUAACCAAUUCACUUAAAGCGUACAGAUACAGCGCCCACAGGUCUCGGUUAUGACUCGGUCCAACCAGCCUCAUGUCACUUCGAACAUGACUCGGUCCAACCAGCCUCAUGUCACUUCGAACAUGACUCAACUCAGCCCAACAUAGCCUCUCGCCAUAGAACAGAAUGCUAACUCAUUUAAGCCAACAAUCCCCUCUCUAGCAUCUGCACACAUUUGCAGUAUUGGGGAAUCGAACUCGCGAUCUCUGGCUCUGAUACCACUUGUCGAAUCGUUGGCGGUAACCAUUCAUUCCAAAAGCACGUGCUGUUAGAAACAUACAACCAAUUCACUUAAAACAUACAGAUACAGUGCCCACGAGUCUCGAUUGUGACUCGGCCCAACAAGCCUCACGCCACUUCGAACAUGACUCGACCCAACGUGACCUUCUGCCACAGGACAAGUGCUGGCUUAUUUAAGCCAACAUUACAUUCGUACGCACGCAUUUUCUUUUUUCUCUCAGUUGGCACAUGCAACCUAACCUAUCAUGGCGCUCGCAACGAGAGUUUUACUAGAGCAAGUGACAGGCUUUGUUGGCCUAUCGAGGCAGUCGCACUCAUCGUCGCAUAAAAAGGAAAAUCGAGUGGCCUCUCGUGUUAAUGAAACCCUAAACCCUAAUGAAAAGCUAAAUUCGACUACAUUAUGUCGAGAUCCGAGCGUGCACUAGAAUAUUUUUGCGAGCUAACUGUUCUUGAUCAGUGAUCAGUCUCUUGUAUCUGUCCUUCGACUGCACGGAAAAUGCUUUUUUUUGUUCCCCUCCUAAUAUUCAAUAACAAGUUGCAUGGAGCAUGUCUCCUGAUCAGAGUAUAUAUACUUGUUUAUUAAUUCCUAGAAUGGCUUUUCAUAUAUAUACUGUUGUAGUACAUGGCUUGACAAUUCUUUACUCACAAAUCCAUGCCAAUUGUAGCAUUAUUUUUUUAAUUAAAUCCCUAGCUACUUUCUUUGCCUCCUUUCACAUUAAAUUCUCUUCACCUUCUUGUGGACACCAAGUUUCUAUGCCUAGGAUGCUUAAAACAAUCAUGAUUUUCAUUUGUACGUAAUUUUGUUAGUUUCUUUACUUGCCCUCUCCUUCAUGGUCUCUGUUUGUUCAGUUCUUGUCAUGUUGAAAUAACAAUGACAUGCAAAUACCAAAAUAAAGGAAUAUUUUAGGUAAUUUUUAAGCAAAUGCUGUCGCUGCUCGACACAAAUUUUUGCUGCAUUUGAAAUAGUUGGCAAGCUAUAUAGUGUUCAAUGCUGCAGCAUUUUUUUUUCUCAUUUCUUGCUUUAAAAUAUCCUAAAAGAACAUUAGAUAGAUAUAAAAUAUUGAAGUACAUCUCCUAAGUUUUUGAAAUUACGGAAGCCUCCGUACUUGUAAGUUAUUUUUUAUGAUGGGAUAUCUAAUUUGAUGAUCAGCUCUAUUGUGAAUGAUCUAUACUAUUAGAACUAUUUAGAAACUAAAUUUCAUAAUUUUUCGAUAUCAUUUAGCAAGUAAUCAAUGGGUCUAAAAAAUGACUAUUUUAAUGGCCGAUGUGGCACGUUUGUAAGUUCAACGAUAUAUAACAAUUCAAAUUACAUAAAACUUUGGCUAAAUUACAUAAAAACCCAGUCAAAACCUGAUUUUUCACUUUUCCCCCCUCUCAUUUAAAAACCUACAGUUUGUCCCCUUAUAAAAUGAAAAAUGUUCACCGGGUGGUACGGUGUGAACAGUGAUAACAAAAUGACCAUUUUGCCCCUCACCAUUUUCGUCUCCUCCCUCAUCUUGCUCAUCCGCCGCCUUGAUCGGCUGCGGUUCGCGCCUCAAUCGACCGCAGUUCCUCUCCAUUUUCUUCUUCACCUACUUCCCUUCUCCUCCUAUACCCUCGUCGCCCCUCCAUUUCAGCGACAGUAGGGAGGAAAUCGAGGUGGGCGUGGAGGGAGAGGUGGGCAAGGGCAACGAGGGCGAAGGCGAGGCGGUGGAGGAGAGCGAAGGGGUGUUUGUGGGUGCGGACGGAGAUGUGGGCGAGGGCGAGACAGUGGAGGAGGGCGACGCGGCGAGGCGGAGGAGGGUAAAGCAUCAGUAGAGAGGGCGGAGGGUAUUUUUGACAUAAAAAAAUAUUUUAUAACGAAAUCCUAACGGAUCACUAACGGUAGAGGAUAAAGUGAAUUUUUUUCAUUUUACAGGGGGGCAAAGUAUAGGUUUUUAAAUGACAGGAGAAAAAAAGUGAAAAAUCAAAUUUUUACAGAGGGGGUUUUCUGUAAUUUAGCCUAAACUUUAAUAGAAAAUUUUACUUAAUAUUAAGAGUAAAAUCAAUAAUUCCGAUUUGAAAUUUAAAUUUUUUAUUACUAUUUUUUGUAAGAUUUUUAUUUUCAGCCGUUUAUUUUGAGACUACUCGUUUACUAUGCAAACAAAGCUAAAAAAAUUGUGAAAUUUGGAUUCUAAAUAGUUCUAAUAACAUGGAUUAUGCCUAAUAGAGCCAAUCGUUGAAUCAGAUGUCCCAUCUUCAAAAACAACUUAUAAGUAUGGAGACCUCCGUACUUUCGAAAGUACAGGAGUCUAGCUCUAAACUAUUGUUACUCUUAUCAAACUGGGACUCCUCUAUAUACUAUUACCGUUAUGCUUCUAAUUUCAAUCAUAUAAAUAUAUAUAGAAAGCUAGGCUGGUAUACUAUCGGUAGCACAGAGGCCUUUAUACUACCAAAUUAUUUUCAAUGAUGUAGUUUCCAAAUCGACGAUCGACUCCAUUAGACUUGAUCUAUAUUAUUGAAAGUAUUUGGAAACAAAAUUUCAUAAUUUUUCGAUAUCAUUUACCUAUCAAACGAGUAGUCUAAAAAUAAAAAGCUGAAAAUAAAAAUCUCAAAAAAAUGAUGAUAAAAGACUUGAAUUUAAGAUCAGAGAUACUGAUCUUACUCUAAAUAGUGAAAGAAUUUUCUAUAAAAAUUUUAUCAGAUUUGAAUUAUUUUACACCGUUAAAUUCACAAACGCAUCACAUAUACCAUUAAAAUUGUCAAUUUUGAGACAUUUUGAUCACUAGUCAAAUGAUGUCGAAAAAUUAUGAAAUUUAAUUUUCAAAUACUUUUAAUAGUGUAAAUACAAGUCUAAGGGAGUCGAUUGUCGAUUUGGAAGCCGCAUCAUUGAAAACAACUUAGCAGUACGGAGGCCUCUGUGUUACCAAUAGUAUACCAGCCUAGCUCUAUAUAUAAUUUAUAUAUAUAGAGAGAAAGAGAGAGAAAGAGAUCUAGAGAGAGAGAGGGGGGGAAAGAGAGAGGAUUGCUAUGCUCUUAGGAGCAUGGAGGUCUCAGUGCUUCUGAGCUGUUUUCGAUGAUAGAAUCUUCGAAUCGACAAACGGCUCCAUUAGACUUGAUCUAGCAUAUUUGAAGUUUCUAGAAAAUAAUUUUUACAGUUUUUUGAUAUUAUUUACUUAGCAAUCGGAAGGAUUUAACAUCAACGGCUGAAAAUAAAAAUUCUACAAAAAGUUGUGAUAUAGCAUUAAAAUUUUCGAUCAAAGUUAUUGAUCCUGUUGUAGAUAAUAUAAAGAAUUUUGUAUCAAAAUUUUAUCUGAUUUAAAUACUUCUACCCCGUUAAACUUGAAACGGCAAACAUCAAUCAUUAAAAACUAUUGAUUUUGAACCCUUUUGAUCACUAGGUAAAUAAUAUCGAAAAAUCACAAAAAUUAUUUUCUAGAAACUUCAAGGGGCAAUUGCUUAUAUACCCGUGAAAAGUUUCCGACUUUCCUAUUUACCCCUCUUAGAAUGCUAAUAUUGAAAAUACCCUCUUUACGUUCCAACCUAUUUCUAAUAUACCCCUAGAGUUAAAAUCUAUUAAUUAACUCUGUUAACUCUGUAAAAUUACUAUUUUGCCCUUUCAAAUAUACCCUUCCACCAUCACUGACUUUCUUAUUUGCCCUUAAAGCCAGGGGCACAAAAAUUAUUUUAACUUUUGGUCUUUUCCAAUAUAUACCCCUCUACUGUCACCAACAUUUCUUAUUUGCCCUUAAGUUAAGGGCAAAAUUGGCAUUUUAAUUUUUUUUAACUGCGGUAGAUGUUUAACUCACGUUUAACUCAAGUUAACUUAACAUGAGAUAACUGCGGGAGUAUUUUGCAAUAACGGUGGAACAUAUAAGGGGUAUUUUAGAAAGAAAAAAAUAUGGGUAAAUUGGAUAUUUUCAAACAUAUGAGGGGUAUAUAGGCAAUUAUCCCAAACUUCAAAUACGCUAGAUCAAAUUUAACGGAGCCGAUCGUUAAUUCGAAAAUUUCAUCAUUGAAAACGGCUCAGGAGCACAAAGGGCGGAGGCUUCUGUGCUUCUAAGAGCACAGCAGCCUUGCGCUCUCUCUCUCUCUCUCUCUCUCUCUCUCUCUAUAUGAGAGAUUACGGUUGGUAUGCUUCUGGAAGCACGGAGCCCUUCGUGCUUCCCAAUUAUUUUCGAUGUUGGGACUUUCAAAUCGACGAUCGGCUCCGUUAAACUUGAUCUAGAUUAUUUGGAUAGAAAAUAAAUUUUUUGAUUUUUCAAUAUCAUUUGCCUAGUGAUCGAAGGGGCUCAAAAUCAACGGCUAAAAAUAAAAAUCUUACAAAAUGUGAUGAUAUGAUAUUAAAAUUUUAGAUCAAAGAUAUUGAUCUUGUUUUAUAUAGUAUAAAAAAAUUUUCUAUCAAAAUUUUACAUGAUUUGAACAUUUUUACACCGUUAAACUUGCAAACGGCUCACCACGGCCAUUAAAAUUAUUAAUUUUGAGCCCCUUCGAUCAUUAGGCAAAUGAUAUCGAAAAAUCACAAAAUUUAUUUUUCAGGUAAUUCAAAUACUCUUGAUCAAGUCUAACAGAGCCAAUUGUCGAUUCGAAAAUCUCAACAUCGAAAACCAUGCACUUAGAAGUAUGGAGGGUUUCGUGCUUCCGGAAUCAUACCAGCCUCACUAAUUGAGUAAGUGGUUGCAAAUUAGAGGUGCCUCGAAAUUUGAUUAUCAACUUUGAUUUUGGGUCCAUGAUUUAUUGACAAUUUCGUAGUGCGAUAGAAUUUUUGGGAAAUGAAUUGUGGAAGAAAAAUGGAUGUUUGUGGUGGGUAGCGGAGACCUUGAUCUGAUGUAGCGUAUUGUAAUCUUCAUAACAUUGUACUUUCUUUUUCAUAGUAAAAUUCUCUCCUCUUUCAUCCAUGAUUUUUUUUCCUUAAAAGAAUUUUUCGCGUAAAUCUUUGUGUUCAUUUUAUUUUCUGCUUGUACUUUGUUUAUUUCACGUUUGCCGUCUUUCGUUUUUGUUUGUGUACUCGUCGUAACACUUUUAAUUUAAGAAUUCUUUGGUAUAAGGCCAAUCACUCUCCACACUUUAUAGAUCAGUUUCUUUUAGAAACUAUUUGAAUGUUUGAAUACUAGAACUUGGAUCAAAGUCUCUAAAGGCACUUAUGAUUAGUUUUUCUUUUUUCAGAAUAAUAAUUUAGAAGCAACAUAUAUCUAAGUAUACUAUCAUUACAACAAAAACGGUAUAUAGCGACACUUUUAAAUGUUGGUACAGGUCAAAAAAAGUGUUGCUGGCUAAAUUACCAACACUUUUAAAAGUGUUGUUAUAUGUGGAGUCGCUAGGUAUAUAGUAAUAGUUAAAGAGUGUCUCCAUAAUCUAAAAAGAGUCAUGCUAAUUUACCAACACUUAUUUAAGUAUUUAGCAACCGUCGGAAUUCUAGCUCGUUGGCUACGGUGGCGGAGGAGAAGGAGAGGGAAGGGCUUUUCGUCUAGGAUUUCAGUGGAUUGAGUAAAGGAAGAAUGGUAGAUGGUAAUCAAUUUUUCUUUUUCUUUUUUUUUUCUAUUUGUAAUCGGGCCGAAUGGCUUAGUGGGGUGAGUUGAGUGGAGUAAACUUUUAUUUUUGGUUGGAUUGGGCUUUAUAUUUAGCCAUUAGUAGAUUUUUUUUAAAGUUUUGGCAUAAAUGAGACACUUACACAAAAGUGUUCCAAACAUGUGUCCCUAUAACCUAAUUCUGUUGUAGUGUAUUCAUCUGUCAAUUGUUGCAUGAUCCUUGAGUAAACUAAGCCACAUGAUACUUUUUUUGAGAGAGAGAUAGGUAGCACGCUACCCGCUUCGUUUAUUUCAUUUAGAAAUAAAUUUAGCUGGAAAUGUGAAUCAAUUAGUAUUCGAACUUAGGUCUCGGGUACCAACCACCAACCCUUUUGCCACUUGCUGUAGGGACGGUCGGUUAAGCCACAUGAUACUAAACCGCAUGUUCAAGCAUCCAAAAAAGCUCUUAAAUAAAACUGGUGUUUUGUUUGGUCGGAUAUAUGUAGUUAUAACAUUUGCAUUUAACACGCAUGGUACUAUUUAGUUGAGAAUGUUGCGACUACGGAUUUUAAGUUUUGGUUACUUGCAAUUGAAAGCAAUAUUCGUGCAUCUUUCUAUUUUAAAUGCGAGAUGGUGAGAUUAACCUCAAAGAAGCAAUCUUUUCUCUUUUCUUUUCCUGAUGAGGCAAAAGAUAAGUAAUUAAUUAUUUAUCGAGUAGAGUUACUUUCUCCAGCUGCUAAAUUAUGAUUUACAUCUAAUUUCGAUAUAGGACGAAAUGCAACAAUCAAGCCUUUAUCUGUAUAAAUCCAAUUAUUGUAUCUAAGUCCUACACUAUAGGUAAUUAAAUAGAAUUUUUGGAGCUUGCGUACAAUUGUACCUAUAUUAUAGCUUACAAUGUAGAUAAUCAAACAGCUGAUUAAUGCAAAGGGAUAUAACUAAUAAAAAAAAUGAUUGUUAAAGAGAGGAUUAUUUUGAGGUUAUAAUUAGGCGCAUGUGUGAUGACACAUUAAUGAAUAACUUUAAUUAGAAAAAAAAAAAAAAGAAGCAUGCAUAUAGUUUGUCACGUUUUAGGCAGUGGAGAAUCUAUGGUACAAUGCCAUGCAAUGUGACACCACCAACUUUUUAGCUACAAUAUUUCUUUCCUAAAUUAAGAAAUGAUUUUACAAUGAUAAUAAUUCAUUGUUCAUUGGAGGGAAUUAACCAUCCUACCAUGCAUUAGGCAUUCAUAAAUCUUUCAUUAUUAAAUAUAUAAUUAUUGUUGAUUGGCUUGUCUGUGAGAAAGUACUUUUUGGGUAGAGUUGCUUAUCAGGUAUCAACUGCUUCAUCAACAUCUUCUAAUAUAGCUUUUUGUUGCAGCAGAAGCCAGAGAUGAUGAAGCUGAAGCAAAGCUUAUACUUUUGGCCUCCGAAAAUCUUCUUAGCUUUUCUUAGAUCCCCACAAUGCUUUUUAGUUUCUAGUCACAUUAAUAAAUUCAGAAUAUAUUUUCUUUCUUUUUUUUUCUCCAAUAUUUCAUCUAUUGAUUGUUUAUCUUCUUCAAAAUAGCCUAUAGUUUUGAGGGGGUUGAAUAUAUAUUUUCUCACCAUAUCCUUCAACACCUUUUAAGGGUCACGGGUAGAGUCGGUAAUUUAAUUUUUAAUUCAAUGAAACAAUUACAAUGUUUAACGGAGUUUACAAAUAAGGUUAAAUUUGAAAGAAUGUAUAUAUUUAGAUAGGUAAGCAUGAUAUUACUGAUUUUGUAAGAGUAUUUAUGAUAUUUUCAACUUUUGAAAGGUAUUGGUGAAAUUAACCCUAGAAAUUAAGUUGUUUACAACUAAAAUGAGUGGUUUCUAAAUUUGAAUUUAGUGUUGGGUCUCAUUCGGUCUCAUGACGAUUAAUAACUUUCUAAGACAAUUGAUAUAUAUACAUACUGCUUGUGCUCUCAGUAUUGUGACCCAAGAUUGAAUCCCGCUUUUAGUGGGAAGUGUGCCUACGAGCAAGAGAUUUCAUAUACAACUUCUUUUUCUUUUUUUUCUAAGAAAACGGUAGCAUAUUACCCAUUUCAUUCAUAAAGUAUGACACCUUAGGUAUCGUUUGGUUUAGGGAUAAGCAAAAAAUGGCUAUUCCAAGCGAGGAUUAGAUCAAUUUUGCGUUUGGAUGAAAAUUGGGUUAUUCCUGAGAAUAAAAAAAAUAGCGUUUGGUUAGGUAAGAUGGAAUAAGAAAGAUAGUGAGUUUUUACAAAUAAAAAAUAAUCAUAUUAUCCUCUUAUUAUAUUUGAAUUUAAAUUUUUAAAAUUUUAAAUUUAUAUUUUUAAAUUUAAAAUUUUAACUUUGAAAUUUUAAAUUUUAAAAUUUAAAAUCUCAAAUUUUAAAUUCAAAAUUUUAAAUUUUAAAUUUCAAACUUUAAAUUUAAGAUCAAAUUUAAAUUUGAAAAAUAUAAAAUAUCAAAUUUUAAAUUUCAAAAUUAAAAUAUCAAAAUUUAAAUUUAAAUUUUAAAAUUUAUAAUUUAAAAUUAUAAACUUUAAUUUUGAGAUUAUAAAUUAUAAAUUUUAAAAUUUUAAAUUUUAAAUUUUUAAAAUUUUAAAAUAAGUAUUGGAGUGGAACAAUUAAUAAAAAUAAUUUAUUAUAAUAAAUUUAUAAAUUUUUUUUUAAAAAUUCUACUUAAACUUAAAUUUAAUAAAACGAAUUUAUUAUAAUAUUAAAUAUAAUUUAUUAUAAUUCUUUUAUAAAUAUUUAAUAUGAAUAAUAUGUAUUAAUAUAUUACAGUUAUAAAUUUAUGAUAAAUUUAUUACGGCUCUAAUGUGUAGGGUUUCUUUUUUUUCUUUUUUUUUUACUUUUUUGUGCAUGUGUUGAGGCCUAGUUGCCUCAUUCCUAUAGACUUUAAUUAAAGUCUUCUAAAAUUCUUAAUGACAUGCAAUAGCUGUCCUGUGAAAUAUUUCUUCUUUUUUUUUUUUUUGCAACCACAAAACCCACUAGCUGGCACUACUAGAAACAAGCUCCCCUUUUGAAGGUUCUCAACUCAUAAUACACAUCUCCCGUAGAUAUCAACUGUUGAGCACAUUUAGAUCUCCCACUUGUUUGGCAUCAGGGGCGCCUCCAUCAUACAUUUGCUGAUCACGCAACCUACAAAAGAGUGAUCAGCAAUCUAUAGUUCGUUUUGACACAUCAUACAUUCCAGCUUUUCCUACCAUUCCUUUUUAGACAGAUUUUUUUUUUUUAUCAGUACUUUCUUCCUCACGAUCAACCAGAUGAAAAUCUAAACUUUCGACGGGCAUCGAAGCGUCCAAACAAUGGCUGCUGAUCUUACCAAGAUCUAGACUUGCACCUUAGAAUCAAAACACAAUUGGCAAAUUAUGCAGUAUAAAGCACUGGGUUAAAGAGUGGUACAAUACUCAGGAUGUGACAAAUCUGAGCUUGGAGGUAUUUGGUACCACAGAACAAAAGUUGAACUUCCUACAAGAUCCUCCAGAUGUUGGUUUUUGUUUCUAAAAUAUGUUUCUUCCACAUGAAUGAACUUACAUGCUUACAAUUGUCAAUUACGUUGCUAUGAGAUUGUAGUUUCACAAAUUAUCAGGAAUAAACUAAACUGUUGUUCAAUUUUAGAGUCGAUUGCAUUAUGUUCAAUGUUUUUACAUAUCAAACUGAUAUUGUAAAAUCACUUUAAGACUCUUCAAAUUAUUUGUCGAAUUUCUUAUAUUAAGCUGCAAUAAUAAAUACCGUUUACAGAUAGGAUAGGAAAUCAUGUAAAAAUGAAAUAUUAUACAUCAUAUUAUCUCAAACUAUAGCACAUUUUCACGUUGUCAUCUUGUGAUCUAAAAAAUUGUAGAAACCUAUCCAUGACUUUAUUUUUGUUCUAAGCAAAGUUUUUCGAAAACCACAAGAUCAUAGAAAUGCUCACAAUAAAACAAAAGUAACAAGUUAGCAAAGUAAAAACGCGCUAAACCCUACAAUAGUUAAGUACAACUUUUUAAACAUUGAGUGACAAAGUAAAAAAUAUACUAGACCACAGCGAGAUAAAUUGAUGUUCACCCUUAAAAACAAAAAGAUUACAAAAUACAUGGCAAAACAGACAAUCUAGUUGUAACAGAGUGAUUGAUUCCAAAUUUCUGAUAUUUUCUCCUAUUAUCUGCAGAUUUUGCAUGUACAUUCUUCCUCGAAAAAACAGUAAAAGGAAACCUUACAAGUUUUAGUCUCACUUAAAUACAUCUACAAAAAUUGUGAAAGAUAGAAUGUACUGUAACCAAAGACAGUUAACCGGUUAUCGACCAAGAACUGCAUAUAGAUCAUAUCGGCAAUGUCCUCAGCAAAUGAAGCGCGCGAGUCCACUGUGGACCCUCAGAGAGAAUGAUCCUCUUUAGCACUGGUACCGCCCCUGCAGAAAUUAUUGCCGGGUGGUUCUCUGCAUCCAUGCUUAGAUUGUAUAAAAUAGCCAAACUAGAUUCAAUAACAUCACCCUUUCCCUCUUCAAUAAGCUUCACUAAAUGAAAUAUCCCACCGGCAUUUGCAACCGCCUUUGCAAAUUCCAUUGAUCCUCCGGAAAUUAUCCUCUUCAAUUCCAAUACCGCAGCUCUUUUCGAUUCGUAGGAAAAUGAAGUUCUAAUCUGCUCAAUGAGUCUCGGAAUUGUUUCGUAGAUGAUUACUUCCUUGUCGACAGUAAAAUUUACAUUAUUUAAGGCGGAACCAAACUUAGAUUCGAGCUUCACAAGGCAUGCUGCCACCCAGUCCUUCGUGCGGAGCGGAAUAUCAGAUUUUAGGAUUUUCCGAAGUUGAAUUACGUAUUUUGCAGGGUCUAUCGUACGAUUGAAUUGGUCAAAAUUUAACAACUUUGUGAGUAGUCUAGCGGCAGCAGAAGUUGCGAGGCCAAUUUCUUCUAUUUCAACGAUAGUUGGCUCAGGCUGGUUCUCAGUAUCAUCCUCCUCCACUGCACAAAAGUCAAGUAAAUCAAAUGUGUUAAAUUAGUAUUGUAUUGACCAAAUUAUGGAAUAGUAAGAGAAGUUCAGUAUUAGAUUAACCAGAUUUAUGUGAAAAAAUAAUCAAAAACAAAAAGCAAAAUACUGUUGGCAGUUUAGUUAAUCCUUCUCUUUUUAACAUUUUUUUCAGUUCACUCUUCUCAUUUCCCCCCGUCAGUUCUUCCACACGAACGAGAAAGAAAUCUGGGAAGAAAAUAUGGAUGGUUGGUGGUGGAUCUGGGGUGUCUCAGCAUUAGCCUUUCCUUUGGUUGGAAAGAUCCAGGGCAUCUAGACUUAGCUCUUCCUUUGGCCUCCAACCAAGGAGGCAAUCGGAUAUGACAGAUGGUGAGGCUUAACAAGUUGUAUUAGUAACGAUGCUCAAAAGGCAUCCAUGAGUGAUUCUGACAGCUGUAGACGGACAAAAUGGGAAAGACAGCCAAGAAGAAAAAGGAAAAAAAUAAAAUAAAAUAAAAAAUAAAAAGUACAGAUUUUAUUAGAACCGACGGUGCCCGAAAUUUUUGGAUAGCAAAGUUUCCAAAACUAAAGAAAGGUUAGUUUACUAAAAUCAAAAUUUUAAAGUUUAGGUACUCAUUUCAAGAUAGACUGUAGGUAGAGGUGUAAAGCGGGCCACCUUGGCCCAACCGGGCACCGCACGAGUACUUCACCCGUGCUGUGCUGGCCUAGCCCGAAUGUGUGGGCCAUGCUAGGCCGACUCCCCAAGGCCUGUCGGCCCGGCAUAGCACAACCCACAAUAGGCUGGGCUGUGUCGUGCCAGGGGAUUGGCCCGUAGCCCGACACGAAAUUUCCUGUAAGGAUUGUAUUUGCCAGGCCAGCACGGCUUUGACCUAGCCUUAGAGACCUAGUCUCCCUAGCUCCCUCAAGAGAAAGGCCUAGCCAUUAUGGCUAAGCCCUUCUACCAAGGCCUUAGGCCCAAGACUAAAGACUAAACAUUUGCCUUUUUAAGCCCUCAAGACCAAAUAGGGACCAAGCGCUACCCCUUCUCCUAAGGGUAAGACCUUAUUUUGGUUCAUUUAAAUAUAUCAAAAUCUAUUUAAGUGGAUCAAAAUAUCCUUCCCGACAGUCAAAAAUCAUACUAGUGGGAAGGGUAUUUCGGUCUAUAUAUUUUUUAAAAAAAAAUCAAUUUUUUAAAUUUUUUAUCUCUAUAAAUACUUUUUAAUUUUAUAGUUUUAUUUUAGAUUUAAUAAAAUUUUAAAAAGACAAAUAAAUAAAAUAAAUAAAAGGGCCAGAAUAGAGCGUGGCCCAACGUGGCACUGCCCAUGCCGUUUAGGCUAGGUGGACGUAUUGGACAGACGAUCCAAGAAAUUCAGCUCGGCGCGACACAAACCGGAUAAAUGUGGAUCGUGCUAGCCCAGCACUGCCGACAUUACACCCUAAACUACAAAUCAAAUAAGUAUGUUUUCAACUUCAUCUUUUAUCUUUUCCCUCCCUAUGACUCUUAUAUGCAAAUUACUAUAUAAGUCCGGUUUGGUUGUUUAAUAAGGUUUUCCUUUUCAAUAUAUUGCAUUUUACUUUUCUUGUAUGAAAUGUUAAAUAAAUCACAUAUUGUAACAAAGCUCUCCAAGUGACCAAAGUGAUCCGAGCAGAAUACUUGAUACAGGUUGUUACACUGUAGCUUAGUUACAGAACAAUAUAAAUAUUCAAGAAAAAGUGCAUUCUUUGUAUUCCAUUAGAUUUCGACAUAAUGGAUCCUUCCUCUACCAAAAUAGUGAUUUCUAGAUUAGCUUACACAAUUCUCCCCCCAAAUUAUUAUCAAACAAAACAACCCCCGAUAGAUCGAUGAAGAAGCAUAAUCUGUGCAUUAUAAGAAAUCUAGGCCUCUAAAGAGAGAGAACGUGUACCAUUCAGAACUCCCUUUUGAAAAACAGCAUCGAGUCCCGACUCAAUUCCAGCAGCAGUCAUUGAGGUAGUAUGUGGUUCAAAAUUUGCUAAAUACUCGAGGAAAGAAGCAACUUUUGUUUGCACACUUGGUGAUGCUUUCCUCAGAAGAUCAAUUAAGCGUGAUAUAAUACCAAAGCCAAUAAUCUCCAUCCUAUGAGCAUUUAAGAGCAAACUGUUAGUGUAGCAUUACAUAGAAAAGUUAGGGACGAAAGGAAGGUUCCUUCAAAAUAGAUGUUCAUUGCAAAGAUAUAAAAAUAAUGACAAAAGAAAUAUGUAAAUUGGGGUAUAAAAAGCAUUUGCAGGGGUUAGUACUUUUAAGAAGGUUUGGACAGUGGGAUUUAUAUAAUAAUGAAAUGCUCUAAGAUAUGCAUUUGGUAGCAUUUGAACAAGUUAUGAACGAUAGAGCAAUAAUAUCCAAUCUUUAGCGAGCAGAAGAAAGUCAUCACACUUCAUCAAUUCUUCUAAGGGUCAUUUACUAACUACAAAUUUGAAAGCUCAACCGCUAGAUAAAACAGCAAGAAAUGCUUGUUAACAUAAUAUUUCAAGUUAGACUGUUCUUGCUAAUUUAUCUUCCACCCCUUUCCGCAUAAGUCUAGGCAUAACCCUUCUUCAAACAUAUGAUAAAGCAAAAAACUGAUGACGAAAGGUUCACUAUCAGUUUAUCACUAUAUCACAAACUCUAUGUCCCAUGACAUGGCCCAAGAGUCAACUAUUUUGUUCUUGCAACAAAUCGCUAGUCCUUAAGUUUGUACACUACUUAUGAAAGGAAAGAAAUCCUUCAAAAGCAAGGUGCCAUGAGAUAGGUUAAUCGCCACAGUUUUAUGGUUGCAAUAAUCCUCAACACUUACUGUUAAAGAAAAAAUCGUCUAGGUACAUGCACCUUCCAUCAAUGUAGGGUUUACCAUUAGAGUUCAAUCAUUCCCUACCAGACGUCUCACCAUUUAAAGGGAAUGAGAUGCCUCAGAUCUUUCCUUCAGAGGGGACUUUUUACUAUAAUAUUUAGUAAUACACUUAAUUUCAUUGUUCAACUUUAACAUCAUUAUUCAUUAUUCAGCGCUUAACAUCACUAAAAAAAAGAAAGAAAACAGAUUUAUUUAUAGCCCAUCAUACCAAGUAAUAUCCAACAUCUCGAUGUUUGUUAUAUAAUACGGUUAAUUUCAUACGUGUCCCUGUAAAGAUACCAAAUAGCAAAUAUAUCUCUACAAAGUUUUAAGUUAUCAGAUUUGUCCCUCUAAAGUUUAAUCUUGUUGCAUAUAUAUCCCUAUUAUUAGUCCCUAUAAAAAAAAUUUGAUUAACCAUGGUAAAAAUAUUAAUCAUAGUCAAGAAGUAAAAUGACCUUUUCACUCUUGUUAUAUAUAAUUCUCAUUAACUAAUGGGUCCUAGGUUACAUGUGAAGUCAAAGGGUGUGACAAAGAGGAAGCUGCUAGGGGACGAACGUUCCUAUCGUUCCACGAAGCCCUCCGAUGUAGUCCUCGUGCAAAAUUAACUUUAUUAAGAAGAGGAGAUAAGUGAAGGAGAAGUGAUAGGUGCAGGAGGGGUGGGAGUUGGGUGAAGAAGAGGAGCAAGAGAAGAGAUGCCAACAACGAGGGGUUGGAUGGAUUUUAAUAGAGGAAGAAGAUGACUGUUGGGACUUUUCGGGAGUGCAUAUUUGCACACUCCUAACUGUUAGGACUUUUUAGAGGAGCAAAUUUGCAAUUGCAAAACUGUCAUUUUACUUACCAACUGUUAAUAAACAAACAAUAGACUAACGGCAACAAACUAGAGAGACAAAUGUAAACAUGUUAGAACUUCAAGAGGGGCAAAUCUGAUAACUUAAAAUUUUAUAGGGAGAUAUUUGCUAUUCAAUAUCUUUACAGGGACAUGACUGAAAUUAACCCUAUAUAAUUAUACCAUAUUAUUAAAGGAAUAAUAACCUUUCCCUUUAUUCUCUUUAGUAAUCGUUCCCAGCGCAAGUGGCAAAGGACUUGAUGGUUGAUACCCGUGGUCCCAAGUUUGAAACCUAGUUGCUUUACAUUUCCAGCUAAAUUCAUUUCUUAAAAAUGAACGAAGCAGGUAGCAUGCUACCUUUCUCCCAAAAAAAAAAGAAAAAAAAAAUUCUCUUUAUCCUGUCAAUAACCAGUAAUAAAAACUUAAAAGUGGAACCUAGCCCUUCCAGCAAAAGAGAUACAGUUGAAGCCAAAUUGGCAACUUCUAUAUAGCAGCAUUGGCAUCUUCAAAUAGCAUUUAUUUCCAUGGAUCUUUCUGGUAGCUAGAUAAUAAAUAAAAUAAAAAAAAAAUCUAUAUAAUCAAAUAGUAGUGCUUCACUGAACACGUAAUAACACUACCCAGAUGAAAAACUUCUGCAGCAUUACCAUCUUAUAAAUUUAUGCAAAUUCAGUCAAGAAAAGUCACAAACACCAACAAUAAAUACCAAAUAGUUACACUUCCUUUCCCCAUGAGAAGUGACAACUGCAGCUAUUUGAAGUCAAACUGCUUUCCAGAUUGGGCUUUUUCUCAACUUAGUACAGCAAUGUAUAAAAAGGGUUUACCAGUGAAGAUUCAGUUAAGUAGUUCUUGAACAAGAGAAAUUAAUUAGUACAGAAAAAUGGUUGGCUCAAUCAAGGGCAAAAUAAAUCUGGUAAAUAAUGGACCUUCAAGCGAAUGCAAUGCAAAACACCAUAUCAGGGAAACAACAAUAACCAACCUCGUCAUAGGUUCUUGCUUCAAUAAGGUUUGAAGAAACCCGCCAGCAUCAUCAGAACUAUUUGCCGAAUUCACCUUUCCCUCAGUUCCAUUGACAACUUUGUCAUCAAACUGUCAAAUUCAUCACAGACGUCUUACUAUUAAAAGGAUAACAAUCAAAAGUUUUCAUGAUAGUUACCAUCUCACUUACCAUUCUUUUCAAGCCAUUGCCUGUAUCAAAAAUUCGAGAAAGUAUAUCAAUAGUCUGCAAUAAAGAUUUUCUGUGAGCAUUUGGACCAGAUAAGCUAAACUUAUCAGGGUUUAUAAAGGAUAAGUUAGCUCAGGUACUGAAUAACCUUUUCGAGUAGGGCGACUGGUGUACUUGGGUCCUUCAAAAUAUUAAUUAGAGGCUCCAGAGCACCUUCUGCUUCAAUUGUCCUGCAAACUAUAUUGCUGCAGAAAAAAAACAAAGAAUAAGCUAAGAGGGUAAUAUUAUCAGAGUAUAUUUAAUUUUAAAGUUUCAGAACUGCCAAGUGAAUCGUUAUCAGGGUCAGUUUUCAAUGGAAUGUCAUGGUUCAACACUUUAACAAGGCAAGAGAAUUCAGUGCACAUUAAGAUCAAGACCAACAUGCUUACAAUGAUAGGCUUUGAGGCUCUGUAGAACUAGUCAAAAGGAAGCCGAAGUAUGUGAUUUGAAAAUCAAAUCUAAGAAUUCAUCAGGUUGAACUAGCUGCGUAGAACCAUACAUUGUUAAUUUGUUAAAUACCAAUGCCAUCACAUAGACAAAUAGGAUAUAAAGAAAGGUUAUUUCAAAAAUCCAAAACACGAAAAAAUAGAGAGAAUAAGCAGACAAAGCAUUAAAAAAAAUAAUAAUAAAGCUAAUGAAGAUGUUCGUCAUACUACAAUUUCUGCAACCCUCACUCAAACAAGCCAUAAGGUAAUCUGUGAUCACAUAGUAUUUUCAUCGUCUUAACACUACUUCAAAGGACGGAGAAAAUAGCACAGCUCAGUCUUUGAGGAACCAAAGCAUAAUUUUCCAUGACUAAUAAGCAGCAUGCACCAAGGUGUUGUCAAUCAAUUUGGUAGAGCUUGCUAAAGCAUGAAUUUCAGAGGUUUCUGACAAAAAUUUAUUUUCGGGUUAAAUAAACAAGUGGUUGACGAGUCGGCAAAGGUGAGAUCAACAAAUUAUCCACCAGUUUGUGUUCUGUGCUGAAAUUUUUCUGAUCUUCAACUGGAACAUCAUAGAAACUCUGGUCAAUUCAGGGGGUCAAUUGGCAUCUGUUGAUGAUACAAACACAUCCAAAAAGGGCAGAGUAUUCAUGAAGAGAGAAGAAGCAUUAGAGAAAAUGAGGACCUCACAAUGAGGAAGAAGAAAAGGCGAUGAAGAUGGAAGGUGUACACAGCUUCGAUGACCCAAAACACCUCAAAUCACUUAAUAAUCAAGUAUUAACUCAAUACCCACAAAUUUGUAAGCCCUAAAAGUAGUAAUAUACAAGUCACUACACUGAGUUCCUGGAGGAAUCCCAUAUCGUCUUCCAAGUAAUUCAACAAGCCUAUUAAAUGAGUCAAGCAUAACCAAUUGAAGCAAAUAGUUGUAUCUGCUAAGUUCUCUAGAGAUGAAUGUAAACAACAUUUCUUUUGCUGAUUUUAGGUCAUGUUCAUUUUGGCCAUGGUUCCAAGGUUCUUAAUAGUGAAGUUCAAAAUUUUGUUCAAGAAAACUUACGUCUAGUGCAUGCAAGGUGUUGCAGUCUAUUUGAAUAAAACAACGAAAAGGAAAAGGCAGGGUAUAACCACCUGAUACUUAGCUUGUCCAAUGCAUGAGCAACAGCUUCUCUGACAGUCAAUCUAUCAUGGUGCAGUAGCUGAACUAAUUGUCUAACAGCUCCAGCUUCCUUGAAAGAAUUACGCAUGUGCUCAUUUACAGAUGCAUCAGCAACUGAAUAAGCUGCCCGUAUAAUAGCAGAAGUAUCUUCAAGCCCAAGAAUCAAAACCAAUCUUGCAACACCAUCUAUCCAGGGCAAAAGAGUAUACUGUUCUUUCUGUGGAGAUUCAUUUUGAAUUUUUUCUCCAUCCUCCAUCUCAAUUGCACCGAUUCGUACAAGAAAUUGCUGUUGAGAACGCCCGACUAUUGCAUUCAUCUUAGCCUCUUCAAGUUUCAAGUUCUUCUCUUCAAUAUUCAAUCCAACAAGUAACUCAGACGCACCAUAUCUUGAAGGGCGCGAAUUUCGCUGAAUUUCAGUUCCAUCAGGUAAAGAGGGCCACGAAUGAGUUGAGGGUUUGAAAGCUUUAUAUGCUGCAGAACCCACAACAGGAACCCUAACUAAACCCUCUUCAAUUAUGAGAAUUCUGUAGUAUUCAUCCUUGCAAAGCUCAAGUAAUGCGGUUUUAGCUUCCUUUCUGAUGACUUUAUAGCCUUCCUGUUUGCCUUUUAGAAGAUCAGCCUGCAAACGAUUAUUCAUGUUUAGAAUGCAAAAAACAAGAGAAACAGGAUAGUUGUUGAUACAGAUGAGAGAAUGAACAGUACAUAUAAGCAAUCAGAUUAAUCUAACGGUUUUCUCAAGAUAGCAUAAUAUUCACUGAAUUUUGUUUGUACACAAUUCAUAUACAUUACUUUUACAUUGGACUUACUGUAAAAACAAAAAUUUAUUCUCAAUCAGUAGCUCUGAACCUAGAUUACAAACUAAUGUAAGACUGAAGCUAACUUACAGGCACUCUUUCAAGAUGUUGGAAUAGCAACUAACCGGCACUUCACUUUGGGCGGGCAUCUCCCACAAGCAAUAGUAACGUAUACAGAAAAUUUGGACAUGUUGAUAACUUGGAAGGAAAAAAAGGUGAAAAGCAAUGUCCGGAGUUUACAAUUAUGACAACAAUGAACUUGAGCACUAUAAGCACCAUUUCUUCCGACUGAUAUGCUAAUCAUUCUAAUAAUUUGAUGAUACUUAGUUAAGAUAAAAUGCUACCUGUUAACUCCAUAUAGGGGUGUACAUCUUAUACCCUUGCAUUUAGACCCCUUUUUAAUAUUUAGAGAGAGGGGGAGGGACGGGGUUGGGGGGGGGGNGCGCAGGCAGUGUGUGUGAAGUUUGAUAAGACAAGCGAGUAGAUCCUAGCCUUUCAGAGGCUAGGGUCUAAAAACCUAAGGUGUACAGGUAGCAUUGCUUGUUAGUUGAGAUUUUUGCAAUUACAAUUCAUUUGUUUGGAUGCAGUUCAAAGCUGCACUUGCAAAUCUUGUCAUUUUAGAUAUGGGAUAGUGGAAUUACCUCAAUGGCAAAAAAGUUUCCCUUUCUUGUUAAUGAGGUCUCCUAUCAUAGAGUAACUCUUUCGAACCGUUUUAAUUCUACUUACAUUCAAUUUGAGUGCAGGACAAGAUUUAGCAGUUGGGCCUUCAUUAGUAGGUCUAACUACAUCUACGUCAAGGGUUGUCAUGCCACUAACACAGGACUUGUCGUGGCAUGACAAGACACACUGGCACACCUCAGCACAAACCCUCUUUUCUAUCACGGCACAGGCAGCAUGAACAGCACACAUCAAUCAUGCCCACCUGUGCCAGCUGGCAAUAAUUGAAAAAACGUUAAACAAGAAAGUACCCAAUGGUAAAAGAAAACCUUGAUCUUAGUACAACAACAACAAACCAAGCAGAAUUUCAGGGCAUGUUAGCAGCUGCACCUACAAUGUAGUUUUUAGAUGCAGACAACCAAACAGCCCCUAGAAGAAGAUUUGAAACAUGGGUUGGCUUUGGUAAGUCACUAAGGACAUAUAUUGCACAAAUAGUAUCAUUUGUUCGAUGAAGUUUUCUCAAGACUAAUACUCAUCAAAGGCUGUAAUAACAAAUGCUAAGACAUUGCAAGCCUCCUUGUAUCAGUUUGAACUAUGAGCUUACUUGAAUUGAAUAGACAAGCAUUAAAUGUUUAAACAGUCUAAAGAGAGACUUACCAAUUUUGAAUAGACAAGCAUUAAAUGUUUAAACAGUCUAAAGAGAGACUUACCAAUUUUGGUAUUACCCCCACUUCGACCAUAAUGCCAUGAUUGGCAUGACUUAAAGCCAAAUUUGCAAGGAUCCCACCAGCUGCCUCUUUAACUUUUAUCUCUUCAUCAUCAAGAAACCUAACAAGCUUCGGUAGAAGAUCACUUUCUACGAUCUUCGGUCUAAGCUUCUCGUCCACAGAUAAAUUCCACAAAGCAAAUAAACCUUGCUCCUUAACCUGCAGAUACAUGCCGGCAACAGAUCAGCUCUAUCAGCGACAAAUUUUGAAGAGAUGCUUAAAUAUAUCUCUUUAUAUACUCAGCAAGAUCAUUUAUAUACAUCUAUAGCUGCAAAAUCUGGAUGUUCAUAUAUGCCCACCCUUGUACUUGGAAAAAGCUCCCCUCUUUAGAAACUUUAUUCUAAUAUAAAACCAACUUCUUCCCACGAAUUUAAUAACAUCCAAACUCCAGAAUAGUUUCGUAAGAACAUGCACUGUCAAAGGGUACAUAUGGAAAUUCAGAAUUUACAAGUAAGGAUUUAAGUGCCAUAGCACGGGAUCGUGCCGGAAACUUGCCGGCACGGUACGGCACGGUGAGUGCCGAGCCGUGCCGAUGCGUGCCAAUCAAAAAAAUUCUUGUGUGCCGACACAUAAUAGUAUGAAAUAUUUAUUUUCUUUAGCAAUAAAAUAUUCUAACCAUUUAUUAUGUCUUUUUAUCACAUCUUUUGAACAUUAUUGAGAAAAUUACUUACUAAUUUAAAGAAUAGAGGGUUUUGAGCUGUGCCAUCGGCACGGGGUCUGUAUCGUGCCGCUAUCUUGUUGGCACGGUACAGCACAAUGGAUACGGCCCGUGCCGACAGGCACUUAAAACCUUAUUUACAAGGGUAUACAAGUUUCUAGGUGAUUUCGCAAGGUUACAUACAUAAAAACCCAAUUUUAAGUACCUCUGGGGCAAUUGAAGAUUGGCAAAGAAGACUAGAAAUUUCCUCUAUUGCUCCACUUUCGGCAACAGCAUCCCUGUAUAACUUUACAGAAGUUACAUUUCGUAGAAGACCUGCGGCAGCUUCACAUGUAGAACAAGACUCGGAUUUGAGAAGGCUGGUGACAAGAUUAAUACAGCCAGGAAACUGCAUGAUAUCAUCAAUACACUUCCGUCCUCCUUGUGAGUAUUGCCAGAGUGUAAUAAUGGCAUGCUCCCGGUCUAACGGGUCAUUGUCUAGGCCAAGCAUUCGAACAAAAAGACCUAUGUAGGCUUCCCCAGAAGUCACAGUUCUGCUCAAUUGUUCAAUAUCCUGAUCAAAAAUAUUCAAGGACACAUUAAUUUAAAGGGAAUCAUUUGCUUAAUGAUAUACUGACUAGAAAAGCAUAAGAAAGAAUGAAAAGCAUUGUAACGUUGAAAGUUAACAAAAUCUGCAGUACAAAACAACUCAAUCCAGCAUUCAAAUAAAAGUAUCAUCUCGACAUGAAACUCUAUGAAUUGAUACUUCUUCAAGAACAAGAUUCGCUCUUAUUAUAGAUACUAGGUGGAAAUACAGCACCUAAAACAAGUAACUGAGGGAAUAGCUAAAACACCCUAAACAAGUAACCGAGGCAAUAAAAUCUCUAUGUUUCCAUUUACUCAUCUAAUAUCAUUGUCGAACAACGUUCACUUGCCACACCAGUGCUCCAAGAAACAGGUGAUGAACAAAUUGAUGGUCCAAGAAUCAAAUCAUUGCCAUACCACAUGAGUUCAAUAGUUAGGAUGGAGUUCUCCAUGUAAAUUUCACAGGAACCCCAGAGCUUAUUUUGCAUAUAUAUAUAUAUAUAGGUCCGAAUUGUUUUCAUCCUCCCUACAUCCAAUGUUGAGGUUGCUACAAGAAACGGGAGAAACAUUGGCUUAAAGCUGCUUCGACAAAAAAAAUUUCCGUAAUAUCCCAUAUUUCAUGAGGUCCCUCCUAAGACACAUCCAAAAUUCCAUCAUUUACAACUCAAAAUUAUGUCAUUUUACAACUCAAAGGAAUGUCACUUUACAACUCAAAGUAAGGUCACUCGGGACUAAAUAAAAGCAUAAUAGUUUCAAAAUAAGUGCCAGUUCGUCCCACUUCUACUUCUGUUUUUAGUUGCAGUCACCUUCCAAAGUGUUCAGCAAUAAGCCCAUAACUUCGAUUGCGGUGAGAAACAGAAAUGCAAUUUUGAGUAGGGAUGUCAACGGGUCGGAUGCCGGGUAGAUUUUCAAAAAUCCGAACCCGAACCCGACUCCAAACCCGAACCCAAACCCGAACCCGACGGAUUUUAAAAAUCCAUACCCAAACCCCCAAACCCAAACCCGAAAAUCCGAACCCGAAAAAAUUAUUUCACUUUUCAAUAUUUCAAAUAUAUUACAUUAAAUCUAAAUUUUUAAAAUACAAAUUUUAUAUACAUAUUAUAUACAAUGUAAAAUAAAUUCGGGUUCGGGUCGGGUACAAUCAAAAUCCAUAUCCGAAUCCAUAUCCGUCAGGCAUUUGGUUUUUAUAUCAAUAUCCAAAGCCAUAUCCGCUUAGCAUCGGGUAAAUCCGCUCCUUUCGGGUUCGGAUUCGAAUAAAAUUUCGGGUAUCUGUACCCAUUGACAACCCUAAUUUUGAGGCACAAAAGCAGAAAAGACCAACCAAUUCAGAGAUUUCAAUUCUGCUGCACAGAGAAUCUAUUUGUAAAUUUGCAAUAUAGUAAUUCUCCAAACAACACUACUCAAAAAACACUUCACCAAACUCUCAAACCUCAAUCGAUUCAGUAGCUAAACCAAUUCAAAGAUUUCAAUUCUGCUGCACAGAGAAUCUAUUUGAAAAUUUGCAAUAUAGUAAUUCUCCAAACAACACUACUCAAAAAACACUUCACCAAGCUCUCAAACCUCAAUCGAUUCAGUAGCUAAACCCUCCUGGCUAUUAUAUUGCAUAACUUCCAAAACAAACGCCUCUCACAUGUUCGACGAUAUUCCCCACAGAAUCCUACGACCAAUCGAAUACACAACAAAUAACACCACUUUCACAUUCAAAUCAUAUCCACGAAAACAAUAAAACAACCAACAUCAAUUUCCUCCUGGCCACCAUAUUAGGUAACCUUCAAAAACAUGAUUCCUCUCACAUGUCGACGAUACUCCCGACAGAAUCCUGCGAGUAAUCAAAGCAACAACAACUAACACCACUUUCACAUUCUAAUCAUAUACACGAAAACAAUAAAACAACCAACAUCAAUUUCCUCCUGACUACCAUAUUAGGUAACUUUCAAAAGCAUGAUGCCUCUCACAUGUUCGACGAUACUCCCCACAGAAUCCUACGACUAAUCGAAGCAACAACGACUAACACCAAUGCCUCUCACAUGUUCGACACUACUCCCCACAGAAUCCUACGACUAAUCAAAGCAACAACAACUAACACCACUUUCACAUUCGAAUCAUAUCCACAAAAACAAUAAAACAACCAACAUCAAUUUCCUCCUGACUACCAUAUUAGGUAACCUUCAAAAACAAGAUGCCCCUCACAUGUUCGACGAUAUUCCCCACAGAAUCCUACAACUAAUCAAAGCCACAACAACUAACACCACUUUCACAUUCGAAUCAUAUCCACGACAACAACGAAUAACCAAACACCAGUUUCUCUCACCUGGGGAGAGGACCCGGCACCGCCGCCGUCGUCGGCGGUGGCACCCGCCAGUAGGCGGCGGCGGCGGCGGAGGAGGGGAACAUCCGGGGGGCGGCGGAGGCGGAGGUGAGGAGAGUGUGGAGGGGUGAGGAAGAAGGGUUUGGAGGGGGGAAGAGGAGGAAGAGGAAGAGGAAGAGGGAGGAUUAAGGAAGAGAGAGCGAGCAUCGUAAUCGUCGUAAUAGUAGCAGCAGUAGUAGUAGUUAGAAGAGAAGUACAAGAAGAAACACGCACGCUCUUCGUUUCUCCCCCUCUUGUGAGGACUGAGGAGAGGAGAAAUGGGGAUUACCCAACGACCGCCAACAGAUAAAUCUAGACGCUUCUAACCCAAUGGAUGCAAAUGGAUCCGGGUUUGUAAAGCUUCCGCCCUGUGAGAACAAAAAAAAUAUAAAAAAAAAUAUAAUCUAUUCUGAAUCCAUUCCGUGCCACCAAGUAAAUAAAACGAAAGACAGGAGAUUCUUUUCUUCCUUCAAUCCGUCCCGAUCUGUUAAAAAUCCGGCAAAAAUUCACUCCCGUCCCAAAUAGGGCGGUAAGUGAGAGCAAAAAAUAAAAUAAAAAAUAAUCCGUCUCGAAUCCGCCCCGCCCGGGCAAGAAAUGGAGCGAGAGGUGGAGAACCCUCCUCCAAUCCACCGUGUUUGUAUCCCUACUUUCCACUUCGGUCUCUAGCUUUGUCUCUAAUUAGUUUUCUUUUUUUGGGACGGGGAUAAGGCUAAAUUACUCUGUAAAUAAUUAUUUUUUAUUUUUUUAUUUUUUUAUUUUUAAAAAUCUAUAUUUGUCUCCUAAAAAUUUUAAAAAUAUUUUUCAGAGGGGUACGGCGUUAAUGUAGAGGGCAAAAUAACCAAAUUAUGAAAGAAAAAUUAUUUUUUAAUACAUUUUCGUCAUUUUAAAAGAAAUUUUUAGUAUAAAUUAUAAAAAAUGAUCGGAAAAGUGAUGGAACACUGAAGGAGGGGAGCUAAAUGCAAUAACUUAAAAUGUUGAGAGGGUAAAAUAUAGAUUUUUGAAAGUUAGAAAGAGAAAAUUUAAAAAAAAAGUAUUUAUAAGGAGUUUUCCAUAAUUUAGUCUUUCGAUAUGGAGUUGAGUUGCUAUGCUUUUAAAAGGCGAUUUUUAGUGCAAUAACCCUCCCCUAAAAUUUUAUUUUAAAAAUAGACCCGUUAAAUUUUAAUUUGUAAAUAUGGUCCUAUAAAAGCGGUGAAUCAUUCACCGCUUUCUUUCUCUUUCUCACUUUUUUCUAUAUUUCUACGAUGGUAAAAGCGGUGAAUGGUUCACCGCUUUUAUUCUUUUUCUACUUCUAGAGAAGAGUUAUGAAUGCGGUGAAUCAUUCAUCGCAUUUAGAGGUCUAUUUUAUAAUUAUUUUUUAAAAAAAAUUAUUUUUACAAUUAUAAAAAUCAAUAGGAUUAUUUAUAAAAAAAAUUCUUUUAAAAGCACAAAAACAUCCAUGCUUAUAAUUUUUUAACCGUUGAAUCGUCUCAGGAUUCGUACAGUACUAGUAAAAAAAAAAAAUCUUAAUAGGAUACACAAUUAAUAGUACUAUAAAAAUUUUGAGUCAAUUCGACGAUUAAAAUCACAAGCACAGAUAUUUUUAGUUUAAAAGUACACUAGUGUAGUUACCCGCACGAUGCGACGAGUAGAUAUUAUCAAAAUAAUUAUUUUUUUUAGUCAUUGUUGAUCGUCGAUAAUAUUUUGGAGAAAUAAGUCUAAAAUAUACAGUUCAUCAAAUACAUAGAAAAUAAUACUCUAAAUAUGAAAUGAAGAACAUUAGUUUAAAUAGUUCGCAAGAAUUGGUAAAAAACUACUAAAAAUAAUUUUUUAUAUGUAUUCACUCAACAAUCUAUACAAUUAAACUCAAAGUGAAGAAAGUGAUUAAACUAUAAAAAAAAGAUAAAUACACGUCUACAAGAUAUAAAAUCUUUAGAAUUAAACAGUAUACAGGAAACAUAAAUAACGUAAACAAUCGUACAUACAAAUAAAUCACAGAAUAUGUCCAAAAUUUAUGGGUUCUCCCUUGUAUAGAGGAGCAAUAAGGGUACCAAAAUUCUAAGAUCCUCCUUGUCGAUGAUGUUGAACCUCUGGCGAAAAUACUUGUGAAGAACCUCCCAAACGACAUUGGACACCUUGUUCCCCACCUCAAGGAUCUGAUCUAUAGAGUCGAAAAUUAGAUCGAUCAAAGACAAAAUCAAUAGAAAAUAAUGCAAAACCCUACCAAUUCGAGGCGAUUUUGAACCGUGGGCAAGAUUUGCCAAAACUUCUUGAGCAUACGUAGAGAGAGAGAUUAGUGACGGAUAAAUAUUACUAAUAAUUCAAUAGAGAUGAGACAAUUAUAUUAACUCAAUAGAGAUGAGACAAUUAUAUUAACAAAAUCUCUAAAACACAAAAAAAAAAGAAUAUUAGUAAUUUAGCAAAGUUUUUAUCAAGAGUCUUGAUGAACUGGUUCAAAGUGGGGAGCACCUUCAACCUCUGCUUGAGAAUUCUACUCUGUCACUAGAUGCGCACCACCUUCAGCACUUCACGAAGCAAAUGAAGUCCCUCUUCAGCUAGAGAGCUCUGCCGAUCCCGAAGAGGAUCAUUCCAUGACACCACUUUGAGUAUAGCUUUGGAGGGUACAGAAGAGGCAGAAAUCCUAAAAGGAGUGUGAGAGAUAAAGAAGAGAGGGUUUAUAAAAAACGUGUGGAAAAAGUACCAACAAAUCUCGUAUGGUCUCGACCAUUGAAUAUAUUGAUGAGGAAAUGAUCGGUUUAUGUCGAUCGUUCGAUUGAAGAUUGUAAGGGUUUGGAUUAAAUUGAUGUGUGGUGUCUCUUUUGCAAAGACUCGUAGUGGUUAGGGAAGAAUGGGGAGUUACAGAAAAGGGGGAAGACGGAGGGACGCAGGAAGAAGAAAGGAAAAGGGAUGACACAUGAGUUAUAUAGAUGGUUGUGGAGAAGAAUGAGGAGUUAUACAGAGGAGGAAAAUGAAGUGACACAGGGAGGGAAAGAGAAGACGGAGUCACGGGAGUUACAUAGAGAGAGAGGGUAAGCGAGCCAUCUAAAUGAGAAAAAAAAAACUCUUAAAACAAGGAUGUUGCGCCACGUCAGCAAAAUUAUUGGGAAAUAAUAUAUGUUUAUAGAUUUAUAGAUUAUUGGGAAAUAAUAUAUGUUUAUAGAUGUUGCGCCAUGUCAGCAAAAUUAUUGAGAAAUAAUAUAUGUUUAAAGAUGAGCACAAUUCAUAUCUAAUAUUGCCCUUCAAAACUUUCAAAAUAUCUAACAUAUAUCUAUUAAUCAAAAUACCUUUAUUAAUUUUCAAAAGUUUCUUCAAAAAUCCAAACAUCUGAGAUUUAGUAAUGGAAAUUGGGAUUUAGAAGGGUACUUAGAUAAUUUUAGGUUAAAUUUGAAAAUUUUGAAUAGUAGCCAAGAGUAAAUAAGCAAAAUCCUUCUUUUUUGGUAUAAAAUUACAGAACUUAUUUAUACUAUGGAUCAUUUUGAUUCGACAAUUCAAUCUGUGAAAAUUUUAACUUUACUACCCAACUUUUCGAUUUAUUUGAUUUCAGUUGUCAACGACACUUUGACCUUAAAAUUUAAACGCAUUUUGUAGAUUUAGUUAGUAUAAUUCAUGUAACUUGCGCUACUAUACAUUUAUUAAAAUAAAUAAUAGCUUAGAUUUUUAAGAGAAUUAUACGAAUUAUUCUGUGUCGUUAGAUAUAUUUAGUUAGUACAAUCCAAUCUUUUUCUUUUUUUUUUUUCUUUUCUUUCACUAUACGCAUUCUUUUCUGCUACUGCACCCCUCCCUUGCCCUUUGCCACAACUGCCGCCCCUAUCCAGACGUGCUCUCUCUCUCUCACCGUCGUCCUCAAAUACCGCAACACCCUCAUCACCGUCACUAUCACUGUCGUUGCCACCGCUCAUGGCUACGCCCUCCACCAAAGUCUCACCUCAACAAUCUAUACUGCAUUAACUCCGGCGUCGGCGGAGGUGUGGGCAAAAUAGGAGAGAGAAGCACGGCAUUAACAUGGAGGUGGUGGAGGAGGGAAGGGAAGUGGGAGGAGAAAGAGAAAAAGGAACAGCGAAGAGGCAAGAGAAAAACGAAUUACAGAGAAAGGCAAGAAAAAGAGGAAUAAAUAUAUUUUGGUUAGUUUACUAAAAUUCAAUUCUAAUUUGCAAAACUUAAAAAAAUGAUAUAUUUUUGCAGAAAUGCAAGACCAAAAAAAUGAUAUAUUUUUGCAGAAACGCAAGACCAGUGACUUCUUUAUGCAAAUUGGCCAGUUAUUACUAAAUUAUUUAUCUNGAAAUGUGAAUCAACUAUGAUUCGAACUUGGGACCUCAGUACCAACCAUCAAGCCUUUCGCCACUUGCUCUAGGGAUGGUCGGUGAGAAGAGUUAUGAAUGCGGUGAAUCAUUCACCGCAUUUAGAGGUCUAUUUUUAUAAUUAUUUUUUAAAAAAAUUUAUUUUUACAAUUAUAAAAAUUGAUAGGAUUAUUUAUAAAAAAAUUCUUUUAAAAGCACAAAAACAUCUAUGCUUAUAAUUUUUUAAUCGUUGAAUCGUCUCAAGAUUCGUACAGUACUAGUAAAAAAAAAAAUCUUAAUAGGAUACACAAUUAAUAGUACUAUAAAAAUUUUGAGUCAAUUCGACGGUUAAAAUCACAAGCACAGAUAUUUUUAGUUUAAAAGUACACUAGUGUAGUUACCCGCACGAUGUGACGGGUAGAUAUUAUCAAAAUAAUUAUUUUUUUUAGUCAUUGUUGAUCAUCGAUAAUAUUUCAGAGAAGUAAGCCUAAAAUAUACAGUUCAUCAAAUAUAUAGAAAAUAAUACUCUAAAUAUGAAAUGAAGAACGUUAGUUUAAAUAGUUCGCAAGAAUUGGUAAAAAACUACUAAAAAUAAUUUUUUAUAUGUAUUCACUCAACAAUCUAUACAAUUAAACUCAAAGUGAAGAAAGUGAUUAAACUAUAAAAAAAAGAUAAAUACACGUCUGCAAGAUAUAAAAUCUUUAGAAUUAAACAGUAUACAGGAAACAUGAAUAACGUAAACAAUCGUACAUACAAAUAAAUCACAAAAUAUGUCCAAAAUUUAUGGGUUCUCCCUUGUGUAGAGGAGCAAUAAGGGUACCAAAAUUUUGAGAUCCUCCUUGUCGAUGAUGUUGAACCUUUGGCGAAAAUACUUGUAAAGAACCUCCCAAACGACAUUUGACACCUUGUUCCCCACCUCAAGGAUCCGAUCUAUAGAGUCGAAAAUUAGAUCGAUCAAAGACAAAAUCAAUAGAAAAUAAUGCGAAACCUUACCAAUUCGAGGCGAUUUUGAACCGUGGGCAAGAUUUGCCAAAAUUUCUUGAGCAUACGUAGAGAGAGAGAUUAGUGACGGAUAAAUAUUACUAAUAAUUCAAUAGAGAUGAGACAAUUAUAUUAACAAAAUCUCUAAAACAAAAAAAAAAAAAGAAUAUUAGUAAUUUAGCAAGGUUUUUAUCAAGAGUCUUGAUGAACUGGUUCAAAGUGGGGAGCACUUUCAACCUCUGCUUGAGAAUUCUACUUUGUCACUGGAUCCGCACCACCUUCGGCCACUUCACGAAGCAAAUGAAGUCCCUCUUCAGCUAGAGAGCUCUGUCGAUCCCGAAGAGGAUCAUUCCAUAACACCACUUUGAGUAUAGCUUUGGAGGGUACAGAAGAGGCAAAAAUCCUAAAAGGAGUGUGAGAGAUAAAGAAGAUAGGGUUUAUAAAAAACGUGUGGAAAAAGUACCAACAAAUCUCGUAUGGUCUCGACCAUUGAAUAUAUUGAUGAGGAAAUGAUCGGUUUAUAUCGAUCGUUCAAUUGAAAAUUGUAAGGGUUUGGAUUAAAACUGAUGUGUGGUGUCUCUUUUGCAAAGACUCGUAGUGGUUAGGGAAGAUGGGGAGUUACAGAAAAGGGGGAAGACGAAGGGACACAGGAAGAAGAAAGGAAAGGGGAUGACACAUGAGUUAUAUAGAUGGUUGUGGAGAAGAAUGAGGAGUUAUAGAGAAGAGGAAAAUGAAGUGACACAGGGAGGGAAAGAGAAGACGGAGUCACGGGAGUUACAUAGAGAGAGAGGGUAAGCAAGCCAUCUAAAUGAGAAAAAAAAAACUCUUAAAGCAAGGAUGUUGCGCCACAUCAGCAAAAUUAUUGGAAAAUAAUAUAUGUUUAUAUAUAAUUAGGAAAUAAUAUAUGUUUAUAGAUGUUGCGCCAUGUCAGCAAAAUUAUUGGAAAAUAAUAUAUGUUUAUAGAUGAGCACAAUUCAUAUCUAAUAUUGCCCUUCAAAACUUUCAAAAUAUCUAACAUAUAUCUUAUUAAUCAAAAUACCUUUAUUAAUUUUCAAAAGUUUCUUCAAAAAUCCAAACAUCUGAGAUUUAGUAAUGGAAAUUGGGAUUUAGAAGGGUACUUAGAUAAUUUAGGUUAAAUUUGAAAAUUUUGAAUAGUAGCCAAGAGUAAAUAAGCAAAAUCUGUUUAAUCCUUUUAGGAGCCAUUUGGUUAAAUGUAAUUACAAAUGCAGUGUAAUUGAAGAUGCAUGCAGUUGAAAAUGGAGCAGUUACAACUACAUGCAUCAUGUUUGGUUGGAUGUAGUGGAAAGCGCUGUAACUAUAAAUAAUUUGUUUGAUUGCAUGCAGUCGAGAAAUAAUUUUUAAAAUUUUAUCAUUAUAUAUCUAUAUGAUGGUAAGAUUACCUCCAAUGUAAAAAAAUUUUAUUUUUUGUUUAAAAAAUAUUUAAAGAGGUAAAGUUACCUUUUGUUUAAAGUUGCACUCUCUAACUGCUGCAGUUGAAACUGCGGCCGAUUUGGGCGUAGUUCCAACUGCUGCAGUUGGACCUCCUCCUGCAGUUCCUACUGCAGCAAUUGGAUUUAAAUACAUCAAACCAAACACCGAAUUUGCAUUUGCAUACAGUUACAACUGCCGUACAGGCAACUACAUGCAACCAAACAGCCCUUUAGAUUCUAACAUCUUCGUCAGUCCAAUCACACACACAGUCCAAGAUCACCAGACGAUGUGAGGCUUACCUCACACUUUCGGUGAGUACACACACAGUCCAAAAUCACGAGACGAUGUGAGGCCUACCUCACAGUUUCGGCCAGUAAACCAGAAUCGGCUCUGAUAUCAAAUAUAACGAUCAGACUCACUAGUAAUAACAACUCUACAUGAAUUGACAGAAAAACUAGUUUAAUUAGCAGUUUAUAACAUGCGAAAACUAAUUAGAAAAAUUACAGGAUCAAUUUUGCACCAAGACACUGGAUACCUGCAAACACAGUAGCUAGUAACAGAUCUCAAGAGAGUCGAAGUACAACAACCCAAAGAUGAAUUUAUCAUAGUCGAAAAUCGUAAGAUCAGAAAAGAGAACAUGUAAAAGCAGGAAUUAGCUGAUCUGCAGAUCAUAAAAACCUCAUAUUUAACAACUACAGAACAUAGAGAACCACAGUGACGGGCUCGAAUCAGAUCUUAUAGAGAAAGGAAGAGAUGGACAUGGUUUUUCAUUGUCAGUUGAUAGUUUGAAGCAACAUCGCAACGAACAGAAAAAGUUGAUAAAAAAAGAAGCAAACAGCCGACAUUAAGGUAUUAUUUACUCCAGAAAAGUUUACAAAUGCACAAGCAACCAAAAAGGCGAGUAUCCACAACAGCAAGACCAAAUAGCAAAAAAAAAAAAAAAAUAUUACAUCCUUACACUCGAGAACUCGAAAUCGUGGAGGCUUUGCUAUUUACAAUAACAAUAAACAUUCACCUUCCCUUGCUUAUUGAGCCGACAGAUACAAAAACAAUCAAUAGCCCUCAAACUGAACCUUUACAACUGCUGAAUUGCACAAAUGAUCCUGGAACAUUACGAGUACCCGACCUUCAAAUUUACGCGCUCAACAUCUUGAGCAGAUUGAAUUUCUCAUUGUAACCGUUCUAAUCAAUCACCUUUAGUGGAAUUAACCGAAAGGCCAACUACGCCGCUAUUUAUGAAACACUUACAAGCAACUUCACUGCAACUUGUCAUGAUACUGAGAGUAUCUACCAAAAUUUGAAAGGGAAUGUUUGAAGCAAGAAAAUUGUGUACGAGGUCGAAUUUUUUGAUUUGGAUGUGGCUUUCGAGUGUAUCAUACACGGAAAGACUACGAUUAAAUAUAAAAGUUCAGAGGCAAAAUGCUUACAUUCGAAGGUCAAGUACUAAAACUGAAACUUAGGACCUAUUUGGUAUUGAUGCCGUUAUUUUUUUUUUUUUUUUAAAAUUCUAUGUGAUUCGAUACGCCUGCGGAUGGACUUUUCUUCUAUGGUCAUCAUUGGCUAGCUCGCAAUGUGACCUGAUUGGACGCUAAGAGUAGUGUCUUCCUCAAACAAGCAAAGAACUUGAAAAAAAGGUUACUUCCAAGUAUUUGCCUUUUGUUGCCAAACAGACACAGUAUAGAUGUACAGACUGCACGCAGUCCACCAUCCGCACGCGCAUUCUAUCGCGCAGAAUUAACAAAUGCAAGAACAAAAAGAAUGACGGCAACAAUACCAAAUAAGACCUUAGCAAUUAGUUUAGGGACCAUUAGUGCAAUUCACCCAAGAUAGUUUUGAGGAAGCUAAAAAAAAAAAAUCAAGGGCAACUGGAGAGAAGGCUAUUACUGUCAUUGGUGGAUUUUUGGGGAGAGCACCGGGUGGGCAACCGGCACGACAUAGGGCACAUGUCCAGGAGGAGGGAGCAUAACCGGAGUUCCAAUUGCAGAUAUCAUAUGGCCGGGCACAGGAUGCCCUAACGGCGGCCCGUACAUUCCGACUGCCGGGAUCGGAGGCUGAGAAGGGAGAGGUUGGUGAGCCAUAGGCGGACGUAUGGUCGCAGGGUGGGUGCCAUUGCCCUGGCCGGUGAUCGGGCCUUGUGGUGAAGAAGAGACCUCGCCGGAGUUCACGCUCGUGAUGUCGUGGAUGCUCGAUCUCCGGCGGUCUCUGUUUAUCGAGUUGAGGCGGAUGAAGUACUUCUGGGCGUGGCUCGCUACUUGGGUCGGAGUUCUUGAGAUGACGAAGUUUCUCGAUAUGCUCCUCCAGUCUCCCUUGCCAAAUUUGUCGAGGCCAAGCAAGAACAACCUGCACAAUAUCGGGAACAUCAUAAGUCCACAUCUCAAGAACAUCAGUAGCUUCAAUUUCACUUGCGGUGUAGAUUCAAAUUUAGACUUUUCUCAAGCAAUAUCGGCUUACCGAGAUUCACCACGCGAAUUCACCAAGCCAAAUUCGGGUAACGGAAAUUAAAGAAAGCCUAUCUAAGUGGAAGAAGAAGUAUUCUAAACCAUUUGCAACAACUAAAAGAGUUUUUAUGUAAAAUUCUCGCAGAAACAAUUAUGAAAGAAAAAUAGAAACAAUAAUUUUAACUGAGACCUACACCUCAAAGAGGAAAAUUAGAAUUUAAAUCUCUCUUUUAAAUUUCUCUUCACAAUUUCAAUAUGCUAGCUUGUUGCACAAAUACCAUCAUGCUUGAAUCAUACAGUUAUUUAAUCAUAUGGUAUUAAGCAUUCCAAAUUCUAUGCAUAACAAAUGAAUUUAGGUAAAAAUGUACACAAUUUACCAGAACUAUGGACCAUUUUGAGUCAGCCACCCACCUCUUCAAUUUGUUUGAUUUUGAGCCAGUCAAUGGUGAUUUGACUUCAAAAAUUUAGCUAAUUACUUAAUUUGAUUUAUAGUUGCGAGAAUUUUAUAAAAUAUACAGUCGAAACCUGUAAAGAUAAAUGAUACAUUCAAAUUUUGAAGUCUAAGUGUCUUUAUCUGGCUCAAAUCAAACAAAUUAAAAGUUUGAAUAGUAAAAUCAAAAUUUUGAAAAGUUCGAUAGCUAACUCAAAAUGGUCUAUAGUUUCCGUAAGUUCGGUACGUUUUUACCGUGAAUUUAUUACCUCACUAUGUAAACAUACCAUUUCAUCUCGAUUGAAUAAAUUACAGAUUUUUACUAAAUUUUACAUCCAUUUUUCAAACAUAUCAUCCGUAUUACAAUUUGAUCCCAAUUUCCUCAUUUUAAGCUCAAAAUCUUCAAUUUACUUCCAUAUUUAAUCACAAUUUCAUCCAAAAAAUCUCCAAAUUUUUCCCUUCAAAAAGUUACAAAGAGAUUAGAUAAUUGGGACGAACCUGUGUUCUUCUUCGGUCCACGGGAUCCCCUUCUUCCUCUCCUGCUCCGAUUUGGAGCAACCCUUCCCCACCUCAAACCCUAAUCCCUUCUUCUCCCCAACCCCUUGCCCCUGCCCGUGCCCGUGCCCGUGCCCGUGCCCCUCCUUCCCCGCCGCCGGAGGAUGCGGCGGCGCCGCCUCCUCGCCGGAGUAGCGCGGGAUCGGGACCCUCCCGGCCUCGAUCGCCCUCACGUCCUCCACCAAAAUCUCGUAGUGCCGCCGCACCUCCGCCGCCGUUUUCCCCGGAACCCUAGCCGCGAUCAUGUCCCACCAUUUCCCGUCCCCUCCGCCGCCCUCCUCGCUUCCCCCUCCUCCUCCUCCGCCCCGCUCCGCCCCCGCCACCUCCGGCGGCGCCACCGCCGCCACCGCGUUCUCGAACGCCUUGUUGUCGUCCCGACUCCACCCCGCCACCUCCUCUUCCUCCUCCGCCGCCGCUGCCGCCGCCGCCGCCGCAGUUCCGGCCAUGGCGGUGGUGCGCACGAUAAGGGGGGUCCCGGCGCAGGAUAAGGUAACCUAACCCUAACCGCUCGUUUCCAUAACGAAUCGAUCUAAUUAUAUAUAUAUACUAAAUAUUGGGCGGUGAGAGUUACUAUACAUUCAUGGGGAGGUGACGGGACCCGAAGGUAGGAGUCGGCAACGGAGAUAUCGGAAUACGGUCACCGGCGCCGACUUUGGAUAUUAUUGAGGUUGUGGACUCGGGGAGAGUGAGGAGGGAGAUAUUAUUGUAUAUGUAUGUGUAUUUAUUUAUAUAGGGGUCAAUUGCAUACAGUUCACUGCAAACAUAGUGAAUUAUAAAUAUAUUUCUGUAAAAUUUAACUUUCAUAAAUUAUUUCUGCAAAAGUUAUAAUGUUUUCAAAUACAUCUCUGCCGUUUAGAAAAGUUUAGUUAACUAUAGGUUAAAUGCUUCACCCGGAUUAAUUUUUGACAUUUUUAUAUCUCUUAUAUUAUACUGUUAUAACUUUUUGAAGGGACAUAUUUGUGUGGCAAAAUUGGAAAUAUAAACAGCUUUCUAACGGUUCUCUAACGAUUACAAACCAGAGGGACAUAUCUAAAAAUAUUAGAAUUUAUGCAGAAAUAAUUUAUAAAAGUUGAACUUUACAGGAAUAUAUUUGCAAUUCACUAUGUUUACGGGGACAUAUAUCCAAUUAACCCAUAUAUGGCAAAAUUGUACUAUGACGGCUUAAACUACGGAAUAUUUGGAAAUAGGCCCCUAAAUUAUAAAUAGUGGGCAUGUAUGAGGGGAUUUAUUUGAAAAACAAAAAAAAAAGUAAGGGGUGUGUAAAAUAUUUCAAAAGUUUAAAGGGUAAAUAGGCAAUUAUACCUAGUUACCUAAUAGGACGUAAAAUGUAACGUGUAAUAUAUUGAGGAGGUUAUCUGUAAUUUAGCUUAAAAAAAAAAAAAAAAAAAAAAAAAAAAAAAAAAAAAGGUCCAAAUGGUAGUGUAUUGUAUGUAUAUAAAUAGUCGGCAUGUGAGAUGGUGAUGAGUGGUGGAGAGAGGGGGAAUGAGUUGGUGGGAAACGUGGGCGAUUCUCCAUUUCUCAUUCCGAGGGGGGAUUUUGCCAAACAUAAUCCACAGCCUAGUUGGCUCAUUGGUCCCUCCCACUUCCCCAACCCUCUUGUGUCCCUUUCCCCAAUGUUGAAUAAGACCUUUCUUUUCCUUUUCUUUUUUUUUUUUAAUAAAUUUUUAGGGCGUGUUUGUUUCGUUUUUUUUGGUAUUCUGGAAUCGGAAUCGGAAUGGGCGAAUUUAUUUAUGGGUGUUUGGUACGCAGGAGUCCAAUUCCGAUUCCGAUUCCCUAGUGGGAUGGGAAUCUCCCAAUCACCUCUUUUUCCAAUCCGGCCUAACAGGCCGGAUUGGAAGUUGAAUCCGGACGGAAUGAAUAUUUAUUUGACUUAAAUUUAUUUUUUCAACUUUUUUAGUUAAAAUAUGAGUUUAAGGGCGUGUUUGAUUCGCUUUUUUUUUGGUACCCUGGAAUCGAAAUCGGAAUGGGUGAAUUCAUUUGUCGGUGUUUGGUACAUGGGAGUCCAACUCCGAUUCCGAUUCCCCAGUGGGAUGGGAAUCCUCCAAUCAUCUCUUUUUUCAAUCCGGCCUAGCAAGUCGGAUUGGAAGUUGAAUCCGGACGGAAUAGAUAUUUAUUUGACUUAAAUUUAUUUUUUCAACUUUGUUAAUUAAAAUAUAAGUUUAAGGGCAUGUUUGGCUCGCUAUUUUGCACCCUGGAAUCGAAAUCGGAAUGGGCGAAUCCGUUUGUGGGUGUUUGGUACGCAUGAGUCCAAUUUCGAUUCCGAUUCCCGAGUGGAAUGGGAAUCCCCAAUCACCUCUUUUUCCAAUCCAGCCUAGGAGGCUGGAUUGGAAGUUGAAUCCGGGCGGAAUAGAUAUUUAUUCGAAUUAAAUUUAUUUUUUCAACUUUUUUAAUUUUUUAAUUAAAAUAUGAGUUUAAAUUUAGAAAUUAAAUAUAUAUAAUUUUAAAUUUUAAUUUGAACUUGAAUUAAAAAUUAAAAUUUAAUUAAGUAUUUCGAAUCUAAUUUAUGAAUUUGAAUUUAAAUUAAUAUAUUAUAAAGAUAAAGUUAGUAUAUUAAUUUGAUUACGUUUUUUAUAUCUACUUGAGAUCCUGAACCAAACACCGACAAUGGGAAUGAUUUAUUCCCAGCCCGAUUCAGGUUAUGAAUCAAACAAACAGAAUUAGGUAUUCCGAUUCUGAUUCCAACUUAUUUCGAUUCCGAUUCUGAUUCUGAUUCCGAUUCCGACUUCGAGCCAAGCCCUAAAUAUCACCUCUGUGGUUUCUCACUUUCUCUUUCUCAUUUUAGUGCCAUGUGAUUUAAAGUGUAUCAAGUUAGUGUCCUGUGGUUUUAUUUGUAUCUUUUCCUCAACUUUUUCUGUUAAUAUUUCGUUAAAUUAUAUACAAAAAACUUUAGAUACCCCACCUAGGUUUAUCGAAUAUUCACUUUAGUACCAUUUAGUUUUAACUUUGUCACUAAUUUAACUAAAAAAAUUAGUGGAAUCGAUAAUAAAAAUUAGUGGAAUCGAUAAUAACCCCGAAAUCGGAAUCGGAAUGAUCCAUUCCGAUUCUAGAUGUUUGGUAUGCCGUAAUCUCAUUCCGAUUCCGUUUCCAUUCCGGAAUAGGAAUCGGCUAAUCCGAGUAGAAACGGGCCUCGUACCCCAGAUUAAAAAUUGAAUCCGGACUUAAUUAUUUUAUUAUUAAAAUAACCUUCAUCCAUUAGACUUAAAAAAAAGAAAAAAAAAAAAAAACCGCUCGCCUCUCCGCGGCCGCUCAACUCUCCCCUCCCAAGCUUCAUCCCGUAAGUAAUUCCUCCUCCCCUCCCCGCCAACUUUUCUCUCGAAUCUCUCUCUUAUUUUUUUUCUUUAUUCUCAAAAGUUACAUGAACUUUGGACUUUCUCAAAAAAAAAAUAAAAAAAAAAAGAAAAAAAUUAAGAAGAACAAAAGGUCAUAUGAACACUAGUAAUUAUGAGGUCAUGCCUUUUCUUUUGUCCUUCUAAAAAAAAAACUUCUAAGCAUGCUUUUUUUUUUCUUUUAUAUUUUAAAUAGAUUAUUCAAACUAGUUACAAGUAAUUAAAAUAUAUUAAAAGGGUAAAAUUCGUAUAUUAAUUUAAUUCCGUUUCUGAUAACUAUCUGAACCAAACAUCAACAAUGGGAAUGAUUCAUUUCGAUUCCGAUUCAGGUGGCGAACCAAACAGAAUGAGGUAAUGAGUCAUUCCGAUUCCGAUUCCAGCUUAUUUCUAUUCCAUUUCUGAUUUCGAUUCCGACUUCGAACCAAACAUACCCUAAAUUGAUACACUUUAAACCACAGGCUACUAAAGUGAGAAAGUGUGAAACCACAAGGGUGGUAUUUGAAGUUUUUUUCUUUUUUUUUUUUUGUUGGGGGUGUCGGAGGAAAUAGCAAUGCUUCAUGCAUCAAGAAGAUCGAGAUUUUUGAAUGACUAGGCUUAUUUAUUCUCGACUACUAUUCAAAAUUUUUAAAUUUAUUCUGAAAUUAUGAAAACAUCCUUUUAAACUCCGGUGCUUCAUGUACUCCAGAAGAUCGAAAUGCUUCAUGCACCCCACAACCAUUACCAAAAUAGCAAUCUUUGGUAUACCUCAAAAGACUGAGAUUUUUGGAUGACUAGGCUUAUAAUUUUUUAAAAAAUUUUAAGAAGGGGCUUUCGCUUAUUUAUCUCUAGCUAUUAUUCAAAAGUUUUAAAUUUAUUCUGAAACUACCAAUAUACUCUUCUAAACUCCAAUUCCCCUUAGUAAACUCUACUAAGGCCCCAUUUGGUCCGGAGAUAACGAGCAUUGGGAUAAAUUUUUUUAUUCCUAGGAUAACUUACUAUUCCAAAAUAGUCAUAAAUAAAAAUAAAAUUGUGUUUGGUUUGUAAUGUUGCUGUUACUAAAAAUAGCUAAGAUUGUGUUUAGUUAAUUUUAUGGAAGAGUAGAGGAUAGUGAAAAAAAAGUGAUGGUUGAAUUUGAUAUAAAAUAUAAUUUAAUAAAAGUAAUUUAGUGUAAAAUAAUUUAUAAAAAUAAUUCAUUAUAUUAUUUAAUAAAACUAAUAUAUAUAUAUAUAUUAAAAUUAUAAUUAAAUUUAAAUUUAAUAAAAAUAAUUUAUUAUAAUAUAUAACAUAUUAUAUCCAUAUAAUUUAGUUUUAAUUCAAUAUAUAGUCUUAAUAAAGCUUGAAAUUAAAUUUUGGAAUAGCACUAUUUCGCCGAAAGGAUGGAAAAGUUAAUCCCAAGCUAUUCUAGGAUAAUCGAGGAUAUCAAGGUUUGAUCUGGAUAAAAUAUCUCUGCCAAAAAAACCCCACUGGGCAGAAUAGUAGGGAUAACUUUCAUUAUCCCCGCUUUAUCCCAGAACCAAAAAGUGUUUAGCCAUAUUUAAAAGAAUUUUUAAUAAUUAAAGAGGAUAUUUUGGUCAAUCAAGGGUAUAUUGGAUAUUAUAUCUUUUUUAAAGAAUGGGGAUCUGACAUUUUUAUUUCUAAAAUAGGUCUAAGCGGUGAAUGAUUUCUCAUAUUUUACAAAACUUAUAUACUUUCUAUAUCCGAAUUUUGAAAAAUGUAUAGUAUUAGACUGUAAAAAUAAUUAUAAUGCUUUGAAGAAAGCAAUGAAUGAACUUGUUAGACCAAUAAUGGGUGGCCACGUGGCAUGUCGGUGCACCAUUAAACCCAAAUUGUUAGGGUCAAGGAUUAAAAGAGAUUUUGGUGUGCACCGGGAGCAUUGGCAAAAUAAUUAAGUAACUGCUAGGUGUAACCGCAAGCGGUUAUAUGCAGUUUUGAUCGGCUUGAAGUGACCCUUAAAGAUAGGGUAGUGGCCGAUCAUGGAUGGAGCAAUAACUGAUCAACAGAGGUGGGCUAUAAAUAGCCAAAUAAAGCCCAAGAGAGAGGUCUUUUUCCCGAAAAUAGAAGACCACAUUUAUUUCCUCUGCAUUUUUCUCGCAUUUUUUAGGAGUAGUCUACUUGUAACCUUUUACUUUCCCGUACUUACUGUUUUUCCUAGAAGUAGUUCAGGUCAGAUCAACCGAGUUUGUAUGCCUUCAAGCAUACUCGUCCUUUGUACUAGUUUCACCUAUUAAUUCCAAUAUAUAAAGGCAUUCGGCUCCUCAGCCGACCCAAAAUACUAUGUAUCUCGUACAGUCGGCUCAUCCACCGGAACCAAAUCUGUAGUAAAAAUUCUCGAACUCGGCUGAUCCGAUCCCUCAUCAGCCAAAUCGCUUGAUCCAAUUGAAGGGCGCAAACUUCGAGGGUCACUAGUCACAGUCAUUCCGCAUCCCUAUAUUCUUCCCAAGAGAGAUCUUUGACCAGGUCAAGGAUCAGGAAAUUCAGUUCCUAACAAAACUAUUAAUUAAAAAAAAAUUAGAAGAUCUCCUGAAAUGCAGUUGAUGAAUUCGUAAGACUUUUUCUUACAUGUUUCUUACUACUACAAAAAAGUUUCAAAUUUACUACUCAAUACUCAAAAUACUUUUCUAAAAUCCAAUUCCAUUGGUAAACCCUAUAAGGAAAUCGGAUAUUUGAAAAAAAAAAAAUUCUGAAAUCAGCAGGGGUACUUUGGUCAUCCAGAAAUAAAUAAAAAAAUUUUGAAGUUUCGAAGAGCAUAUUAGAUAUUAACCCAAUUUCCUUCGCACAAUAGUGAGUUUAGGACUAGCCUAAACUUCUGGUUAUCUAAAAACACAUACCAACUAUCAGAAAAUUUGGGUUUCGUUUUCUAAGAUGCAAAAUUAUUUGAUCUUUGUCAAUGCGUUUGUUUGUCUAUGUUUGCUCUUCCAUCCAUCAUUAGCAGUAGAGAUUGAACUACUUGCAUCAAGAAAUGGUUUGGAUUCGCUCACAAACAAUUCUAUGUAUGCUGAGAAUCGUAUAUGGCACCUUAGAACAAGUAACGAUUCUGAACCAAUUAAAAAAAUCUCUUCAUAUCAUAUAUGUUAAUAUAUAAUAACCUAUAAUGAUAACAUUUUUGGCUAUCUGUAGCAGUACUGCACUAAGCACUAUGCUUUAGCAGUGUGAACAAUAGUGCCGCUAUAAGUGCCCCAUAAUGUUGCCUUGUGUAAUGUUGAUAUGUUGGCAAAUCAAUGUGAUAUCUCAAAGUACGUAUAUAAUUCAAUCACAGUCCUUUUUAUUAUGGUGUCAACACAUCGACAAUAUAAUAAAGAACAGGUAUGAAAAAUUCAAAGCAUUUCUCGCAAAUAAAGUAAGUCAAUAUCCAAUGUGUACUACUUAAGACUGUCUUUAGAACCUAAUUAUGUGUUGCGAUAAAAAUAAAAAAAAAACAAAAAAAAAAACUAUGAGUCUGUAUGGUUUUUUAGAAUGUUGGCUUCUAUGUUGCCAAUGUUUUGGCUUUAAUAACAUAAAAAGUUUCAAUUAGUUUAUAUAUAGAAAGAGAAAGAUAGUAAGUGAGAGAGAAAGAUAGUAAGUUACCUGCUUCAUACAAUUAUUAGAAAUAAAGUCAGCUAGAAAUGUUAAGUAACUUGGCUUCAAACUUGGGAUCUUGAGAAUCAAUCAUCAAUCACUUAGUCAACUAUACUAGGUACAAUUGGUGAAGAUUCGAAGAGUAAGAUUAGUUAAUACAUGCAUUUCGUAAUUUACAUAGUAUCGCAUGCAUUUACAAACAUAUUAACAAACCCUAAAGACAAUAUUUUAAGUUACCCAAAGCACUUUCCGUGUUCUAUUAUUUUAUAACAAAUAAUAAAUGUAUGAACAAUAGAGUUUGGGUAAAUUGCAUUGAUGGCCCCAAACUUCUACAAAAAUGUCAAUUUGUUCCCUAAUUUUUUUAAAGAAAAAGAACUUAAUACCCCUAAAACUUCUAUAAAUAUACCAAAUGAAGUUCAUCCAGUAAUUUGGUGUUAAUUUUACAAAUAAGAAAUAACUUGAAUGUUAAAUAAGCAAAUAAUUUUUUUUUUUCAAUCCAUGUAUUCACCAAAGGUGUGACUUAAAGCUUAUCAGAACAAAACGCACUUUAGACCGUAUGUAAUUAUAAAUACAGUGUAGUUGGAGAUACAUUAGUUAGAAAUGCAGCAAUUAUAGUUAUAUUGAUCUUGUUUAGUUGGAUGCAGUAGAAAGUAUUACAGUUAUAAAUACUUUGUUUGGUUGUAUGCGGCUGAGAAGUAUACUAACGAAUUUUUACCAUUUUAUAUAUAGAGUUGUGAUGUUAUCCCCUAUGUAGGAGUGAAAAGUGAAACUUUUUAAAAGGUUAUUAGAAAGGUAAGCUUACGUGUACUUUUUUCAAGUGCUGCAGUUUCAAUUUGGGCGUAGUUCCGACUGUUACAGUUGAGACUUCUUAUGUACAGUUACAACUGCAGUGCAGUUACUCUUACGUACAACCAAACAGCCCUUAAAGUAAAUACCGUCGUUACAAGGUAAAAUGAAACCUCUGGCGCUAAGUUCCUUUAUUCUUGUCAAAAAGAAGCUCACCUAACAUAGGAAUUUGUCAAUUAUAUUUUUCAAUAUCUAUAAAAGAGGAUGUGGAAACAUAUGGAAACUUUUGAAUGGAAUUUGAGAAAAAAGAAAUGUAGCUUUCCCACAUCAUCUUUAUGUCACUUAGCUUAACAUCACGUGAUAAAAUAGGCUAGUUUGACACAUUUAUUAAAAUUUAAAGAACAUAAAGAUCAUGCUAGCAGCAAAUCAAAAGAGAACUCAAUAGAUUUCACAUGAGAAGAAUUCAGUUGAAUUCAAUUAGAAAUAAAUGUUUUCUUUUUACUUAGAUUAGAUCAAAGUUCAAUAGAAUUGUAUUCUAAUUUAUUGUUUGUUAAAAGAUGAGAAAUUUUUUUAAUGCGAUUACUUUUUCCAUUCAAUUUUCACUUUAUAUAGUUUAGGUAAAUUGCGCAUUUGGUUCUCAAACUAUAAAGUGUGUGACAUUUUGGUACUCAAAAAUUAAUUUAUUCUAGUAAUUGCUUGCCCAAACUUUUUAAAUUGUUGCAAUCUCACAACUCAAUUUUGUUGCCUAAAUAUUAACAAAUUAUUGAUAUAGAAACAAUAUAAAAGUAAUGUAAUUGAUGAUGCAACAAUAAUUAAAAUACAGCAUCACUUCUACUUGGAUAAUUUGUCAAUAUUUAGUCGACUAAAUUGGAUUGUGGGAUUUGAUUAUAGCAAUUCUAAAAGUUCAAGCUGGAAAUUACAAUAAAUUAAAAUUUGAGGAUUAAGUGUCACCGAACUCAUAGUUUGAGGACCAAACGUGUAAUUUAUCCAAGAUAUUAUAGCUAACAUGAGGAAUACUUUAGAGUUAUUAAUAAAGUAUAACUAAUCGCAAAUAAAUUCUCACCAUUAUCCAUCCCCCAAUUAUGCAAAUUGGAUAAGAAUCAUUUUGUUAUAUGAGAAAUCCCAUCAAAUUUAUCUGGAUGAAUUGAAUUUCCAUCUACUUAAUGCUACCAAUCUGUUUCUUUAGAAUUUUACGGUUUUGGGUUGCGAAAUAGAAUGUAAUAGGCAAUAAUAACUCGUUGGAUCAAAACCAUCUAUCCAAAAUAUUUAAGCUCAGUUAUUAUUACUAGGGUGGAGUCUUUUCAUUUCAUAGUGAAAAUAAAAAUGAAUGAAUCUAAUUCGAAUUUUAUAAUCUAAAAUUGAUGAAUCAAACUAAUAACCAUAUUAUGUAUCUUGUCCACCACUUUUGCGCUAAUAACGAUAUUUGAUCAAUCAACUUUUUUGUUCUCUUUUUCGACAUAUAGCUGGAAGGCUUUCCAAAUCCUAACAACUCCUAAAAAAAAAUAGAAAAAAAAAAUCAAAUUUUAGUACAAACUGGAUUCGGUCGUACCCGACCGAGAGUUGUGGCUUAAAAUGCAAAUGAAGGGCAAAAAAUAUCACAGCAAAGCACCCUAGUCCUUUAGUCCUUUUUAUUGGCCAGUAGACCAACAUCCUGCUGACAUGGAGGACGACGGAGCAGACAAAGCCAUAAUUAAAACCUGUGGGCGCAAUGUCUGCAUCCUUCUUAGGUGGCGGAGGACGAAGCAGACAGAGUCAUAGUUAAAAUCCGUGGGCACAAUAUCUGUAUGUUUUAAAGAACUAUUUAAUUGUUGAUUGUAUAUAGUUAUAACUGUACUACAAUUGUAACUACAUAUAAAUUCAAAUUGUCGUUUGGUUUCAUGCAUUUGAAUUUAACUGUUGCAGUUGGAACGGCACGAGUAGGCUCAAAUGUAGCAAUUGAAAUUCCACCCAAAUCGGCGACAGUUUUAACUGCAACAAUUGAAAAGAGUAACCGAUCGUCCCAAAUCAAAUGGUAAAAGGCUUGGUGAUUAGCACCCGAGGUCCCAAGUUCGAAUUCUAGUUGAUUCACAUUUUUAGCUAAAUUUAUUUCUAAAAAAAAUAAACGAAGCGAAAGCAAAAAACAAUUGAAAAGAGUAAUAUUAAAUAAAGGUAAACUUACUUCUCUAACAAUCUUCCAAAUAGAAAAUACCUUUUUUCUUUAUAGAGAGCGUAAUCUCAUCAUUUUAAAAAUACGCUUGUCAACUGUACAUAACCAAACAAUAUUUAUAAUUAUUAUAAUUUAUACUCAUAUCCAACAAAACAAAAUAUAUGUAAUUAUAAUUACCACAUUUACAAUUACUUUCAUCUCGAACUGUAUUAUAUUAACAAUUACAUCCAACCAAACGAACCCCAAGUGAAUUAACUGUCCCUUUUAUAUAAGCUCGAGCUUUUAAAAUUUAUGAUUAGCACCGUCGAUCCGACAUUAACACCAGAGCAGGUCGCAAGUUCAAUUCCCACAUGCAUCCUACUAUGUGAUUUUGUUUGUACAUUUUAAGGAAAUUGAUUGCUCCCUUUUUAUCAACACUACCAUUUACAAUUAUGGUUAGCACCAAUGAUCCAACACUUAACACUUUACACACAUCAAAUAUCACCUGCAACUACAAAAUAUAACACGAAGAUGGUACAAGAUGAAGGACAAUUGGAUUUAGACCUUAAGAGCUGCUUGUAGGAAGUACAAAAAUGAAAUGUUACAUGCCGCACACAUUUCAUAGGUAGAUUAACCCAAAAGAGUUUGAAAAUAUACAAGAAAUUACGAGAUCACUUACGAGGUCACUACAUUUUUUCAUACAAUUUGAAGAGCCGGUAUUAAGUUGUAUUCCUAUAAAUACGGCUUGUGUGAGACAACCAGCAUCUUGCUUUAAUAAUUCGUAGACCGCGAGAAACGUAAACCGGCAUCUUGCUUCCUUUCUGUAUUCUUCUUAAGACUAAUGACAUGAAUCACUUUUUUUGUGUGCGCGCGUUUUUUUUAAGAUCAACGACAUAAAACCACCACCAAGAUUUUAUAGGAAGUUCCUCUGCACGGAGCCCGACGAGAAGCGAGAGGUCAAUCCCUGCACCAUGCUCUCUUGGUCGAAAUUGACCCUUUGUCGUCCCGCCACCAGAUCCUUCUCGCGAUCCCACGGUUUCCAGGGGUGGUUACCCUCCCACUCCUCUUUCUCUGAUUCCUGCUGCUGCUUUUGCUGCUUCCGCUUCUGCUUCUGAUUCUUCUGCUUGCUGCUGCUCUCCUCUCGGUGCUUCUGCACAAGAGGUACAGAUCGUUUGGAAGAGUUAUACUUGUCAACCAAUGCGGCAUCUGAGGAGGUUUUUUUAUUUUCGUCAUCCGCUUCGGCAAGCGCUUUGGCUUUGUUGUAAGCCUCUAUAUAGCUGCACCACAUAUACAUUAAUUGUAAGUUUUAUUCAAGAAUUGGAAAUGAGUGUUAACUUGGCGUAACAACUGAAACUACAAAUGCAACAAUAAAUUGCAGCCCUACAGCCUGUUUGGCCCAUUUUCUAGAGUAGCUUCCAACUCCAAGAAGCAAGGGUCAAGCAUUGGUUAAAUGAAAAUUCUGCAGCUUUUGUUCAAGCAGGAAGCUCAUUUCAAGGUUGAGGGCAGAAACUCGAAAUGCAGCUUCUGCUUCUGCUGCAGCAGGAAGCUGCAUCUGUGGAUGUUAAUGGAAAAACUGUUACUGCUUCUCCAAACAGUUUCACUCGGACAACAAUAGAAUGCUCAAGCGACUGUACAGUUUAAAUGAGAAGAAGCAAUGUAGCAUUGCUUCCUCCUUGUAGCGCACUACUCUUUAAAUUAUACAAAACAACCGUUUUUCUCCAAAAGUUUAAGCCAACAAAAAGGAUAUUUUUAAUAUUUAUAUUCAACACUGCCCCUCACGUCUGGACUUGAGAUAUUUUGAUAAGCCCAAGACGAGGACUCAAUUAAAUGACAGGAAAUUAAAUAACACUGGGGGCAAACUUGAACUCGGGACCUCCUGUUUUGAUACCAUAUUAAAUUAUACGAAACAACCGUUUUUCUCCAAAAGCUCUACCACAGAACAGUGACAAUAGUCAGAUAAGCCAAUAAUAGUGCCCAGCCAAGGUGUCAGGUUGAGAUAAUUGCACGGUCCCAACUGAGGGCUGGUCCAAAAUGGCUGGACUAGUAGGGUCAGGUUGGGUUGGGUCAGGAGGGGUCGGGCCGGGCAAUCAACUAAUAAAUUAUAAGGCAGGGCCAGGUCACUAAAAGAAACCAAAGACACGAGCCCAGUAUGAGAGAAUUUUUUAAGGUGUCUAUUUGAGAACCAGAUCAAAACUGACCAGCGAAAAAACAGGGCGAAUCAUCCAAGUCAGGGGGUACAGGUCUUUUUAGAUCAAGUAUAACUACAAUCAAUCUAUAGGAUUGUUAACGUUACUGGAAAAUUUUAAAUUGACAUUCUGAAUUAGAAGUUAAAUCAUGAUAAAUGAGUGGUUAAGCUUAAAACAAGUAGAUAAAUCAUUAAAUACGAAUGGAUUAACACGGCCAUACUUCUGUUUUGCUUUCUGUGCUUUGUCGAGAGGAUUAUCGGUCCACAUGCUAGUAUCACCUCGUCCUUCUUUACCUGUCCUACUAAAUGACGUCGAAUGCAUGGUCAUUCCCGGCUGAGAUGAGAUUAGGGGAAAAUAGUUAAAAUGGGUGUUGAGUGAGAUUAAAGUAAAAUAAUAAAUUGGAGUGGAAAGAAGGCAAAUACUUUUCUUUCAGGGGGUAAUGUUGUCAUCCACUCAUCUCUCGAGGGUUUGGGUGCCUCUUUUCCGACCGCAAGAAGCUCUUCAUCACCUUCAAUUGAUAUACCUGUAAUGUAAUAACAAAUGAUAAAGCUUAUGAGUUAACUCAAAAUAGAUCAAGAAGAUAUUAAAUAUGUCAAAUAACAAUAAAAGGUAUUACAUUUUAAGAGAAGAAAAGCUGAAAAACAUGGAGGCAGCGCUCAAAGGAAAUAGGUAGCACAACGCCACAACCAUGAGUAAAGACAUGCGGUUAUUUUUCAUGCUAUUUCAGAAUAUCACUGCUAAACGGGUUGAGGAAAUGAUUAUCAUAUAUAUUAUAGUAGGACAAGAAUGAAAUAAAAUAAAAGGACAGGAAUGAAAUAAAAAAGACAAAAUACUACGCUUAAGUGAAUAACAUGAAGUCCUAUAUCCUUUGUGCGGCAAUUCAUUGAUAGCUAUUGCCUAAAUUAAGUGAAAAUAUAAAACACGUAGUGACCUAAAUCUCUCAUUUUACCAGACAAAGUACUUCGACUACCUCACUCUUUAGGCCUCACCGUAUGUAUGAAAGGGAAGGAAAUUCUACAAUAGUUCAUUUAAAAUCCCCAAACGAAGGGUAUUCAAUCUACACAUCAAAAAGUUCGCUGUUAACUGCUUGCACCACUUGUCAACUUUACUAAUCUGACCUAAUUUGCAUGGCUUCUCGCUGUCCUAAUAUAUCAUGGGUGCAGUUAAAAAUUUCUCAUCCAGGCUAGCAGUCAAGCUGUUAAUAAGGAACUAGUCAAGGGUCUAACAUUUGAUGGUGAAAAAGCUAAAUUAAUAAUAUUGAAUGAAACCCGAUAUGAUUAUAUCAUAAGAACUAUGGAUAUAUGGCACCAAUGUACUACAAAAAACAGAAUCUUUAUGCCAUUUCUUUCCGCUGAUCAUUCCAAAUAGUUACCUUGCAGCCGCCUCCAUUGUGCAGCUUCCUGGAGAGCUUUCAGUUCCACCUACAUCACAGUAAUUUAGAAAGAAAAAGAAUGAUCAACGAAAAUGACACAUGCAACAUCAAAAAAAAAAAAAACAUCACAAUCUAAUACUGAAUUUCGAUAUAGUAUUUAGUCAUUAAGUCAUGACCAUCGACUAAUGGUAACUAAGACAUUUAAGUAUCAACAGAGGAACAGGUAGUCUCGAUACAACCAAGCAUUAAUGUCAAGAAACCAUACCUUAAACUUUUCCUGCUCUUCUUUUUCUUCAAUUUUCUGAUCUAUAGCUUUUCUCUGCAAACAAGCAUGGCCGCAUUAAAAGCUCAUCAACUUAAAACACCAGAAAUAAUUAAAUACAAUAACAGUGUGAUAGCCAUGACAGAACAGUGAAGUUCUCUGGCAUGUUUAUGUAUUACUCGAAAACCCAGUUAGUCUUACUAAGUAAAAAACAAUGCAUAAGUGAAGAUCAAUAAGUUUCAUGCCAUUGUGAGUGUUACGCUUAUUUGGAAUGUGAGUUCAUAUAUUUUCCUAAAAGAUCAAGAUGUUUUAUGCAAGGGCAUGUGGUACAUAUAUACAAUGAACAUUCAUUUAUUUUCCGACACGUAUUCUGCUUAUGCUAAGUUCUCUCCUGGUAGGCUUGGUUGAAUCAAAUUAGUAUGGGAGGAGGUUGCAGGAUUUUGGUAGAGUAAGAGACAAAAAUGAUGAGGCUAAGACCAUGAUUUGAACCACUAUAUCGUUCCUAUUGCUCUUGACUAGCGGAUUGCGAAGAUACGGUCAUUCAUAAAAAGAAAAAUUCUGACAAAGAAACUGAAAUGGUUGUCAGGUAAAGGAACAUCCGAAAUUGACAGAAAACAAUAAACAUUUAAUAGCUUGAUGCUUUAUAGCAUAGUAUUUUAUAAGAUGCGAGGACAUGCAUGGAGCAUGCAUGCUACUAGUUGAUAAACAUAAUAAAGCAAAUUUUCUAGUCUCAUACAUUAUGUUCAUAGUUCUCAGAAGUUGCGAACAUUAGGUUAUUAUACUUUGCUAGCAAUCCUACAAGAAUGAACCAUGUAUGUAAUUAAAAAAGAGCUAAAAGCAACAUGUCCUUUUGUUUUCUUUGCCAAAAGAACAGUAUGCAAUAGUAAAAGAGCAUAAAGCAACAUGUCCUUGAUUGUUUCUUUGCCAAAAAACCUAAGGGGUAUUUGGUUUCCUAAAAAACAGUUUUCUAGCUGGAAAUGUAUUUUCGGCCCAUUUGAUCCUAGGAAAAAUAGUUUUCCUGGGAUUCAUGGAGUAGUGUUUUUUGUUUUCUGAAUUUUGAAUCGACAAAAUAAAAAAUAUGGAAAAGGGUGUUUUCCAUGGAAAACCUUUUCCCAGAAAAUAGUUUUCCACGCUCUUCCAAGGAACCAAACAUAGGGUAAGCUGGAAAAAACACUUUUAAGAAAAUUCCAAACCAAAAAUUGCUUCCUAUUCAUACCUUAUCAGGAUCUUGUAAAUCUUUGAAAGCCUUGUUCAAUAUAACAAAUGCUUGGUGUGCCUGUGGAUGCGAACAUUUAUCUGGAUGUACCAUAAGAGAUAAUUUCCAAUACCUGUACCGACAAAUGCAUUAGAAAACAAGGAAAAUAACAGAAUUAUCUUCACAACCAUUUUCAGUUAAUAAACAAUUCCAAAGUAGUUACAAGAAAACAAAAUCACAGACUACACAAAAUAAAGUGAUUGAUUGCCAAAACACAAUAUACACACAGAAAAUAAUGACAGUAACAUACAGUGUUCCAGAUUAUGCAGCAUUUCCUGAAUUGUUAAGAUUUUCAAGGAACUGGCUUUAAUUUGGUACACCAUAAGAUUAUCACAAUCGGGAUGGCAUAAGACUAUCACAACAACUAGGCUGGCAGCUGGUAACCAAGAAAAUUUACUUGGAUCCUGUAGAAUCCAAAUCCAAAUCUCAGCCCUGAGAUCUCUGCCCAAUUCUGGCUUAACCUGCACUACAUACCAAUAUACCAUACAAUACAACUAACUCCUUUGCCAGCCAAUUGGCGAUAAAAUGUUACCCUUAACAAUAAAAAUAAUACUACCUGAUUCUAACUAAAAAUGGACUGAUGAGGCAAGGCAGCUCAAACCUUUGCCCCUUUGCUAUUUAUUGGAUGGCAUUCCUAAACUAAGCAAUUCCAUUAUCCCAAAUAUUAAGGGUCACAGGACUUGUGUCAAAAAAAUAUCAGAUAAUAUCUUUUCCAUAAUCUUCUACAAACCCGCUGUCUGAAGCCUCAAGGCCAAGAAGUCUGCAGCUAAAUUCCCUACACAACCGACCUUGGUGUUCUGGUCUAGAUUGAUUGAAGAAGUUUAUUAGGGGUAAUAUUAGUUGGAAGAAUUCCAUUUGUUUUCUGUUUUAUUUUACCAUUUUAACUUAACUCCUGAAGAGAUUUAUAAUAGACCAUUUGUGCUGAUUUGGCCUAACUCAUUAUUACUUUUUCCAUUAAAUAACUAUAAAUGUUGCUAAAUAUAAAUCAAAAUUGCUUUGCACUUUGAAGGUUAUUCUACUUGCUGAUUUUAAAUUAAAUUUUAGUUUUGAUAAUUCUCCCUUCAAAUCUCUUGGUUCACGUCGUCCAUAACUGGAUAGAAACAAAUGCAUACUCGAUACUUUGCAUACCAUAAAUAGAAUAAGCACAUAUUUAUAGUUGCCUUAUCUGCUUAGUUUAAAUAAUCAUGUAAUUUGCUAAAGAUGUUUUUUUUAAAGUUAAAUUUUAAGAUAUCAAUUAAUUCAAAUCAUUAACCCUGUUGAAUUUGAGUAAUUUCAGAUCUCUCCAUAUCAUGCAAGAGAUUGUAUGAGAAACCAAUACCUUUAACGAUAAAAGAAGACAUAAGAUCUAACAAAUAUAAUGACCCAUAACAAGGGAAAAGAUACAUAGUAAAAGAAAAUUUGUAUGAGAAACUAAUAAGUUUAAUGAAAAUUAUGGCCAAAGAUCUAAAUGCAUGGAAGAGAAGUAAUCAACCAAAAUGGUAGCAGGCAAGAAUUAAGAUAGUACUCAUAAGAGGUACCGUUACUCAGGCUAUGAAAUGAAUCCACAAUAAGAUACAGCACAAGCUACACACCAAUUAGAUAUGUGGACAAGUAACAACUAGACACUGCACAGAUUAAAACUAAGGAUACAACAAAAAGGGAGUAUGGCUACACGACAACAAGUAGAAAAAGGAUAAAAGAUUCAUCACCUUUUCUUGAUGUUAUCAGAUGACAUCUUCCAAUUUAUUCCAAGCACAUCAUAUGGUGAAUCAGUAUCAGCCCCAGCAAUUCGAGCUACCUUAUAAAAACAAGGGAAGAAAUUGAUAAGUAAACAAAGGCCCUAACGAGUGAUAUGUCGUCUCAGAUUUGAAAAAGAAAAUGGAAUCAAUUUAUCAAUUCUUGUAAAUUGUCAAAUAAAAAGCUUACACAUUGCACAUAAAUGAUCAGCAUUAAUCACUGUUGAAACUUUAAAAAUACAACAUCUAACACCAUGAGAAAAUAGUUUAUUCGAUCAGGAUAAAUAAGAAAACGCUUGCAAAUUGAUGCACUUAGCUUCAUUUACACACAGCUUGGACUAGUACAGAUCCAGUUAGGACUUGACCAGCCUUUACGACUCCAUUUAUAACUACUAUUUUUUAAUUCUAACACAAUGAAUUAUAGAGGUAAGAAAUUUCAUGGCUUUUCUGCCCCCAUGCCUACUUAGCUAGACUUUAACCUUAAUAACUCCCCAACAGUCGACAACCACCGCUACUAUCAACACCACAAUGAAGAUGAAGGGUCUCUACAGUAUAACUACUUUUAAUAUAAGAAAACAGAAGAGCUACAAUGCACUCUGUAAGGAACUCUUCAAAAACUUGACAAUAAUAACUAGGAACCCUAACUAGAUUUGGCGCCACAUAGGGGACUUACUUUUUGAUUAAAUGCGGAGAUACAUUUGGUUGAAGAAGCUACUUUCAAAAUAGCAGAAAGAAAAGGAUGAAAGCUGUAGGCUGCAUUUGAGGGUAUUUUACAAGUCACGAACUACUUAUUGGUGGCACACUGACACUUCCAGGUUUAGCCACGUAGGUGUGACUAAGUACCGAGACGUAAUGCUCAAGAAAUUUUGUCGUCAACAAUCUGAGGCAUAGGUUUUUUUUUUCCUACAGGUGAAGUGUUCCUUUCACAGGCACAAAUGGGUAGAUAACUAUAAGUCUUCAUAGGAUGCAACAUGUAAACCAGAUAGAGCAUGAAGUGAUAAAAUCAGAGAAGUUCCACCAUCUGACAACGUAACUUCCUAAGACUGAGGUAGCGCCAGCAAAAAAAGGACGGAAAACAGUAUUUGAUAAUAGACAAUCUAAUUAAGAUUUAAAUGCAAAUGCAACCAAUAUUCCCUUGCAAACUUUUAUAACAGGUUAAGAAUUCAGGAAACUCCUAGCAUGGCUUCAGUUGUCGUUGAGAAAAAGAUCACAAGAAAUCUCUAUGGUAAGAAGAAUACAGAGCAGAGAGUAGAAUUACUUGAGGGGGAAAAAAAGGAAUGUACUAAUCACACAUCGAGUUCCAUAAAAAACACAAGUGUGAUGGCCCUAUGAGUAGAACUACUCUCCAAGAGCACUUCAAAAGAAAAUCAACUACGAAUUCCAAUGUUUUCACCAAUUGGCUCAAAGUACAUCAUUAAAAUACCAAAGCAAAAAACACAAAAACAGAAGAGCUUCAUGUUAGGAGUAAAAAUGGACCAAUAAAAGCAUGAGAAAAGGCAGACUGUAAAAUCGUACAAAAUUCAAGAAAAGAGAUGCACAAAUUAUAUAAAUCAACUGCCUUUUCUGGUCACCGGAACAGGAUGAAAUAUCUCAGGUCAAAAUUCUAAAGGGCAGACUAUUUAAGCAGUUCCGCUACAUUGAGUCAAGAUUAUUGUGUUUUAAGACAAAAAAAAAAAUCAAAGUAAUAGCUCAUAUUCCUAGAAAUAAAGGAUGCAAAGAAGCAUUACAAGGAGUGCAAUUUGCUCACAUUAUAAUUAUCAGUUUUGAAAAGGAAAUAAUACCUCCUCAAAGCGCUCAGCUUCAUUUGCAGAUUCAACCUCAGCAACCAUGGCAGGUGGAGGGGGACCUAUUAGCAAAUCAUUGUCAACUUCCAAGUCAGCAUCCCUGGAAAUCAUAAACAAUAUUACCUCAAAACUGAAAGUAUGCACUAUCGUGGCUGUAUUCAUAGUAUAUGCUACCAGCUUUAAAAUAAUAAACAUACAAGAAACCAUUACUGCAAACUAAUAAUAUACAAAAGGCAAUGUCGUAAAGAUCUACAAAAUAAUAUGAUACACGAAAAAGAUUUUAAUGCUAUAAACUAAAACUAAAGCAAAUUUGCAGAAGUACCUUAGCAAAUUCUCAGCCUCAGUCAACUCAGCUGCUGCAGCCAGUAACUCGCGAGAGGGCAUUUCAGGACCAAUAACCCUGCAGGAACAUACAAUAUAAGAGAAGUAGAGUACUAACGACAAUCUAAAUUCAAUUCAGAAAGAAGUAGAGGACGUACUACAAGUAGGUUUCUUAGUGGGUUAUUAGGGAACUACAGCAAUUUAGGCGAAAAUGGAAAUGGGAAGCACUGGAGUAGAUAAUCAUCAAGUUUUGAAAGACACAAUGCCUAGGGGAUACAAAUUCUUUCUCAAGCAGAGAGAUUGAGGAUAUGAAAUCAAGCAUGGUCGUCCUAGAAUAAACUCUAUGGAAGGUUAGACAAAUUAAUCAGUCAACAUGAGUGGUUUCAAGAAGCACGAAAAACUAAAGGUACAGUGAUAAGUUUCUUUGAAAGAUUGGGGAAGAAUUAUUACAAUGGUGAAAGAACAAAAUGUUCUUUAAGAGGUACAGCGAUAAGUUAAUCAGUCAGCAUGAGUGGUUUCAAGAAGCAAAAUGUUUUCAAGCAUGAGUGAUGUUUUCAAGCAUGGUCCUCCUAGAAUAAACUCUAUGGAAGGUUAGACAAAUUAAUCAGUCAGCAUGAGUGGUUUCAAGAAGCACGAAAAACUAAAGGUACAGCGAUAAGUUUCUUUGAAAGAUUGGGGAAGAAUUAUUACAAUGGUGAAAGAACAAAAUGUUCUUUAAGAGGUACAGCGAUAAGUUAAUCAGUCAGCAUGAGUGGUUUCAAGAAGCAAAAUGUUUUCAAGCAUGAGUGAUGUUUUCAAGCAUGGUCCUCCUAGAAUAAACUCUAUGGAAGGUUAGACAAAUUAAUCAGUCAGCAUGAGUGGUUUCAAGAAGCACGAAAAACUAAAGGUACAGCGAUAAGUUUCUUUGAAAGAUUGGGGAAGAAUUAUUACAAUGGUGAAAGAACAAAAUGUUCUUUAAGAGGUACAGCGAUAAGUUAAUCAGUCAGCAUGAGUGGUUUCAAGAAGCAAAAUGUUUUCAAGCAUGAGUGAUGUUUUCAAGCAUGGUCCUCCUAGAAUAAACUCUAUGGAAGGUUAGACAAAUUAAUCAGUCAACAUGAGUGGUUUCAAGAAGCACGAAAAACUAAAGGUACAGCGAUAAGUUUCUUUGAAAGAUUGGGGAAGAAUUAUUACAAUGGUGAAAGAACAAAAUGUUCUUUAAGAGGUACAGCGAUAAGUUAAUCAGUCAGCAUGAGUGGUUUCAAGAAGCAAAAUGUUUUCAAGCAUGAGUGAUGUUUUCAAGCAUGGUCCUCCUAGAAUAAACUCUAUGGAAGGUUAGACAAAUUAAUCAGUCAGCAUGAGUGGUUUCAAGAAGCACGAAAAACUAAAGGUACAGCGAUAAGUUUCUUUGAAAGAUUGGGGAAGAAUUAUUACAAUGGUGAAAGAACAAAAUGUUCUUUAAGAGUGAUGUAUAACGCCGAUAUAUCUUGGUUGGUUUUAAUAUGUGUGGAUAUGUCGAGUCUUUGUUAAGAUGAAAACAUGUUUUUCCAUGUUAUCAUGAAUGCAAGUUACUUGAGACUUCAUGAGAAAUCCAUUUCCCACAUGAUAUGAUAUUAUAGAAUGUUUGUAUUGAUGUAUGACAUUUCAACGUUAGUUUCAGCAUGGAGCACUAUUACUCUCCUUUACUAAAGAAUCAUUUUUUGUGUACGAUUAAAUUAUCUUAUGCCGAUAAUUUGAACAUUGAAAUACCAGUAUUACUUUUAUUUGCGCAUUUUCGUUAAAAAGAAUUACUGCAUUUGUUAUAAUUCAUUGGCUGGUGUUAGCUUGUGGGAACUCAAAUUAUGCAUGCAAAAUCAAUAAAGAGUAGUCUGGGUCAAAAUAGAUUCAUUCUAGCCAACUUAACCAUUAGGGCACAUUUGGUUCGCGCUAUGCAACAUUCUUGAUUAUUUCAACAUAACCAAGAAUAUGAUUCCUAUGAAUCAAAUUACUACUAAUGUUGUGUUACUGUGGACGGUUCAAUGCACUAAUUGUAUGUUAGAUCAUUGCAAUCAAUGUUUUAAAAAAGUGCGAGGCACAAAAAAGUGCAGUCCUCCCAGAGCCUAGGCUUAAGGCGCACCAUGAGGCGCGCGCCUCAAAAAGGUGAGGCGCAUAUUUAAUUUUAAAAAAUUCUUAACUAGCCUAGUUUAAUUGAUUGCUACAUAAAAAAGAUUCCAAAACAACUAUACGAAAGUAAAAUAACCAUGAAAAGCAAAUCACAUGCAUAAAUGUUCUCAAAGAGUCCAAAAAGAAAAUUAAGAGAAGAAUCACACAAAGAACGCAAAAAAGGUAUCACACAUGUACAUCUGAUAGAAAGAAAGAGAAGAAUUUUUUCCCACCAAUUCAAAGAAAUAUGAAGAAGUAAAAAAGAAAAAGCCUCACCAAAACAUCAUAUCCUAUCAAAAGAACUUAAAAAAAAAAAGGUUCAAGAUAGAAUUAUUUAGAGAAUUGGAGUAUAGAGACCACACCAAAACUAUUGUUGCUUGCUAUUGCCGCUGCCGCCUACUGUUGCUGCUUUGUUGCCAACUUGCCAUUAGAGAGAGAUGGGAGGUAGGGAGAACGAGAGAGAGAGAGAGAGAACGACAAAGAAAAAGAAGAAAAGGGUUCUCAUUAGGAUUUUCUAAAUUCCUUUACGAAUUAGAAUAUACUGAUGAGUCCGAGACCCAAGAACCCAAACGCUAGGCCUUUUUAACUUACAUAUCACGAGGCGCGCGCCUCAACUGCACCUCAUGCCUGGCCUGAGGUGUGUGCCUCAAAAUCUAGGCGGGCACCUCAAAGAGGGCGUUGCACCUCAAAUUCUCGAAGGCGCUAAGGCCCUCGCCUCGCGCCAAGGCGCCUUCUCAAACACUGAAGGCAAUGUUAGAAUAUUGCAAUGUUUAGAUUAUUGCACAUGCAAGAUUACUGUGUUUGGCCCCCGCGGCCAAGUCCUGGCCGACUCCGAAGGGGGAUAGUCCGAUAGAGAAAAAGGGGUAGAUAAAGGGAGAGGAGAUGGGGAUAGAGAAGAAAUAGGAAAAUAAAGGGAGAGAGAUGGAGAGAGAGUACUAUAAAUCCCUAGAGAAUGGAGAGGUGGAGAGUAGGAUCGGGAGAUAGAGAGAUACACAAAUUCAAACUAAGAUGAAGAUAAAGAGCCAAGAAGAGGUUUUUUGGGUUGGGGGGAGGGGUAAUUUUGAAAUUUUUUAGAAGUUGCAGGAUAACCCGCAACCAAUAAUACCUACCAACCUCCCCCGUAAUAUUUUUGGGUUAAUCCUGUAUUGUUACUUUAUUAGGAAUCCUAUAUUACGUACGAGAUUACAUGCGGGAUGAACCAAAUACAAUUAUCUAAAAAGAUUCUUGCAAGAUUUUCCAUAAUAUUGGCAAGAUAGCAUGAACCAAACACGCCUCUAAGAUAAUCUGAGUGCAUUCGUAGUUUAAUUGCGUGACAAGCGACGCCAUGGAUUGAUAGCACGGCCCUUAUCAGCUAAGUCAUAUGUAUACUUGAAAAAGCUUCACAAUUAUUUUCAAAGGUCAAAACCAUCAGCUAACAAGAAGAUAUUACAUUUUAAGUAAUUUGGCUUAAUCCUAUGAUAUAUAUGAAAGGAGAAAGUCAUAGAUUUUCUCAAUUUUUUGAAAUUUUUUUCUCAAUAUCAUAUAAUAUUAUGUUAAAGUAUUAAGAUACAGUCAUGUAUACAUUACUUCCGUUCCCUGCAUCGACAUAAUAUUUGUGAAAUGCACUCUUACAUAUAGGACCCUGUAAAUAAGUUAAUUAUGGAAAUUACACUAAUAUGAAUUACUUGAUUUUUAACCUCAAAGAUUUCUAGUAUAAAAAAAUGUCUAUAAUUAAUUGUCCGUAAACUGUCCAAAUUGGUGUUCAACUGUAUUCCACCCAUUGCAUAGUGUGGGCUACACUAGUUUUGUGAUAACAAAACAAGGAAGAAAGCAAUGUCACUGGUGGAGAUGAGAAAAAUCAGUAUGUAUAAAGGAGAAAGCACAAGAAUUUUAGCUAGGCACAUUAAGGUAAAUAUAUGUGCAACGAAACUAUUCAUAAGUUACCCACAUAAUCACAUUUUUGAGUUUCUAAAAAGGAAACAUGAGAAAAGAACAGAUGAUCUUACCUUCUUUUAGUAGGACGUGGAGAUUCUUCUUUCUCACUAGGUCCUCUCAAAUCUACAGUGGCAUGGUCAUUUCUAUUUUCCGUGAAUUCUGCAUUAGAUGGCAGAGAUUGUUCUUCAUGUAGAAGCCCAGAGUUUGAAAGUUGAUUGCCUGAAGGUUCAAGAUGUGGAGAUGGUGAUCCAGUAAGAUCAAGGGUAGGAAGACCCAUCUGGCGCGGCAAGUAAAUCCCACUUUCAUUUUGUUUUAGCUUCAUUGACCGGAAAAGUUUCUUUAAGAGUGCAACCAAUGACUUGUCAGAAAUUCCAGUUAUAUCAACACCUUGGCCAUUUUCAAUCAUUUGAAGAAGCUGCAAGAGUAAGUAUAUCAUUUGUCAAAAUGCGACUGAUAGUAAGGCUUCGUUUGGGAUUGCAGGGAGAUUGCGUUACGUGCGGUGAGAAAGUACGUUGGAAAAAUACUAUGUUUGUUUCAAUACGUAAUAUUGCGUUCCGCAUAUCGCGAUGAGUCGGUUACGAUAUAUUUUCUGCGGUUCCACCGGAGAACGCAGAAGCAUAUUCCUAUAUGCUUUUUCCUCAACUCCAUUUUAUCUAAUAGCGUUAGAUAUACCUCGAUACCAAACUAAGCCUAAGUAGCAAAGGCAAUAGUUUCUGCAAUAAACAACAUUUUACCAAUCCAACAAGUUAGAACAACUACACAUACCUCUAUAGCGAUCAGCAAAAUUUGUCGUAUCAUAUAAUAUAAUGGCAACUUUUUCUUCAAUAAUUCAAUUAAUGGCAACUUUUCCUUCAAUAAUUCAAUAUCUUUCUUUUAAUAAUUUUGUUACAUAUUCCAGAAUAAUUCCUUUUCUUCUGACCACCAUCAAUUUUCCUAUAAUUUCCCAUUUUCGCCUUCAUCAAAACAUUCUUAACCCCAUACAGUCUAAUUUUUCUAAUCCAACCUACAUCGAAUCAUUCUAAACCAGAAUUUUCUCCCAGAAUAUAUAUCAAAUUACAUGCUUGGAAAUCAAUAUAUCUCUUUAUAGAUUCUAGUUAGUAUACUAUUAUGGGUACGAUCGUGUUUGAACUCAUAAAUCGUUUUAGAUGAAAUAGCUUACAAACUGACGAUCCAUACCAGUAGACAAACUUUAGAGUAUUUAAACAUUCCGAAAACCGAAUUUCGUGAUCUUUUGACAUCAUAUUACUUACGAUCAAAAGGCCUUAAAAGUUAUAAUUCAACCUAUAUCGAAUCAUUCUAAGCAGAAUUUUCUCCCAGAAUAUAUAUCCAAUUACAUGCUUGGAAAUCAAUGACCUAAGUAACAAAGAUCAAAUUUUGCUAACAAUAUACCAAACUAACACUUCAAUAACUGCUAAUUAUUUGGCCAAUUCAUCAACAGCUCAUCAAAAUCUGCUCCAUACCUGUUGAAGCUCCCCGGCCACGCUCGGGAACUUGCGGAGGAUGGACCGAACGAUCUCCUGCGGCUCCGAUACAUCACAAUCCGAAGAAGAAGAAGAAGAAGAAGAAGAAGAAGAAGAAGCCCUAGACGACCUCUUGCUUCGCCGCCGCCGCCGCCGCCGACGCCGAUCGUCGUCGUCGUCGCGAGAGCUCCUCUUCUUCUCGGAUCUGCGGGUACCGCUGCUCCUCUUCUCGUGACGAUGCUUGCGGCUGCUGCUUCGGGCGCUCGACCUCUCGCGCUUCCGACUACGAUGGCGAGCGCUAGGGUUUUCGAUCUCGGAGGAAGAGGAAGAGGAGGGGGAAGAGGAGUGGGAUCGCCUGGUGCUGCGGCGGUGCUUGGGUUCGAAAUCCCUCGCCAUUUUUUUGUUUCUUGUUGUUUAGAGAGAGAGAGAGAGAGAGAGAGAGGAGGGGGUAUUGGCGUUUCGAGGGGAAUGGGUCGGCGUAGUCACGUGGAACGCACGUGAGUCAGAUUGGAUAAUUUCUAGGCUAAAUUACUGAAAAACCCUCGGUCAAAAUCUGUAGUUUUUAUUUUCUUUCUCUGUAAUUUAAAAAACUACCCUUUAUUUUUCUACACACCGUUUGGUUCGAAAAUAAAAAAGGUGUUAGCGGGUUAACCCCUUUUAUCCCCAAACGGAAACAAAUGGGAGUGAGGUUUGGUCACAAAUUGGGAAAAUUCGCGCCUACUCUGACUUUCGCGAGACAUGCAAGAAACGAUAAUAAAUCUCGCCGUUAAUUAAGUUAAUUAGAAUUUGAAAUUUUGAAUAGAAAAAUUGGGAAGAAAAAAUAGAUGUGAAUCAAACAAAGGCGGGGGAUAGCCUUAUUUAUGACAAAUUUCAAAAAGGUAGGGAAUAACCCUAUGAUAAAGAACUCAAGUUCAAGUAAAGAAGUAAAAGUUUUAGCUCAACAUAUAUGUAUGUCUAUUUUAAAAGCACGAAGAGUAAUUGAUCAGAUUCGCGGGCGUUCCUAUGAGGAAACACUUAUGAUACUGGAACUCAUGCCUUAUCGAGCAUCUUAUCCCAUUCUAAAAUUGGUUUAUUCCGCAGCAGCAAAUGCUAAUCAUAAUAUGGGUUUGAACGAAGCUGAUUUAUUCAUUAGUAAAGCCGAAGCCAAUAGGAGUACUAUUGUGAAAAAGUUAAGACCCCGGGCUCGAGGACGUAGUUAUCUGAUAAAAAGACCGACAUGUCAUAUAACAAUUGUAUUAAAAGAUAAAUCGAAAUCAUUUUUAGAUCAAUCUAAGAUUUAGAUUCAUAUAAAAAAAAAAAAAUAUAUAUAUAUAAUAGAAAAAUAUGGGACAAAAAAUGAAUCCACUUGGUUUCAGACUUGGUACAACUCAAAGUCAUCAUUCCUUUUGGUUCACACAACCAAAAAAUUAUUCCGCGGGUCUACAGGAAGAUGAAAAAAUACGGAAUUGUAUCAAGAACUAUGUACAAAAAAAUAGGAAAAUAUCCUCAGGUUUCGAAGGAAUUGCACGUAUAACAAUUCAAAAAAAAAUCGAUUUGAUCCAAGUCAUAAUCUAUAUUGGAUUCCCAAAUUUAUUAAUAGAGGGGCAAACACGAGGANAUUAUUAUAUUUAAAUUUUAAAUUUGGUAUUUUAUAUGUGAAAUUUUAUAUUUGUUAGAUUUGAUUUAAAAUUUAUAACUUUAAAUUUUUAAAUUUGAGAUUUAAAAAUAUAGAUUUUAAUUUUGAAUUUUUUAAUUUUAAAAGUUAUCUUAUAAAUUUGAAAUUUUAAAUAUAAAAUAAAAAAUUUAAAUUCAAAUAUAAUAAUUGGGGCAAUAUCAUUAUUUUCUAUUUAUAACUACCCAAUAUCCUUCUUAUUCCACUUAUUCCUACCAAACACUAUUUUGUUUAUACCUGGACUAAACCCAAUUCUCAACCAAACACAAAAUUACUCUACCCCACCUUAACCCUGAACUUAACCCUAUCCGCAGUCUCUUCUCCUCCAUCCUUCAUGCCUCCCUCAACCCCAAUUUCAACUCAACUCCGCUGGCUCCACCUGCUAUACGGGUUAUUCUCUCAUAGAAAAGAACACAAAAAAAAAUAGAGAAAAAUAUUUAUAAAUUCGUGAGUAAUUUGUGAGCUCUCUUGUGAGAAAGAGAAGCCACAUCCUCUAUUAACUUAUUGUUAUAGAGGGUCUUGAAUGAUGGAUUAAAAAUCGUAAUCGUUCGUAGUUUAAUCUACCACAGGUUUGGAGCUUUAAAAGACCUGCAUGGACGAUCCGAGGACACGUAAAUCAAUAUCUACAAUCUAGGCUCAUUGCAUUUUAGUGUGAGUCGUUUCCGCAAAAGAUACGACUGAAUACUUCUGUUGCAUUCUACAAUAACUUUAAAAGAGAAGCAUCCAAUAAAAAUACGAUAUUAAUAAAUUUUAAUAGUGCCUACCCGCUGCGAAGCGCGGGUCCUUAACUAGUAUAUACUAAUGACACUAUGCUCCAACUCUCUACAUAUAUAUGCUAGUGAAGGAGUUUGUGUUUAGAAGCAGUUAGACAUAAAAACAAACAUAAAAUUUUAUAUUCAAACAUAAAAUCAUAAUAUUUUUUCUAAUAUAGAUAUAACAAGCAUAACAAAUACCAUCCCCAUCUCCUCAAAACCCUAAAAAGAGCUCCUUUUUUUCUCCCAAAAAAUACCCCACGCCUAAUCAACAAAUCCCUAGCUUGCUUAUACCCUGCGGCCCAUCCCAAACCUACAAAUCCACGCAUAAUUUAAACAAUUAAAUUGGGAAGUUAGGGAAAAGAUCUAAGGCGAGGGCUUUUACAACCUGGUAAGCGCGGAAACUGGAAAAUGUGUGAAAUUUUCGAAAAAAAAAUUGAAUUUUACUAUGUUUGAGAGAGAAAAAACCCCACCUGAGCAUCCCAAAUUGAGUGGAUUGAAACAUCCGCUUCUAUGAGAGGGGGGCGAAGAAGAAGACGACGAGGAUGACGAACGAGAAGGAGCUCAAAGAGGCUAACAAUGACGGCAGAGAUUGAAGGGAGAGAGAGUGAGAGAAAGAGAGAUCUCAAUGAGUUGUAUGCGUUUGAGCCUAUCUACAAGACACACCUAGAAAAUUUUAUAAUUAUUAACUAGUGAAAUUUAUUUAGACUACUCAUUUUACCUAUCAAAUAAGUAGUCUAAAAAUGAACGACUGAAAAUAAAAAUCUCAUAAAAAAUGAUGAUAAAAGACUUGAAUUUAAGAUUAGAGGUAUUGAUCUUACUCUAAAUAGUGAAAAGAAUUUUUUAUAAAAAUUUCAUCAGAUUUAGAGUGUUUUACACUGUUAAAUUCACAAACGCAUCACAUUCAUCAUUAAAAUUGUCAAUUUUGAGACCUUUUAAUCACUAGCCAAAUAAUACCGAAAAAUUAUGAAAUUUAGUUUCAAAUACUGUUAAUAAUAUAGAUUAAGUCUAAUGGAGCCGAUCGUCAAUUUGGAACCCGCAUCAUUGAAAACAACUUGGUAUUACGGAGGCCUCCGUGCUACCGAUAGUAUACCAGCCUAGCUCGUUAGUAGCGGAAGACAAAUGAUGAAAACGUAUAAUAACUUUGAGAACUCUUCGAAAAUGUUGACUAAUAGUUUUCUCCGCCACGAUGAAAACGUUUUUUAAUUGUUCGAUUACUUGCAAUUUUCAAUAAUAUAUAUAAAAAUAUAGCCACUUGCUCUUUAACUGUUUUCUGUAUCACAUAGUAGAUUUUUCUCUCUGAAGAGUUACACAAGUGAUUGGAAAACAUCAAUUUAUACGAGUAGAUGCAUGAAGCUAAGAUAAUAGUUUGGAUUCUCUAAAACAUCUCUUUCAUUAGUUGUUGAUACACUAGUAAAUUCAUGGCGCUAUGAUGUUCUAUUUGGGAUUACAAACAGUAUGAACUACAUAUAGUAGAAAAGUGCAUUAGGCAAGUAUCUCAAUUUUUUCCGUAAGGAUAAGCAUGCUGUGUCGAUUCUAUUGCUUUUGAUAAAGGUAUGAUUUUUGCAAUCUUACUGAAAACGAAGAAUUAAUCUCUACAUGUUUUCAUUCCAACUCAUUUUCUUUUAAUAACAUUAUAUAUCUCUCAAUACCAAAUUGUCCUUAGAGAGCAUGCAUGAACUCAUUAAAAUUUGAAUUUUAAUAGAGUUAGCAAAUAUUAUAAUUAUAAAAAUGGCAUUUUAAAAAAUUUAUUUGCAAAAUUAAGCUUACGCCAUGAAUGACUCACUUCUUUUUAAAUGCAGCAAAUUAUUCACUACUUUUUUUAAAGAAUUAAUAUUAUUUUUAGUAUUUAAUAUUAUACAUCUUUUAGAGUUUUGAUGUAAAAAAUAUAUAAGUUAGGAAAAAGCGGUGAAUGAUUUAUCGUUUUUAGAAAGUGGUGAAUUAUUCGUUGUGUAUGUAUAAUUUUAUAAAUAAAAAUUUAGAUGUCUAUUCUUACAAUUAAAAAGUUCCGUAGGCUUAUAACCCAAAAACCCUUCAAAAUUAUCUAUUGAUUUCCAUAGAAUCUUGAGUUCCAUACUUCUUAUUGACAUCUGGAAAGUCUAUUAUCUUUCUUUUUACUUAAAAACAAUCCAAUGAAUGCUGCGAAUCAAAUACUCCCUUGGCGAAAUGGAAGGGUGAGAUAGAAUUUUAGAGUCGUUAUUAAUUUAUUAACCAUAUGCUAAGGCUUUCUACAUCUUUCUACAUUAUGGUGUGCAUAAUUUGAUAAUGGAGAAGAUUGAAAAGCUUCCAAACUCCACUGAACACAAUGAUCAAGGACACGUAGCUUGGGAAGGUGAUAUAUACUCUCAAGUAAUUGGGGAGGAGAGACAUGGACAGGUGCGUGGAUUAGGACUUGGUCCGACGCCAACUAGCUUAUGGUCUCCCGGUUCCGUAUAUCAAUCAUCUUCAAAGGAUUUUGAGAAAAUAAAAGAACUGGAGAGAGAAAUUAAACUGAUGGAGCAAUAGCGUGUGAAGGAGAUGAAAACUAUGAAAGAAAAUCAAGAUCGUUUAGAGGCUGAAGUUGCAAUGAUGAGGUCGAUCAUAAGUAGACGAUUUCCCGAAGAUUCGGUAUCUUGUUGUUCUCGAUCCCAAGGAAAGGUAAAAGAGUUUUACUAUUUGAAAUUUUUUUGUUCCUUCUUCUUUUUAAUAUUUUUAUAUAUACUUUUAGGUCAUUUUUGAACUAGUAAAUUACUUAUUUGGUAUAGUGUGGUUGGUAAUAUUUGAAGCAAAUUACUUUAAAUCAUUAAUAUUUUCUUGUUAUCAUAACUAAUUUUUUAUUCUCAUAAUGUUCAUGAAAUAGGUUUCUGAUGCUUCUAGUUCUUAUCACGAUAUGGAUGUACAAAUUACUCGUUAAGGUAAUUAUCUUGGAGACUGUCGCUCCUCUUUCACUUCUGUCUUACCGUUAUCUUUUAGUUUGCAUAAGAAAAGAUGAAACUAUUGCACAACUAGAUGGAUUGUUAUCGUCUCUUAGUUGUGGUUUCUGUUAUCGUCUCUUAGCUGCGGUUCCGGUUUGAAAUGUUUAACAUGAACGAGUACAACUUUUCAUUUAACUAAAGCUUUAGAAUGAUUUCUUGUAAUAAAGACAUAUCAAUCUCAUAUUAUCUAAAUAGAUGAGGGUAGGUUUUUUGGGAGUUUUUGUUCUAGGCUAGUUAUACAAGCUUCUUUUUUAAUAUUUUGUCUAUCUGAUGUGCAAACUGAAAGUAAUUUGAGCUUUGAGCUUUCGCUCUAGUAAUAGAACAAGAAAUGUUAAAGAGGGAACUUUGCGGUUUCGAAUUAUUGGAGCUUCUGGUACUAAAGUGAAGUUUGACCCAGUUUAGAGCGAAUAGGGGGGUUCUUUAUGGCUUUUAUUUUUCAUUUUUUGUCUCAUUUGUGGCCUAACUUAGAGAACGCCGUACAAUAAUAAUCGCCGCUAAAUUGUAAUUUUGUUGAUAGACACACCAUUCCUCAGCCACUCCUCUGCCGCUAAUUUAAAAAAUUUAAGCAUGACAAUUUAAGCAUUACGGAGACUGGAUGACAGAAAUAUUACCCGGACAGUAAUAUGGACAGGCUUUGUAAUUAUACGGACAUGUUUGCUGCUCUGAAUAAUUGUUUUAUAUUUGUACAUUACUUUGAGAAGUUCAUUUCGUGACUGGCUUUCCUGAAACUUUUGCAACACAGGCGUUUUCUUUGUUGAUUUGAAGUCUUGAAAGUUUUUAUGGCCUCGUAGACAGCAAAAAGCUAUAUAUUUUCUCCAAAUGAAAAUAUUGUUUAUAUUCACUAGAACUUAGUUUCAACUUGCAACUUAUCUCCUGAUGAAAUGAUUUGUUUGCAUGUGACAAUAUUGAAGAUGCUAAAUUAGAAAUUAUGGUCUUUGUAUUAUCAGAUGAUGUCACUACAACAAAAACGGUCUAUAGCGACACUUUUAAAUGUAGGUAUAUGUCAAAAAAAUGCUGCUAGCUAAAAUUACCGACACUUUUAAAAAGUGUUACUAUAUGUGGGGUCGCUAGGUAUAUAGUGACAGUUAAAUAGUGUCGCUAUAACCUAAAAAAGUGCUGCUAAUUUACCAACAACUUAUUUAAGCAUUUAGCAACCGCCGAAACUCUAUCUCGUUGGCUGCGGUGGCGGAGAAGAACGACAGGAAUGGCUCUUCGUCUAGAAUUUUAGUGGAUUGAGUAAAGAGAGAAGAAAAUAUGGUAAUUGAUUUUUCUUUUUUUUUUUCUUUUCCGUUUGUAAUCGGGUCAAAUGGACUGGGUGUGGUGGGUUAAGUAGAGUAAUCUUUUAUUUUUGGUUGGAUUGGGCUUUAUAUUUAGACAGUAGUAGAUGUUUUUUUAAGUUUUAGUAUAAAUUGAACACUUACUCAAAAGUGUCCCAAACAUGUGUCCCUAUAACCUAAUUCUGUUGUAGUGUGUUUAUGAAGCAAAGGGGUUCAGCAAUUUUGUUGUCAGUUUCUGUUUAGUUUUCUUAAUAUAAACUGAACACACCUGUAGGCCAUGGCUGAUUUGCUAGGCUUAGUUCAAGAGCCCCUGUAGGAAGUUGAGCACUUUUGAACCACCUUGUUCUCUCGACAUUGAAUUUUUUGUGCUCUUGGGUAAUUCUAUAUACAGGGAUUUCAUAUUUGAUCGACAGUUUAUUUGUAGAGAACGACCAGGCCACAUUCAAAAGGAUUUGGGUUCCAAUACUUCAGAAAAGCGAUGCUGGAGGAUCUAGAUUGACUAUCCAUACCAUUGGAGAUGAUCCAGAGUGUAUGAAAUUAUUAGAAACCAAAUUUAAUUGGUUUGGAUGUUCUUACUAAUGCAUUAGUGGAGACAAAAUGAACGGUGCAAAUUAAAUAGCCUUCUUAAGCUUUGUUUAGGUGUUCCCAAUCGAAAAUGUUAAGUGAUUAUUUUUGGUCUUGGCAUCUGAAAAUAAACUCCAUUGUGCUCUUUAACAAUUAAAGGAGCAAGCAUGCUCUAUUAAUCGUCAAGUGUCAAUUGGGAGACCACUUGAUGCAUAGGUGAAACUCAGUGACAAAUUAUUAGUUUUACUCACUAAUACUCAAAAUUGCAAGCAAUGAGAUUGAUAGUCAAUUUAAAUCCUCUAGGAUCGAUUCUAGCGGCAAUUACAAUUUAAGCAUCUAGCGGCAAUUAUAAUUUAAGCAUUCCUAAGGAGACUAGAUGAUGUUUCUGUCAUCUAGUCUCCAUAAUGCUUCUUCACACAUUUUAAGCAUUCACAUUCUAGAGGAAUGGUGUGUCUAUCAGCAUUUCUUUUGAUUUGUUGCUCCUCUUACUGUUAGAAAUCUAGACUUGUUUGGAUCAACUGGCACCACGGGUAUUCUGGAAAUGGUAUUAUCAAUUUACCACUAAACGUUUAUUUUUGCCUGGCAUUUUCGGAUUCAACAUAUUGGAAGAUUUUACUAUCAUCAAAAGCCUGGCUUUUUGCGAGAUAUACCUUCAUUGAUAUAUCCAGGUUGUAUUUUAAAGUUUCCAGCUAUCUGAGGAAGGGUUUGAUCAACACUUGUUAUAAGCUUUGAGAUAUGUCGGUAAACACACAGUAGUCCUGUUGCUCUUGUAGGAUUUUCGUUCUGUCUUUCUUUGUUUUUGUAAAGCUGUUGGAAGAGAUUUGAGCACGGAACUUAUUGCUGCUCUAGUCUAAAUUUGCUGCUUACAGUGAAUUUGUAAAGCUGUUGGAAUAGAUUGAUAUGUUGAACCACUAAAUUUAUUACUUGAGAAAUGUGCUCCGUAGUGAAGAGGAAAGUGGUUUCUUGCUAGUCUUCGUGGUUAGUUAGCUUUGUCUAACUGAGCUUUGAAAAAUUACAUGGCUUAAGUCCUGGUCCUUAAGAUUUUUGGUGUUGGUAUUAUAGGAUGGAGUUCAAAAGCAUGGAUUUAGUUAUGGUCUGAAUCUUUCUACUUACAUUGCCCUGUUUGAGAGAGUAUUUUACUCUAGCCAAAUGACAUUUGAUAUUCUGAAGAUUGGUUUAGAAAUAUUACGAAUGCUUAUAUGCUACCUUUCUCCAUGGAUCUCGUGCUUAUGUUGUUAAUUUAUCAGAUGAGGAAUCAACUUAUUUGCCAUGCUGAUUUUCAAAAGACUCAAGGCAGAGUUGAUUUAUUAGAUGCUCUAUAUUUUUUUUAUAUUAAUGCUCAAUCCAAGUGGUCUUGCAAAUAUGUUGUGAAAUAAUUGAAAUCUGCCAACCAAUUUGUCUUGAUAUAAUAUGGAUUUAUUGUGGGCAGAUAAAAUAGUGUGCGGCCUAUGAUUGGAAUAAUCAACUUUUAGCUAUGAGGAAGUAUUGAGUCCUGUGGGUUUCAAAGCUCUCUCUAGCUUAACUUUUAAAAUCGUUUCCCCUUUAUCCCAUUAUAAAAAUUGGUUAGCGAUUAGUGUUAACCUGAAAGGAUGUCAUUUUGAGUUCUAGGCUAAGAUGAUGAUCUUUUCUCUGGAUUUUGUUAUUGUUUGGCGACAUUUUAUCAACUAUCAAAAUUAGCUCUUGCGUGAUUAAACUCAUUAUCUUCGCCAAUGUAGUAUGAAAUUUCUUUCUUUUCCCCACUAAGAUCAGUUCUGAUCAAGGGCUAUUAGACUUGUUUCUUUUCCCCUAUGUUCUUUACCUUAAGAAUUUAAUGUUAGCAUUUACAUAUUGUGGACAGCAGAUUACUGAUCAGCAAGAAGGACCGCCUUACAAUACAACUGUCGCCGAGCAAGUAUAUUUCUGCCCUUAAUGGAGUGUUUGGUAGAUAUGCAACAAGGUUCAAUAUUAAUACUUUGACACGCCAACUUCAACUAGCUAAUUGGAGUCAAAGGUAUCUAAUGGCAUAGCAAUUCCUUGUUCUUGUCUUAUGUGUAGCUAUGAGGAAGUAUUGAGUCCUGUGGGUUUCAAGUAUCUCUUUAUUGAAGAUAAUGAGUUCUAUGAUGUAAUUGUUUGUCUAGUCUUACCAAUUGCUUUAUAUCUCAUCUAAAAAGUUUAAUUAGCAAAUUAUACUUCAGAAAUAUAUCAACUAUUGGUAGAAUUUUCUAUCACUAGAAUUGUAGAAAUAUGAACUGUCUUGCUAGCUUGCAUAGCCCACAGCUACAAGCUUUUGUGCGGGGGUUUACCUCAAAGCUUCAAUCCCUUGAUCUUGUCAAAUAUUACUAAAAUACGUCGAGUGAUGUGAAAGUCAGAAUGUUCACAUUGAAAGAGCUGCUCUAUUCUGUUCUGCCUUUCAGCACCGUCCACAAAAUUGACUUUGUAAUCAGUUAUUACUAUCCCCCAUAGCGGAACAAUCUUUAUUCCUCAACCAAGCACAAAUAGGAUUAACCAUCAAUCAGAACUUGGUCUUUUACAUUAUUAAUUAUUGUGCGGAUAUGCUUUAUGGUAUUUAUAUAUUAUUAACUAUUGUCUUCUUAUUUGUUGAUGAACAGUACAACCUAACUUCUAUAUUUUUCAGAAAUUUGAUAUGAUGAUUUUAUUUGGUAAUUUCAGAUACUAAUUUUAUGACUUCUUUUUGGUUGAUCCAGAUCAGCUGGAGCUGCGGAAAUUGAAGUGGGGAGCAAGACAUGCGGUGUUUGUUAUUUUUUUGCUACAUUUUGGACAAGUAUUUUUUGUUAGAACUUAUGUUUGAAAUUUAAUUUGAAUUCUGAGAUUGUACUUUGAGAGUUGAGACUAUUUGUUAUACAAAUUAUUAAUGCUUUUUGGUUACUAAUAUUUUUUAAUAUUUCAAUUCAUUGUAGUAUUUAGUUGUUAAUCAAGUAUUUUAAUAUUAAUUUAAUUGCCGCUAUAAGCUUUAUUAAUCAAUCAUUUAGUAUGAUAUUUUUUGCUGCAAUUAUAAUUAAUAUAGCGGUAUUUAUAAUAGUUGUUAUUGUAUAUUAUUUAGCAUUUAUAAUAGUUGUUAUUGCAUACACUAUUAGCGGCAUUUAUAAUAGUCGUUAUUGUAUAAUAUUUAGCGGCAUUUAUUUGGAUUUUUUACCAACCGUCGGAAUAAAUGCCGCUAAAACUUUUACGACCCUGCCAUAGCGGCAAUUGUUAAAAUUGCCACAAAAUAUUUUAGCGGCAAUUGUAAUUGCCGUAAUUUAAAAAUAAUCGCCGCUAAAAAGUAAUUUUGUUGUAGUGAUCCGCGCAUCGCGAGUAUCUACACUAGUAAUAUAUAUAUAUAUAUAUAUAUAUAUAUAUAUAUAUUGUUUGAGCAAUGGGGAUGUAAAUGUUACAUAUUCUUAUCCAAGGCCCAAUGAUGGGUUUUUGUCUCAUCAAUUUUUUUAAAUAUUAAAAUUCAAGAAUUUCUGAAUUCUAAAAUUUAUAUAUUUUUUAGAAAUACAAAAAGCUUCUAAUACUUUUGAUGGACUUUUACAAAUAACCCUCUAAAAUUUUGAUGGACUUUCGUGGAUUUCAAAACCUUCAUUUAAAUAUUAUGAGCAAUGUGCCAUUGAUAUAGAGCGUCCAAUAAAGAUGCCUUAUCAUAAAAGAUUCGACGAACUCAAGUCCUGUCAAUGAUAUGUAGACCGGUGUUGGUCCGUCUAACAUCGAAUUCAGUCAAAUCCACAACAUACUGAUUUAUCCAAUUGUUAUCUGCUUAAAAGUGAGAGAGAAAACCAACAUCAGUAGGAGCGCGAGGUCGGCACUCAUUGACGACGAAGUCAGUGGGAGAGAGAGAGAGAAAAAGUAAUGUGGGCUCUAUAAUGAGGCAACGGGGUUGGCAGGGGUGGCGGUGGGGGCGACAGCGACCGGUAAGCCGCAGGGGCGACGAUUGCAGGGGUGGCUGUGACCGGCGAGUGCUCCAGGAGAGGGAGAGGCAAAAAGAGAGAGAGAUUAAAGAGAGAGGAAGAGUAGUCGGGACUGGGUUGUCGGGUAUACCUAGUGAAAACAGUAAACAGUUCACCGCUUUCUCAAGGCACAUUCUCCCUUUUUUUCUCAGGACUUAUAACAGGACAAUAUAUAUUUUGUCUUUUGGGAGUUCAUGCAUUGCAAGCCUAGUCAAAAGAUAUUAUUAGAAUCCAUCAUGACCUACGGACCAUUAAGUUUUAAAUUUUGAAAUAAUAAUACUUACUAAUUGCAAGGUCGCUCGCCCGCACCUUUGGAAUCACACCGCCAGUAGCAUAACAAAUUUUAUAAUUUGUAGAGUGACAAUAAAUAGAAUAAAAACAUAGCAUUCAAGAUAUAAAUAUAACUAUACUACAUUUACAUAGCAUUUAUAUUAGGGGUAUUCAUCUCUACCAAAGAAUGAGAGUUGGACCACACCAAUGAAAACAAGACAAAAAAAAAAAAAAAUCAGUUAAACGAACAUAGAUAACUAUCAAGCCUUAUUUUUUUGUUUAGGAACAAGGAGAGAAAUGAGACCAUUAAUCUUCUUAUUUCCUUCCUUUAUUUUGGAACCAAAUAACGCCUAAAAUAAUCACAAGCCAAUUUAAAUGCAACAAUUAAAUAUUAAUUCUUACUCAUCCUGGAGCACUGAGUCAUGACUGCAGAGUUUAACAUUACAUCUAGAUAAACUAAAUUAAAUUUUAAAUGAUUAAAUGUUUAAAUGUUUAACAUUACAUCUAGAUAUUAAAAAAUUAACUGUUUAAAUCGAACUAAAUUAAAGCUUGAUAAACAGAAUUAUCUUUGACAGAAAAAUUUCAUAUAAAAGGGCUUUUUUUGCAAAUAGCCCUCUGACAAAAUUUUAUUUUAAAAUUAGCCCUAUCAAAUUUUGUUUAGACACGGUGAACAAUUCACCGUGUCCAAUGUAUUAUACACACUAGUUGGGGCGCGUAUAAUACAUUGGACACGGUGAACCAUUCACCGUGUUUGAACACGGUGAAUGGUUCACCGUAUUCAACUUACAUACCUGGCCCCAGCCCUGCCCGCGUGGCGAUCGCAUGGCAGGGGCAGGGCCAUUUUUGCAAUUUCAAAUUUGAUAGGGCUAAUUUUAAAAUAAAAUUUCUCAGGGGGCUAUUUGCAAAAAAAAACCCCAUAUAAAACUUACUCCAACUUAACUCUCCAAUAUCACUGUAUAUUAAUACUAUAUAUCUCAUCUUGCAUUCAUGUGCAAGUCUUAUUCGGAGCCUGAUUUUGUUUCUUAUUUCUUUUCCAAAAUUAUUCAUAAGCCUCUCGCCUCUUGACAUUUUGAAUCCAUAUUUUUCGAAGCACUACAAGUGGUAAAAAGCUACAUGCAAGGUAUUUUCCGAAGCACUACAUGUGGUAAAAAACUACAUGAAAGGGUGCUGGCCCCUUCAGAAUUAGAUUUAUUAGUAUUUAAUUAACUGAUAGAUAUAAUCUAAUACAUUUUCUUUCUUAAAAAUUUACAAAAAAAUUUAAUAUUAUAUAGGAGAAUUUGUGAGGUGUUGGACUACUAAAUGCAUUAGUAAAUAUACAUAACAAACACAAAAGCCUAACUGAUUAUAAAACUUAGUUGUUGAGCUACUAAAUAAAUUAGUAAAUAUAUAUACCAAAUUAACACAAAAGUCUAACUGGCUAUAACAUACGAAUCAGAGAAAGCAUUAAAGAUCAUCAAUCCAAAUUUCUCUAACCUUAUUGAGAAUAGAUUUAAUAACUAAUUUUGAAGCAAAAGUAUAUCACAUAAGAUCAUACAACAUGACAAUUUAAAUGAAAUAGUAAAUCAGCGCAUGAAUUUCUCUCAAAGCUAAUAUUCCCAUUGAUACGGAAACUUCUUUAUACAUCGAUAUCAUAAAAGAAAAUUAAAAACUAAAACAUACAGAAAGAAAAAUAAAACUCCUAAGAACUGUCAGCAACAUAAUAAUAUUCUCUAGACAUUAGUUUCAGUGGUACAAUGAGUCAAUGACUGAUUUAUCACUGUGAGCGAAUGCGAUUAUCUUGAAUAACCCAGUUGCCAUUGUAGUUCGAAGGAGUUCUUUCGUUCCAAACAAUUCUUUCAUCCGAAAAAGCAGAGUUGUAAAUAUAAAUUUCUGCCCCAAGUGGAUAAUUACCACUUAGGCUCAAAAUCUCAACAAUACGGCUAUAUAUAUCCAUCAUAUACAUGCCGUCUACAGUUACCACAAACAUCUUAUCAUAUGUUCGAAAAAUUGUAGUACUGUAAAACAUAUCACUUCCCAAUAAGAAAUUAAGAUGCACUCUAGCAACAAAUAUCCAAGCUGAGUUGCGUGUUGGUAGGUUCCAAAUAUCCAUUACGUGGAGACAAGUAUGGAGACAAGUAUGUAGUAAAUCAAGACCUCCAUCACGACUCGCUAACUCAUUCUUGUAAGGAUAAGUAGUACAAUAACGAGCUCAAUUUGACAGCACUUUGAAAUAUGAAUUAAAUGUGUGCAAGUUAAACACAAAGAUCUUAGAAUGAUUCACCAUACAAUAUAAGUGCCCAUCAAAUGAAAUUGGUCCCUCCAAUCCUAAAGAAUGAGUGGCAUUUAGGCAAGUUUUACCACUCCACCUCCAUUUCCAUAGCGUUGAAUCAAAUAGCUCACUAACCAAAAUCGAUCUAGGGAUAUUUCACCAACAUAAUCGUAGAAUUUGAUAGUGGUGAGGUGAUGACCCAUGAACAAUUAGAGCAAAACGUUUAGAGUGGUAUCUAGUUCUAGGAUUCGGUAAUUUAACCCAUUCUUUGCUAGUGGGGCGACAUAUAUAGAAUCUUGGAUGUUGAAGAUUUUUAUUUGAACAUAGUAGAGAGCCGUUUAACGAUGAUGAAAGAACAUGAACUGCCUCUGGAAUAUAUUCUAAAUUCAAAUCUUCCAUAACCAAGGUGUUAUGUGCCGGGACAAACUGAGCAGAAAAAUUUAUGUCAAAUUGUUGCAUAAAUAGUCCGAAAGUUCCAAAUAAUCUUUUACAUCGACCCAAUAUAAAUUCAUAAGUGUACGUCACUCUGUUGAAGAAAAAAGAGAUAUCUCGGCAAGCAUAAAGAGUCGACAAAGAAACUCUAGUAAAAAUCUCCAUCAAAAUAUCAGUUGGCAAGCGUACAUCUUCCUCCUCCUCAACCCAAUGUUGAAAAUAACUAUACACUAAGGACAUCCUCUAAAUGAAAUAGAAAAAUUUAUAAAAUCAGAAGUCAUAGAAGAAAACCAAUUCAAUUUCAGAAAUGCAUGAGUAUAUUAUUCAAAUAUAAAAAAAAUUUAUUGCAUAAUAAUUAUAAUAUAAAAAAGAAAUCUUUGAUCUUUUUUUUCUCUAAUUGCUGCCAACUGAGUGGUCACUUCAAUAGUUUUUUGAAUAUUCGCAGGAUUGGGCACAUUAUAAAAUAAAAAAUGUGUAGCAUUUUAUUUCCUUUUUUUAAAACCUUAAGGAAAAAUUAUAUAGAAUUUUAAAAAUUGGUAGUACAUUUGGAAGUUAUUCUUUGAAAUGCCUAAUUGUCAGAUUUAAGUUAAGAUUUACUUUAGAUAAAAGCCGCGGAGAAAGAAUUAGCAGCCAUCUUGUUGUGCUUCUCUCUAUAGCUAUAUAAGCAACCAUGGUCAUAAAAAUGAUACUAUGCGAUGAUAUUGUCAUGCAUGUGCUUCAUAGGUAGAGAAAAUACUAACCAUCCUUCAAAGUUAGCUCUCAAUUUUAAACGCACCUAAUCUUAGUUGACAUGAUUCAGUUUGGUGAUUUGUAUAGUGAAAAUUUGUAACAUAUAAGUUUUGAAGUAUGUUUAAUUUUUCCAAUUUUUAUUAAAAAGACUUUAGAAAAAAAAAUAGGCAGAUAUUAGUUUAUUAUUUUAUUAUUUAUAAUAUAAUGAACUCAAAUAGAAAUUCAAAUUUACUGCACUACAUGUAAUAAAAAAUUAAUAUCAACAAAAUCAACAAAGGUAUGCAACAAAUUAAUUUUUAACUUUUAAAAAAUGAUAAAAUAAUUAAUAAUUAAAAGAAAAAAAUAAAAAUAAAAGAAUCAAGGAGAUGACAAAAAUAAUUACAGAUUCGAAUAAACUUAUUGUUCAGUAUUUAUACGAAGAGAUCAAUCCAAAACGAAAAUACCCACAGCAAAAUUUUUCUGCCUCCAAUUGCCAAAGUACUCUUAGUAUCUCCUCCUCCUUUGUUUUUUAUGUUAAAAUUUAAGGGGUAAAUGAUGCCAUUGGCCAUGGCAACAAAGGCUUCUUAUAUAGGAGAAAAAAUAAGAUUAAAUCAGUGAAUUAAAUGACACAGGAAAAAAAAAAUAUUUAAUGACAAGUAUUUACCUGGAAUAAUUACCCAAGAAUAACUGUAUAUAAACUCUAAUAAUUUUGCAGUUAUUAUCUAAAAAUGGAACCCUUUAAUUAGUGAAUUAAAUAACCCAUAUCAUAAAAAAAUUUAAUGAAAAUUAUUUACCUGAAAUAAUGAUCCAAGAACUGAAAAAUAAAUGUGUAUAAACUCUAAUAAUUUUGCAAUUAUUCUCUAAAAAACGAACUCUUUAUUGUGUAAGCGUGGAUUCCGCUCCGUCGCUUCCGCUCCGAACCACCGUUUCUCGACUCCUCGUGCCACGCCCUCCGGCCUUUGCGGUUAGGGUUAGGGUUAGGGUUCCGAGGGGUCAGGGGAUUUAGAGAGGUUCUAGGUGGAGGGGAAAGGAUGGGCUUUUCGGUCGCUGUGGUGGGUGGGGUUUUCAUAUGAACCUAUGGGAGUAGUAGGGUUAUGAUCUUAUCAUAGGAUUUAUUAUUAUUAUUUUUUUGUCUUUAGAGAGAGAGAGAGAAAAAAAAAAAAGGAAAAAAACAAGGAAAGAGCCCUCACGAAGGGUUUAGGAGUAUACAACUUCUCUGACACAAAUAAAUUCAGAAAAGCUUUUAUUGGACUCGGUGUACAUGGUGUAUAGGUCACAGUACACUAAUUCUAUAUAUUUUAUAAUAUAGAAUUGGAAAAAAAUAUAACAAGUACAAUUAAAAUAAAGUAUUUGUAAUUCUUUUUAGAAAUUUUUCAUAAAGUUAAAUGUUAAUUUAAACUAUUAACUAUCAAAUUUCAACACAUAAUGAUACACCUGGUGCAUGUUGGCUUUUAUUACUUAUUAUUUUGUGAGGAAGUGUAUUGUGUGGACAAAAAAAAUUUAUAAUUGAGGGUAGAAUUUUAAAUUUAAAUUUAAUUUUUAUAUCUAGAAUUUAAUUUUUAUAAUUUAAAUUUAUAUAGUAGAAUUUUUAUAACUGCUAUAUAUUUAGAAGUUAAAAGUAUUCAAAUUGAAUGUCUUUUAGAAAUUUUUUAUACCACAAAAAUUUACACUUGAUUGUAUAAUUAAUACUUUAGUUCAAGUUUUAAGUUCAAAUUCAAAUCAAAUUAGAAAUUAAACAACUAAUUGUAUUUUCAAAAUUUAAUCUCAAAUUCAAUAACUUAUUACUUUGUCAGGAAGUGUAUUGUGCGGACAGUUCAAAUUUUAAGUUCAAAUUCGAAUCAAAUUUCUGCACUAGGGGCCCAUUUGUAGUUUACCCAAAAAUGUAUAAUUGAGGGUAGAAUUUUAAAUUUAAAUUUAAAUUUUAUUAAAUUGCUAUAUCUAGAAGUUAAAUUUAUAAUCAGUAUUCAAAUUUAAUGUCUUUUAGAAUUUUUUCAUACCACAAAAAUUUACACUUAAUUUUAUAAUUAAUACUUUAGUUCAAGUUUUAAGUUCAAAUUCAAAUCAAAUUAGAAAUUAAAUAACUAAUUGUAUUUUCAGAAUUUACUUUCAAAUUCAAUAACUUCUAUAAUAAAUAAAAGAAAGGGUAAAAUUGUAAUUACACAUACUUACCGAUAAAGAGGUGGGGUGAGACGAAACCACCAAAUAUAUUUGCUUAUAAGAAUAAAAAUGGAUUUCGAAGAGUGUAGGGUUGCAUUAGGCUGUGAACUAUUCACCGUUUUCAUUACUUAUAUUAUAAAGACGGUGAAUCUUUCACCGCCUCUUCAGAGGAAAUCUCCACCCUCACGUUUAUGUGACGAAUAGAGGGUUAGUUUUCUAAAUAUAUUUUGGACAGGAUUAUUUCAUAAAUUAUAAAAUUUUAAAGGGUUAUUUUGUAAAAAAAGUCCACUUCUGAAAGUAUUAAUUUUUUAAGGGCCCGUUUGUUCUAGAUUCUGAAAAAGUAAUUUUUACAAGAUUGAUUUUGGCUUGAAAAAUUAAGGCUUCGUUUAGGAUUGCAUGGAGAUUGCGUUACGUGCGGUGAGAAAGUACGUUGGAAAAAUACCUGUUUGUUUCCGUACGUAAUAUUACAUUCUGCAUUUCGCAAUCAGUUGGUUACGAGUGCGGUCCCACCGGAGAACGCAGAAGCAUAUUCCUAUAUGCUUUUUCCUUAACUCCAUUUUAUCUAAUAACGUCGGAUAGACCUCAAUAUCAAACUAAGCCUAAUUUUGAUUAAAAGUUCAUUGAACAGCGAUUUUUCUAAAGUGAUUUUGUAAAAUUAUUUAGCAAAAUUUUUAAUAUUUACGUAUAAUAAUUUUUUAUUAAAUUUAAAAUUAAAUAUUUUAAUUUAAAAUUUAAAAUUUAAAUUUGAAACGAGCACUAAGCGAGCAUAUAAUAAUUCAGACAAUGUAAUAAAAGGACAUUAUUUUGGGGCACCCUCUCGCCCUGUCAGUGGAAGAUUCAGUGGAUUCAGUGCUCUCGACCCAAUCUCGGAUAGCAAUUAAAGCCGUCCACUUUCACCCGCAAACAAAAUUCAGAAACGUUUCAAAUUUUUUUUUCAAAUUUUUUUUUUUUAUAAAAUUAAAAGCAAUUAAAUUCACUACUAUCCCCCUCCCCCUCCUCUUCGUCGUCGUUUUCCUUUCCAAAACCCACCCCCCACCCCUCCCAUGCCCCAAAACGAAACGAGAACAACGCACUCGCCCCCCUCCCACUAUAUAUAUGUAUGUACGCACGAGUCUCUCGCUCUCGCUCGCGCUCUCGCUAUACAGAUAUCGCGCGGAAGAGGAGAGGGGAGUAGAGAGAGAAGAGGGGGAGGAGGAGGAGGAGAGGAGGAGGAGGGGGAGCAAUGGCGGAGAGGCAACUCAUCGUGGUGGUGGAGGGGACUGCGGCGCUCGGGCCCUACUGGAGCACCAUCCUCUCCGAUUACCUCGAGAAGAUCAUCAGGUGAAAACCCUAAUUUUUUUUUAUCCUUUUUUUUUUUUAAUCUUGUUUUGCCGUCCCCUUUCGUUUGAUUGAUGCGGAGGUCGCGUGAUCUUGGUAAUUUGGAUUUGCAUGGGCGUUUGGAUCGUAUGAUUUUGAAUCUUUGAUGAUUUCAAGGGUUUUUUUUUUGGGGGUUAAGGAUAAUUGAAUGGUUUACUUGAUUAAAGAAGAAACUUUUGUUGGUGGUGAGGGAGAGUUUGUUCUUUCGAAUCGAGAAGCAAAAAAGUUCUUUUUUUUACGUUUUCUUUUUUCCUGAUAAAAAUGUAUGAAACUUAUCUUACUUCCUGAUCUUUAAAAAUUGGUUGAUUUAGUGGUAAUGUAGUUAGAGGAAUCACGUAAAAUACUCCGAUUAAGCCCGUUAAAGUAAAUGGCACAUCCAAGUUCUUCAAUGGAAGAGCAUGAAUUGGUAUGUUAGGUAGCAAAAUUAAAAGUUUGAAAGUUUAAGUUGUCGACUCAAAAUGGGUCAACUUUAGUUUCGGGAUACAGUAAUCCUUUGUUGGAUAAAAAUGGAUAAAAAUUAGUUUUGGGAUGCAGUUUGGGAUAUGCAGUAAUCAAGUUGAAGUGUGGUUUAUGCUAUCCCAAAAUUUCACCAAUAUUAGUUUUUAGAGAAAUUAUGGCAAGGUGGCAAUGCUACCAUUUUCCUCUUUUUGGAAUUGUUUUCUGAUUAUCUUUGUAGGGCUUGUUAGGAUAUUGGAACAAGUUAUCCUAUGAUUCGGCAUAUGUCUUUUGUGAUUGCAGUGUAGAAGUUUGAUUUUAGUCCAUUGCAAGGUAUUCAAAUCAGGAUUUUUCAAGAUAAUGCAUUUUACUCCCAAUGUGAUUUAUCAUAUUAUGGAGAAAAUGACUUAGAUGCUGUAUAGGCUAUGUGAUUAUAGACAUCUCAAUUACUGCAUGCCGGGGGAUUAAACACAGAGUAAUAUGCUGAACAAGAUGUUCAGGCAUCCAAAGAGGCUCUAAGUUGAACAAGAUGUUCAUGCAUCCAAAGAGGCUCUAAGUCGAUAAGAUAUUAAAAGGUAAUGUAUUUAGAGACGAAACAGCUUAUUAGUUUCCUCUAAGAACUUCUGGUGAUAUACUGAUUCUACAGAAUUAGUGGAGAAAUUCAGGUGGAUCUCAUGAUCUAUGAUGAUUUCUUUUGAUUAAGAAGUUGGCCAGUAGUUGUCAACUUGCCAUUAGUAUUGCUGGAGACGAGCACAACUUAUGCCAACUGAUACCUACCACUGUUCUUAUCCAUUGUAUGUAUGCUUCAUUUUCUUUUGCGUCUAGCUCAGUAUGCUCCUUACGCCAUGCUUGACCCUGUUUUUGCCUUAACUUUCUUGUUAAUGAAAUUCUUUUUCAAUUUGACAUUACUGUAUAUUGCUUAAAUUAGUUUGCUUAAAUGAGUCCUAAACAAAACUUUUAUUAACGAAAUGUAUGAAACUUGUGUAGGUCCUUUUCUGCAAAUGAGCUAAAUGGACAGGUAUUCUCACCAACUAUUAUUUGUGUUCUCUUUCUUUUAAAGCAUGCUUAUUUUUGAUAACUGAUGGCCUGAGACCCUUUUCUAGAGAAUUUAGUUUUCUCUUUUGAGUUUUGAUAAUAGCAGGUGGUUAUUCUUUCAGCAUGAAGAAUAUAUUCACUCUCAAGAAGCAUUUAAAUUUCUUUACCCUAUGGCAUAAGUUUUUUUUUUUUUUUUUUUUUUAACAUUAACAAAGAAAAUAGCAUGAAGAAUAUAUUCACUCUCAAGAAGCAUUUAAAUUUCUUUACCCUAUGGCAUAAGUUUUUUUUUUUUUUUUUUUUUUUAAAGUUAGCCUAAUAUAUACAAGUGAUAUUAGUAUCUCUGAGCUAGUGGUUAAGCAAAAAGUUAAUAAUCUACUCCUCUUCAUCAUGCUAUUUUCUUUGUUAAUGUUAAUUAAUUUGGAUUGUAGUGCGUGGCACUAUUUGUAAUGAGAUAGAAAAUGAAGUACAUAUUAAUGAUUUGGUAGUAACAAUGUUUCUUAGGGAAGUGUUGUAAAUGUUAAUUAGUUUGGAUUGUAUUGCCAAACACUUUGUAAUAAGAUAGGACAUUAAUUGCAUAUUAAAUAUUUAGUCGCAAGAAACUUUCCGAAGUGAGAAAGUGUGGAACCAACCAUACGGCAACUAACAUCACACUGACUUUAUUAGCUUUGAUUAUUUCAUGUACAUUAUUCCAUAUUAGGUUCACCAUUCAUCUUCAAUUAUAUCCAAAUAAAUUGACAAAGAAUAUUGUCAAGACUUGUUUAAUGCUAUCUGAAAUAGGCAUGCUGACUUAUAGCUAUUCCAUGUUCCUUGGGAUGAAUAUAACUCCCAAUGAAGGAUCUUGCUACUUACUAUGACUAUCGUUUUAUGGGCAUGUAAAGGCCGGUCGGCAUUGAGGCAUAAUGUUACAAGUAAAACCAUUCGCUCAUUGAGAUGCACUCUUUUAGGAAAGUUUUGAUAUUUAUGUCGGGCUAUAUGACAGGCCAUUGAAACCUAGUCAUUAAAUGUAGCAACCCUUCGCUGCUGUGGGCUUCAAGUUGUAAAGAAAAAGUCCAAUUAUAAGCUAUCUACGUUGCAAUUAUUGAUGUCUUGUCACAAGAUUUAAUAAUGGCCAGAAAUUGCCAUGACUUGCUUCAAUCCACAAAGAAGACCAAUUAUAAGAUUGAAAUGCUGACGGACACUUAUAGAGUUUAAUUGACAUUACACAAUCUGAUGCAAAAUUGUCAUCAGUACUAUAGACUAAUUGUUAUAGCCGGAGAAGGAUUAAACUAUACGUAUUUAUCCUAUAUCUAUUCAAACAAAUUUAACUGGGACCUAAUUUGUAACUAUGCAAUUUUGACCUUUCAAAUAAGAUGCUCAAUUAAAAUUUGAUGUUUUACAAUGUUGAGACAAUUUCCCCUUCUUUAGUUUGAUCUUCAUUUUUUAUUGCAUUACAUUUGAUAACCUUUUUCCCUUGAUUUGCAGAAGAUAUCUGGUGCAGGUCCUGAGUUUGCUAUGGUUAUCUUUAAUACUCAUGGAGCUCUCAGUGGUAUGCCAAAUUGUUCCUCUUUUUUCCCCCUUAAACUAAAUUAUUAUGUACUUUGGCCCCCGUUAUCUUGGAUUUUGGAAAGCUCUUUCUAACCUCAUCACAACUAUUGCUUUUUGGUUUGUUGACCAGUGCUCGCUACCGACCAAAGCGAUCUGUACUUAUUGGUAGUGUUCAUUCUACGAUAAUGGCGCAUACCCUGACAACAUCUUAUACAUUGUAGAUAUAGAUAUAGCAUAGUGAACCAACAUGGAACUAUCUGACCGUCUUUGCUUCAUCUAUCAAAAUACUAUUCUUCUGAAGAAUGCAUAAUUUCACUUUUGAUUUUUGUGUUUUCAGAGUUGGUACUAAUGUUAGUUAAAGUUACAAAUUUUUUUGCAGACAAAUAGGUUUUCUUUUCUCACAAACUAAAGCCACCCAGCAUCAGAAGCGCAGUAUUAUUUUUUGUGCCAAGAGUAUUUUGAUAUUCUAUGGCAUAUAUGAUGUUGAUUUCACAAGAGGACAGUUUUUAGAUUAUUGUUAUUUAAUUAAGGAGGAAACAAGUUAGGAAAUUUGCAGACAUAUGUCCUAGAUAUAUGCAGUACAGGAGUACUAGCUUGGGAGCUUAUUAUGUAGCUUUCUUACUAUAUAAUAGACAUUUCCUACCAGAACUGAAACUUGAAUAAGUUCUUUAAUGCAGCUUUCACUGUGCAACGGAGUGGCUGGACCAAAGAUCCAGAUGUUUUCCUUCGGUGGCUGUCAGGAAUACCAUUUAUUGGUGGCGGUUUCAAUGACACUGCCACUGCUGAAGGCCUUGCUGACGCAUUAGUGGUAUGAAAUAUGAUUAUGGUUACUAAAGUAGCCCUAUUGAUUUUCAUCCGAAAACAAUGACUAUUUUAAUUUGAAUUGUGUCUAUUUUCUGCAUAUCUAAUAUGUUCAUUGAUUCCAUUUGGGUUCUGUCCAUAACAAUGUGACCAUAAAGUGGAACCAGUGUAGUGAAGGGUGAACCUCUGUUUUUGUACAUUGUUAGUGAUCACAAGAUGCCCAUCAAGUUGUCUAGUGUAAACUUUUUUCUGAUUCUAAUGUGCUUUUGCAUUUUCCAGUGCACUAUACGAGCUGACUUACUAGUUAAUAUGUUUCUUAAAGAAAUUUAAAAUGCUUAAAGUUCUUAAAUUUGUUUGUUGGACAUUUUCUGGUUAUCGCUUCUUUGUUAGUCUCAUGAUUGUGGAGCUCAUGCGUAUUUCCCCCUACUUGUAUUGAUGUAGUAGAAACUAAUGUUGCUAUUCUUUUACUAAUGACUACUAAUAGAUUAUGGAACUGCUAUUUCCUGUUAGCAGUUCAAUCUUGUGUUUAUGAUAAUUCUUGUUGGUAGUGGCUUGGUCACAACUAUUUAAGUGCCGUGGAACGGGAUUUUGUCGAGCACUGCUUGGCAUGGUACGACAGUGUGAGCCAUGUCGUACAGAUGUGUGCUUUUGACAAAAUUUUUUGUGUGCCGAUACACUAUGGCAUGAAGUAUUUAUUUUCUUUGGCAUCAAUAUAUUCUAAUUGCUUAUUGUAAAUUCUUUAUCAUAAUGGGCAUAGCUCGUGCUGAUGUGCACUUAAUCCUAGCUUGAUCAUGUGUAGUAGAUUUUGAGGAAUUUGAGAAAAGUCUUCUUAAAGCAAUGUGAAACAACCAUUAUUCUCAAGAAGCUUAAGAUUCAAGAGAAUGGUGUUUAUAUAUUUUUAUAUUCAAGUCCCCCUCAUAUCUAGGCUUGAGUCUUUGAUCGGCCCAACAUGUGGACUUGAAUUAAAUGAGAGGAAAUUAAAUGACGUUAGGAGACUGGCGGGAUUCGAACUCAGGAUCUCCUGCUUUGAUACCAUGUUAAAGUAAUGUGAAACGACCAUUAUUUUCCAAAAGCUUAAGCUUCCAGAGAACGGUGUUUAUAUAUUUUUAUUUUCAACUAGUCUCUUACCAUUUUUCCCAGAAUAAAUGCAAGAAAGAAUAUAUAUUUUUUAUUUCAGAAGUCUAAGAACAACCAAUAUAGUAUAAGUUCUUUAUAUCUAUGAUGUUAUUUGCUUUUGCUGACAUGGCUUGUGUUUAUUACUAGAUUAGAUAGUACUUGAGGUCACAUCACUUGAUAUUUUCACUGUUUUGUACACAUUUGGUUUUCUUUCUUGAUGUAUCUGGAUCAUUUGGCUAUGAAUGAACAGAUGAAGUUAUAUAAUUGAGUUUAGGUUAUUUUAUUUGAUUAUUUCCAUGCUUGAUUGUUCAUUAUGAUAUUGGACAGUUGUUGGCUUUUUAUAUAAGUUUAUUCAUAUCAACCAUUGUUUUCUUGUUCUCACUAUGCAUGUUACUGUGGAUAUUUUAUUUCCUAGCGUGUAGGAAUUCCUUUUUAGGUUAAGCAUUGUAAUUAUAUUAUUUUGUUAAAUUUGUUAACAGAUGUUCCCUCUGCCUCCUAAUCCAAGCCAGCAAAAUCAUGAAAUGCAAAAACAUUGCAUUCUUGUUGCUGCCAGUAAUCCCUACCCUUUGCCUACACCAGUAUAUCGACCUCCUCCUCCGCACAGUGAGAAUGCUGAAGCGCCGACAGAAUCAUGGCUUGCUGAUGCUGAAACAACAGCAAAAUCAUUCGGCCAGGUCCUAUGUGAAUUCUAUCAUAUUUGUGUUUAUGGUGUUUUAGAUGUAAUUAUGCUCUGGAAUUCUUCUGUUCAUACUAACCUUUUUCCUUUGAAUGCAGUGGUCUAUAUCAUUGUCAGUCAUAGCUCCCAAACAGCUUCCGAAACUUAAAGCAAUAUAUAAUGCGGUAAGAUUUGUAGUGAACUUUGUGCCUAUAUAUUUCGGCCUCACAUGCAUAUUUUUCUCAAUGACCAUAUAGUGUGAAUAUAGUGCAAGUUCUUGGGAUGUUUUUACAGACUACUGUUGGAUUUUUUUUUCCCUAUAAUUUCAAGUUCAUCAAUUUGAAAUAUAUCACCAUUUACUUUUCUAUCUGGUGCUUAUGUUUAUUGAUUUGAUAUUUAGUAUUUACUGGAUUUCUAUGUUCUAAAAUAUUUUUGUCAAGAUGUCAUAAAUAGAUAAUUGUUUCAUAGUGUAAAGUUAACAUCAUUAAAUAUUUUUUUAGGGAAAACUUCAAAUACCACCCCUGUGGUUUUACACUUUCUCACUUUAGUACCAUGUGGUUUAAACUUUAAAGUGUAUCAAUUUAGUGUCUUGUGGUUUCAUUUUUAUCUUUUUAUUAUCGAUUCCACUAAUUUUUUUUUCUUUAAAUCAGUGACAAAAGUUAAAACUAAAGGGUACUAAAGUGAAUAUUCGAUAAAUCUAUGUGGGGUAUCUGAAGUUUUUUGUAUAUAAUUUAACUAGAUAUUAACGGAUAAGCUGACGAAAAGAUAAAAAUGAAACCACAGGACACUAACUUGAUACACUUUAAACCACAGGGUACUAAGUGAGAAAGUGCGAAACCACAGGGGUGGUAUUUGAAGUUUACCCCUUUUUUUAAACUUCUUUCAUAUCCUAUUUAUAUUACCUUUCCACUAUUUUUAGAUAAUGUGAUUCUGGCAAGUUCCCUUUUUUAUAAUCUUGCUUCAAAAAACUCCAUAUUGACCAUUUAAUGUGUAAAAAAUUUGACGUGUAACUCUUUCACAAACGUCUAACCAUUUUGACAAAUUUUAUGUAGUUUGUCCAAGUAUCCUGAGAAUUAUAUUUUAGAUUAUCUCUAUUUUAGUGGAUUAGAUGAUCUUGAAGUUGGACCUCCAGGUAUUUAUGUUCAUUUUGUCUCUAAUUAUAUAUGUUAGAAACCAGUUAUUAACAAAUUGUAUAUGUUUUAUGCUAAAAUUUUAUUCCCUAUAUUUUAAUGUCUAUUGCUAUUAUAGUUUGAUCCAGGGGUCAAAUUUUCAUUGAAGUUUUCAAUUGCUUACAUGGUGGUUGCAUAGCAAUUGUGGAACUUCGUCAUUGAAUGGAGUAAUUCAACUAAAAGGUUACAAUUGCAACUGAGUUCAGAGUUUAGGGACCUAAUUGCAAAGCGUUAACAAAUUAAGGACUAAACUGAAACUUUGUUGAAAGUUGAAUACUUCUGAUACACUUAGCUAGUCCUGUUGCAAUUUCCACCACAUUUUUGUUCAAUAACAGAAUGAUUGUCUUUUCCUUCCUGUUGUCAUCUUUACGGUCUAUAUGCACUUUUACUAAACUGCUUACAAAGAUGAGUUGAUUUGAUAGGAGGUGAGUGCUCACACAGCUUUGUACUGUUAUAGGGAAAGAGAAAUCCGCGAGCUGCUGAACCAGCUGUGGAUCAUGCAAAAAACCCUCAUUUCCUUGUUUUACUGUCUGAGAAUUUCAUGGAGGCACGUGUUGCUCUAACUCGUCCUCCAAAUGUAAGCAAUGUGAAGGUGGAUGGUGCUUCCGCUGCUCCUGCUGCAUCAGUCGCGCCAACAAGUUCCAAUAUCUCAGGUCAUAAUCAAAACAAAGAUGUUUACAGUGCUCGGGUUAUGUAGAAUUUUAGUAUUGAUGCUUUACUUUGUCGUUGGUUUUUAUCAUAAAAUUAUGCUUUACUCUGUCGUUGGUUUCUAUCCUAAAAUUAUGCAAAACUCAAUCGUUGGUUUCUACCAUGAACUUAUGCUAUAAACUUUUUUUCCAUUAGGUAAUGCAUUAAAUUUGACAUUUUUCUAGAUUCAUACUUUUCCUUCGGUAUGGUUGAAGGGAUGGUGGUGAGAGGAGAAAAAAGAUUAUAUGCCCUUGUUGAAUGAACUUUAUGGACUUCUUUUUAGGUCCAGGAAAGGGAAAGGUGAAGAAUUAAACUAAGUACCUGUUUGGCCCAGCUUCUGUUGGGCCGAGUAGUGCGGUGGUCUAAACUAUACUGUUUGGCAUCUUAAGAAGUCUAAAAUGGGCCGCAUAAGCUUUUCCCAGCCCAACAACAGAAGUUCAAAGAACAGAACUUCUGCGGCUAGGAAGGUGCAGAGUGUAGUUGUCUAACUUAAAAAGAUUUUCUAAAUGACGGUAAUGUCCUUAUAUAAAUGAUAAAAUUCAAGUCGGUGCAAAAUUGUUCUCUUUCCCCUUUGCAAAGGGGGAAGGUUCCUCCUCUACAAGAAGAGGAGGCUCGCCGGAGGAGCCCGAGGGUGAUAUGCAUCACUCUCUAGUCUCUAUCUUCUCCUCAGGUUCAUUGGGGAGGGGCACCUCCUCGUCUAGCUCGAGGAGGGAAAGGGGCACCUCCUUCGACCAUGGUCUGGGAGGUCACCUCCUUGUCCAUUGGCCCUGCAACUAUAGGCCAUUUUGAAAUUACCCAACAAACUUUACCCUUUUUCAAUUAACUUCUGAUUUUACUGAAGUUAAAUUAUUUGUACUAUUUAAGUUAACAAUUGCAUCAAGUUUUAUAACUUUAUUAACAAUCAACCAAUUAUUUUUAAUUUUAUUCACUAAAUCAUAACAAAAAAUAUUAAAUUUGAUAGAGUUAUUGGACCUCUUAAUUUAUUUAACUAAAAUCAGUUAAUUUUUUAAAAAUAAAAAUUAAAUAAAUUAAAAAUUUUAAUUAUCAAAUUAUUAUAUUUUCUUCAUAGUUAAUAAUUUUAAUUAAUUUUUUAGCAAAUCGAAAUAGAACAAUUAAUAGGUAAUAAGUAAGAUAAAUAUUAUUUUCUAGCAGAAUUUUCUUAAUCAAAAUAUUAUUUUUUUAGCAAAUCUGAAUUUUCUUAAUAGGUAAUAAAUAAGAUAAAUAAUUAAUAAUUAAGUAGAAUUUUUUUAAUUAAGUUAUUUUAAAUAUGUGUUCUCUACUAGAUAUUCUAAAUAUAGUUUAUUAAAAAAAAAAUAUUUUGGUAGUAUUUUGUCAAUUUAUAAUCUUUUACACCACUUUUGAGACGAAUAUUUGCCAAAUAGGGUUCAAUUGCAAACAACAGUUAUACGACUGAAUUAUCAAAUACUCAAACUUUUUCAAACAGGACAACACUAUAUCCUACACCACUUCUAUAACCGCACUUAUUUCUACAACUUGGCCAAACGGGCCUAAAAUGUUGAAAGCCUUGUGGAAAUUAUUGCAAUAUUGCAACAAUGUACAACCUUACUUAGUACUAAAGGCUAAGAAAAAUUUCUAGAGCUGUUGGUGCAAAUGGCUCUCGUUUGUUCUAUGCAGCGGUCAAUAUUAAUGUGAGAUUUUAUGGAUCAAAAAGUCAAUAUUUUUAUACAGAUUUUAUGCUGUAUUAUCUGUACGUCUGUUGCUAUGUUGCUAGUUGUCGUUUUGUUGAGAAUUUCUUGCAGUAUGACUAUUAAUUCGUAGCAUUUGAUCCGCAUAAUGCAUGGCUAAUCUAAAUUUCUUACUAUGUUGUUGAUGAUCGCAAGUUCAGCUCAACAGUGUAAACCUCUAAAGACAUUCAACUUCUAGCUGUCGUCUUCUCAUAGGAUGAAGUAGUCUUUUAUUGAUAAAUGUACCAUUGAACUUCCGUUUGCUUUUGAUAAGGAACAUAAGAUAUGCUAAUGGUAAACCUUCAGAGCUGACGAAAUUAGAAAUAUUAUCUAUGUAUUGAGCAACAAUAUGAUAGAGAAUACCUCAGGUAGGCAACGAUAUUGCUCCUAUUAAUGGUCUUGAUGAAGUGACGGCAAGUGAAUUAGUGGAAUUUGAAGAGGGUACAACAGGUGUAGCUCUGAAAUUGGAAUAGAUAACUUUUCCCAUACUCCGUAUGUUGUAAAUUGAGACAUAUAGUACAUAUACCUAUUAUGCCUUCUCCUAUUUUAUUGACCAAUGUGCAACUGCACAAAGAACAAAUUCUGCCUGUACAGCACUCAAAAAUCUCAUAAUAAUAAUUGGAAUAACUUUCCUGAUUUGUUUAAGUAUGUACAGCAGUUGUGUUUCAUUUGUUGCUUGCACGCUUCUUUUCUCAGUGGUAUAAUGUAAAUAAAGGAAGAAUGUAGCUUUAUAGAGAGAUCUACAUUAUGAUAACCAUUUCUUGCUAGAAUUUUAUAACUGAUUGCAUGAGUUUGUCAAUUUCGCUCUUACGUCUUGUUGAGGUUCUUAUCUAUCCUUUGCACUUACCUAAAUCUAGAAAACUAAAUUUAGUCACCGGUGUUUUACAAUAUUUUUUCUUUAUUGGCGGACUGUCCCGAUUUGUCGAGUACGUACUUCAGUUAUGCCUAUUUGUUGCUCAUACGCAUUGUUUUGGUAAUAAAGCUAACCACGUAAACGGUGUAGUUUUCUAGAGACCUAUUUAAGGAUAACCAUUUCUUGCUAGAAGAUGGUCACCGAUCGCAUGAGGUAGUCAAAUUUUACUGUUACGUCUUGAUCUUGUUGAGUUUCUUAUUUAUCCUCUGCAUGUAUUUGAAUCUUGAAGAGUAAAAUGUAGUUGGAGUUUUUUAUGUUAUUCUUUCUUCUAGAUUGGCAACUGAAGGUGCCACGGUAAUAGGUACGAUGUAGGAAAUCCUGCAAGCAUCUAUUGGGAGAAUUAAUUAAUGUUUGUAACUUUGUAUUCUAUGAUGCAAGGGCUUAUCAAUUGCUGACUGGCGUGUAUUGCGCCGCACACCCUGUGGGCAGCUUGUAUUGGUGCAAAUAUGUUUAUUUUUUGAAUAGUAGCUGAUAUGGAAAUACUUCUUUUCAUGAAAAAAGAAAUAGAAAAAUUAAAGUGGGCUUUGAAGAGCUCUCAGAUCUAGGAAAACAAAAGUAUAAAAGGGGUGGAAUUGUGUACUGCAGCACAGGAGCUCUCCAGUUCCUCGUUUUAAGGGGUUUGUUGUAUUUUGCCAAUUAAGAUGCAGCGGUAACUUUAAUCGAGAAAGAUAUGGGUUGUAGUGUUACGGAGGAUUUGUAGGUAGGUCUUAAUGAAGGUGGAGCAACAACGUCAAUCUAGUAGUAACAUUUAUCAACCAUAAUGUAUUAAUAUAUGAUUGGCAUAAUACAUGCCGCCUCCUGCCGACUGGCAGGGGUGGCAUUGGCUACAUUUGGUAAUAACUGGUCUAUAUAUGGAAUUGUCCUUUGCACCGUAAAAGAUGAUCAGUUAUCUUGUGAGCAAAUGUAAAGUUAUUAAUGUGAAGUUUCUUUUUCCCUGAUAGAAGUUAUAUUUAAGUUGUAAAGAUUAUCUAAGCUGCUAUCAUAGCUCAAAGAAGAAAGAGCACACUCAAUCCCUCAAUGUUUGAUGGUUUGGAUUUUUACCUUCUAACUUCAAAUAACAUGUUGCUAAACAUAACUAUGAGAGCAUUCAAACAAUAAAUGUAUAUUUGAUCCUAACGAAUUUGUUGUUUACAUUGCAUAGCUCUCAAAAGUUAUUCUUGAUUAAAAAGGGACCUCGACGAAGAGAUCAAAACACGGGUUCUGACACUAGGAGUAAUUUUACUUGUUUUAAUAUGUGUGGAUUUAAUAUAUUUUUUUUGAUAUCUAAAGACUGAAUUUGAUUUGUUUUCCAUGGAUGUGAAUAAUAAUGUGAAAUUAUACUAGGAUAAUAAAUGUAAUAACGAAGCUAAGAUUAUAGAUACAAUAUCUAAGUUGUUUUUGCAUUUCGCAAACAAUCAAUGUUGUGCAGCCAAUUUCGUUUAUUUGAGAUUGUCGUUUUUGUCGUUUUCUAAAUUUGGUUGUUCUAUCUAAGGUGCAUGUAGAUUGUAAUCUUGCAUCUUACCCAAUUUUAACAGUUGUUUUGUUUUUCCUGCAGUUAAUGGAUCUAUUAUGAGUCGUCAAGCAUUAGCCGGUGGAAAUAUGCCCACUGCAACUGUUAAAGUGGUGGGGAUCGCUUAUUCAAUUUGUGAAUCAUAUAUGAUGUUCAUCGACUAUUUUGCAUACUCUAAAACAUUGUUAACUCACUUUUGUUUCUUCUCAGGAGCCAACUACAAUACCUUCUUUGGUACCUGGACCAACCUUCUCACACCUUCCGGCUAUAAGCAAUGUUACCUCUCAAGGAAUACCGACGUUGCAGAGUUCUUCGCCAUCUCCUAUUUCACAAGAAAUGAAUGCAAUUAAUGAUAAUGUGCAGGAACAUAAGCCAUUAGUAAACCCUGUAUCCCAACAAUUACGCCCGGUGGGCCCUGCCGCAGCAAAUGUGAACAUAUUGAACAAUCUUUCUCAGCACCGGCAAAUGAUGAACUCGACCUCUUUAGCAGGAGCCAGUUCUAUUGGACUGCCAAUGCAUAUGUCGAGCAUGAUAUCGAGUGGGAUGACGUCAGCUGCGAUGUCAGGAAUAUCAUCUUUACCUGGUGUUACACAAAACACAAAUCUUGGUUCAUUCACAUCGGCUACUUCCAAUAUGUCUAGCAACUCAAAUAUUGGUAUUGCACCUUCGUUGGCUAAUCUGCAAGGAAAUAUUAGUAUGGGCCAGUCACUAUCCAAUGUUGCACAAGCGAGUUUAGCAUCAGGAGGGCAAAUAGGGCAAAGUGGAAUUGGCAUGAACCAGAACAUAAUGAGUGGUCUUGGGACCACAGGUAUUUCCUCUGGAACAGGUCCUGGGACGAUGAUUCCGACUCCAGGAAUGUCUCAACAGGCAGGUGUACAUUCUCUAGGCAUGACCGGUAAUUCCUCCAUUAAUAUGCCUAUGACACAACACCCCAAUGUUCAACAGUCUCAGUCCAAGUAUGUUAAAAUUUGGGAGGUACAUUACCGCCGCCAUCCUUAAGGAAAUUAUGGAUUUUACGUUUAUCAUGUUGAUAGUUGAUCUAGUAUAAUUUUAAUUAUUUACAGUAGAAGAAAGGUUGUAGUAUAUGAUGGCACAUGCAAGUCUUAAGCUUUUGAAUUCCUGUCCUAGCUAGUAGUCGUGGAAUUGAUAUCUCUCCUUUCUAUUUAUAUUAGUUUUUCGUAGUAUGAAAUUGCGUCUUUACUGUGAUUCCAUAAUUAAGCUGUUGCAUAUAAAUGCUGUAAGCAUUGCAUCGUAAUAAAUGUUUGUGAAAAAGCAUUGGUUAUUGGUUUAUCUUUAUCAUUUGGGUCGUGAUUUUGUGUUGUCCUGCUGUUUGAACAAAAGGGAAAAUAAGUCAAUAAAUUAACUUUAUUGUUUUGCUUAUUCGAUCUCAUGUAAUUCUUCACUUUCUAUUGAAGCAUUGUAAGGGGUACACUUAGUCAUUAAAUCUCUUCUCUUUAUAUCAAAUUAUUGCUUGGCUUGGUAGAUCUUAUUUGGGAAUGUUUUUUAAACGUUUCCGUUAGUGAUCGUUCCCUUUGCCAACUUCUGCAGGGAACAUUGUCUGGACAAAGGCAGGGCCAACCUGUUUUCAUUUGUAAACUCGAAGUAAGUCUACUUAUUUAUUAAAUUUCAUUCCCUAAAAGUAAUUUUCCGUGAAAUGUUGUUGCCAUUUUUGUAGAAAUUUAUGUAAUUUCUUAGGGAAAUUAAUUACUGGUUCCUUGUAUGAUAGUGAAACCUACAAUGUUUAGUCUCUCACUGCAAUCGAUGUCUCUUUGUUGUUAAAUAGAUCACUUGCUUCUACAGUUUGGGACAUCUUGUUGUGACCACAUGCUUUGAUUGGGCAGUUCUUUUCACUGUCCACGACUCCAUUAUUUUUUGAUAAAUCACUUGUUCAAUGUUCCUAUUUGAAGUGCUAUGGAACGAGCUUUAUCAUUACCUCUUAGUUGGGUUAUAUACUGGUGAUGAUGAAAGCUUGGAUUGUGAGUGUUUCUAUUUCUUUGGCUAUUAGAUUGAACUCGGAUGUGGCUUGGUAGCUUAAUUGGGCCAUCUAAUAUCCCAAGAUUUUUGUGGAGAGUUAUCUGUGUUAAAUGAUCCUAGUCUGUAACCAAGAUUUAUCAGCAAUCACCUAUAUACUUUGAUUUUGCCUGAGCCGGGAAUGCCACAUCAAUUUUUCUAGCUGGUUGAUGUUGGUUGAGAAGCAGCGAAACUUAUUUUAAGUCCUUUGGAGUGUUUUUAUUUUUGAGUUCCGAUCCUCGUUGCCUAGAAUUUCUGUGCUUUGCAUUGAGGAUUGCCAUGCCACUGGCAUGACUUAUGCCGCGGUGCCAGCGGUAUGGGCCGUGCCAAUGUUAUUAGCACAGAUUUUUUAAUUAAAUUAUCAUGAAAAUUAGUUUUUAUAGAGUGGUUUAGUGUCUUUAAUGAUUAGAAAAUAGUUUAUAUAUUAUUUCUCACACUAUUUAGUGGAAAUCGAGUCAUAGACACCAUAAGAACUAAAGAAAAUUAUUUUAUAUUAUAUUAUGAGAGUACAUGCAUGAAACCAAACUUAAAAUCAAAAUUAGAUAAAAAUUUGUAGGAAAACACUACCAUGAAUCCUUGGAUGUAAAAUGAUAAAACAAAUUAGAGGAAAUCUUCUUAUUUGAAUUUUUUAACUUAAGGUUGGUUUUAUUUGCGAAAGAGCUUAUUAAUUGCUCCAAAUGUAAGUAGACUUAAAAUGAUCUACAUAUUUUAAGUAUGAAAAACCUUCUCAAAAACUUUUUCACCUCAAAAAAUUCAAAAGAUUUUAAAAAUGCAAAAAAAACUAUUUUGUCAGUACGAUGUCGGUACGACCCCGUUCCACGUGCCGGCACGGCCUCGGCGCGGCGCGGCACCGCACCGGCAGCAUGGCCAAUCCUUGCUUUGCAUCUAGUGAAAGAAUUAGUAUAGAUUUUAGGCAAAAACGAUUUAGAAAGUGUUCAAGAUAUGUGAAAACAUGCCUUAAAAGGAAAAAGAUCGAGUGUCUAAAAAGGAUGUCUGAAAACAGAUGACUACCCUAUCUGAAUGGGUGAUGCGUUGGUCGAUAUUUAUGCUUUGCAUGUUUCUUUUAUAUACUUUUGAAGAAAGAAUCGUGUUCUGCAACUUGCUGAAUUAACAAUCAACUUCAGGAGGCUUUUCUGUAGCGAAACAGUUGUGCAAGGUUUGGCAUUAAAACCCCAAAUCUGAAUGCCAUUUGCACUUUGGCAUGGCCUUAUUUUCUGUUCUAUUUAUAACGAUCCUUUCUAGAAAUUCGUAAAUCAUUGUUACAUGCCUCUUUUGGAAUAACAGGCAUUGGAAGCAAGUAGGGAACAAACUACCAAUAAAUUAGUAAUUUUUCUUUGUGUAAGUGCAAAAGGGCAAUUUAUAAUGGGUGAGCUUGGAAGUCUUCCGUUCUAGCUGUAAACUUUAAAGUUUUACUUUGCAAGUCCCCUUUGAAAUGCUAAUUAUUGGGUUUUCUUUAACAAAUGAGCUUGGAAAUGAUGCCAAUGUUACUCUUCACUGGGAUCUCUAGAAUUUUUGCUUGGACUAACAAUGCACCUCUCCUGUUUAAUGAUAAAUGUCCAAAUGCUGUUUUCCAUUUGUUGAAGUUAAAUCUCUAGAUUUUCUUUUUUCUUACACAUGCAUAUGUUGAAUACUGUGGCAAAGGGCUUGGUGGUUGGUACCCGAGACCCAAGUUCGAAUCCUAGUUGAUUCACAUUUCUAGCUAAGUUUAUUUCUAAAUGAAAUAAACGAAGUAGGUAGCGUGCUACCUAUCUCUCAAAAAAAAAAAGAAUACUGUGGUUUGAGGUAGGAGAAAUAUAAGAGCAUUAAUAUAGUGUUAGCGUGCAAGAAUGUAUAGAAUAGGCAGUAUAUUGAACUUCGUUGUCUAUAUAUCGAACUUUGUUGUCUCCUUUUACAUGAAGUACUUCUGAUCAUUUUAUGUCAAUAUUUUACAAUUUAAUUGAUUGUUUUGAUCAUGAAUUUAUAUGUUCAUAUUGCAGGGCUACAGAAGUGCAUCUGCUGCUGAUACGUAAGUGGGACAAUACAUUCUGUUCUUCUUGCAAAUAUAGACUAUUGUUCUUUUUUUGUUUUUCACUAUAGUUUUAAUUUUUUACAAUGUAGAUUGUCCUCAUAUUUCCAUGAACUUAAAUAUGAUCACAUUUAUAAGUAUUUGAACAAAUUUGUGAGGUCUCAUGAAGAAAUCUCUACAAAUUACUGCAAGAUGAAAAAUAAUUGUAGUCUUAAAAGGUCGGUACCGUAAAUGUUGAUGUUACAUGAAUGAUAGAAGUUCAGCAAGAUCAUUAUUAACUUUCAGUGCUAAAUCAGAUAUAUUUUUCAGAUUUGUCAUUAUCCACAUGCUAUUUUUACAGAAAUUUCAUUAGAAUUGUUGAAAGUUGAAAUAGGUCAACCAAAUUGUUGUUGCGUUUUUCUCCUUUCUUUUGUUUCCCCCUUCUCUAUUUACUUUUUGAUUUUCCUUUUCUGUUAGGGAUUGUUUGGUUCCACGUAAAAUUGCUGAAAGUAGUUUUUGGUGAAAUAGUUUUUUGUGUGGGAGGAGUUUUAGUUCUUUGACACUUGCUUUUUGGAAAAAUAAAAUCAGUUUCCAAACUAGUUUAAGUUUGUAGGAACUGGAAAUAUUAAACCAUUUACAUUUUUCGAUCAGUAGUUUGAUUUUUUGACAAACUGAAAUAUAAAUGAUAUAAAGUAAUGUACAUAUAGUAUAAAUAUACAAUGUUAUAUUAUAUUUUAACAUAUUAUAUAAGAUAAAUUGCACGUUUUGGUCCUCAAACUAUAAGGUGGGUGAUACUUUGGUUUUUAAACUUUAAUUUGUUGCAAUUUCUGUCACGAACUUUCAGAACUGUUGCAAUCUAGUUCUAUAAUCCAAUUUAGUUAAUUAAAUAUUGAUGUGUCAUUAAUGUAAAAGUGAUGUAGUAGAGUUGUGAUUGAUAAUACGCUAAUAAUUAAGAUGUCGCAUCACUUACGAUGUGUCAACAUUUAGUCAACUAAACUGGGUUGUGAGAUUGGAUUGCAAUAAUUCUAAAAUUUCGACCUAGACAUUUCAACAAAUGCAAGUUUUUAAGGACUAAAAUGUCAUCGCCUCAUAGUUUGAGGACCGAACGUGCAAUUUACCCAAAAAUAUAAUGUGUUGCAGAGUAUAAUAUGUUAAGUAUGUGUACAUAUUAUGAUGGUACAUAACCUAUAUAGAUAUAUAAGUAUAUGAAUAUAGUAGUAAUGUAAUAGUAUAAUGUGAUUAUCAAUUUCUUCAUUUAUAUACCAACCAAACUUAUGUCAUUAAAACACGAUAAUGGUUACAGCUGUGUGAUUCUAAUUGGACCUUAUCAAGAAUUAGUUAAAAAAGAAGUGUUGCUGUGUUGCUAAAUUCAAUUGUCGCCUUUGAUUCCUUGAUUCUUUUCCAUACAUGCAGCAGUUCAGAGUUCAGACCAUACAUAGACUUCAGAAGCCAUGCACCAGCCCAAAUAAAUGAUAUCUCAUGCAUGUGUCACCCAUUGAUGUGCACCAUGUUACUUUUUCGGCCUGUUUCUUUUCAUUUUCUGGUAGAGGAAAACGGAAAACGAAACCUCUUUUUUCUAGAUACACUGAAACUACUCCGCGCUAUUUAUGUUGAGAGAAAAUGAGUAGAAAAUCUGUUUUCAUAUCGAAAAGCAGUUUUCAGCGGUCAAGCUUGACCCCUUUAGUCAAACCAAAAAGAGCAUAUAGUUGCCGUGAAUGUGUUUAUUUUACCCUUAUGCUUGACGAGAAGUGCUAAUGCGCACUACUUAAUUCCUUUUCCCUAAGCUCAAGGAUUUCAGCGGCACGGGCUGUAUCCAACAUGCCGUACGUGCCGACAAUAUAUCGGCACAAUCCAACCCCCAAUAUCGUUGGCAUGACCCACAACCCUUUUUUAUUUGAAAUUAGCAAGUAGUUACCUCGAUAAAGUUCAAAAGCUUUAAUAAAUAUAUAUAAAAAAUAAUUAGAAUAUAUUUGUGUCAAAUAAAAUAAAUAUAUUAUGCCAUUUCGUGUCGGCACACGUAUUUUUUCAGACCAGCACGUCUCAUCACUGCAUGGGCACGCACGUUCUAGCAGGCUUUCGGCACGAUCCCUUGCCCCGGCACUUAAGUCCUUGCCUUAGCUGCAUCUGAGAUCGGUCGAAUUUAUGAUACUAUUGCAUGCUAUGUUUUCCUUUACAUGUUUGUGUUGAAUAAAGCUUGCAUUAUAUUUAUCUGGUGUUUCGAUGAUUAAAUCUAUAGUGUAUAGUACGUUUAUAAGCUAUAUAUAUUAUGUGAACUAUCACGGGGCUGAUAUUUUGUUUUGGCAAAUUUCAGGCUCGCCUCAGAUUGGCCAUCGACGAUGCAAAUUGUUCGGCUCAUAGCUCAAGAGCAUAUGAACAACAAGUAAAUCUCAACGAUAUGCCGUUUCUUCUUUGGAUAUUUUGCUUACUUCGCUACACAUAUUAUCUGCACUUCUAAAAUACAAACUUUCAUACAUAGCCCUUGGAAGUUCUGUUUCUUUCCAAACUACCCUUAAGUUGGAGAAUCGGCCGAUUUAUUGGCAGAUGUUGGUUUCGUAAUAUAAUAGAUUUCCUUAAAGGGAUGUUUUUUAAGUACCAGGAUAUACGUGUAAUAAACUAAGUUUUGAAGGGAAUAUAUGUAAUUACAAAAUUCUUCCAGGAUAAAUAGGGGCAAUCUCUCUUUUCUUUGUUAAACCAGUAUGUAGAUUUAUUUCCUUGUGAAAUCCCUCUGAAGCAGAUAUUUAUCCUGUUAUUAUUAUUAUUAUUUAUUUUCUUACACAGGCAAUAUGUUGGUAAAGCGGACUUCCUGGUAUUUCGGACCUUAAAUCAGCACGGCUUUCUUGGACAACUGCAAGAAAAGAAACUGGUUUGUAUUAUAUUUCGACACUUUUUUUUGGGUAUUGUUUCUUCAUUUUAUUGUAACACACUUUAAAGUCACUUUACAUGCUGAAACUUUUACUUUCGUAACCUUUCAUUGUUUGUUCCUUUCUCAUUAGCUUUAGCGAAUUGCAGCAUUCAUAGUAAAGUGGAGCAUUCAUAGUUUUCUUUUUCUUUUGAAGAAAAGAUUUUCUUUUUGGUAAAAAUGUAUAUAAUUUAUCAGACUUAUGAACCAUUUUGAUUUGGCUACCCAAUCUUGUAAAAUUUGAUCUUACUACCUAACCUUUCAUUUUGCUUGAUUUGAAUCAGUCAAUGGCACUUUGACUUCAAACUUUAAACUAAAUAUUUUAAUGAAUUUGUAGUUGCGAAAAUUGCAUAAAAUAUACUAACCUGUAAAGAUAAACGAUGUAUUUAAAUUUUGAAAUCAAAGUGCUAUUGACCGACUUAAAUCAAACAAAUUGAGAAAAUCAAAUUUUUGAAAGAUUGGGUAGCCAAAUCAAAAUAGUCCGUAGUUUAGGUAAGUUCUGUAUAUUUUUGCCUUUCCUUUUUUCCUUGUAGUUAUAUCAGGCAUUACCUAUGUUAAAUCUGUAUAUAAUACUCACAAUCUAUCUUCUAACCAACCAAAGUGUCCAUUCAAGAAAUGGCUUAUUUCAUAAUAUUCUGCCAAAAUGUUCUAACCUAUUGUUUCCAAAUAAAAUAUAAUCAAAGUACAUCAUACCGAAUAACUUAAACAAUGACUAGAAAGUUCGAAGGUAACAUCAGUGCUUAAGAAAAUGCAAUGAUUCUUGUUGAAUUCGAGAUUAAUAUUACAUUCUUUCUAUUUUUCGACUUCCUGAUUCGUGCUCCUGUGAGAAACUGCAACAUGAGUGCAUAGACUUAGAAUAUGCAAAUCUUUACUAUGAAAUAUAAUUUCUUGAUUUGGGGCAUCUUAAAGUUGUUUUGUGACAAUCGAUAGCAUGAUUUGGAUUUAUAUUUUAUAUAUAUAUAUUUUUCUUUUUCAGUGUGCUGUUAUCCAGCUACCUACCCAGACGCUACUACUGUCCGUCUCAGACAAAGCAGGCCGCCUGAUUGGAAUGCUCUUUCCCGGGGUAUGUUGUUAGUAACUUUAUUUUUGGUUUUUCUUUCCUCUUGCAUGUGAUUCUUCUCCCACAAGGUUCUGGUUAUUUCCAUACAAAGCUAUGAGAACAGUCUUUUCUUUAAUUUUAAGUUUUGAUGAGCACAACUUUGAUUUCCUAUUAAACAGUUCUCCCGAUUCUUCCAAAUAACUAGAUCUUUCGUUUCUUUUUGUCUACGGAAACAAAAAGUAGUUUACUGUUCGAGAAACAAAUACUUAUUUGAGAAACUAGUUUACCUUUUUUCAGUAAGAAGGAAAACUAGUUUAAUUUCAUCUCGGAUGAAUGAAGAUCGCUUUUCUGUAGAAUCAUUUUUUUUCCUACUGUCUUCCUUACAAUAAAACUUCCUCUAAGCUAAUUCUUUCGUCGUCCAGGAUAUGGUUGUAUUCAAGCCGCAGGUGUCUAGUCAGCAGCAACAGCAACCCCAGCUGCAGCAGCAGCAGCACCUUCAGUCGCAGCCUCAAUCACACCCCCAUCUUCAACAGCAGCAGCCGCAGCAGCAGCAGCUUCCGCAGCAGCAGAUGGGCCAGCCACAACAGCUGCAGCAGCAGAUGGGCCAGCCACAACAGAUGCAGCAGCAGCAGCAACUUCAGCAGCAGCAGCAGCAGCAGCAGCAGCAGCAACUUCAGCAGCAGCCACAGUUACUUCCGCAGCAGCAGCAGCAGCAGCAGCAGCCGCCGCAGCAGCAGCAAAUGGUUGGCCCCGGAAUGGGCCAGAGCUUCAUGCAAGGGCAUGGCAGGUCUCAGAUGAUGCCACAAGGCAAAGUGCCCUCGCAAGGGCCGCCGACUAACAUGCCAGGCGGAGGUUUCCUUCCUUAAAAUACUAUAAUCCAUUUUCAAUCAAACUUAUCUAGUCUCAAAAGAGUGCAUGUAUAUAAAUAAAGAUACUUGGUAUGGUGUGACAAACAGUGUCCUAAGUUAUUUAAGUUUGUUGGUCGUCAUCGUAAUUCGGUCUUUCAGACUCUUUGUAUGUUUUGUUAGCUUAAUCUAUUUUGAAACUUUUGUCUACCAUAAUCUUAAGCAUAAUCUUUCUGAGGAGAAAAGGGAUGGAGCUCUACAUAGUUUUUGAGUUUUCAAAUCUAAUGUUGUCAUUUUAUCAACCAAUGAUCGGCUACUAAUUAGUUGACAUUGAUUACAUGGUUAACUGGAACCCUAAAUCUGGGCAACAAGGGUUCAAGGUAUGCUAACAAACUGCAAACUUGACUUCCGAAUUUUCGUCUUUCAUCAAAAUAGACAUACACCAGAAAGUCAUUUCAGGAAGACCUGAGAUUCUCUGAAUCCACCGGCACAUAAACAAACAUCCCUGCUACUGUAUCAUGCAUUUUCAGCUACCAGAUAUACCAUUUUAGAAAAUUAAACUAGCUAACUAUUCACAUAUUUCUAUUACUAGGCCUAAUCUGGAAUUGUAUUUUCAAAUGCAUCUGCUUUUAUACUUUUUAGUGGUCAGAACGAUCUAAAAAUGCUACCAAUUUUUUUUACUCCAGUGCUAUAUAAAAAUUGGAAUGGCAAUUGCCCACAAGGGAAAAUUGAAAGUGCUUUUGAAAUUGAAAGUGCUUUUGAAAUUUUUGGCUUUCCAAAACGUAAAAACAGGUGCUUUUAACUAAGUUUCUCAUGAAAAAUUUCUCGUCAAUUUUUCGCCAGUUUGGUUCAGACAAAAAAAAGCUAGUAUUUCUGAAAACUUCUUUGUUUUAGAUUUCAUGAAAAACUAGUUUUUUUUACAUUUUCCAGAUUUUAGUUAUUUUUUUAAGAACCAAACGGAUGAAAAGUGAAGACCACGACUUCCCAUGGAAUUUUUUUUUUCCGCAAAAGAAUUUUCCUCAGCCCCUAAACAAUAAAAAAACUCGACUGACGUGCACUCAAAACACAAUCAAGUAUUGAUUCGGCUCUAUAAUAAACAAUGUUUGGAAAGAACACUACCAACUUCGUAUACAAAGGUGUUUGAUAGUUUCGGUACAAGUUUACAAAAGACUACAUCUGAUGUAUUCAAGGGAUACAAGAAAAAAGAUCAAUCCCCUGUUACGGUCGCAGACAUCACCACUAUUGAAAGGGGAUGCUUACAGCGCGCACAUUUGANCAGCAGCAGCAGCAGCAGCAGCAGCAGCAGCAACUUCAGCAGCAGCCACAGUUACUUCCGCAGCAGCAGCAGCAGCAGCAGCAGCCGCCGCAGCAGCAGCAAAUGGUUGGCCCCGGAAUGGGCCAGAGCUUCAUGCAAGGGCAUAGCAGGUCUCAGAUGAUGCCCCAAGGCAAAGUGCCCUCGCAAGGGCCGCCGACUAACAUGCCCGGCGGAGGUUUCCUUCCUUAAAAUACUAUAAUCCAUUUUCAAUCAAACUUAUCUAGUCUUAAAAGAGUGCAUGUAUAUAAAUAAAGAUACUUGGUAUGGUGUGACAAACAGUGUCCUAAGUUAUUUAAGUUUGUUGGUCGUCAUCGUAAUUCGGUCUUUCAGACUCUUUGUAUGUUUUGUUAGCUUAAUCUAUUUUGAAACUUUUGUCUACCAUAAUCUUAAGCAUAAUCUUUCGAAGGAGAAAAGGGAUGGAGCUCUACAUAGUUUUUGAGUUUUGAAAUCUUAUGUUGUCAUUUUAUCAACCAAUGAUCGGCUACUAAUUAGUCGACAUUGAUUACAUGGUUCACUGGAACCCUACAUCUGGGCAACAAGGGUUCAAGGGAUGCUAACAAACUGCAAACUUGACCUCCGAAUUUCCGUCUUUCAUCAAAAUAGACAUACACCAGAAAGUCAUUUUCAGGAAGACCUGAGAUUCUCUUGAAUCGACUGAAACAAACAUCCCAACUACUGUAUCAUGCAUUUUCAGCCACCAGAUCUACCAUUUUAGAAAAUUAAAUUGGCUAACUAUUCACAUAUUACUAUUACUAGGCCUAAUCUGGAAUUGUAUUUUUGAACGCAUCUGUUUUUAUACUUUUUAGUGAUCAGAACAAUUUAAAAAUGCUACCGAUCUUUUUUCCGCGAGUGCUAUAAAAAUUGGAUUGGCAAUUGCCCACAAGGGAAAAUUGAAAGUGCUUUUGAAAUUUUUGGCUUUCCAAAACGUAAAAAUAGAUGCUUUUAACAAGUUUCUCAUGGAAAAUUUCUCGUCAAAUUUUUCGCCAGUUUGGUUCAUAAAAAAAAAGCUAGUAUUUCUGAAAACUUCUUUGUUUUAUAUUUCAUGAAAAACUAGUUUUUUCGUUUUCCAGAUUUGAGUUUUUUUUAAGAACCAAACGGAAGAAAAGUGAAGACGACGACUUCUCAUGGAAUUUUUUUUUUCCGCAAAAAAAAUUUCCUCAGCCCCUAAACAAUAAAACACUCGACUGACGUACACUCAAAACACAAUCAAGUAUUGAUUCGGCUCUAUAAUAAACAAUGUUUGAAAAGAACACUAACAACUUCGUAUACAAAGGUGUUUGAUAGUUUCGGUACAAGUUUACAAAAGACUACAUCUGAUGACUGAUAUAUUCAAGGGAUACAAGAAAAAAGAUCAAUCCCCUGUUACGGUCGCAGACAUCACCACUAUUGAAAGGGGAUGCUUACAGCGCGCACAUUUGACGACCCAGAUCUUUUACAACAGCUCGGUACAUCCUAUACCGAUAAAAGUUGCACGAGUCUAUUCACAUAAAGAAGCUACAUCAUGAAGUACAGUAAAGAGUAUUUGUGUCAAUUUUCAUGAAUCAGGCGUAAUUUCGUCGUUUCUUUGUAAAUCCCCUCCUAAAGUGCCAUUCUUACCUUCCAAUGCACCGUUGUCGUCAUCGUCGCAGAUUUUUGGCUGGGCUUUGUUUAAUUUCCGAAGCCUCACGGUAGCUGGAUUCAUUCGUUGCUGUUGCGGAUGUUCGAUAAGAUUUAGCCGACUCAUCACGUAAGCCAAAAGCUCCUCCCUGUGCGAGAAAGUGAAGUCCAAAUGAGCAUACUCGAACUCGUUGUAGGACACCGCCACUCCGGCCCUUUUCAUCAACUUGAAGUGCUUUUUCACCAUCGAAGGCCGAAUCACUCUAUCCUUAAUCCCCGCAACCAAAUCAACGGGGAUAUCAAUUAGGUUGUACCGCUCCCCCAAAUCCAACGGUUCCGGUGAACCGUACGCUUCCAUAUUCGCAGAAGCACUUCCGUAAUCAUACAUUAUGAACUUUCUCGCUCGCUUAAUUUGCGCGAGGUGAAGAGCGACAUAAAAUGACACCCCCGGCAUGUCGUACAUAUUAUAGUGUGGCAAUCCAAGAACUCCGACCCAAUUCGAGCUGUCGCCCCCAACAACGUAGCCCAUUAGGGUUUGGACCAGGCCGCCCAAAGCCGGAUAGUUGUGAAAAUCUCGAGCCAACUUGUUUAGAAGCAUCCGGAAGAAUCUAGUUGGUAUAUAGAGACCGGGUACUACAGGGGCGAGUAUUGGACCGAUUAGCAGUACUAGUUUCUCUACGAUAGUGAAUAAUAUGGUAGAAUCCUCAUGGAAGCCGGCAGGAGAUAAGAGGAUUAACCUUGAUAGGCGGUGAGGCUUGCUGUCCAUUCUACGUGUUAUUACGUACAUUAGCAUCGCCGCUCCUCCUAGACUGUGGCAAACUGCACAGAGUUUGUAGGGUUGGUUGUUGGCGGCGUCGUCUUCAGUAACGGGUUGGUGGUUUUUGCUUAACUCUGAAGUUUUGAUUUCGUGUAUUUUCUCAAUUAUUGCGGGUACGUCUUUUGUUCCGUGCUCGUUCAACGAGUAUUUCCAGUACCUGUUAUUGUCAAAAAAAAUUGGAGUUACAUGUCUGGGCACACCCUGAUAUAUGUACAGAUCAGAAAGCGAAUACCACUUUGCAACCUACAAGUGAGACUGAUUCUCGGGAAGUCUUACGAGCACCAAUAAAGAAAAAAGGAACCCCACCCACUCCCUCCCCCAAAACGCUUCAUUAGUUUGUUCUAAACGGAGAUAAGCAGCCAAACGCAACCGACAAAAAUGUUUUGCUUGGAAAAGAUACUCUUUGAUAUGUCUUGAAAGCAAAGCUGGAAACAUAAACGGUCGAUCGUUGGCUAACGCAAGCAACGAAAUUCAUUGUUAGUGGAAAUUGCUCAUUUAGGUAGCAAACAACUAGGUCAAAACCGAGGUAGGUAGUAUUUAGUUCUUUAUCAACAUAGGCAUGUGUUCCCUUGAAGGCGGUAUCAUGCCUUUCAUAUGAAUAUUUCCUGUUCUUUCUACUCGUUGACAAAAUUCCAAUUAUACAUAAAUAUCAGUUUUUUUUUUUUCUUUUUUUUUUUGGGUUUUUGAGUUGAAAAUUGAAAAUAAAAUCUUCUGGAAAUUUGAGAAAUGAAAAAGAAAAUUAAUACGCAUCUUGUAAAGGCCUUUUCACAGUGGCAGCAGAAACUGCAAGAUUACAACUCAAGCUACUUUUUGAGCUAAGAAAAUAGCUAGACAAACAACUAGAUCACUCGAAGGAUUCGAAAGGGCAAAACUAAUAUUUUGAUAAAUGAACCAAGACAUCUAGUCUCGCAUAGGCUCCUCGAAUGAAGUUCAGACAGCAAGCAUAUAGUGUCAGCUCUAAAACAACGAAAAACAGCAAUAACUGCAAAUGAGUAACUUACUUGCGUGAAGAAAUAUUCUUGUCAACAUGCUCCCUGGAAACCAAACCACGUAAAUUCCCAAGAAAAACAUCAUAACCUGAAAAUAAGGGGGAAAAAAAAAUAGUGAAUUGACUGGACUGACUCGAUCCUUACUGAAGUGAGGUGUUUUACGCAUAUAUAGAAUUUUAGUCUCUGCUAUGCAUUUCGAAACAACUGCACCAACCUUGAUCAUAGGCAGCAAAUGCCGGAGAACCAACAACACCAUUAGACACCCAACUGCAAUAGCAGUAACGAUAACAAUACAUAAGUAUUAUAGAUGAAGAUUAUAGUAAACGGUAGAGACAUGAAGACAUGCGUACAAGCACAAAGACACACAAUACUAAUAAAUCGUUUGGCUAAUGCUUUGUAGUCAAGCCAAUGCGAAGGGAUGUUUAAAAAGUUCCAUUCCCUUAUAUAUAUAGAUCAUUAGUUAUGCCUGCAAUCUAGAAAUCACAAAUUUUUAUUCAUCUUCACAAGUGUCAAGUGGAGGAAAAGAAAAAAGUAACAGCGUAAAAUUAGAAGCAAGCUGUAUAGCAUAAUGAGAGAUAUAUUUCAACAUUAUAACUAACUGUUGGAAACCAUAUUCUAAACAGAUCAAGAGAAGUAAAAGAAGGUAGUCAUCCAGUAUGAACUGAAUAUACAGAAGUACACUUAAGAUUAUGAUAGAAAAUAUAUGAACAGGACUAAUUUAAAGCGUAAGAUAUAAACUAGAAUUUGAAGUGCUGAUUUGUGCUGCGAGUAGCAUGGAUGCUGCUAUGGUCCAGAAAACACAGCCCAGAAGAAUGAAAGGCAACUGCUGGCUGCAUCUUAUUUCAUGUCAUUUCAUGCACUGUCAAAGAUGGCAGAUGGCAAAUGAAAAAGGAAACAAGGUUUGCAAGGCAAGGCGUCGUAAAGUAUGCACUAGAUAUCAUGUCACCUUAGGGAAGUAGAAACCAAAGCACAAUAUUUAAAUCUCAUAACAGCACAUGCUUUUGCUAACUUGUAGGACAAUGUACGCGCAAGGAAGUGAGUGUUUCUUGACCAGUUCAAUCAUUAUAAUUUGCUAGCUUCGAGAAGAUCAUGAUUAAGGAAUAUAUUGGGUUUUCAUGAAUGACCAAAUUAUUUAAUAAUUUGACUAUUGCUUCUGGAGAAAUAGAUUUUACGAAUAUAGUUAGCAUUGACUUCACGAAAGAAUCAUUACAAGAUACACUCAUUAAUCAAAGAUAGUGUUGUGCAAAACACUAAAAGGUAGCACUUUAUAAAACUCUAUCAGCAAAUAUACUCUAUUACUAAGGAACUGGCUACUAUUUUUUCAUUGGAACCUCCUACUUAAUAUUGGUAGAAUAAUUCAAAUUUAAGGUAUAAGAUUGGAAAAUUUUUCUUAAAUAAAGACUAAUUUCAUGUUUGUCUCAACAACUCUCAACCAAUCAAGUUUCUACACUAACUUUGGUGAACUUCUCACUGGCAGCAGGUGACAACAAACUGGAACAAAAAAGGCAGAUGUAAUUAUAAAAAUCACUUCCCCCUCUGUUUUUCGAAAGGGCUGUGUUAAGUCCAAAAUGAGUUCGAAUUAUCAUUUAUUAUGUGGAGACAGCUCAACUUUGACAGAUCGUGCUAAUAUAUAGACGUAAUUGCAGUUUGGCUGUAAGUCAGUUUAUUAAUAGUACAAACAUCAACAUGCCAUCUACCACGGCGCUUACAAGAAGAUCCGCCGCCUUGUCGUGGUCUACAUUUUGGAUCUUUCCAUGGAAGAUGACUUUUGGACCUUCCCAAGGUGAAAUAGUUUUCAAGGGAUCUCCACCUCAUUGUGGCCGAUGGCAAAUUAAUGUUUUCACUCUUACUAAACUUGAUUUAUAGCUGAAUCGCAAUUACGUCAAUUCAAAGGUCCCCUAAAGCUCUAGGAAAGCACAUUAUAUAGGAGAAAGCGAAAUUGUUUUCAAGAAAUUGAAACCCCAAGGCUGGGGAUCUCCUCAGCCUCAUUGAGGUCGGUAGUAAAAUUAUGUUUUCACUCUUUCUAAACUUGAUUUACAGCUGAAACCCUCCAAAGCUCUAGGAAAGUUCACAAUAUAUUAAAGAAGGAUUGGCUAAAUGAACUGCAACAGCUUGUUGAUUUUUUUUUUUUUUUUUGUUGUUGUUGUUGUUGUUUACGAAAAAGAGGUACCAAGUAGCACAAACUCAGCACAGCAUAGGAAAUUCACUAGCUGAAUCAUAAAAUGGAAAUCAUCGAAUUCCCCAAGACACUGCAAAAGAAAAUAACUUCUUCACAUUGGGUAGUUUAGUACAAAAUUUAGGAAAACUGGACAAACAGUUAUUGAAUUUUGACCAUUUGCAAAUAGGCCCCUAAACCCCUACCACUUCAUUUUUCAUCACAUGACUGGUAUAUGGGUUUGAUCCAAAGUAUGUAUUAUAAUUCGGUAAAGUCCAUCUCUUCUGUUAACCGCCAAAAGAAAGAAAGCAAAGCAUCAAACACGAUUAAAAAAUCCAACUAAAAUUGAGCACAAAUUUUUGUUGUAUUAUUUUAUGCUAACUCAAGAAACAAGAAGGAAGAUCGAACUGCUACUAGCUGCUUUGUAAUAGAGGUGCAAUCUACAAACACCUUGCUACAUUUCAUCUUUUAUAAGUUCAACAAUUACCAUUAAUGGGAUUUUAGCUCUGAAGCACAUUGUUCAAAAAAAAAUCCAGCUUGCAAGACUCGUUUUGUUCGUCAUAUUGCUCUGAUGCUAGACACAACACAGAGAUAUUAAAAAACUAACAUUACCUGGUUGUAAAACAAAAUACAUCUCUACGUUAAGUUCAGGGAUCAGAUUUAAAAAAUUAGGAAUUUAGGCAGCUGUUUGCAGAUAGGCCAAAUGGUGUUUAUUCAUUUUUCAAGUAUGGCAGUUGCAUGGCAACCAUUCUAUUUGUAGUCAAAUAGCAAACUUUAACUUGCAGAAUAUAUCUGUCAUUUGUCAACUCACCCCAUCGAUGAAUCCAAUAUCCCAUGUUGUAGAUACACAACCUUCUGAGAAUCACGCCUGCGACAUAAAUGUAUCACGAGUCACACAUUAAAAACAUUUAACAGAAUACUUUUGAGAGGCUCACGAGAAAGUGAACCUAAAGAAAACAUCUAUCUUACCUAGGAAUUCUCUCCAGAAGAAGCACAUAUCCAUCAUCUGUAACCACACGUAUAGCCUCGUAAGGAUAGCUGAGAUAUGGAAAGAGUAAAAGAUUUAGUUAAACUCAUCUGAACUUUGGUUCUUGCCAAUUCCAAAUUCUAAUAACAGGUAGAUUACACCACCAGUCAUAGUGCUUAUUGCUAAAGUUAUACUUGGUCACCGAGCUUCAAUUUGUCACAAUUGUGCACUGAACUUAGAUACUGUUUCCAAUGGCCCUUUAAUUUUCCUUUUUGAGGAGCAACAUGGCAGCUCAUUUAGCUGCACGAUAUGUAGCAGCCAUGCCAUCACAAGAGUGACCUAAUUAAACAGAAAUUGGACCCCAUACAUCAACUGCAACAAAUUUAAGUUUGGCGACCCAAGUGAGACACCCCAAUAAGUUCAAUGAUCAAUAGUGGAGUUUACCUCUAUAACAACUCGGUGACAAAGACAAAUUAAACGAGUGUAAAACUAAUUUGCCAGUAGAUAAUCAAGAGAAUCUUGAUACAAUCAAAUCUCAUUCAUGUAAUUGGAUCACUAAUACCUUCUCUAUAAGAGUACAAGCAAAGAAGUAAUAGCAAAAAGAUAGUCCUUACCCAAGCUCACUUAUGACAUCUUCACAUGUCCGCGAGUCUGUGUUUAAAGAAUGGUGAAAUGUAGUCCGUCUUUCAGCUGGAGUUGGAUCAACACUGCCAACGGUAGCAGUUGGAACAACAGCUUCAUCGGAAUCACUAUCAUAGGUAACUUUCCCACUGCUUCCACGAAGCGAAACCAAAGAAUAUAAUUUCUGCCAAACCUCAGAAGGAGAAAGAACAAGGUGUGCUGCAUUGUGAACCGUCUCGAAAACUGAUUCAAUGAAUAUCUCAAUUGCCAGCUGGAGAUCCUGGGAGAGGCAUAAUCACAGAUGUAGAAACUUUAAGUAACUUAGUCUUCUGAAAAAAAAUCAGCCAAGAAACACAAAUAUAUUUUGCAAAAUAAUAGAAAAGCACAACGUGGGAAAGAGUUUCCAUUAAAUAAACAGUUAGAACAAAUAUACAUUGGGCCUUAGACAAUAUCCCUUCAAAAUUAUAUAUUAACAUUUAUAACCCCUACAAACCUGGAUUUUCAGACAUACUGUCUAAUGUAUAGUUUCUUACUAAAUACCCUUAUCUUAAGUUGGGGAUUCAAUUAGACAUAAGAGAUGUUUAUACAUAUUAUAAAUACUAAAUAUAGGAGGACUUAUCUAACCAGUUCCCAUGUUAAGAAACAUUUUCAAGAGGACAAUACUAAUUUACGGGAUAAUAUAUAUGUUUCUGUAUUGCCAUGCGGAAUACAAAAGAUUGUUUAGAAUUGUUAGAGCGUUAAGUUGAUCAAAAUUUUCCCACACGAAUCUAAAAUAUUUAUUAUUUUUCUACUUGUAAACCGAUAUGAAUUCCUGAUCAGUGUACCUAACCACUUAUCAAAUGUUUCUUAACAUGUGCCUAAGCAAACUCUUUAGCUAAACCUGAUGAAUGAUUUUUCAAGGCUACAUAUUCAGAAAACGUUAUUGUAUUCAAUUUGGACAUAACAAGUACCUCAAAAACUCCACGCCGUCUGUCAGUAGUACGCUGAACAACAUGGUCUUUUAUGUGAAAUGACCUUCUAGCAAUGCGACGACCUAACAGCUGGUGAGUUUCUGGGUUGCCAGGAGAAACUGAUUCACGUCUCCUAGAUCUGGCAGAUUGGAAUAAGAUAAAUGGCAACCAAAGAACAACUGUGGCAGGCCACAGAAUCCAGGAAAGUAUGCGUCGUAUAGAGCGUAUUAAGCGUCUAUCAUAUCUGGUGAUACUGCUUGAAUGAGACAAACGUGAAGACUGAGACAAAGGAGAGGCAGGGUAAAUAUUAUCAUCGUUAUCAUCUUCACUAGAUAUGGAACCAGUGGUCGAUGAAGUGUCAGAAUCCACAGAAAGCUCAUGAAUGAACUCAUUGAAUGAUGAAACGCCACUGUCAUCACAACAAAACAAAGUUAAAGGCAGGAACUUCUUAUGCAUGAUGGAAGAAAUGAAAACAAGUUCCCUACAUAAAGAAAAUCAAUUGAAACAACAAAAUGAAGGACUUGCCACUCAAUCAUUGGCAAUCCUUGUACCAAUUAGCUUUACAUGACUGAUUUUGUCAAAUACGAAAAGUAAUGCAGAUAAUAGAGCCAUAGCCAUACUGUCUAAUAAUCAAUACUACACACUAAGAGUAAACAGUACAUGACACCACCACAUAUCCCUACAAAAUAAAGAUUUUAACACCAUUACAUGACACACUGCACGAAAUGCCUUUUCCAUAUUGAUGCAGCACAAGGAUUUUAGGAAGAGUCAUCCUUCUACCACAUCAAAUAUUCAGUUAUUACAAAAAGUAAGAGAAUAGUGGCAAUAGUUUCUAAGCCUAGUAAUCAGGUUAGGAUAUUACAUCCCUACCAUAGAGUUUACUGGACUCUGUGGAGGAUGCAGAAUAUAACUCGUCAAAGGCCCUUCUCCUCCAAGGACUGUAUGGUUGACUGGAAGUUUAUGACAGGCAAUAUAGUUUCUAGAACUCGUCAAAAUCAAAAUAGCAUUUAACUAGACUUUCGCACUACUUCAACAAAACUAAUAUCAAACACACGGAUCAAGUCACUUCACUCAGAAAAGAACUUUAUGACAUCUAGUUAACUCGAAUCAAACAUGUCCGGAGUGGAGAAAACCAGAGGAAUCUUUUCAACUGAAAGAAAAGUGUUGCUCCAAAGGAGACAAUGAGAACCAAACAAAUAGCAUCAUCAAAGCCAGGCUAAAGAUUUCAAAGUGUUGAAAUAAGUAGCAAUGAAGUUGGCUGCUGUCCAUUGGUCAACUGCAUGCAACAGCUAAUGGACUUCAGUGACCUGGUGUUCAAAGUGUAGCACCUUGAACCACAACAUAGCAGAGCACAAUCAAUCCAUACUCUUAUAACUUCAGGGUGAUUUUUGAGGCUUUCCCUUAAUCUUGUAUUCAUCAAAAAGUAACACAAUGUAGAAAUGAUAUGCUAAACACAUUUUACAUUCUUUCUUAUCCAAUCAAAAAUGUGCUUUUAGUUUUUACUAUCUUUAUGCAAAGAGCACAAGAAUGUGACGAUAAAUGUUGUAGCUAAAGCAGCAUCUAUUAUACUACGUAUUGACUGCCACAGAAGAAAGUAACUAUGAUAUGCCUCCCAUUACUUGGAAAAUCAAUCACCAUAGCUCCUUUUGGAAAAUCAAUCACCAUAGCUCCUUUGGAUACUUUUGUCCUCUUCAUCAAAGGAAAAGUUUAAAAGUAUUAGUUAACGUUCUCAUGUACCUAUACAUACUAAGAGAAAUACAAAGGAGAGUAGAAAGAGAUUUCCUGAGCUUUAGGUGCGACUUUUAAUAUGACCACAAGUAAAGCUGAUCCCUAGUGAAAUACCCACUUGAAAUCAUCACACCUAGAAGGGGCAUCUUCCAAAAAUACCAUGCCAUUCUUUUUAGUGCUGCUAAUUGAAUAAAUAACCAUGCAAAGCAUAAAUAGAGACUACAAAUUAGAUAUCAGAAUGAUGCGGACUCCAUAAUACUCAAUAAAAAUGAUUUAGAUGUACAAGGGGACUACAGUAAUAACUGGAUAUAAUAUAAAUCGUUGUAACAACAACGAACAGAUUUUAAAAUUUCUUGCCCAUCCAGAUAGCAAGGCAAGGACUCCAGAAUAUUGGUAAAAGUAAUUUAUAAUUUUGCGAAAAACAGCGAAAAUUUCAGUCUCCACAUAACGGUAAUUCUAGUUUCAUCAAUAGGAUGAUAACAGUGAUAUGAAUAUUUGCAUCUUCACGGAAACAAAACUGAAUAAAGAAGGAUAACUGUAUACAUAGCUCAACAGAAUACAGAAAAGACAUCAAACUUACUUUUCCAUCCACCGAGGAAGGCGAGGUCCUCGGAAUGUAGGUCUGAGCUCCCAGCCAUGGAUUCCCUCUAACAAGUUAGCCUUCCCUGGCAAUAUUGUCAACAAGAGUGCCGAAACCCCAUUUAUCAACCUUGCAAUACUAUUCAGGGAUUCAUAAGUGAAUGUCUUCACAGAUCUGCAGGACAAAGGGAGCGCAUAUAACAUUAUAAAAAUCAUUAUAAUAAAAUAGAGCUUAAUCGAGUACUUAUUUAUGUAUAUAUAUUGUCCCUGUACUAUCCCAAUUCAAACAUUUUGGUUCUAUGGUCAUGCCAAAACCCAACUUUGUUGUUUUCACUCUCUUGUAUUUCCCAUCAUACGUGAACUAUCAAGCAUCAUGUGAGAACUCAGGAAAAAUAGCUUACUUCUCCAAUAUAAAUUUUCCCUUUUCUUCCUCGUUCUUUCACUUCAUUCCGCCACAUUUCUCUCACUAACUACUAGUAGGAGAUAAACUUAAUAUGAUCACAGAAUAUUUUCGCAAAAAGACUGAAUGCAUAAAAACCCCCAAACAUCUUCGCGAUUGGCAUUUUGCGCCUCUAACAUUAAAAAAAGUACACAUCUUACCAUUUCAAUGGUCAAAAUGAUUCUAUUACUUUCCUAUUGUCUCCAAAUACGAUCUCAUUUUUACCGAAGAGCGACCAAGCUCCUCAAUAGGAUUACACUGUGAUACGAAGUAACUGUCUAUUACACACCCAGGCUAUAGAAACACUAAUGCAUCAUAUUAUCACAGAAAAGUGCUAAGGAAAGGGCAAAGUGAUGAAUCACAUAAACAUUGAGAGUUAAAUAUGAACAAUAUCAGGGGCUUUUCUAAAUCCUAGGACUAUUCAUCUAGGCUCAGAUAUUAUAUUUAGGGUUUGAAAAAUAUAUACAAAUAAAAAUCGAAACUUAGGGCUAUUUCCCUAAAAUUCAUCAUUUGAAAACCUGGUGCAAAGCACUACCUACUAAUUUUAAUGAUCCAAACUCAAUACAACCUAAUUGAUUCCGUUCAUAUCCAGAAAAAAAAUGCAAAAUCCAAGUUAAUUUGUUCUCGAUGAGGAAUAUUUCGGUCAUUAUUAUCAAUCAUUAGCACCGUACCCACCAAAAAACAACAUUAAUCAACAAAUUUCCAUCAGUUUACGCAAUUUCCUAUUCCAAUACUAAAUUCAUGAGAUAAAUCAACACCAGAAAAGUAAAGAAAAGGUAAUUAAGUAAGCAAUUUCUACAUUUACCCUCAAAAUAACUCGGAAAAAAUGCUUUUUUUUUUAAAAAAAAAUGUUCUCGAUGAGGAAUAUUCCGGUUGUCAUCAUUCACUAACUAGCAAAACAAAAUCCAUCAAAAUCGACAUUAAUCAACAAAUUUCCAAUCGACUAUCCCACAAAAAUAACCUUAAUUUAGAGUCCAAAACCUAAUUCAUGAGAAAUUAGCAUAAAAAACACCAAAAAAUACGCAAUUAACCGAAAAUUUUCGAGAUAAAUAGGCAAAUAAUUCGGGAAAAAAUGGUAAAAAUUAAGGAAAAAUUGGGGAAAAGGAGGGAUGGGGAUUACUCUUUUGUUACGGCGAGGACGUGAUCGACGAAUCGCUGCAACAUAAUAAAAACAAAAUUAAAAAUAACAAUAAUUCCCAACAAAUUCCCACGAUUUUCUACGCGAGGAAUCGAAAUGGUUUUAGAGAGAGAGAGAGAGAGAGAGAGAGGGGUUGGGCACUUGGUCUUUGGGGAACCGCAUAAUGGUUAAAAUGCAUGGAGACCCCUCAACUAUAGGAAUUUCGAAAUCAGCUCGUUAACUUUUUUCGUUUCACUCCUUAUUGAUACAUGAACAUGCACCUUUUAAUUUCUAAUUUUUUUUAUUUGAAAUUUAUUAGAAAUAUUUGUAUGUUGAAAAUUUGGCUAAAGUAUUUAUAUAAAUAUUGGGCAAAACUCAAAUGAAUUAUAACUCAUUUCGAUGUGAGUAUCUAUUAUUUAAAAGUUUUGAAUUUGCAACUGAAUCUUUAAAUUAUUUGCAUUGAAUUUUUUGGCGAUUUUUGAAAUUCAAAAUUUGGAUAUAUGUGUACUUUUUUUAUAAUAAAAAAUUAUCAAAUUAAUUUAAAUCAAAGAAACUAAAAUAUUAAGUAUCAAAAUCACAAAUUAUUAUUCAAAUUUAGAUAGUUAGAUUAAGAUUAUAGUAAGAUAAGUUUCAUAUAUUCUUUUUAUCUAAAUUUAAUUAUUUACUUAAAAUAAUUAAUUAAUAAUUUUUUGGGUCUAGUGGGUUAAAACUUUAAUGGGGUGUUUGGGUCCUCAAAAAAUUAUGAAAAAUUAUUUUCAAAAAAAUAUUUCGAAAAAAAAUAUUUUUUAUUGUUGGAUAAAAACUAGAAUUUCAUUUUUAAUUUUUCCUACUUUUUUCACAAAAUUUGAAAAUUUAUUUUUAAUAUAUAAAACACUUGAAAAAUCAUUUUUACAGUCUAAAAAUUAUUUUCUAAAAUAUUUUCCAGAAAACCAAAACACCUCCUAAAAUAACCCAGUUUUAAAAGAAUAAAAAAAGGAGCACUCAUUUCAGAACAUCCUGUAAUAAAGGGGUUUUCGUGUAUUUUCACCUAAAACUAUCCAAUUAACCGCAUAGGACCAAUAUAUGCGGAACACUUCCACGGACGCGUCGUGAUUCGCGUCGAGGGUGGAUCGUUUCGUACGCAUAUAAAUUUAUUAUGCGUGUUUCCGUACGAUUGUGGAGAUGCUUUUCUUUGCUUCUAAUCCGACCCUCCCACCGCCCAACGUACGGAUUUAGUCGGUUGUCGCCUCGCCACGUCGACGACGCGAUGAUGCUCAAAUUGAUGAUAUUCUCACCCCCCACCAUUACUAUGUCCAGGGGUAAUUUGGUAAAUUCACACAAAUUCGAGCCAUCACCAUGAUAGGGGGGGGGGGUUUCUUAUCUAAAAUACUAGUUCUCGAAUCUUUGAAAUAAAUUGGUAUAAUUAUUUCCACUAACAUCUACAUUUUUUAUAUAUAAUUAUUCACUAUUUUUUUUAUUUCAUAUUAUCUAUCCAAACGCUAUUUUUUUUAUCACUGGAAACAACCUAAUUUUUAUCCAAACGCUAUUUUGCUUAUCCUCAUACUUGUACCUAUCAUUGUAAGAGCCAGUUCUUGCUUAUAUCCGAACCAAACGGUAUAAGACUAUAAAGUCCUUCGUACUUAUAAGUUGUUUUCACUGAUGGAGCUUUCGAAUCGGAGAUUAUAUAAUAUAUAUAUAUAUAUAUAUUAUUAUAUAUAUAUAUAAUAUAAAAUUGAAACUUUCUAAAAAAUAAAUUUGUAAUUUCGAAAUACGAAUAAUAAUCUCAUCAAGCGUAUAAAAUGGAACGGUCAAAAUCGAAUGACGUCCUAUAAAAUGGAUAAAAAAAAAAAUUCGGAUAUCUUCAAUUUUAAAAUCGAAGUACUGAUUUUAUCAGAUAGUGAAUAGAAUUUUCUAUCAAAAAUCAAUGCUAUUCGCGAUUCUUUUACGCCGUUAAACUACAAUAUCAUACCGGCCGUUAAAAUUGUUAAGUUUGUUGAGCUUUUGAUCGUCAAGUAAAUGAUAUUAAAUUAAAUUAUGAAAUUUGAUUUCUAGAAAGUUUUAAAAUGCUCUAGAUAAUGUUUAACGUGGUGUGAUUUGUCGAUUCGAAAGCCUACAUAAAAAAAAUAACUUAUGUACGAGGGCGGAUCGAUACUCUAUAAAGAGUAAUAGACCGGACUCUAAUGUGUGUUAAAAAUCAAAUAAUUAGUAGUAAAAUUGGAUCGUUGAAAAUAAAUGAAUUUAAGUCGUAGAAAUAUUAUUCUCGUCAGACAUUGAACCUAACAAAUUAAGAAAAAAGGUUCAUACGAAUUUUGUCCCGCAUUUUCGCCGAACUAAAAUAGAUCUAUUAGGCUUUAAUCCAUCCCAUGUUUUCACACUAUCACAAAUGGAUCAACAGUAGAUAUUUUUUUUUCUUUUUUGCUCUUCUCCUAAUUUUAUAAACCAUCAGCUAUUAUUAGAAUAGUAGAAUUCUAGCGCGCUCGUAACAUAUUCUUAUAGGAUUUCUGGUAGAAUUGGGAAUAUUAAGUAAAAAAUCGAUACACCACCUUCUCCUUGAAAAUUAGCAAAGGAUGCUCCUAAUGGAAUCAUGUGGGAAUAUAAGACCUAUUGUUUGUUUUGUUACCCUUUCUUUCGAUAAGCAAAAAAUACAAAAAAAAGAUAUACCAUCAAAUACGAUAUAACUAUCUAUUGGAUACCUAUAUUUUCCUAUUUGAUCUAAGCCUACUGUCUUUCUUUCUGCUGAGAAUGGGGAGACAAUCACUACCAUUUAUUACAUACAUUUUUUUGUAAUCUUCCCUACACGUACCAAAGAAAUCUUUUUUUUCUUUACUUUGACUUUUAUACUCUGUUAUUUAUAUAUAUAAAUACAUAAUAUAUAUAUAUAAUAUUAUAUAUAUAUAUAUAUAUAUACUCAUGCAUUAAAUAGCCGUGCAAUGCACGAUUUUUAAUUUAUCUUUUAAUUACAUCUUUUUAUAUAAUAAUAAUAUAUUAAUUUUUACAAUCAAUUAUUUUUUAAUAUCUUUUUAAUGACAACUUUUAUAUAUAAUAUUAAUUUUUCAUAUUAACUUUAUUAGAAAUUAUUAUUGAAUCAAUAUUAUAAUUAAUAUACUACAUGAUAUACUAAUAAAUGUAAUUAAAUAAUUUAAACAUAAAAAGAUUUUAAAAUGAAGAAGUAAAAUAGGUUCAAAUCCAAUUAGAAUUUAACAUAAUUAUUAUUUAUAUAUUUUUUAAUACUCACAUAUGAAAUGAUGAAGAAAGAUUCAAUCUUAUUCAAAUUCUAUUUUAUAUAUUAUAUUUUUCUAAUAAUCUUUUAUGCACAACUUUUAUAUCAAUAUAUAUUAAUAUUUUUAGCAUAUUAAGCUUUAUUAUUUAGAAAAUAUUAUCUGAAUUCAAAUUAAAUAUAUACUAUCAUGAUAUAACUAAUAGAAUGAAGUAAAUAUUUAAAAAUUAAAAGUUAAAAUGAAGAAGUCAAAAAGGUUCAAAAUGCCAUUAGAUAUUUAACUAUAAUUUUAUUUAUAUAUAAUUAAUCUCAUUUCAAUUCUUUAUGACUAAUUUUGUAAACUUAAUUUUUUAAGAAUUUUAAGUGACUAAAUUUGGAAAGUAAUUUUCUAGCCAACCACUUGAGCAUUGACAUAUUAUGAUUCUUUAAACUAAAAAGUCUUUGUUAUUGUGAAUAAUUAGUCAUGUAUGUUUAUCAAUUAUUUUCAACAAAUCAAUCAAAAAUUUAAAUAUAAAUAUCAAACAUACCUCUCAAAAGUAAUUAUUGAAUAUUUCUUGGGAUAAGGGCAAAUACUUAUGCGCUCUGAAAAUUUCAAUACUAUGACGAAGUCCAAAGCUAGUGGUAUGUAUCCUGAAAAAAAGAAGAAGAUAAUAUAUACAUUACAAACCGACCAAAUCAUUACACGUAAUUAUUUUCAAAUUUUGAAAUAAACUUGCCUUUUGUAGAAAGGUGGUGCAUAAAGGUGGAAAAUAAGUCUGCCUCCAUCUAUCAUACAUAUGGAUGAUAACAUUAAUAAAACAAUGGCAUUCACUUGUAAUACAUACAUAUGGAUGAUAAAAUUUGUAACAUUUUAGAUAUUAACUGUGAAAGAUGAAUAUGCCUCACAAUCAAAGAAAAAAGGGAAAAAAAAAUAAUUGCUGUGCGGUUAAGAAAAAAAAAAAACUGUUGUGUGGUUUAGGGAAAAAAUAAAUGUUGUGCGGUUAAGAAAAAAAAAAAACUAUUGUGCAGUUUAGAAAAAAAAAAAAACUGUCGUACGGUUAAGGAAAAAAAAAAUUGCUGUGCAGUUAUUUUUUGGUACGUGUAGUUAUGCUCUCUUAUAAUUACUUAAUGAUAAUGAUAAUAUAUAAAAUAUAUAUAAUGAUAAUAUAUAUAUAUAUAGAGUCUGGCUACUAUGCUAUCGGUAGCACGGAGCGCUCCGUGCUACCAAGUUGUUUUCGAUGAUGCAGCUUCCAAAUCGACGAUCGGCUCCGUUAGACUUGAUCUACACUAUUGAAAGUAUUUGGAAACUAAAUUUCANNNNNNNNNNNNNNNNNNNNNNNNNNNNNNNNNNNNNNNNNNNNNNNNNNNNNNNNNNNNNNNNNNNNNNNNNNNNNNNNNNNNNNNNNNNNNNNNNNNNNNNNNNNNNNNNNNNNNNNNNNNNNNNNNNNNNNNNNNNNNNNNNNNNNNNNNNNNNNNNNNNNNNNNNNNNNNNNNNNNNNNNNNNNNNNNNNNNNNNNNNNNNNNNNNNNNNNNNNNNNNNNNNNNNNNNNNNNNNNNNNNNNNNNNNNNNNNNNNNNNNNNNNNNNNNNNNNNNNNNNNNNNNNNNNNNNNNNNNNNNNNNNNNNNNNNNNNNNNNNNNNNNNNNNNNNNNNNNNNNNNNNNNNNNNNNNNNNNNNNNNNNNNNNNNNNNNNNNNNNNNNNNNNNNNNNNNNNNNNNNNNNNNNNNNNNNNNNNNNNNNNNNNNNNNNNNNNNNNNNNNNNNNNNNNNNNNNNNNNNNNNNNNNNNNNNNNNNNNNNNNNNNNNNNNNNNNNNNNNNNNNNNNNNNNNNNNNNNNNNNNNNNNNNNNNNNNNNNNNNNNNNNNNNNNNNNNNNNNNNNNNNNNNNNNNNNNNNNNNNNNNNNNNNNNNNNNNNNNNNNNNNNNNNNNNNNNNNNNNNNNNNNNNNNNNNNNNNNNNNNNNNNNNNNNNNNNNNNNNNNNNNNNNNNNNNNNNNNNNNNNNNNNNNNNNNNNNNNNNNNNNNNNNNNNNNNNNNNNNNNNNNNNNNNNNNNNNNNNNNNNNNNNNNNNNNNNNNNNNNNNNNNNNNNNNNNNNNNNNNNNNNNNNNNNNNNNNNNNNNNNNNNNNNNNNNNNNNNNNNNNNNNNNNNNNNNNNNNNNNNNNNNNNNNNNNNNNNNNNNNNNNNNNNNNNNNNNNNNNNNNNNNNNNNNNNNNNNNNNNNNNNNNNNNNNNNNNNNNNNNNNNNNNNNNNNNNNNNNNNNNNNNNNNNNNNNNNNNNNNNNNNNNNNNNNNNNNNNNNNNNNNNNNNNNNNNNNNNNNNNNNNNNNNNNNNNNNNNNNNNNNNNNNNNNNNNNNNNNNNNNNNNNNNNNNNNNNNNNNNNNNNNNNNNNNNNNNNNNNNNNNNNNNNNNNNNNNNNNNNNNNNNNNNNNNNNNNNNNNNNNNNNNNNNNNNNNNNNNNNNNNNNNNNNNNNNNNNNNNNNNNNNNNNNNNNNNNNNNNNNNNNNNNNNNNNNNNNNNNNNNNNNNNNNNNNNNNNNNNNNNNNNNNNNNNNNNNNNNNNNNNNNNNNNNNNNNNNNNNNNNNNNNNNNNNNNNNNNNNNNNNNNNNNNNNNNNNNNNNNNNNNNNNNNNNNNNNNNNNNNNNNNNNNNNNNNNNNNNNNNNNNNNNNNNNNNNNNNNNNNNNNNNNNNNNNNNNNNNNNNNNNNNNNNNNNNNNNNNNNNNNNNNNNNNNNNNNNNNNNNNNNNNNNNNNNNNNNNNNNNNNNNNNNNNNNNNNNNNNNNNNNNNNNNNNNNNNNNNNNNNNNNNNNNNNNNNNNNNNNNNNNNNNNNNNNNNNNNNNNNCUUCCAUAAGCAUUCUAGCCGCACUCUCUCUCUCUCUCUCUCUCUCUCUCUCUCUCUCUAUAUAUAUAUAUAUAUAUAUAUAUAUAUAUAGUUGAGCUGGAAUGCUAGUUUCAAUAGCAAACGAGCAUCUUCGCCACCUAUUUGUUUUUAAUGAUGGAGCCUCCAAAUCGACGAUUGACACCGUUGAAUAUGAUAUAUAUCACUUGAAGCAUUUAGAAACCAAAUUUCAAAUCUUUUCGACAUUAUUGACCUAUCGAUCAAAGGGUUUUAAAAUUUAUAAUUUUAAUGGUCAAUAUGAAGUGUUUUCUCGUUUAACGGCGUAAAAAUAUCCAAAUUAAUUGAAUUUUGGUUAGAAAAUUCUUUCAACUAUUUCAAACCAGAUCUAUACUCUAUCUUGAUCUUGAUUACAUGACUCUUAUCAUCACUUUUUAAAUAAUAUUUUUUUUCAGCCGUUCAUUUUUUGUGUCCACUUGAUGGACAAAAGAACGAUAUCGAAAAAACAUAAAUUUUGGUUUCUAAAUGCUUCAAGUGGUAUAGAUCAUAUUCAAGCCCAUCGUCGAUUUGGAGGUUUCAUCAUCGAAAAUAUAUGGGUGACAAUUGAACUGUUUGCUACCAAUAGCAUUCUAACUAGCUCAACUAUAUAUAUAUAUAGAGAGAGAGAGAGAGAGGUUUUAAAAUUUUGUGAUAAAGGCCAAAAAAUAAUUGGACCACACACACGCACACGUUGAUCACACGUUUUUUCUUUUUUAUUGCAAAGAAAAAGCAUUUGAUCAACGUGGCAUCGCAUGCAAGCUAGUGUGGCGAGCAUUGCGUCCACGGCAUGUCAAAGAGAUCCGAAAAUAAGUUUCAUGAGUUGCACGCCAAGUCACUAUUAAUUGGUUUCAUAGUAAAAUAUGGGUUUUUUUUUUCCCAUUUGUUCCCCUCAACAAAUUUUUUUCACAAAUAAUUCUACUAAUUUUAUAAUUGCAAUUUAAGAUUCUAUUCCCGCCACAUAAGCGACACAUCAGCACCACGCGAGCACGGGUGGAGGAUAUGGAAUAAGUUGAAUACGGUAAUCCAUUCAUUGUAUCUAGACAAGAUGAAUCAUUCACCGUGUCUAGACACGUUGAACAAUCAUUCACUGUGUUCAACUUAUUCCACAUCCACGACCCCUGCUCGCAUGGUACUGACGUGAUGCUUGCGUGGCGGGAAUAAGGUCUUAAAUUGCAAUUAUAAAAUCAAUGAGACUAUUUGUAAAAAUAAUUUUUUUGAGGGAAUUAAAUGCAAAAAAAGCCCUAAAAUAUAUAGAAUUGAGCUUUUAUGUUCUUAGAAGCACUAAAUUAUUGGUGCUCAUAGAUUUUCAGCAUUUGGAUAAAGAUUUGCAUGAUUAGAAUAAUAGUAGUUCCCUAACGUUGAGUUGGUGGUUAGUGGAAUAACAUAAUUUAAGAAAUGGAAUUGCUGACAGAGAUAAAUCUAACGGUGGAAAACUUACCGGCACCAACUGGUUUGUGCUUUUAAAAAGCAUCCGGACUCUAUGUAUAUAUAGAUUUGUUUAUUUGUCCGUAAAUAAUUUUUAGAUUAAAAAUAACUUCUAGUUAAAUUAAAAUUAAGAUAAAAAGUAAAGCUUUCAGAAGUAUUAUUUUUUAAAAAAUAGUUAUUUAGUAAAAAAAAAAACAGCAUUUAUUGGCCAAAAUGCUUCUUCAAACUGAACUGCAGUACUCCUAUAUAGCUUUGUUUGUAUGAUAAAUUGUCUUGGAAAAAUUCUUGUAGAUUCUACUCUAUAUUUGAAGUUUCAAGUUAGAUAAAUUGCUUAUAUGUACAAAUACAAGUUAAAUUAAAAUGGGUAAACUUCAAAUAUAUAUCCCCCCUGUCGUUUCACACUUUCUCACUUUAGUACCUUGUGGUUUAAAGUGUAUCAAGUUACCUCUUGUGGUGUUCGCACUUUUUCACUUUAGUACUCUGUGGUUUAAAGUGUAUCAAGUUAUUACUCUGUGGUUUUAUUUUUCUCUUUUUAUUACUCAUUUCACUAAUUUGUUUCGUUAAAUCAGUGAUAAAGUUAAAAUUAAAGGGUACUGAAAUAAAUAUUCGAUAAACCUAGAGAGAGUAUUUGAAGUUUUUUGUAUAUAAUUUAACGAAAUAUUAACAGAGGAAAAAAAAUAAGUGCAGAGUUAAAACUAAAGGAUAAUAAAGUAAAUUUUCGAUAAAUCUAGGUAGGGUAUCUGAAGUUUUUUGUAUGUAAUUUAACGAAAUAUUAACAGAGGAGCCGACGAAAAGAGAAAAAUAAAACCACAGGAUACUAAAUUGAUGUACUUUAAAUCACAGGGUACUAAAGUGAGAAAGUGCGAAACCACAGGGUACUAAAUUGAUACACUUUAAACCACAGGGUACAUAAGUAAAAAAGUGCGAAACCACAUGGAUGGUAUUUGAAGUUUUCCCAAUUAUAAAUGAAAGAUCCAAGAAUCAGUUUUAGGCAUGUUCCUUUACUACUAAUGUUCGCGUAACAAAAAAACAAAAGAUUAUCCUUUCCAAUUGAAACGAAGUUCACAUAGUCUUGAGUAAGGUUUUAAAAUUUAGAAAGCCACCUCUGUUGGCUUAAAGAGGCCACCAUUCUGUCCGACGGCGGAAGGUAAGGUGGAAUCGAGUUAUUCUCGAAAUGGCGGAAGACUGAAUUGGGUCAAGUCACAAUCGAGAUUCAUGAGCGCAGUAUUUGUACGCUUUAAGUUAAAUUAAUUACAUUUUUUUACCAACUCAAGCUUUUAAAAUUAUUAAUGAUUAGUGCCAACGAUCCUACAGUCCGUAAAUACUAAGUUUAGAUAGGUCUUGUAAAAUGAAUUAUCCUAUUUGUUGCAUGAUGACAUACAUAUAGUACAACAAUUUGAGAAUUUUGGGAAGAAGAUCGAGCAUACACAUGUAUUUUUCGAGUUGUUCAUCAAACAUACACAUGUAUGUAUAAAAUUUGCUAUCGAGAUGGAGACAAUCCUUGCAAAGUAGAGCAUGUAGAGAGCAAGUAAUACGAACAUACAGUUACAGCAGGCCCUUACAACGAAACUGUGUAUUUAUUAGAGCAAUAGUCGGUCGAGAGCCUGCAGUUGCGUACUAUUAUUACGGAGCUUUCGUUGUUCUCUGACAAGCAGGCUGGAAGGCAGGGCGGAUGGAAGUAAGGCCGAGAGGCUGUUCAAAGAUUACUUUUUCGCCUUCGCUACUUGGAUUACUACAUUUCUCUGAUGAGAACAAAUAUUGCUGGAUCAAACAGUGCUGGAAAUUUUUUUUUUUCAAUAAUAAAUAUUGUUGCAAUUGAUAUUUUAGGGUAAGCAAAAAUCAUUGUGAAUUGUUGCUUUAAAUUUAUAGUAAUUAUAAUGUUUAAAUAAUAUAAUUUGUAUUAUCACAGCUGCACAAACUGUUGUAAUGAAAUAUAUUUUGCGAUAAUUCAAUUUCUGAUGUGAUUAGAUUGAUGUAAUAUGGAAGAAAAAAAAAAAAAGAAAAGGCUAAAUUACAGAAAACCUCCUGUCAAAACCCGAUUUUUUAUUUUAAAUUCCACUCCUGUCAUUUAAAAACCUACACUCUGCCCUCUUGUAAAAUAAAAAAUAUUAAUAAGGGGUACAGUGUGAACUGUAAUGAUAAAAUGAUUAUUUUACCCCUCACUAUUUUGCCCCUCACUAUGUUCACAGGAAAGAAGGCUGAGGGCAUUUUUGGCAUAAAAAUUAUAUAAUAAUAUUUUAUAAACGGAAACCUAACGGAUUACUAACGGCUGUGGGCGAAGUGAAUAUUUUUUAUUUUAUAAGGGGGCAAAGUGUAGGUUUUUAAAUAACAGGAAGGAAAGUGAAAAAUCGGGUUUUGAUAGGAAGGUUUUAUGUAAUUUAGCCAAAAGAAAAUAUGUAUACUUUGUUCGGAUAAAAAAAAAAUGAUAAGACUAGUGUGGAUUAUCUCCAUUCUAAUUAAUUAAUGAAAUAUUAGAUAUGAAUUCAUGAUAUAACGUAUAGCCAAUUUCCAACAUGCAUUAUUUUCUUAUUCUAUUAAAGUAAAAAAAGUAUAGAAUUUAUCUGCACUAUAGAUUAUUUUGAUUCGACUGCUCUACCAUUCAAAAUUUUAAUCCCACUACUCACCCCUUUGAUUUAAUUGAUUUAAAUCAUUUAGCAGCUUCUUCGAUACAAAAUUUAAACUAAUUGCUUAUUUUAAUAAAUUUAUAGUUGCAUGAAUUGCUAAUUAAAUCUAUAAAUAUAAAUUACAUUUUUAAAUUUUGAAGCUAAGGAGUCAUUAACUCUCUCGAAUUAAAUAAUUAAAAUAUUAGAUUGUAAAAUAAAAUUUUUUAAAGGUGAGAUAGUCAAAUAAAAAUGAGUGAAUCAUUGAGGCAAGCUAUAUAUAUUUUGAGCUAGGCUUGUGUGUUUUUAGAAAUAUGGUGGUUUUUAUUCUAUCAAUUCGUUUUCAAUGUUGAGAUUUCCGAAUUGAUGAUCGGCUUUGUUAGGCCUGAUUUAGAGCAUUUGAGGUACUUAAAAAAUAAAUUUCGUAAUUUUUUGAUAUCAUUUACCUAGUGAAUAAAAGCGCCUAAAAUCAAUAUUUAAUGGUUGUUACGAGCUGUUUGCAAAUUUAUUAGUGUAGAAAUAUCAAAUCAUGUGAAAUUUUAAUAGAAAAUUUUUUAUGCUAUAUAAAACAAGAUCAAAUUUCUUGAUCUAAAAUUUUAGUGUCAUACCAUCACUUUUUAUGAGAUUUUCUAUUUUUAAUGGUUGAUUUUGAAUUCUUUCAAUCAUUAGGUAAAUGAUUGUCGAUUCGGAAGUCCUAACAUCGAAAAUAACUUGAUAGCAUGGAGGCACCUAUCCUUCUAAAAGUAUGAAAGCUAGACUCAUACAUUUUUGCCUUCAAUUAAUAAAUCUAUACAGAAAAUCAUCGUAUAUCUUGCAGUAAAAAAGAUGAAACAAAACAAAAGAAUAAUAUCUAAUAUGCCAUUCGAAACUUCAUAAGUAUCUCAUUCACUUCUAGAGGACCAAAAUACCUUUACUAAAUUUAAAAAAUUCCAAAAUAUUCUUAUUUUUCCUAAGGUUUACUAAUAGAAUUGGAUUUUAGUAGGGUAUUUUAGUAAUUUUAGAAUAAUUUUAAAAAUUUUGAAUAGUAGUAAAGGGUAAAUAAGCAAAAGCCUCAAAACAGAAAGACCUACUGAUUGUGCUAGGGAUAGUUGGCGAAGGCGGAAAUCGCGCCACAGCUGUAGGGAUGAGGGCAUUGGUGACAAUGAGGAAGAUGGUGGUGAAGGUGAAUAAGAACUUUAGAGCCAUUGUUGCUCUCUCUUAAUUUCUUUGUUGGAUGUUCAUCCAAUUCAUCCUAACAUGCACUAUUUAUAGGCUUCAUGUAGAUUUUGAGUUGUUAAGCAUAUGAUUGUAGCAAACAUCCCUGAGAAGAAUCAAUAUCUUGUAGCCUUUACCGUACAAUUUUGGUCAAGUGAAAAAUCAAGUUUUCGUUCGGAAUAUAUAUCUCAUUUAAAUUUUUUGUUCUUGAGUGAUAUAAUAAGAUUGGUGGCACGGGUCUAUUAGGACUCUGUUUGGAAAGAUAAAUUUUUUGGUUUUUUCGGAGGUUCGACCAAAAUUAUCGCAACUUAAUUGCCGGAUUGGAUUCAAGUUUAUUGAAAGAGUUGGACUAGAGAUUCGAAUUGUAGAGGUUAUAAAUAUUGUGAACACCGACCGUCCCUAGAGUAAGUACCAUAAGGGUUUGAUAAUUGGUAUCCGAGGUCCCAAGUUCGAAUCCUAAUUGAUUCACAUUUCCAGCUAAGUUUAUUUCUAAAUGAAAUAAACGAAGUGGGUAGCAUGCUACCUAUCUCUCAAAAAAAAAAAAAAAAAAUUAUUGUGAAAUAGAUGGACCUUAUGGCUCAGAACAGCCUAGCCAUGAUCUAAACCCUCUCUGUUCAGGUUGUGACCGCCGUAACUUUACUCUUCAAUGCCGUUUUUAGGCCCCUUCAAUUUUGUGUCUAAAAUGUAAGUUUCAGUUAUCUUUUUAAGGAUAAGAAGGUGACACUUGUUUAUAUUAAACUUUAAGAGCUUGUUUGGUUCAUCCAUUUUAAAUUCUGGAAUCGAAAAAAGAUUCAUUGAUUUCGAUAAAUGUUGUUUGUGUUACAAGAAUCAGAUUCUGAUUUCUAUUAUGCUCUAGAAUGAGAAUGCUUGAUUCAUUUAUAGCGCAACCAGCUUGUUUGGUUCAUCCAUUUUAAAUUCUGGAAUCGGAAAAAGAUUCAUUAAUUUCGAUAAAUGUUGUUUGUGUUAUAAGAAUCAGAUUCUGAUUUCUAUUAUGCUCUAGAAUGAGAAUGCUUGAUUCAUUUAUAGCGCAACCUAGUUUUGGAUUCUAUAAUGGCCUAUUACAAAGUAAAUCACUCAAAACCCUCUCACAACCAUCUCUCCUUCUCUCCUCUCAUCACUCUCCUAUCUUUUAACUAAAACUCCUCUCUCAAAGUCCCGGGAAUCCCAAUUAUUCAUUCCGAUUUCCAUUCCAAUAAUAAACCUGUUGGAAAAUCUUUAUGAUAUUUUAUUACAAUAUUCUUUAGAAACCAAUUCGAAAAUUUAAUUUCAGGUUUAGGUAGUAUCCUUGUUUUAUUUAUUAAUUAAUUAAUUUACUUAUUGAUUUUUUAAAUCGGUUGGUGCUAAUUGAGGUGGCUUGGAUGCCACGUCCACCCGUGCAUGCUAAUUAAGGUGGCUUGGAUGCCACGUGCACCCAUGCAUGCUUAUCAACAAAAUCAGGUGGGCAUUGCCUAAUUUUUUUACUUCUCUCUUUGUUCGACCGAAGCAAAGAGCUCGGUGGAGGUAGCCGCGAGCACGAGUUCGACGCCGACGACGCGCCGCGAAGCCGUUCAAGGGUACGGUUGGGAUCGUAGCGCUGCGAGGAAGCUAGGCGAGGGUGCGUUUUUGCCGUUCUCGACGCCGUGUCGCUGACCGAUUAGCCGUUGAGGUGAGCGUUCCGUUGCGUUGCUUCAAGUAUUAUCAUUUCGAGCUUGGUGCUGAUUUGCAGAAUUUUCAGCGUCGACCGUCGGUAUUUCAGUUCGCACUCGGCGUAGGAGCGUCGGUUUUCGACGGGACUUGGUUCGUUGGAUUCGGGACUUCAAGAGGAAUCCAUGAAGCCCUUACUUGCUGGAUUUGGUGGAGGUUAACUUGGUCGAAUCUUUGUUGUACCUUGCUGCUGUGAUUCCUGGACUGAAACGGUGAAUUUUGUUGCGUAGAGCUCGAGCUUAGACGAUUCCUGAACUCGGAGGAGUGUGAUUGACCCAACAGGUGGUGUCGCAGCUGGGAGAGUGUUCCGCUGCCAGGGAUUAGCGUGCGAGGUGGGUUAAUCAUCGGCUUACUCCUAAGUGCUUAUAUAGUCGACAUGUAUUAGAGGAAUUAUUUUUGCGUAUCGCAAUUGCUCGGUUCAUUGUUCUAGUCUUGUUAAUAAUCUGAAUUGGAGCCUUGGUUAUUAUCUUGGGAUAUAUAUAUAUAUAUAUAUAUACAUGUUGGAUUUGGAUGAGACUUAGGAGAAAACUUGCGAUUAUGAUCGUUAUAUGUUUAAACUACCUGAUUUAGCCCUAGGGGCCGUUGGAUAUUUUUGUAUCGUCGCAGUAUUGGUGCGAUGGAUACCUCAGGUAGUUUAGAUUUCAGUUACGCUCGUGCUGGGAUGCGGAGUCUAUUUUUACAGUAGUGUUUAGACUGUUCCGGACUAUUGGGUGUCGUCGGGGUUGACGGUGGACCCGGUUUGCCAUUGUGGCAUCAGAUUGUGCCGAGGACACGUGACUUGGUGGUUGUUAGACCAGUUAGACCCAGUUACUUUGACUUUAGCCUGCGGGAGCCUGAUUGAGCUCGACAGAGACACGCUUGCAUACUCGGUUGCGUAGCGCCCACGAGUACCACUCCGGAGUCUGGUUUUGUGCGUUCGCGUUGGUGUCGUUGCGUCCUUUCUGGACUUGCUCUCCACGGACUAAUUAGUGGUGGAGGUAGCUUAGCUUGGGCAGGCGGGACGGGUGUGUUCAUAGUCCCUAGUGAGAUUGGGUCUGGUUUUUACAGUUGGCUAGUAUAGGGCAGGAUAGUGUAGUGAGUGUAGCUGUAGAUUCUUUUCCAGCUUUUCCUACUAUCUUGCUUACCCCUGUAGACUUAGUGGGUGGACCGAUAAUUGUUGAGGGCGGCACCCACUGAGGACUACUUGUGUUUUACAGUAGUUCUCACGCCCAGUUGUUACAUAUGUUUUGUAGAGCCAUCAUCUUCGGCUGCUGCGGUUGCUGAGCAGGAUCGAGACAAGGGCGUCGCGAGUUAGAGCCCUACCCGACGAGCCGAGCUAGAGGUGCCCUACAGCAGGUAGUUAUUUUUGUUGGAGUUUAUGUACAUUGAGUGGUUUAACUCGCCAAUGCGAGUAGUCUUGUAUUUUGAAUUUGGCUUAUGUAUAUGGAACUCAGUUGUUUUAGUUACUGUUACUUUUAGCAGCUCUAUACUACUGUUUGUAGUAUUGUAUAUUUAUCUACAGGUACAGCUGUCGUUUCGUACACAGAAAAAAUUUCUUUGUAUACGGCGGAUUUGUCGGCGUGCCCGGGGAACGUGCAAUCCGGGGCGUGACAGAAAAAUUUCGAAACGAAAUUAAAUAACAAACACUGUAAAGAAAAGGUUUAGAUAAGGCAUGUGGAUCGAGGCGUGCAGAACACUGUCCUAGAAUCGAAAUUGUCCCUCCACGUGCGAGGCUUCCCGGCAAUUACUUCUAGCGAUACAACGACCAUGUUCCACUCUAUCGGCACGUUUCAAGGUGGCGCAACACAAAUCCAACAAGCUUCAGAUCCAGCAAAGAAAAACUUGGCGAAAAUGAUUAAUUGCGAGAAAGCAGGAAAAGACGAGAGGGUUUAGGUAUGCUCAGGAUUAGGAUAAAGAUAAAGAUAAAAAUUAAAAUAAAGAUAAAACCUAAAAAAUAAAAUAAAAUAAACCGGGUGUAUAGACCGCACACGUCGCCACCCGGCUCGGCACGUACUCAUGCCGUGCGUGUUUAAACGAGAGCAUAACUCUCAUUUUCUUUCAAGCAACUAGCUUGAGAAUAAAGGAAUAUAUAAACUCCAUCAACACCCUUUUAGUUUCCAAUGUGGGACUAAACCUCACACAUGAAAAUUUUAGUUGGGCUACUAAGCAAGGCCCAGUAAUAAUUAUUGGGCUUCUAAGAGGCCUUAACAAGUUUUAAAUCACAAAAACUCAAUAAAACCCAAUAAAAUCCACUAAAACCUGUUGGCACAUAAAAUUAUGGUGCGAGCCGGUAACUUUGUUAGCUAAUUCGUGAAUUAUUUGCGAAUUAUUGAAAAUCUGAAUUAAACGGUCCGUUUACGAAUUUUUUCUAAAGAAAAUAAAUUAUUUGCGAAUUUUUGGGCCAGCUGAAUAAUUUGCGAAUUACUUCCGGAUUAUUAAAAAUCUGAAUAAAAAAUUUAUAAUUUUUAUAUUUAAAUAUAGAUUAUCUUAUAUUUUAUAUUUUAUACCGAAUCCUUUUUUAAGUCAAUUUUUUUAACGAAUUUAAAAAUUAGGAAACAAAUUUUAUAGGUAUUAUAUCCCUACCGAAUUUUUACGGAAUCCGAAUUAACUAUGGCCGGUAAUCUAUUUGAUUCACGUGGUCAAAUAAGAAAGUGACAUAUAAUAGUCCUAGCACCUAGAAAAGUGAGUCCAAACCCAAGUAAGGCUUCGUUUGGGAAUACGGGGAGAUUGCGUUACGUCCAGUGAGAAAGUACGUUGAAAAAAUACUAUGUUUGUUUCCGUACGUAAUAUUGCGUUCCGCAUAUCGCAAUGAGUCGGAUACGAUAUAUUUUUUGCGGUCCCACCGGAGAACGUAGAAGCAUACCCCUAUAUGCUUUUUCCUCAACUCUAUUUUAUCUAAUAGGGUUAGAUAGAUCUCAAUACCAAACUAAGCCUAAGUUUUGGGCGAGAACGGUUGGAAGCAUGGGAGGCAGUUGCACAAUCAAAGAGCAAGCCAAAGUACGUACUUUUGGUAUAGCAACCACCGUUUAAUAACUGUAAGGCAACUAUGAUAGAUCUUUAUAGGUAAGUAAAAUAAGAAGAAAAUUAAAUAAAUAUUAAAAUCGAGAAACAAAAUAAAAUAACGUGACUCACAAAGCGCCAUAGAUAAGAAAAUCUUGAUCAAUCUGCGGAAGCAAGAAGUUUGGCUAAUUUAGUUUUUUCUUCUAUCUCAGGCACUCUUCUGUAUGGUAUGGAACCGAUGGUAAUUCUUCACUAGAAUGUAUAUGAGAAAGUGGCAGGACCAAUACCUCUUUAUAUAGAGUCCAAAUCGACUUUCCAUCAAGCCUGAUUAGGAUUUUAUUUAAUUUAAAUAGAUGUGAUAUGAAUAAAAUAUAGCAUAUCAAGUAGUUCUAUAUUUAUUAGGAUUGAUCUUUAUCUAUAGUAAAUCUAAAUUUAAAUAUGAUUAAUUGGGCCACAUUUUAUGAAAAACCUAACAAACUGAACAUAAGAAUAGUGCUAUAAAUAGAAGAAGGUUGUUUGCAAUACAGAUCUUUUCUCGAAAACAAGACCACUAUUUUUUAAUUUUAUUUUAAUUUUCUGUAUUUUAGAGUCUUUCUAGGAAUAGUUGUUUUUUCUAGUUUUAACCUAGCACCUGUAAACACAAUGCUUUUUGUUGAAGAAACUAAUGAAGUCAGUUUAGUUCGGCUCCUAGUUUCAGCUGACUUUUCAUGAAGUUCUUAUUUUCCACUCAACCCAAAAACUUUUAUUUCUGAGUAGGAACCCAAUUGUGAGUGGAUCCCAUCUCAACUGAUUGCUUGACUUAGGUUUCGUUUGGGAUUGCAGGGGGAUUGCGUUACGUGCGGUGAGAAACGACGAUGGAAAAAUAUUCUGUUUGUUUCCGUACGUAAUAUUGCAUUCCGCAUAUUACGGUUAGUCAGUUAUAAUAUAUUUUCUGCGGUCCCAUCAGAGAACGCAGAAGCAUAGCUCUCUAUACUUUUUCUUAACUCCAUUUUAUCUAACAGCGUUAGAUUGACCUCAAUACCAAACUAAGCCUUAAAGAAAGCCAUCAACCGAAGGUCAUAUUCACAGCCGAAUUACAACUAGGGAUGGUAAUCUAGCUCACGGUUCACGAGCUAGCUCGUGUUCGGCUUGAAAUGAGCUCAAGAUCGAAUCGCUCGUUUAGUAAAUGAGCCGAAUACGAGCUGAAUUUUUCAGCUCGUUUAAUAAACGAGCCAAACACGAGCUGGGUCAGCUCGCUAGUAUUCGGCUCGAUAACAGCUGGAAUACAUAUAUUUUAUAUUUAUAUAAUUUAUUUAAUUUAUAUUUAUAUAUAUAAAUAAAUAAUUAUAAAUAUAAUAUAUAUUUUUAUUAUUUGAUUUUUAGUAAAAUAAAAAUAUAAAGGCGAGCUCAAUUAUAAAAAGACUCAUUUAUAUGUAAAGUUUCAACCAUUAGAUUAAAGUCUAAUGGAUAAGAUUUUAUAAAUUUAUUUUUUAUACAUAUCCAAUAUAAUUCUUUUAACUUAUUAUUCAUUGGCUAGCUCGUGAGCCAUCUCGUGUUCGGCUCGUUUAUUAAUGAGUUGAACAUGAGCUGAAUUUUUCGACUCGAUACUUUAACAAGUUAGCUCGUGUUCAACUCGUUUAUUAUUAAACAAGCUGAAUACGAGCCGGCCCUAGCUCGCUUGUGUUCGGCUCGUUGACACCCCUAGUGUAAUAUCCUAGGUUGAAAUGGAGUUGGUAAAAAGGGCCUAUAUUUUUUUUUACCAAACCUUAUCAGCUCCACCGCCUAUACUUUUACCCAUCCUUAUAUUGUUCACCACGUUAUAUAGAGGUGGCAUGCAGGAGCUUUGUUGUAGCCUAAUUAAUUAACUCUCUCUCUAGGUUGAAGUGGAAAGCGUGGUGGAGCUUCCAGGUGGAGUCGAAUCGACGCCGACGUCGCGCCGGGAAGCCGUGGAGCCGUUCGAGCGCGCGUUUGUUGCCGUAGCAUCGCGAGGAGGCCGGGCGAGGGUGUGAUUCCGCCGUUCUCGACGUCGCGCAGGAUUGGAUUUAGCGGUCGAGGUGGGUUUACAUCGGUUUAUUUCUAAGUACCGUAAUCGUCGACAUGUAUGAUUUUUCAGUUUCGGUUAUCACGUUGUAGCUUGAUAUUCGUGAUGCUAUCCUGGAUAAAAUCAGUAUUGAGAACAUGACUAGUAAAUCUUAAAUGUACAUGUUGGACUGGGAUUUGACUUAGGAGAAAACACGAUUGGAAUCGUCAUAUGCUUAAACUGUCUGAUUUAGCUCUAGGAGCCGUUAUUAAAUUGUACUGUUGCAGUAUCCUCGAGACGAGUACUCCAGGUGGUUUAGUAUACAUUUACGCUCGUGCUGGUAUGCCGAGUGGAUUUUUACAGUGUUGUUCAGGUUGUUCCGGAGGGGCUGUGGUGUGCCGCAGCGUGACGGUGGCCCUAUGUCUUUUUGCCGUCAGAUUGUGCUGAGGGCACGUUACUUGUUUGGUAUUAGACCAGUUAGAGUCGAUUUAUUGACUUUGGCUUUUCAGAGCCUGUUUGAGCGUCGACAGAGAUACGCCUGCAUACUCGGUUGGUAGCGCCCACGAGUGCCACUCCGGAGUCAGGCUUUGUUGCUUUCGCGUUGGUGUCGCUCAUGCCGGUUGGACUUGCUCUUCACGGACCAGUUGUGUGGAUAGAGCCUGAUAGUCGCAACGGGGCAGGGACGGGUGUGUUCACAGUCCCAGGGACGGGUAUGCUUACAGUCCCGAUUGGAUUGGGUCAGAUUUAACAUUUCCUACAGCUGGUUAGUGUAGAGCAUGAUAGUGUAGUGAACGAUAGCGGUAGAGUUUACUUCCUGCUUUCCUGACUAUUCUUGCUCCCUCAUGUAGACUUAGUGGGUGGACCGAUGUUGUUUUGGGCGGUACCCACUGAGAACUACUUGUUUUUACAGUAGUUCUCACGCCCAGUUGUUACUCCUGUUUUGCAGAGCCACAGGUUUCAGCUGCUGCGCCUUCCGCGGAUCAGGAUCGAGGCAAGGGCGUCGCGAGCUAGAGCCCUACCCGACUGACAGAGCUAGAGGCACCCUACUGCAGGUAGUUGUUUUACUUCGAGCUUAUGUACAUAGUACUUAACUCGCCAGUGCGAGUAACGCUGUAUUUUGGAUUCUGAACUAUGUAUAUGAAGCUCAGUUGGUUUAGCUUUUGUUUAUUGAGCAGCUCUAUGCUACUGUUUGUAGCAUUGCAUAUCUACAGGGUACCUUUGACACUUCGUAUACAGGGAAAAUUCCUUUGUAUACGGCGGAUUUGUCGGCGUGCCCGGAGGAACGAGACAUCCGGGGCAUGACAGAUUAAGUUGGUAUCAGAGCGUUGCUAUAGGUCGUUGGGACCUAGGAAACCUAAGUUUGGCAAACCUUAGGAAAGCAUGACGCGGGAGGCGUAAUUUAUUGCGAAAGUCAAUGAUUAUUUGUUCUAACUCCUCCUAGAGUGGGGUGAGUGAUCGAAGGAGUUCCUGUUUUGGCCUGAGAAAUUAUGUUGGCUGCAGACGAUAUAAUUUUGGAGGAAAACAGGGACCGCCUUCUAGACUUUCGUUGAUUGGGUCGAGAGUGUUUUGUUGUAUCUGACCCCGAUUUGUCCCUUUCAGCUAUGUAUCGUCGCCGAGGUCGACCGUCGUUGCGAGAGCGUGCCCAGUUGGCACGGGAUCGUGCGGGAUCCCCUGAGAGACCUGAGCAGAUGGAGCAGAGUACUCGACAGGAGCAGGGUGACAGACCGGAGGCGAGUGCACCCCCUGUGGUGGAGCCGAGUGCGCGACCUGAGGCUAGCGCACCCCCGGAUCUGAGUGCACAGUUGGCUGCCCUGACUGAGGUGACGAGGCAGCAGGGGGAGUUAUUGCAGAGGUUGUGUGAGAGGAUAGCUCAGCCACCGAGUUCAGCACCGAGAGUACCAGAGUCGCCAGUGCCACCCCGACUACUCCAGUGACCGCACCAGCUGCAGCAGUUCCUCCGUCGGCAGCAGUUCCAGUAGCUCCAGUUGCGCCUGCUAGGGGGCCAGUACCGUUGACUGAGGCCGAGCAGGAGCGGUGGACGGAGAGGUUAGCUCGUUUUCGGCGAUUUGACCCACCGAUCUUUGAUGGCAGCGGCACUGAGGCCUGGAUUGUUGAGGGAUGGGUCAGUGCGAUGGAGAGGUUAUUUGAGGAUCUGUUCGUUCUAGAGGGGGAGCAGGUACCACUAGGAGUACACUGUUUGUCAGGUGAUGCACGUGAUUGGUGGCGGAGAGCGAGGCGAGACCAGGGACUGGUGGCGGCGCAGCUGAGGUGGGAUGAGUUCUGUGGAAUGCUGUAUGGGAUGUAUUUUCCCAACAGCAUGAAACAGAAAAUUGAGGAGGACUUGAAGAGGAUCCAGCAGGGCGAGCGGACAGUUCAGGAGUAUGUUCGGGAGUUUACUAGACUCCUGAACUGUGUUCCGUUUGUAGCCAGAGAUGAGGCACAUAGGGUCUAUUUGUUCGAGCAGGGUUUGAGACCCGAUCUAUUCAGGUUCGUCAGGGCGCAGAGGUCGAGGACUUUGGAUGCGUCCAUUGAGCAGGCAUUAUGGGAGGAGAGAGGAGAGGUGUCGCUGCGGGAGAGGGCUCAGGGGCCGGGACAGAGUCAGGACAGGAAGCGCCCAGCUCCAGACGACGGAGGUCAGUCGAGUAGCAGGCGUCCGCCGAGGCCUCCACGAUCGCGUUCACAGGGUCGUGGGUUCUCGGGGCGUCAGCGAUCCAGGGACUCUCGUCAGAGGGGACAGCCUGAGAGGACGCCGCAGUGUGUGAUCUGCGGAGGACCACACUGGCCCAGACAGUGUGAGCAGAGGGAGGGCCGGUGCUACGGGUGUGGUCAGCCGGGACACAUGAGGGCAGCUUGUCCCCGAGCAGCAUCGCCAGCACCAUCAUCAGCUUCAGCUCCACCAGCACCUCAGCAGACUUACAGAGCAGCACCGAGUUACCGCCAGGAGGAUAGGUCGUCCAUGCCGCGACAGGGUGAGCGGCGACAGCAGGCUCCGAGUGGCAGAGUCUAUGCAGCUCAGGUGGAGGACUCUACAGCAGCCGACCGAGUAGUGGCAGGUAUCACUUUGAUUUCUGGCAUUAGAGUUCGCACUCUUUUUGAUACUGGUGCAUCGCAUUCCUUUGUUAGCCGAGCAUUUGCAUUGUUGCAUGGUCUAGAGUUAGGGGCAUUGUCACAGGCACGAGAGGUGCAGAUCCCGGACCAUGUUUUACAGGUUGCAGAGUGUUGUUGGUCGUGUCCGGUGCAGUUGGAUUCGUGGGUCAUGCCCGCAGACCUGUUGGUGCUAGGGCAGCUGCAGGACUUCGACGUUGUGCUCGGUAUGGAUUGGCUGGCGCGGUACUAUGCUACUAUUGAUUGUGGAGCGAGGACUGUGACGUUCCGCGAGCCAGGCCAGGAGGAGUUUACUUUUAGAGGCUGCAGGAGCACGCUGUUUGCCACCUGGAUAUCUUCGGCGAGGGCUCGACAGAUGCUGAGUAGCGGGUGUAUCGCUUUCCUAGCGACUGUUGUGGAGGUACCUACGGCGGCGCCGGGACUUGAGGACAUCCCAGUAGUCCGCGAGUUUCCGGAUGUAUUUCCCCCUGAGUUGACUACGUUGCCGCCGGAGAGGGAGAUUGAGUUUGUGAUUGAUGUAGUUCCUGGAACUGCACCAAUCUCAAAGGUACCUUAUCGGAUGGCGCCGGCAGAGCUGAGAGAGCUAAAGGCACAGCUUCAGGAUUUGAUGGAUAGAGGGUUUGUGAGACCCAGUGUGUCGCCUUGGGGAGCGCCGGUGUUAUUUGUAAAGAAGAAGGAUGGUUCGCUCAGGUUAUGUGUGGAUUACCGGGAGCUGAAUAAAGUGACCAUCAAGAAUAAGUAUCCCUUGCCGCGCAUUGAUGAUUUGUUUGAUCAGCUGCAGGGAUCUUAUGUCUUCUCGAAGAUUGAUCUCCAGUCAGGUUACCACCAGCUGAGGGUGAGGGCCGAGGAUGUUCCCAAGACGGCUUUUCGGACUCGGUACGGGCAUUAUGAGUUCACGGUGAUGCCUUUUGGAUUGACGAAUGCCCCUGCCGCAUUCAUGGAUUUGAUGAACAGAGUGUUCAAGCCGUUCUUGGAUAGGUUUGUGGUAGUCUUCAUCGACGAUAUCCUGAUUUACUCCCGGAGUGAUGCUGAGCAUGAGGAGCACUUGAGGAUUGUGCUACAGCUUCUGCGCGAGAAGAAGUUGUAUGCCAAGUUAAAGAAGUGCGAGUUCUGGCUACGGGAGGUUGCUUUCUUGGGCCACGUGAUUUCAGCUGAGGGCGUAGCAGUGGACCCGAAGAAGAUUGAGGCGAUUCGAGAUUGGCCUAGACCGACGACGGUUACUGAGGUACGGAGCUUCCUGGGACUGGCAGGAUAUUACCGUCGGUUUGUGGAAGGCUUUGCGAAGCUUUCCACACCCCUCACACGCUUGACGCGGAAGGGGAUUCGUUUUGUCUGGAGCGACGACUGUCAGAGGAGCUUUGACGAGUUGAGAUUGAGGUUGAUGUCGGCUCCUAUCCUUGCCCUUCCUGUUAUGGGCGAAGGAUUUGUGAUCUACAGUGAUGCAUCGCACAGUGGACUUGGUUGCGUGCUGAUGCAGCAUGGUAGGGUGAUUGCUUAUGCUUCACGGCAGUUAAAGGAUUAUGAGAAGAAUUACCCUACGCAUGACUUGGAGCUUGCCGCGGUGGUUUUUGCUUUGAAGCUCUGGCGGCAUUACUUGUACGGCGAGCACUGCGAGGUUUUCACCGAUCAUCAAAGUCUCAAGUAUCUGUUCACACAGAGGGAGCUGAAUCUGAGGCAGCGCCGGUGGUUGGAGUUACUGAAGGACUAUGACAUUAGUAUUCAGUAUCAUCCCGGCAGGGCGAAUGUGGUGGCAGAUGCGUUGAGCAGGAAGUCAGUGCAGAGCCUGAGUUUGAGGAUUACUGAGCAGAGACCCCUACUCGAGGAGCUACAGCGGCUGGGACUCGAGAUAGUACCCCCUGGGUCUACGGCGAGGCUGACGUCUCUAGUUUUACAGCCCACUCUGUUGGAUAGGAUCCGAGAGAAACAGAGUGGAGAUCCGUACUUGUUGAGGAUUAGAGAGCAGCUAGACAGGGGGCAGGCUGAGGGUUUUGCUUUGGACAGUUCGGGAGUACUACGGUACAGGGACCGACUGUGUGUGCCUGUGGAUCCGGAGAUUCGAGCGGAUAUUCUGAGAGAGGCUCAUUGUUCCCCUUAUACGGUUCACCCUGGGGGAACCAAGAUGUAUAAGGAUCUUAAGGCACGGUUCUGGUGGCCUGGAAUGAAGAGGGACAUUGGCAGAUUUGUGGCUCAGUGUUUGACUUGCCAACAGGUGAAGGCCGAGCAUCAGGUGCCUGCUGGCAAGCUUCAGAGUCUGCCAGUUCCCGAGUGGAAGUGGGAGCACAUCACGAUGGACUUCGUCGUUGGAUUGCCUAGAGCGCAGGGUGGCUACGACGCGAUUUGGGUGAUAGUGGACAGACUGACCAAGUCUGCUCACUUCCUACCGGUUCAGACUACUUGGUCCAGGGAGAGACUCGCGCAACUAUACUUGGAUGAGAUCGUUAGGCUGCACGGCGUGCCUGUGUCGAUCAUAUCAGACAGAGACCCGAGGUUUGUAUCCUAGUUUUGGAGGAGUCUUCAGACCGCCUUGGGCACUCAGCUGCAUUUUAGCACGGCGUUCCACCCACAGACAGAUGGUCAGUCAGAGAGGACCAUAUAGACUCUAGAGGACAUGCUGAGGGCAUGCGUCCUGGAUUUUAGAGGAGGGUGGUAUCGACAUGUGAGACUGGUUGAGUUUGCGUACAACAACAGCUAUCAAACGAGCAUUCAGAUGACUGCGUUUGAGGCGUUGUAUGGACGCAGAUGUCGAUCCCCUCUGUUUUGGAGUGACGUGGGUGAGCGGAGGACACUUGGACCAGAGAUUCUACUUGAGGCUGAGGAAAAGGUGAGAGUCGUUCGACGACACCUUUUGACAGCACAGAGCAGGCAGAGGAGCUAUGCCGAUACCAGGAGACGAGACUUGGAGUUCCAGGUUAGAGAUCAUGUUUUUCUCAAAGUCUCGCCGUCCAGAGGGAUACGCCGAUUUGGAGUACGUGGAAAGCUUAGUCCACGGUUUGUUGGCCCUUUCGAGGUAUUGGAGCGUAUCGGACCGGUUGCUUACAGGAUAGCUCUACCUCCACGACUUGCUGGCAUCCACGAUAUUUUCCACGUCUCAGCAUUGAGGAGAUACGUCUUCGAUCCCUCUCACGUGAUUGACUUCACCCCACUUGAGAUUGGCGAGGAUCUGAGAUACGAGGAGCGACCGUUGCGGAUUCUUGCUCGAGAGACGAAAAAAUUGCGCAACCGGGUCAUCCCGUAUGUGAAAGUGCAGUGGAGCCAUAACGAGGAGCGAGAGGCGACUUGGGAGCCUGAGACGGUGAUGAGGGAAGCCUAUCCCUACUUGUUUGAUGCUUGAGUAGAGGUACGUUCAGUUUCGCGGACGAAACUUUUUGUAGUAGGGGAGGAUGUAAUAUCCUAGGUUGAAAUGGAGUUGGUAAAAAGGGCCUAUAUUUUUUUUUUUUACCAAACCUUAUCAGCUCCACCGCCUAUACUUUUACCCAUCCUUAUCUUGUUCACCACGUUAUAUAGAGGUGGCAUGCAGGAGCUUUGUUGUAGCCUAAUUAAUUAACUCUCUCUCUAGGUUGAAGUGGAAAGCGUGGUGGAGCUUCCAGGUGGAGUCGAAUCGACGCCGACGUCGCGCCGGGAAGCCGUGGAGCCGUUCGAGCGCGCGUUUGUUGCCGUAGCAUCGCGAGGAGGCCGGGCGAGGGUGUGAUUCCGCCGUUCUCGACGUCGCGCAGGAUUGGAUUUAGCGGUCGAGGUGGGUUUACAUCGGUUUAUUUCUAAGUACCGUAAUCGUCGACAUGUAUGAUUUUUCAGUUUCGGUUAUCACGUUGUAGCUUGAUAUUCGUGAUGCUAUCCUGGAUAAAAUCAGUAUUGAGAACAUGACUAGUAAAUCUUAAAUGUACAUGUUGGACUGGGAUUUGACUUAGGAGAAAACACGAUUGGAAUCGUCAUAUGCUUAAACUGUCUGAUUUAGCUCUAGGAGCCGUUAUUAAAUUGUACUGUUGCAGUAUCCUCGAGACGAGUACUCCAGGUGGUUUAGUAUACAUUUACGCUCGUGCUGGUAUGCCGAGUGGAUUUUUACAGUGUUGUUCAGGUUGUUCCGGACUGUGGGGUGCCGUCAGAGUGACGGUGGACCCGUAUUGCCUUUUUGGCGUCAGAUUGUGCUGAGGGCACGUUACUUGUUGGUUAUUAGACCAGUUAGAGUCGAUUUAUUGACUUUGGCUUUUCAGAGCCUGUUUGAGCUCGACAGAGAUACGCUGCAUACUCGGUUGGGUAGCGCCCACGAGUGCCACUCCGGAGUCAGGCUUUGUGCUUUCGCGUUGGUGUCGCUCAUGCCAGUUGGACUUGCUCUCCACGGACCAGUUAGUGUGGAUAGAGCCUGAUAGUCGCAACGGGGCAGGGACGGGUGUAUUCACAGUCCCGGGGACGGGUAUGCUUACAGUCCCGAUUGGAUUGGGUCAGAUUUGACAUUUCCUACAGUUGGUUAGUGUAGAGCAUGAUAGUGUAGUGAUUGAUAGCGGUAGAGUUUACUUCCUGCUUUUCCUACUAUUCUUGCUCCCUUCUGUAGACUUAGUGGGUGGACCGAUGUUGUUUUGGGCGGUACCCACUGAGGACCACUUGUUUUUACAAUAGUUCUCACGCCCAGUUGUUACUCCUGUUUUGCAGAGCCACAGGUUUCAGCUGCUGCGCCUUCCGCGGAUCAGGAUCGAGGCAAGGGCGUCGCGAGCUAGAGCCCUACCCGACUGACAGAGCUAGAGGCACCCUACUGCAGGUAGUUGUUUUACUUCGAGCUUAUGUACAUAGUACUUAACUCGCCAGUGCGAGUAACGCUGUAUUUUGGAUUCUGAACUAUGUAUAUGAAGCUCAGUUGGUUUAGCUUUUGUUUAUUGAGCAACUCUAUGCUACUGUUUGUAGCAUUGCAUAUCUACAGAUGCCUUUGACGCUUCGUAUACAGGGAAAAUUCCUUUGUAUACGGCGGAUUUGUCGGCGUGCCCGGAGGAACGAGACAUCCGGGGCGUGACACCUAGUUACAACCAGCGAUAAUUUUGACUUGGUCAAUGUUUGACUUGGUCAACUAGCUUGAGGAAACUAUUUGGCUCGUGAAACAUAACCAAACGUUUUUAGAUGAUUUAUCGUUCUAUUUUCCGUUCCAAUGUAAUUCAAUUUUAUUUUUCAUUCUCAUUCCACUCAUAAAGGAAAUAUGCCCUAAAUUUCAUUUCGACUUAUGCCUAUCUUGAGCAUAAAUCGAAAUACAGCAGUCAGGCCAUCAUCUGCAAGUCAAUCCGAUGGCAAUAUUUAGGUACAACUACAUCGAACUAAACAAAAUUUUUGGGAGCGGUUAUAGUUACACUUGCACUGCAGUUCUGAAAUAUAGAUAAUCAAACAAUCCCUAAUAAUUAUAUAAUGUGAGCAAUACACCAGAAAGCAAACUAUAUGUAGAAGGAGCACCCCAUUUUAUUCAUUCAGUCAUUGCCAAAGCUCUCCACUUACAUAGAGUAUAUUAUUUUUAGGGACUUUUAAUUAUUAUUCAAAUUUCUCAAAUUUAUUAUGAAAUUAUUACAAUACCUUCUAAAACCAAUCCUCUUAGUAAAUGCUAGAGUUUGGUCCUUCAGAGAUAAAUAAAAUAUUUUUAAAAUUCUGAAGGACUUAUUAGAUAGUAUCCCUUAUUUUUUUCAUUGCAAAGUUUUGAACAUUGACAGCCAAGGAGGAAGGCGAGGCGGGAAGAAAAACGGGCGGAUUCUGUAAAACCCCUUCUCUUCGCGGAUUCUUGCAAUGCUACCUUCUUCUCCUGUCAGAUGCAAAUUGGUAACCAUGAGAGGAGGAAAAAAAAUAAUAAAAAAAAAGAAGUGGUAAGAAUAUAAAACUUUUGCUCAUUUAUCUUUGACUAUUAUUCAAAAAUUUUAAAUUUAUUGUGAAUUUAUCAAAAUAUUCCUUCUAAAUCUCUCAUGUUCUAAUAGUAAACCUUACAAUUUUGGAAAUAUUUGAAAAAAUUUUAAAAAUUAAUAAGGGCAUUUUGGUCAACAAGCAAUAUAUUAGAUAUUUUGAAAUUUUGGAGGGUAAAGUAGAUAUUACAAUUCAUUAGAUAAAGAAUUUACUGAACUCCGGAACAUUUUGAAACCGCUAUUCUAAAAAUAUAGAAAAAAUAUAUUUUUUAAAAAUCAUGGUAAAAUGGGUGAAUCCCACAAAAGCUAUUUGAUUGAUUGGAAACACCAUAUCACCCCAUGUUUCUGCUGUAUUUAGACUUUUUCCUAUUUUUGGCCCUUCUACGGAGAACAUAAGUUGAACUAAUUUACCCUUCCAAAGAGUACAAAGUAACCGAUAAUUCCCGCCAUAGCCGGUCAUAACUGGCUUCUCAAAUCAUCCAAACCAUUAAGGGGCUAUUUGAUUGCAUACAGCUAGAAAUACAGCAGUUGUAACUAUACUCAGUUUGUUCUAUAAACCAUUAAGGGGCUAUUUGAUUGCAUACAGCUAGAAAUGCAGCAGUUGUAACUAUACUCAGUUUGUUCUAUUCUGUAUAGAUGCAACUGUUGCAAUUACAUUUUACUUAUUUAAUAACCUGAAGAUGAUAAUUAUAUUUAUAAAUUCUAUCACCUUUCAGAUAGAACGGUAAGAUUACUUUCAAUGCACAUAAAAUAAUCAAUUAAAGAUUUUUUUUUAAUUUUUCAGUAUAUUUAACUUGCAGGUAAAUCAAAAUUUUAGAACAAUUACUACGUACGAUUCUCUCUACUUUUGAAGUUUUUUUUUUUGCAAUUUGAAUAAUUAUAUUUAACGAAAAUUGAAAAUUUAUAGAAAAAACUAUUUUUAUAUUUUAAAUAAAAUUUCAAUUUUUUUUUUUUAUACAUGCAAAACUUGCUUGCAUUGCGUGUGCUCUUUUAUUGGUAUUUAUUUAUAAAUAUACAUUUAUUUAUUUAUAAAUCUAUAUACAGAUGUUUAUUUAUUUAUUUAUUCUUAAUAACUGCUGCAAUUAGAGCUAUAGUCAACUUGUGAAUAUAUAAUAUAGACCGUAUAGUUCCAAAUGCAGCAUUUAGGCGUCCUUGUGUAGUUCAUAGUUUUAAUUGCAUGCAAUCAAACAUCCCCUAAAUAGAGAUUAUCUAGUGGUUGCCGCAAUUAUGAAGUGUUGCAGAAUUACUCUUGUCAAAACUAUAUAAAGAGUUUGUGUAAUAGGGGUGAAAACAAGCAACAUACAGUAAGAUUUUAACAAACAUAUUCACUCCAUAUUUUUUGGCUGCGAAAUUCGAAUGUGGAUAUUUUCAGAUGCUAAUUUAUUACCAAUCCAUUAAAACAAUAAAUACGAUUCAUCAUAUGCAGUCAAUUUGUAUUCAAUAUAAUUCAACAUAAAUAUAUAUAUAAUCUAUAUAUAUAUAUAUAACUAUUAUAUAUUAUAUUAUAUAUAUACAUGAGAGAAGAGAUGAGAGACGGAGAGAUGAGAGAGAGAGAGAGAGAGAGAGUUAGGGCUGGUAUUCUAUCGGGGGUAGCAUUGGACGGUCUGUAGCUCCAAGUUUUCUCAAAAUAUGGCUUCCAAAUCGAUUAUCGGCUCCGUUAGACUUGAUCUAUACUAUUAAAAGUAUUUGGAACUAAAUUUCAUAAUUUUUUGAAAUAAUUUGACCGAUAAUCAAACGUUUCAAAAUUGACAAUUUUAAUGGUAGAUGUGAUGCGUUUGUGAAUUUAACGGUAUAAAACAAUCCAAAUCUAAUGAAAUUUUUAUAGAAAAUUCUUUUCACUAUUUAGAGUAAGAUCAGUACCUCUGAUCUUAAAUUCAAAUAUUUUAUCAUUAUUUUUUAGGAGAUUUUUAUUUUCAACCGUUCAUUUUAGACAACUUGUUUGAUAGGUAAAUUAUGCCAAAAAAUUAUGAAAUUUAGUUUCCAAAUACUUACAAUAGUGUAUAUCAAAAUCUAACGGAGCCGAUCGUCGAUUUGGAAGCCGGAUUAUUGAAAACAACUUGGUAGUACGGCUAACAAACGGGCUCUGUUGCCACCCAUUUGUUUUCGAUGAUAAAGCCUCCAAAUCGACGAUCGGCACUGUUGAACAUGAUCUAUACUACUUGAAGUAUUUAGAAAUCAAAUUUCAAAUCUUUUCGACAUCAUUUGCCUAAUGAUCAAAGGGUUUCAAAAUUUAUAAUUUUAAUGGUCGAUAUAAGAUGUUUUCUCGUUUAACGGCGUAAAGAAAUCCAAAUUAAUUGAAUUUUUGUUAGAAAAUUUUUUAAACUAUUUAAAACAAGAUCUAUACUCUUGAUCUUGAUUACAAGAUUCCUAUUAUCAUUUUUUAAAGAAUAUUCAUUUUUAGCCGUUCAUUUUUGUAUCCACUCGAUGGAUAAGAGAACAAUAUCGAAAAUGUAUGAAAUUUGAUUUCUAAAUACUUCAAGUGGUAUAGAUCAUGUUCAACGGUGCCGAUCAUCGAUUUGGAGGCACCAUCAUUGAAAACAAAUGGGUGGCAACGGAGCCCGUUUGCUAUCGAUAGUAUUCUAGCUCAACUCUCUCUCUCUCUCUCUCUCUCUCUCUAUAUAUAUAUAUAUAUAUAUAUGAACUAAAAUUAAGCGAAUAAAAUACAUAAUGCAUUUAAAGGUUUACGUUUGUGUUCAAACUUCAUAUAUAAAAAGUACCAUGGAAAAUCACUUUAUCUCCCUACAAUAUAUAUUAAUAUCCCUCUUAUCUUUAUGAGGUGAAAAUGGUCCAAUACGGUCAAAUCUUUUAAGAAACAACAUUUGCAUCCAUAUAUAUUUUUUUUCAGAUACGAAUAUGUACAUUGCAUGCUAAAUUUUGAUAUUCAUAUUUGCAUCCUAUCGAGUCCGGUGUUAAAAAUUUUCGCCAAAAUACAUGGUGCAAGUUUGGGAGCGUUACUGACCGGUCAUGGCGGGCGAGGGUCCACCGUGAGGUGGGGAGGCAGAUGGGAGUUCUCGAGCAACGCCGGCGGCAAUAAGCUCAUUGGCUGCGAUGAGAAAGAGGGCGGCGAAGGCAAUAAAUGUCGGCUUUGCGGCCAUCCUUGUUCUGCAAGCCGGCAGGCAGCUCAAGUUUUCUGAAAGUUUAGAGGAGGCUCCUUAGUUUGUGUUUCGUAUAUAUUUCGCUGGAUGGUGUACACUAUGUACAUAUAUAUGUAAAGUUGAUAUGUUUAGCCACAGUAGCUAGAUGGUUCCUAGCUUUACUUUCAGUAAUCUAGACGUCACGGACACUGACACGGAAUAAGGGACGCAACGCGAUUCAAACAUGAGUAUGACAUAGACAUCAUUAAUAAAAUAUAAUAUUAUUAUUAUAAUAAUAUAUAUUUAUUGUAUAUAAAAUAUUAAUUUUGAUAAAAUAUUAUUAUAUUUUUCAUACGAAUGUAAGUUAAUAAAAUUUUAAUUAAUAGUUCAUAUAUUUAGGAAGAAAAAUUUUCCACCAUUUAUAAUUUAUUUAUAUUGUCAAAAAAAAAAUUGUAUGAAUUCAUUAAAAAGUUAAAAUAUAUAUGAUCAUCUUAUGUUAUAUAUGGAUAAAAAAAUAAAAUAAAAUAAAUAAAUAAAUAAAUAACAUAAAUAAAAAAAAAAAACAAUAAUAUAUUUAUAUAUAUAUAUAUAUAUAUAUAUUUGUGUUGUGGAUCGGCAUUGAAUGUGGGUCCAAAGAGUGUCCACAUCGAACACGUGUCCGACACGGGCACGCGAGGCUUAUAGAAGUAUCCGUGAUACAUAACUAGUAAUAGAGUGUAAUCAUAUAAUAAAUUAUUUUUAUUAAGUCACAUUUUAUAUAAAAUAUAUUCAACCAUCAUUUUUUUUCACUAUUAUCUACUAUUUUAUAAAAUUAAUCAAACACAAUUUAAAUUAUUUUUGAGAAUAGCAGUAUUACAAACCAAACACAAAUUUACUUUUAUUCUGACUAUUCCAAUAUAAUAAACUAGUUUAAAAAAUAAAAAAAAUUAUCUCAAUAUUCGUUAUUCCUGAAGUAGAUGCACUUGAUAUUUCAUGCGGUUUCCUGGCUUCUAAAUGCAACUAAAAUCCUAGCGUCAUUAGCCUAAGAGGAAUCAUUAUCUCGUUGUGUUCGCCUGCUGCAAAGGAAUCAAUAUCUCUCCGAUUCAAGAAAGAGUAUUCAUUAAAAUGAGCGCACUGAGACUGUCGAGUAGACCUGACAAAUGAGCGAAUUAGGUAAUUCGUAGAUCGGUCAUUGUACCUAUAGAUUAUGCAGGUGCGUAUAGAAUUUACUCACAAAUUUUUGAAUAACCAUCAUUCUUAUUUAUACCUGUCCGUGGAUGGGCAGGCGGGUAUACCAAUUAACCACAAAGUUUUUUUUUUCUUUUCUAUUCUUAUAAUUUUCAAGCGCAAAUAAUAUAUAUAUUAUUUUUGAAAGAUCAAAUUUCACUCAAUGUUUCACUAUUUUAUCGCAUAUUGCACUGUUCCAUAAUAUGACACGCCAAUUUAUUGCUUGUUUUGUAUAAACAGAACAAAUGUUGCACAAUUUGUUGUGCUCUUAAAUGCUUUCGUCAGUAUCCAAGGACAGUAAUUUUCGGAUCCCUAGAAUAAGUUGAUAAAAUUCGGUAUAAAGCUGGAGCUGCUGUUCCAUUUUUUUUUUUUUUUUCCUGGAGCAAGCUUGUUUUCAAGUGGGAAUAAGAUUAAUUAACAUCUAAAUUUAAUUUUAAUUAUGAUAUUAAAUUAUUAAUUAAUCUAACUAAUAUAUUUAAAUCAUUAUCUAUUGCGUAAAUAAUAAAGUAAUUAAUUAAUUCAUUAUUUAUAAUUAAUUAGGUAAUUAAUUAUUAAUAAUUUAAUAUAUUUAUCUAUAAAAUAAUAUUUGUAUUGAUCAACCAUUAAUAUUUAUAUUAAUCUAAUUAAUUUUUUUACUAGUUAUCUAACUAAAAUAAUUUACUAACUAAUUAAAAAGUUAAGUCAUAUUUAUGUUUAAUUAAUAAUUAAUAUUUUUUAUUAUCUUAUACAAUAUUCAUAGGUAAUAAAUUUACUAAUUUAUUAAUUAUUUUAAUUUAAUAUUUUGAUGUUAAUUAAUUAGAUAAAAUAAUUUUAAUUUAAAAUUAUAACUCUUAUUCCUCUUGUUCCAAUCUAAUCAUCCGAACAUUAUUUAUCUUAUUUUCAGGAACAACUCAAUUUUUAUUCAAAUACAAAAUUUGUCUGAUUUCUAUCUAAAAUAAGUAAUUCUUAUUUAUAUCCGAACCAAAAUUAACCGUACAAGUUUAUUGAAGAUUGGCUCAAAAAGGACUUUUUGCCCAGUAACCCUAUUAGAAUUUCUAAUUUGCCAAAUAAUUCUUUCCAAAUUUUAUUUGGACAACUAACCAGACAAACACGGUGAAUGAUUUGCCGUUGUUAAUUUGUUUUUUUAAUAUGUUGUGAGGAAUUUUUUUAAAUUGUUAAGAUUGUAUGAGGAUUAUUAAAUUUUUAUUUAUGGUUAAAAUUAUAUUGAUAGGUUGUUAAGAUAGAUGUAAGGAUUAUAUGUGAUUUGUUGAAAUCUUUAUGUGGUUGUUAAGAUUAUAUAUGAGAAUAAAAAAAUGAUAAAUCAUUCACUUUUUAUACUUUAUCUCUAAUAGAAAAGAAAAAGACGGUGAAUAAUUUACCGUUUUCUAAAUUUCAUUACAGAUGGUAAAUGAUUGACCGUUUUUUAAUUAUUUUUAUACCCAAUACUAAGUUGGAUAAAAUAAGGUUAUUUCAACAAAUAAAUUUUUUACAAAAUUAUUUAGCCAAUUAUAAAUUUUUAAAGGAUUAAAAUAAAAAAAUAUACAUUCAAGAACUCAACGUUAUGCAGUACGUAUAAUGAUUAUAUAUACAUGCCCUCAACAAAAGGAAAAGACCCAUAGCCACCAUUGCCCAAUGAGAUUGUGAAGCCUGGCCCACCAAAUCAUUAAACGUUACAAACGGGCGGGUUGGAUAACCCGCGGACGGGUCAUUAUACCCGCGAAUUACUUGGGCAUGGGUAAAAUUUAUCCACAAAUUUUUUGGUAAUCAAUAUCUUUACUCAUACCCGCUCGCGGGUGAGCGGGUGGGUAUGCGGGUUACCCGCAAUUUUUUUUUUCUUUUUGUCUCUUAUAUUUUUUAAAUGCAAAUAAAUAUAUAUAAGUUUCAAAAUAUAACAUAACUCAUUAUUUAAAAUAUCAUAACAUACAAUAAACAUAUUUAAAGUCUUAAAGCAAAAAAAUUUCGUAAUAUAAAAGACGCAAUAAGAAAUUAGGAUUAGAAUUUUUAGGAUGGAUAAAUAAAAAUAUAUGUAUUUUAAUUAAGAAAAUAUAUUUUUUAAUUAAAAAAUAUAUUUGCGAGUAUUCGUGGGUAACCACGGGUUACCCAAAAUACCCACAGCUUAAUGGGUAUUCACCCGUUUUAUCCAUAACUUUUUGGGUUCGAAAAGUUGGUACCUAUACCUGCAAAUUUGCGGAUAACCUGCGGGCACUCGCGGGUAUGGGUCGAGAUUGCCGGGUCUAAUAAUCAUGACCAAAAAAAAACGUGAAAAGACUUUAUUGCCCAAUGGCCUUCUUAAGAAGUGGUGCUCGAAUUGACAAAAAUGGGCCACAACAAGCGCUCAUGUAAGAAAUUUUCAUUACCAAAAACCAAGCACUGAUACUCGGUGCAAACAGUAGUACUAAACGAAAAUUAUAUAGUAUUUUUUAUACCUUUUAUUGGAUAUGUAUAUUAUUUUAUAAAGUUUUGCAAGGUUUGAAAGAAAAGUUGCACUAUUUAGCUUAGUUUGCACUAUUUGAGUCUUAAAUCCUUGCCCACCACUUUUAGGCAUCCCUCUCUAGUUAUGGACUUAUGGGUUGCUAGCCAAACUUGGUCUCCAUCUGUCACAAAAGUGUUAUAGAACAACUUCUCCAUAUGCAACACCCACUUUUCAAUGAGCUAGCGAUUAGACUUUUCUCCAUCAAAAGUUCAGAGGCAUUUCCAAAAUUUCCUCAAGAGGGCAAGAAGUCGGCUCAACUACUAAGAAAAUUGUAGGUAAUACGGUCCUUAUUGGCGAAACAUGAACCGGUGGCGUCAGUCUAAUCUCUUCACUGCGCUCGUCGCUCAGAGUAGGGUGUGAUAACUCGGGCAACAUUGUUUGAUUCACUGUUGCCGCUCCUCCCACAUUAUCCUAUUGUAGCAUUAGUGGGGGUGAUGGAUCCAAAUUCGCCCAUGCCAUUAUCACCUAUUGGAUCAAUAACUUCUCCAACUUCUUCCUCUUCUCAUCCUGACGGUGUGAAGCCUCAACUCGCAACUGCACCGCUUAUGUUUGUUUCUCCACCCUGUGACGUGCCGCUUCCCAGGGGGUCGCCCAUCCUAAAACUACUUUAGCUCUAGACCCUUAACUCUCUUAAAUCUUGAGCCUAACUACAAUCCAAAAUGCUAUAAAUGUGUUAAAAGGUUUAGCAAUAUUAUAUCUCAUAUAUAAAACUAUUUCAAAUCCUAAGAGCGUCACAUUCUUUCUCCCUUUAAGUCCUGACGUCCUUGUCAAGCUCAAGCACACUUACAAGUAUCAGGCGAUAUGAGACUCGUCUCGCUAGCUUAGCCAACUUUGUGGGAAGCUACGCUUCACCCAUAUUGGUCAUCAGCCGGGGAGUCGUGCUCUUUCUGCUGUAUAAUUCUUGCUCAGCUAAAACUCAUUUUAUAUUUCCAACUGAUGAUUGGCUUUGAGCUUCCCAGGGGGUUAUCCAUCCUAUAACUAUUCUAACGCUAGCACGCUUAAUUCUCUUAAUAUCUUGGGUCUAACCACCUCCCAAAAUGCCAUGGCUGGGUUAAGAGGUUUUGUUGUGCCCCAAAUUACAGCGGAAGCCCGAGUUACGUCAACAGAUUUGCCGUAUGUACUAUGAUACACCUUAUGAACACGAAGCGUUAGUAAAACUUGUUUAAAGAAGUUUACUAAAAUCUAACAAUAGGUAUCAAAGUAGAAUAUAACUAUGUACUAUAGCAAUACUGUAAAUAUAUACAAUUAUUAUUACACCAAUCUUCAAAAUGGUACAACAUCUCUCGCUACUCCAAAUCGCAAAAUACUAUAUAGGCUGCUAAUACAUUAAUAAGUGGUCCAACUACACACAAGAAGGGUAAGAGAUGCUUGCUAUCCCUGAUCCCCUUAUCUCGAUCAGUCACUGAUGCUGAAAGUUUUGAAAUAAAAUAAUAAUAAUAAAGAGGACAUAAGAACUAUAAAAAGUAGUCUCCAGUGAGUACGGUCGACAAUGCCAACGGUCCAUACCACUAGGUACAUAAGGGGUAGAAAUAGUAAAUAACUGAGCAAUAUGAAAGAACAAGUACUAAUAUGAAUAAUUGCUAAAAAUACUACUAUUAUCAUGCCUCUAUAGUGUAAUUGAAAACUGUAAAUCACGUAUCUCAUGCAUCUACUAGAUACUUAAUAAAAUAAUGCAAUAAUACUCUAUCAUAAUGACUAACAUAUAGUCGCCACCACCCCCAAAGUUGAGGCCUACUACACGUAGGUAAAUAUCGAAUUGUCUAUGUGGCCCAUACCAUAAUAAUACCCUAUAGUCUAACCUCCGAAGUGGCACUCAUAGGGCACUACCCUAACAGAGUAUAGUAUAUCUCUAUCAAGUUCAAUAUAGCAUACAAGCUAUAGUCCCAAAUAUAGUUAUAGUCUCACACUAUUACCACUAUCUAUUGGCGUUUAGGGCAACAUCACAUAAUACUAAUAGUGAAAAAUAUGUAUGUCUCAGUAUACUCUAUAGAUAGGUAUCAAAAUACCACUAUUAGCUCAACUAUGUCAAUAGUCUCAUAGACUAAAUAAUAUAAUAUGAACAUAGGAGUUAACUCGCCAAUUUUGGCGAUACAGAACCCACUUAAAAAUGCUAUCACAAAAGGAAGGAGAAGAAGAAGCAUAGCACCAACCCAGAAACUCCUAUAGAAUCAACUCUGUAAAUAUUACAUGCAAAAAAUGUCACGCGGAUCAAUCCUCGAUCUCCUCCAAAAUCACCCUUUCUUUUUCUCCUUCUCACUCUCUUUAUAGAAAAAGAAAAACAAAAUAAAAUGAAAAAAAGAGAGAAAAAGCACCUCAGCUAGCUAAUAUAAACAUUUUCAGCCAAACAUGCACUUUUCGGUGCAUGAAACCCAAUUCCGGUGUCCGAAAUCCUUGCUGACUCACUUGCUUGUGGCCUCUGUCACAUCACUCACCAACUCACUUUUGGGCUCAUAUUCGGACUCAGAUUCGGGAGCCUGAAACAUGGGCCCGAAUCUUUCGGAUGCAUUCUCAGGCAUCUGAAAAAGGAUCCAAAAGUAUAGUAGCUUUUGGGCUGCCAUAGUAACUUUCAGGCUACUAUAGUAACUUUCGGACACCCAGAACUAGGGCCCAAAACAUCUGAAUCCUCCUAAAACAAAAUUGGGUGUCCCAUUAAGACUUCUACAGUAACCUUUGGGUUGCUACAAUAAUUUUAGGGCACUCAGUUUUGUAUCCAAAAAUCUAGCAGCAGCCUAGAUUGAUCGAAAAUAUGAUUUAUAAGCCUGUUUUCACGUCAAUUUUGCUCCAAACGGAUCCAGGUCACUCCGACAUGUUACUGAGAUGUCAGUCAUCAAUCAUACUGCAACUUUGUAUAUUUGCUAAGGUCCAGUAUAUCACUGGGUUAGUCCUAUUAUAUCUCAUAUAUAGAACUAUUCCAAAUCCUAGAGGUUCUUUUUCUUCUUCUUAUUCUUGGUGUCCUUGGCGGCGCACUCAUUCUCUCAGGUGCUUCGAGGCCUUUUCCUUCCCGACAGGCAUUCUGUCGAAUACUUUUCGAUUGCCCUGCUCUUGGGUCCCGCCUUGAGGGAGAAAGCUUCCAGAAGAUGAAUCUUGCUGCCUAUCGCCAUCGAAUCCUCUAGAGUGGGAGGGAGCCGACAGCUGAGGAGGAGGAGGAAGAGGGAGUCUUUUCUAAAGCAUGUAGCCGCAAUCGUUGGCCACGGCAUCGACAUGGUGCAGAGAGGACGGCGAUGGUGAUGAUUAUGAUGCUUUGAUGAAGAAAAUAGGUUCAGUGGGAACAAGAGUGGGGAGAGGGGGAGGGAGAUGAAGGUUAGGGAGAGAAGAGUGGGGGUAGCCGAGGUCAUCGUCCUUUCGCUUGAGCACGUGUUUGUUCUUCUUCUUUUUGGUCAUGGCGGCAAUGGUGAUGGUAGGAGAUGGAGUUGGGAGGCUUGAACGCCACUUUAUUGGUGAUAGUGGCUGUGUAAGCUUUAGAAUUGUGGAUGAAGGACGGAGAGAAAGCUUUACUGUUUUUGCUAUUUUCAGUUGUCCUGCUAAGGGAGCAGCUGUGGAAUCACAAAAUGACAAAUAAUAAAAUUAGUUAGAUCCUUACAUUUAAAUUAUUAUACUUACAAACUAUUUAAUAAAUAAAUAAAUAAAUAAAUUUUAUACUAUAAUUAUUUUUUUUAAAAAAAAUUAAAGUGUAUGAGUUAGUAAAUUGAAACAAAUAGGCUAACAUGCACCCAUUGCUGAAGAUAGUUUUGAAUUCUGGUUUGUAUUUGGUUUGGUCUUAAAUACAAUGCCUCUGACUAAGAUGGCCAUUCAAAAUUUUACCAGGAGAUCAAACCAAUAUAAGAUUGUAGGUGAUAAAUUUUAUUUGUCUAUUUAGCAAGGAGCUCCUGUAGUCGUGAAUAACUUACAUAGCUAAUUAGCGUGCCGAGGGUGUCACACACCGCAUCGGCCAACAUGGACAACUACUCCUGCCACUUCCAGACCUUAUAGGAUCCGGAGGACGCGGAAGUCUCCAUCGGCCAUCUCGGUAGCUGUGAAGCAUAUUGUUGGUCUCUCACAGGAAGACAUUGCUAUCUGUAACGACAACAUUAGUUCAACAACAACCUAAUUCAAGCACUACUCAACAUCAAAAUAAAGUAAACACCAAUCAUGCAAAAAUAGGUAAAGCAUGCUUUCUCUAUUUCUUGAUGUCACGUUAUCGGUCGCGAACUUGACUAUCCAAGGAAAUGAAAAAUGCAACCACUUUGAUCGAAUUCCAAUCCAUAUCGGAGACAUCAAAAAGACCCAAUCACAUUACUUACGCUAUUAGACAUAAAACCCCCUUCAUUUACGAUCCUAGUCCUUGAGGUCCAAUUCCAGUCUAGGGUUUGCUAGCUCGCCCCUAAGAUUCAAUCUAGGCUUUGAUACCACCCUAAUCUAUCACACCCUAGGCUCAAAAGGAAGCACCCCCGAUAGCGUGCCUAGAUCUGCAGUGUGCAUAAGAUUCCCCAACACACACAAAGCGACAAACAACAACAAAUCAACGCAUAGGAACAAUAAGAGUUUCAUACGGGUUGGAGUAUCAAAGUAUAAAACUACUAUUCUAAUUGCAACAACAAAUCUCAAAUGAACUACUACAAGUUAAUUAGUUCCAUAUUACAACAUUUUCAAAAUAUUAUGGUUCUACAAAAGGUUCCACCCCUAGACACACCAAAAAGAAGAAUGGAGAGCUAACUACUAUGCGACUCCUUUGCCUUGAUCAUCCAUGGAGGAUGAGAGAAGCUCUGAAGAAAAAUAAAAUAACAUGAGAGCGUGAGGAUUAUAUAAAAUAGUUUUUCAGUAGGUACAAUUGCCAUAAAGAGCGUUUUGGUCACUAGGUCUAUUAGAGUCAUAAUAAUAAAACAAGAGAUAAUAGACGUGGAAAAAGAAUAUAUGCUAACAACAAGUAAAGCCUACUAUCAUGCCUCUAUUGUACAAACUAUCAUCUAUAUAUGGAUCAAUUCACAUGAAUAUACACUGACUACUCAACAUCCACCUAACCUGACCAAUAAAGGUCCAUUCAAGCUUGCACUUUGCGUAGUGGGAUGUCAAACAAUCGCAUAAGAACCCAUGUCGGUGCUCAACAGCUAGUGUGAGUCAAACAAUUCACAUGAUUUUACUAUCAAAUUUCAGUAACUAGAGUCUAGACUAUAGAUAUUGAUCUUAAUUCAAACUCAAAUCCAAGGCUAGAGCAUUAUUGUUAAUGAUUGGAAGCUCUAAGCAACUCCUCUUUCAAAUAUCUUGCUUCCCACAUAGCACAAGAUGCUUUUAGUCUCAUGGAGAAGGGAGAAUAAAGAAGAAGAUGAUGAGAAUGGAAGCAAUUGGAGAAAAAAUGAGAAAGAAGAAGAAAUGGUGAUGAACUCACCUUCCUCUCUUCGUGGCGUUCACAGUGAAGAAGAAGGAAAAGAGAGUACUUAUAGUGUUACAAAAUGCUCUAAAGCGCUCAAACCAUUGAAAAUUGCAACUUGUGCAAUUCCAGAUUUUGCAGCAUUGAGUACCAGUACUCGCACAUCAAUAUUGGUUUGCCACCAUUAUGUUCCGCCCUUGUUUGCUUCUUGGUGCGUCCAUCUCUCCAUACUUCUUUCCUGCCUUCUCCUUGGCUCAAGUCUGACCCACAAGGGUGCUCCUAAUCGGAAUUCAUCUAGAGUCUUUUAUUCAAGGCCAGUUCUGAAGAAUAUGAAUCUUAUACGCAUCGCAAACUUCAGUAUUGGUACUUCAUAUUUCAGUAUCGAUAAACCCUAAAGUUCCAUAUCCUCAGUAUUGAUACUCUUGGCCAAAACUGUAGUUUAUAGGUUUCAGUUUUUUGAGUCCAUUUUCAUGUUGUUUUUGCAUUGAAAAUGCAAAAAUACUCAAACUGAAUCAGAAUCAUCUAAAUCAUAUUAAAUACUAUUUUCUCAACGGAACUUUGCUGUUUGCAAAACUUCGGUGCACUAUAAGUAAUAGUUUUUUUCUAUCACAUUUAUUUAUUUCUUGGAAUGUGUCGGGUUUUUUCCUAUGCUGCAUUAAUUAUGCCACCAUAGAUUGCACUCUCCAAAUUUUUAUUGCACAAUUUAAUACGAUAUUGCACAAUUUUUUUUGGAAAAUCAAUUAUUUUAUGUUGCAUCAUCUAUAAACUCUCAUGAAACCUCAUGUUUUUUGUCCACGUGGCGGCAUAUGGCAAUGUUUUUUUCUCAACCCCAUCUCAUUUAAGUUCCCAAUUAAUCGGUUCAAAGUAUCGAUUCAUCUUCCAAACGGUUUGAUUAAUCUCAUUCCAUCUUCAACCCUUCAUCUUCCAAACGGUUCGAUUAAUCCCAUUCCAUCUUCAACUUUUCAUCUUCCAAACGGUUCAAUUAAUGUCAUUCCAUCUUCAACCGCCGCCAAGAUGCCGCUCCGACUCUUCUUCAACCCUUCAUCUUCCAAACCGUUCAAUUAAUCUCAUUCCAUCUUCAACACAAAUAAAUUAUUUGCUGCCCCCUAGAUGCUGCUCCGCCUCUUCAACACAAAUAGAUCGUAAACAGAUCGUAAAAGAAAUGCACGGGGGAUCAACAAAGAAUGCACCAAAAAAUUUACCCACAUUGGUCCCUUUCGCCGAUCCGGCGAUCCGAGGUGCGCCCCUCCCCACAUUGCACUGGUUAGUGAUGUUCCCGAGCGCGACCCUCUUCUUGGCCUGCUCCGCCGCGGGCGCGGCCACCUUGGUGGCGUUCUCCGCCGCUACAGGCCUCUUCGCAAGCGACGACGAGGACGAACCCGGCCCGGGCAACGGAGUCGAUCCCCGGUUCGAGCUCGCCAUCGAGGUGAAACGACCCUAACCCUAACCGUAACCCUCGAGCCGUAGGCCGGCCGGGUUCAUUGUCGAUCCAUUCUUCCCGUUGCGCUGUUUUCUUUAGCGACGCUUCGUUCCUGCUAUUGAUCGCCCUCCGUUCGUAAAAUUGGUUCGGAUUCAUUCUCCAUGCUCCCGUAGAUUCAUUGAAUAUCUGUAUUUGUUGAAUCCGAAGAUUCAUUUUACGUUGAAUGCAAUUAUUGUUGUUGCCUAUAUAAUAUGCCUUCAUCAAAUUUUAAUUUGUAGCAAAAAAAUUUUAUUUUUCUGUCAUUUUUACCUUUUAUUUUUUUUUUUACCUUUCAUUUUCGUUUGAAUAUCAAUUUGGUUGCUUAUUGUUUAUUUUAAAAAAUACUGAAUAAUUUUAUUUUGUCUCAGAAAAUUGACUGUCUGUGUACAGUUGAUCUACGGUCGAUUGCCUCAGAAGUUGUAAAUUCUUUGAAUUAAUUUUUGUGUAUAAACAAUUUUUUUUGCCUUCCAAUUUGUUGAUGUGGAUAAUUUAGUAUUUUUUUCUGUUCCUGAUUGCCUCAGAUUUAAUUUUAUGUAUAUAUGUGCUAUUUAUUUUACCUUCCAAUUUAUUAUUGUGAAUAAUUUAGAAAUUUAUUUUUUAGUAAUUUAUUUUCUCCGUUCCUGAUUGCCUCAGAUUUAAUUUGUAUGUAUAUAUAAACUUUUUUUUUUCCUUCUAAUUUGUUACUGUGAAUAAUUUAGAAAUUUAUUUUUUUCCCGAAACUGAUCGUAAUGCUAUUAUAGAUGACAUAAUCUAAUUUGGUUGGUAAUUUACAAAUAUUUUUGCAAUAAUUAUUCAAGAAUUUUUUGUGAGAUGCUAAUCUUAAUGCUUAUAUAUAUAUAUAUAUAUAGAGUAUGGCUAGAAUACUGUUACAGGAUCACCUAAGUGAUACUUGUGUGAUUUUAGAAUGGAUGGGAGAGAUGGGAAGGUUUGAGAUGAUGGGGUAGUUGGUGGUAGUGGUGGUAGGUGGAAUAGUAUUUGAUCCAAGGGCUCAUUUGUAAUCAAAAAGUAGCAUCAAUGCUAAAAAGUGAUAGCAAUUGGGGAUGAUACUUGAUAAAGUAUCACUAAAUCAACUCUAGUAUAUAUAUAUAUAUAUAUAUAUAUAUAAGCAUUAUAUAUAUAUGAAACAAAAAAAAUUAUAUAUGUUUUUAGUUUGUUUAGAAUACUAAUUCUAAACAUCAAUCCAUUGUUUAAGGUAUUACACAGUAAAAAAAUAAUAAGACGAUUUCUUUUAUUAUGUUUUGGUAAGUUGUAAUUUCAUUAUAAAAGUCUCUAAUAUAUUUUUUUUAUUGUUAUAUCUAAUCAAUAUAGUUAUAUUUUUUGUUUCUUCUUUACGUUUAUAUUUAUUUACUAAAAUAUUUCUACCCGUCGCAUCGCGCGGGUCACUACACUAGUUUAUACAUUGUUGCACUAUUUCUCAAAAUCAUAAAGUGCAACUUUUCCUUCAAUUGGACAAUAUUAAAUAAGGGAUAAUAUAUCUAACAUAACUGUGAGUGUUAAAAAUUUAAAAGCAUUUGCGUUAGACGAGGGGAUUAUAUGUUGAAAAACAGAGAUUAAAGAUUCUAUACUCCUUAGAAAUCAUAAAGAUUUCUAAUUAAUUACGCCUAGACAACCUCCGAUUAAGCUGGUCAAUUAUGAUAAUUAACAAAACAGAAUGCAUUUCUUUUAUUACUCUUGUACAUCGGUGUACAAAAUUAAUACAACUGAAAAUGAGGAAAAGCGACAAUUAUCAUUUCUCUACUUCUCUCCUCUUCAAGGUAUUUCUCUAAAACAAUGUCGGCCAUGCAUCAUGCAUAAGCUUUCUUUGGUAUUUCAUCGAGCAUUUGACACGCACACAAGUAAUGUGCAAAUUGCCUUUGACAUUUCAUCGAAUACUUGGCACGCGUACAUGAACAAUGCAGCAUGCUCAAGUUUUCUUUGACAUUCUGUGAUAUGCACACCAUUUUUGGCAUUUCAUCGAACGUUUAGUACGCGUACAUGAACAACGCGCUAUGCACAAAUUCUUUUUGGCAUUUUGUCUAACACUUGGUGUGUGCACAUAAAUUAUCCAUCAUGCACAACUUGUUUUUGACAAAAGCCAAUUCAAAAUAGCGGCAAUCAAUAAUUUGAUUGGAGCUUUCCAUCGACGGCUAAGCGUCGAACGGAUAGUCGUCGUCGUUGUUGUCGUCUACUGCUGACGGUUAAGCGUCAAGCGGAUGAUCAUCGUCGUCGUUGUCGCUAUUGUCGCCUACCACCGACGGCUGAGCGUCAAACGGAUCGUCGUCGUCGUUGUUGUCGCCUACUGCCGACGGCUAAGCGUCGAUCGGAUCGUCCAUCAUCAUUGUUGUCGCUAUUGUCUCCUACCGCCGACGGCUGAGCGUCGAGCGGAUCGUCGUCGUCGUUGUUGUCGCCUACCGCCGACGGCUGAGCGUCGAGCGGAUCGUCGUCGUCGUUGUUGUCGCCUACCGCCGACGGCUCAGGGUCGAGCGGAUCGUCGUCGUCGUUGUUGUCGCCUGCCGCCGACGGCUAAGCGUUGAGCGGAUCAUCGUCGUCGUUGUUGUCGCCUACCGCCGACGGUUGAGCGUCAAGCAGAUGAUCAUCGUCGUCGUCGUUGUUGUCGCCUACCGCCGGCGGCUAAGCGUCGAGCGGAUCGUCGUCGUCGUUGUUGUCGCCUACUGCCGACGGCUGAGCUUCAAGCCGAUGAUCAUCGUUGUCGUUGUCGUUGCCACCUUUACCGUCGACGGCGAAGCGUCAAGUGGAUCGUCAUCGUCGUUGUUGUCGCCUACCGCUGACGGCUAAGCAUCAAGUGGAUCGUCGUCGUCGUUGUUGUCAGCGCAGCAACAGCAGGCAGAUGGCCACCUCCUUGGUCGAUGAUGACGCCACACUAGCAAAAAGGAACGUGCACCAAUCCGGGAUCAACGAUGACGGGGCAACGGCUGUCAGCAAAGGUGUCGGAAUGGCUACGAGCGACCGUCUUUUCUUGGUUGACGAUGACUCGGCGUAGUAGAGGUUGAUGACGGCACGUAUAGCCCGGUGUGCAUAGAAAGUUCGAUGUAUGGAGUGCCUUGACUAGGAGAGAAGAGAAAAAAAAAAAAAAAGUGAGAGGAUCUAAACCCACCUUUCUAUUUGGCUUUUUUUUUUUAAUCCAAGUUUCUUUCCUCCUUUUUUUUUGUGAGUCGAAUCCUCCCCCUCUUUUUUUUGUUCGCUUUCCUUUAUAUAGAUAGAGGGUGGUGGAGGUUUAUGGUGAAGAGAAGUAAAUGGUAGAGAAAUGGAGGGAGUGAUGGAGAAGUGGAGGAAAUGGAGGGAAAGUGGAAGGAGUAAUGGAGAAGUGGAGGGAAUGGUGAGAAAGUGGAGGGAAUGGUGGAGAAAGUGGUGGGAAUGGUGAGAAAGUGGAGGGAAUGGUGGAGAAAGUGGUAGAAAUGGAGGGUAUGGUAGGAGAGAGUGGAGGAGUGAAUUUAAGGAAGUGAUUAUUAUUAUUAUUUUUUUUUAACAAUAACCUUCAAAACUUUAAAAAUAUCUAAUAUAUCACUGGUUAACCAAAAAGAGUUUGUUCAUUUCCAAAAAUUACUUCAAAUAUCCCCAAAAUCUUAGGGUUUUCUAAUCGGGUUUAGGGUUUAGAAGGACAAUUUGGAAAUAGGAGGUAAAUUUGAAAAUUUUGAAUAGUUGUUAGGGUUAUAUAACCAAAAGCCCCUUUUAUCAAAUUGUUUAUUUUGUUUUCAAAUUGCGCACUAUUUAUAGCUUUUAUGUUCACUAGAAAGGCCGAAAAAGAGGAAAGAAGAAGAAAGAAAUUAAUGGUGCAACACAAAUAUAAAUAUACUAAGGAACGAGUAAGAAGAAUACAAAAAAGAAAGAUAACAAGAAGAAGAAGAAGAAGAAGGAGGAAAAAAAAUGCAACAAAAACAACAAGUAGAAGAAGGAGAGUGAUUACACUAAUUAGCCCUCGUGGUGCACUAUUUAACCAAAAUAUUGCAUCAUGAGAAUAUUUAUUGCGAGUUCGGCUAUGGUGCUUUUAAAAGCACCAAGCAUUUGGUGCCUGCAAGUUUUUCACCAUUAGAUCUAUCCCUUUGACCAAUUUUAAUUCUUAGAUCAUAUUAUUCCACCAACUACCCACUCAACCCAAAGGGCCUAUUUAUUGCACUAUUUAGAAAGAUAAUAUACUAUUUUUGGCUAAAUUAUAGAAAACUCUUUGUUAAAAUCUCUUUUUUUGUUUUCUCCCUUGUCAUUUAAGAACAUACAUUUUGCUUUUUUAAAAAAUAAAAAAUGUUCAUAGAGGGUACGGUAUUAUAACUAUAUUGACAAAAAUGACCAAAAUGUCCUCUCCAUACUUGUCUCCUUCCCAACCCUCCUUCAUCUGUGGUCUCUCCACUUCCGUCCUUUGUGACUCCCACGACCCCAACUCGCUCUCCUCUGCUGCCUCACCCUCGCUCUCCUUCAUUUGGUGACGGUGGGAAGAGGUUGGGGUGGGCGCGGAUAGAGAGUGGGCGAGGGUGAGACGGUGAAGGAUGCGAGUGUAUGGGUGUGGGCGUGAACGAAGGGAUGAGCGAGGUGAGGCGGCACGGCCGACGACGUCGUCGGUGAGGGGAGGGACGCGGCGCUGCUGAGAAGUGGUAGAAGGGUAUAUUGGGUAUAAAAAAAAAUAUAAUAUUAGGAUAUAGACGAAACACUAACGGCGGGAUCCGAAGCGAAUAUUUUUUAUUUUUUAAAAGGGCAAAGUGUAGGUUUUUAAAUGACAGGGAGCAAAAGUAAAAAAAAAAAUUUUGUCGAAGGAAUUUUCUAUAAUUUAGCUUCUCUCUUUUUUUUUUUUUUUUUUUUUUUUUUUUUUUUUUAAUGUUUGUCCAAUUUUUAAGCCGGUCAGUUUUUGAAAUGAUCUCAAACAAGAAACGAUGAGGCACGCUCAUAGAAAUGCGUAGUUCUGUAGGUCCCGUUAAAAAAUGGUACCAUACGCGAGACAUCGGAAUAUACAAAUAGACGGUGCAAUCUUCUCACAUAUAAUUUUAUACAUAUUCUUGGUGUAAGAGGUAUUUUGGUCAAAUUUUUGAAAAUUUAGAUUGAUUCAUGUAUAUAAAAUUGCAAAAUUAGCAAUUUUUUAAUUAAAAAAAUAGUAUAUAAAUAACUGUGGAGAGACGUCUGUGAUAGGGGUGGAAACGAGCCGAACACGAGCUGGCUCGUUAAAGUAUCGAGCCGAAAAAUUCAGCUCGUGUUCGACUCGUUUAUUAACGAGUUGAACAUGAGUUGGCUCACGAGCUGACCAACGAACAAUAAAUUACAAAAGAUUAGAUUAAAUAUAUAUAUAAAAUAAAUUUAUAAAAUUUUAUUCAUUAGACUUUGAUCUAAUAGUUGAAAUUUUACAAAUAAAUGUGUCUUUUUAUAAUUAAGCUUGUAUUUAUAUUUUUAUUUUACUAAAAAUUAAAUAAUAAAAAUAUAUAUUAUAUAUAAUUAUUUAUUUAUAUAUAAAAAUAUAAAUUAAAUAAAUUAUAUAAAUAUAAAAUAUAUGUAUUCGAGCGGUUAUCGAGCCGAGCACGAGCGAGGUGACCCAGCUCGUGUUCAGCUCGUGUUUGACUCCUUUACUAAACGAGUCCCGAACUCAUUUCGAGCUGAACACAAAUCGGCUCGGGAACACCGAGCUGGAUUGCGGCUCCUAGUAUGUGAUAUUUUGUUAAGGUUUUGGGAGGGACGUCUGACGAUGCCCUCGAAGAAAAUAACUAUCGGCUGACGGCACAAUGGCCUGACGGCCGCGCUCCGUGCUCACCUUCAAAGCCGCCAGCGGUCUCCGAAGAUACCAUCUGCCAUUUUAUCGGCGGCCUUGUCCUGCCAAAUUUCGACAUUGCAUCUCCGCUGCCGCAUUUGCUCUGUUCUCCCCCUUCUUUGAGAAGGUACGGCAUUUUUUCUGAUUUUUUGGGGAGAAUUUUGCUCAGAAGCGAAAUUAAUUUGUUCCUGUUCUGUUAGUUAAAUUCAGCGUGCCCAAAUUUGUUCGUAACAGGUUGAGGAAAUUUGAAUCAUGCAGAUGAUUUGCUGAUGCAAACAUCUUUGCUUCCUAUCAGAUUGUUAGCAGCAAGGAUUGAAGUAUCCAUCGGCACAGAGCACGAUGCAGUUUCAGCGCUGAUGACACAGUUUAAAACUUAUUUUUUCUUUAAAUUAGUAAGUAAUAAUUUUCUCAAAAAAGUUCAAAAGGUUUGAUAAAGAUACAUAAUAAGCGAUUAGAAUAUUUUGUUAUUAAAAAAAAUAAAUAUUUUAUGCAAUUAUGCGUGGCACGCAUAUAUUUUUUGUGAGUGACCGGCAUGCAGAGGCACAGCUUGACACGCAUCGUGCCGUACUGUGUCAGUAAAUUUUCGGCACGAUCCCGUGUCACGACACUUAAAUCUUUAGUUUAGCGGAUAUCAAAGAGGAAUUAAUGAAAGUGGGUUUUGUUGCUUGUUAUUCAUUAUAACUUUUCAACUUAGUAUAUGCAAAGAAUAAUAUAUCAUUCACUAUAAUAGCAAUUUAAGAUUUUUUUUUUCUUUUUCAAAUAUAAUUUAAAUUACUGUUAAAAAUCAAUAUUUCUUCAUAUGGAUCCAUCAACCAGUGACUCUUAAGGGCAAUUUGGUUCAUGAUUGAAAUGGGAAUGGAAAAUGGAAUCAGAUUGCACUGGAAUGGGAAAUGGAAUGUUGAAUCAUCCAAAUAUGUUUGGUUCAUUAUUGGAAUGAAAAUUGAAAUGAACAUUUAGGAUUUUGAGAGAGUGUUUUGGUUACAAGACAGGAGAGUGAUGAAGGGAGAGGAGGGGAAGGUGUUUGUUUGAGAAGGUUUUGAGCAGUUUACUUUCGAAUGGUUCAAUCCGCGAUUCAAAACCGGAUUGGGCCAUAAAUGGAUUAGGCCAUUCCUAUUCCAGAGUAGAAUAGGAAUUGGAAUCCAAUUCCUGUAAACCAAACAAUAACUAUCGGAAUCAAUGAAUUCCAUUCCGAUUCCAUAGUCUAAACUGCGUGAACCAAACAAGCCCCAACUGUCUCCCUAGUCAUCUCUGGUAAAGUUAUUUCUUUCUGAAAAUAUAUGGAGUGUGUGGGAGAUACUAGGCUUUCUGUAUAGCUAGUAUCAAUGAUAUUCCUGGAUCAUUGCUUGCAGAGAAACAAUUUUGUCCCUAGGACAAUGCAAUUUGUGUGCCUCCGACUUAGGGUUUAUCGCUACAACUUUUUCUUUCGCUACUUUAUAACUUCAACUUUAUUCUUGGCUGUCAUAUGUUAAUUUUAUACUAAUAAGGAAAUUAACCCUAAUUUCAUUGUAGUCCAUCGAAAAUUCUUUGAAUUUGCCAGUAAAUUUAUAAUCAAACGAUUUAGCAUAGAACUCAAAUUCUAUUUUAGAUGCAGACUAAGCUUGGUGAUAGACAAGACCCGUGAUUUGUCAAUUGAUUGGCUCUCUAUAAAGAACACUAUUUGUUGUUCAAGGUACCUUAUUUGUGCCUUUCUUGAUGUAUGGUAGAUUGAUUCACCUUUAAUAUUCAAUAAAUGCAACUGAGUCAGAAGAGAAUGUUUUCCUAUAGUAUUUCUGAUGCUAAAUAGUAAGUUAAUUCUCUAUUUACUUUCGAUUUUAUUUUUAUUGCCAUUUGUUUAUUCUUAUUCAGAAAUCAUAGGUAAAUGAAAAGUGAAAAUAUUAUAUGAAAACUUAUGUUGUGGAUGAUGUAGCAUUGGACGAUUAGUCCAUUCUGAUAAAAUUUUACCACUGUCUGUAGAGUAAUAGGAAGUUUCAUCUCAAUAAAUUGAGCAUGAUUCUUUAGCCAUCUCAAAUUCCAUAUGGGAGCGGCAAAUAUGAUUUUUGUAGUUUUUCUUGUCGACAGCACUAGUUCUCUCUUAUAUAUUGGACGUUAGUAAUCAACAAGGAUUUUACUGCCGUGUGUCACGCCCCUACGCAGAUAUAACAAGCCGAUGAGAGCAAGUUGCAUCGAUCAAUGAACGAAAAAGGGUAGUAACAACAAGGUAUUAGUAGAAGAAACUGCAUGUGAGCAUGUAAAAGAAACAACAGUCUUGCACUAUAGCAUGAUAGUAGACUAUGUCUGAUGAACUGCAACCAAUGUAUGACUAAGCAUCAACCACAUCUUGACCCAAUCUACGAUGUAAUUUUUCAGUCCUAGGGAGGCCAUAACUUUUCAGUUCCCGACUGCUUAUUCUCUGGCAAAGCCUUAACUUCUCAGUCUCUGACAAGGUCCUAACAUUUUAGUCCCAAGUUACUAUUCCGGAAGAACUCAUCCUAUUACGAGGUUGAUCGGAUCACCGUGGUGGUGACAUGGGAGCAAAGCAUCAUGUCAUUAUGCUCUAUGAUCAACAAUAUCGGUAGCAGUAGGGGAUGUCCAACAUCUUAACUACAACAACAACAGCAACAACGGUAGCCGCUUUGGCUAAUACAUGAAUCACUGUACUAACCCAUAGUGUCAUCAUGAAUGUGUGCAGGUUUAGCUAGCAUGCUUUCAAUGACAAGUAAGGCUACAACAUAGAUAUGCGGGUGAGUAUGCUAUAAGCAAAUAAAUAGGUAUAUCAUGACAGUAAACAGGGAAGUGAAGCAAAAAUACAAUAAACAAGUAUUCAUGUCCUCCUCAACCAAAAUAUAAUGCCAAACUACUACAUGGAUGCCAUGAACCAACAAUAGCGAGAGAAGUGUUGAGAGAAUAGAGCCAAUUCACCAGGGUUUCUCUAAACUUCUGAUUGAGCACUCACCUAGUUUAGUUUGCUUGGCGACUAGGAUGCGUUUCUAGCUCCUUGAUUGUUGCUCGGACCUAAAGAGGAGAUAAACACAUCAUACAACGCACUAGGGUUCCACUUGCAACCAAGAAACCAUGAAGGAACUCAAAUUUGGUAAGGUUCUGGAACUUGAGGUUGAGGUUUCAGAACCAACACUGGGUUCCGGAAUCUAUUGCCAAGUUCCACAGAACACGAGCCUGCUUCCAGCCUUCCACUGUCCUUGUCCAUUGAACUAGUUUAAUUGUUUUAAGUUUCCGUUUUUAUUUUUUUUCAGUGCACGUAAUUUUCCUGUGAAAAUUGCAAUGAGACUAAUUAAUCUUCUUCCUCGACAGAAGCAAGGAUGAUUGAAAGUGAAAGCAGUAGUUCUGAUUCUGCGGACCUGGAGGAACCUGCCAGUUCCAUGACUAGGGAAUUAAACAAUUACCAGUUGCUACGAGUUACCCAUGAGAAAGGAACAAAAUUAUGCUUGAUCAGUAAAGUCCCACAACACAUCUAUGAGUUCAAUUCAAAUGCUUUCAAGCCAAUCGUAAUGGCCAUCGGUCCUUACCACCACGGGACUCGAGAACUUCUAACUAUGGAGAAGGUUAAGUGGAACUGUCUGAGUUAUGUCCUCGGAUUGAAUCGUGAAAGAGAUUUAGAGAACUACGUUACGGCAGUUGAGGAACUCGCGUUACAAGUAAGAAACUGUUACUCUGGGGAAAUUACCAUAGAAAAUAACAAGUUUGUACAAAUGCUCUUGCUCGACGGAUGCUUCAUACUCGUGGCUCUUUGUGCGACUGACGGAAUUGCAGCAUCCUUACCAGAAGUAUAUGAUGGGAAUGCUGAUUGUCAGGAAAUAACAGCCGAAUAUGGAAUAGGACGAGACGGUGAGCCGAGGAGCAUGAAGAACAAGAUUGUAAUGAGUGACUCCACCACGGAGAAAUCAAUGCUUGAGGUGGAACCAAGCCGGGUGGAUAGUCAAUACAGAAUCAGGAACUGUGGAAUUGACAUUGAGUAUGGCCAAAAUUAUAGUUCUGAUCAGAUGGGACUCUGGUACACAAAUUUUCUCGCACACGACCUGCUCCUGCUUGAGAACCAAAUACCUUUUAUUCUUGUAAAGAGAAUUUAUGAGCUAGUUUUAGGUAACAACGUGGUGAUUCCCUCACUUACGGAUAAAAUUGCCGGAUUCAUAGAAGACAUUCUUAUUCACUACCCAAAAUCCAUUCUAGAAUCAGACAGGCCGAAAGAUUUUAACCAUCUGCUCCACUUGUGCCAUAUGUAUUUCAAGCCUUGUCGGGGGACGGAGGGCGACAGUCAUCAACAUCAGGCAAAGCCUCGAUUCUUUCACCGUUUUCUUCAUUUAGAUCACAAAUAUUUUGAAGUCGAUUGCUUACCAGCUGGUCAGCUAAGACGUUGGCGACGGGCAGUGCAUUACCAUGAAGCAGGAGUUGUAUUUACGAGAAAAGAGCUCGACAAAGAGCAUCCCCAUUCGCUUUUGGAUAUAAGAUUCAGUAAUGGUGUGGUGGAAAUUCCGUGUUUGCUUAUUGAUGAGAACACUGAUUCUCUUUUCAGGAAUCUAAUCGCAUUUGAGCAAACAUGUCCUCAAUUUGGGAACAACUUCACUGCAUAUAUUUUUUUCAUGUCUCAGCUCAUCAGCAUGCCAGCUGAUGCCACUCUACUUGUUCAGAGAGGAAUAGUUGUGCACCAAUUGCAUAGGGACGAAGAUGUGUCGACUCUUUUCACAAAGCUCAAUAAAGAUGUUGUGUUCGAUUUCAAUGGUGACUAUUACCUAAAGUUGAUGUCUAGCGCGUUGGAAGCGCACUACCAAAGUCGUCUGAAUCGGUGGGUGGCGUGGUUGCGGAACAACCACUGCAGCAAUCCAUGGUUGGGCUUAGGAGUUCUUGCGGCGACUGUCGUGCUUUUCUGCACUCUAGUGCAGACGCUGAUUGCCGUCUUGUCCUACAUAAACCCGCCAUGAUCACGUCAGCAGAACGCUCGACCAACAGCUCAAAUUCAUAUGCCGGUCUGCCGUAAAAAUGGCCGACUGCUUUGAAGCUGUCCCUAUGUCGGUUUUUGCCCGUUUUCACAGAGGUAUAUUUGGUCCUCCAUGCAUUUCCUUUUAACUGUAUAUUUUUGCCUUUGGAUUGUCUGAUGCAGUAUUAAUUAUGCAUACCUGUCUUUCUUGUAUGACGUUGUAGGUAUUUCAUAAAAAUGCACAGAUCUUAUCCGAAGCGAGGAUUUAAGUGCGCAUUGGCACGGGCCGUAUCCAUUGUGCCAUAUCAUACCAGCAAGAUAUUGGCAGGAUACAGUCUCAGUGCUGAUGAUAUAGCUCAAAAUUCUCUUUUCGGUACGACCCUGUGCCACGACAAUGAAAUCCUUGAUGUGAAACAUACUGCAUAUUGAAAUAAAUAUCUGCACUUUAAAAUUUUUUAUUGUACAAACAAACCUUAAUAGUGUUUUUGAAGUUGGUACCUAUUUUACUACCUAAUCUUAUCGCUAUCUGUAGUAUUCGAUAAAUUAUUCUAUAAGUAACAGGAUAUUGUGUUACCUGACGAAAUAUAUAUUUUUAUAAUGUUUACACAUACUCUAUGGUGAGAUUAGGUAAUAAAGUAAAAAUUCCUCAAAAGUUUAGGUAUCAAUUUCAAAAGCUUUGAAAUUAUUUCGUUUGUCGGGUUUAAGAUUCGUAAAUAUGUAUAUCACAUUUGAUGUCAAUCAGUUGACUGUUGAUGCAAAGAAACAAUCGAGACCGUUGAAAUGUAGAGUAAAUGUUCAUAAUACUAACUCUUUUUUUUUUUUUUUUCCUAGGGCUCAUGGGUCACUGUGUUCAAGUCAUAUCCUGUUUUAUGUCUCAGCAGAAGCAAUUGGGAUCGCCACAAUGUGGAACAAAAUGAUUAUGAUCUAAGUUUCUCUAUAAUCGAUGAGUCGCUGUGUUUGAGUCAUUUACUUUGUGUUAUGUCUAAUGUAUUACAUACGUGGCUAUAAUUCUCGUAUGUCUGUGUCGGACUCAUGUCCGACGUGGAUGCACCAUGAACGCUUAUUCGAGGUGGGUGCGUCCAUGGUGCAUCCCCCCAAAAAAUAUUUUAUUUUAAUUUUUUUUCUAUGCAUAUAUAAUGUGAGAAUAUAAAUAUUUUGGCUUUUGAUGAAUGAAUAUAAUGUCUGUUUGAACGAUUAAAUUAUGCAUGGUGGAGAUAUUUUUUUUUGAACUAUAUGAACUAUUAUGAAUAAUAUAACAGUGUAUAGCAAGAUUAAUAUUUUAUAUGUAAUAAGUAUAUGUUAUUGUAUAAAUAAUAUUAUAUUUUGUUAGUAGUGCUCAUAUCUUGUCUGUAUCCUUUUUUUUUUAUUUAAACUUGUCGAAUAGUAAUGUUCGAGUUGUGUCGUGUAUCGUGUUCGUGUCUGCGACACCUAAAUUAUGCCUGUGUAACCUAGCUUUAGAUUUUUUUUUUUGAUUUAAGUUAUUUCCAUAAAUUAAAUUGAGGGUGAUUUUGUAACUUUUUGGGUCGAUGGAGUUGCAGAUAUUGCUUACUAUUAAUGAGUUUUAGUUAAUUAAGCUGUUAAUUUUAAAUAAUUGAUUAUAUUAUAACAUUUGUAACCGAAUAUUUUGUGAAAUUUCAUAUAGAUUUUUAAUUCUCAUAUUUUAGAGUAUGAUGUGUAAGGUAAAUUAAUUACUAAUUACUUUACAGUUUGGUUUGAAAAAUAGUCUGGCUACUAUAUACUCCUUAUGAGUAUAAAGUUUUUUGUACUCAUAAAUUUUCGAUCGUUAGAUUUAUCUCUUUGACUAUUCUCAUCCCUUUGAUCAUAUUAUUCGACCAACUACCUACUAAAUCUUAGGGGAUCACUAUCAUCCUAAUCGGAGACUACUAUCAUUCUAGCCACAUCUCUUCAUCCAAUGACCGAAAACUUUACAAAGGAUUUUAUACUCAUAAUGCAACAUCAGUAGUAAUCUCAUUUAUAAAUCCAAGUUAGCUGGAUGUAUCAAAAUAACAUACAAUGUUACAUAACGCGACCCAAACGGGCCCUAUGAGUAUAGAACUCUUUGUACUAUAAAAUUUUUGGUUGUUAGAUCUAUCCAUUUGACCAUUUUCAUCCAUUAGAUCAUACUAUUCGACCAACCACCUACUCAACCUUAGGAAAUCACUAUCAUCCUAACCACACAUCUUUUCAUCCAACGAUCAAAAACUUAUGAGUACAAAGAACCCUAUACUCAUAAGAAUUGUGACGCCCUAACUUCCGAGGGGGUUACCCAUCCGAGGACUAUUCCCGUCCUAGCAUGCUUAGCUCUCUUAACCUCUUGGGCCCAGCCAUCACCCAAAAUGCUUAAGCUGGGUUAAGAGUUUAGUCCAAUUAUAUCAUAUAUAUAUAUAUAGGACUAACUGGGGUCUCACAAUCUCCUCAUCUUUAAGCCUUGACGUGUUAGUUAGGCUCAGAUUCAUAAGUACCAAGCGAUGUGAGACUCUUUUUUCUAGCCAUAACCGACUUCGUGGGUGGGCACGCUUCACCCACAAUAGUCAACAGCAUGAGAGCCUCGCUUUUCCCGCUAUAUAAUUCUCGCUCAGCCAAGACUCAUCUCACACUUCAAGCUGGUAAUUAGCUCUUAUACCAACUGUGACGCCUUAACUUCCCAGAGGGUCACCCAUGACCCCCAAGGACUACUCCCAUCCUAAUAUGCUUAACUCUCUUAACCUCUUAGGUUUAGCCACCACCCAAAAUGCUUAAGUCGGAUUAAGAGUUUUAAGCGUGCUAGGAUGGGAGUAGUCCUUGGAUGGGUGACCCUUUGGGAAGUUAGGGCGUCACAGUUGGUAUCAGAGCCAAGUACCAGAGCCGAAAGUGUGAGAUGAGUCUCAGCUGAGCCGGGAUUAUACAGUGGGGAGAGCGAGGCUCUCAUAUUGUUGACUGUUGUGGGUGGAGCGCGGUUACCCUAUAAAGUCGGUUAUGGCUAGCGACACGAGUCUUACAUUGCCUGGUACUUGUGAGUCUGAACUUGACGAGGACGUCAGGACUUAAAGGGGGGGAGAUUGUGAGACCCCAGGUAGGCCACCUUAUUUUUUCUUCCUCUCAAAAGAGUCAUUUCUUAUACACUCCCGCACACACACACACACAUGUGAGACAAAGGAGAGGGUUCUCUAUUUCUCUCUAACUCACAUCUCUCUCUUCUUCUCUUGUAAUCUCUCCACCAAAGGAUAAAUUGGAGGAGAUUAAGCUUGAAAGAAGCUUGAAAGAGAGGAUCAAGCUCAAGGAGCUUGGUGAACUUGGAAGCCAUGGUGAGCUUUGGUGAUUUGAGUUAUGGUUUGGGUUAAAUCCUUUAAAAUUGAUGUAUUCAGAAUCUCUAGAUUAUUCUAAACUAGUUUGAUUAAGGGAUUAUCAAGAUUGAUGAGGUUUUCUUGUAAAAUUUGAAACCCUAGGAUAAGACAAAUGUAGUACCCUUAUACUUAUAUAUAUAUAUAUGUAUAUAUUGUAUGGAUGCCAUGUUGCCUUUGCAUGCAUGGCAUGCUUAUCCAUUUCCUUAAUUAAGAGAUGCACCCGCACCUCCUUAAUUAAUUUUUCCUUCCUCUCUUUUCUCUGGAGCCGUACGCAAGGACGAGGAGAACCCGGUUGAAGCUUGGAGCAACGUCGACGUCGCGUCGCGGAGCCGUUCGAGCGCGCGCGUGUUACCGUAGCAUCGCGAGGAGGCCGGGCGAGGGUGCGAUUCCGUCGUUCUCGACGUCUCGCCGUUGUCGGACGCGCUUUCGAGGUGGGUUUAUCAUCGGAUUUCUACUCCUAUAGCCUUGUUAGUCAACAUGUAUAGUUAGGAUAUCUGCGUUGGUACUGUUUAGCUCAGAUUCAUGUUUAUGCAUUGUUCUAGGCCUAUAUAUUGAAUUGGGAGCAUGUUACUGUUUGUUAUUACUUAUACAUGUUGGACUUGGAUAAAACAUAGGAGAAAACCAGUGUUCGGAACCUGUCAUAUGUUAAACUAUCUGAUUUAGCCUUAGGGGCCGUUGUACUUUUAUACUGUUGCAGUAUCCUCAUAGUGAGUAUUCCAGGUAGUUCAGAUUUCAGUUAUGCUCGUGCUGGGAUGCCGAGCCGAUUUUUACAGUAGUGUUUACAGUGUUCCGGACUAGUGGGUGCCGUAGUGGUUGACGGCGGACCCGGAAUUGAUUGUUUCGGUAUCAGAUUGUGCCGAGAGCAUGUGACCAGUGGUUGGUAGUACUGUUAGACCUGUUUUUUGACUUUAGCCUGUGAGAGCCUGAUUGAGCUCGACAGAGAUACGCUUGCAUACUCGGGUGGGUCGCGCCCACGAGUGCCGCUCCGGAGUCUGGCUCUGUGCUUUUGCGUUGAUGUCGCUGAUUAGUUGCUAUCCACGGACUGUUUAGCGUGGAGGUAGCGCGGCUUAGACAGGCGGGACGGGUGCGUACACAGUCCCUAUUGAGAUUGGGUCAGAAUUGAUAAUAAACACAGUUGAAUAGUGUAGUGGCAUGUAGCUGUAAAUUUCUUUCGAGCUUUACUUACCAGUUUCGUUUCCUACUGUAGUCUUAGUGGGUGAGUCGAUGAUUUUGAGGCCGGUACCCACUGAGGACUACUUAUUUUUAUAGUAGUUCUCACGCCUAGUUGUUACUUUGUGUUUUGCAGAGCCUGCUGUUCCGGCUACUGCAUCUUCCGAGGCUGAUCGAGGCAAGGGCGUCGCGAGUUAGAGCCCUACCCGACGAGUUGCUGAGAUAGAGGAUCCACCUCUGCAGGUAGUUCUGGUUUAUUUUGUUAAGUUCAUGUACAUACAGUUGUUAUAACUCGCUGGAGCGAGUACUUUUGUAUAGCGUUUUGUUGUAUGUAUGUGAAACUUGUUUUAUUCUACCUGUUUGGGUUUCUUUACAGCUCUAUACUACUGGUUGUAGUAUUGUAUAUUUUCAGUUACCGAUACGCUUCGUAUACAGGGAAAAUUCUUUGUAUACGGCGGAUUUGUCGACGUGCCCGGAAAAUUGUGUAAUCCGGGGCGUGACAACAAAUGUAAAUGUAAUAUGGAUAUGACGAAUGUUUGUAAUAGUGUAGUAUUAUGUUUAUGAUGCCCUUCUUAUACAAUAUGUAUAUGAAUUCUAUUCCUAAUUGAAUUAUAUUGAUUGUGACGUCUUGGGCGGACAGAAAAAAUUUUGUUUGUUCCGCGAUCUGUCUGCGUGCCCGAACUAACCAAAGUGGCGAUCUCGGGGCGUGACAGAUAAGGUGAUAUCACUAUCUGGGAUCUUACAAUCUCCCUUCCUUUAAGUCCUGAUGUCCUCGUCAGACUCAGACUAACAAGUACCGGGCGAUGUGAGACUCGUCUAGCUAGCCAUAACUGACUUUGUGUGGUAGCCGCGCUCCACCCAUAAUAGUCAACAGUAUGAGAGUCUCGCUAUCUCCACUGUAUAAUCCUGGCUUAGCUGAGACUUAUCUCAUACUUCCGGCUUGUAAUUGACUUGAUACCAACUGUGAUGCCCUAACUUCCCAGAAGGUCACCCAUUCAAGAACUACUCCCGUCCUACCACGCUUAACUCUCUUAACCUCUUGGGUCUAACCACCACCCAAAAUGUUUAAGCUGGGUUAAAAGUUUAGUCAUAUUAUAUUUUAUAUAUAGAACUAUCUGGGUCUCACAAAAGUAUAGUAGUACUAGCCUUGAAAAAUAAUAGAAAAUUUUAUAAAGUGAUUGGAUUGAAAUAUAAAUCAAGGUUUAGUGAUUUAAUUGAAUUAUAUUAAAGUUCUGUGAUCGGAAUAAAAUUUCACCAAAAGAUAAAGCACAAACAAUGUAAUUACGAGUAUUUUAAAAACUAGGUGGAAAAGCAAACCGAAAAUUUUAUUUGGGCAAGGAUCACUAAUUUUAUUUAGGUCAAAUUAGGUAGAUACAAGUUUUUUUUUUCUUCAAAUUUUAUUUCUCAUAAUAGAAAAAAAAUAGCAAAAACCUAUAAUAAGAUAAAAUAAAUAAUUACAUUAACCUAAAAAAAAAAAAAGAAUCCGACCGGUUGCUCAGAAUCGGACUGAUUUAUCGGUUGACUAAUUGAACUGUUUGGUUUGAAUGGUACAAUCUGGGUUUUAAAACAUUAGUAAUUUUUUUCAUGUAAAAUAGUUUACUUGUGUGAAUAUCAUCUAUUACUAUAUAGUAAAGUGCGUGAAAUAUUCUCCUUUUAUUGGCAUGUGUACCGCUUAUAUGCUCGAUAUAUCCGGUGCAUUAUAUGUCUAUAAAAAAUAUUAGUUUAUAUAUAUANNNAUAAAAUUUACGGAUAUAUAAUUUUUUAUAUUUUAAAUGUUUAUAUAUAUAACCAUAAAAUAAAUUUAAUUAAUUAAAUUUUAUUUCACAAUUUUAUUUUUGAUAUUUCUAUCAUACAAAUUUUUUACACUAUUCAAUAGUGAGGAGCUAUUAUUUAUGGACACGUGUCCAUUCCAUGGGUGCACUUGAUGCACCAUGGAUCCAAUAAGAAAAAUAUAAUUUUAUUUUAGUAAAUAUACAUUAAAUUUAGGAAUAUUCACAUAUAAAUAUUUUAAAUAUUAUUAACUAAAUUGAGUUAACUAAUAUUUAAUUUUGACAUCUCUAUUGUACAAAUUUACUUAUAUACAUGAGAUAUAUAUACACACUAGCUGCAGUCAAUUACUAUAUAUUAAAAGGCGUGGAGCACCCUUCAUUUGUUGACGCGUGCCCCACCCGUAUAUUUGGUGCACCAAGUACAACGUAAUCCUAUAAAAAAUAUUAUUUUAUUUUAAUAUAUAUAGAUCUAAAUUCUAUACUUUAUAAUAUAUAGGCAUUUAAAAUACCAUAAAAUAAAUUUAAUUGAUUAAAUUUUAUUUUCAAAUUUGUAUUGCACAAAUUUAAACCGUGUUUAUGAAAUGUGCACAUACACCAUGUGCAUGCAAUAAUUUUCAAUGGAAAGGAGCCAUUGUUUGUGGACAUGUGUCCAUUCUACCGAUGCAUUUGGUGCACUAUGGACCCAAUAGGAAAAAUAAAAUUUUAUUUUAGUGAAUAUGUCUAAAAUUUAUAAAUUUUAAUAUAUAAAUAUUUUAAAUAUUCUAAAAUAAAUUGAAUUAACUAAAAUUUAGUUUUCACAUCUCCAUUGUAUAAAUUUAUUAGUAUGUAUGAGAUAUAUGUAUAUAAACUAGGUAUGGUCAAUGAGUUCGACUAAAUGUCUCAUUAACCUUUAACUGUUUUGAUUUGAGCUAAUAACAGUUUCAUUGCCUACCAACUAAUAAACCAAUUGGAGUACUCUCCUAUUUUUUGUCAAUUAUCUAUUGUAAGUUCUAAUUUUAGAAAAAUUAUAUCUAAUUUCUUCAACAGUUUUAUACUUUUGAGAAUUUUUUUUUUUUACAGAAUAAGUAAGAGUAAUUUGAUCAUUUCGCCCUCUCCAUUAACGCCGUCGUAAUCCCUUGAAAAUAUUUCUGAAAUGUUGGUGGUAAAUAUAAGUUUUUGGAAGUUCGAGGUGGCAAGUGAAAAAUUCGGUAUUUAUAGGAAGGUUUUCUGCACUUUAGCCAAAAAUUCAUUUAAAAUUUUUUUGCAUGCAUUUUCAAAUAUGGCUAUAGGUGAGGGGUCUCCAUGCACUUUGGUUUGGUUUGGAUUAUACACAUUCUUACCAUUUUUGUAUGCAUGUAUACAUAUUACAUUACUUCUUAUCACAAUACUCAAUUUUUUUUUGUGUUAAUUAAACUUUUUGGGCAUGUAAUAAUAUGCAUAAUAAUAACUCACUUUUGAAUCCAAAAUCAUAAAUUAAGUCAUAAGAAAUCUAAGUUACAAAAAUAAGAAUGUCGAAAUCGAUCGGCCGAAUCGAUCCAACCCGAGUUCUUUCGGUUUAAUUCGGUUCGGUUUGAGAAUAAAUUGGCUCGAUUCAAUUUUGGUUUGAAACUUCUUGCGUACUGAACUAGACGCGGAAUCGAAAACACACGUAGAGCGCGUUUGGUUCGCCCAUUUUUUCACCCUGGAAUGGAAAUCGGACUGGACGAAUACGUUAAUUUGUCCGUGUUUGGUACGCGGCAUUUCCAUUCCAAUUUCGACACUGAUUCGCCUAAAAUCUUUUUCCAACCACUUGAGAUACUAGAGAUGCCCUAAGGCUAGGCAUUGGGAGCAUGGAAUUGGAGAAAUUGAACCCUUGCUACUUAGUUUUCCUGAUUAGAUUCCGGAACCACCUAAGCAUGUUCCGAAACUCGACACUUUAGGAUGAAACUUCCUUUCUUUUCUCUCUUUUCUUUUCUUAUCAAUAUUUUAUAUUCUGCUUUUGAAACUCUGGGAAUUACAUGUGGCAUGGGGUCGUGCCAAAAACUUCCUGGCAAAGUAUGCCAUGGUGCUUGCCGUGACCUACUGUGUCGUAUCGAGCCGUGCUAAACUGUGUCGGUCACAAAAAUACCUAUGUGCUAACACACUGUGGCAUUAUAUAUAUACUAGUGUAGUAACCCGCGCGAUGCGGCGGAUAAAUAAUAAAAGAAAAAAUAAAAAAUAUUGAAGAGGAAGUAGAAAAGAGUUUGGAAAAUAAAAUUUCAAGUGUGUUUUAUUUUUUGGAUAGAAAAAUGUAUGAAUUGAGCUAACCAAUAUGAUCAUUGAAAAUCGAUAAAUGCCUAGAAUCAUUAUUAAAAAAAACUUACAAAAGGUCAUAUGAAGAUAGAGAUGAUAAUGUUGCGAUGAUGACGACAAUGGUGAUAAAAAUCUCAUAAAAAUUUGCAGGAUUUUGCACUCUUUUGGAUAUGGAAUGAUCAGAAGUUGCGGAUCAGAACUACCACAUAAAUUAUAAAAUCAAAACUAACAUCUAAAUUAAUCAAAAUAAUGCACAUAAAUCAAAUCCUUGAUUGAUGCAACCACUAUAUAAAAAAUAAUGUAAAUAAAUUAAUUCUAAAUUGAUACGUAGUAAGAAUUUGCGAUUAAAAUAAAGAAAAGAAAAAUUAGGUUUAGAAUUUUCGUUUCCCAAACCUACCCCUAAAUCCGAAGGCUUGGAGGACUCCCUUGCUCUUCUCCAAUCUCUAUAUUUGAAUAUAGUAACUAUUUAUCUUCUCCUCUUUUAAUUUUGCAUGUUAGAAAUUAUUUGAGGAAGAGUAAAUGGCAAAUAUUGAAGAGAAAAAACUAAACGUAUAUAUUAAAAAGCACAUUAAUUAUAGGUUAUUGAAUAGAGAGGAGGGGAGGGGAAAAGCCAAAUUAAAAAUCAAUUCAAAAAAUAGGAUUAGUGAGGAUGGAGGAAAGCUUGUCAUGUGGCAAAAUUAUUGGGAAUUCAUAUAGGUUAAUAGAUAUAUAUAUAUAUAGAGAGAGAGAGAGAGAGAGAGAGAGAGAGAGAGAGAGAGAGAGAGAGUGUGUGUCCGGCUAGGAUACUAUUGCUAGUACCAAGGAUUUGGUGCUAUCGAGUUUUCCACCGUUAGAUUUAAUCCUUUAAUUAUUUUUACUCGUUAGAUUAUACUAUUCAACCAACCAUUCAUUCAACUCUAGGAGGCCCAUAUCAUCCUAACACCACAUUUCUCAAUCAAGGGCUAAAAAACUAUAGUGCCAAUAGCUUUGGUGCCCUAUUGUAGUAUUCCCUAGUUCUUAUUAGUAUAUAUAAUAUAUAUAUAUGAUUAGAUAUAUAUAUAUAGCAGCAUUAGGCUCGGUUAUUUACGUGCACGGAGGCCUUCGUCUGCUACCAAGGUGUUUUUCAAUGGAUGUGGAUUCCAAUCGAUGAUCGGCUUUGAUUAGAUUUGAUCUACACUGUAAAAGUAUUUGAAACUUAAAAUUUCAUAAAAUAUUUUUCGUAUACAUUGAUAUAUCAAACGAAUAGUCAUAAAAUAAUGAACGGUUGAAAAUACAAAAUUCAUAAAAUGAAUGAUAGAAACUGAAUUUAAGAUUAGAGGUAUGAUUUUUCUCCCCCCCCCCCCCCCUCUAAAUGAGUAAAAAAAUUUCGUCUAUAAAAAUUCUUCUAUUUGAAAUUGUCUUAUACACCGUUAAAUUCACUAAUGCGCGAUCACUAUUCUACCAUUAAAAUGCAAUGGGUAGAUUUUUUGAUCACUACAAUGAGUGUCGAAAAUUAUAUAAAUUGUAAUUUUCAAAUACUUUUUAAAGUGGUAGAAUCAAGUCUAACGCAGCGAUCGUCGCAUUUAGCCCGCAUCAUCCAAAAACAACUUGGUAGCACGGAGGCUUCCGGAGGCACGAUGGCUAUUAUAUGGUCGGAUCGAGAUAUAUAUAUAUAUAUUCUCUCUCUCUCUCUCUCUCUCUAUAUAUAUAUAUAUAUAUAUAUAUAUAUAUAUUCUUUGACACCAAUAUAUACAAAUUACUUAUUACAGAUAUUUGUCAAAUCUUUUGUACUUUGUUGAGAUAACUACUUGCUAAUUUUAUAGAAAAAAAAUUUUGAGCCAUGCCAUUGGCUCGAGAGUCUUAUCAUGUGGAUAUAUGUCUGCACACUACGGCACAGUGGGCACGGCCUGUGUCAAUAAGCACUUAAAAUCCUUGGUAAUCAAGUGUGAAGAGUAUCUGCAUGUGGAUAGAAGAACCUAAGCCUCCAUGUCACAAAAAAUUACUAAAUUAUUUUUUUUUUCUAAUUAAAUCAUUAAGUUUUCUAUCAAUCUAAUUAUAUGUUAUUAAAAUGAAUAUGAUCAUUUGAUGCAUUAAAAGGCCUUUCAUCUAAGUUGUGACUAUUUAAACAAAAUCAAUUACCAUCUUCCUAGUCAUCCCUUAUUAACAAUUUAAGUCACAUUGGUACGUAACGGACACAAAGUUAUCCGGUAAGUUCAGUGCGAUUUAAAGUGGUGCUAGUUUCAGGCUGCGUUUGGUUAGAGAACUAAAUUUUGGAGAAUAACUUUUGUUGUUCCCGAGAAUAAAAAAUAUUCCGGUAUAAGCUAGAACAAGUUGUAAAUUACUACGUUUGGAUGUUGUUUGUUUGUUUAUUCCUAGAGAAUAUUCUUGAUAGUGUUUGGAUAUUUAUGUUGGAAUAAGGUGUUGGAAAGAUAAAAAUUAAAUAAAAUGACUGAUUUGCCGUUGAAUGUAAUAAUCAAAUAUAAUUUAAUAAAUUAAGUAUUAAAAUAAAUUAAUUUACAAAUUAAGUAUAUUUGUAUAUUAUUUUGAAAAUAUUAAUUUAGUAGUAUUCAAUUUAAGUAUUUAUUUAUUUUUUUUUGAAACUAAUUUAAAGUAUAAAUAUUUAAAAUGGAACAGCACUUAUUAAAUUAAAUUAAUUAUUCAAUUGAUUUUCUUUAAUUUACUAAAUUAAAUAUUAAUAAGUCAAAAUAGUGUGGCUCUUAUAAAUAAAAAAAAAUUCAAAAAAAAGUCUAAACACAUCCUGAUGAAGGGUUAAAGGGCAAAAUGGUAAAGAAACAUAUCCCCCCAAGUUGUUCCCCCCAAUUCUCCUAUCUGGGGAGAACAAGCUUAACGGGUUGUUCCCGGAACAACCUGUUAAGCCCGAAACAAGGGCCUUAUUCCAUUUUGCAUUGUGUUUGGGGGGAUAAAGAGGGAUAUCCCGCCUUGUUCUGGAAUAUCCCUCCAACUAAUCGCAGUUUUCAGAGUUUCGUGCUCAACUGUUUUAUUCAGUAUAAGAAUUUCUGUUUCGUAGCCAAAACUGGUUUCAGAGGCAAACUUUUGACGGUUAAAUUAGGAUUUAAGUCUUAAUUCUAAUCCCAUCCCAAUCAAACUUAAUUUGAAAUAUUCUAUUAUCUUAUAAUAAAUCCCAAAUUAACUCGAUCUAUAUUUUAAUAUUUACAAACAAAAUAUAGUCUAAUCACAAUUCUAUACAAUCUUGGACUCUUGUUGUAGAAACCUGUUCGAUCCCUUUUUACGCCUAAGUAUUUUCUUAAAUUAUUAUUUUGACAUUACUCCUUUAAAAUAAAGUUCUAUUUGAGUCAUCUAUGAGUCCAAAUUGACCCAAGCAUAUAUCACUCAUCGUAAUAGUUUGGUGCUAUUAAUAGUACCAAAAGCCCCCUCAUAGUUUCAAAAUCUAAAGAAUUUCUAUUUUUUGAUCUUCUCGUCAUCGUAGAUUAAAGAAAUUCGAGAUAAAUUAUUUGACGGUGCAAAUUAAACAUGCUCUUCGAGUGCUCCUGUUUAGGAGUCAAAUUGUUUGGGGCAUUGAUCUCUUGAUCAGCUCAAUAUCUAAUAGACUAUAUUUGGGAUUGUUAAGUGCUUCAAAUACUAUUCUUAAUAAUAGGUUUUACUUGGGAUUAAUGCCUAUCUAUUUAUGUAUAUAUUCCAUCGUUAUCCAGAGUCAAUCACUUGCGUUAAGAAAAUUCAUAUAAAUAAAAAAGCUCCCUUGCAUUAAUCACUAGUAAGAAUACCAAAUCAGGACCGACCGUCCCUAGAGUAAGUGGCAAAGGGCUUGGUGGUUGGUAUCCGAGACCCAAGUUCGAAUCCUAGUUGAUUCACAUUUCCAGCUAAAUUUAUUUUUAAAUGAAAUAAACGAAGCGGGUAUAUAUUAACUCAAUAUUAUGAAAAUCUUCAUAUUGGGGGAAACCAUGAAGAUCUAAAAAUCGGUAACCUAGAUAGGGAACUAAUGAUUAUCAGAAGCCUAGUUUGUGAUAAGGUGGAUGGUAGUGGAUGGUAGUGGAUGGUAGUAGUAAGGUUGGAAUGUAAAGAGGUAGGUUCUUAAUUUUUGAGUCUUCGUGGUUGGAGAACCACGAAAACUCUCAUAAGAUCGAGUUGAGAUAUAUAUAUAUACUCAACCUGACCCGAUGAUAAUCAUCGUUUUAGAAUAACAACGAUAGUCAAAAAAUCGGAAACCUAGUUGAGAAAAGUAAUAAAGAUUGGUAACCUAAUUUAUGAUAUUGGGUCACCCCUGGUGAGUUGGGAUCCCCCUGGAGAGUUGAGAUUGGCUGAUUAUAGUAGGACUGGGAUGUUAAAAAGUAGGUUAUCAAUUUUUGAACUAUCGUUUUUCUCGCAAAAUGAUAAUUAUCAUAAGGUCAGAAUCUCUCUCUCUCUCUCUCUCUCUCUCUCUCUCUCUCUCUCUCUCUCUCUCUCUCUCUCUCUCAUGACCUACGGCCUCUUCCCCCCUACCGAUCGGGUCUUCUCGCAGCUUAAAGAUAAGGACUUUUAGCUCUCGAUCGCGUAAGCGGGUAGCCUGUGAAACUUGGUCUUCUAUUCUAAACGUUCAACUGCGACGCAUUGUCGUCCUAGAGAGUCGGUUCCAGCCUCUGUCUUCCCCUGGCCCCGAAAGAGUCGGUUCGCACCACUGCUAUCCCGGUAAAGUAGCCGCCCUAAACCGCUCAUAAAGGUUGUUCUAUUUUACGCACUAACGACCCGGAGUACUUAGAAAACACACCAGAGAGGUGAGCCGCUCGACGGAGUCUUUCUAUUUUCUAGUUCGUCGUUUGCUGAGCGUCCGCAAUGUUAAAUCUGCUUGGAAAACUUUUGAGGCGGAAACUUCUAGUGUUUUCAAAGCGUCUCUAACUGCGACGACGACGAUCCGUCGGUCAAUGAGAGUGGGAGAACNCCAAGUUGUUUUCAAUGAUGCGGCCUCCAAAUCGACAAUCGGCUCCGUUAGAUUUGAUUUACACUAUUAAAAGUAUUUGGAAACUAAAUUUCAUAAUUUUUCGACAUAAUUUGGCUAGUGAUCAAAAUGUCUCAAAAUUAACAAUUUUAAUGGUGGAUGUGAUGCGUUUGUGAAUUUAACGGUGUAAAACAAUUCAAAUCGGAUGAAAUUUUAUUAGAAAUUUUUUUUCAUUAUUUAGAGUAAGAUUAACACCUCUGAACUUAAAUUCAAGUCUUUUAUCAUCAUUUUUUAUGAGAUUUUUAUUUUUAACCGUUUAUUUUUAGACUACUUGUUUGAUAGGUAAAUGAUGUCGAAAAAUUAUAAAAUUUAGUUUUCUAAUACUUUCAAUAAUAUAGAUCAAGUUUAACGGAGCCGAUCGUCGAUUUGAAAGCUACAUCAUUAAAAAUAACUUGGUAGCACGGAGGCCUUCGUGUCACCAAUAGUAUACCAGCUUAGCUCUCUCUCUCUCUCUCUCUCUCUAUAUAUAUAUAUAUAUAUAUAUAUAUAUGCUGCAGUUUGAAAAACAACUAAAAAUUGGUGAUGAAUUAAUGGUGCAAUCAACCUUUUAAAAUAAAAAAUAAAAAAUGCACACAACUUACACGAACUACGAAGUCUACGAGUCAUUUUAUAUCGGUUAUGCAAUUUUUUAAAAUUUUAAUUUUACUAUUCGACCUUUAAUUUUUUUUUUAAUUUGAAUUUAGUCAAUGGCAUUUUGAUUUUAAAAUUUAGAUGUUUUUGCUUAUCUUUACAGAUUUAGAUUGUAUAUUUCAUAUAAGGCUAAAAUACAUAAAACCUCUAUGUUAAAACCCGAUUUUUUUUUUUUUUUUUUCACUUUCCCUUCCUGUCAUUUAAUAACCUAUACUUUACCUUCUUAUAAAAUGAAAAAUGUUCACUUCGCCCCCUACCGUUAGUAAUUCGUUAGGGUUCCGUUUAUAAUAUAUUAUUAUAUAUUUUUUAUCCCAAAAAUAUCCUCAGCCUUCUCUCCUGUGAAUAUGGUGAGAGGCAAAAUGGUGAAGGGCAAAAUGGUCAUUUUAUCAUCGCAGUUCACACCGUACCCCCUAUGAACAUUUUUUAUUUUACAAAGGAAAAAAGUGUAGGUUUUUAAAUGACAGGAGAAGAAAGUGAAAAAUCGAAUUUUGACGAGGGUGUUUUUUGUAAUUUAGCCUUCAUAUAAUUCUCGCAACUAUAAGUUUAUUAAAGUGAUUGGCACAAAUUUCGAAGUCGAAUACUAUUUGAUUGAUUUAAAUCAAACAAACUAAAAGGUUAGGACUCCAAGAAGAAGAAAAUAAGAAGAUAAAAAGCGGUGAGAACAACAAUAGAGUCAUUAAUCCACACAAAAGUUUACUUUUACUGCAAAACUCUGCAAAUUAAAGCAUUCCAUUGCCACACCCACCUGCUAGUGUAAAUGAUGUGUGUUAUUUUGGAGAAGAGUUCGCGGUGAUUCGUUUCCCGUAUGUUGUAUUAAAAUAAAAAGGGAAACUUCAAAAACUCCCCAUGUGGUUUCACUUUUUCUCACUUUAGUACCUUGUGAUUUAAAGUGUAUCAAGUUAGUACCAUGUGGUUUUAUUUUUGUAUCAAGUUAGUACUCUGUAAUUUUUAAACCACAGGAUACUAAAGUGAGAAAGUGUGAAACCACAGGGUACUAAAGUAAGAAAGUGCGAAACCACAUGGUACUAAAAUGAGAAAAAGUGAAACCACAUGGUACUAAACUUUGACCAUUCUAAAAUAGACAUCUCAACUCUUUUAUUUUUUAUUGACACCCUCAACUUCUUAUUUAUUUUUUUUUUUAAUUUUGUUUGGGAUUUUUUAUUUAAAGGGGGCUGUUCAUUCUUCAAAAAAAGCGUGGAAAACAUUUUUCAAAAAAAAAAACAGAAAACUCCUUUUUUUAAAAAAAUUUUCUGUCCGUUUGAUUCUGAAAAAAAAAGAGAUUUUUGGAAAUUUUUUAGAUUUUAUGUAAAAGUAAGAAAAAUGAAAACACUAUUUUUUUAUAAAAUUUGGAAAAAAAACCUUUUCAAAAAAGAGAUAUAUAUAUUUUUUACAACCAAACGAGCAUAAAAAAAAAAGAACUUUAAAAAGGUGUUUUUCCAUAAAAUUUUUUUCUCAAAAUACUCUUUUCCAUACUUUUCGAUAGAACCAAACAACUCCUAAUCAUAGUUAGUUAAUCCGGAUUCGGCAAAAAUUCGAUACGGGUAUAAUUCGGAUAAAAUUCGUCUUUUAAUUUUUUAAAUUCGUUAAAAAAUACGGCUAAAAAACAGAUUCAUCAUUAUUCGGAUACGUGAUUUAUUCGGAUAUUAUACGUUUACCAAUUAAAAAUUCGGGAUAAAAAAUUCGGCUAUUAAAUUAAAUUUUUUUCUCUCAAGAUUUAUACUAUUAGCAUAAAUAUUUAUAUCUUUUACAAAUAUAGGAAUAAAUAGCUACAAAAUUAAGAUAAUUAAGUAAAAAUUUGAAAAGAAAUUAUUAUUAUUAUUUUUUUGGUCUUAGGCGAGGUGUUUGGAAAGAUUUUUUUUUUUUUUUUUUUUGUAGUUUACUGUUUUGGGCCAGCCGGCCCAAGAGCGCAUGUGACUGCAGGAGCGCGUGCGGGAGCGCAGGCAGGCGCGGGCAGGCGCGUGCGCGAUCCGUUUUUUUUCGCCGAAUAAUUCGGCGAGCCGAAUAAUACGCGAACACGUAUUUUUACUCAAAAAAUCUCCUUUUUUUCGAAUUUUUGGGAAAAAUUCGAAAAUAGCCAUUUAAUUCGGGUUUUGAAAAAUUGGCGAAUAAUUCGCGAAUAAUUCGCGAAUUAACUAACUAUGCUCCUAAUGAGAAUAAUAUUUUUAUCAAAUUUAAUAAAUUUAUCGCUGAGUAGAAUAGCGUAUAUGUGAGGGGUUGCCUACUUUGUUUAUUUUAUUAGAAAUGAACUUAAUUAGAAACCUAAAUCAAUUAGGCUUCGAAUUAACUUGAAACAUUCGGUCCCAUCAGGCUUACAGUCUAAGUUUUCUCUCAGGUAAAUUAAAGGGAAAACUUUAAAAAUCCUCCCUGUGAUUUUGUAGUUUCUCACUUUGCCCCCCUGUGGUUUAAAAUGUAUCAAUUUGCCCUCCCGUGGUUUCUUUUUUCUCUUUUUCUUAUCGAUUUUAUUAUUAUUUUUUUCUUAAAUCAGUGAUAAAGUUAAAAUUAAAGGGUACUAAAGUGAAUAUUUGAUAAAUCUAAAUGGAUAUCUGAAGUUUUUUUGUAUAUAAUUUAAUAAAAUAUUAACGAAAAAGCUACCAAAAAGAUAAAAACGAAACCACAGGGGGGCAAAUUGAUACACUUUAAACCACAUGGUACUAAAGUAAGAAAUAAUGAAAUCACAGGGGAGUUUUUUGAAGUUUUUCCUAGAUUAAAUUCACGUCUUAACUCUAUCAAAAUAUCUAUACGAAUGCAGAUAUGGUCGAUAAUGUAGACUCAAAAUGGUCUAUUUCCAACUAUAUAUUUGGCUACUUUUGCCAUUUCAUAGCAAUCAAAGUUGUGAUAUUGUGUAGCCUUAUCAACUACGGAAACGCAAUUCAUUGCAAUCACCAAAACUUGCAAGGAAAUAUUAUGGAUAAAACAGUUCAUCUAUUAAUUUGGGCUAAACUAAAAUAAAUAUGUUAUUUAUUGUUAUAGUCAAAGUAUUAUUUACUUAUCAAAGAAUUCAACUUUUAGGGACCGUUUGGUUGCAUGUAGUUGCAACUGCAUUGCAGUUGUAACUACAUAUAAAUACAAAUUUCGUGUUUGGUUUGAUGUAUUUAACCCCAACUACUGCAGUAGAAACUGCAGGAGGAGGCCCAACUGCAGCAGUUCGAACUACACCUAAAUUGGCCGCAGUUCCAAAUAUAGUAGUUGGAGAGAGUAAUUUUAAAUAAAAGGUAUGCUUGUCUUCUUAAUAUUUUUUAAACAAAAAUUAUUUUUCUUUUUUACAUUGAAGGUAAUCUCACCAUCAUAUAAAUAAAAUAAUAAAAUUUUAGAAAUUACUUCUCAACUGCAUGCAACCAAACAAAUUAUUUAUACUUACAGCGCUUUCUACUACAUCCAACCAAAUAUGAUUCAUGUAAUUGUAACUGCUGUAUUUUCAACUGCACGUAUCUCUACCUACACUGUAUUUAUAAUUACAUCUAACCAAACGGCCCCUUAUUGUAGAAGCAAACACGUUGAUGUUAGGUGUCAUUGGAUAUGCAAUAUUCUUGAGAAAAAGUUGGCGUUUGAAAAAAAAUUCACACCGAUAAAAAUAUAUCGGAUAUGAUGAUAAAGGCUUUAUUCAAGAAGAAGCAUGAAAUGUGUAUAAGUAUGGCCAGGAGUUAGAGGUGGCAAUCCAGCUCGCUGGCCAGCUCGUGAGCCAGCUCCUGUUCGGCUCGUGUAAUAAACGAGUCGAACACGAGCUGAAUUUUUAAACGAGCCAAACAUGAGCCGAACCCAGCUCGCUCGUGUUCGGCUCGUUUACACCCCUACCAGGAGUUAGGUGCGAAAGUACGCUUGUUUAGUUAGGCCUAUUUUGAUGGGUUAUUUUGGAGUCAUUUAGAUUCAUGGACUAAAUACUCAAGCCUCCGUUUGGUUCGGGAGUAACGAAUAUUGGGAUAAAUUAUUUUAUCCCUGCGGUAACUUUUUAUUCAAGGAUAGUCAUAGAUAAAAGUAAAAUUGUCUUUAAUUACUUCGCAAUGCUGCUAUUUUUAUGAAUUAUUAAAAUUGCAUUUGGCUAAUAUUAUGAAAUAGUAGAGAAUGGUUAAAAAAAAAAAAGGUGAUCUUUGAAUUUGACAAAAUAUAAUUUUUUUUAAAAAAUUAUAGUAAAAUUAAUUUAUUAUAAUAUUUAAGUAUAAAUAAAUAUAUUAAUAUUAUGUAAUUAAUAGUUUUUAAAAUAAAAGGAAUAUAUCAGAUCUACAUAAUUUAUUUUCAUUCAAUUAAUAAUCCUAAUAAAGAUUAGAAAUAAACCUUGGAAAAAUACUAUUCUAACUUAAUAUUUAGGUGGAAUAGUUUAUUCCAAACUAAAUAACCAAAAAUAGUACGAUUUGAUCGGAAUAAAAGGCGCGCACACACACAAACAUGUUAAAUAUAAAUAUGGAUAUAAUAUUUAAAACAUUGUUAUAUGAUAAUUUAAACUUUUAUAAUUUACGAUUGUUUCACAUAAUUUUAUAUAAUAUCGAAGCAGAAUAUUCUAAGUUUGAGUCAGACUUGCAGCCUUAUUUAGUUUUCUCUUAUUUAAAUUAAGUUCAUGGCUUAACCGUAUCAAAAUAUUUUGAGUCCAAAUAUUUAUAAAAGUAUUGAAUAUAAGAACUAAAAUUAUUGAAUCUUUAAAUCAUUUGGAUCGGGAAUAAGCAGAAAUUGCUUAUUCCGCAUAUCGCGAUGAGUUGGUUACGAUAUAUUUUCCGUGGUCUCACCGGAUAAAGCCGAAGCAUAUCCCUAUAUGCUUUUUUCUCAACUCCAUUUUAUCUAAUAACGUUUGAUAGGCCUCAAUACCAAAAUAAAGCCUAAGAUAGAUAUAAUUUUAGGAAUAAGUAGAAACAAGAUUAGUUUUUCAUUUGCAUGAAAAUUGGGUUGUUUCUCGGAAUAAGUUAAAUAAUGUUUGGAUUGUUAGAUGAGAAUAUUGAGAAUGAAAGUAAUUAUAAUUUUAAAUUAAUAAUAUUUUAUCUAAUUAAUUAACAUCAUAAUAUUAAUUAAAAAUAAUUUAAUAAAAUAAAAAAUUUAUUAGCUAUGAAUAUUGUAUAAGAUAAUAAAAAAAAAUUAAUUAAUUAAUUAAUUAUAAAAUAUAACUUAAUUUUUAAUUAAUUAAUAAUUAUUUAAUUAAUUAGAUGAUUUGUUAAGAAAUUAAUUUAAUUUGCCAAAAUAUUAAUUAGUUGACCAAUAUAAACAUUAGUUAUUAGAUAAACAUAUUAAAUAAUUAGUUCUUGUAACCCAAUUAACCACAAAUAAGAAGAAAAAUAAUUCCAGGAGGAGGAUGGAAUAACUAUUCCACCCUUAUCCUUAAUAAAAAAAACUGUAAAUUUUUAAUCCCUAAAACAAUUUAAACACAAAAAAACAUUACCUCUGAAAGACCACUCCACCCAAAAAUAUAAAACAAGAGCAUCUUCUUUCUUUCUUUCUCUCUCUCUAUUAUUUAAAAAACAAUUAUCUUUGGGUGCUCUAUCUCUCUCUCUUUCUCUCUCUCUCUCUCAUAUAAAAAACAAAUUUUUUUUGGCCUUUGGGUCCUCUAUCUCUCUACUAUUUAACAUAGUUAGUUAAUUCGUAUUCGGCAAAAAUACGGUACAGAUAUAAUUCGGAUAAAAUUCGUUUUUUAAUUUUUAAAUUUAUUGAAAAAUACUGCUAAAAAAUGAAUUCGGUAAUUAUUCGGAUACGUGAUUUAUACGAGAAUUAUACGUUCACCAAUUAAAAAUUCGGGAUAAAAAAUUCGGUUAUAUAAUAAAUAUAUAAUAAUUAAUAUACUAUAUAUAUAUAUAUUAUUAUUAUAAUUUUUAUAUAUAGAUUAAAUAUAUUUAAAAUUGUAAUAAAUAUAUAUUAAUAAUAUAUAAAAGUUGGCUCGGGCUACUAUACUCUUAUGAGUAUAGAACCUCUUGUACUCAUAAAUUUUUAAUCGUUGAUUGAUGAGAUGUGUGGUUAGGAUAAUGGUGGUCCUCAUUUAGAUUGAUAGUGGUCCCCUAGGGUUGAGUGGGUAGUUGGUUGAAUAGUAUGAUCUAACGGGUGGAAAUGAUCAUGGAAUAAAUCUAAAGGCCGAAAAGUAUAGUAGCCGGACUCUAUAAAAGUUAUAUAUAAAAAGGAAUAAACGAAUAUUCCCUACGAACGCUUAUAAUCAGUUUGUUAAAAUAUCUCAAAUAAAAAUAAAUGGUUAUGAUUAAUCUGUUAAAAAAUAACAUUAUUAUUUAUCAAUAUAUCAAAUCUUACAAAUGGUUAUGGUUAAUUUGUUAAAAUAUAUUUCAAAUAAAAAUUAUCGGUGCUAACUUGAUACACUUUAAACCAGAGGGUACUAAUUGGAUACACUUUAAACCAUAUGAUACUAAAGUGAGAAAGUGCGAAACCACAGGGGGGUAUUUGAAGUUUUUCCUUAUAAUAAUGAUAACUGGGUUUAAAUAUUUUGGGCUAAUAAUUUAGCCUUAACGAAUUAUUAUUACUAGUAAAUCAGAUCGUAUAUUUGUUAAGCUAAUUUACCGGCCGGAAGUGUGAAGUAGGUCUCACAUCGCUUGAUAAUCCUGAUAAUCUUAGACUUUAUGUAGUACCCUUGUUUAUUUAUCUAUUUUUUUAAAAUUUUUUUUAGUCGGUUGGUGAUGCAUGGGGGUGGCUUUGGAUGCCACGUGCACCCCCCAUGCAUCCUUAUCUUGUGGCCUACAGAGGGAUAGUGGUGAUUUGUAAUUUCCCUCUCUCUCUAGUUGGAAGUGGAGAGCUCGUGGAGGCUAUAGUUGGAGAUUGGAGCGACGUCAACUUCGCGCCUGCGAGCCGUUGGAGCGUGCGUGCGUCGUGGUAGUGCCGUUGGAGGCCGGGCGAGGGUGCAUUUUCGUCGUUCUCGACGUCGCGCCGGUGCUUGGGUCGCUGUCGAGGUGGGUUACAUCGGUUUUUACUCCUAAGUUCAUAUUCGUCGGCAUGUAUAAUUUUCGACCUUUGGAUACUCUAUUCUAGCUCGAAUUCAUGGAUUAUAUUGUAGAUUGCAAAUCUGAAUUUGGAGCAUGUGGUAAUAAAUUAAGUAGGUUAUACAUGUUGGACUUGGAAAUUGAAUUAGGAGAAAACCUGCGAUUUGGACCUGUCACUUGUUUAAACUGCCUGAUUUAGCUCUAGGAGCCGUUAUUAAAUUGUACUGUCGCAGUAUCUUCGAGACGAGUACUCCAGGUAGUUUAGAAUAUAUCUACACUCGUGCUGGUUCGCCGAGGGGAUUUUACAGGGUCGUUCAGGCUGUUCCGGACUGUAGGGUGCCGUUGAGGUUGACGGUGGACCCGUAUCGCCUUUUUGGCGUCUGAUUGUGCCGAGGGCACGUUACUUGUUGGUUGUUAGACCAGUUAGAGUCGAUUUCUUGACUUUGGCUUUUCAGAGCCUGUUUGAGCUCGACAGAGAUACGCUGCAUACUCGGUUGGGUAGCGCCCACGAGUGCCACUCCGGAGUCAGGCUUUGUGCUUUCGCGUUGGUGUCGCUCAUGCCAGUUGGACUUGCUCUCCACGGACCAGUUAGUGUGGAUAGAGCCUGAUAGUCGCAACGGGGCAGGGACGGGUGUAUUCACAGUCCCGGGGACGGGUAUGCUUACAGUCCCGAUUGGAUUGAGUCAGAUUUGACAUUUACUACAGUUGGUUAGUGUAGAGCAUGAUAGUGUAGUGAUCGAUAGCGGUAGAGUUUACUUCCUGCUUUUCUGACUACUCUUGCUCCCUUCUGUAGACUUAGUGGGUGGACCGAUGUGGUUUUGGGCGGUACCCACUGAGGACUACUUGUUUUUACAGUAGUUCUCACGCCCAGUUGUUACCUCUAUUUUGUAGAGCCACAGGUUCCGGCUGCUGCGCCUUCCGCGGAUCAGGAUCGAGGCAAGGGCGUCACGAGUUAGAGCCCUACCCGUCGUACUGAGCUAGAGGUGCCCCUACUGCAAGUAGAUGUUUUGUUUCGAGUUUCUGUACAUAGUAGACUUAACUCGCCAGUGCGAGUAGCUCUGUAUUUUGGAUUUGAACUAUGUAUAUGAAACUCAGUUUGUUUAUCUUCUGUUUUUUUUAGCAGCUCUCUACUACUGUUCGUAGUAGCGUUUGAUUUAUAGGUACAGUUGUCGCUUCGUAUACAGAGAAAAUUUCUUUGUAUACGGCGGAUUUGUCGGCGUGCCCGGAGAACUAGACAUCCGGGGCGUGACACUUUAUGUGUAAUUGGGUACAUUAAAGCAUGGCACUACUCCGCACUAACCUAGGCAUACGCCGAGAGUCUCGUGCCAUUUGCGUUGAAGAGAAUAUCGUCCCUAGAGCAAGUGGCAAAGUAAACCCAAGCUCGUAUCCUAAUUAAUUCACAUUUUCAGCUAAGUUUAUUUCUAAUGAUAUAAACGAAACGGGUAGCUUGCUACCUAUCUCUUAAAAAAAAAAAACUAUAACAGUUGGUAUAAAAUGUACACCUCACUUUGGAGUAUACGAAUAGCAUUGCUUAAAAUAAAUAAAUAAAUUACACUUUCGGUUCCCAAACUAUUUGGCGCGUGACAUUAUGGUCCUCAAAUUUUAAUUUAAUGUAAAUUCUAAUUUGGUUUUCUAAAUUAUUGUAAUCAAGUCCGACAAUCGAAUUGAGUGAACUAAAUAUCGAUGUGUUGCUAAUAUAGAAGUUAUAUAGCAGUGUUGUGAUUGUUGAUGCAAUAAUAAUUUAGAUGUUAUAUCAUUUUUAUAGCUACGGCUUGUUAACAUUUAGCCAACUAAAUUAAAUUGUGAGACUUUAUUAUAAUUUUUUAUAAAAUUUGAAACAACGAAUUGAAAUUUGAAGACUGUCACGCGCCUCAUAGUUUGAGGGUGAAAAACUUGAGAAAAAGAGAGAGGAUUGUCGGCUAGGAUUUUCUAUUUCUCUUGUAUUAAUUUUAAUAUGUCAUAUGACAUAUAUUUAUAAUGAGAAAAUUCUAAGCAUAAUCCUAAUCCUAAUCGAACGGCGCCGAUCUGCAUCCUCCCCAAACUUUUAGUUAACUUUUAGUUUGGGGAGGAUGCCGAUAUAAUUUUUGUCCGGAAAAGAUGGUUGGGAGCUUUCAACGCGAAGACUUUAUGUUAUGUUAUUAUUAAUAAUUAAGUUGUAACAUAGAGAUUACGCUUCCUUACUGAUUUGCUUUAACCUAAAUAAUAAUAAUAAUAAUAACAAUCCCACCCAUAAUAUCAUUUGCAUAUUAAUCCCUUGACAAUUCAUCAUUAUCCAUCUUAUUCGCAAAAUAAAACAAACAAAAAAUUAUCCAAACAAUGAUAUCAGGACAAAUUAAUUGAUUAUCUGUAUAAUAUGUGUCAAUCUUUUUCACCAAUAAUUACAAUAUAUUUUAUAUUUUAAACAAUUUUUCACUUGCAGAAAUUUUUAUUAUAAGAUAGUAAAUCCAUCACAAUGCUUCUUCUUAUAAAUAACUUUAUGGGAAAACUUCAAAAACCCCCCCUGUGGUUUCGUAGUUUCUCACUUUGCCCCCCUGUGGUUUAAAAUAUAUUAAUUUGCCCCCCUGUGGUUUUGUUUUUCUCUUUUUCUUAUCAAUUUCAUUAUUUUCUUUUCUUAAAUCAGUAAUAAAGUUAAAAUUAAAGGGUACUAAAGUGAAUAUUUGAUAAAUCUAGAUGGGUAUCUAAAGUUUUUUGUAUAUAAUUUAACGAAAUAUUAACGAAAAAGCUACCGAAAAGAUAAAAACGAAACCACAGGGAGGCAAAUUGAUAUACUUUAAACCAUAGGGGGGCAAAGUGAGAAACUACGAAACCACAGGGGGUUUUUUGAAGUUUUCCCUAACUUUAUCUAUGACAUGAUUUAGCCCUGUCAUGUUCUUGUGCGGUCCUUUUGGUUCGUUUUUAUACAUUUAUUGCAGUGUCCAAGNGCCCAACGAGUUAUUGUUAUUAGUGGGCUGAGUCGCUACACUCUCUCUCUCUCUCUCUAUUUAUACUAAUAAAAAAAAAUGAAAAUGACAUUUUUAUUUGUAUAUUUUCAAAAGGGAAAAAAAAAACUUGGUCCCACCACUCGAACUAGGGAUGUCAACGGGUAGGGUUUGAAUCGGGUUUUUAAAAAUCCGAACCCGAACCCGAAAAUCAAAUUAAAAUUCGUAUCCGGACAUGAAUCUGGCGGGUUUUAAAAAUUCAUACCUAUAUCUGUACCCGACCGAAAAUCCGGACCCGAACCCAGACCCGAACCUGGCGGGUUUUAAAAAUCUCUACCGUUGAAUGAAGAUUUAAGAGAUAAAAAUUAUUAAAUAUUUUAUAUAUUAUAUAAAUAAAUAGAACUAAAUUUAUGUAUAUAUAUAAUUUAUUCGGAUUCGGGUUCGGAUCGGAUAAAUACAAAAUUCAUACCCGUAUUCAUAUCCGUCGGGUUUUUAUUUUCUAUACCCAUAACCGAAUCCAUACCCAUUUAGUUCGGGUAAACUCGCCCUGUUCAGAUUCGGGUUCGGGUAAUAUUUCGGGUCUCCAUAUUCAUUCACAACCCUAACUAGAACACAAAGACAACUGAGUCAAUGCUCUUCCAGAGAGAGCGAGAGAGAGUAGUCAAAUUGGAGACAAUAUAAUAAAUUUAUAUUGAAAUGAUGCUGCUUAAUUUAUUUAAAAAAUUAUACUUUUUAUUAUAAUAUGGAGUCAUUUGAUCGAAUGAUUCUUUUGAACUUGCUAGUGUAAUUAAAUUAAUAUAGUGAUGAUUAGAAGUACUACUAUCGAGUUAAAGGUUCACUUUAGGGUUUUUAUUUUUAUUUUUUAUUUUUAAUUCUAAUCCACUUUUUUAUGUUGUCCUUCGCAAAAUGCAUCAAAAUGACCCAGUAGGAUAAACUGCGAUCGAAUCCGACACUAAAUUUCAUAUAUAUGUAUAUAUAUAUAUAUAUAUAUAUAUAUAUAUAUAUAUAUAUAUAUAUAUAUAUAUAUAUAUAUAUAUAUAUUAUAGAGAGAUACAGGAAUUUUUUAUCAUGUUUUUUAUUUAUUUUAUUUUGAGUUUCAUAUUAAAAUUGUAUAGAUAUAUAUAUUCGUCAAAUAUAAAAUUUUAUUGAAUAAAAUAAAGAUAUGCGAAUUAGUUUGAACACAAGUGUGAACCUUUAAUUGUAUCGUGUGUUUAAAUCGCGUUAAUUUUAGUUCAUAUUGAUAUAUGCAUAGUGGUAUAUGCAUUAUUUUCCGAAUACAAAUUCGAAUUAUAUCUGAAUUUGAAUCUGUUUCAACAGAUAUUAUAAUAAAAAUUUAGCAUUCGAUAAAUAUCUGUAUUUAAAUUUAGGGAUAAUUGCCUAUAUACCUCUUAGGCUUUUAAAACUUUAAAAAUAUCUUAUUUACCCCUAGUUUUUUUUUCUUUCCUAUAAUAUAUAUAUCAGGCCAAUACCAUGAACAUUUAAAAAAUGGCAAUCUAGAUGCGGAAACUAGUAAAAAUGGCAAUCUAAUAAAAUAAGUUGGUUGGUGGGUGAGUUGGGAUUCCCCGGGUGUAGUAGGAUUGGCGUGUAGGGAAUUAAGUUACCGGUUUUUGAAUGUCCAUGGUUACUGAAACAUAAAAAUUUUCGUCUCCUCGAGUUAAUAUAUAUAUAUAUAAUUCCCCGUUAACGAAUAUAUAUGGUUUUCAAAGGUUGAAAGAUUAAAUAGAGAGCAUCUUCCGAUUAUAACUUUUAUGGGAAACAUGCAAGGUUGGGUAAAGAUUAUAUGGGGAUCUCAAUUUUAGACAAUUACUUGCAACAAUAGAGACAUUUUAACGAUAAAACGGGAAAGUUUAUAUGGUAAGAUGGUAGUGGCUGAAAAGAAUAAACGGUAAUUCAAUCCCCAUGUUUUUCAUAAAAUAAAGAAAUAGAAAAGUUUAUAUGGGAAGAUGGUAGUGGUUAUAAAGAAUGAACGGGAAUUCACGUUUUCAUCAUAAACUUAAAAAAAAUUGACACAUUCUAUAAAUUGAGUGCAAAUUGAGUUCAAUUGAAUUGCCCACCAUUGACAUUCCUAUAAAACUUUAUUGCUUCCUUGUAUAUUCCCCACNNNNNNNNNNNNNNNNNNNNNNNNNNNNNNNNNNNNNNNNNNNNNNNNNNNNNNNNNNNNNNNNNNNNNNNNNNNNNNNNNNNNNNNNNNNNNNNNNNNNNNNNNNNNNNNNNNNNNNNNNNNNNNNNNNNNNNNNNNNNNNNNNNNNNNNNNNNNNNNNNNNNNNNNNNNNNNNNNNNNNNNNNNNNNNNNNNNNNNNNNNNNNNNNNNNNNNNNNNNNNNNNNNNNNNNNNNNNNNNNNNNNNNNNNNNNNNNNNNNNNNNNNNNNNNNNNNNNNNNNNNNNNNNNNNNNNNNNNNNNNNNNNNNNNNNNNNNNNNNNNNNNNNNNNNNNNNNNNNNNNNNNNNNNNNNNNNNNNNNNNNNNNNNNNNNNNNNNNNNNNNNNNNNNNNNNNNNNNNNNNNNNNNNNNNNNNNNNNNNNNNNNNNNNNNNNNNNNNNNNNNNNNNNNNNNNNNNNNNNNNNNNNNNNNNNNNNNNNNNNNNNNNNNNNNNNNNNNNNNNNNNNNNNNNNNNNNNNNNNNNNNNNNNUUAUGAUUUCCUCUAAUUACUUAAAUAUUUGUAUAAUAAUUUAAUUAAAAUAGUUGGUUAGAUAUAUAUAUAUAUGCCACGUGGCACAUUGAAACUUCUUUUGUAAGUGCGCCACGUGGCAUCAUAUGGUUCAAUUGGAACAAUGCUUCCAAAAUUAUAUAUAUAUAUGAUUUUUUUUUGAUUAAACAGGGUUGAACCCUGUUUUAUAGAGAAGUACAAAGACCCCAGGCCCUUCAGUUUGUUCCACAAAGCAAAAAACAUCUCCCAGUUGAAAGGAAACUAUACCCAUUAGAAUAGAGAAACAUCACAGGACUUUGUAAACAAACCAAAAAAAGAAAAGAUUGAACCCGAUUCAGCAAACGUAGUGUCCGAGCACAGAAUUCCAACUAUUGGCUGUGUCAAGGAUUCUUCUUCCCAGAUUCUGAGUUUGGCUCGUGCGAUUUUCAAAAAUUCUUCUUUUCCGCUCUUUCCAUAACUCCCAGCAGGUCGCUGCAAAGCAUAGAUCAAAGAAAAUUUUAUUUUCCUCCGGCCCGCACCGUCCCUCUCUGCCGACGCCAUCGAUCAACAAUCCCUGCGGAGUGGCUGGUGAGCAAAAGAAGGCCAGGUGGAGUUGUUUGCAGCAACCAAAUCCACAUAGAUCUAGCAAAAGUGCAGCGCAACAAGAUAUGAUCAAUAGUAUCUUCAUCAGAGUUGCAAAGUGCGCAGAUUGAAGGGCCGAUCCAUCCACGUUUGGUCAGAUUGUCAGUUGUUAAGACCUUGUUAACCCUGAGAGGAAUCUUAAGUUUCCACAGGAACGGUGUUAAGCAGUUGCUGAUACUGUCGUAAAUAAUAAGAAAAUUGUAAGCGCUUCUUACUGAAACUGUCGUAAAUAAGAAAAUUGUAAGCGCUUCUUACUGAAACCCCCCCNNNNNNNNNNNNNNNNNNNNNNNNNNNNNNNNNNNNNNNNNNNNNNNNNNNNNNNNNNNNNNNNNNNNNNNNNNNNNNNNNNNNNNNNNNNNNNNNNNNNNNNNNNNNNNNNNNNNNNNNNNNNNNNNNNNNNNNNNNNNNNNNNNNNNNNNNNNNNNNNNNNNNNNNNNNNNNNNNNNNNNNNNNNNNNNNNNNNNNNNNNNNNNNNNNNNNNNNNNNNNNNNNNNNNNNNNNNNNNNNNNNNNNNNNNNNNNNNNNNNNNNNNNNNNNNNNNNNNNNNNNNNNNNNNNNNNNNNNNNNNNNNNNNNNNNNNNNNNNNNUCUUCAUCAGAGUUGCAAAGUGCGCUGAUUGAAGGGCCGAUCCAUCCACGUUUGGUCAGAUUGUCAGUUGUUAAGACCUUGUUAACCCUGAGAGGAAUCUUAAGUUUCCACAGGAACGGUGUUGAGCAGUUGCUGAUACUGUCGUAAGUAAGAAAAUUAUAAGCGCUUCUUACUGAAAAGACCCCCCGGUGUUGUUCAAACGCCAAACGAGCGAAUCAUUCGGGGAUGCGGUAAGAUCUAAGGUACUGAUCAAAGCUGCAUGCCAACUGGUGAAGCUCUUGUGGUUCUUCAGGACAUUGAGGAGAAGUAAAUCCCAGGGUGGUGGCAUGCGACGCAAAGCGUCGGACCCAAUUCUUGACUGAGAUCUCUUUAUGAGUUGAAUUAGUAUAUACGGUAUUGCGGAGUAAGAUCCCCACACCAUCUCACAGUCCAAAAGGGCGUAACCUCCUAUGUACCUAUUUACACUUUCAAAUAGGGUAUAUCUCUGUUUAAUCAAAAAAAAUAAAUAAAUAAAGGGCGUAACCUCUCCGUCGCCGAGAUUUUCAAAGCUGCUUCAUCCUCAUGCGAUUGAAUGAAUGAUUGCUUGUUGAUAUUUUCACCCAAAAUCUGUAGCAGAGAAAUUUUUUUUUAGAGAGAGCUGCGGAGAGAGCUUGUUUGAUGAAGGAAGCAUAAAUGCAUUUAUCCUUUUACUUUAUUUUUAGAUUAAAAUACAAAAAUAAAAAAAAAUUCAAUAAACAAUUAUUUUUUUGAUUUUUUUUUCUGACUUUAAAAAAUUUAUGUUUUAUUUUUCAAAAUUUUCAGUUGAUACAUUUAGCCAUCUUUCGUGGUCGCUAUUUUAUCUAUUUCUUAUAAUUCAUACCAAAAAUACAUAAAAAAUAAUAUAAAUAUAAUAAAAAAUUAAUUUUAUUGUAUUUAUAUUAUUUUUACAGGCAUAAGGAUUGUUGUGCUUGUUGAAAUGACCGGCAUGUCCCGUAUUGGUGUGCGUAAGAGAGACAGAAAAGAGGAUUUUGAAUAAGAAAGAGAAAAGUAAUGAAGGGAGAGGAGGUAGGUGUUGAUGAAAGAGGAUUUUGAAUAGUUUACUUUGGAAUGAGUCAAUUCGGGAUUCAAAGCCGAAUUGGAUUAUAAAUAGAUUUGGCCAUUCCCAUUCUGGAGUGGAAUGAGAAUCGGAAUUCGAUUCCUAUAAAACAAACGGCAAUUAUUGGAAUCAAUGAAUUUCAUUCUGAUUCCAUAAUCUAAAAUGGGUGAACCAAACAUGCCCUAAGUACGAUGAUUCUAUAAUAAAGAGAAUAUAAGAUAUACAAUGCACUUUAGAGUGUAUCAGUAGCAUUAAUUACUCCUCAACUAUAUAUGCCAUAUCUCUAGUAGCUAGCAAACCAAACUUUACUUUAUAGAGACCCUCUCAACUUUCAAUUCAUAUCAAACUAAUUGAAAUUUUAUUUGAUAAGCAACAUAUAAUUUAUUAAAUUCAAUAAUUUUAUUAGUUAAUUUCUUAGCUGAUGAUAAAACAGAAAUAUUAAUUCCAAUGCUGAACACAUGAUUUUUUAGUUUUGAUGAAACUCCUAAUUAGAUAACUGAAAUAACUUUAAUCAAAAUAAUCUCAAGUUGAUCAGAUAUAUCAAUAUAAAAAUACCCUAUAGUUAAGGGUUCCCAUUACAUUUUUACUUUUAAAAAUAUAUAUGCACUUAUUUCUAUCCCUCUCAACUCCGUCCUCUCAAAAUAAUAUAUAUAUAUAUAUAUAGAGGUGGUCGUUUAAUCCUUCUCAACUCCGUCCUCUCUUCUAGUCCUACUUAUUUCUCCUCCAUCUUCCUUUUGGGUUUCAUUGUCUCGCAAAAUGGGAACAUAUUUGUAGCAUAGUUAGUUAAUUCGGAUUCGGCAAAAAUUCGGUACGGGUAUAAUUCGGAUAAAAUUCGUCUUCUAAUUUCUAAAUUCGUUCAAAAAUACGGCUAAAAAACGGAUUCAUCAAUUAUUCGGAUACGUGAUUUAUACGAAUAUUAUACGUUUACCAAUUAAAAAUUCGGGAUAAAAAAUUCGGCUAUUAAAUUAAAUUUUUUUUUCUCAAAAUUUAUGCUAUUAGCAUAAAUAUUCAUAUUUUUUAAAAAAUAUAAGAAUAAAUAACUAUAAAAUUAAGCUAAUUAAGUAAAAAUUGGGAAAGAGUUUUUUUUUUUUUUUUUUUUUUUUUNUAGAUCUACGCCUUUGAUCAUUUUCACCCGUUAGAUUAUACUAUUCAACCAACCACCCACUUAACCCUAGGGGACCCACAUCAUCUUAACCGCACAUCCCUUAAUCCAAGGGCUAAAAACUUACAAGCACCAAUGACUCGGUACUUUUAAAAGCAUAGGAGCUCAAUUCUAUAUAUAUAUAUAUAUAUAUAUAUGUAUAGGUGGUCGUUUAAUCCUUCUCAACUCCGUCCUCUCUUCUAUCCCUACUUAUUUCUCCUCCACCUUCGUUUUGGGUUUCACUGCCUCGCAAAAUGGGAACAUAUUUGUAGACCUAAGACGGCAGGGGGAAUUGGAAUUAGAGAUCUCCGAGCCGCGAAUGCAGCACAAUUAUUGAAAGGCCUCUGGAGCUUCUAUUACUCUCGCAACCUGCCGUGGGUUAAAUUACUGAGGCAAAAGCACUACAAACACAACCCUGCGGAUCCUUCCUCUAAUUCUGAAACUUUACAGCACCUACUGCUCCAGUGCACCUUCGCCAAGUCAGUAUGGACGAGAAUUCUGCGUGGCGCUAGCUCCGGCUAUGCUUCGACAGACAUUUGAUGCCUCGCAAGGGUUAACAGACACAUGGUGUAGGUCGAGGAGGACACUGACGGUGGCAAGGAAAAAACAUUUCGAUGUUGGGUUCGUUCGCUGCAGCAUGCUGGGAGAUACGGAAAGAAUGGAACAGGAGAUUAUUUGAUGAUCAAUCUGAAGAUUGCGAAAGACUGAGGAAAAGUUUCAUUUUGUAAAGGGCACCCUGUCGAUUUCUUUCUUGCUGAUCUGGGAAUAGUUUUAUUUUAAUUUGUAAGGGUAGGCUGUUGAUUUGGUUACUGGGGAUCAGGUGGGGGAGCUUUCGAGCAGGUGUUUUUUUCCGUCCCUGUAACUGCUAAACUUUCAAAUAGAAUAAAUCCCUGUUUAAUCAAAAAAAAAAAGGGCAAUUUCAUCCAUAGCCCUCUAAAAUUUAUAAAUUUCGUUGAUACCCCUACAAAAGUUAAAAUAUCAUGCAUACCUCUUGAAAUAUAAAAAAUUAUCAUAAAUACCCCUACUGUUAAAAAACCGUCAGUUUAUCCUGAUCAAUAAGGUGUAAAGUAAUGAAAUGACGAAUUUACCCCUAAUUUGAUACUACUUGAGAAAUGUACUGGAGAUCCCUCAACUAUAUGCUAUUUUGAAAUAAUUCCUUUAUUAAGUAUGCAGUUUUUUAUUAAGAUCCCUUAACUUUUAGUUUUUUAAAAUUAAGAGAUUUAGUGUAAAAAAAGAAAAUUUAUUAAAUUUAACACAACUUUUCAGCUAAAAUAACUAAAAUAAUUUAAUUUCAAUAGGUAAAAUGUAUGGAGACCCCCUCAACUAUGGAGAUUUUGAUAUAGGCCCAUCAACUUUAAAUUUUUUUGUUUACACCCCUUUAACCUCUACUUUUUUAUUUGAGUUUUUAUAUUUAUUUCAUUAUUAAUUUUAAUAAAGUUAAUAAAUUUAAUAAAUUUCUCUUUUUAUUAUCCUCUCCAUUAAUUUUUCUAUUAUAUCAGUGAUAAAGUUAAAACCACAAAGUACUAAUAUAAAAAAUUGGUAAACCACAGGUGGGGUAUUUGAAGUUUUUUAUAUAUAAUUUAAUGAAGAGUUAAUGGGGGUGCCAAUGAAAAGUAAAAAACGAAAAUAUACAGCAUUACAUAUUUGAAAUAUAAUUAAUAAUUAUACAUUAAAAUAUCACAUCAACUUACCAUCCAAUUUGGCCAUCGAUAGAAUCACCAACCUUUACUAUGUGGUUGUUUUAACAUCUAAAUUCGGCACGGUAUACCACAAUCACAAUUAGAAAUUAGGUUAUGAGGUGUUGUAAAAUAUCGGCUACUUAGUAGGCUUGUUGCUAUGUGGAGAGAAUAAGAGAGCAUUUAUGAAUAGUGUUAAUAUACCCGUUAUGGCUUCCUAUACUUAAAUGAACUGUACAGGGGUAAAAAUGGCAUUUAUAAUUUGUUCGGUUAGAUUUUGACGACCGGCUAACAGUAGGGGCAUUCAUGAGUACUUUUUGAAUUUAGAAGGGCAUUCAUGAUAUUUUCAACUUUAGAGGGUUAUUGAUGAAAUUUCAGUCUCCCAUAGGGGUACCUAUGAAAUUUUUCCAAAAAAAUAUAUAUAUAUGUACUUAGCAUCUCCUGCUGUACAUAAAAUAAUAGAUAGAGAGCUAUAUAUAUAUAUAUAUAUAUAUAUAUAUAUAUAUAUAUAUAUAUAUAGAUAGAGAGAGAGAGAGAGAAAGAGAGAGUGAGGCUACUAUGCUAUCGGAAGUACGGAGCAUUCCGUGCUUCCAGCUCGUUUUCGAUGUUGCGACUUUCGAAUCGUCGAUCGGCNNNNNNNNNNNNNNNNNNNNNNNNNAAUUAUUUUUUAAAUUAAAAUAUCAAAUUUUAAAUUUUGUACAAUUUUGAAAUUUAAAAAUUUUAAUUUUAAUUCAAAUUUAAAUUUAGAUUUUAAAUUAUUUUAAAAUUAAAUUUAAUAAAAAUAUUAAUUUAUACAGACAUCAAAAAAAUUUUGCCAAACAGUUUUUUAAAAUCACUUCAGAAAAAUCACUUUUAUCUAAACUCAGCUAAACGCUCUACAGCUUUUAACCAAAAUCAUUUCUCCUAACUAAAAUCACUUUUUUAGAAAUCAUUUUUUCAGAAGCCAGGCCAAACGGCCCUAACUCCUAAUGGAGGUGGCGAGCAUAACCGAGUUAUCUUCCAAUCUCUUUCACACACACACACACACUUAAAACAUGAUCUCCGUGCUUUCAUAAGCAUACCAGCACAACUCUUAAAUUAAAGGCUCCUAACUUCAAUUAAUAGAUGAGGAAAUCCAAACACAUUACCUGUCAUGCACUCCAACAAAGAAAAAAAGGAAUAAAAGAGAAAAAAUAAAUAAAUUGAACCCCAGUAUUCUUGACCUAACACUUGACUCCAACAGUAGCUAAUUAAUUAGCGGGGUAUUAAUAAAGAGAAUUGGAACAACUUCGUUACCUUAUCCACGCAUGGACCAGAGCAACAAUACAAUCAAUUAAUUCAACUUAUAAUAUAGAAAAAGAAAAUGAUUGUUAAUAUCGUAUCCCCUUUCCUAAUCUUUCUCUAUAAAUAUAUCCAUUCCUAUCCACAAACGGUUCACUAGGAGCAGCCCAUUCCAUUUCAUGUGUUAGAGAUUUACUCAUCACUUUAAUUUAUGGCAAUAAAGAUAAUUAAUUCUCUCAUCAUAAGCUCAUAAAUUCAAUCAUCUUUUUCAUAUAUUAUGACCUUCAAUAAAGUGUUCUUUUGAGUUUCAUGCUUAAACAUUAGAUUGAGCUAGCUUGAAAUAGUAAACAUGUACAUGCCGAACUUAUCAGAACUAUAUACGAUCCAUUUUCAUCCAUCAACUAUAUAUUUAACAUACCGACCGUCCCUAGUGCAAAUGCCAAAGGGCUUGAUGGUUUGUACUUGAAAAAUUAAAUGGUUAGUUUGAUCAAGCGCAACAUAGUUUCUGGAUAAGUUUCGUAUGUUUUCAAUUUCCAGCUGAGAAUUACUAAUUUGUUUUUGUGUUGAAUAAUAUAAUUACUAUAUGUUGUAAUGUCAAUACUAAAAGGUAAGUAAAUUGAGUUGGGGAAUUGACUAAUAUGUGAUGCAGCAAAAGAUGGAGAUUAAGGUGCAAGUGGAGUGCAAAAAUGUGAGGCAGGCAACAUGCCAUGAAGAUUGCUUCACUAACAGAUGGUAAUUGGUGCUCCCAAUAAUUAAUUACUUUUUUACACCUUACAUUUGGUAUUAUUUUCAUUACAUUUUUUAUUUUUGAGAGAGAGAGAGAGAGAGAGAGAGAGAGAGAGGAGGGGAAGCAUAUGUUGUCCAUGCACUUCAUUCUUUUUUAAAAAAUAUAUAUAUUUAUCUGAACAUGUGAAGUUUUUAGAUUUUGAACUUAGAACUUCGAAUAUCAACCAUCAAAUUUUUUGCCACUUGGAUUAAGAGUGACAGUUUGUUUUUUUUCCUCCUCAAGAGUUAAUAUUGUCUAGAUAUUAUCAAAACGAUGUGCAAACCGAAACAAACACGUAUAUAUAUAAAUAAUAAUACAAUUAUGGUAUAGUGUUGAGGUAUAUAUGAGAAAAGAAUAUAUAUAUAUAUAGAGUGAGGCUACUAUGCUUCUGAGAGCACGGAGUCUUCUGUACUUUCAGGUUGUUUUUAAUGUUGCGACUUUCGAAUCGUCGAUCGGCUCCGUUAAACUUGAUCUAGAGUAUUUGAAAUACCUAGAAAAUAAAUUUUGCAAUUUUUCGAUAUCAUUUGCCUGGUGAAUUAAGGGGCUCAAAAUCAACGACUGAAAAUAAAAAUCUUACAAAACGUGAUAAUAUGAUAUUAAAAUUUUAGAUCAAAGAUAUUGAUUUUGUUUUAUAUAGUAUAAAGAAUUUUCUAUCAAAAUUUCACGUGAUUUGGAUAUUUCUAUAUCGUUAAACUUGCAAACGACUCACCACGGCCAUUAAAAUUAUUGAUUUUGAGUCCUUCGAUCACUAGGCAAAUGAUAUCGAAAAAUCAUAAAAUUUAUUUUCUAAGUACUUCAAAUACUCUAGAUCAAGUUUAAUGAGCCGAUCGACGAUUCGAAAGUCACAACAUCGAAAACGACCUGGAAGCACGCUAGGCUCCGUGCUUCCAGAAGCAUAGCAGCCUCUCUCUCUCUCUCUCUCUCUCUCUCUCUCUCUAUAUAUAUAUAUAUAUAUAUAUAGUAAGUCUCCUGUACUUUCGAAAGUACGAAGAUCUCCGUGCUUGUAAGUUAUUUUCGAUGAUAGGAAAUCCGAUUCGACGAUCGGCUCCGUUAAGUAUAAUCUAUCCUAUUGAUACUAUUUAGAAACCAAAUUUUAUAAUUUUUUGACAUCAUUUACCAAGCAAUCAAAAGGUCUCAAAAAUGACUAUUUUAAUGGCCGAUGUGGCACGUUUUUAAAUUCAACGGUGUAGAAGUAUUCAAAUUAGAUGAAAAUUUAAUAAAAAAUUUUACUUAACAUCAAUAGCAAGACCAAUACUUCCGAUUUGAAAUUUGAGUCCUUUAUCACUAUUUUUUAUAAGAUUUUUAUUUUUAGCCGUUCAUUUUGAGGCUACUCGUUUACUAGACAAACGAAAUUAAAAAUUUAUAAAAUUUGGUUUCUAGAUAGUUCCAACAGCGUAGAUCAUGUUUAACGGAACCGAUCGCCGAAUCGAAUGUCCCAUUAUUGAAAACAACUUAUAAGUACGAAGGCUCCCGUAGUUUCAAAUGCAUAGGAGCCUAGCUUAUGGAAGCACGGAGCCCUCCGUGCUUCCCAGUUGUUUUCGAUGUUCGGACUUUCGAAUCGACGAUCGGCUCCAUUAGAGUUGAUUUAGAGUAUUUGAAGUACCUAGAAAAUAAAUUUUGUGAUUUUUUGAUAUCAGUUGCCUAGUGAUCGAAGGGGCUCAAAAUCAAUAAUUUUAAGGGCCGUGGUGAGCCGGUUGCAAGUUUAACGGUGUAGAAAUAUCCAAAACACAUGAAAUUUUGAUAGAAAAUUCUUUAUACCAUAUAAAACAAGAUCNAUAAAAAUAAAGGAGCUCGAAAGCAACAACUCGUAGAAUAAAAGGGCCGAGUCGCUAGCUUUACCUCGGCCCGGCACGGCCCAGGCCCGUUUCGGGCCGUGCCGUGUCGGGCCGUCGGGCUCCAAAUGUGAGGCCCAGCACGGCCCGAAGUGCCUGCCGGGCCCGGCCCGGCCCGGGUGCUAUAGUGGCCGUUAAACAUGAUCUAAACUAUUUAAACUAUCUGGAAAUCAAAUUUCACACAUUUUCGAUACUGUUCUCUUGUCCAUCAAGUGAACAGAAAAAUGAAUGGCUGGAAAUGAAUAUUCUUCAAAAAAUGAUGAUACAAUUUUUAUAUUUGAGAUCUAGAGUCUAGAUCUUAUUUUAAAUAGUUUAAAGAAUUUUUUAACAAAAAAUUAAUUGAUUUGAACUCUUCUAUACCGUUAAACGAGCAACCGCACCAUAUCUGCUAUUAAAAUUAUAGAUUUUGUGACCCUUUGAUCGUUCAGUUAGUGAUGUCAAAAAAUCAUGAAAAUUGAUUUCUAGAUAAUUUAAAUGGUCUAGAUCAUGUUCAACGGUGCCGAUCGUCGAUUUGGAAGCUCUAUCAUCAAAAACAAAUCGGUAAUAAACCGAACAGUUUACUACCGAUAGUAGCCCAGUCAAACUCUAUAUAUAUAUAUAUAUAUGUCCAAAUAUAAACAUUACAUGUAGGAGCUUUAUUGAGAACUUUGAUGCCAAAGUUUGGACAAUAAGUAUAUAUACAUUCGCGACUUAAUUAGAUGCUGGGUCUCCGACUAGUUAUGCAUUUCGCCCUGUUCUAAACUAAAGGCUCUUUAAAUGUUAUGGACUAUGUCUAUCGAGUUACAUUUCAUUUCAAGAGCAUAUCAUUGCAUGAAGGUAUAUAUAUUCUGGAUACAGACACUACAAAAAAAAAAUUUAAUAUAAAAAUGCUUUUUAGACGACGCUUGGGGGAAGCGUCUCCAAACGUUUUUACAAUAUAGAAAAUACCAACGCUUCAAAAAGCGUCGUUAUAUAAUAUCAAACAAUUUAUUAAAUGAUGAUAAAUUAAUUUUACUAUUGUUUUUAAUUUUCCGACGCUUCAAAGCGUUAGGAUUUAAAAAAUUCUGAUACUAUAAAGCAUCAGAAUGUAUUUUACCAAGCGCAUCAGAAUGUAUUUUACCGCCGCUUGGUAUAAGCGUCGAUAUAUGCGUGGCGACUCUUCAUUUGCCGACGCUUUCAAAGGUGACGUUGGAAUAUAUUGGGACGUUUUUAAGCAUUGUAAAAUAUAAAAAAAAAAGCGUUAUUAAAAGUAACGUUUUUUUUGUAGUGUGAUCUAGAUAAUAGUUCUUUGCAGUUUUGAAAGGUACGCGGUGGUUUGCGGUGAUCUAGAGCUUUUUUACUGGAAAAAGAAGCUUAAUUAAAUAAGCUUCCAUAAUUAAUAUUAGGGCACAAACCAAAUUAUAUUGCGUAAUUUUUUAGCUUAAAAUUUGCAGGUGUUGAAAACGUGGGAGUGGAGGGAGGUAAGCUGGUGAUAACUGGAACUGGAAUUUACUGGGUCAGACUGCUCAAGUUUUUUUUUUUUUUUUUUAAUUUAAGGGCGUUGUGAGCCGGUUGCAAGUUUAACGGUUUGUAGAAAUAUCCAAACACAUGAAAUUUUGAUAGAAAAUUCUUAUUAUACCAUAUAAAACAAGAUCAAUAACUUUGAUCUAAAAUUUUAAUAUCAUCAUUCAUCAUAUUUUGUAAGAUUUUUAUUUUCAGCUGUUGAUUUUUGAGCCACUUCGAUCACUAUGCAAAUGAUAUCUAAAAAUCGCAAAAAUUUUAUUUUCUAGAUACUUUCAAAUACUCAGAUCAAGUCUAACGGAGCCGAUCGUCGAUUCAAAAGUCCGAUCAUCGAAACAAAGUGGAAGCACGGGAGCCUCCGUGCUUCCAUAAGCAACCAUAGCGACUAUAUAUAUAUAUAGGUGAGACUACUAUGCUUCGAAGUACGGAGCCUUCCGUGCUUCCAGCUCGUUUUCGAUGUUGCGAUUUUCAAAAUCGUCGAUCGGCUCCGUUAAUUGAUCUAGAGUAUUUGAAGUACUAGAAAUUAAAAAUUUUAUAAUUUUACGAUAUUAUUUGCCUAUGUGAACGAAGGGGCUCAAAAUCAACGGCUGAAAAUAAAAAUCUUACAAAAUAUAAUAAUAUGACAUUAAAAUUUUAAAUCAAAGAUAUUGAUCUUGUUUUAUAUAGUAUAGAGAUUUUUUAUCAAAUUCAUGUGAUUUGAAUAUUUCUACACCGUUAUAAACUUGCCAAACGGCUCAUACGGCCAUUGAAUUUAUUGAUUUGAGCCAUUCGAUCACUAGACAAAUGAUAUCGAAAAAUAAUAAUUUAUUUUUCUAGGUACUCAAAUAUUCUAGAUCAAGUUUAACGGAGCUGAUCGACGAUUCGAAAGUCGCAACAUUGAAACAGAGCUGAAGCACGGAAGGCUCCGUGACUUCCGAUAGCAUAGUAGCUCACACUCUCUCUCUCUCCUCUCUCUCUCUCUCUCUUAUAUAUAUAUAUUAUAUAUAUGUCCCAAUAUAACAUUACAUGUAGGAGCUUUAUUGAGAACUUUGAUGCCAAAGUUUGGACAAUAAGUAUAUAUACAUUCGCGACCUUAAUUAGAUGUGGGUCUGCCGAUAGUUAUGCAUUUCGCCUGUUCUAAACUAAAGGCUCUUUAAUGUUAUGGACUAUGUACUAUCGAGUUACAUUUCAUUUCUAAGAAGGCAUUAUCAUUGGCAUGAAGGUAUAUAUAUUCUGAUACAGACAUACAAAAAAAAAUUUAAUAUAAAAAAAUGCUUUUUUAGACGACGCUGGGGGGAAGCGUCUCAAACGUUUUAUACAAUAUAGAAAAUACCAACGCUUCAAAAAGCGUCGUUAUAUAAUAUCAAACAAUUUAUUAAAUGAUGAUAAAUUAAUUUUACUAUUGUUUUUAUUUUCCGACGCUUCAAAGCUUUAGGAUUUAAAAAAUUCUGAUAUAUAAAGCAUCAGAAUGUUAUUUUACAAGCGCAUCAGAAUGUAUUUUACCGCCGCUUGGUAUAAGCGUCGAUAUAUGCGUGGCGACUGUUCAUUUGCCGACGCUUUCAAAGGUGACAGUUGGAAUAUAUUGGACGUUUUUAAGCAUUGUAAAAUAUAAAAAAAAAGCGUUAUUAAAAGUAACGUUUUUUUUGUAGUGUGAUCUAGAUAAUAGUUCUUGCAGUUUUGAAAGGUUACGCGGUGGUUUGCGGUGAUCUUAGAGCUUUUUUACUGGGAAAAGAAGCUUAAUUAAAUAGCUUCCAUAAUUAAUAUUAGAGGCACAAACCAAAUUAUAUUGCGUAAUUUUUUUGCUUAAAAUUUGCAGGUGUUGAAAACUCGGGAGUGGAGGGAGGGAAGCUGGUGAUAACUGAACUGGAAUUACGGGCGUAGACUGCUCAAGUUUUAUUUUUUUUUUUUUUUUUUUUUUUUUUUGAGAGAUAGGUAGCAUCCUAUCUGCUUCAUUUAUUUCAUUUAGAAAUAAACUGUGCUGGAAAUGUGAAUCAACUAGGAUUCGAACUUGAGUCUCGGGUGGGGGUGGCAAUCCAGCUCGCUGUUCGCAAGCCAGCUCGGGUUUCGGCUUGAAAUGAGCUCGAGAUCGCACUAUCGUUUAGUAAACGAGCGCGAACACGAACCGAAUUUUUCGGCGUCGUUAUUAAACGAGCCGAACACGAGCUGGGGUCAGCUUCGCUGUGUUCGGCUCGAUAACAGCUCGAAUACAUAUAUUUUAUAUAAUAUAAUUUAUUAGUUUAUAUUUGUAUAAAAAUAAUAAUUAUAUAUAUAAUAUAUAUUUUUAUUAUUUAAUUUUUAGCAAAUAAAAAUAUAAAGACGAGCUUAAUUAUUAAAAAAACUCAUUUAUAUAUAAAGUUUCAACUAUUAGAUCAAACUCUAAUGGAUAGAUUUUAUAAAUUUUAUUUUUGGGAAAACUUCAAAACCCCUCCGUGGUUUCGUAGUUCCACUUUGCCCCCCUGUAGGUUUUAAAGUGUAUCAAUUUGCCCCUGUGGUUUCGUUUUUUCUUUCGGUAGCUUUUUCGUUAAUAUUUCGUUAAAUUAUAUACAAAAUACUUCAUAUACCCAUCUAGAUUUAUCAAAUAUUCACUUUAGUCUUAAUUUUAACUUUUAUUACUGAUUUAAGGAAAAAAAAUAAUGAAAUUGAUAAGAAAAAGAGAAAAAAACAAAACCACAGGAGGCAAAUUGAUACAUUUUAAACCACAGCGGGGCAAAGUGAGAAACUACGAAACACAGGGGCGGUUUUUUGAAGUUUUCCCUUUAUUUUUUAUAUAUAUUCAAUCUAAUUCUUUUAACUUAUUGUUCGUUGGCCAACUAGUGAGCCAGCUCGUGUUCGGCUCGUUUAUUAAUGAGCGAACACGAGCUGAAUUUUUUGGCUUGAUAUUUAGAGGCCAGUUCUUUCGGCNNNNNNNNNNNNNNNNNNNNNNNNNUUUUUUUUUUUUUUUUUUUUUUCUGUUUUCUGUUUUGAGAGAUAGGUAGCACCCUAUCCGCUUAUUUAUUUUAUUUAGAAAUAAACUUUGCUGGAAAUGUGAAUCAAACUAGGAUAUCGAACUCUGGGUCUAUGGUAGAGAGAGGCAAUCCAGCUCGCUGUUCGGCAGAGCCAGAUCGUGUUCGGCUUAAAAUGAGCUCGAGAUCGACUCGAAAUGAGCUCGAGAUCGACUCGUUCGUUUAAUAACGAGCCGAAUUUUUCGGCUCGUUUAUUAAACGAGCCGAACACGAGCUGGGGUCAGCUCGUCUAUGUUCGCGCUCGAUAACAGCUCGAAUACAUAUUUUAUAUUUAUAAUUUAUUUAGUUUAUAUUUAUAUAUAUAUAAAAAUAAUAUAUAUAAUAUAUAUUAUAUUUAUUUAAUUUUUAGCAAUAAUAAAAAUAAAGGGGAGCUCAUUAUAAAAAAAACUUUUAUAUGUAAAGUUAUCACUAUUAUAGAUAAAAGUCUAAUGGAUAAGAUUUAUAUAGAUUUAUUUUUUAUAAUUCGUUUAAUAAACGAGCCGAACACGAGCCGACCCCAGUUCGCUCAUAUUCUGCUCGUUUACAUCCCUAGUCUUGAGUACCAACCACCAAACUAUUGCCACUUGCUCUAGGGACGAUCGGUGUCAGACUGCUCAAGUUGUUGGAGAAGAAAUUAGGGUGUAUGCAACUCCUCACACUAGCAGAGGUGAAGCCGAAAAAAGAAGAACCAACUGAGCCGCCACCGGAGAAGCCGCCGCCGAAGUCCCCGCCGCCGGCUCCUUGCUCGAAUCCACCUCCUAUAUGUUUUGUGGUUGAUUCCCCUUGCCAGCCCCCAUGGUCUGAUCCUUGCCAUAGUUAGUUAAUUUGGAUUCGGCAAAAAUUCGGUACGGAUAUAAUACGUAUAAAAUUCGUUUUCUAAUUUUUAAAUUCGUUGAAAAAUUCGGCUUAAAAAACGGAUUCGGUAUAAAAUAUAAAAUAUAAGAUAUAAAAUAUAAAAUAAUUUAUAUUUAAAAAUAAAAUUAUAAGUUUUUUAUUUAUAUUUUCAAUAAUUCGGUAAUAAUUCGUGAAUAAUUCGUGAAUUAUUAGCGAAUAAUUCGGCUGGUUUAAAAAUUCGCGAAUAAUUCUCUUUCUUUUGAAAAAUUUCGUAAACGUACCGUUUUAUUUGAAUUUUCAAUAAUUCGCGAAUAAUUCGCCAAUUUACUAACUAGGAUCCUUGCUCCAUUAUGUGAGCAAUGGGGAUUAAUUAAUUAAUGUUAAAUAUAAAAUUAUAUAAACACCGUUCUCUAGCCGCUUAUGUUUUUAGAGUACAAAGACUGUUUCACAUGGUAUCAGAGCAGGAGGUCCUGAAUUCGAAUCACGCCAGGCUCCUAGAAUAUUAAUUUUCUCUUAUUUAAUUCAAGCCCACAUCAUGGGCCGACUAAAAAGUCUCGAGCCCAGACAUGAAGGGGAAUGUUAAAUAAAAUCCGAGGUCCCAAGUUCAAAUCCUAAUUGAUUUAUAUUUUCAGCUAAGUUUAUUUCUAAAUGAAAUAAACAAAGCGGGUAGCAUACUACCUAUCUCUCAAAAAAAAAAAAAAAAGAAAUGGCCAACUAGUGUGAGCACAUGAAAGGAAACACAUAGGUUCGUUUAAAAUUUCAAAGUCUGAAUUUUCACACAAACAGNCUGUGCUUUUAAAAUCAUAGAAACUCAAGUACUUAUAAUUUUUUAACCGUCGGAUAGUCUUAAGAUCCGUACAGCAUUAAUAAAGGAGACUUAAAUAGAUACAAUAUUAAAUAAUACUGUACAGAUUUUGAGAUGAUCCGACAUUUAAAAAAACCAUUAAAAAAUUAACAGUGCAAAAAGCACAUAUGUUGAAUUAGAUUUGAUAGGUGCAAUAUGUGUGAGUUGUACUUAUACACCCAGUGUGGGCAAUAAUAUCUCAAAAAAAAAAAAAAGAAAAAAAAGAGCUUGUUUUCAACAAUAAAUUACUUUUUAGCACAAGUGACCAAUUAUUUAUUUUAGUUUUCCUGAUUUAUACUCUCUGAAUAAUUGCAUACUAUGCUGCUACUAUAUAAGACAAUUAGAAAACCUAGCUAAUAAAACUAACAAUUAGAAUUUAUCUUAAUAUAUAUAUAACAAGCAAACUAAUCAUUUGUACUAUGUUAAUAGAAUAUUUUAAGAAUCCUUCAAACAAAUUAGGGAAAACUUCAAAUACCCCCCUUGUGGUUUCACUCUUUCUCACUUUAGUACUCCGUGGUUUAAAGUGUAUCAAGUUAGUACCCUGUGGUUUUGCAUUUUCUCACUUUAAUACCCUGUGGUUUCACACUUUCUCACUUUAGUACCCUGUGGUUUAAAAACCACAGGGUACAAACUUGAUACAAAAAUAAAACCACAUGCUACUAACUUGAUACAAAAAUAAAACUACAGAGUACUAACUUGAUACACUUUAAACCAUAGGGUACUAAAGUGAGAAAGUGCGAAACCACAGGAUACUAACUUGAUACACUUUAAACCAUAUGGUACUAAAAUGAAAAAGAGUAAAACCACAGGAGGGUUUUUGAAGUUUUCCCAACAAAUUAAUACCCCAACUUGUUCAAACUAAGUGUGCCCGUAAACAAUAAAAUAAAAAUACAAUGUUAAUUUAUCAAAUUUCAUAUUCAAACACUUACUAUAUAUCAAGUCGCAACUUGACUUUUAAAUAUCAAUUGCUCCAAAAAAAGGAGAGCAAAAAUUAAUUAAAUCCAACUUUUGUAAUUCAGAAUUAUUUUAAGAGAGUUUUUUACAUUUUUGAAAUAGUUUUCAUUACAUCUCUGAAAUAUUUUUCAUAGGCUAACAUAUUCCUGCCUAAGAUGUACACAUUGUUAGAUGUGCCUCUAGAUUUUAUUAUCGAUUUCGAUUUUGAACCCUCGAUUCAUCGACAGUUUCACUGUACGAGAAAUUUGAAAAAAAAAAAAAAUUAUAAAGAAAAAGAAUUAGCGUCUAUGAUGGGUGUUAAGAAGCCUCUUUUUCUUUUCUGCUUUAGAUGCGAUACAGCGUAUUGUACUUACAAGAUCUUAUACUUUCUUUUUUUAAGUGAAUUAGUUCUCUUCGAUCUCCUUCUUUCGUAUUCUUUUUUCUAUAAUUUUUUUUUCACAUAAACCCUUAUUUUUAUUUUAUAUUACUGUUUUUGUGAUUUGUCUACUCUGCGAUCGUCAUUUUUCUUUUUUCUUUUUUUUUUGUGCAUUUGUUGUAACACACAUAAUGGGCAAAUUUAUACAUGACAAUGUUUACCAUCAAGUGCAUUACAUUGAAUGAGAAGAGAUCUUCUUAAACCAAUAAAUGACAGAAAUAAACGAAGGAAACUUUUUUUUUUUUUUUUUUAAGAGAUAGGUAGUACGCUACCCAUUUUGUUUAUAUCAUUUAGAAAAAAUUUAGCUGGAAAUGUGAAUCAACUAGGANUUUUAAGAGAUAGGUAGUACGCUACCCAUUUUGUUUAUAUCAUUUAGAAAAAAUUUAGCUGGAAAUGUGAAUCAACUAGGAUUCGAACUUGGGUCUCUAUAAAAUGACAUUAAUUUCCGCUUAUGCCAACUUUGCUAUGCUUUUGCAAAAAACCACGACCGUGAUGAUAACUCAUCUCUUUAUUAAUCCUUUUUAGCACAAAAUAGAGGGUGGAUUUAAUAAAUAGGGACAAUUGCUUAUAUACCCUUGAAAAGUUUCUGACUUUCCGAUUUACCCCUCUUAGAAGGCUAAUAUUGAAAAUACCCUUUCUAUGUUCCAACCUAUUUUUAAUAUACCGCUAGAGUUAAAAUCUGUUAAUUAACUCUGUUAUCUCUAUAAAAUUACUAUUUUGCCCUUUCAAAUAUAUCCUUCCAUCAUCACUGACUUUCUUAUUUAUCCUUAAAGUCAGGGGUACAAAAAGUAUUUUGACUUUUGGUCUUUCCUAAUAUACCCCUCUACCGUCACCAGCAUUUCUUAUUGGCCUUAAGUUAAGGAUAAAAUUGACAUUUUAAUUUCUUUUAACUGUGGUAGAUAUUUAACUCACGUUUAACCCAAGUUAACUCAACAGGAGAUAUCUGUGAGAGUAUUUUGAAAUAACGGUGGAACAUAUGAGAGGUAUUUUAUAAAGAAAAAAAAAAGUAGGAGUAAAUCGAAUAUUUUCAAACAUAUAAAUGGUAUAUAGGCAAUUAUCCCUAUACAUAAAUACAUAAAUUUGGAACCCAGAGGAGGGCUCCCUGUUUUUUUUUUUUUUUUUUUUCUCCGCUUUCGCACACUCUCUUACUCUCUCUCACAAUGCCAACAUCAAUUUUUUUAAAGGAUUAAUGCGCAUUGACCCCAAUCUUUCCACGCUUUUUUAUUUUGGUCCCUAAUCCCUAAACUUUUCAUAAUUUUCACUUUAGUUCUCAAACAAUUUUUUAGAAAAUUAAUUUAUAUAAUAAUAUAAUAUUUGAUAGUUGAAUCUUUUUAUAGUGUAAAAAAUAUCUAUUUUGGUUUCGAAUGCUUUUUAAUUAGUCUUAUUUUUUUUGCUACUGAUAAUUACCUACUGAUUUUUUCACUAAUUUAAAAUUUAUGAAUCAAAUACCUUUUUAGUUGUAUUUGUAACGAUAAAAGUUUAUGAGGGUACAAUAAAGAUGUUGCCGUCAAAAAUACCAAAAAUAGUACUUUCAUUCCACUUAAUUUUUUUAUUUUUAUUUUUUAUAAAUUCUACCUUAAUGAUGAUAGAAAAAUAUUAUUUAUUUUUUUAAUAUUAUAAUGAACUUUUGUUUUAUUUUAAACUGAUUUAUUCAUUUUAUUUAUUAGGUUUAAAUACUUUUAGAAAGAAAUAUAUUUUAAUUUUAUUUUUUAAUUUAUUCUUUAAUUUUUAAUUAUUUCAUACUGAGAUAAAUAAUAUUUAAAAAUAUUAAUGUAUAAUAGAAAAAAAUAAUGUUAGUAAUUAUAAUAAUUUACUAUUAUAUUAUCUCCCCGCUGCAUCGACCUCUUUUUAUUUUGGAGGGUUGUGGGGUCCAAAUCAAUUUUUUUAAGAAUUAAUUGCACAUUGGGUUCCAAUCUUUCCACUCUUUUUUAUUUUGAUCCCUAAUCUCUAAACUUUGCAUGUUUUCGCUUUAGUUCACAAAUAAUUUUUUAAAAAUUAAUGUAAUAAUAAUAAUAUAAUAUUUGGUAAUUGAAUGUUUUACAGUGCAAAAAAUAUUUAUUUUGAUUUUGCACGCCUUUUGAUUAGUCUUAUUUUUUAUGCUUCUGAUAAUUACCUACUGAUUUCUUCACUAAUUUAAAUUUAUGAAUCUAAUACUUUAUUAGUUGUAUGUGUAACGAUAAAAGUUAAUGAGGGCACAAUGAAGACGUUGCCACUAAGAAUACCAAAAAUAGUACUUUCACUCUGCUUAAUUUUUUUUUUUGUAAAUUCUAUUUUUAUGAUAACAGAGAAAUAUUAUUUAUUUUUCUUAAUAUUGUAAUGAACUGUUGUUUUAUUUUAAACUGAUUUAUUCAUUUUACUUAUUAAGUUUAAAUAUUUUUAGAAAGAAAUAUACUUUAAUUUCAUUCUUUUGUUUAUUCUUUAAUUUUUAAUUAUUCAAUACGAAGAUAAAUAAUAUUUAAAAAUAUAUAUUAAUCCAUAAUAGAAAAGAAAAAAUAAUGGUAAUAGUUCUAAUAAUUUACUAUUGUAUUGGCUUCCCGCCGUAUCGUGCGGGGUCCCUAAACUAGUUCUAAAAAUUUGUGACAGCAAAAAAAAAAGUUGUUUCUAAAUUUUUUGGAAACACUUUAAAUAUAAGGAUUGCGAACAAUUUAUUAUUCAUUUCUACAUCUUUUAAGAUGCAAAAUUUCACUUAAAAAAUAAAAAAUAAAUGUAAUAUCAAGAACUAGGCCGGAAUACUGUUAAUAGCACCAAACUAUUCUAAAUAAAAUAAUUAGCUUUAUAUCAUAAUUAGGAAAUUUUUACAAAAUAAACAAACUGUAUAAUUUUGUAAGAGUAUGAGUACCUACUAGAUAGAAUGUGAAACCAGUUUUUUUUUAUUUUUUAUUUAUACAAUAAUUAUAUAUAUAACAUGAGAAAUUUUAUGAGUUGCUAAUUUGUGAUUUGACAAUGUAUUUUUUGAUGAGAAAUUUUAUGUCUAUACAGAUGAAUUGUUGUUUUGCCUAAUUGUUGUUUUGCCAAGUUCAUCACUACAUAUUGUGACUCAUAAAAUAUUAGGUUAGAAAUUUGUUUAAUAUAUGUUGUGCCCUUUGUGGAUUAGAAUCAUAUAUCCGACCCUGAUUAUUGAAUUACUAGGGAAAUCCUAUUAAGUGACAAAACCGAAAAGAUCUAGUUCGUCGGGUGCGAAAAUACCAAAAGAGAUUCGAGAAAGAGAGAAGAAAAAAUAAAUCACACAAUAUUUACGUGGUUCGGCCACCGGCCUACGUCCACGGGCGAAGACGGAGCGGAUUGAUAUAUCUUCAUUGUAAUCAAAGUGGUGUACAAAAUAUGACUCUCUCACAAAACCCUAAUCCUAAAAAUACAUCCAUAUUCUUUCUCUCAUCUUCCGCACUAAAUUAAUGGAAUAAAGGGUAUAUUUAUAAUAGUGGCUAAAUCCUAAUAUAACUAGGAAUACAAACCCACUAAAAUUAGGAAUAGCUCAAUAAAAUUAGGCAUAAUCUAAACUUAACUUAAUGAGAUAAUAAUCAAAACAGAAUAGGAUUAGAAAACCUUGCGCUACUAGAAUUCGAGACAUAUUUAACAGAAUUGGUAAGGAAGUUGAUUCCAUUGAUGCAACUUCUCUUGAAGAUUCCGUGAAGACGAUAAUGUUGGAAGGCACCAAAAGUCAUUGAUUGGAAAUAUUUUGUUCGUUUUACCUUUUCCAUUGGAGCGGCAACCGCCGGAAGAGAUUUGUGAAAAAUUGAGGGGCUUAACUGCGAAUUUCCAUUUUUGAGGGGAGUAAAGGGUAAAUCAUGAUAUUCCAGGGGGUUUCUGCAUUGUAGCAUAAGCAUUAACUACUUAUUGUAACUUUUUCAUUAAUUAGAAAUUUGAUAUGGUGGUUACCAGUGUAACUUGUCUAUACUUCUUUUCUUUUCUUGACAUUGUCAUACCUUUCAUGCUUAUCUAUCUAUAUCCGCUUUGAUGAGGAAACGCCUUCUACCUAACUUGUUUAAGUAACUAAAAAUGUUUAAGUCAAGAAUUUAAGUGCCCAUACCGACUGUAAAGAGAUUAUCCGCAGUAAGGGUCCUUUUUCUGAGGACGAGCUGGUAGAUCACUUUCACUUUUAAUGGUAUCCGCAGUCUCCAUAUCUUGCUAGCACGGGCAUCCCUCGUGCCCCCGUCACACAACAUAGAAUAAGUUGACUGCACCGUAAAGCGGCCGUCAGGAUCCCAUCGCUAAUGCACACUGUCUGGGCCCUGAUCAAUUCUAAGAUUGGAGAUCCUUACCUUAAAUGCUGACAAACUAGAAUUUAAUCCAUGGUCAUUAUUGUCAACACUACCCAGAAUCUUGCACCACCACCAUUCAUUGUUCCUCAAGCACUCGCAGAUUUUGAGAUUUUUGCGAAUCGAUAGUUGAAACACCUCCGGAAAAGACAGUUGCAGUGUGGUUUCCCUACACCAACGAUCUAACCAAAAGUCAAUAUUGCGACCAUUACCCAACUUAUAAAAAAUUCCCCAUUUGAAGAUUUCCUUCUCGCUUAAAAUUCUCCUCCACCAAAAAGAGGAAGGUUUAAAAGAUCUUCCCUCCUCAAUGGUCUUCUUUUAUGGUAAUGCAUAGAAUGAAUUAUUUUGUUCCAAUGCAGUUGAGGCGAGUUGUGAAAUUUCCACCACCAUUUAACUAGGAGCGCUUGGUUCAUCAUGCCUAUAUCCAGGAUGCCGAGUCCCCCUUCCUUCUUACUCCUACAAACGCUUUUCCAAGCAAUUAGACCUCCUUUGCCAGGUGAGUUACGGCCUCCAUUCCAGAAGAAAUCUCUCCGAAGCGCCUCAAUACUGUUGAAUGCCCAUUUCGGUGCCCUAAACUAAAAAUGUUUAAGUCAAGAAUUUAAGUGGUCAUCACCGACCGUCCCUAGAGCAAGUGGCAAAGGACUUUGUGGUUGGUACCCGAGACCCAAGUUCGAAUCCUAGUUGAUUCACAUUUCCAGCUAAGUUUAUUUCUAAAUGAAAUAAACAAAGCGGGUAGCGUGCUACCUAUUUCUCAAAAAUAAUAAAGGAGGCGAUAAAAAAAAACCAUGUAGUCACAGUUUCANAAAAUUUAAGUGCCCAUCGGUAUGGCCCGUGCUGACCAUGCCGUAUUGUACUGCCAAGAUAUCGAUGAGUUUAGACAUUGGCAUAUUGCUAGUUUUUUGUAGUCGGUGUAAAGUUGGUGCAUAUUUGUGAUAAAUUAAUUGUAGACAUGCGACAACUGUUAUGCCUUGGGUUCGGGGCGUGACAUCUAGUGUCGCCAAAAUGUGGAUGUGGAGAUAAUAUGUGCAGAGUUAAUUGACAAGAUAGUAUAAGAAUGCUUAUUUGGCACAAAUUUGGUGUAGAAUCUUAGAGGGCGAGUUGCACGAAAGCUAGUUAAGAUGAUUUUCAUCCCUCAUCUUCGAUGUUCACAUUUUCGCCCUCAUCUUUUGAAUGUCUAGAUGCUUUUUGUGCUAGUUGAGUCAUUUGGGUUUGAUGUGACGAACUGUUUAUUUCUCAGAGUAAGAGGUAGCUGUUGAUCAAAACAGAGAUUGUUUCAGGAGUUUCUCUGCAUUCCAAAAUUAGUGUAGCCAUUUAUUAAAUUGCAGGAGUUCAGAGGCGUGUGAUUAAGGUUUUAAGUGCCCGUCGGUACGGACCGUAUCCACCGUACCGUACCGUACCAACAAGAUACCGGCACGAUACAGACUCUGUGCCGAUGACACAGUUCAAAACCCUCUAUUCUUUAAAUUAGUAAGUAAUUUUCUCAAUAAAGCUCAAAAGAUGUGAUAAAAAGACAUAAUAAAUAGUUAGAAUAUUUUGUUGCUAAAAAAAAUAAAUAUUUCAUGUUACUAUGUGUGGGCACAUAAGAAUUUUUUGACCGGCACGCAUCGGCACGACUCGGCAUGCACCGCGCCGGCAAGUUUCCGGCACGACCCCAUGCCACGGCACUUAAAUCCUUGCAUGUGAUGCUUUUAUCUCUUUCUUUUAUUCCUAGCUCGUUCCCUAGUCAGGACGAAGGUUUUGUCCUUGUCCAUUGAACUAGUUCAAUUGUUUUAGCUUUCCGUUUUAAUUUUUUCUCAGUGCACGUAAUUUUUCUGUGAAAAUUGUAAUGAGACUAAUUAAUCUUCUUCCUUGACGGAAGCAAGAAUAAAGAGAAUUUAUGAGCUAGUUUUAGGUAACAAUGCGGCGAUUCCCUCACUCACAGAUAAAAUUGCCGGAGGAUUCGUAGAAGACUUUGGAAGCGCGCUACCAAAGUCGUCUGAAUCGGUGGGUGGCGUGGUUGCGGAACAACCACUGCAGCAAUCCAUGGUUGGGCUUAGGAGUUCUUGCGGCGACUGUCGUGCUUUUCUGCACUCUAGUGCAGACGCUGAUUGCGGUCUUGUCCUACAUAAACCCACCAUGAUCUUGUCAGAAGCAAGGAUUUAAGCGCGUAUUGGCACGGGCUGUAUCCAUCGUGCCAUAUUGUACCAGCAAGAUAUUGGCAGGAUACAGUCUCAGUGCUGAUGACAUGGCUCAAAAUUCUCUUUUCGGCACGAUCCUGUGCCACGACACUGAAAUCCUUGAUCUGAAGCAUGCUGUAUAUUGAAAUAGAUAUCUGCAUUUUAAAAGUUUUUAUUGUACAAACUAACCUUAAUAGUGUUUUCGAAAUUGGUACCUAUUUUACUACCUAAUCUUAUCGCUAUCUGUAGCAUUCGAUAAAUUAUUCUAUAAAUAACAGGAUAUUGUGUUACAUGACGAAAUAUAUAUUUUUAUAAUGUUUACAAAUACUCUACGGUGAGGUUAGGUGAUAAAAUAAAAAUUCCUCAAAAGUUUAGGUAUCAAUUUCAAAAGCUUUGAAUACUCUACGCUGUGUUUGAGUCAUUUACUUUGUGUUAUGUCCAAUAUAUUACGUACGUGGCUAUAAGUCUCGUAUGUCUGUGUCGGACUCGUGACCGACGUGGACGCGCCAUGAACAUGUAUGCAUAUAUACAUAUUUUAGCCAAAAAUUCAUUUUAAAUUUUUUUGCAUGCAUUUUCAAAUAUGGCUAUAGGUGAGGGGUCUCCAUGCACUUUGGUUUGGUUUGGAUUAUACACACUCUUUCCAUUUUUGUAUGCAUAUAUACAUAUUACAUUACUUCUUAUCACAAUACUCAAAAUUUUGUUGUGUUAAUUAAAAUUUUUCGGCAUGUAAUAUUAUGCGUAAUAACUCACUUUUGAUUCCUAAAUCAUUAAUUAAGUCAUAAGAAAUCUAAUUUACAAAAAUAAGAAUGUCGAAAUCGAUAGGCCGAAUCGAUCCAACCCGAGUUAUUUCCGGUUUAAUUCGGUUCCGUUUGAGGAUAAAUUGGCUCGACUCAGUUUUGGUUUGAAACUUCUUGCGUACUGAACUAGACGCGGAAUCGAAAACACACUUAGGGCGUGUUUGGUUCGCCCCUUUUUUACCCUGGAAUCGGAAUUGGAAUGGACGAAUCUGUUUGUCCGUAUUUGGCAUGCGGCAUUCCCAUUCUAAUUCUGAUUUCCGGGUCAAUGGGAAUCUCUCAAUUACCCAUUUUUCCAAUCUGGCUUAGGAGACGGAUUGUGUGAGACCCCGGGUAGUCCUAUAUAUAAGAUAUAAUAGGGCUAAACUCUUAACCCGGCUUAAGCAUUUUGGGUGGUGACAAGGCCCAAGAGGUUAAGAGAGUUAAGCGUGCUAGGACGGGAGUAGUCCUAGGAUGGGUGACCCCCUGGGAUGUUGGGGCGUCACAGAUUGAAAAUUAAAUUCGGGCAGAAUGGAUUUGUUCGGAUUAAAUUUAACUUUUUUAAGCUUAUUUUCUAAUUAAAACAUAAUUUUAAGUUUAAAAAACUUAAUUAAAAUCUAAAUUUUUAUUCAAAUUUUAUUUAAAAUUAAAAUUAAAUAUAUGGAUUCAAAUUGAAAUUGAAAUUAUAAUUUUAAGUUUGAAUUUGAAUAAAUAAAAAUUGAGUUUUAUGUUUUGAAUUAUCCGUUCAAUCUCAAAUCAUUAAUUUUUUAGAAAAAUAUAUUUAAAAUUGUGACAUCAUUUUAAAAUUUUGACGUAAAUUUUGUCACGCCCCGAAUUACCAAACCCCUUUACCCUUUAAAAACCUUUGUCACAAGAAAGGACCAAGGAGUGUAGUUGAUUCAAUGCAGAUUAACAACAAUUGGUUGUGCGAUAUCCGAACCUGUCAAUAUAAAAUAAAAUUUAAAUACGAAAAGAAUAAUAUUAAAGAAAAUUUAAAUACAAAGAGAAUGUGGUAGAUGUUGGGAAUCUAGUACUCCCCUUGAUACCAGAUUUUGUGAAUCCGCGACAUGCUCUGAUACUGAUUGUUGUUGAUCCGUACUCGCACCAGUACCAGUUGUUGGGAUUCCGCAACGGAAGCGUCAAAUUGAAUUUUUACCGUAAAUCCGUCUCCUUAGCAAAAGCUGAUAAAACCAAAAAGGAGAGAAAAAACCAAACAGGAAAUAUAUAGUUAAAAUAAGAUUCAUUAACCAAGAGAAGAAUUACACCUGACGCUUCUUCUACAUCAAGUAGCUUCAACCCGAGUCAUCUUUUUAAAUCUCUCACCCCUUUGGCCGUACUCUCCUCUCGAAGCAACUAAAAAGUUGCAUACCAUAACCGACCGUCCCUAAAGCAAGUGGUAAAGGGCUUGGUGGUUGGUAUCCGAGACCCAAGUUCGAAUCCUAAUUGAUUCACAUUUCCAGCUAAGUUUAUUUCUAAAUGAAAUAAACGAAGCGGGUAGUAUGCUACCUAUCUGUCACGCCCCGGAUAGCACUUUUUCCGGGCACGCUAAUAGAUCCGCCGUAUACAAGAAAUUUUUCCUGUAUACGAAGCAAUCACAGUAUCUGUAAACAAACAAUGCUACAAACAGUAGCGUAGAGCUGUAAAGAACUAAGCAGGUAGAACCAAAAAGAAAGCAUCUCAAAUGUAUACAUACUAUACAAAGUACAAACCACUCGCUCCAGCGAGUUCAGUAUCAGUAUGUACAUAAUAUCGAAAAAUAAAACUCUACUACCUGCAACUGGGGAUCCUCUAGCACGGCGACUAAUCAGGUAGGGCUCUAGCUCGCGACACCCUUCCCUCGAUCGGUCUCAGAAGCUGCAGCCGCCGGAACAGAAGGCUCUGCAAAACACAGGGAGCAACUGGGCGUGAGAACUACUGUAAAAACAAGUAGUCCUCAGUGGGUACCGCCCUCAACAUCAUCGGCUUACCCACUAAAACUACAGUAGGAAACAAGGCUGGAAAGUAAAGCUGGAAAGAAAUCUACAGCUAUAUGCCACUACACUAUUCUACUGUAUCUAAUAUGCACUUGACCCAAUCGCAUUUCAAACUGAUUCACCACAAAUCUCAUUUGAGCUGUCCAAACGGACCCACUCUGCCUGUAAUCAGCUAUGCUGUACACCACCCCGCAAGUGGCCGGCGCAUAACUAUUUAACAGAAACUGCGACACCGAUCGCACUGAAACAUCAUUCCGGAAUGGCUCUCGUGGGCGCGACCCAACGAGAUUACUGUCAAUCUCAGGCUGCCCUCACAGGCUAAGUCAAGCAAUAGGUCUCACUGAACCACUAACCACUAUCCACGUGCCCUCGGCACAAUCAAAUCUCAAAAUGAUCAAAUCCGGGUCCACCGUCAACCACGACGGCACCCACUAGUCCAGAACAGUCUAAACAUGACUAUAAAAUAAACUCGGCAUCCCAGCACGAGUGUAACAGUAAACUAAACUACCUGGGGUACUCACAACCCGAAUACAACAACUGUAUAAAAAUACAACGGCCCCUAAGGCUAAAUCAGGUAAUUCCACAUAUGCCAGGUUCCGAACGCUGGUUUUCUCCUAUGUUUUAUCCAAGUCCCAUAUGUAUGAUUAAUAACAACUAAUAACAUGCUCCCAAUUCAGUUUAUAUGUCUAAAACAUACCUACUCAUGAAUUUGAGCUAAACAAUAACAACUUAUAAUAUUAACGAUACAUGUCGAUGAACAAUAUUAUAGGAGUAGGAUUCCGAUAAUAAACCCACCUCAAAAGCUAAUCCAGAACAGUGAAAAGUCGAUAGGAGAAGAACUUUUCAUGCUCGCUCGGCCUCCAACGGCACUACCACGACGCACACACGCUCCAACAGAUCGCCGGCGCGAAGUUGACGUCGCUCCAAGCUCAACUGUGGCCUCCACGAGCUCUCCACUUCAAUCUAGAGAGAGAGAGGAAUUGCUAAACAUCAAUAUCCCUCACUGCCUCUCAUAGCUAAAUAGGCCACAAGAUAAUGAUGCAUGGGGGUGCACGUGGCAUCCAAAACCACCCCCAUGCAUCAUCAACCGACUAAGUAAAUAAAUAAANGGCCUCCACGAGCUCUCCACUUCAAUCUAGAGAGAGAGAGGAAUUGCUAAACAUCAAUAUCCCUCACUGCCUCUCAUAGCUAAAUAGGCCACAAGAUAAUGAUGCAUGGGGGUGCACGUGGCAUCCAAAACCACCCCCAUGCAUCAUCAACCGACUAAGUAAAUAAAUAAAUAAAAAAAUAAAAUAAAAUAAAAUAAGGAUACUACACUAUCUCUCAAAAAAAAAAAAUUGCAUACCAUAGAGCUAUAUAUAAAACUCUCCUAAAAUGUACCCCAAUCCUAGUAUAAUUAGGAUUCCUGUUCUAAGUAAUAUCUAAAUCCAUAUGAAUUUAUCUCCAUAGAUUUAAACAUUUAUCCUAAUUCAACUAGGAAUCAACUACAAAGCUAGCCAAAUCCUAAUAGUAUAGAAUUACUGGAGAUUUAGGAGAUCAUCCCAACAAAGAUUUCGUGGAGAGCCAAAAGUGCCCUUAAAGUAUGCGAAUCUAUCCUUACUCCAAUGAAAGAGUUGAUCGAAGGGCUAAGUGAAAGCAUAAAUUUUAGGGGCAAUUGCUUAAAAACCCCUGAAAAGUUUCUGACUUUCUAAUUUACCUUUCUUAGAAGGCUAAUAUUGAAAAUACCUUUUUUACGUUCCAAUCUAUUUCAAAUAUACCCCCAGAGUUAAAAUCUGUUAAUUAACUCUGUUAUCUGUAUAAAAUUACUAUUUUGCCUUUUUCAAAUAUACCCUUAUACCAUCACCGGCUUUUUUUAUUUGUCCUUAAGUCAGGGGCACAAAAAGUAUUUUGACUUUUGGUUUCUUCAAAUAUACCUAACUACCGUCGCCAACAUUUCUUAUUUGCUCUCAAGUUAAGGGCAAAAUUGGCAUUUCAAUUCCGGAAGAGAGAAUUCGAUAAGGAUCACCCCCAUUCUCACUUGGACGUAAGAUUUAGUGACGCGCGCGGUACUGGAAAUUCCGUGUCUGCACAUUGAGGAGAACACUCUCUCGCUUUUCAGGAACUUGAUCGCUUUCGAGCAGACAUGUCCUGAAUUCGGGAACGACGUACUUCACGAGUUAUAUUCUUUUCAUGUCGCAGCUUAUCAGCAUGCCCGACGAUGCCACGCUACUUUCUCGGAAAGGAAUUGUUGUGCAGCAACUGCGUUGCGACGAAGAGGUGUCAACUCUUUUCACCGAACUGCGUAAAGAUGUCGUCCUUGAUUUCGACGGUGAGUACUACCUGAAGUCUAUGUCGAGCGCUUUGGAAGCGUGCUACCAGGGUCGUUUGAACCGGUGGCUGGCCUUAGGAGUGUUUGCGGCGACCAUCGUGCUUUUCUGCACUCUAGUGCAGACGCUGAUCGCCGUCUUGUCCUACGUAAAGCUGCCGUGAUCACAUCAUCGGAACGCUAAACCGACACUUCAGAUAUUCCGAUCAUGCAGCCGUUUUGCCUAUUUUUUCUUCGUCUUCUGGAUAACAUGGUAUCAGAGACAAUUCGAAGCUCCUGCCGUUCUAUAUGCAUAGACCGUUUUCUAUCAGAUUGAUUUUUUGGGUAACAGUAUCAAACGAACCAAGUUGAGUGCUCUUGAUGCUCUUCUUCUCUACAGGUUUUUGCCCUUUUGCUGUGCUAAUUUUGGUCCUCUUCUCAAUUUAUUCUCCAUAGGUUUUUGCCUUUCAAUUGUCUUUGCAUACAAAUUAAUUAUAUCGAAAAAAAAAAAACCAUUUGAAGACAGGGCCAAAAUUUUAUGGGGACAACCCACAUAGUGAGAUAGUCCCAUUCAUUGUUCAUCAUGCUUUGAGAUAUGUGUAAUGGACUAUGGAUGAGACCGUCUCACUUUGGCUGAGUGGAUUGUAAGGUGUACAUGUAGGGCUGGUAAUCCAACUCAUGUUCGCAAUCGGCUCGAAAUGAGCUCGAGAUCGAUCGCACGAACUGGGGCCAGCUCGCUUGUGUUUAGCUCGAUAUAGCUCGAUAUAGCUCGCUUGUGUCAAAUAUAUAUAUUACAAAUUUCUACUAUUUCGAUUUUAGGCCCAUCCAAAUGUAAGGAGAGCAAUAUUUUGUGAAUUUCAGUUAUUAUAUUAAGAUUUUCUUUCAACUUUCUAUCGAGUAGCAAGGCUGACGAUCUAAUUUAUUGUUGGCGAGACCAGCUUGUGUUCGUCUCGCUAAUAAACAAGGUGAACACCAGCUGUAUUUGAGUCAUGUUCUCUGUUAUGUCUAAUGUGUAUUAUAGAUGCAGCUAUAUGAGCCUCGUGUGUUCGUGUCGGACCUGUGUCCGACAUAUUCAAUCUGCGUCUGUGGCGCAUCCUAUAAAAGUUUAUCUUUUUAUUUUUUUUUUUUCUAGGGAAAGCUUCGAAAACCCCCCGUGGUUUCGUACUUUCUCACUUUAGUAACUUGUGGUUUAAAGUGUAUCAAUUUGAUACCCUGUAGUUUCAUUUUUAUCUUUCCGGUAGAUUUUUCGUUAAUAUUUCGUUAAAUUAUAUACAAAAAACUUUAGAUAUCUACCUAGGUUUAUCGAAUAUUCACUUUAGUACCCUUUAAUUUUAAUUUUGUCACUAAUUUAAGAAAAAAAUAGUGAAAUUGAUAAUAAAACGAGAAAAAUGAAACCACAUGUCACUAAAUUGAUAUAUUUUAAACUAAAUUGAUACAUUUUAAACCACAGGGUACUAAAUUGAAAAAGUGCGAAACCACAGUGGAGUUUUUUGAAGCUUUCCUUUUUUUCUAUGCAUAUAUUAUAUGAGAUGAUAAAUAUUUUGACAUUGUGAUGAAUGCAUAUAAGCUCUAGAAUUUUUUUCUUAAAAUAUAUGAACUCUUAUCAGAAUUUAUUAAGUUUCAUUAUGAAAAUAUAACAAUAUUUUGUGAAAUUAGUAUUUUAUAUAUAAUAAAUAUAUAUUAUUGUAUUAAUAAUAUUAUAUUUUAUUAGCGGUGCUCAUAUUUAAUCCGUAUUCUAAUUUUCUGAAAGCUGUCGAUUCGUCGUGUCUGAAUCGUGUUGUAUCCUAUGCCGUUAAUUUCAAAUAAUUGAUUAUGCUUAUACCAUUUGUUACCAAAUAUUUUAUGAAAUUUCAUGAGUUGUUGAAUUUUGGUUUCUUUCAAUUAAAAUGUUAAAUCUCUAUUUUAAUUGGCUGGUUCAAAUUUAUAAUUAAUUUUUCUGAUGAAAUAAUGAUGAGACAUCUAAUUCAAUUUAGUUAUAUCAACUACAAAAUUAUUUCGAAAACUUUGAUUUAAUUUUCUUGGUGUGAUAAAUUAAUUUUAAAAUACUAAUUUUUAGACCAAAUUAAGUGGGAUAGAAGUUUCCAAAUUUUAUUUUCCAUAAAAUAGAAAAUAAGAAUUAGCAAAAAUAUACCAUAAAUAAAAUUAAAAUUACACUAACCUAAGAAAAAAAAAAAAUUCAACCGGCUUGCUCAGAAUCGAGCUAGUUCACUGGUUCGCUGGUUGAGCCAACGAUUUGAAUGAUUCAAAAUGAGUUUUUACCUUAUCCGAUUCAAAUGCUGAACUGAACUGUUUUAUUAACUAUAAUUGAUAAAUGUAUAAUUUCAUAUAAAUUGUGUAUUCGAAUAAUUGGCGAAUCUGUUUUUUAAGCCGUAUUUUUUAACGAAUUUAAAAAUUGAGAUACGAAUUUUAUUCGAAUUAUAUCCGUACCAAAUUUUUGCCGAAUCCGAAUUAACUAACUAUGCACUAGAACAAAAAUGGUGUAGUAAGUGAUCUUUCUCUAUUUCGUUAUAAGAGGUAUUGCACUCUAUUAAUAAUAACUGAGUUUAAGCAUUUUGAGCCGAUGGUUUGAAUCCAACGAAUUUAUUAUUGCUAGCGGGUUAGGUCGUUAUAUUUGUUGUUUCUGAAAGGUUUAGUGGCUAAGUCGAAGAGGUCAAACUACUGGGUAGCAAAAAAAUAGUUGCUUCUGCAAGCUACUCCCAAGUUCUUUAAAUCUCAUAUUAGUACCACCACUAUUAAGGACGAACAUUUGAAAGCCAAAUACUCGAUGCAGUAAAAAUAAAUGCUGAAACAUAAAAAGAAUACCGAGUUUUAACAUGGAAAAACCUCCAAACAGGAGUAAAAUCUCACAGGACUGAUUACGCGACAACAAUUCACUAUGAAGAAAAAAAAUUGCAUGGUGAUUACUGAUUCCAAGGACUCAAACCUAUCUGAUUCUUCUUAAGAUCUCGCAACUCCACUGACUGGUCCACACCCAUGUUCGUAUACUAGAACGCCACAUUCCGAAUCUAUGGAACGCCUCCACUUUGAAUCCACAAAGCCUUUAAUACACAGAAUCCAUGAUGCCUCUGUUCGGAGAAAGUUGAAGAAAGUUGGCGGCGAUUCCUUACUUAAGAGGAUCAUGAAGGAACUGUGGAAGGAGUCUCUGAGCAAUGACCGGAUCAAUUCUCUAUGUAAAAGAGAAAUUAGGGUUCUGCGAAUCGAUCCGGAAGAAACCUGUUGAAGAAAAUAUGCGAAAAAGGAACCAACAAGCUUUUAUUUAGGGUUUCUCUCUGGAUAAAUCUAUCAAAUCCAUGUGUUAGAGAAUCCCUACAUAACAUAUUUAUAACUUUAGAAAACAAAACAAAAAAAAAAACCAAUAUGGAAACUGAGAUUUGCAUGAUUUCGGACCUUCAUACAAAAUUCCAGCAUUUUACGAUUCGGUUCCGAAACUCAUAAGACCGGUUGUUGAACUGAUUCCGUGCGUUUCUCUUCGUUGUGAAACGACUGACCGACGUUCGUGAACAGAAUUUUCGAUGACCAAAGGUGGAAGCUGCGCAGAUGACAAAAGAAUCAAGUUAUUACCGGUCGCGAAGUGAGACCCGUGAUAAGGGAACUGAAAUUUGCAUGAUCUACAAAGUCGAUGACGAUAGGACCGCUUACGAUCCGCUCAUUUUAUCUGUCGGUCCUUUUUGCUCGACGGAUGCUUUCUGCUCGUGUCAUUGUACAGGACAGAAGGGAUCGAAUUAUGCACGCCGGAGGAAUACGACGAGAGUACUGUCUGUCGGGAAAAUGAACAUGCAAAGAAUACGGCAGGCAGCACGAAAAUCAAGACUCCGCGGACCAGGCAUUUGCAGAGCGCGGCAUUCUGUAGUAGUGCAGCGGAAAGCCGCCGUGAUCACAUCGUCGGACCACUAAACCCACAGUUCAGAUAUUCCGAUCAGUCAUUUUUCACACUUUCUUGAUCUUUUGGAUAACAUGGUAUCAGAGCCAGUUUGAAGCUCCCGCCGUCCUACAUACAUAGACCGUUUUCUAUCCGUUUGAUUUUUUUGGCAAACCAAAUUGAUGCGUAUAAUUUAAUUAUAUAUAUUAGAAAAAAAUAAAUAUACAAAAAUAGGGCAAAAAUUUCAAUGGCAAGUACUUAUAGUACUUUUCUGUAGAAUAUUUUUUUUAAAUAAUUUUUACAAAUAGUCAAAGGUUAGGUAGUAAAAUCGAAAAUUUCAAAGUUUAGGUACCUAUUUCUAACGCACGGUAGGGCCAUGUUGUAAAAUUUUUAAAAUACUGAUACCUAUUUCAAAAUGCGCUAUAGUUCAGGUAAUAUCUAUACAUUUUCACUUUUUUAUUGUAUUUAAUUAAUCUUUAUACUGUAUUUUAGAUUUAUUUUUAUUUUUCUAUCUCGUACUAUACAUUUUUUUCUCGUAUAUAUUACUAAAGUAUUAUUUUUUCUCGCCAAUCUCUACAUUUUGUUAACAAAUUUAUUAUUUUAGAUAACAGUUAGCAACUUUAUUAAGUGAUAUUUAUUAAAUAGUUGAAAAAAAUAUAAAAUAAAUCUGUAUGAUAGGCUCAUUAAAAGUUUUUAUCAUUUUUUUUUUUGGUUAUUUUUAUGUAUUUUGUUAUUUUUUAUAUCAAAAUGAGUUGUAUAUAUGCUAUGUAUUUGUUAACUAGUAUAUUUUUAACAGUUUUAUAUAAAAUUAUAGUUUUAUUUAUUCUAAUAUAGGAAUUUUUUUUAAAAAAAAAAGAAUAGUCGAAUCAUGUUUUUGAAAAAAAAAUAAUUAGAAAAUGAAAAUAUAUAAAGUAUAGUGAGUAUGGUGUAAUUAAGUUUUUUUUUUAUAGUGUAUUAAUAGCUUUUUCUUUUUUAUUAUGUUAAUUGCACCGUUAAUCCCCACCUGUCACGCCCCGGAUUACACUUUCCCUGGGCACGCGACAAAUCGCCGUAUACAAAGGAAUUUCCCCUGUAUACGAAGCGAUAGCUGUACCUGAAAUCAAACACUACUACGAACAGUAGAGGGAGCUGCUAGAGAAAACAGAAACUAAACCAGGUGAGUUUCAUAUACUAGUCCAAAUCCAAAAUACAAAGCUACUCGCACUAGCGAGUAGGUCCACUAUGUACAAAAGCUCGAAACAAAACAUCUACCUGAGUAGGCACUCUAGCUCAACACGUCGGUAGGCUCUAACUCGCGACGCCCUUGCCUCGAUCCUGAUCUGGCGGAAGCGCGCAGCAGCGAAACCUGUGGCUCUCAAAACAGGGUAACAACUGGGCGUGAGAAACUACUGUAAAAACAAGUAGUCCUCAGUGGGUACCGCCAAAACAACAUCGGUCCACCACUAAGUCUACAGAAGGGAGCAAGAAUAGGGGGAAAAGCAGGAAAUAAACUCAACCGCUACAAAUCACUUACUAUCAUGCUCUACACUAACCAGCUGUAGAAAUGUCAAAUCUGACCCAAUCCAAUCGGACUGUAAGCAUACCCGUCCCGGACUGUGAAUACACCCGUCUUCCUGCCCGUUGCGCUAUCAGGCUCUAUCCACACUACUGGUCCGUGGAGAGCAAGUCCAACUGGCAUGAGCGACACCAACGCAAAAGCACUAAACCCGCCUCCGGAGUGCACUCGUGGGGCUACCCAACCGAGUAUGCAGCGUGUCUCUGUCGAGCUCAAACAGGCUCCAACUAGCCAAAGUCAAGUGAACAGCGUCAAAAAGGUCUACAAACCAAACCCACGUGCCCUCGGCACAAUCUGUGACCAAAACAAGAAUCUGGGUCCACCGCUAACCCGAACGGCACCCAAUGACCCGAAACAAGCCUAUACUCUGCUGAAAAAAUAAGCUCGGCACCUCAGCACGAGCGUAAAUGCAUCUAAACUUACCCAGGUAUCCAUCGCACUAAUACGCAACGAUACAAUCGAAAACGGCUCCUAGAGCUAAAUCUGGUAGUUUAAGCAUAUACGGGUCAAAACGCAGGUUCUCCUAAGCUCAAAAUUUCAAGUCCAACAUUAUAAUCUAAAUAUUCAUUUCAGCAUGCUUCUACAUUCAUAUUACAUUCAAAAAUGCUAAUCGAUGAAUUAAAGCAUGAUUACAACAAUCGAACCAUACCGUUGACUAACAUGCACUUAGGAGCGAAACCGAUGAUACACCACCUCUAAUCAAUUCCUGGCAGCACGGGACUCCCUCGGCUGUGGCACAACCUGCUGGAUCGACGCGAAAAUGUCCGAGUCUCACAAUCAAGCUAUCUCCAAGCUAUCAACAUCAAAAUCCCAUUCAGUCCAAAUACACAGCAGCAGAGAAGAGAAGGUUUCGACCAAGCUAACCUUCACCAAAAUCCACAAGUAAGGAUUCGUGGAUUCUCGCAGUCCUGAAACUAACGAAUCAAGUUUGUCGAAAUCCGAUGCUCCUACGUCGAGUACGAGCUGAAAUACCAACAGUCGACGAUGAAGUUCAGCAAAAACAGCACUUAAGCUUAAAUCCCAAUUCCAAUGUCAAAACUCACCUAUGAACUCAAAUCAGGUGAAAGAAGGUCUCCAAUUCCAAUGUCAAAACUCACCUAAUGAACUCCAAAUCAGGUGAAGAAGGUCCCAAUUCCAGUGCUGGGUGAUGGUGAACGUGACUCAACUCCACAAAGCCCUGCUUCCAAAGUUCACCCAAAAAGAACUCAAAAACUUACAUUCUGCCACAGCAACAACAGCGGGAAAACUUGAGUUCGACUGAGCUAACCUUCACCAAAAUUCUGUGAAUCAUGGCUUCGUGGAUUCCUUGGAAGUCUAGAAUCCAGCAAACCAAGUUUCGUCGAGAUCCGAUCUUCCUACGUCGCACACGAGUCAAAACACUGAAGGUCGACGCUGAAGAACUACAGAAUCAGCCACACCAUCAAGCUGGAUCAAUGGAACUUUGAUGCAAUUUGAAGCAAAUCCGAGGUUGAGAGGCUAAGAGGGUUUCUCUGUGAAGGAGGGAAGAAAAGAGCAGCAAAGGGACGCUUACCAAGUAUUUAUAGUGAGUUAGAACGAUCCAAAAAGCCUCAGGAACUCAAGCUGCUAUCCAGUGCCCCGGCAGAAACGCGGCAUUUCCGGGCUGCCGAACCAUUUCUGGGCGACCAGAACAAUCCCGACUGCACAAACCGGCCCUUCGGUUCUCUCGCCCGCGGUGUGCUGCGCCCGUAAACGGCUCCGGCGGAGCUCAUCUACCACCCUGCCACGCGUCGAAGGAAGCGAUAUUCACGAGGUGAAAUUUCCGGACCCACUUCUGGGCGCCCGGAAAUAGGAUCCGAAUUGGCUUCCAGUUCAGUUAACUCAACACUCAUUUCUGGGCGACCCUAACAAUGUUCUGGCGCGCCCGAAUCUGGCAAAACUCCAGUUUGCUUAUUUGAGUGCGCCGAGUCCAAUUCUGCAUCCAAUUCGUGCAGAAUUGACUCCGACUUAGUCCGACACUCUCCAGAGAUGUCGACCAGUCUAUAAUACUGAAGCCAAUCCUAUCCAAAUGCUCAGGACACUACACAACCUUUUCUGUUUUCAUUUUAGGCCCUAACAUAAAAAUUAUGUUAAAUUUAACCAAAACAAAAAUGCCACGUGCAAGAUAUGAUACUGACACGUACCGGCAUAAUUUAUGGGGUUUUUAACGGCGGGACUAAUGAAAAAUAAUAAGUUUGGGGCUAAAUUAUAAGAAAAAGGGGAAAAAAAGUACGGGACCAAAAUGAAAAACUAGGUAAAGGUUGGGGACCAACCUGUAAUUUAUUCAUUAUUAUUCCAUAUCACGAAUAUUUAAAUGGUACUUUUACUUGGUAGGAUCUUGACUAGGGCUGGCAAACGAGCGAGCCGGCUCGCGUUCGACUCGUGUUCGCUCGAUAUUCGGCUCGCUCGGCUCGACUCGAAAUUAAAUGAGCCGAGCUUGAACAAAAUAAAAGGCUCGAAAUUCAUUUCAAGCCGAGCUUGAAUAUUACUCGGCUCGUUCAAAUUAGACUCGAAAAGCUCGAAAAGCUCGAAAAUAUAUAUAUAUAUAUAUAUAUAUAUAUUAUUAUAUAUUAUAAUAUAUAAUAUAUAUAUAUAUAUAUAUAGAUAUAGAUAGAUAGAAUUAUGCUACUAUACUAUCAAUAGUACCGAGCCUCGGUACUAUUGAGUUUUCGGCCGUUGAAUGAAAAGAUGUGCGGAUUAGGAUGAUAGUGAUCCCCGUGUAAAUUGAUAGUGGUCCCUAGGAUUGAGUGGGUGGUUGUUUUAAUAGUAUAAUCUAACGGAUGGAAAUGAUCAAAAGGUAGAUCUAACGUAGAAAACUCAAUAGUCCAAGGGCUUGGUAUAUCGUAUAUUAUAAUAUAUAUAUAUAUAUAUAUAUUAUAUAUAUAUAUAUAGGCUGGUGCUACUAUACUCUUAUUAGACCCCAUUGUACUCAUAAAUUUUUAACCGUUGAUGAUGGAUGUGUGUUAGGAUGAUGGUGGUCCCACUUAGAAUGAUAGUGGUCCCCUAGGGUUGAGUGGUAGUUGGUUAAAUAGUAUGAUCUAACGGAUGAAAAUGAUUAAUGGAAUAAUUAAGGGUCGAAAUUAUGAGUAUAAAGAGUCAAUACUCAUAAAAGUAUAGUAGCGGACUCUAUUAUAUAUAUAUAAUGUAUUUUAAUUAUAUAUAGGUUUAAUUUAAUUUGGCCAUUAUUGUUGCCCAUAAAAUAAAUCCAACAAGUACAACCGUGCAAUUGAGCCCAACUCUAAAUUUACAUAACACACUCUCUCUUUCAGACUUUCACUGUUCACGUAACCCUAAAACAUUAUAACAUUCAAAUUCCCAAAUCCCUACUUUUUUCCUCUCUCUCUCUCUCUCUCUCAAACCCUCAUCCAGUCAGGAAGUCACCCUAGCUCACAUUUUUUAUAAUUAUUUGUAUUUGAACUAUUGGACAUGUUGCAUCAAAUUGUAGGUAAUGUUCUAAAAAAUUAAACUAUUGAUUAUAUAAUGUCGAGAAUUUCAAUCGGCUCCGUUUAGAGCUCGAGUCGGCUCGACUCGAAAUUAGGCGUCGCUCGAGCUCGGCUCGAAUUAAUUUCAAGCCGAGCUUGAGCCUAGAUUUAGGCUCGAAAUUAAUUUCAAGCCGAAUUUGAGCUGACAUAAGCUCGCUCGAGCUCGGCUCGUUUCCACCCCUAAUCUUGACCGUUAAAUUUAAAAGUAUAAGGGCGAAAUAAAAAUCGAGUUAAACUUCAGGGACUACUAGUGUAAUUUAUUGACCGAGAAUUAAAAUUUUUGAAAUUUUAUUACCUAAGCAUCAAAUAAUCUAAAAUUGAAUGAGAAAAAUGUUACCAAUUUAUUUUUAGGAAAUUAUGCCUAACAAUUUAUUUUUAAAAUUUUAAAUUGGUCCCUGACUUUUUGAGACAAAUUUAAUAUUUUUUUAUGUUUUAGUCCUUAAAUUUUAAAAUUUUAUUUUUAUGAAAAAAAAUCCAUUAUGAGUGUGUUUUCGCUAAAAUUUAGGAAUAUUACUUUUCCGAUCGGUAAAAUUUUAUAUUUUAGUAUUAAUUUAUAUAUUAAUAUUAAAAUCUAAUAAGGUAUAUUUUUAUUUGAAAUAUUUAAAAUAAAAUGUGUCUAUACACAAAAAAAAUUACAUAUUUUCGAAAUCUAUUAUUCAAACAUCAAUUUGUAAAAAAAUUAGUGCUCAAAAUCUAUUUAUUUAUUUUUUUAUAUUUAGGGUUUUUUUUUUAAAUGGCAUAUUAAAUGAUCAGAAAUCGGGUUGAAUCCGUUGGUUCGACCAAUCCACCCGUGACCUAAUCCAUAAAGCAGUUCGGUUCAGCUCUUUGAAUCGGAUAAGUUAAAAAAAAUCUCUUUAUAUAAUAUUCUGGAUUCUGGUAAAUUAAUAAAAUUAUAAUUUGAGUUUGAGUUUUUUUUGGAGUAUUUGGAUAAAUUAGAUCAAUUGUAAUGUAAAAAAGGAUGCGAAAACAGAAUUCGGAAAAGAACUACUUUCCAGAUGCCCGGAUAGGGUUUAGGGCGCCCAGAAACUCUGUAACUGAGGGGUGGAAUCGAGUCCGGAACCAUAUUCGGGCCCGAAAUUCGGGUGCCCAUUUUCUCCUGUAGUUGCCCGAAACAUCGGCGGUUGGAUAAGUCAGUGAAAUGGAAGUUCGGGCUCAGGAUUCGAACCCCCAAAACCCGAAUCUACUGUAGCAGCCCGAAAGUUUGGCAGUUCGUUAAGUCGGUUAACUGAUGGCUCAGCAUGCUGAUUCAUGCGCUAAGUCAUCGGGUUUUCGGCCCCGUAGUUGGGACCCUAGAAGCGGAUUGGGGCACACUUCUUAUCGAUUCUGGACGACCGAAAGCGUGCGGGAGUGCCCGAAAUGGUACGAAAUGGGGGUUUCGGAUGCCUGAAUCCAAGAAUCAGCGCAUACGGCGAACUAACCUCUAUGUCUAUUCUUUCAUAUCUGCUUAUGAUAUUGUUGUAUAGUUCUCUCUUUAUAUUUGAUUGUUCAUAGCUUGAUAGCUUGAUACUUGAUGGUAGUGAUACUACCUAGAUUUGAGAUUCAGGAUUAUGGAUCAUUACCUGAUAGAUAUGAGACAUACUGUAGAUGAUUGAGAUUGUGGACAUUUAAAUAGUUCAUAUGAUUUGGUUGAUCAUCAUAUUGACAACCAUAGCCUGUAAUGUUGGCUUAAAUGGCGUGAGGCUGGGUUGGACCGAGUCACAUUCGAAAUGGCGUGAGACUGGAUAGGCCGAGUCACGUUCGAAGUGGCGUGAGGCUGGGUGGACCGAGUUACAAUUGAGACCCGUGGGCGCUGUAUCAGUACGCUUUAAGUGAAUUGGUUGUGUAUUUCUAAUAGCUCGAGCUUUUGGAAUUAAUGAUUAGCGCCAACAAUCCGACAUGUAAAGCCACCAUGAGUUGGACAGUUGACAGUGUUGUAUGAUCCUCGGUGGGUCGCUCCCCAAUAGUGCCUCUUCGAAGUACAGCGAUUUGGCAUGGGCCAGAUAGUUGUUGGACAGAGCCUCAUGCAAUGGGCCUCAAUUAUAGGAUGGCGGUGACUGACAUGAGGCGGCACAGGCUUGACCGGACGUAUGAGUUGGUCGCGACGAUUGGGUUUGAUAUUUUUGCUUGCUCUUAUCUGACAUUGGUGCAUACUUUGAUUACUUUCAUGUUGAUUUAUCCUAGAGACUCUUCUAUGACAUGCUUCCUAUUCUUUUUACACAUAGAGGCAUAAUAGUAAGUUUCUUAUCAGUUUAUUUCAUACUAUGUUCAGUUGAAAUAUGUUCAGUUAGUCACUCUUCUAUUAUUAUUUCUAUUCUUGCCUCUAAUAUACCUAGAAAUCUAGGUCGUCGCUAUCGUCGACUGUACCUACUGAAAACUAUUAAGUACAGUUCUCGCACCCUCUAUUAUUGUUUGUUUUUUAGAGUAUUCAGUACCAGUACCAGAUCGCGAUAGCAGAGCAGCGAGUUAGAUAGUACUUCCUACCGUGAUGUCGGUCACUAGAGAAGACCCAUUGGUGAUAGAUAGCUAAUAUAGCAUGGUUCUCAUAGGUUUGUGAUACGCUUCGGGUGUACGGGAAAAUUCCUCGUGCUUCUAAUGGAUCUAUUAUGCUUCGAGGGGCUUCCGCUGCAGUUCUAAGGCGUGACAUUUUAAACCGUUCGAACAGAUAGUUCAACCUUCGAACCAGUGAAUUAGUUCGAUUAUUAGCAAAUAGGCCGAAUUUUUUUUUUGAUAAAGUUAUAUUAAAAUCUAAUGGGUUAAAUCAAUUUAGCUGAUUUUAUUUUUUAUUAUUAAAAAGUGAAGCUUAAAACCUUAUAUUUACUUAAUUUGAUUUAAAAAUCAGUAUUUUAUAAUAAAAAAUGACACUAGAACAAUAAUAUAUAUACACUUCUCUAUAUAAUAAAAUUAAAACUAAUAACUUUUUAGGAUUAAUAGUUAGCGCUAACGAUCUGCCACAAGACAUGUCGGAUUCUCCCAUAAACACCUCUUUGACCUUCUUUUUUGCUACCAUAAUAAUAAAAACAUCAUGUUGGUUUGGAGAAUCUGUUAAUGUACUAUUUUUAUUAUUAAGUAUGAAUUUUUAAUUUUGAUAACUUAAUUACACUCUAAGCUUUCAUGGUGAAAUUGCAUGUGAAUUAACUCUUCACUUAACCUAUAUUUUUUGAACUCGUAACUAAAGGGGUGCAACAUAUGUACAUACAGUCACACCUAUAUAAAGUUUUAUUUGCUCUUUGGUUUUGUUUGGUUCGGGUAUAAAUAAGAACUGUCUAUUUUAGGGAUAGGUACAAGUUUAGAUAUAUGCAAAAAUUAAACUAAUUUUGCGUUUGAAUGAAAAUUGAAUUAUUUCCGGGAAUAAAAAAAAUAGCGUUUGGAUAGAUAAAAUGAAAUAAGAAAAAAUAGUGGGUAGUUAUAAAUAGAAAAUAUUAAUAUUGCCCCUCAUAUUAUACUUGAAGUUAAAUUUUUAAAUUUUUAAAUUUUAUAUUUAAAUUGUUAAAUUUAAAUAUAUGACUUUUAAAAUUCAAAAAUUCAAAAUUAUAAAUUUUAAAAUUUUAAAUCUCAAAUUCAAAAAUUCAAAGUUCUAAAUUUUAAAUUUAAUAAGAUUAAAUCUAAAUUUAAAUAUAUAAAAUAUUAAAUUUUAAAUUUAAAAAAAAUUAAAAUUUAAAACUGAAAAUAUAAAAAUUUAAAAAUUAAAAUUAUAAAAUUGUAAUUUUAAGAUUGCAAAUUGUAAAUUUUUAAAAUUUUAAAGUUCAAAUUUAAAUUUAAAAUUUUAAACUUAAAUUUAAAAAAAAAAAAAAUAGAUAGGGAUGGGAACAACUCUUCCCUUCGACACUUUUCACACUUUUCAUAUUAUUUUGUAGCGUAACCUCCGAUUUUUUAAUAUUUACACCAACAUAAUCAGAAGUGCCCUUUAUUCCAACUAAAAGAGUAGUUGAUUUUCACUUCCCAUUAUUGUCUCAUUGCAUGUCAUAUUUUCAUGAAUUGGCUGCAGGCCAAACCAGCAGAGGAGUUGGAGAGCUGCAGGACAAGAGGACUGAACUAUUGCUGUCUGGACUACAUUCCUAGAUUGAACUGCAGAAAAGAACGUUGCAGGAUCAUGUCGAAAAUCCGACAAGAAAGGCUGUCAAUUACUCCGACGAUCGAUCUCACGACGGAAAGCAAUCUGUUUCUUCCGAUGCCCGAUGGAUGCAUUCGUACUCGUGUACGUCUCUGAACGGGGCGCAAUUUUCAUACGAUAGUUGACGACGAUUUAGUACAGGACAUACGGAAGCUAAGUACAGGACUCGGAACCAGCGGGGGUGAGUGUCACGGAGAUUGCGGAACCACCUCACGAGUUACAUUUUUUUAUGCCUGACGACGACACGCUACUUUCUCGGAGAGGGAUCGUUGUGCAGCAGCGACCGCGCUGCGACGGAGCGGUGUCAACUCUUUCCGCCGAGCUGAGUAAAGAUGUCGUAUUUGAUUCCGACGGCGAGUGCCACCGAAAGUCUGUGUUUUCGGUGUUGGAAGAGCACUACCAGAGUCCUCUGAACCGAUGAGCGGCGUGGUUGGGGUUAGGAGCGCUCGCCGCCAUGAUCACAUCAUCGGAUCGAACACUAAACCGACAGUUCAAAUUUUCCAACCAGGCGUUUUUUAACAGAGUAUCAGAGCCAGUUUGAAUCUCCUGCCGUUCUAUAUGCAUAAACUGUUUUCUAUCAGAUUGAUCUUUUGGGUAACAAUAUCAAAUGAACCCAGUCGGUAGAUUUUUUGCCUUUUAGAUAUCUGAUGCGUACAAAUUAGGUAAAAACGUAUGAAACUUAUCUUACCUAACCAUUUUGAUUCGGCUAUCCAAUCUUUUAAAAUUUAGAUUUUACUGCAUCACCUUUCAAUUUGUCUGAUUUGAGCUGGUCAACGGUACUUUGACUUCAAAAUUUGAGUGCGUUGUUUAUUUUUACAGGCUUAGUUAGUAUAUUUUACGUAAUUAGAUUAAAUUUCAGAGUUAAAAUAUUAUUGAUUGAUUCAAAUCGAACAUAUCGAAAAGUUGGAUAGUAAAAUUAAAAUUUUAAAAUAUUGGGUAAAUGAAUCAAAAAGGUUUAUAGACCAGAUAAGUUUCAUAUGUUUUUUCCUGUAAAUAAUGCAUGGGUAAAAAUGCAUGAAGCCCCCUCACAUAUCGGAAAUUCUGGCCCCUUCAACCUUAUAUUUUUUACAUUGACAUGCACCCCCCUCAACUUUGAUUUUUUCGCUAGCUAUUAAGGGAUUUUUAUCAACUAAACAGGUAAAAUUUUAUCAAAUCCUUUAGCAAAUUUCAUCAAAUUUAAUGUUUUGGUUAUUAUAUUUUAGAAAAUAAAACUAGGAGAUUGAGACAUUAAAGUAAAAAAAAAAAAAUUUAAAAAAAACGAACGAGAAAGGCUCAAAUAAAAAAAAAGGGAAAGUUAAGGGGCUUGUCAGUUGAAAAAAAUAAAAAUAUAAAUUGGGGGUGUAUUUCCAAAUGUCCUUAUAAGUGAGGGGUGUCUCCGUACAUUUUUACCUAAAUUGUUUAUAAAGACAUUUGGUAUAUGGAUUUUAGUUAAAAAAAGUUAAAAUACAGAAAUUUUUUUUAUAAAUACUCGUUUUUUACUUUUUUUUCUUGACUUUUAAAAUUUAUAUUUUGCUCCCUUAAAAUUUCAAAAAUAUUUUUAGGAAAAUACGACAUUAAUGAAUAGGAUAAAAGAUCAAAUUAUCCUUACUUUUUCAAAAAGAAAAAAUAAUUUUUAAUAUAUUUUCGUCUUUUUUAAGAAUAUUUUCGAUAUAAAUUAUAAAAAAUGAACGAAAUAAUUAUGAAAUUCUAAACUUGAAAUUUCGGCAAAGUAAAAUAUAGAUUUUUGAAAAUCAUGAGUGAAAAGUGAAAAAGUGGGUCUUUAUGAGAGGAAUUUUCUAUUUUUAGCCCCUUUUUUAUAUAGGGAUAAUAUCUAAUAUACCUUUUAAAACUUUACAAAUAUCUUUUUAUCCAUAUAGGACCAAAAUACUCUAGUUGAUUUUAAAAAAUAAUUCUUCAAAUAUUUUUAUUUUUUUUAGGGUUUACUAAUGGGAUUGAAUUUUAGAAGGAUAUAUUGAUAAUUUCAGAGUAAAUUUGAACAUUUUGAAUACUAGUCACGAGUUAUAUAUAGGGAGAGAGAGAGAGAGAGAGUUUGACUGGGCUACUAUCGGUAGUAAACUGCUCAGUUUACUACCGAUUUAUUUUUUAUGAUAGAGUUUCCAAAUCGACGAUCGGCACCGUUGAACAUUAUCUAGACCAUUUAAAUUAUCUAGAAGUCAAAUUUCAUGAUUUUUUGGUAUCACUAACUGAACGAUCAAAGGGUCACAAAAUCUNCUGAGGGAGAGGGACUAAAUGCAAUAAUUUGAAAUGCUAAAGGGGUAUGGUAAUAUUUAGAUUUUUAAAAGUUAUAAGGGAAAUGAAAAAAAAAAAAGGGGCAUUUAUAAGAGAGUUUUCUAUAAUUUAACCCAAAAAAAUGAAAUUUUGUUUAAAUUCGAAUUUUUCUUUUUGUUUUUGUGGAUUUCUCUAUCGUUGGUUGUUGAGGGGGGGAAUACGUCUUAGGGCAGUGCCGCGUACGUUUCCGGAUCAAAUAUUUUUAGUUUUCGUCUCCUACAAUUUUUGAAUUUUAAGCGCUCACUUGUAAGCUGGUUUAUUAAUUUUACCAUAAAAUUAGUUAGAUAAUUAAUUCGGAUAUUUAGUGUCACGCCCCGGAUUACACUUUUCCCGGGCACGCCGACAAAUCCGCCGUAUACAAAGAAAUUUCUCCUGUAUACGAAGCGACAGCUGUACCUAUAAAUCAAACACUACUACGAACAGUAGUAGAGAGCUGCUAGAGAAAAUAGAAGCUAAACAAACUGAGUUUCAUAUACAUAGUCCAAAUCCAAAAUACAGAGCUACUCGCACUGGCGAGUUAAGUCAACUAUGUACAUAAACUCGAAACAAAACAUCUACCUGCAGUAGGGGCACCUCUAGCUCAGCACGUCGGGUAGGGCUCUAACUCGCGACGCCCUUGCCUCGAUCCUGGUCCGCGAAAGGCGCAGCAGCCGAAACCUGUGGCUCUGCAAAACAGAGGUAACAACNGCCUGCCGCCUUAAUUAAGGCGGUGGAGGUGAUAAGGAUUGGCAAAGACCAGUAUGCCCUUUACCAACUCACAAUAACAAACAAGGAUACUACAUUUAGUUUGAUUUUUUCUAACGUAAAAUAGUUCGAUUUAACCCUUUGAAUUGGAUAUAUAAAUUAAAAUUUUAUUUUGAACCGUUCGAAUCGGUGGUUUAACCAGUGAAAUUGGACGCGUUUGGUCGAGGGGGUUGGAACACAAAAAAUUGCAUUUUACUCCCUUCCGCCGCACAAAAUAGAAAAAGUUUUAGUAGAAACAUUGGAUUUAUUGUAAGGUUGGUCCUCAAAGUUUGCAAAUUUUUUAUUUGGUCCCCGAUUUAUUUUCUGGAAGUUGAUUUUGUUUGAUUUAAAAUUUAUAAAUUUAAAUUAAAACUAUAAAGUUAAGUUAUAUUUUGAGUUAAAUUUUGAAAUUCGUACUUACUUUUUUUAAUUCAAAUUUCAAAUUUUAAUUUGAUGGGUUCCAAUGUCGAAUUUGAAUUCUAAUUUUGAAGUUAAAUUUUAAUUUAAUCUUGGACUCAAAUUUUAAAUUUUAAAUUUUAUUUUGGAUCAAAAUUUUAAAUCUAAAUUCAAUUUUGGAAUCCAAAUUUAAAUUAUUAUUUAAAAAUUAUUAAAAGGACGGCUAAAUUAAAUUUAUUUUAAUACACUUUAUGCUAGUUUAAUAUAAUUUAAUAAAAUAUUUUUUAGGAAACAUUACAAAUACCACCCCGUGAUUUCGUAUUUUUUCACUUUAGUAUCUUAUGGUUUAAAGUGUAUGAAUUUAGUACCNUUUUCUACAGCACUACACUAUUUCCUAUAAUACUUUUUUAAUUGCACUAUUCUUUAUAGUUUGGCCAAAUAGAUCCUGAGUGAUGCUAAGGGUACAACUAAAGGUGUCCACGACCUGUUCGAGCUGGGUAGUUGAUAUACUGUACUCGUACCCUAAAAAAAAAUAGGUGAAAAAAAAAAAUAUAUACCCUACUGAUUUUACUUCGGAUCAAAUCCGGAUCUGAAUACUUAAGUUAAUAAUAUACUCAUCAGGUCUAUUUGAGCAGGGUUGAGUAGUGACUACUCGUAUGCAACCGGCUUAUGACCGGGUACGGGAAUCAGGUAUGGGCACCUGUAUGCAUAUAUUCUUUUAUAAACUUUGUUAAACAAUUUAUGAACAAAAUAUAAACCCCUCACUAUAGAAAACUCGCGCUCUAAUGAGUUGCACCUAGUCCGAUAAAAUUCCUUCAAAAGAAAGAUUCAAGCACUGAACAGAGCGAUUAGGGUUAAAGACAAUAAGGAGUAAAAUAAAAAAGAAAUUGAGAAAAGAGUAAACGUAGUGAUUGAGGUUUCACUAGGAUAUAAAUACAUAGAGACCCUUCAUCUAUAAGUCCUAUUAGAAUUGAUCCCUCAACUUUAAAUCUUUUUUAUUUACUAUCGGGUAUUUCACCAGAUCUAGAUCUAGAUUCGAGUAUGAUUCCAGAUUCCUAUUUGAAAUCUCUUUUGGACCCUACCCAUUGAAAGGUCGGGUUCGGAUCGGGUCCAAGUCAGUUAUGGAUAUAAAGUAUCUGGACCCACACUCAAAACUUCAAUGGUUAGUUUUUUUUACUCGUAUAUAUCCAUUUUUCACUGUAUCCGAUUCAGAUCCGGGAUAGGGUCCGGACAGGGUCCGAAUCGGGUAUGGAAUAUUAGGUAUUUUGGACAGCUUUAAGUACAGCCUUUUUCGGAUUGUAAUCUUACAACUUGCCAAUCUAAGGGCUAUCGGCCGAGUUAUAACUUGUAAGGGAUAUGGGACCGGUUAUAGACUUAGCAUUUCUCUUUAUUUUUACUAACUAAUCUUAGAGUGUUUUCGAAAUAGGUACCCGAACUUUCAAAAAUUUCAAUUUUACUACCUUAUCUUAGCAAUACUUGUCGUACUUUUCCGUAUAAUGUAAUAAAAUAUUCUGUUACUCGACAGAAUAGUUUUUUAAUAAUUUUUACGAAUAGAUAAAGGUUAGGUAGUAAAAUCAAAGCUUUCAAAGUUUAGGUAUCUAUUUCAAAACCAUGGUAGGACCGGGUUGUAAAAUUUUUAAAAUUAUGAUACCUAUUUCAAAAUGCGCUAUAGUUCAGAUAACAUUUGUACUUUUUUUUUCUUUUUUUUAAGGCUUAAUUACACUUUACUGCAUUAUACUUUAGUGUUAUUUUUAUUUGUUAUAUUAUAAAUUUUGUUUUUCAAAGACAUUAUUGUACUAUUAUAUAUUUUAUAAAUCUCUACACUGUAUUUUAAAUUUAUUUUUAUUUUUCUAUAUUAUACAAUAUUUUUUUCUUGUAGAUAUUACUAAAUUUUUUUUUCUCUCUAAUCUCUACAUUAUUGUUAAUAAGUAUUUUUAACAGUUUUUUAUAUAAAAUUAUAGGUUUAUUGCUUUGGAACUAAAAAAAAAAAAAAGAAUAGUUAAACUUUUUUUUAUCGACAAAUAGGCCCCUCAAUUUGUUUAUUUUUUUACGCUACUACAAUGUCUAAUUCUUUUGAUUCGGGUGUUUUUUUUUUAAUUCAUUAAACUGUUAUAAUUUUAUUUACAAAAAAAUGAUUAAUGUUUUUAAUUGAACAGAAAUUAAAAUUCAUAAUUUAUUUCACUACAAUCACUCAAAUAGAAAGUUCAAAAGCUAAGAAAAUGUUAAUAAACAAAACCAAAGGAGUAAAGUCAGAAUAAGUUAAAGUUGAGGGAUUUAUUUGAAAAUGGCUAAAACGGAUCAUUAUUUAUCAUUUCCCAAUUAUUGGUAGGUAAAAUGUCUGGAGAACCCCUCAACUAUAAGCGAUUCUAAAAUAAACCCUUCAACUUUACAUGCAAAAAAAUCAAGGGAUUGGGCGAUUUCGUUAAUUUUAACUCAUUUUUUAACGCCGGGAAGUAAUUGUAAUAAAAUUAAGGAAUUGGGGACUUGAUUGCCAAAAAAAAUAGGGACUCAAGUGAAAAUGAUGCAAUGGUUGGGGACCAAUAAUGUAAUUAAUCGUUUAAUUAAAUAAAUGACCACUAAAUUUGACAAAAAAAAUUUAAUGUAUUUAAUAAAAUUUUACAUAAUAUUUUUUUUAGAAAAAAAUUGAGUAAUUUAAAGAAAAGUAAAUUUUAAAAAAUUAUAGUUUGGGGUACUAAUCUCAAAAAUACGCUAUAAUAAGUGAAAUACCAUACAUUAAUACAAGAAAAUAAUAAAAAAAAAUAAUGAGUUGUUUUUAUUUUUCAUAUAUUUUUAUAAAACUAAUUUUUUAAUAAAUAAUAAUUUUAAUUUUUAUAAACAAUAAUUUUUAUUUUGGCCCCAAACCACUUGGCAAAAAAUAAAAACAGCGAAUAAAAUUAAUUUUUAAGUAAAUUAUUGUAAUAUGUAAAUAAAAAUACCUCUUUUAGAAAUAAAUUUUACGAUAAUUUACAAAAAUAUGCAUUUAAAUAGUUAAACUUUUUUUUUCUUGUUAUUCGUAUUUUUUUUUUUAUGAUUCGUAUUUUUCUAUAAUAAUUAAUUUUUGGCUAAAUUAUAGAAAACCCUCAGUCCAAACCCGAGUUUCACUUUACCCCUGUCAUUUAAAAACCUACACUUUACCCCAUUGUAAAAUAAAAAAUGUUCACAGGGGUACGGUGUGAACUGUGAUGAUAAAAUGACCAAUUUGCCUCUCAUCAUAUUCACAGAAGAGAAGGCCGAGGGCAUUUAUGGUAUAAAAAUAUAUAUAAUAAUAUUUUAUAAACGGAAUCCUAACGGAUUACUAACGGCAGGAGGCGAAGUCAACAUUUUUCAUUUUACAAAGGGCAAAGUGUAGGUUUUUAAAUGACAGGAGGGAAAAGUGAAAAAUCAGAUUUUGACAUGGAGGUUUUAUGUAAUUUAGCCUUAAUUUUUUAAUAUAUAUAUAUAUAUAUAUAUAUAUAUAUAUAGAGAGAGAGAGAGAGAGAGAGAGAGAGUCCGGCUACUAUACUAUCUAUAGUACGAGAGCUCCCGUACUAUAGUGUUAUUUUCGAUCUUCGGGCGUUCAAAUCAACGAUCCACACCGUUAAAACUGAUCUAGGGUAUUUAAAGUUUUUAGAAAUAAAAUUGUACUAUUUUUUCGACAUAGCACUUUAUGAUCAAAAUUUUAAAAAUUGGGUCAAUUUUAAUGGCUAUUAUGGACGAGUUGGAGUUUACGGUUAGUAGAAGCUAAUUCUUAAUAUUUAUUUGUGCUAAUAAAUUUUCUCUGAUAAGAAAAUUCUUUAUAAACUAUAUAGAUUAAGUUAACAUUCUUGAUCUUGAUUUAAAAUCCAUGCUCAAAAUUUAAAGAGUAUUCAAUUCCCACCGUCCAUCUUUGAUAUGAAUUUAGUUACUAAGUAAACGAUAUCGAAAAGAACUAUAUUUUAUUCUAAGAACUUGUCUAUAACCUAGAUUAUUUAAGGUGUGGAUCCGUUGAUUUGAACGCCUAAGAUCAAAAAAUACUAUAGUACGGAGCUCCCGUACUAUAACUAGUAUAGUAGCCUAAUUCUAUAUAUAUAUAUAUAUAUUAUAUAUAUAUAUAUAUAUAUAUAUAAAUAUAUAUAUAUAUAUAUAUAUAUAUAUAUACACACACAAAUAUAUAGAAAAAAAUAAUAGACAAUUUGACACCAUUAACGAUAAACUUCAAAAGACCCCCUGUGGUUUAGAUCAUAAUCAGUUUUGCCACUCCGUGGUUCAAAAUAUUUUAUUUUGGCCCCUUAUGAUUUAGCUUAUUUUCACUUUGCCACCAAGUAGUUUAAAAAAUUUUACUUUUCGUCUCUGCAUUUUAGCGCAUUUUUCAUUUGGCCACUCUAUAGUUUCGUUUGGCUAAAUUACAGAAAAUCUCCUUAUAAAUAUAUUGAUUUUUAACUGUUUUUCCUAACUUUCAAAAAUUUACAUUUUAAUCCAUCAACAUUUCAAGUUUUUGCUUUUAGCCUCCCUCCAUCAGGGUUCCAUUAUUAUUUUGCUCAUUUCUUAUUAUUUACACCGAAAAUACCAUUCAAAAUGACAGAUAUAUGUUAAAAAUUUAUAUUUUUUUAUUAAAAAAAAGGAUAAUUUGAUAAUUUUGCACUUUUCAUUAAUGUCGUAUCCUCCGAAAAUAUUUUUAAAAUUUUGAGAGGGCGAGACGUAGAUUCUGAAAGUCGAGGAGUGAAAAUGAAAAAAUAGAUAUUUACAGAAAGAUUUUUUGUAAUUUAGUCUUUUUUUUUUAAAAAAAAUCAAUUUUUACUUUUCCACACUAUUUGACAUUGAGUAUUUUAGUAAAAUAAAAGUUAAAUCAUAGGGGCCAAAAGUGAAAUAUUUUGAACCAUAGGGUUGUAAAAUAAAUACUAGCUAAACUAGGGGGGGCAAUUUGAAAUCACAUUUAAUGAAUUAGAUUUCGAUUCUCAUCCAAAAUUUUGGAUUAAAUGCGCGUCCGAACUUUCGCACAUUUGCGGAUAGCCACCUAAACUUUCAAAAAUUAUAUUUAUCAUCCAAUUUAUAUUUUUCAUGAGAUUAAAAUGAUACAAAUAAAUCUUCUUGACAACUUUGUCCAUGAUUACCACAUGAAUUACAUUUUGGUACUCAAAUUUUAAUUUGUUGUAGUUUCUGGUUCGGACUUUUAGAAUUAUUAGAAAUAAAAUUUUAUAACCCAAUUUAAUUGAGUAGAUAUUGAUGUGUUGCUAAUCUGGAAGUGAUGUGUUAGCGUCGGACUUUUAGGGUUAAUUUCAUACAUGUCCCUACAAACAUAAUAAAUUGCAAAUAUAUCCCUACAAAGUUCAACUUUUAUAUAUUAUUCCUGCAAAAGUCCGGAUGUUUAAUUUCAAAUAUAUCCCCGUCGUUAAAAUCCGUUACAAAAUGUUAGUUAACUAUGGGUAAAAACUUAACCCUAAUUAGUUAAUGAGGUGAAUUGACUUUUUUACCCCUUUUUAAUAAAUAGUUGGGAGUUUCGGAGGGAGAUAUUUGUGAUGGCGAAAAAAGAUCAUUUCACUUAUAAGAUAAACAGUAUUUUAACGGUAACAAACUAGAGAUAUAUAUUUGAAAAUAUUAUGACUUUUACAGUGGUAACAUAUGAAAAUUGAACUUUGUGGGAAUGUAUUUGUAAUUCACUAUAUUUGCAGGGACUUGUAUGAAAUUAACCCUUACUUUCGUAUCACUGAUACGUUAAUAUUUAGUUAAUUAAAUUAGGUUAUGGGACUUGAUUGCAAUUAAAAAAAAAAGGAGCUUUUGCUUAUUUUAUUCUUUACUACUAUUCAAAAUUUUUAAAUGGUUAAAAUACAGAAAAUUUGCUUGUAAAUAUUGGUUUGUUUUUUCAUUUUUUCUCUCCGACUUUUAAAAAUCUAUAUUUUGCCCCAUUUAAAAAUUUAGAAAUAUUUUCAGAAAUGUACGACGUUUAUGGAGAGAGCAAAAUGACCAAAUUACCCUUUCUUCUUCUAUAAGAAAAAUAAAAUUUUUAAUAUAUUUCGGUCAUUUUGAAGGGCAUUUUUGAUAUAAAUUAUAAAAAAUUAAAGGAAUAGUGAUAGAACUCUGACAGAGUGGGGCUAAAUGUAAUAACUUAAAAUGAUGAGUAGAUAAAAUAUAGUGUUUUAAAAGUUAGGGAGGAAAAGUGAAAAAAUAAGUAUUUAUAAGGUAAUUUUCUGUAAUUUAACCAUUGUAAUUUCAUCUGAAAAUUAUCAAAAUGCCCUUCUAAAUUCCAAUUACAUUUGUAAACCACACAGGGAUAUUUGAAGAAAUUUUUCAAAAUCGACAAGGGUAGUUUGGUCCUCCAAGAGUAAAUAAAAUAUUUUUGUAGUUUUGAGGGACAUAUUAGAUAUUAUUCCAAAAAAAGAAUAAGAUGCGUUUAAAAAAAAAAACACCGAACUACUGAGUAAUUUUAUUUUUGUUUCAACUAAAAAAAAUUAUAUAUAUUUCGUCAUAUAAGGUACGAAUCGAAAAAAAAAAAAAGAAAACUCAAGGGAGCUACGUGUAACAUUUUGAGACACGGGGAAGCAAAGUGAAAAUACGCUACACCACAGAGGGACAAAUUGAAGUUUACCCCAAAAAGAAAGAAAGAUUUAGAUUCGAAGCCCUGCUAAAACUUCUUAGUUUCGGAUAUGUUCCGGUGUAAAAACCCGGUGUAUCCGCGCGUCUCGUGAACCGCUCCUAAUAUUUCCUGAUUAAUUAAUUAAUUAAUUAAUUAAUAUUUUGGAAUCAAAAUCUAAUCAACAUUAUAUGCAAAUCUAAAGAACCUAUACAUAUAAAAAUAAAAAAGGAGUAAUAUCUAAUAUAUCCUUCGAAACUUCAAAAAUAUGUAAUAUAUCCCUAAUUUCUAAUUAUUUAUUUUUUCAAAUAUACCUCCAACCCUAGAAUUUAAAAAUUUGAAUAGUAGCGAGAGAUACGUAAAUUCUCAUUCUAAUUCUGAUUCCGAUAUUUCUGUAAAUUCGAAAAGUUAGAAAAAUUAUUUAAUUUGAAAUUUAGGCGAAACCAGUGCCUAACAUUUACGAAAUUUUAAGGAAAAACUUCAAAUACCCCGCUGUAGUUUCGCACUUUCUCACUUUAGUACUCUGUGAUUUCGCACUUAAUUCGAAAUUUAGACGAAACCAGUGCCUAACAUUUACGAAAUUUUAAGGAAAAACUUCAAAUACCCCGCUGUGGUUUCGCACUUUCGCACUUUAGUACUCUGUGGUUUCGCACUUUUUCACUUUAGUACCCUGUGGUUUCACACUUUCACACUUUAGUACCCUGUGGUUUUAAAUGUAUUAAGUUAGUAUUAUGUGGUUUCGCAGUUUCUCACUUUAGUACCUUCUGGUUUAAUAUUUCGUUAAAUUAUAUACCCCGAAAUAAAUAAUAAAAAAAAAAAUUGAAACCACAAGAUACUAACUUGAUGCAAAAAUAAAACCACAUAGUACUAACUUGAUACACUUGAAACCACAAGGUACUAAAGUGAGAAAGUGCGAAACCACAUGGUACUAACUUGAUACACUUUAAAUCACAGGGUACUAAAGUGAGAAAGUGCGAAACCACAGGGGUAUUUGAAGUUUCCCCAAAUUUUAAUAACCAUUUUUUUUUUUUUUUCAGUGUCGUAAAACACACACCUAAUAAAUUAGAUUCCGAUUUUCGACACUGCGGUGUACGAGACGUAUCGGUACACCGGGUGCGUCGAAAUGAUUCCUUACCUACUAAGAUAUUGAUACUCUUCUUUUUCUUUUUCUCUUUUUUUUCCUCUCUCUCUCUCUCUCUCUCUCUUACAUUAAAUUCCCCCUCACUUUUUUUUCACUUAUAAUAACUUGUGCUACUCAGCACCAUUUUGUUGCUAAAUCCGCGUCUCCGUGAUCCGAACACGGUAAAAAUGGCUGUGAAAAUUUUCGCAGCCCUCGCAGUCCUCCUGCUCGUUGUUGCGGGCGAAUUCGUCACUCCGACGGUGGCCAGAAUGGUUUCGUCGGACGCAGAUGGCGGUGCAGCAAACGAGAACUUUACGAUCGGUAAAUUUGACACCUCCUCAGCUUUUGAUUCUUUUAAAAAAAAUUAUUUUUUUUCUUUAAUUUUAGUUGGUAAAAAAAGUAGUUAAAAAUUAUGGGAUAAUAUCUAAUAUGCCCUUCAGAACUUUAAAAAUAACGUAAUGAUCCCUCAAGGACCAAAAUAUCCACAUUGAUUUUCGAAAAAAAUUCUUUUAAAUAUUCUCAUUUUCUCUAGGGUUUACUAAAGAAAUUUGAUUUUAAAAGGGUAUUUUGGUAAUUUUAGGAUAAAUUUCAAAAUUUUAAAUAGUUGCGAGGGGUAAAUAAACAAAGAGCCCUUAAAACUAUUAAAAUUAGAUAGAAUCAUGGAUGAGUUUAGCGAAAUUUUAAUUUUAUUUGGCAAAAAUAACUCAAUUUAUAUAUAUAUAUAUAUAAAUUUCACAAGUUAAGGAGUGUAAAUUAACGAGCUCAUUUUAAAAUGGCCUAUAGUUGAGGGGGUCUCCAUACAUUUUUACCUUUUUGUUUUUUUCUCAUAAGUAUCCCUCUAAAUUUAAAAUAUCACAUAAGUUCCCCCACAAACUUUAAAUUUCUCAGAGCUUGAUGAGCAUUAUUAUUAUUAGGGUAAAUUUCAAAUACCACCCCGUGGUUUCGCACUUUCUCACUUUAGUACCCUGUGAUUUAAAGUGUAUCAAGUUAUUGUCAUGUGGUUUCAUUUUUUUCUUUUUGUCGGCUUUUCCGUUAAUAUUUCAUUAAAUUAUAUACAAAAAAUUUCAGAUACCCCACCUAGUUUUAUCAAAUUUUUUAUUUUAGUACCUUUUAGUUUUAAUUUUGUCAUUGAUUUGAUGAAAAAAAAUUAGCGGAAGGGAUAAUAAAAAGAGAAAAAUAAAACCACGGGGCACUAAAUUGAUAUAUUUUAAACCACAGAGUACUAAAAUAAAAAAAAGUGCGAAACAACAGGGAUGAUAUUUGAUGUUUUUCCUUAUUAUUACUGAUCAUGAUAAAGGGCAAAUGGUCAUUUUAUUAAACAUGAUCACGAAUUUUUGACUAGUCCAAGGAAAUAUUUACCGGUUUUUAAAAUAUAACAUAUUUCUAAAAUUUAGAAGCGGUAAAAUGCAAUAUCCCCACUUUAGUGGGACAUAUACGCAAUUACUCCUCCUAAUUUUCUUUUUGUUUUUAAUAUGCCAAACUGAACAUACACAAUUUUUUUAUUUUAUUUUAUUUUUUUUAGGAGGAAAAGACGAGAUCGCGGAGGAAGAGAAAUUUUUCUUUUAUUUACGGCCGCUAUUCCGCCCGCCAAAAGUCCCGCCGUCGUCGUCGACGACAGCUGCAGAAGCUCCGUAAAGUCCGGCGCGUUUCGAAAAACCGCUUUUCGGUGCAGAAAUAGCUUUUCAGAACUGCUUCGUAUUUUAAAUGAGUUGAAUAAGUAUAUAAAUAUAUAAAAUAAAGAAAUGUUUUUAUUUUCUGUGUGGAAAUAAUAAUUGUGUAAGAAGAUGUGAUGUUUUUAAUUUACAAAAUGAGAAAAAAAAAAUUAAUUAUUUGUAUUAUUUGGGCCGAUUUGCAAAUAUUCACUUGUUUUCGGAUCUUUCUGCAAAUAUGAAAGCUCCGAGGCCUAAUAUUCAUUUUUUUUCCCCUUUUUUCCUAAUUUUUGAAAUCUAAUUUUUGUCCCGUUAAAAUUUCAGAAAUUAUUUCAGGGGCUAACGGUGUUAAUGGAAAUGACUAAAUGGCUUUUAUUUGUUCCAUAAGAAAAAAAUAAUUUUUAAUAUAUUUUUGUAUUUUUAAAAAUUAUUUUCGGUAUAAAUUAUAAGAAAUGAACAGAAUAGUAACGCAACCCUAACUGACGGGGACUAAAUGCCUAAACUUAUAAUUUUGAGGGGGUAAGAUGUCGGUUUCUGAAAGUGAAAGAGAAAACGUAAAAAAUUUUGUAUUUAUAGAAAUUCUUUUUUAUAUUUUAGCGGAAAAUAAAGGCAUUGUUUGGUACGAUAUAUUAUUAUUUUUUUUCUGUUUUUUCAAUACAAAUAUUAUUGUGAAUAGAUAUGUGGAUAGGAUAGCUGUUGGAGAAUAACGGUUAUUUUUGUAAAAAUCCGAAACCCGUACCCGAAUAAAAAAUCAAAAUAUCGACAAUCGAAAACGAUUUUUGAGCUCGAUCGGGCAUAAAAAUUUAAGCCCGAAACAAAAUAAACCAAACAUAACUAUUUAAUAUACUAAAUUUUAAAUCAAUUAUUAAUAUAUAUAUAUAUAUAUUGAUUAUCAGAAUAAACAUAUAAAAGAUUAUAUUAAAUACGUAUACACAUAUAAAAUAGGUUUUUAUACCUGUUUGGGUUUUAUUCCGAUGCGGGUUUGGAUUUAGAGCGGACUUUUAAAAACCCGAAGCCGAACCCGACUCCAAAUCUGAAACCCGAACCCGACGGAUUUUUGAAAUCCAUAUCCAAACUCGAACCCGACCAAAAAUCUGAAACCCGAACCCAAAAUAAUUAUUUAUCUUUUCAAUAUUUCAAAAUAUAUUACAUUAAAUCUAAAGUUUUAAAAUACAAAUUCAAAUAUAACAUUAAAUUUUUAUAUACACAUUAUAUAUAAUGUAAAAUAAAUUCGGAUUCGGGUUGGGUUCGGGUUAGAUACAGUCAAAAUUCAUAUCCGAAUUCGUAUCUAUCGGGUUUUUAUUUUUGAUAUCUAUAUCCCAAACCAUAUCCGUUUAGCAUUGAGUAAAUCUACUCUGUUCGGAUUCGGGUUCGGAUAAAAUUUCGGGUAUCCAUACCAAUUGACAUUCCUAACAGAGAAAAACCAUAACCGAACCCACAUCUACUAGGUUUUUAUCUUUUUAUAUCCAAAGCCAAAAUCAUACCCGUUUAGGAACUGUUUGGUUUCACGUAAAGCUGUGAAAAAUAAUUUUUGAUGGAAAAUUUUUUUUUUAAGGAACAUAAAUUUUACGCUCUUUAGUAUUUAGUUUGUAGGAAAAAAAAAUUAAUUUUUUUAUUAGUGUUGUUUGAUUCAAAGGAAAAUAAAAAAGAGAUAAUGUAUAGAAAAGAAGGAAAAUAAAAAAAAAGAUAAUGUAUAGAAAACUUUAUUAUAUUUAUUUUUUCCUAGUUUAUAUAUUAUAUAUUAUUAAUAUAUAAUAAUUAUCAUACUACAAGUAUUAUUAUUAUAGUUUAUAUUUAUAAAUAAAAUAUAUUAUAUAAUAAGUAUGUAAUAUAAUAUAUAAUAUUAUAUAUUUAAUAGUAUAAAAUAAUACUACAUCUUUUAUAAAUAAGCACUUAAUAUGUAAAAUGUAUACAAUUUUAGAUUCGGAGAAUUGAUAAUAUAUCCCUAUAAAAUUGGGAUAUUGAUUAUUUACCCCUUCAAAACUUUGAUGUAUCAAAUUGUGAUAUAUAAUUUAUACACAUAACAAAAAAAAAAAUUGUAAAUAAUUAAUUAACUAAAAAUAAAUCAGGUUGGAAAAAUAGAAUAGCAUAAAAAGCACCUAUCAAAUCGCCAAUUGUUUAAAUUCAAGUAAGAGAUUCAAAUUAGAUUUAAGUUUUGUGUUUAAUUUGUAAGUUUAUAUCUAAAUCCAAAGUUUAAUAUAAAUUUUUAAAUCGAUUUAAAUUUGUAAAUUUUUUAUGUGCAUUAAAACAUAAAAAAUUGUACGUUAUAGACUCUGUAUAAUUUGAAAAAUAGACUCUGUUACCAAUAAAUAUUUAAAUUCAAAAUGUAGGUUCAAAGUUCAUUUUAACUUAAAAUCAAAUUUAGAUUUUAUUUAGUUUUUGAAAAAUUGUAAGUUUAAACCGCACGUGCAUUAUAACUAGUAUAUAUAAAAUAUAUACUUUAGUUUUUUCGAUUUGAUUUAAUAUUUUUAAUAUUUUUAGCUCAAAAAUCAAACCGAAAUUUUUCGGUUCGAAAAUUUUUUGAACCAAAACCAAACCCAUUUACGACCCAAACCGAACUGAUAAUAAAAAUUUAGGAAAAUUGUUGGUUUUGUUUGGUUUAGUGUAUUUUUGGGUAAUAAUAAAAAUAAAAAUAAAAAUAAAAAUAAUAAUAAUAAUAAUAAUAAUAAUUAUAAAAAUAAUAAUUAUAAAAUUACAAGAAUGCCCCUGAAAACAACCCAACUCUCCCCUCCACAUUCUCUGGUUUGUUGUUUACUCUCUCAAAUCACCCCCUUCAUUUAUCCCCCACAUCUCCUUUUUUUUAUUUUUUUUUUUAGUGUAUAUUUUUCUAAAUUUUAAGAAAAUUACAUGAAUAAUUUUUAUUCAAUUUUUUGGGUUUUUUCUUUUUUUUUUUUAAAAAAGUGAUUUAUUGUUGAGUUUUGUAGAGGAAUUGAUCAGCUCAGCGAUCGGGCUCCAAUUUGUCGCUUUUGCUUUUCGGUCAUUCUCGACAGGUAAAUAAAUAAAUUUUUUAGUUUUUGGUAUUGCUUUAGCUUUUAGAUUUAUUAAUUUUCCAUUUUUUGCUAUAGGAUUAAAUGUUGUUGUUAUGAAACAAACUAAUUAUAUAUAUAAACUUUUAAGGUGAUUUUUAGGAAAAUUUCGCGCAUUAUUAUAUUUAGGUUAAGAUUUUAUAUAUAGUAUUCGAUACGAAAAUCGGACGUUAUAAGAACGAGCAAAAUGAUCGAAACCGUACCGAAAUAGGGUUUAGAACGAACGGAAGUGGACCAAGUUCUGAUACGCUGUGAAACCAUUGAUUACGCUAAGAGCGUGUUUUGUUCGGGAUUAGAAUGGGAAUGGAAAAUAGAAUUGAAUUGUGUUGGAAUGAAAAAUAAGAUGAUGAAUCAUCCAAAAAUAUUUGGUUUAUUAUUCGGAAUGGGAAUCGGAAUGGACAAUUCAGACAUUUUUAGGGUUUUGAGAAAGUGAGUAGUUUAUUGCGGAAUGAGCGAAUCCAGAAUUCAAAACUAGAUUGAGUCGUUCUCAUUCCAGAGUGGAAUGAAAAUCGGAAUUCAAUUCCUGUUAAACAAUCAGUAAAUCUCAUUUCGAUUCUAUAGUCUAAACUAGGUGAACCAAAUCCCUAGCUCUCAUGUCUGGGCUCGAAAUCAUUUAAUAGACUGAAAACGAGGAUAAGUAUUAGAUAUGAGAUUCGACCUCUCGUGUCAGGACCUCCUACUCUGGUACCAGCUUCGAUCAUACGUUGAUGAUUAUUCGCAUUUUAGUAUGUCAAUUUUAGCGUUGAGAAGCCUCACUGAAAAGCUUCUAAUCCGUUGUCGUACGUCAAUUUACCUCUAUCCAAGAGUUGUAAUCCUCCCCUCUAGGGCUUAGAAAACUUAUUUUGGAUUUUAGUACUAAAAUAAAACAUCCAAUGAAUCUUCAGAUGCAGGCAAAAGUAACACGUGACAGCACAUUAGGGGCUUUCCAGUGCGCCUCGUUCGGAAGCUCCUCACUGAAGUUUUAGACGAACUUUUUUAUUCUUUCCACAAUUGGUUAGCUUAGAAUAUAUCCUGAUCGUGUACGAGGCAGUAAAAUGAAAAAGUUUUGCACAUCAAAUGUUUAUUUUCAAAAAAAAAAGAGAGAAAUAAAACAAUACCAAAUGAGGGCUAAAUUUGCGAUGGCGAGUUCGUUUGAUAUUAGGGUUUGUGAAUCCGAGUUACGCUUCUUUUCUCAAUGAUAUUAUUUGGCUCUGCUGUCGUGUGUAGUGUUUUUCAUGGAAUUGCAGUCUGAGUAGAACUUUUAGAAGAAGCACUUUUUAAAAAUGCGUGACAGCAUUUCCGGAGUUCAAUUAUAUUGUCAAGAAUCUCAAACUUUUAAUUUCGACAUUUCAAACCCGAAACUCUUAAAAGCUGUUUCACUUUGGUCAUUAUUCUUACUUAUUAUUUACAGAAAAAGUCAUUGUCUAUACCUUUUAGCGAAAAAAAAGUCCGAAAGUUUAGGGUCUCGAAUGUUAGAUUUAAAAAGUUUGAGGGCCAAAAUAAAAUUUUUUGAAAGAGUUUUGGGAUUUGUUGUGAAAUUUACCUUUUUUUUGUUGCUUGUGCUUUUAUACUUAGUUACAUUAAAAAUUUUAUCAAAGUUAAUGAUUGUAUUAGUUAUCAAUUGUUAAUUCCUCUGCUUUUAUCGGCUUAACCGUGAUUAAAUUUAUUAAAUUUGGUAAAAUUACCAAUUAAUUCGAGAGAAUCUCCAAUUCUUUUUUUUUUUGGACUAAAAUCACCUAAUUCUAAAAGAAAUUAGAAGAUGAGAGGAUCGCAAUCAAAAAUGAAAAUAAAGGUGAGGGGUCUAGUUUAAAACGGCCUUUAGUUGAGGGGGUCUCCACACAUUUUUACCUCUCACAACGCCUCAAUAAAACCACAUCCCAUUACCAAUUUUUUUCAUAUAAAAGUUUUUUUUUUCUUUUUGGGUAAAUUUCAAUUUGCCCCAUGUAAUUUAGACCGCUUUCAGCUUGCCUCCUUAUGAAUAAAAAAAAUUACAAUUAACUACCCUAUAGUUUAGCUCAUUUUCACUUUAUCACUCUGCGGCUCAAAAAAUUACAUUUAACUCCCCUAUGGUUAUUAGAAAAUUUCACUUUGCUACCUUAUUUGGUAGUAAACUUUUUCUUUUGCUAAAAAUAUAGGUCAAAUCACAAGGGACUUAAGUGCAAUUCUUUCCAACUAGAGGGUGGCAAAGAGAAAAUCAGCUAAACUAAGGGGAAUCAAUUCAAAUUUACUCUUUUUUAGGAAUAAUAUCUAAUAUAUCCUUCAGAACUUUAAUGUUAUCUUCUUUACUCCUGGAUGAUCAAAAUAUUCUUAUUGAUUUUAAAAAAUUUUCUCCCUUAUUACUAUCCAAAAUUUUUAAAUUUAUUUUAAAAUUACCAAACUAUCCUCUAAAAAUCUAAUCUCAUUAGUAGACUCCGGAAAAAAAAAAGGGAAUUAUAUGAAGGAAUUUUUUUUUUAAAAUCAACAUAGAAAUUUUGGUCCUCUAAGGAUAAAUAAGAUAUUUUUAAAGUUUUGAAGGGUGUAUUAGAUAUUAUCCUUUUCUAUGUUUAAUACAGUAGAUUAGAGUAAGAGAUCCUGAGUCCGAGUCCCAUGCAAAUUGCAGGGCGUACGUUUUGACAAGAAAAAAUGGCCUGAUUGAAAUAGAAAUUGAAGUUCGGUGCUUUGAUCGGAGCCGAGUCCGGCGAUGGCCGACGGCGAGAGUGUGAGAGACGACUACGUGGACAUCGACGAGGUGGAGGCGUCGAUGACGCGGGAACUGAAGUAUUACUGGUCGCUGGGCGAGAUCCUGUGCAGCGGAAGCGAAUUCUGCCUCAUCUACAAAGUCCCGGAGCACAUCCGGGAGGCCGACCGAAGCGCCUACGAGCCGAUCAUCCUGUCCGUCGGCCCCUACCACCGCAGGACUCCGUCCCUGCAGGCCGCCGACAAGGAGAAGUGGAACUGUCUGGACUACAUCCUGAAGCUGAACCGCGGAAGGCGGCUGCUGGACUACCUGCAGGCAGUUAAAGAAGUCGAGCAGCAGGCUCGGAACUGCUACUCUGAGGAGGUCAGGAUGGGCAGGCAGCAGUUCCUGCAGAUGCUGCUGCUCGACGGCUGCUUCGUGCUCGUCUCCCUGCAUGGGACGACCGGCAUCGCACCGCCCGCUCCGCAGCAGCAGCAGCAGCAGGGCGGCGAAUUCGCCGCCGACGAGAACGAGCAGACCGGGCAGUGGUACACGAACUAUGUCAUGCAUGACCUGCUCCUGCUGGAGAACCAAAUCCCCUUCUUUGUCGUCCGGCGGAUCUACGACGUGCUCGCGGGGAAGGACGCGGGAGCGGCGGCGCCUGCGGAGGGGAUCGUCGGAUACAUCGAAGACGUGCUGAGCUACUACCCGAGGGCGAUUCGCAGGCCCGAUCGGCCGACGGAGUUCCACCAUUUGCUGCACUUGUGUCACAUGUAUUUCCGGCCGAGCCCGAGGCCGGAGCACGACGAAUGCGACCGCGGCAGCUCCGCGUACUUCCGCCGGUUUCUGAGUUUCGGCCGCAGAUACUUCCGGCUCUGCCGUCGGGACGACGGGAGCGGCGAAAAGUCGGACUGCGAUGGCCAGCAGAUGGACUUGUUGCAGGCCAGCCAGCAGCGGUGGCGGCGGGCAGCGCAGUACUACGAGGCGGGGGUCGAAUUCAGGCGGAAGGAGUUCGACGCGGCGGAACCGCACUCACUGCUGGACGUCGAGUUCCGCGACGGCGUCGUGGAGGUGCCCUGCCUGCCGAUCGACGAGAACACGGGGUCGCUGUUCCGGAACUUCGUCGCGCUGGAGCAGACGUGCCCGCGGUUCGGGAACGACUUCACGACGUACGUGAUCUUCAUGUCGCAGCUGAUCAGCACGCCCGAGGACGUCGCGCUGCUCGCGCAGCGCGGCGUCGUCGUGCACCAGCUGCGCAGCGACAAGGAGGUGUCGACGCUCUUCACGAAGCUCAGCAGGGACGUCGUCUUCGACUUCAACCGCGAGCACUACCUGAAGCGGAUACACCGCGCGGUGGAGGCGCAUUACGCGAGCCGCCUCAACCGGUGGAUGUCGUGGCUGCGGCAGAACCACUUCAGCAAUCCGUGGUUAGGAUUGGCGGCGUUGGCGGCGACUGUCGUGCUUUUCUGCACCGCGGUGCAGACGCUGACGGCAGUCUUCUCGUACGUAAAUCCGCCGACGGACAAUUCCUCCGAACCGGCAAGCUGACAGCUCCAAUCCCAAACUGGUACUGCUGCUGUUUCUUCUGACAUUUCUGUAAACUGCAAAUCAGAAUCCUCUGUACUCACUUUCAGAACUGAGUUAGUCAUCUUGUUUCAGAUUCCUUUCGUAUAGUUUUGUAUGCAGAAUGUGACAGAUUAUGAAAACUGGGACAGCUUCAGUAGCUUCAAAUUCGCAAAUGCCGCAGCCGAUCAAUCGUAUCGUGUCGUGUUGUAUCGUAUCGGAUAAUGUUUGGCCGGGAUCGAUUCCUCGAAAUUAUGAUCGAUUUGAAUUCAAUCAUUUUUUUUUUUUAAAUUUCUGAGAGUUACUGGAAUUGUGUUUGUUUGUUAAUAUUGGAACAACAUAGAAUGGAGAAAAUAGAAAUGGUAGAAAAAUUUUAAAAUACAAAAAAAAAAAAAAAACAUUGCCCUUGUAUGUAAUUGUAACAAUAUAUGUAUAAAUCUAUGAUACAAUAUAGUAAAAUAUAGGUUACCAAGUUGUAUAAAUGUAAUAAUAUAUUAUAGUCCAUCAAAUUUAAUAGUUUAAAUUACUUUCUAGCAAAAAAGAAAAAAGACUAAUUAACUAUUAUUAGCCAAUUGAUUCAUGAAAUUUAAACAAAAAAAAAACACUUGAAAACUGAAAUAAAAAAAAUAAUUUUAAGAAUUGCAUAUGGUAACAAACAUUUUCAUCAAAUCGAAUUCCCUAACUUAAGAUAAUCAAUUGAUGUAAUGACACAGCCCAAUAGCACUAAUAACCAGUAUUAUAAAAACCAGAUCAAUUAGUGAUCCAGAAAUAUUAUUGGAUCAAGGAUCGCCAAUUCGAUCAGUGGGUCAACAACUGGUUGAACCAGUAAUAUUAGCACGGCAUCAUAAAUAUUUAGUUAUUAUUUUUAGUUUUAUUAUAUAAAAAUUAUACAUAAAUUUUUAUUAUAGCAUCAUACUUAAUUAUAAAAUAUUAAUUUCUUGACUAAAUUAAGUGGAUGUGAGUUUUUAAAUCUAUUUUUCGUAAGACUAACAUAUGCUAAUAGAAAAUAAAAUCAGAUAAUGUGACGCCCCAACUUCCCAGGGGGUCACCCAUCCUAGGACUACUCCCGUCCCAGNAUUACGUCGUCUGCAGCCAACAUAAUUUCUCAGGCCAAAACAGGAACUCCUUCAAUCACUCACCCCACUCUAGGAGGAGUUAGAACGGAUAAUCAUUGACUUUCGCAAUAAAAUUACGCCUCUCGCGUCUUACUUUCCUAAGGUUUGCCAACUUAGGUUCUCCUAGGUCCCAACGACCUAUAGCAAUGCUCUGAUAGAUAAGUUGAUUUUAAGCUAUUGAAUUUUACCGCUUGAUCAAAAAAAUCCAACCGGUUUGAUUAAAAUCGGACCGAUUCACUGGUUUGAUAGUUAAAGCACCGAUUCCAAUGGUUCAAAAUGAUUUUUUUUGACUUAUUCAGUUUAAAGGGUUGAACCAAAAGUUGUGGUCAUGGUCAGGUCAGUCGACUUGUUCGACCCGAUUUUUAAAUCAUUGCUAAUAACUCAUUGGCCCCUAAACUACCGAUUCAAAAUACUUAAACCUAAUAUUUAUUACUAGAGCCCUUAGUCAUUAUAUUCUCAUAUACAACUAUUUUUCUAUCUGAUGUAAAAUUAUUAGGGCGUAACACGAACUAAAUUAUAUAGUACGGUAUAUUAUAACAAUUUGAGUACCUCUUCCUUAGAAUUUAGCAUUAGAAGUAGUAUUUGAUGAUAGAAUAUUUUGUAAUCUAAUAAUUAAGUUUAAGUAGACUUUUAUGGAAUUUUAUAAACUAAAAAGAAAUGAAAGAUUAGGUAGUAAAUAGAAAAUUUUUAAAUUUUAAGUAAUUAUUUCGAAAUGCAUUAAAGUUCAAGCGCGAUCUCUACAUGUGUAGGGGUGAAAACAGUCGGAUACGAUUUGAAUAAAAUCGUAUUUACAUCCACAUUUAACAUGCGAAUAUGAAUUUUAAUAUGAAUACUAAACAGAUACUAAAUUUUAUAAUUAUACUUGAUUAAAAUGAAUUCAAAUAUAAAUCGUAUUUGGUUUCGGUCGAACUCGGUUUCGUAUUUGAUCGAAAAAUAUCCGAACCGUUUUUGCCCGUCUCGAUGUUUUUUAAUUUGGUUAAUUUCAUGAGUACUCUUUUAUCUAUCCCUAAUUAAAUAGAUACCCCUAAAAAUUUUAAUUUUAUGAAACAACUCCCUUUAAAUUUGGCCGUUUUCCGUGUUUCGCGUUUAGGGUUUAUGUUUUAGGGCUUUACGGUUUUAGAAUUUUAGGGUUUUUAGGGUUUAGGGUUUUAGAGUUUUUUUAGAGUGCUCGCAAAAUAAUUUCAUUAGUCAUUUCAUGUAGGGAAAAUAUUAAAUAAAAUUAGUUAAAAGGGGCAAAUUAUUAUUUUUGAGUAAAUUUUUUUAUUUAUCUGUAUUAACUAGACGUUUUUAAACGAACGUCAGCAGAGGAUGUUUAUAAUACAAUUUAUGGAUUUUGAGGACCAACACUUAUAUUAACAACUUUGAAGGGGGAUUUGUGAUAUUUUUAAAGUUUUGAAGUGCAUGUUUGAGUUUGCCCCUUUUUUACUUUGGGAAUGAAAUCACAAAAAAGCCAUUAUUAUUUUUCCUUAUUUCAAUUUGACCACUAACUCAAAACUUGAUGAAUACUUUUUUGGCUAAAUUAUAGAAAACCUCCAUACAAAUAUUCAUCCUGACUUUCAAAACCUAUAUUUUUUUUCUUAAAAUUUUAAUAGAGAUAGUAAAAUGAUCAAAUCGCCCUUAUUUCUUCUAUAAGAAAAAAUAAUUUUUUAAUAUAUUUCUGCCAUUUUGAGGGAGCAUUUUUGAUAUAAAUUAUAAGAACUGAACGUAAUAGUGAUGAACCCUGACGUUUGGGGGCUAAAUGUAAACAACUUGAAAUGUUAAGGAGAUAAAAUAUAGAUUUUUGAAAGUUAAGAAGGAAGAGUGAAAAAAGCGGAUGUUUAUAAGGGGCUUUUUUAUAAUUUAGUCAAACUUUUUUUCAAGGCUAACAAUUUUGACUAGAUGGGUCAUUUUAUAUUAAAUAAAAAUUUGUGGGUCAAAUUGUAAUUUUUUCACUACAUGCAACGCAUUUUACAAGCAAUCCCAAAUAUAGCUUGGAGAUUUAAAAAAAAAAAAAAUUGGAGCAAAGUGAUUCAAACUCUACUCCUGAGGUAUAAAAAAUAUUACUAAUAUAUAUCUAUACUAUAUAUAAAAGUACGUAUAUUCAAAUUUGGUUCUCUCGACAGACCCAUUUUUCGGCGGAAAAAUUAGUGCCCAUUUUUCUCUUUCCGUACGAAAAAUUUUAAAUAUAAGAAUAAAAAUCUUUUCGUACGAAAAAAUUUAAAUAUAAGAAUAAAAAUAGAAACAACAAUGAAUACGUUAGUUUUCUAUAACUGAUGUGAAAAUCCUAAAAUAUAAAUUUUUCUAUUUAAUUUCAAAAGUAAGUUCUCUAUAACAGAUUACAGGUGUGAAAAUUCUAUAAAAGAUAUUUUUCUAUUUUAUUUUAAAAUAUCUUUUUUUAGAUGUUAUCUAUUUAAUUUCAAAAUAUAUUUUCUUUUUAAGAUAACGGAUUUUAUUUUUCUAUUAUAUUCAAAAAUUUAUUUCCUAACAGAUUUUAUUUUUCUAUUUAAUUUCAAAAGUAAUUUUUGCAUUAAGAUUAUGUUAAUUAUUUAUCAUUUAAAGCAUAUCUUUCUUAUAGCGUGAUUUAUUAUUUUAAAUUUUUUAGAUACAUAUUUGGCAGUCAUAUAAAAUUGCGCUAAAAUUUAAAAAAAAAUUUAAAAAAUUAUAACUUUUUCUAAUAAUUAUUACGUGUAUUUGCACGUACAUUUUAUAAGUAAUUUAUAUAUAUAUAUAUAUAUAUAUAUAUAUAUAUAUAUAUAUAUAAAUUUGCAGUGAAAUGUGGAAAAAAAGAGAAUUUGUAUGAUUUUUUUUUUUGUAAAAAGUAUUUUGAAAUUUGAAAAAAAAAUGUUUUUAACCAAUUUGCCUAGCAAUUUCUUGUUGCAGCAAUUUUAAAAUCUGAAAAAUUUAAUUCGUCUUUGUAUUUAUUCCCAAUUCAUUAGUAUUUAAAUUUCAUUUUUUAUAAAAUAUAGUUAUUAAAUUUAGUAUCUGUUUAAUAUCCAUAUAUUCGGAUUCGUAUUUGUAUAGAGAUAAUAUCUAAUAUACCCUUCAAAAUUCAAAAUACCUUAAUAUAAGCAUUCAAAACUUUGAAUAAUCUAGUAUAACCCCUGUUGACCAAAAUGCCCUCCGUGAUUUUCAAUUUAUUUCACACAUAUCCCUACGGUAGAAGGUAUUUUGGAAAUAGAGAGAUAAACCAAAAUUGGCUUUUGUUAUUUACUCUGAUUAUGAUUUAAAAUUUUAAAUUAUCUGAAAUUAUAAAAAUAUAUAUCCUUCUAAGCCCCAUAUCAUCCAAAUUUCAAAAAUAUCUAAUAUACUCGUUUGACAAAAUACCUUAUUGAUUUAAAAAUUCUUUCAAAUAUUCUCAAAUCCUAGGAUUUAUGAUGCGGCUAAUUUGGUUGAGUUUCUAGAAAAAUGCGACUCAACUAAUUUGAGUCGAAAAUUUUAUUGAGUUCGGAUAAUUUUUACAAUCGAUGUCGGAAUCUUUAAACGGUCAUAACUUUCAUCGAGUAUUCGAUUUUAGCACCAACCAGAAUUUCAGCCAUUCCGGCGGACUUGGGGAUCCAAUUUAAUUGUUUCGACCUCCGUUUUAUUAUUUUUAGGUUAUUUUGAAAUUUUUGUGCUUUUUCUCUUUGUUGUCCGAUAUUUGAUAUUGUCUUAUCUGAUUGGAUUUAGAGAUAAAUUAAAUUUAUUAUCUUCAUUUAAUAGGAUUUAGUUAUCGCCUAUUAUAUAUAUAUAUAUAUAUAUAUAGAGAGAGAGAGAGAGAGAGAGAGAGAGAGAGAGAGAGAGAGAGAGAGUCCGUCUCCGGUACUUUCGAAAGUACGGGAGGCCCGCUGGAAGUUGUUUUGCGAUUUUAGACGUCCAGAUUCGACGAUCGGCUCCGUUAGGUAUGAUCUACCCUAUUGGAACUAUCUAGAAACCAAAUUUUAGAUUUUUUUGACAUCAUUUACUAAGCGAUCAAAGGUCUAAAAAAUGACUAGUUUAACGGCCGAUGUGGCACAUUUUUAAGUUCAACGGUGUAGAAGUAUCUAAAUUACAUGAAAAUUUAAUAGAAAAUUCUAUUUAACAUCAGUAGCAAGAUCAAUACUUCCGAUUUAAAAUUUGAAUCCUUUAUCACUGUUUUUUAUGAGAUUUUCAUUUUCAGCCGUUUAUUUUGAGGCCACUCGUUCACUAGACAAACGAAAUCAAAAAAUUAUGAAAUUUGGUUUCUAGAUAGUUCCAAUAGUGUAGAUCAAGUUUAACGGAACCGAUCGCCGAAUCAAAUGUCCCAUCAUCGAAAACAACUUACAAGCAUGGAGCCUCCCGUACUUUCGAAAGCAUAGGAGCCUAACUCUAUAUAUAUAUAUAGAGGCAUGGCAUUUGGGUGGCAAUAAGAUAUUUUAGAAUUGAAUAAUAAUAUUUCGUCUUUGUCGAAGACUUGAUUCUUCGUUUAUCAUCUCUUUUCGUUCUUGUGUUUCCUUCAUUUUAAUGCAGUUUAGGCCUGCAUAUAUAAGAAGAAUAUUUUUGAUAAUUUCAAAACAUCAAAAUUUACGUGGUUCAGCCGAAGACUACGUCCGCAGGGACUAUAUAAGAUCCUAAUUAUAUAGUCUUAAAACCUCAUAUUUAAAUCGGACUUAGACUGUCAAAAUCGAUAGCUAGUCGAAUCUCCGAAAUCGCCCGAUCAGACUAGAAGGAGAAUCCUCGUGAGAGAUGUAUUGAAUAUAAAAAUAUAUAAACACCGUUCUCUAAUAGCUUAAGCUUUUAGAGUACAACGGUUGUUUCACAUAGUAUCAGAGCAGGAUGUCCCGAGUUCCAGUCACGUUAGACUUCUAGGAUUAUUAACUUUCUCCCAUUUAAUUUAAGCCCACGUCAUCAGUCUUACAAAAUAGAACAUAAUUCAGAUGAACUCGGACUUCAUCCAAACAAAGAAUUUCAUCCCUAAAUAAAUAAAAUUCAAUUUGAAUUUUUCUCAAUUUGAAUUUUAUUCAAAUUUAGUGAAAUUAUGACCAAAUCCAAAAAUUAGAAGUGGUUUAGAAUUAGCUCUCUUAUUAUACCAUCCAAAAAUAAUUUAAAUCCUUUAUUUAAUAAACACAACUUAACCAUUCUUGUUAAUAAACUAAGCAUAGGGUUUCAACAACAUGGCUUUAUUUUCCAUUUUUUUCCCUCCUUUUUUCUUCUCAAAAUAACUCUUAAAAAAUUAUAAUUUGUCAAAUAAUUCUGCCAAAAUAUUAUUUGGCAAACUAAGUUCGAAGGUAGCGCCACGUCAGAUUAUGAUAUGCAACCGUUCUACUGAGAAUGUUAUAAGACAGUGAAUCAUUUACUGUUUUCUGUUGUAUCCUGCCAGCUUGGCACUGAGGUGAGCAGAACAGGCCUAGUUUGCCAAAUAAACUUUUGACGUGGUUUUCUGACCAAUUAUAAAAUUUUUUAGGGUUAUUUUGAAAAAAAAAAAAAGAGGUCCGCGGUGCGAGCUAUGGAGUUGUUGUGGAGCUUUUCAUGGAAGGGGGAAUGCGAGGAGGGCGAAAGAGAGGCAUGGGCAGCUCGUAGAAUCCCUUUUCUUCUGCGACAUUUUUAGAUACGCCGUAUUUUCCUCCUGAAAAAAAAUAAUAAUAAAAAAAAUUAAACAUUAUUUUGACUCGGCGUGAUUUAGUAUGUUUUUACUUUGCCAUAUUGUGGUUCAGAAAAUUAAAUUUAACUAUCUCGUGAAUUUAUUUUUAUUUUACCGUUAAGAUUUAUAGUAAAGUAGAGUAGUAAAGUGAUAUUUUCUUUUAGCCAAAAUAUAGAAAAUCUCUUUAUAAAUAUCUGUUUUUCACUCCCUCCGUCACCCCCGACUUUUAAAAAACUAUAUUUUUUUUUCUUAAAAUUUUAGAAAUAUUUUCAAAAAGCUACAGCAAUAAUAAAGAACGUGAAAUGACCAAAUUACCCUUACUUAUUCUAUAAGAAAAAAUAAUAAUUUUUUGGCAUAUUUAUGUCAUUUUUAAGAGUAUUUUCGUUAUAAGUUAUAAGAAAUAAACGGAGUAACGACGAAACUUGAAAUUUUGGGGAUUAAAAUAUAGAUUUUAAAAGUCAAAGAGCAAAAUAAAAUAAUAGAUAUUUAUCGACAGUAUUUUGUAAUUUAGUCUUUUUUUUUUUUUCUUGUUUUUUUGGCAAAAGUUUACAGAAUAAUAAAAGAUAAUAUUUUACAACCACGUGGUUUCUUAAAAAUAAUAUUACUUUGUUGUUAUGUUUUAUAAAAUAAAUACUAAUUGUGAAAUAAAAAAAAAAUACAGGAUAGUUAAGUGUAAAUUUUUGAACUGCAAGGGAGUAAAGUGAAAAUGUACUAAACAAGUAAACAACCCCAGUGAAAAUGGAAAUUUAGCCCAAAAAAUAUGCAAAAUGUGAAUAAAUGGUUGGUUCAAAAGAUAGAGGGUAAUAGUAACGAGAAGAGGGUCAAUUGCACCAUUGUCCCCAACCAUUUUCUUAUUUUCCAUUUUGGUUACCAACAUAUAUAUAUUUUUUUCAGUUUGAUUCCUAACCUUUAGUUUUUGUUUGAAUUAGUCCUAUCACUUUAAACACCAUUUGCAAUUUGUAGGGAAUUAAUUUUUUUUAAAAAAAACUAGAGGUCAGAGACCUAAUUGUAAUAAAAAAAAAAGGUUAAGGACGAAAUUUGAAAUAUUGGGAAAAGGAUGGGGACAGUGUGCAAAAAGAACAUACGGUUUUGACUUUUGUUACACCUGUUGUCCCUGGGCUUUACGCAAAUUUGACCUUAGCCCUUUUUAUUUUAAUUAAUCGGUAAACAUAAAUUUGUCCCCAUGUGAAUUAGCGCAUUUUUUUUACUUCGCCACCGUGUAGUUUGAAAAAUUGCAAUUCGGUAUACCAUAGUUUUAAUUUUAUUCUAGAGAAAAUUUCAAAUACUACCCCAGUAGUUUCACAACUUUCUCACUUUAGUAUCCUGUGUUUUAAAAUGUAUCACUUUAGUACCCUUUCAUUAAUUUUUUUUGUUACAUCAGCGAUAAAGUUAAAACCAUAUAUUAUUAAAAUAAAAAUUUGAUAAAUUAUAAGGUACUAAAUUGAAUAUUCAAUAAGCCAUAGGAAUGGAGAGUUAACGGGGGUGCUGACGGAAAGAGAAAAAUAAAAUCAUAGGGUACUAAAGUAAUAUACUUUAAAUUAUAGGAUAUUAAAGUGCAAAAAUGUGAAACCACAAGGGUUGUAUUUAUUUAUUUAUUUCAUCGCGCAUUUUUUUUCUAAUUUUUCAUCUGUUUAGUUUGAAGAAAAAUAAGAAAUUUUGGAAUUUCUUUUAUUUUAUAUAUUUCACAUAAAACUAGCAUUUUUGUUAUUUGAUUUUUUUUUAGAAAAAUAUGAAAAAAAAAAUAUAUAAGUUAUUUUUUUUAGAACCAAACGAACAGAAAAUUGAAAAAAAAAAAGGUGACAAAGGAAGAGAANCUUUCUCAUGAAAAACUUCUUAAACGUGGGAUCGCCAAAGUAAAAAUGUGUUAAACCACAAUAUGGACAAAUUAAAAGUUUAUCUUAUUUUAAUUUUAGUAAUUAGGUCUUAAUCUAUAAUAAUGAUACUGCGUUAAUAAGAUUUUUAACGACCAUAAAAAUUUUUGUAAAGUUUAGGGACCAAUGAUGUAAUUAAUCCAAACUAUAUGCCAUUACCCACCUAAACAUUCAAUCAAUUACGGAUCGACCCUCAAACUUUUCAAAGAAAAGAAAAAUAAAAUAAACUUCGUUAAUUUUCUUCACAAUCUUUGUUUAAAUGAAAUCCAAAUAACUCAAAUACUCCUUAUUUAUAUAAUUGAAGAAUAUAAAAAAAUAAAAAUAACUCAAUAAAAAAAUAAUCUAGUUCUAAGAAACAAUUAUAAAAUUAAUAUAAUUUAGGUUAUUUUUUUCAUUAAAAUGUAUGCGCACAGAACCCCUCAUACUAUAGCCAUUAUGAAAUACGAUCUUUUUUUUUUUAUUUUUGAUUGAUAUUCCUACAACAUUUGGUAGUUUUAAUCUAAAUUAUUCUAAUAAAUAGAAUUACAAUUUUGUCAAAUUAAACUUCAAUUUUGUUAAAUUUGAAACAAUCUUUUUAGCAAUGAAAUGCAUAAUUAUUUAAUAACUCAAAGGGAAAAAGAAUUUCUAAAAUUUAGAAUUAUAUAUUGGAAUUUCUAAAAUUGAGAAUUAUAUAUUUAAAAAGUAAGUUGAGGGCCUAUCUUACAACAAGUUUAUAAAUGAGGGCGUAGACGCGAAUUUUUCACACUAAGUUUGAGGAAAAAUGUAUAGCGACCCCUGAAUGUUAGCUGUUUCGCAAAUAGGCGUCUGAACUUCUAAUUUUAACAAUUAUAUCCUCCAAAUCUCAUCAAAUUGUUCCAUAAACCUCUCUUCUCGAGUGAAUUUACUAAUCACACUUGUUAUUUUGAUCGAACAUCGUUCACAUAAUCCUUUAAGAUUUCAAAAUACUAAAAAAUCUUUAAUUUUAAUUUUAAUUUUUUUUUCACAUAUUAGAAUAAAAAGUUUUUUUUUUUGUGUGUUUUCGAAAGCUUUAUGCAAUACAUAUGACGGAAACGAUUGUAAAUUAAUAACUUUAAUUGAAGAGGGGACUAUUGAACUAUUUGAUAAAGUUUAAGGAGUCUAAUUGUCAAAAUUAAAAGUUUCGACGGAUGCUUGAACUGAAUUAAAGUGUUCGAGACGAUCGGACAUAUAUUUUCGAAAAUACAGAGACCAGAGAGUAGGAAAUGGCGGAUCGAGCAUUACUACUAACCGAACAUCGGAGGCGACACCGAAGGUUUUUCCGUUGCUGGAGUAUCUGAUUCGACCAGUUGGGCCGUGGCCGGAGAGGCGAGCUCUCCGGCGACAAGCAAGAAGAUAGUGAAGGUUAAGAACACGAAAUGAGCCUCACCUGAAUUCGCCAUGAGAUUGUGGUUUGGAUCACAUGUCCCUCCUUCUGUGUACUACUUAUACCACGCAAUCGAAACUUAAAACAAGAAAAGAUACCAAAAAGUAUAUAUAAAAAAAAAGGGUUCUAAUUUUCUCUUCUUGAGGAAUCAAUAUCUUAUAGGAGGGCUGCUACAGGUACCCCCAAGUGUCCCCUGUAAUAUUAUUGAUGACGCGACAAUAUUAUUAUUACAUUCCGAACAAUAAUUACUAUUUUCCAAAACCUUUAUUAAAUCCUAAGUAUCAUUAUUAUACCCUAAACCCUAAAUUCUAAUCUCUUUGUAUGUGUAUGUCAUCAUAUCAACAACAUUAUGGGGUACUCAAAGCAUUUCUCAUUUCUCAUAUUGUAGUGAGUACUUAGUUCCCCAUUUGUCUAAAAAAGGAAUUUAUAUCAAAGUUAAUAUUUAGUAAUUAAAUAGCUUCAUAAGGAAUCCCACCAAUGGUGUUAGCUACCUACUAAUAUGAAUUAUUAAAAAAAAAAAAUCUGUUCUUUUCAUAGCUUAAAUUUUUUUUCAAAAAAAAAAAAUAGUGGGCGUGUUUGUUUCGCCCAUUUUUCAUCCAGGAGUCGAAAUCAGAAUGCACGAUUUUAUUUGUAAGUGUUUGAUAUGCGAGAAUAUCAUUUCAAUUCCGAUUUUCGGUGAAAUGAAAAUUCUCCAAUCGCCCUUUUUUCUAUUCCGGCCUUGGAGGCCGGUUUGGAAGGUGAAUCCGGGUGAAAUAGGUGUUUGUUUGGAUUAAAUUUAAUUUUUUAACCAUAUUUUUUAAUUAAAAUAUUAGUUUAAAUAUAGAAAUUAAAUUAAUAAUCUUAAAUUUUAAUUUGAACUUGAACUAAAAAUUAAAAUUAAAUCAAGCAUUUCGAAUGUAAUUUAUGAAUUUGAAUUUUAAAUUAAAAUUUAAAGUUCUAUUUAAAUUUUAUUUAAAAUGUAUUAAAUUUUAUGGAUUCAAAUUUAAAUAAAUUAAAAUUUAGUUUUUUAUUUUGAACUAUCCAUUCAAUUUCAAAUUUUAAUGUUUUAAAAAAUAUAUAUUUAAAAUUUUUACAUUAUUUCAAAAAUCUUGAUGUAAAUUUUUAAUAUUUAAUUCUUAGUUUGGAUUUAAACUAUAAAAUUCUAUAUUUUGAGUUCUGAACUAAAUUUUAAAUUAUCUUGUCAAUCUAAAUUCUGAUGGAUCCAGCAGAAAUGUUUAGGAAUUUAUUUUUAUUUACAAUAUUAUAGUUUUGUGUAAUUUUAUUUGAAAUUUUGAUAACAAUUCUUUUUUUUAGACUGUUUGUAAUAAUGAUAUAUUGUUUUGGGUAAUUUUAUAUUUUGACCAGUAAAUUUUUUUUUUAUUUCAUAAUCUAAUUUACGAAAUGUAAUCAACAAUAUCCAAAACACCUAUAUGUAAAAAAAAGAAAAAAAAUCAAUAUUUCCAAUAAGGUUUAAUUAGUACAUUCUCACUUUAGUACCUUGCGAUUUAAAGUGCAUCACUUUAGUGCUUUAUAAUUUGUUUUUUUCUCGUUCCGUUAUCCUUUUUGUUAAUUUGUCUGUUAAAUCAGUGAUAAAGUUAAAAUCACAUAAUACUAAAGUAAAAAGUUCGUAAAACUUAAAGAGUUAAUGAAGGAACUGACGAAAGAAAAAAAAAUAAAUAAAAUUAUAGAGUGCUAAAAUAAUACACUUAAAUCAUAGAGUACAAAAGUGAGAAAGCGCCAAACCACAUACGAUGGGGCUAUUUAAUGUUUUUCGUAAAGAAAAAAAAAAAUUCUUAAGUUUUUGAAACUCAGUAUUAGGGCAUCAAAUAGUCACAAAAAAUUAACAACAUAAAGAGGUCCCAAAAACCUUUUACAAUAAGUUCCAAUAUAGUCCCCCACCUUUCUGAUUGUUGCAAUGAAGUCCUUUAACUUUUUGUCAAUUUGUCUUUGAACUCUUUAAUUGUUUCAAUUGGUUUAUUUCCAUCGUUAUCCUCGUUAAGGUGGAUGGAAUAAACUGGAUUAGAUUUAAAUUUUAACACAUUAUUCAUUAAGAUAUUAAAUUUUUAUGCCAGAUGUUGCAAAUCACAUAUACUGGAUUAGAUUUAAAUUUUAACACAUUAUUUAUUAAAUUCUAGCUGAUUUUGUUUGCUUAAAGGGACCAGCAUUUUGUCCUGCGACGGGAGAUCAUGGUAGGUCGAGUUAUAUUCGAAAUAGCGUGAAGCUGAUUAGACCGAAUCACAAUCGAGAUCCGUGGGCGCUGUGGCUCUACUCGAGAUCCGCGGGCGCUGUCGCUCUACGCUUUGAAUGAAUUGGUUGCGUAUUUCUAGCGGCUCGAACUUUUGGAAUUAAUGGUUAGCGUCAACGAUUCAGCAUACUAUAGCUUUCAAAAAAUUGCAUUGAAAAUUCUAUUUUGAUGUAGCAGUGAUUUUGAAAAAAAAGAUUAACUUUAGACUAUCCUGAUUUGACUCUCCAAUCUUUUAAAAAUUUUAAUUAGUUGAUUUAAAUAAUUUGAUGACUCUUCAGAUAUAAAAAUUUAAGCUAAGUGCUUACUUCAGUAAAUUUGUAGUUUCCUAUAUUGCAUUAAAUAUGCUAAUUAAAUCUGUAAAGAUAAACGACGCAUUCAAAUUUUAAAGUUAAAGAGUCACAACUCACAAAUUGACUAUAAUCAAAUAAAUUAAAAAGUCAUGUAGUAAAAUCAAAAUUCUUAAAGCUUAGGUAGUCAAACCCAAAUAAGUGAUAGUCGAGAUAAGUUUUGUACAUUUUUAUUGUCGAAUUAUAUUAAUCAUUUAUUUCUAAUUUUUUUAUAUAAUCUUAUGAAAUUAUGUAAUUGCUAAUGAGUCCCUACAAAGUUUUUUUUUUCUCUUACAUACGUUAUGAUAAGUUUCUUUUAUUUAUAUACCCUUGAAUAAUAUUGAAUUAUAAAUAUAGAACUAAAUUUCAAUUUAUUCAAAUUUAAAUUGAAAAUUAUAAUUUAAAUUUCAAUUUGAAUCCAUAAAUUAAAUUUAAAUUUCAAAUAAAAUUUGAAUAAAAGCUUUAGAUUUUAAAUUAAAAUUAAAUUUAAAUUCAAAUUUAUAAAUUAGAUUCAAAAUGCUUGAUUGAAUUUUAAUUUUUAACUUAAGUUCAAAUUUAAAUUUAAAUUUAUAAAUAUAAUUUAAACUUUAAACUUAUGUUUUAAUUAAAAAAUAAGAUUAAAAAAAUUAAAUUUAAUCCGAACAAAUCCAAACCGCCUAGAUUUAAUUUUCAAUCCGGCCUUCUAUGCCAGAUUGAAAAAAGUGGUAAUUUGGGAAAUUCUCAUUUACCUGGGAAUCGCUGAAUGCCAAAUAUGGAUAAACGGAUUUGUUCAUUCUGAUUCCGAUUUCAGGUAAAAAAAAGGCGAAUCAAACACGUCCUUGUAGUUGCAUAAAUUACGUAAAAUAUACUAAAUAAACCCGUGGAAGUAAACAAUACAUUCAAAAUUUGAAAUUAAAGAAUCGCUGAUUGGCUCAGAUCAAAUAAAUUAAAUGAUCUCAGGUGGUAAAAUCAAAAUUUUUAAAGGUUAAAUAGGCGAAUCCAAAUGAGUAAGAGUUGAGAUAAGUUUAAUGUAGUAUAUUGCAUAUCAUAUUAGAUUACUUUUAUUACAAAAGUUGUUUAUUGCACUAUAUUCAUGCAUAUUAUUGGCACUUAAAUACAUUAAAUUUACAUAUAAAAUAUUAUAGCCAAUGAAUACUUAUAAUAUAUUUUAUUAUUUAAAUUUAAUUUAAUUAUUAUGUUACAUUAUUAUUAUUGUUUUUUGUUAAAAUUUAGUUUUUAAGUUGUUUAUUAACUGUUUUUUUUUUAAAUUUUCCCUAUUCUAUAGAUAAAUAUCAAACACAAUCUAUGUUAUCGUUUUAAAUAAAUAAAUUUAGACCAAAGGAAUUUUUUCUCCGUUUUAUAAAAAUAAUUAUCCUGAUAAUAUUAUUUCCAAACGUAAUAUAGAGCAAAUUAAAUUAAUUUAGACAAAAUGAGGCGAUACAGAAUUAAAAAAGGUCCUCAAAAGAGGAACGCACAGUAUAUUUUUUUGCUAAACAGAUCCUAAUUAGCUAGUUAAUCAGCUUGUAUAGCAUUUUUGGAGAAUCGAGCAUUCUAUUCAAAAAAGAAGGUGUGUCAUUCGUCGACGAAGAAUUGAAGCAUUUUGCGCUUUGUUCUAGCAUCUCAAGUGAACGACUCGGAUUAGUCAAAUUUGAAGUGGAUCGCUUUAAUAAUCAGUGCUGAGUCACGAAGAUUUAAAACUAGGAAGAGUUACGAUUCGCCGGAUUACGGAUUAGUGGCUCAACAAUUAGAUCAACAAAUGGGUUGAACAUAUUAUUUUUUUAUUUUUUAUAUAAUAAAAAUAUAUACUAACUAUAGCAUUUCUAUAUUAUUUAUAAAUAUUAUUAUAUUAUUAUUAUAUAUAAUUAAAACUGUAUUCAAAAUGUCCAUUGUUAAAAAAGUAAUGCAUAAUUUUAAUUAAUUAUUAAAAUAUAAAAUAAAAAGAAAGUUUGACUGGUUUUUAUUAAAAAACUGAGCUGAUUCAUCGAUUUACUGAUUAAACCACCAAUCUAAAUGGAUCAAAGUGAAUUUUGAGCUCGUCCGGUUGAACCGGAUCGGUUUGGGCACUGGGUCAUAGUCCGACACAGACCAGGCCGAUCCGGAUUUCGUAAUAUUAUUUAUUCAAUGGAUUUAUGUGUUGCUUUUUAACUAGUAGAGUCGAGAGUUAAAGAUAAAAAUAUCUCCAACCAAUGGCAUUUUAAUGGAGAGAGAAAUCCAAAUGUGAGACCCUUUUAUCCGCCGUUUCAUCAUAAAAAUUCGUUCUGUUUCCGCCAAUCGCUUCUUCGAUCUAACAAAAAAAGAAAAAAAAAACAAAUAAUGAUUGGGCGACGACGAAGAGGUGGUGCUCCCUUUCUUAAUUUCUAAUUUUCUUAAAUGAAUAUAAUAUAUUUAUAUAUAUAUAUAAUCUUUUUCUAUAUUUUUUUUUCUAUGUUGUGGCUCCAGAAUUUCAUGGCUCCGACUCCCUUUCUUUGGCUUCCGACAGACAGGUUUUUCUUUCCUCUUUUCUUUCCCAUCUAAAUUUCAUUCUAGAAAUUUCCAAUUUUGUUAAAAAGAGAGAAAAAAAAAAAAUGCUAAUAUAUCUAUAUUUGGGUGUCAGAAUAAGUUAUCCAGUAAUAGCUUAUGCGCUAUAAAGAUUUUUAUGUAGAAUAAUGUAUUUCACAUGCACGAGAUGAUUUAUCUUAUUUUGAGAAAAUGGAUACGGUACGUCGUUCUAAACAUUUGUUUAUACUCAUCUACCAAAUACUAUGAACUUCUUGCGUAAAAGUAAGAGGUAUAGGCCCUGUUUGGAUGUCUUAUUCACUAAUAAGAGAUAUAGACCCUGCUAGGAGUUUCAACCCUUGUUUUCGGAAUAACAUGUUACGAAUGCCAAGAUCUUUCGAGGAGCAAAAAUCAUAUUUACAGAAGAAAAUCUUCAUACCGAAUAAAUUAUUAUCAGAUAGCUUAUUCCGUUGUGACGAAAAAGUUUUUCAUGCAUCUAAACAAGGCCCUCAAUGAGUAGGAGUGUUAAGAUAGUUUAGUUGGUUUGUAAAUGAAGAGAACUUAUGGUUGCAUAACUACUUCUGAGGAUUUGCGUCAAUUGUUGGAACCAUGUGAAGGCACUUUUCGCAUACUCUCUGAUUCAAGAAUCAAGAAUAGUUGCUAUUUUUUACGAUAUAUGCUGGUUUGUAGAUGAUCAUUUUGAGUUUCUUGUAGCCGGUUCGUAAGUAAGGAAAUCGCUGUUCACGUAACAUGUCGACACACUAGUCGGUAAAUAUGUUGUUAUCUGUCGAAUAGCGAGAAACUUCAGUUCUAGUUUGGCAUUGUGGUCUUCUUGAUUUUGCUGUCAUUUGCGCGCUCUACGUCUCUCCGGAAAAUGCUCUACAUUGUCUAUUGGAAGUGUAAAUAAGUUCCAACUCUUAAUCUUCUUUUAUUGCCGUGCUGUGUUCGGGGAGUUUUGACAUUAUUUACACAUCAUUUUGAGUUUUGCGGCAGAAAAAUGAGAAUUUAGGCCUUGUUUUGUAUUGCUUUGUAUAAACUCAAACUACACGGAUUUGGUUGCGUCGGCAAUAAACUUCGCUCUUCUUGUUAAGUAUUUAUUUUUUGUUUUUUUUUUUUCGCUGCCAAAGAAGGAACAUGGAUCUGUAGAUCACAAGCAGUCCAUCAUCUGCCAGUGCUCUCGCUCGCACAGAAUUUGAGUUUGGGGAAACAGAAAAACAGACGCGAACCAAACGAGGCGUUUGAGGUAAAUUUUCUUUUCGUUCUGUUUAAUUUUGCUAGAAAGAUGAGUUCAAUAACUAACUAGCUAUAGCAAGAAAAGAAAUCCGCUUUUACGGACCUAAUAUCCUUGUAGAAACUGUCGAAAAGAAAAACAGAAACACAAAUGUUUUCUUAGAGUUUUAGGGUUUAUGUUUAGGGUUUUACGGUUUUAGAAUUUUAGGGUUUUUAGGAUUUAGUGUAGAGACCUGGAGUUUUAGCUGAGGCUUGUCGACAGCUCUGGAGAGUGUCGGGACAAGUCCGGGUCGCGUUGGCUCGAAGUGGACGCCAAACGGGCCUUGUGGGAACUUGAGAGCAGCGUGUAUCUUGAAGAUCUGCGAAAUAGCAGAUUUUCAGUGAACUGUACCGGUACAAAGUGGAAGCAGGAUGCAAGUUGACUUUUUGGCCAUCUUGUCACAUCACCCCCCUUUAACCCUUACCUUGGAGCAGAGAGGAGAGAGAGAGGGGAGCUUCUUCAUGCUGCUGCUGCUGCUGUGCUUCUUCUUCCUCUCCUUCUACUUCCCUUAGCAACCUAGAGUGUUGGAGGAGCUCAAGAGAAGCUCGAGCUUCGUCGACGACGCGCCGCGGAGCGGAUCGAGCGAGUUUUCGACGAGGUGCUGCUCGCAGGGAGGGUUUGUCGAGGUGAGUGGCUCCUCGAGAUCGCUUUUAUGGCUUUAAACUUCUACGAUUUUCGAACUGCACUGCUGCUGCUGCUGAUUCCAGCAUCGACCCACAGAGUUUUGACUCGUAUUCCGCACAGGAGCAUUGGAACCUGACGCAACUUGAUUCGUUGGAACCGAGACUUCGAGACGAAUCCAUAGGAUCCUUACUCACCCGAUUUGGAGAAGGUUUGCUCUGUCGAAAUCCCUUUUUACUGAGUUGCUGUUUGCCGAGCAGACUCUGAAGUGCUGAUUGCUGAUUCCAGCAUCGACCCGCCGUGUUUUAUCUAGUUCUCUGUGUAGGAGUGUCGAAACGCGACGAAAUUUGGCGUGCUAGAUUCGCGACUUCGAGACGAAGAUUCUGAGCCCAAGAUCGUGAUUUUUCGAGCAGGUUUUCCCUAUCGAACCCUAGUUUUACUAGGCUGCUGUUUGCCGAGCAGAUUUCAGAGAUGCUGUUUCGCAGGUUCCAGCGUCGACGUUUCGUAUUCUGGCCCGUUCUCUGCGUAGGAGCGUCGGAAUUCAGCGAAACCUGGGCCAUUGGAUCCGUGACUUCGAGACGAAGCUUCAGAGCUCUUGUUUGCUGAAUUUGGAUGAGGUUAGCUUGGUCGGAUUUAACGCUUUCUUCGCUACUGUUUUCUGGACAGAUUUCGUGAUUUUGAGUGUAAUUGGGUUUACCUCUUCGCAGCAGGAGAACCGGGGACUUCGACGGACCAGCGAGGGAUCAAUUUGGAUCCGGGCCACUUUCUUCGCUGCCAGGAGUUGCUUGAGAGGUGGGUUCAUCGGUUUUGCCUCUAAGUACAUAUUAGUCGACUUGUAUGCUUUAUUCGUUGAACACUAAACGAGGUAGCUCAAAUUCAUGGAUUAGUAUAUUAAAAACCUGAAUUGGGAGCAUGCUUAGUGAGUGGUGAUAAUUGAUACUUGUUGGACUUGGAUUUGACUUAGGAGAAAACCCCGAAUUGAUCGUCAUUUACAUACACUGCCGGAUUUAGCUCUAGGAGCCGUGUUGCAUUGUAUCGUCGUGGGCUUUGUGCGAUGGAUACCCAGGAUAGUGUAGCUUGUGUUUGUGCUCGUGCUGGGACGCCGAGCUUAUACUAGCUGAGUGUAGACUGUUACGGGGUGUCGGGCGCCGUCGGGGCAGGCGGUGGGCCCCAAAGUCGGUUUUGGUUACUUGGGUUUGGCUGGUUAGGGCCUGAUUGAGCUCGACAGAGCUACGCUGCAUACUCGGCUGGGUAGCUCCCCCGAGUGCCACUCCGGAGUUAGGCUUUGUGCUUUCGCGUCGGUGUCGGGUAGUGCAGGUUGGACUUGCUCUCCACUGAGGUUUAGAGUGGGGGUAGCUGUGCAGUCACAACCGGGCACGGGACGGGUGCGUUCACAGUCCCAGGGAUGGGUGCGUUCACAGUCCCCUUCAGAUUGGGUCUAGUUGACUUGAGUCUAUAGGUGUUAGUUCUGGGCAUGAUAGCAUAGCGACUUGUAGCUGUAGAGAGUUUCCAGCUUCAUUUUCUUCUAUCUUGCUUACCCUGUAGACUUAGUGGGCGGACCGAUGUUGCUUAGGGCGGCACCCACUGAGGACUACUUGUUUUUAUAGUAGUUCUCACGCCCUCUUUCCUCCACCGUUGUUGCAGGGCCUUCUGUUUCGGCUGCUGCUCCUUCUGAGGCGGACCGCGGGAAAGGCGUGGCGAGUUAGAGCCUACCCUUCGAGUACAGUGCUAGAGGACUCCCGCUGCAGGUAGUGACAGUUUUUGUUCGGGCGCUUUUGUACAUACAGUUGAACUCGCUGGAGCGAGUAGUGUUCUUUUGUAUCCGUGGCUGUUGUAUGUAUAUAAUGUUUGUUAUUUCUACCUGCUUGUUUAUAGUUUACUUCAGCUCGAUACUACUGCUUGUAGUAUUGUAUGUUUAUACAGGUUCAGCUACGCUUCGUAUACCGGAGAAAUUCUCUUGUAUAUGGCGGAUUUGUCGGCGUCCCCGGGGGACUGUGCAGCCAUUUCAUGUAGGCAAAAUAUUAAAUAAAAUUAGUUAAAAGGGGCAAAUUAUUAUUUUCGAGUAAAUUUGUUUAUUUAUCUGUAUUAACUAGACGUAUUUAAACGAACAUUUGCAGAGAGGGUGUUUAUAAUACAAUUUAUGGAUUUUGAGGACCAACACUUAUAUUAACAACUUUGAAGGGGGAUUUGUGAUAUUUUUAAAGUUUUGAAGUGCAUGUUUGAGUUUGAAUUUGCCCCUUUUUAACUUUGGGAAUGAAAUCACAAAAAAGCCAUUAUUAUUUUUACUUUUUUCAAUUUGACCCACUAACUCAAAACUUGAUGAAUGCUUUUUUGGGUAAAUUACAGAAAACCUCCAUACAAAUAUCCGUCCUGACUUUCAAAACUUAUAUUUUUUUUCUUAAAACUUUAAUAGAGAGAGUAAAAUGAUCAAAUCGCCCUUAUUUCUUCUAUAAGAAAAAAUAAUUUUUAAUAUAUUUCUGUCAUUUUGAGGGGGCAUUUUUGAUAUAAAUUAUAAGAAAUGAACGUAAUAGUCAUGGAACCCUGACGUUUGGGGGCUAAAUGUAAACAACUGAAAUGUUAAGGAGAUAAAAUAUAGGUUUUUGAAAGUUAGAAAGGAAGAGUGAAAAAGUGAGUGUUUAUAAGGGGUUUUUUUAUAAUUUAGCCAAACUUUUUUCAAGGCUAACAAUUUUGACUAGAUGGGUUACUUUAUAUUAAAUAAAAAUUUGUAGGUCAAAUUGUAAUUUUUUCACUGCAUGUAACGCAUUUUACAAGCAAUCCCAGAUAUAGCUUGGAGAUUUAAAAAAAAAAAAAAUUGGAGCUAAGUGAUUCAAACUUUACUCCUGAGGUAUAAAAAAUAUUACUAAUAUAUGUAUAAAAAAAAAAUUCGCAGUGAAAAUGUGAAAAGAAAAAAGAGGAAUUUGUAUGAUUUUUUUUUUUGAGUAAAAGUAUUUUGAAAUUUGAAAAAAUAUGUUUUUUAACCAAUUUGCCUAGCAAUUUCUUGUUGCAGCAAUUUUAAAAUCUGAAAAUUUAAUUCGUCUUUGUAUUAAUUCCCAAUUCAAUUAGUAUUUAAAUUUCAUUUUUAUCAAAUAUAGUUAUUAAAUUUGGUAUCUGUUUAAUAUCCAUAUAUUCGGAUUCGUAUUUGUGUACAGAGAUAAUAUCUAAUAUACCCUUCAAAAUUUCCAAAAUACGUUAAUAUAGCAUUCAAAACUUUGAAAAUAUCUAGUAUAACCCCUGUUGACCAAAAUGCCCUCCGUGAUUUUCAAUUUAUUUCACACAUAUCCCUAUCGGUUGAAGGGUAUUUUGGAAAUAGAGAGAUAAAUCAAAAUUGGCUUUUGGUUAUUUACUCUGGAUUAUGAUUUAAAAUUUUUAAAUUUAUUCUGAAAUUAUAAAAAUAUCCUUCUAAGCCCCAAUAUACCGUCCAAAAUUUCAAAAAUAUCUAAUAUACUUCUGUUUGACCAAAAUACCCUUAUUGAUUUUAAAAAAUUCUUUCAAAUAUUCUCAAAAUCCUAGGAUUUAUGAUGCGGCUAAUUUGGUGUUAGAGUUUUUAGAAAAAUGCGACUCAACUAAUUUGAGUCGAAAAUUUUAUUGAGUUCGGAUAAUUUUUACAAUCGAUGUCAGAAAUCUUUAAACGGUCAUAACUUUUCACCGAGUAUUCGAUUUUAGCACCAGCCCAAGAUUUUAGCCAUUCCGGCGGACUUUGGGACCUAAAUUUAAUUGUUCAACCUCCGUUUUUAUAUUUAUGGUUAUUUGAAAAAUUUUGUGUUUUUUUUUCUCUUUGUUGUCCGAUUAUUUGAUUAUGUUUAUUUGAUUGGAUUUAGAGAUAAAUUAGAAUUUAUUAUCUUCAUUUAAUAGGAUUUAGUUAUCGCCUUAUAUAUAUACUAUAUAUUAUAUUAUAGUAUAUAUAUGGUAUAGAGUCCGUCUCCGGUACUUUCGAAAGUACGGGAGGCCCCGUGCUUGUAAGUUGUUUUCGAUGAUAGGACAUCCGAUUCGACGAUCGGCUCCGUUAGGUAUGAUCUAUCCUAUUGGAACUAUCUAGAAACCAAAUUUUAGAUUUUUUUGACAUCAUUUACUAAGCGAUCAAAAUGUCUAAAAAAUGACUAGUUUAACGGCCGAUGUGGCACAUUUUUAAGUUCAACGAUGUAGAAGUAUCCAAAUUACAUGAAAAUUUAAUAGAAAAUUCUACUUAACAUCAGUAGCAAGAUCAAUACUUUCGAUUUAAAAUUUGAAUCCUUUAUCACAGUUUUUUAUGAGAUUUUUAUUUUCAGCCGUUCAUUUUGAGGCCACUCGUUCACUAGACAAACGAAAUCAAAAAAUUAUGAAAUUUGUUUUCUAGAAAGUUCCAAUAGCAUAGAUCAAGUUUAAAGGAACCGAUUGCCGAAUCGAAUGUCCCAUCAUCGAAAACAACUUACAAGCAUGGGGCCUCCCGUACAUUCGAAAGCAUAGGAGCCUAGCUAUAUAUAUAUAUAUAUAUAUAUAUAUAUAUAUAGGCAUGGCAUUUGGGUGGCAAUAAAAUAUUUUAGAAUUGAAUAAUAAUAUUUCGUCUUUGUCGAAGACUUGGUUCUUCGUUUAUCAUCUCUUUUGAUUCUUGUGUUUCCUUCCUUCUAACGCAGUUUAGGCCUGCAUAUAUAAGAAGGAUAUUUUUGAUAAUUUCAGAAUAAAUGGAGCAAAGUGAUUCAAACUCUACUUCUGAGGUACAAAAAAUUGUUACUAAUAUAUAUAUAAAAUAAUUGGGUAAAUUGCAUUGUUACUCCCUAAACUUUUGGCGAAGUUUCACUUUACCACUCGAACUCCUAAAAUGGACAUCUAACAUCCUAAACUCUAAUAUUUCAUUCAUGUUACCCCUUCCGUCAGUUUUCCAUCAAGCUCCGUUAAUCGAAAAUUGACGAAAGGAGUAAAACGAGUAAAAUAUUAGAGUAUAGGUGUAACAUAUCACUUCCCCGUGAGUCGUGCCGAGUUCUGUCGAAAUGAGCGGAACGCGGAAAGGAAUGAGUUACUAUAGGCUAAAAGUGAAUUGGAGCCUAUAUAUAAAAUAUAAAGGGACCCGAGAGAGUGAAACUGCAAUUCUGGAAGAAUUCCAGAAAUUUUACUCUCGGGAACCGGUCCCUUGGGUGAGAGACCGGUUCCCGAACGUUGUUCAGCCAAGCAGAAGGAAAAAUCGGCUAAGUCCUGGAAAUUGAGCUCUCGGAAACCGGUCCUUCUGCGGGAGACCGGUCCCCGGAGACCUGUUUCAUCGGGGGAAGACCGGUCCCCUUCUGCGCAGGUUGCAGGGUAGCUCUCGGGAACCGAUCCCUGAAGGGGAGAGACCGGUCCCCGAGCCCGAAAAUGCCCAGUAAGGGCUAGUUGCAAAAGUGAAAAGUUGAGGGGUUUAAAUGCAAAUAUGGCAUGAGAGGGGUUAUGUAGGCUACGGCAUGAGUGAGAACUCAUUUGUUCUCACUCUCACUCUCAAACCUUCCCUCUCUCUCUCUAAAAAUCCUUCUCUUCUCUCUCCCUCUCUCUCUAGGGCUUGGACCAAGAGGGGAUUUGGAGGAGAAAAGCUUAGAGAAGAAGCUCUCCAAGGUGUAGGGCAAACUUGGUCAAGGCUUUAAAGGAAAGCUUGGGCUCCAAAGGUGAGUUCUUAUGAUUUUAAGUUAGGUUUUGGGUUUUUGCUUCUAGUUGAAGUAUGUGGAGAGGUCUAUGGUGGUUUUCCUCUAUGUUUUGUCAAGCUAGGGGCUUGAUUAGAGAAGAUGAUAUUGUGGAGGACCUAUAUUUGGGGUUUUGUAAUUUUGAGGUUCAAACUUGGAUUUGAUCUCAUUCUAACAUAAUUGGUAGGUCUACGAACGCAUCGGUGCGCUCGGUUCGGCGAUACGACGAGCGUGCGCAAAGAUAUUAAGAAAACAAGUUGAAAUAGUACAGAUCGUCGUAGCUCGCGGCGAACAAGCCCAAAAAUCGUGGAAUCGGAACCGUGGCAUCCUUGUGACACACAAAGGUGGGGGGUGCUAUCCGGAAACACCGGAUCUCUUUCUAUGUCUAUGUCCCUUCUUUGAGCAUGUUGAUACUAUAGCGUUCUUGCAUGUAGGGUAAUGUACAGUACAUGUUGGUUGUAACAAUUAUCUGCGUAAGAUUAUUGUAUUGAUAUAGAACCAUGUAAACAAAGAUAGCGAAAGACCCUAUAUGCAUGUGAAUGUAAGAAAUGACCGUGACCGUAGUAAACAAAGGCGACAUUGACAAUAGUGACUCGAUGGACAUCGAUAAGUGAAUAGUUAAACAAGGUUUAACCCGAGUGACAUUAUGUGUGACAUUAUGUUUGUUGUGGCAUAAGGACCACCAUGACAUUGGCAAAUGAUAGUUGUGCAUGAAUAGGUAUGAACCAUUCAUCGGCAUUGAGAUAGUGAGAAUUGUGACAGGUUGGCCAUACCUCCUGAAAUUGAGGAUGGGAUCAUACUCACAGGUAUUGGUUCCGGCUUAUGCGAGGUCGCUCCUCCACGAGCGGUAUACUCCGGAGAAGAAAUGCACCACGGGUGGACGUGCCCGGCGAAGAUCCUUCGGGCGAUUGUGCCUUGUGCCUCCCCCGUUAGAUGGAUAUGUGGAUUGUGAGUUGGGGUAAACCAGGAGCACCCCAGGUUGAAUUGGGUAAAGGCCAAAGGAAAGUGAAAAAGGACAUGUAUCCAUCGUUUUCAUGUAUUUGAUUAUGAAUAUCUAUCUGUGGGUUGCUUUCUUGCAGGCAUUGUAUUAGAAGUGCAUUAGUUGGUUUGUUAUUCUUCUUUAUUGAAAUACAAAUGCCUGAAUUAGACAUAGUGGGCGAAUCGGCGUGGUCGGCGGCCGAACCCACUGGGAACUUCUUCUAGUUCUCAUUAUUACUAACCCUGCAGAUCCAUACGCGAGCGGGGCGGCGGAGGAUCGAGGGCGGGGCGACGGAGGAUCGAGGCAAGGGAGUCGCGCGUAGAUAGCGGCUCCGGAGUUAUAUAGGCAUACCCUACUCUUGAUGUAUUCAACUUUUGUAUGUUGAAAUUGUAAGACGAAAAUGAUGUAAUAUAAAGAUGAUGUAAACGGUCUUUUGGUUAAAAGAAAUCGUGUUGUAAUGAGUGUAAAUGAAUGUGAUAGAUUACUUGUGUUUGAUUUAAAUGAAAUCAAAUGAUAUGUAUAUUGAAUAUUUGGUUAGCUUCGAUGCUUUUACUGUGGUUGUUGUUUGCCCUCGUGUAAACCUUGUAUAUUCCACAAUUCUCUUUUGAUUUGCUUGUAAUAUACUUGUUGUUAGAGCCUUGGGCGGAGAGGGGAGGUACUAUCCGUUCGGCGUCUGUCAUGUGCUUGAAUCCGACCAAAGUGGCGAAGCUCGGGGCAUGACAAUAGGGCGUUAGAUGUCUAUUUUAGGAGUUUGGGGGGUUAAGUGAAACUUGCCAAAAGUUCAGGAUGUAGCAGUGCAAUUUACCCCCUAGGCACUCUUGACUAUAAAUUAUUUUAUUAUAAUAUGUUACUUAUGGAUUGACUACUAACCCUCAAGUUAGUGAUUAUGCUUGAUUUUGAAUUUAUAUAUAUUUUUUAUCCUAAAAUAAAUCAUACCAUAAUUUAUCCUACAUUUUAUUAUAAUAAAAUAAAAGCGAAAAAAAUGAAUUAGAUGGCUUAAAGAUAAGAAAAGAGCGAUACUAACUACAUACAAUGCUCGAACACUCUACUGUCGUGUUGUACUCGCUAAUUAAUAUGGUUGAUUUACAAUAGGUGCCCUCACUCGGAUAUAGAGAUUUUAAUUCUCAGUUAAUUUUCUAUAGUACUCGUUUGUCCCUUUUAUCUUUAGAAGCAUAUCCUCUUCUCCUUAAAUUUUCUCUCCAAUAUAUCUUCCCUCUCUCAUUCUACCACCGAUCAAACUUGUAUGGAUGGUUAAAAAGUUAGGAGCACAAGGGCUAUUAUACUCCUAACAGUACAGUAGCCCUACUCUCUCUCUAUAUAUAUAUAGGCUAGGGCUAUUAUACUCUUAUGAGUUUAGAGCCCUUCGUACUCAUAAGUUACAUUCGAUGAUGUAGUUUCCGAAUCGACGAUCCACUCUGUUAAAUAUGAUCCGAAAUAUUUGAAAUUUUUAAAAAAUAAAUUUUGUAAUUUUUCGAAAUCAUAAUAAAAUACUUCAAGCGAGCAUGAAAUGAACGGUCAAAAUCGAACGACGUCCUAAAAAUGAAUGAUCGGAUCCUUUAAUUUAAGAUCGGAGUUAUUGAUUUUUUAUCUAGAUAGUGAAUAGAAUUUUCUAUAAAAAAUUCAACAUAUUCCGAUUCUUUUACAUCGUUAAACUAGCAAAUAUCUCAUACCGGCCGUUAAAAAUUGUCAAUUUUAUGAGCUUUUGAUUGUAAGGUAAAUGAUAUCGAAAAAUUAUAAAAUUUGAUUUUUAGAAGUUUAAAAUAUUCUAGAUAAUGUUUAACGGUAUGGAUCAUCGAUUCGGAAGCUCUAUCAUCGAAAACGACUUAUGAGUACGAGAGCGAUCGUACUCAUAAGAGUAUAGUAGUCGGACUCUAUAUAUAUAUAUAUAUAUAUAGGGCGCUCCACGUUUUCUAUCCGGAAAGUUUAGCCUUACAUUUGUCUAUUCGGAGUGUAAAUAAGUUCAACUCCAUAGCUUCUUUUAUUGCCGUGCUGUGUUCGGGGAUUUUGACGUUUUUUACACAUACAUUUUGAGUUUUCGACAGAAAAAUGAGAAUUUUAGGCCUUGUUUUGUGUGUCUUGUAAAACUCAAACCUCACUUGAUUUGGUUUGUGUCGCCAAUGAACUUCGCUCUUUCUUGUUUAAGUAUUUAUUUUUUUGUCUUUUUUCGCUGCAAAGAGGACAUGGAUUUCUGUAGGUUCACAAAGCAGUCCAUCAUCUGCCGUGCUCUCGUCGCGGACAGAAUUUGAGUUUGGGGAACAGAACAAACAGACAGCGAACCAAAACGGGUAUUGAAGGUAAAUUUUCUUUUCGUUCUUGUUUACUUGCAAGAAAGAUGAGUUCAAUAACUAACUUUGACUAUACAAGAAAAAAUUCCGCUUUACGUGACCUAAAUUCAUUGUAGAAACUGAUCAAAAGAAAACCGAAAACACAAAUGAUAUCGGAACACGUACUUCGGAGUAAGAUUCGGAUGACACUGUCUAUAGGUUAUUAUCAAUAGCAUUUUGUGCCAUACACUGUCUUUUUUUUUUACUUUUCGGAAAGGUCUAUAAAUUCUGAUGUAAUGCACCUUAGACGAAGUUUAUUCUUUCCUAGCAAUUUUUGACAUUUCUAGCAAAGUUUAAUAUCCUUUCUCCCUCUCUUUGCAAUGAACGGCCGCAAUACGACGGUCAAAAGAAAUUUAAAAGUGUUUUUAAGUAUAUCAGAUUGUGGAGAAAAGAGCGUAAAAAUAACGAGAUACAUUCCUCUCUUACAAGCAAGUCUCGAGCGAAAAUCGGACACUGGUGCUGUUUGCGGUUGAUCUCAUGCGACAGGGGAAAAUUGUUACACCAAUGCUGUUGCACAGGCAACGGCCUGCUUUGAACCCCCUGCUGCUGAACAAUCUCUGUAAAAGUCCCAAUCGCAAUAGGAUUUAGUUAUCGCCUAUAUAUAUAUAUAAGUCCUCUCCGUACUUUCAAAAGUUACGAGAGGUCCGGUACUUGUAAGUUUUUUCGAUGAUCAGGACGUCCGAUCGACGAUCGCUACCAAUUUUCACUAGAUGGGAUCAUUUAUAUUACAUAGCAAAUUGUGGGUCAACUUGUAAUUUUUUCGCUGCAUAUAGAGGCAUUUUACAUGCAAUCUCAAAAUACAGCUUAGAAUGAAAAAAAAAAAUGAGGCAAAGUGAUUAACUCUACAUUCUGAGGGUAUAAAUCAAAAAAUGUUACUAAUAUAUAUAUAAAAAAAUUGGUAAAUUGUAUUGUUACGGUCUAAAACUUUUGGCGGAAGUUUGCCACUUUAGCCACUCGAGACUCCUAAAAUGGAUAUCUAAACAUCCUAAACUCUAAUAUGUUCAUUCAUGUUACCCUUCCGUCAGUUUUCCGUCAAGCUCGUUAAUUAGAAAUAGAUGGACAGGAGUAAAACGAAUAAAAUAUUAAGAGUAUAGGGCGUUAGAUGCUAUUUUAGGAGUUUUGGUGUUGUGUAAGUGAAACUCCAUCAAAAUUCAGGAUGUAGGCAGUGGCCAAUUUACCCCUCGCACUCUUGACUAUAAAUUAUUUUAUUUAUUUAUAUGUACUUAUAGAUUGACUACUAACCUUCAAGUUAGUGACUCCAUGUUGAUUUGAAUUUAUAUUAUAUUUUAUCUAAUUAAAAAUAUAACCAAUUUAUGCCUACAUUUUAUUGUAUAUAAAAUAAAGCGAAUAAAAAUGGAAUUCAUAGGCUUAAAGAUAAGAAAAGAGCGAUACUAACUAACCAUUCAAUGCCGAACAGCUCUAACGUCAUGGUUGUAACGCCGCUAAUUAAUAUGGUAUGGUGUACAAUAGGAUGCCUCACUCGGAUACUAAGAUUUUAAUAUCUCAUGUUAAUUUUGUGUAGUACCCCGUAUCCCUUUUAUCUUUAGAAGGCUAUCCUCUUCUCCCUUAAAUUUUCUCUCAAUAUUUAUUCUUCCCUCUCUCCACUUCUAACGGCACGCUUAUCAAACUGCAUGAUGGUUUAAAUAUGUUAGAGGCACGAAGGGUAUUAUACUCCUAACAGUACAGUAGCCCUACUCUCUCUCUCUAUAUAUAUAGGCGCUAGGGGCUAAUUAUAUCUCUUAGAGUUUAGAGGCCCUUCGUACUCGUAGUUAUAUGACUGAGUUGGUUUCCCGCGAUCGACGAUCCACUCUGUUAAAUAUGAUGCGCGAAAUAUUGAAAUUUUAAAAAUAAAUUUUUGUAAUUUUUCGAAAUCAUACAUAAAAUCCUUCAGAGGCGAGCAUUAAAAUUGAAACGUCAAAAUCGAACGACAUCCUAAAACAUGGAUGAUCGAUCUUCAAUUUAAGAUCAGGUUAUUGAUUUUUUUAUCUAGAUAUGAAUAAAUUUUCUAUAACAAAUUCAACAUAUUCCGAUUCUUUAUAUGUUAAACUAGCAAUAUCUCAUACCCGCGGUAAAAUUGCAUUUUUGAGCUUUUGAUUGCUAAGGUAAAUGAUAAUCGAAAAAUUAUGCAAUUUGAAUUUUUGAAGUUGAAAUAUCGAGAAUAAUGUUAACGGUAGGAUCGUCGACUUCGGAAGCUUCUAUCAUGAAAACACUUAUAGUAAGAGAGCAAUCGUCUCACAAGAGUAUAGUAGCCGGACUCUAUAUAUAAUAUAUAUAUUAUAUAUAUAUGAGUCAUACUGGGAACUACUAUCUGAUAGCAGCAAGCGUUUGGUGCUACAAUUUUGUGCCGUUAGACUUUAUACACAUUAACACUUUCACGCGCGUUAAUUUCCCUAUUAAAAACAAUAAACUCACUCAACUUAGGGGACGCCAUAUACAUCCAACGCGUAACAUCGUUUUCAUCAAGGCGCCUAGAAAUACCUAAUAGUUCAUCCAAUAAUUUGGUGCUAUUGUAGUAUUCCAGGCUAGGUAUAUAUUAUUAUAUAUAUAUAGAGGAUGAAUGAUCGCUGUCUGCAACUUUUUGACCAUGGUGGAUCAAAAAUUAUACGGUUUGGGAUAUAUAUAUAUAUAUAUAUAGAGAGUAAGAGAAGAGAGAGAGAAGAGAGAGAGGAGAGAGAAGCAGAGAGUGAGCUACUAUGCUAUCCGGAAGCAUGAGCCUUCCGUGCUUCCAGCUCGUUUCAUUUGCGACUACUUUCGAAUCGUCCGAUCGCCCCGUUAAACUGUGAUGUAGAGUAUUUGNNNNNNNNNNNNNNNNNNNNNNNNNUUAUAAUAUAUAUUAUAUAUAAUGAGUCCGAUCAUGGAAUUACUAUCGAUAGCAGCAAGCGUUUUGGUGCUAUCAAGUUUUGCUUGCGUUUAAGAUUUAACACAUUAACUAUUUUCAUCCGUUAGAUUAUACUAUUAAACAAUAACUCACUAACUCCUAGGGACCCAUAUCAUCCUAACCGUACAUCUUUUCAUCAAGGGCUAUAUAAAACCUUAAUAGCCACCAAUAAUUUGUGCUAUUGAUAGUAUCCAGGGCUACGUAUAUAUAUAUAUAUUAUAUAUAUUAUAUAUAUAAUAUAUAUAAUAUAAUAUUAUAUAUAUAUAGAGAGAGAGAGAGAGACGAGAUGUGCCAUAAUCAGACGUUUUCUAACGACAAGAGAGAAUACAAUGAAGAGGAGAGAGAGAGAUCUGAUGCCCCGCUACUCCAACUUUUUUGACCAUUGGAUUCAAUAAAUUAUACGGUCUGGCGAUAUAUAUAUAUAUAUAUAUAUAUAUAUAUAUAUAUAUAUAUAUAUAUAUAUAGAGAAGAGAGGAGAAGGAGAGACCGCUAAGCGUCCAGGGAGUCAGUCGUCCACAGUCUUACGAACGGGGGGAGAGAGAGUGAGUGAGGCCUACUAUGGCUAUCGGAAGCACGGAGCCUUCCGGCUUCCAGCUCAUUUUCGAUGUUAGCGACUUCGAAUCGUCAAUCGGCUCGUUAAACUUGAUCGUUGAGAGUUUUGUGAAGUACCUAGACAAUAAAUUUUAUAUUGUCGAUGGUAGGUCAGGUUGCCCUUACCGCCGUGACGAAUUGGUGCUUCAGAGAGAUCAGUACAAAUUUUAAAUGGCCGUAGCUGAGCGGUGUUUGCAGAAGGUUUAAUGCGCGUUACGGAAAUUCCGAAUCGAGCGUCGAAGUGUGUGAUGAGGAAGAAGAGUUCUUUAUGACUAUAUAUAAAACAGAAUCAAUGAUCUUUGAUAAAGAUCGUAAUGUCAUAUAUUACAUUUUUGUAAGCAUUUUUAUUUUCAGCCGUUGAUUUGAGCCCUUCGUUCACUAGGCAAAUUGAUAUCGCAAAAUUCAUAAAAUUUAUUUUCUUAGUACUUCAAUACUCUAGAUCAAGCUUCUUCUUAAACCGGCGGGGAAUGGGGUACAUACUAACCACCCCAUUUCCGCUUCUCGAUCAUCCUGUCGAUCGACGAUUCGAAAAGUCGCAACAUCGGAAAACGAGCUGGAAGCACACAACGGCUCCGUGCUCUCGAUACAUAGUAGCCCUCAAAAAAACUCUAUAUUUAAUAUAUAGAGUCCGCCACGUUACUAUAAUAGCCACAAAGCUUGGAUGCCCUACCCAAGUUUUUCUGCCGAUUAGAUCGUACCUUUGAUCAUUGUUCACCGUUGUAGAUCAUACUAUUUAACCACCACAACACUCAACCUUAAGGACCCACAUCAUCCUACCGGACAUCUGCUUUAAUCCAAGGCUAAAACUUGGAGCACUAAACUUGGUGCCUAUUAAUGCAUAGUAGCCCUAGUUCUAUAUAUAUAUUAGUAGUGUAGAGCCUACUAUGCUAUCUGAAAGUUAUAGAGGAUCCUGAUCUCCAACAUUUUUGACCAUUGCGCAUAAAAAAUUAUUACGGUUGGGAAUGAUUGCGUUCCCCCCAGAAUGCAUGAAAAUAUUGAUGUUAUGCAAUCCGCUUUGGUAUUACUCAUUAAAGUUUUCAAUCCCUUGCUAUCUAAUUUGUUGUCCUAUUUUUUUGUUAGAUCACUUCUAUUCGUUUUUCUAGAUGAUACUUAUCAAUCUCAUAGAUCGCAAAAUUGCUUACGUCACCUACAUUACCGCUAGGGAUUCGACCCUAAUCAUUCUAAUAGGGCCCACCUAUGACCAUUUAGCAAUUUUUAUAAUUCCUAUCAGCUAUGCACAAGUUCUCUACUUCCCACGAAAUCGUCCAAUAUACUGUUCAAAUAUAGAUUUUAUGCAUUGUAGUGUAUAACCAAAAAUUAGUGCACUCACGAGCAACCGUGGGUCGUACACAGGAACCAUCAUAAAUGUUAAGAUAGGAAAGAGCACUCUAAAUAAGGUUGAACGCGCCACAAAUAAGACCUAAAUUUUUCUCUUUAUUACUGAUAAUCAAUUUGCCAAGAUAUUAGCUAACUCAUCACGUUUUCACUCCUCACAUAGGUGAUUUCCAAGCAACAAAAAACCUUCAAGAUUAUGUUCGUCAGGUACUUGUAAUGCCACCUUUAUAAUAAGGCUCAAAAGGACUAGUUGGGAUUAUAAACGGAAUGUGUCGUCAAACUUUUAGAUGUAGGAUGUUAAUGCGAAAUAAUAUGAGGCACAACAUCUAUUUAAGAGUAGUUAGAGUUGUUGAAUUUUUUUCCCCUAUUUCAAGCUUUUCCAAGAAUUUCUGGCGGGUGGCCUUUGUUUUUCUUCUCUGUGUCCGGUAGCUUGUGUUGAAUAGCUAUAUACAUGUAUCUAACGGAAAAUUACGCAAAUGACCCGAAAAGCAUGAACUCGACAUCGCCCUUCGCCUCUUCGCUGGCCGGAGGAACUAAAAAAGGCAAUUCGACUUACUUAGUAGCGCUCUCUUUCAUAAGUCUUGGUGCUUUCCUACAAGCACCUAUAUGCCCGCACUCUCUUCUCCUCUCUUCGUUCAUACUUCAGUCCCUCGCAUCUCUACGUUCUCUCUCUCUCCCUCUCUGAAUUCAAACCAAUGCAACUCAACUUAUGUUACAAUCAGUUUUAUAUAUCGAAUAACCUCAUAAACUGAUAUACUCAUAUAUAUAAUAUAUUAGAGUAUGUAACUUGUAACCAUAGAGGAAUAGUAUUACUAACGUCUCGGGUAGUAAGACCUGACGUCUCGUGUUGUCUGUUUUACUGCUCGCGAGUUGUGUUUCGUGAUGAUAGAUUGAAGCAAUUCGAGAGAGAGAGUGAGAGCAAAAUUCUAGUAUUGAGAUUCUGAACUCGAUUACAAUGGCAUCUCUGAAUUAUAUUCGAUUCCAGUUUUGAAUGAAAAAAACAGAAAGGGAUAAACAAUGUUCUUUCCUGCUAGAUUUGGAGUAUGUCUCUAUAAAAUAACCGGGAAAUAAGACCAUAUUAAACUAAUGAUCAUCUAUGAAAUCCAGAUUUCAGGCACCUUCAUAUGUUUUAUAUAUCCUAUCUAGUAAUAUUGGGAAAAAUGACUUUAUGGUGGGCAAAUAUACAAAAAUGAAUUCUUUCUUUAAAAAAUUGAGUUGAUGUUAUGCGUUAUUUAUCGUAAUAAGUAAUACAAGUAAAGUAAUAAAGUAUGCUAUAAACCUAUACUUGAAUCUUAUUUUUCCCUCUGAGUACCUAGAAAAUAAAUUUUAUUAUUUUUCGAUAUCAUUUGCCUAGUGAUCGAAUGGGCUCAAAAUCAACAAAUUUUAAUGGCCGUAGUGAGCCGUUUGCAAGUUUAAUGGUGUAGAAAUAUCCAAAUCACGUCAAAUUUUGAUAGAAAAUUCUUUAUACUAUAUAAAACAAGAUCAAUAUCUUUGAUUUAAAAUCUUAAUGUCAUAUUAUUACAUUUUGUAAGAUUUUUAUUUUCAGCCGUUGAUUUUGAGCCCCUUCGUUCACUAGGCAAAUGAUAUCGUAAAAUCAUAAAAUUUAUUUUCUAGGUACUUCAAAUACUCUAGAUCAAGUUUAACGGAGUCGAUCGACGAUUCGAAAGUCGCAACAUCGAAAACGAGCUGGAAGCACACAAGGCUCCGUGCUUCCGAUAGCAUAGUAGCCUCACUCUAUAUAUAUAUAUAUAUAGAGUCCGGCCACUAUACUAUUAAUAGCACAAAGCACUUGGUGCUACCAAGUUUUCUGCCAUUAGAUCUACCUUUUUGAUCAUUUUCACCCGUUAGAUCAUACUAUUUAACCAACCACCCACUCAACCUUAAGGGACCCACAUCAUCCUAACCGCACAUCUCUUAAUCCAAUGGCUAAAAACUUGGUAGCACUAAUGACUUGGUGCUAUUAAUAGCAUAGUAGCCUAGUUCUANCCUAACCGCACAUCUCUUAAUCCAAUGGCUAAAAACUUGGUAGCACUAAUGACUUGGUGCUAUUAAUAGCAUAGUAGCCUAGUUCUAUAUAUAUAUAUAGUGUAGAGCUACUAUGCUAUCGAAAGUAUAGAGGAUCUGAUGCUUCCAACAUUUUGACCAUUGGAUAAAAAAUUAUACGGUUGGGAUGAUUGCGGUCCCCCCAGAAUGAAUAUUGGCUCCCUUAUACUCAUAAGUUUUCAACCCUUAGAUUUAUUCCAUUAAUCAUUUUCAUCCGUUAGAUCAUACUAUUCAACCAACUACCCACUCAACCCUAGGGGACCACUAUCAUUCUAAGUAGGGACCACCAUCAUUCUAACCACACAUCCCAUCAAUCAACUGUUAAAAAUUUAUGAGUACAAGGGGGUCUAUACUGAUAAGAGUAUAGUAGCCCCAAGUCAUUGGUACUUGUAAGCUUUCGGCCCUUGGAUUAAAGGAUGUGCAGUUAUGAUGAUAUAGGCCCCUUAGGGUUAAGUGGGUAGCUUGUUGAAUAGUAUAAUCUAACGGAUAAAAAUGACCAAAGGCAUAGAUCUAACAGUAAAAAAUUUACAAGCACCAAGUACUUGGUGCUUUUACAAGCACCAUAGCCGAACUCUCUCUCUCUCUCUCUCUCUCUCUCUCUCUCUCUCUUUCUCUCUCUCUCUAUAUAUAUAUAUAUAUAUAUAUAUAUAUAUAUAGGUUGAGUAGAAUACUCUCGAGAGUAAACGACGCCCGGUUUACUCUCGAGUUGUUUUGAUGAUGUAGAGCUUCACAAUUGGAGAUCGGCUGCGUUGAAUUAUGAUCUAAACCAUUUAAACUAUCUAGAAAUCAAAUUCACCACUUUCGAUAUUGUUUUAUAAUCCAUCAGUAAAUAGGAAAAUGAAUGGCGAAAAUGAUAUUCUUUAAAAAUGAUGAUAGGCGUCUUGUAAUGAAGGAUCAAGAGUAUAGAUCUUGUUUUAAAUAGUUUAAAGAAUUUUCUAACAAAAAUUCAAUUGAUUUGGAUAUCUUUACACCGUUAAACGAGAAAACGUCUCUUAUCCACCAUUAAAAUUACAAAUUUUGAAACCCUUUGAUCAUUAGGCAAAUGAUGUCGAAAAGAUUUGAAAUUUGAUUUCUAAACACUUCAAGUGGUAUAAAUCAUGUUCAACGGAGCCGAUCGUCAAUUUGGAAGCUCUAUCAUCGAAAACAACUCGAGAGUAAACGGGCUCGUUUACUCUCGAGAGUAUUCUAGCUCAACUCUCUAUAUAUAUAUAUAUAUAUAUAUAGUUGAGCUAGAAUACUCUCAAAAGCACCAAGAGGGUGGUGCUUUUGAGUUUUUUGUCAUUUUAUGGAGAGAUACAAGAUUGGGAUGAUGGUGGUAGCUAGUGGUAGCUGGAGUAGUGUUUAAUCCAAGGGCUAUUAGUAAUCAAGGAAUAAAUCGAAGGGCUAAAAACCUAGAAGCACCAAGGGGUUAGUGCUUCUAAAAGUAUUCUAGCUCAAUUCUUGUUGGAAAAACUUUCUAAUCUUUUAUUACAAUAUUCUUUAAAAACAUCUGGAAAAUUCAAUUACAGGUUUAGGAAAAUCCCGAAACGAAAUUAAAUAAAAAAUACAGUAAAGAAAAGGUUUAGAUAUGGCCUGUGGAUCGAGGCGUGGAGAGCACUAUCCUAGAAGCGAAAUUGCCCCUCCACGUGCGAGGUUUCCCUGCAAUUACUCCUAGCGAUACAAUUACCACGUUCUACCUCGUCAGCACACUUCCAAGGUGGCGCAAGACAAACCCAACCAGUUUCAGAUCCAGCAAAAGAAAACUUGGCGAAAAUCCAGAAAGUAGAAAAAGACGAGAGGCUUUAGGUAUGCUCUGGUUAUUUGUUAACUCGUGUAACCUCGCCCCAUAUUUAUAACCUAGGCGAGAAUCUUACUUCAACACGUCAAAUCCGUGUAUAACAAGAUAAGCCUAAGAUUAUACGGAUAAAGAUUAGGAUUAGGAUCAGUAAAAAGAUAAGUAUUAAAAUAAAGAUAAAACCGACAAAAUAAAAUAAACCGGGUGUUUGGAUGGACCGCACGCGCCACCGCCGGCCCGGCCCGGCUCGUGCUCGUGCCGUGCGUGCAUGUAUAUAAACGAGAGCAUAACUCUCAUUUUCUUCGAAGCAACUAGCUUGAGAAUAAAGCAAUAUAUAAAAACAAUAAAGACCCUUUUGGUUUCCAAUGUGGAACUAAACAUCUCAUAUGGAUAUUUUAAGUUGGGCUCCCAAGAGGCCCAUUAACAAUUAUUGGGCUCCUCAAGUGGUUUUAAUAAGUUUUAAAUUACAAAACCCAAUAAAAUCCAAUAAUACUUAAUCUGUCACGCCCGGAUUACUCGUUCCCCGGGCACGCCGACAAAUCCACCGUAUACAAAAAAAAAAUUUUCUGUAUACGAAGCGAUAGCUGUACGUGUAAAACAUACAAUACUACAAACAGUAGUAUAGAGCUGCUAGAAGAACCAGUAACCAAAUAAACCGAGUUCCAUAUACAUACGCCAAAUCCAAGAUAUAAAACUACUCGCACUGGCGAGUUAAAUAUAUGUAUGUACAUGAACUUCAAACAAAAACAAAUAUCUGCUGUAGGGGCACCUCUAGCUCGGCUCGUCGGGUAGGGCUCUAACUCGCGACGCCCUUGCCUCGAUCCUGAUCAGCAACAGCAGCAGCCGAAGACAAUGGCUCUGCAAAAAUGGGGUAACAACAGGGCGUGAGAACUACUGUAAAAACAAGUAGUCCUCAAUGGGUGCCGCCCUCAACAUCAUCGGUCCACCGACUAAGUCUACAGAAGGGAGCAAAGGUAGUAAUAAAUGCUGGAAUAAAAUCUACAGCUACCAUUUAUUACACUAUCAUGCUCUAAGCUGACCUACUGUAGUAAUGUCAAUCCUGACCCAAUCUCUUUAGGGACUGUAAAUAUAUCCGUCCCAGUGACUGUGAACACACCCGUCCCGCGCAGUUGAGACUAUUCAGGUACCUCCACACUAUCCAGUCCGUGGAGAGCAAGUCUAACCGGCAUGAAUGACACCAACGCGAAAGCACAACGCCCGUCUCGGGAGUGGCACUCGUGGGAGCUACCCAACCGAGUAUGCAGCGUAUAUCUGUCGAGCUCAAUCAGGCUCUCUCAAGCCAAAGUCCAAGUAACCAACACUAACUGGUCUAACAACCCAUAGUCACGUGCCCUCGGCACAAUCCGACUCUAAAAAGGCGAUGUGGGUCCACCGUCUACCCCGACGGCACCCAACAGCCCAGAACAGCCUGAACGCUACUGUAAAAAUACACUCGGCAUCCCAACAUGAGCAUAACUGAAAGCUAAACUACCUAAAGUAUCCGCCGCUUCGAUAGUGUGACGAUACAAAAUUACAACGGCUUCUAGAGCUAAAUCAGAUAGUGCAAACAGGUGACAGAUCCAAACCGCUGGUUUUCUCCUAAUUUAAUUUUCAAGUCCAACAUGUAUAGUUUAACUAAAUUCCACACAUGCCUCAAAUUCAGAUUUCAGCCAAUACGCUACUCAAUGAAUUUAAGCGAGUACGAAGUAUAAACAAUCGGAAGCUAUACAUGUUUACUAAUAUUCACUUAGGAGUAAACCCGAUAAAAACCCACCUCAAAGGCUAAUCCCAGGCAGUGAAGAAGGUCACCGGAGUCCCUGCCAAGCUCCGCGCAACCCAACGAACCAGCUACAACAACACUCCACGGAUCUAGACAUAGAAACCCACAAUAAACACCAAUUCUGCUCAAAACAACAGCAGUAGAGUGGAAUAGAGUUUCGACCAAGCUAACCUUUACCAAAAUCAACAAUCUUGGGCUUCAUGGAUUCCUCUCGAAGUUCUGUAUCCAACGAACCAAGUCUCCCUGCAAUCCGACUCUCCUACGUCGCACACGAGCUGAAACGCCCAUGGUCGACGCAGGAAAUCUGCGAAACAGCAUCCUUGAGCUUGGAAGUGAUAAAGACUUGCCAUAGUUGGAGGAAUUGAUGAAUAUCUCACCUCAACAGCGACUCUAACACUGGCGCGACAUUGAGAACGGCGCAAAUGCACCCUCACCCGGCCUCCUCGCGAUGCUACGGCAACAAACGCGUGCUCGAACGGCUCCGCGGCACAAUGUCGGCGACGAAAUACUCCACCCGAGCUCCUCCACGAUUGGUCUAGCUAGAGGGAGAAAAGGAAGCAAGCAAAAUCUCCUCUCAGCUCUCCCUCACACCUGUAAAUAGUAAGGGAGUAUGUGGGUGACACAAACAAGGUGAGAAAAGACCCAAUUGCCCUCUCACCUACCCUAGUGUACCGGUACACGGGCUCACGUACCGGUACAAGAAGCCAACCCGAGAGCAGUCUGCGCGCAGCCUGUACAGUGUACCGAUACACCGUGCUUGCUGUACCGGUACAGCAAGCAGAGAAACCUACUAUUUGCAGAUUCUCUUGUUAAGUGCUGCUCUCGCGUCGCCUAAAGUCCGUUUUGCAUCUAUUUCGCGCUAACCUGACUCGGACUUGUCCCAAUACUCUCCAGAGCUGUCGGCAAGCCUCAACCGCCAAACACCAGGGAUCUCACAGCUUAUGUAAUUAAAUUACACACAAAAAUAUCGUCAACAAAAAAUUUAGCUAUACAGUCAAAUUCUCAGUCCUCACAAUGGGUGAGCAUGCAAAUAUGCAUCCAAAUUUAUUGGCCUACAGGAAAAUUCAAAAAUUUACAUUGACAUCAAUGGAGCAGGAAAUUAUGACAUUGUCCUUAAUUAGGUUGUAACAUCUUAGAUACAAAAUACAAUAGGUCCUAUACAAGUAUCUAUUAACAAAGACUUUCCGGUGAAAGCAAUAGAUUUAGCUGUGUAUCUUGGUUCGAUGUAGUAGAAAGUGCUACAACCAUAAAUAAUUAUUUAGUUACAUAUAAUUAAAAACCAUANAGGGCCGAAAACUUACAAGUACCAAUGACUUGGUACUUUUAAAAGCAUAGGAGCUCAAUUAUAUAUAUAUAUAUAUAUAUAUACACACACACACACACCUUGUACAACUAAUGAAAAGGUACUCUGCCUUAUUCCUCAUAUCCUUGUUAUAUGCUCUACUUCUAGUACAUUUAACUCUCUUAACUUUUUGGGUCUACUCACUGCACAAAAUAUUAUAGCGAGUUAUAAGUUAUAGUCCUAUUGUAUUAUAUAUAUAUGAUUAUUCCAAAUCUUAAGGGUGUCACAUUCCUCCCCCAUUUAUGCCUUGAUGUCUUCGUCAAGCACAAGCACACUCACAAGCACCAGGUGAUGUGAGACUCGUCUUAUUAGCCUCAGUAAACCUUGCGUGGAGUUGCACUCUACUCAUAAUGAUCGUCAUCCGAGAAAACUCGCUCUACUCACUGUAUGACCCUGACUCUACUAAGACUCAUCUUACACUUCUGGCUGGUGCUUGGCUCUUAUACCAACUGUGAUGCCCUACUUCAUCGGGGGGUCAUAUAUCCUAAAACUAUUCCAACCCUAGCACGCUUAAUUAACCUCUUAAGUCUAACCACUACUCAAAAUACUAUAUAGCCUAGUCAAAGGGUUUAAUCCUAUUAUGUACUUAGAAUCUCAAUUCUGUCCUUUUUUAGUCCUGUCAUUCUCAUCAAAUUCGGACACAUGCACAAGUACAAGGCGAUGUGAGACCAGUCUCGCUAGUCUUAGUCGAUCUUAUGGAGAGCCGCGCUCUACCUAUAAUGGUCAACACUCAUCUCAUACUUGUUACUGGUACUUGGCUCCGAUACUAAUUAUGAAGCCCCACUUUCAAGAAGAGGUCAUCCAUUCUAAAAUUACUUUAGUUCUGGCAUACUUAAUUCUCUUAACAUCUUGAAUCUAACCGCCACCGAAAAUGGUAGUCGAAUUAAAAAAUUUAACCCUAUUAUAUUUUAUAUAUAGAAUUAUUUCAAAUUCUAAGGAUGUCACACCUAUUUUACAUUCCCGGGCAGAUCCAAUGGACCGGUCUUAGGUUGUGACAAUUAUAACCGGACAUGAAUUGUAAUCCUAGCACUUCUCUUUAAUGGCAUUAAAUACUCAAAGGGGCAAUAAUUUAGGUAUGUCUCACACAUUUUUAAACUAAUAAAAUGUUAAAAUGUACGAGCCGAGAUAUAGGUUCCUCCUUAGGGUAAUGUGUAAAGAACUUGGGAAAAAAAUUUAAAGAGCACUGUUAUAUGUACGCCUCAAAAUAAUUAUACAUAAUUUAAACUAAAAAAAUUGUACAAAAUUUAAGUAUAAAUAUAUGAAGACCCCCUUAACUAUUGAACAAUUUGAAAUGGAUCCUUAAUAAUUCUUUUUCGACUUUUAUACUUUAAAUUUAAAAGUUUUAUCGAAGUUAACGAUUCUACUACUUAUUACAUAUUAAUUGGCCUUGUUGUGUUUGCUCAAAAGUUUAUGAAAGUCAUUAAAUUUGGUGAAACUGUCAAUUAUAAAUUUGAUAAAUCCUCUAAUUUUUUUUGACUAAAAUCAGUUAAUUGAAAGAAAAUUCACAAGCAAAGCGGCUUUAUCUAAGUAUAUAAAAGUUGAGGGGUCAAGAAAUUUUAAUCAACGUGACAGAGGGCAUUUUUAAUAUAAUUUAUUAAUUUAUAGUGACAACGGAUAAAAAUAUUUAAUAUUGUUACUUUUAGAGGAGUUUACAUUGUAUCUUAUAAUUUUUGAGAGGCACAUUAAAAGUUGCCUCAGGAAUAUAUAACACCUUGAACUACAACAAUUUUGCAAAUAGACCCCUAAAUAAUAAACUUCGGCAAUUAGGCUUUUUGUGCUUUCUCAAAUAGUUUAAUAAUCCCUCUUUUCAAGUAAAGCUACUAAUUUUGCUCACAUAUAAUAAUCUUGUAAAAUUUCAAAGUGCAAAGAAAUUUAUUUAAUAUAUUCUAAUACGUCAAAUAGGUUUUUUAUUCUUUAUAUUUUGAAAGUUUAUAAAAUUAUGUGCGACACAUGUGAUUUAAAAUUAUGUAAAUGAUAUUGAAAAAUCGCAAAAUUUAUUUUCUAGAUACUUCAAAUACUCUAGAUCAAGUCUAACGGAGCUGAUCGUCGAUUCGAAAGUUCGAACAUCAAAAACAAAACAAAGUGGAAGCACGGAGCCCUCCGUGCUUCCAUAAGCAUCCUAGCCGCACUCUAUAUAUAUAUAUAUAGAGAGAGAGAGAGAGAGAGAGAGAGAGAGAGAGAGAGAGAGAGUUGGCUAGAAUACUAUUAAUAAUAUUUGUCUCUUUUUGCUAUCAAAUUUUUAGCCUUUGGAUCAAUUACUUUGAUCAUUUUUAACAAUUGGAUUAAAUAUUAUAAUUCAGUGGGGACCACUCAACCCUAGGGGGAUUAGUUAACCCUAAUAAGGGGCUAAUAUGAUUCUAACCCCACAAUUUCUCAUUUAAAGAUUAAAAACUUGAUAACGAAAGGAGCAAAAUACUAUCAAUAGUAUUCUAGCUCAACUAUAUAUAUAUAAAGUAAAAUCAACUCAAGUUCGGGUUCGGGUUUGCCUAGUGAUUGAAGUGGCUCAAAAUCAACGGCUGAAAAUAAAAAUCUUACAAAAUAUGAUGAUAUGAUACUAAAAUUUUAUAUCAAAGUUAUUGAUCUUGUUUUAUAUGGUAUAAAAAAUUUUCUAUCAAAAUUUCAUGUGAUUUGGAUAUUUCUACACCAUUAAACUUGCAACCUGUUCACCACGGCCGUUAAAAUUACUGAUUUUGAGCCCCUUCGAUCACUAGGCAAAUGAUAUCGAAAAAUCGCAAAAUUUAUUUCCUAAUUACUUCAAAUACUCUAGAUCAACUCUAACGGAGCCGAUCGUCGAUUCGAAAGUCCGAACAUCAAAAACAACUUGGAAGCACAGAGGUCUCCGUGCUUCCAUAAGCAUACCAGCACAACUCUAUAUAUAUAUAUAUAUAUAGAGAGAGAGAGAGAGAGAGAGAGAGAGAGAGAGAGUAGGGUUACUAUACUCUUAUAAUUAUAGAUUUCUAUCUCGUCAUAAGUUUUCAGCUAUUGGAUGAAGGGAUGUGUAGUUAUAUGAUGAUAGUGAUCCCCGGUUUGGAUGAUAGUGGUCCCCUAGGAUUGAAUAGGUGAUUGGUUGAAUAGUAUGAUCUAACAGGUGGAAAACUUAUGACCAAAAAUUUAUGAGUACAAACAAGUCUAUACUCAUAAGAGUAUAGUAACCAGACUCUCUCUCUUGCUACCAUCCAUCAAUUUUGAUGAGUGGUUAGAGUGAGAAAUAGAAGAGAAAUUAAGGAGAUAUUCAAAGAGAAGAAAAAUUAAGAAACUAAUUUCUCUCCAAUUUCUCUUUUCUCUCUCACCCAAAUUAUCCAUCAAAAUUAAUAAAUAAUUAAAAAUUUAGGAGCAUAAAAACUAUUGUACUCCUAAUAGCACAAUAGCAUUGCUCUAUAUAUAUAUAUAUAUAUAUGUUUUGUGUUAUAUUUGAAUUUGUAUUUUAAAAAUUUAGAUUUAAUAUAAUAUAUUUUGAAAUAUUGUAAAGGCAAAUUGUUCGGGUUCUAAUUUUUAGAUUCAGAUUUCAAAUUUUUGGCCAGAUUCGGGUUUGGAUAUGGAUUUAUAAAAUCCAUCAAAGGUUCAGUUUUGGAUUUGGUUUUUGAGUCUGAUAGUUGUGUUCGGGUUCAAAUUUUGAAAAUUCGACUUAUUGGCAUCCCUACCUCUUGGCUCUCAAAGAAAAAAAAAAAACAAACAAACAAACAACAAAACAAAACAAAAAGAAAGAACAAAAUCACAUGGGUCUCAACACAGAGAUAAAGUGAGUAGAUAUUGAUUCCUUUUAAUUAAGGAGUUAGGCUGUGGCUCAAAACUAGCUUUGCAACCCUAUGAAAUUAAAAGAAAAAAAAAAGCUAAAUUACAUAAAAUCCACCCGUCAAAAUUCAAUUUUUCACUUUCCUUCCUAUCAUUUAAAAAUCUAUAUUUUGCCCCCUUAUAAAAUGAAAAAUGUUCACAUGGAGUACGGUAUAAACUGUGAUGACAAAAUAAUCAUUUUGCCCAUCACCAUUUUUGGCAACAGGAGAGAAGACUGAGGACAUUUUUGGCAUAAAAAAUAUAAUAAUAUUUUUUAAACAGGACCUUAACGGAUCACUAAGGGCAGGAGGUGUGAACAUUUUUUAUUUUACAAGGGGACAAAAUGUAGGUUUUAAAUGACAGAAAAAAAGUAAAAAAUCAGAUUUUGACAGCGAGGUUUUCUGUAAUUUUGCCAAAAAAAAAAAAAAAAAAGUGAUGUGGCCCUUGUUAAAUGAAAGCAAAAUACUAACUACACAAAAUAUGAGGGUAAAAUACACUUUUGGUCCUGAUAUUUUUAAUCUGCAAACUUUAAUUCAUAGUAAUUUCUGACUCGAGUUAUAAGACGCGUAGCAUUUUAAUUGUCGAACAUUAGAUAGAAAUAAUUUUUAACUCAAAGUAUAAGGCAUGUGACACUUUAAUCUUCAAAAUUUACGGUGUAAAUUAAAAUAGCCUUUAUAAUCCAUAUCGGAUUAAGCUAAACUAAGUUCUAUAUUUUAGAGAGGGUACAAAAUGAUUAUUUCAUAAUAAUAACAACUAAGGUUUGUUUAAGGAUCAGGGACUAAAAAGAAAUACAAUAUGUAUGGAAGUCCAAAACCUAAAUUAUUAAAAAGUAAAGAACCCAAAUUAUAAAUUACAUAAAAUUUACUAAUUAAAUUCGUAAACAUAAAAGUCAUAUUCAAAUUUGAAGUUAAAAAAUUAUUAAUCGAUUCAAAUUAAAUAAAUUAAAAGGCCAUGGAGUAAAAUCAAAAUUUUUAAAAGGAAGGUAGCAAGAUCCAAAUAGGUGAUAGUUGAGGUAAGUUUUAUACAUGUUUACCAACUAGGACUGAAUUUAGAACUCGUUAAAAGGUCAGGGACUAAAAUGCAAUUUGGCCCAUCUUGAGCUUGCAGUUGUUUGCUAUGCAGUGUGAGGCUCAGAACAUGAGCUUGGACAUAUAUAGUUCCACAAGGGCAGCAUAGAUUCAUCGCCGUAAACGAAGCGGAAGGAACCGAUGGCGCCACGAACGCUCCUCCUUGCCCUCGCCAUCCUCUUCGUCAUCGAAGGCGAGCUCGCCGUCGUCGCCGCCGCCGCGGUCUCGCGACAUGUUCCAUUAGCAUCUGCAGCUAAGGAUGUAGCUUCAGCAGCACCUGCAAAGGAGAUAAGAGAGACCACUUUGCUAGGUCAGUUCAGACUCACAUAUUCACCUGCACUCCCUUUUGAGUUCUUGAAAUUAAAAAUAAAAAUAACAACAAAGGGUAAAAAUAUAUAGAGACUCCCUCGACCAUAGAAAAUUCUGAAAUAGGCCCCUCAACUUUUUCGUUAAAAUUUAUUUCAGGCGGUAAACUUCAAUUUGCCCCUCUAUGGUUUAGCUUAUUUUCACUUUGUUAUCUUGUGGUUUAAAAAAAAAUAUUCUUUUUGAGAGAUAGGUAACACGCUAUCCGGUUCAUUUAUUUCAUUUAGAAAUAAAAUUAGCUGAAAAAUGUGAAUCAACUAAUAUUGAAACUUUGACCUCGGGUAUCAACCACCAAGCCCUUUACCACUUACUCUAGAGACGGUCGGUUUGUGGUUUAAAAAGUUGUACUAUCUUGUGGUUUAGCUCAUUUUACUCUAUCAUUCUGUGGAUCAAAAAACUAUACUUAACUAUUCUAUAGUUAUUAAAAAAUUUUGCUUUCCUACCUUAUUUGAUAGUAUAUUUUUUGGGUAAAAAUAGAGUUGAACCAUAGGAUAAUUAUGUGCAAUGUUUUGAGCAAUAUGCUCGCAAAAUAAAAAUGAGUUAAACCACAGGGAGCAAAUUAAAAUAUACCUUUUUUUGAUUGAGACCUACUCUACUUCUAAAUUUUUGGAAUCUAAGUGAUUUAAGACAAAAAGAUUUGGAAAUUUUUUUAAACUUAUUGAAGGUCUCACCAAAUUUAAUGAAUUUAAUCACUUUUGAUUAAAUAAAAUUAGACCAAUUAAAGGUUGAUAACUUACAGAGUCAGCAAUUUGAUAUGAUUUUUAAUUUAAAUAUAAAAAACCCCGAAUAAAAAAAAAUAGAAGUUGAGGGACUCUCAGUUUAAAAAUAAAAUAAAAUAAAGUAACUGAGGAGGUUAUUUCAAAAUGGCAUAUGCUUUAGGGAGUUCCAUAUAUUUUUACCAAAAGGGGCCGCAGUUAGGGGUGUAAUGUGGGCCGGGCCGUGCCAGCCCGGCACGGCCCACGUUUUCCGAAUCAAAACAGGCUAGGGGCCGGGCCGUGCCGGCCCAAAUUGUCUACCCUCUGGCCUGGCAUGGCCCUUCGGUUCGGAAGGCACGAGCCGUGCUUCGUGCCGGCCUAGUAAAAUAUUUAUUUUUAAAUUUUUUAAAAAAAUUUAGUAUGAAAUUUAAAAAUAUAAACAAUCAAUAUUUUUAUUUAAAUUAAUAUUUUGAUUAAAAUAUUAAAAAAUUGCAAAUAUAAUUAUACUAAAAUAAAUAUUUAUUUUAAAAAAUAAAUAAAUAAAUUUGUAUUCUUUUUUUUUUAAAAAAGAAAUGAGAUAGAUUACCAAAAUUCGAAUUUUGGUCCAAUGGACCAAAACUGCUCCUCCCUCCUAGGGAGGCUCCUCCCCAAGAGCUCAGACACCAUGGCCCAAGACAAUUGGGCCUUGGGGUCCAGGCCAUGCUGACCCGGCUGGCACGGCCCAAGCGGAUCAUGUCGUGCCGGGCCACCCCGCCUCCCCUCGGCCCGGCAUAGUCCGGGCCCAUUUCGGACAGUACCGUACUGAGCCGUUGGGCUCCAAAGGAGAGGCCCACCACGGCCCAGAGGCUUGGGUCGGGCCGUCCCGGCACACUGCUACAGUACCCGAGGCCAUGCUGGCCGAGCGGCUCACGUGCCGCCCUGCCCGUUUUACACCCCUAGCCGCAGUAUCUAUUGCCCCAUAUAAUGGGAAACUUCAUAUACCCCUCGUUGUUUAUCUUUUUUUUUAAUUCAAUACUAUUGUUUUAACUAUAUUAUUUAAGUACUUUGUGAUUUUAUUUUCGUUUUUCGUUAGUAUUAUUGCUAUCUCCUUUGUUAAUAUUGUUACGCGUCGCGCAUGUUAAAGAUGUCCCACAAAAAUCAAUAAAAAAGACAUGGAACUUCUUAGGGUUUAAUUCGGAUUAUUUAUGGAGUCUCCGGUGGGCAAAAAAGUGAGGUCUACUAUGCACAUAUGCUAGGGAUGCAAACUAGGUGGGAGGCUCCCCCACCUCCCGCUCCGUUGUAUUGGCUAGUCUAGACGAAUCCUUGACGUAUUGAAUUUUAUCCUACAUUUUGCCCCCACUUACAACUCCAUUAGGAGCUUAUCAGGGUAGGAGAGAAUUUCUGACGAAUCGGAGUGGCUCAAAGGAAGAAAGGGGUCCCCAGUAUCCUGAUGCAUUUGUUAGCUAAGGAGGGCGGAUUCAAUGCUGAUUAUUUUCAUAUUUUUUUUUUUGGAUUCCAUUUGGGGUGAAUCGAAGCGGGAUCUUCACCAACCGAAACCCAUUUGCAAUUCCUAACAUACAAGGGGUGUGAUAGUUUUAACUGAGAAAAUAAUAGUGGAAUUAAGGAAAAGAAAAAAUAAAAACUAUAUGGUAUUUAAGUGAUAUGACUAAUUAAAACCGUAAAGUACUAAGGUGAAAGAAAAUAAACUAUAUGAAGAUUAUCGAAAACUUUUCCUAAAAAAAUUUGCAUCAAUUUUAACCUUGUAUUUUAUACAUUGUCUUAAAAGGCCCCAAAAUUUAUAAUAAUUAUUAAAUUUAGAUACAAAGCUCUUAAAAUAAGUUUAGCAUAUGAUAGCCAUAAUGCUUAUGGUAGGUUGUCAAUGAGCGGAGCACGAGUUGGCCUAUUAAAAUAUAGAGCUAAAUAAUCCAGCUCAUGUUCGUCUUGUUUAUUAAUGAGCAAACACGAACUGACUUGCGAACAACAAGUUAGGUUUUUAUCCCUACUACUAAGUAAAAAGUUGAAAAAAAAAAUAGAAAACUAAAAUUUUAAUCUAAUUAUUAAAAUUCAUAAAAUGUAGGUCGCCUUACAUUUGGAUUGGCUUAAAAUUCAAAUGGCAAAAAUUUGUAAUAUAUAUAUAUAUAUAUAUAUAUAGAGAGAGAGAGAGAGAGAGAGAGAGAGAGAGAGAGAGAGAGCGCUAGGAUCCUAUACUAUCUGUAGUACCAGGGCUUCGGUAUUAUAAUCUAAUUUUCAAUCUUAGGGUGUUCAAAUUAACGAUCCACACCAUUAAUACUGAUUUAGAAUAUUUGAAGUUUUUGCAAACAAAAUUUUAUAUUUUCUAGACAUAGUGCACUUUGUGAUCAAAUCAUUUUAAACUUGUUAAUUUUUAAUGGCUACUAUGGCGAGUUUGUAGUUUAACAGUGUAGAGGAAUAUAAAUUUAUUCAAACUUUGAUAAUAAAACGUACUUUAAACUAUUUAAAUCAAGAUCAGCAUUCUUAAUCGUGAAUUCAAAAGUCCUAUCCUCGAAUUUUCAAGAUUGUUCGAUUUUCACCUUUCAUUUUAGCAUGAUUUACUUACUAAGUAAACGAUGUCAAAAAAAUUAAAAUUUUAUUCUUAAGAACUUUAUAUGUCCUAGAUCACAUUUAAUGGUGUGGAUAAUUGAUUUGAAUAUCGUAUGAUCAAAUAUGAGACUAUAGUACCGGAGUUCCAGUAUUAUAGAUAGUGUAGUAGUAUAAUUAUAUAUAUAUAUAUAGAGAGAGAGAGAGAGAGAGAGAGAGAGAGAGAAAGAUAGAGAGAGAGAGAGAGAGAGAGAGAGAGAGUGUUCAACUACUAUACUCUUAUGAGUACCGCCCACGUACUCAUAAGUCAUUUUCAAUGAUAGAGCUUCCGAAUCGAUGAUCCAUACUGUUAAAUAUUAUCUAGAGGAUUUAAAACUUUUAGAAAUCAAAUUUCAUAAUUUUUCGACAUCAUUUACCUUACGAUCAAAGGGUCACAAAAUUGAUAAUUUUUAAUAGUCGAUAUGGGAUACUUACUAGUUUAACAGUGUAAAAGAAUUGGAAUAGAUUGAGUUUUUGAUAGAAAAUUCUAUUCACUACCUAGAUAAUGAUCAAUAACUCCAAUCUUAAAUUGAAUGAUCCGAUCAUCCAUUUUUAGGACGUCGUUCAAUUUUGAACGUUCAUUUUAUACCCGCUUGAUAGACUUUAUUAUGAUUUUAAAAAAAUUACAAAAUUUACUUUUUAGAAGUUUCAAAUAUUCUAGAUCAUAUUUAACAUAGUGGAUCAUCGAUUCGGAAGCUCUAUCAUCGAAAAUAACUUAUGAGUACUAAAGGCUCUAUAUUUAUAUAACGUUGAGCUGGAAUGCUAUCGAUAGCAAACGGGCUCCGCUGCCACUCUUUUUUUUUUUGAUGUUAGAGCUUCCAAAUGUAUGAUCGGCACUGUUGGACAUGAUCUAUACAACUUAAAGUAUCUAGAAAUCAAUUUCAAAUCUUUUCGAUAUCAUUGAUCUAAUGAUCAAAGGAUUUCAAAACUUGUAAUUUUAAUGGUAGAUAUGAGACGUUUUCUCGUUUAACAAUGUAAAGCUAUCCAAAUCAAUUGAAUUUUGUUUAGAAACUUCUUUAAAUUAUUUAGAACAAGAUCUAUACUCUCGAUCCUGAUUACAGAAUUCCCAUCAUCAUUUUUUAGAGGAUAUUUAUUUUCAGUCAUUCAUUUUUACGCCCACUUGAUGGACAAGAGAAUAAUAUCGGAAAAGCAUGAAAUUUGAUUUCUAAAUACUUUAAGUGGUAUAAAUCAUUUUCAACAAUGCCGAUCGUUGAUUUGGAGGUCCAUCAUCGAAAAUACAUAGGUGGCAACGAGGUCCGUUUGCUACCGAUAGUAUUCCAACUCAACUCUAUAUAUAAAAUUAGGCUACUAUACUAUUAAUAGUGUAGAGCGCUUGGUGCUACUAGGUUUUCGGCCCUUUAACGAAGAGAUAUGUGGUUAGGAUGAUAAUGGUCACCUAGGGUUGACUGGGAGGUUGGUUUGAUAGUAUGAUCUAACGGGAAAAUGGUCAAAGGGAUGGAUCGAACUGCGAAAAACUCGAUAAUACCAAACGCUUGAUACUAUCGAUAGUAUAGUGGCCAGAUUCUCUCUCUUUUUCUUCACUUUCUCUUUCUCUCUAUAUAUAGGCUCCUACGCUUUCGAAAGUUCAGAGGCCUCUAUGCUUGUAAGUUGUUUUCAAUUAUGGGAUAUCCAAUUCGAUGAUCAGUUUCAUUAGACAUGAUUUACGCUAUUAGAAUUAUUUAGAAAUCAAAUUUCAUAUUUUUUUUGACUUCGUUUACCUAGUAAAUGAGUAGUCUCAAAAUGAACAGUUGAAAAUAAAGAUCUCACAAAAAAAAAAAAAAAGUGGUAAGAGACUAAAAUUUUGAAUCAGAAGCAAUGAUCUUGCUCUUGAUGUGAAGUAAAAUUUUCUAUUAAAAUUUCAUGUAAUUUAAAUUGUUCUACACCAUUGAAUUUAUAAACAUACCAUAUCGGCCAUUAAAAUAGUAAUUUUUGAGACCCUUUGAUUACUUAAUAAAUGAUGUGAAAAAAUUAUGAAAUUUAGUUUCUAAAUUGUCCUAAUAGUGUAGGUCAUGUCUAACGGAGUAGAUCAUCGAAUUGUAUAUCCUAUUAUCGAAAAUAACUUAUAAGCACGAAGGUCUCUAUACUUUCGAAAGCGUUUACUUUCGAAAGCGUAGAAAACGUACUAUAUAUAUUAUGAGAGAGAGAGAGAGAGAGAGAGAGAGAGAGAGUAGGGCUACUGUACUCUUAUGAGUAUAGAACCCUUCGUACCCAUAAGUUGUUUUCAAUGAUAAAGCUUUCGAAUCAACGAUCCGUACCGUUAAAUAUAAUCUAGAAUAUUUCAAAUCUUAUAGAAAAUAAAUUUUGUUUUUUUUUUAAUUAUAAUAAAGUCCAUCGAGCGGACAUAAAAUGAAAGGUCAAAAUCGAAUAACAUCGUAAAAAUGAAUGAUCGGAUACUUCAAUUUAAGAUCGGAGUUAUUGAUAAUUAUUUAGAUAGUGAAUAGAAUUUCUUAUAAAAGUUUCAACCGAUUUCGAUUCUUUUACACCGUUAAACUAGCAAGUGUCCCAUACCGACCGUUCAAAAUUGUCAAUUUUAAGAUAUUUUGAUCGUAAGGUAAAUGAUAUUGAAAAAUUAUGAAAUUUAUUUUCUAAAAAGUCCAUAUGCUCUUGAUCAUAUUUAAUGAUGCAAAUCAUCGAUUUACAAGUUUUAUCAUAAAAACAACUUAUGAGAACAAAGGCGAUCGUGCUCAAAAGAGUAUAGUAGCAAGACUCUAUAUAGUCUGACUACUAUAGUAUUAUGAGCACAAUCGCCUUCAUACUCAUAAGUCGUUUUCAGUGAUAGAGCUUCCGACUCGACGAUCUAUACCAUUAAAUAUUAUCCAGAGUAUUUAAAACUUCUAAAAAUCAAAUUUUAUAAUUUUUUGACAUCAUUUACCUUACGAUCAAAGAUCUCAAAAUUGACAAUUUUUAACUGUCGGUAUAGGAUACUUGCUAGUUUUAUGGCGUAAAAGAAUCAAAAUCGAUUCAAUUUUUUAUACAAAAUUCUAUUAACUAUCUUGAUAAAGAUCAAUAAUUCCGAUCUUAAAUUAAAAUAUCUGAUCAUCCAUUUUUAGAAUGUUGUUCGAUUUUGACCGUUCAUUUUAUACCUGCUUGGUGAACUCUAUUAUAAUUUCGAAAAAUUACGAAAUUCAUUUUUUAGAAGUUUUAAAUAAUCUAGAUCAUAUUUAACGGUAUGAAUUGUCGAUUCAUAAGCUCCAUCAUUAAAAAUAAAUUAUGAGUACGAAGGCUUUAUACUCAUAACAGUAUAGUAACCACACUCUAUAUAUAAAUAUAUGGAGCCGAACAAGAGCAAACUGAUCCCUACCAUGUUCGGCUCGUUAAGAUUUCUAGCUAAAAAAUUGAGCUCGCAUUCAGCUCUUUUAUUAAACAAGCAAUUAAUCUCGAGUUUAUUUGAAACCGAACACGAGUAGGCUUGCGAACAGUGAGUUAAAUUGCCAACCCUAGCUUAUGGAGUGUAAUUAUAUAAGUAAAUUAUUUUUGAAGUAUCAAUUUUCGGUAAGACUAGUAAACAACUAAUUUUUUACUUACCAGAAAAAUAUAUAGAGACCUACUAAAGUUCUGCUCUAUUAAUAACAGAUACAUAAACUUCAAUUUUAGCAAUAUAAUCUGCUAGCUAAGCUUUAUCAAAUAGUUUAAUAAGUCCAUCUCCACAAUUGUGGCUACUAAUUAUAUAAUUAUUUUAAUCAUAUAUCAUGUAAAUAAUCUUGUAGGACUCAAAAUAAAAAUAAAUAAAUUAUUUUUUCUCUUUUAGUUUUGAUAAUCAAGCAAUAAGAAUUAUAGAACAGGAUAAAUUUGUUCAAUUUGUUUAUUUUUUUAUCUUAAAAUAUAUAUUUUUUCUUUGUUGUUGUAUUUAGAAGCUUUAUUCGAUUAUAUGCAAAAUCGUGACCAAUACUGCAAUUGAAUUUAUAACUUCAAUUAAGGAGAGGAGCCUAUUCAACUGUUUAAUAAAUUUUAAGGGACAUAAUUACCAAAAGUAAAAGUUCAAAUACCUGUUUGAAGAACAACUAGGUGUCUCAAUACAUGUUAUACCCUUUAUUUAAUUUAAGAUUGCAUAUAUUGUAUAAGUUACCGACAGUCUCUAGCACAAGUGGCAAAGGGUUUGGUGGUUGGUACCCGAGGUUCCGAGGUCAAAUCCUAGUUUAUUCACAUUUCCGGCUAAGUUUAUUUCUAAAUGAAAUAAACAAAGCGGGUAACGUUUAUUUUUAAAUGAAAUAAACGAAGUAUGUAGCAUGCUACCUAUCUCUCAAAAAAAAAAGAAGAUAUAUUGUAUAAAUUGGCAGAUAGGUUUUAAAUUACGUAAAAAAAUGUAAAACAAAUUGGCACUAUAAAAUUCUUAACAAUAAUGAAUUGCAAAUUCAGCUUAAGUAAAUUAUGAGUUUCAAAGUGAUUGAGUAUAUACUAACACUGUGCUUUUAAUUAAACUUAACUGUUAUUCCUUUAUUAAUUCUUUAAUUUGCUCUCAAAAUUGUAAUUAACUAGAAUUAACUAGAAAUUAAGCUUGGAUUUCAAUUAUUCUUCCUAAGAUUUAGUAUUGCAUAUUGGGAAAUUUUAAAACUAUUAAUCAAAUCAAUAUUUAGACUGAAUUGCGAAUUUGAAAAAAGAAAUAGCUGAAAAAUUUUAGAAAAGAAUCUCUAGCUAAAAAAAAGGUGAAAAAACUAAUGAUGGAAACAAUUUUGGGUUGAUUAUAAUAGUAAUAUAACAUAUCUAAUUCUGUAAUUAAAAGUUUAUGAUAGAAAAGAUAAGUAAAAAAACUUUGGUAGGAGCCUCAUUGCCACGUGUCAGUUUUGUUUUUAUUCAAACAUUAUAAUCAUUCCCUUUCUAGCUAAGAUCUAAAAAAUAUUUUUUGAAUUUUAGUAUCAAACAAUAAUUGAAACACAGGCUAAAGUGCAUGAAGGAUUUUUGUAAUUUAGGGUUGAAAUUUACUAGAUAAUUUGUAAAUUAUUGAUUAUUCUCAUACCCUUAUUUUUUUUUCUUUUUUUUUCUUUUUUUAAAUCAGGAGAGAAAGGUGGCGUCCAAAAUGAUAAAGAAGAGAAGCUUUUCGUUAAACUACCUCCAUUUUUUCGGCCACCUCGGCUUCCACCUUCCACUUGAGAAGCUACUUUUCACGAGAAGCGCUUUCUGAAGAAGCAUAAUAAUAAAUAAACAUGGCUUAUAAAUGUAGCCUAAAGAAUUACUAGAUCUUAGUAAUUUAUUUUGAUAAUCGGAUUAUGAUUAUGCUAUUCUAGUUAUAAAAAUUGAUCUCAAUUUGAGGUGGAUUAGCUUUGCACUUUGUGUUAUUUAAUAAAAGGUUUCUAGAUAACGAGCCGAGUGAAAAUUACUUUUUGUGUUAAUUUCAAAUACUACAACAGGACACGAUUAUCAUGAAAACAUACUUUAUUGAUAUGACAUUCCAUAUGAAGGCUAAAAUAUAGAAAACUUUUUUAUAAAUAUCAUUUUUUUUUAUUUUUUUUCUAACUUCUAAAAAUCUAUAAUUUGCCUGCUUAAAAUUUAAGAAAUAUAUUCAGAGGUGGUACGGCAUUAAUGGAGACGGUAAAAUGACAAAAUUGCUCUUAGUUUUUUUAUAAGAAAAAAUAAUAAUUUUUCAUAUAUUUCUGUAAUUUUGAAGGCCAUUUUUUAUAUAAAAUAUAAGAAAUGGACAGAAUAGUGAUGGAAUCAUGAUGGAGAGGGGUUAAUUGCAACAACUUGAAAUAUUAAAGGGAUAAAAUAUAGUUUUUGAAAGUUAAGAAGAAAAGGUGAAAAAACGAAUAUUUAUAGGAGAGUUUUGAUAAUUUAGCCUAAAAAAAUCUAAUUACAAAAAAAAAGCCAAUUUGCAUAAAAAAUUCAUUAGUUUUGAGCUUUUGCAAAAGUGCCUUUUUGACUUUCGCAGAUUCGAACCGGAUUUUUAAAAAACUGACCAAAAUAUUUUUAUUUUUUUUUCUCUCUCCUCUUUUUUUUUUUCUUUCUCUUCGAAGAGGGCAACGAAGGCGGCGGCGGCGGCUUGCCUCGCCUUUGUCCCGCGCACCCCGCCCUCGCCCUCGCCCAUGCACCCUCCCUCUUCCUUCCUCCCCUCCGACCCCGCCGAGGCCGCGCCUUGACCUCUUUUUUUUUUCUCUCCGGCCCUCCUCGACUACCUCCCCGACUCUUUACAAUAGUAAAGAAGGUAGCGUCACGUCCUCUUCCUCUUCUUUUCUUCUCUCAAUUUUUUUUCUCUUAGACCCCCCCUACUGCCUCCGCGACUCUCCACGACAGUAACGAGGACAGUGCCGCAUCCUCUUCCUCCACCCUCACCAACGUAGGCAUCGAUGCCAAUGCUGGAGAAGGAGGACUCAAAGCAAGUACGGGUAAGAGCGGAGCUGAGAAAAAAAUAUAGAUAAAAUAAAAAAAAAAGAAUAAAACAUAAAGAAAAAUAUUUUUUCUACAAGAAAAAUAUUUUUUCUACAAAAAAAAUGAAGAAGCAAAGAGAAAAGAAGAAGAUGAAUUUGCACAAUUUCAAGAGAAUGUUGCACUGUUUUUAAGAAAAUUUACACUCUUUGAGAGAAACAAAUAUACUUUUCUGGAUGAAAAUUGCACUCUUUGAACGAAAGUUGCACUCUUUGAACGAAAAUUGUCCUAUUUGGCCGAAAAUUGCACUAUUGGCCCAAGAAGAGGAGGAAGAGAAAAAAUAGUAUAAAUUUUGUCCAAAUAAUAUAAUUUUCGUUCAAAGAGUGCAACUUUUGUACAAAGAGUGCAACUUUCAUCUAAAAAAUUAUAUUUUCUCUUAAAGAGUAUAAAUUUUCUCUAAAACAGUGUAACAUUUCCCUAAAACAGUGCAACAUUCCCUAGAAACAAUGCAACAUUCCCAUGAAACAGUGCAAAUUUAUCAUCUUCUUCUUUUCUCUCUGGUUCUUCAUUUUUCUUGUAGAAAAAUUAUUUUUUUAUAUUUUUGUCAUACUCCGGAUUACUACGUUUCCCCGGACACACCAACGCCGUAUACACAAGAAUUUUUCGUGUAUAUGAAGCGAUAGUUGUAUCUGUAAAAAGAAUAUAGCACAAGAGGUAAAGAGCUGCUAUAAUAAACAUGUAUAUAUAAAACAUAAAAGUGUCCACUGUACAUACACGAGCCACAGAACAACCUUGCUCCAGCGAGUACCACAAACAUAACAGUAUGUACAUAAAACCGCAAAACUAUCUUUGAAGGUGCUUCUCUAGCAAAGACCAGGGAAGGGAGGACUCUAGCUCGCAACUCCCUUGCCUCGGUCAGAAUCUACAACAGCACCAGCAGCAGCAGCGGACGGCUCUGCAAAAAGGUGUCAACAAUUGGAUGUGAAAACUACUGCAAAACAGAGUAAUCCUCAAUGGGUACCGUCACCGACCUCAACGGCCUACCAACUAAGUCUACAGUAAGGUACGCAAAGGACGGUAAGGAAAGCUGAAAAUAACUCUACAGCUAUAUGUCACUAUACUAUCGCUAACCAACACAGGCUAUCUGUAGACAUAGACAUGCAUCACAUUGACCCAAUCUCACAAUGGCUGCCCAAACGAACCCACUCGGCCUGUAUCCAAGCUAUACCGCACACCACCCACAGAGGUGGCCAGUCCAAGUAAACUGUCCAAACAGGACUGCUGCAACAUCAACGCAAGUCAAGCCUCACUCCGGAGCGGCACUCGUGGAGCGACCCAAUCGAGUAUGCAAGCGUGUCUCUGUCGAGCUCAAUCAAGCUCACACAGACUAUAGUCAAUGCAAAUGGGUCAAACUAGCCUAACAACCAAAGCUCGCAUGUCCUUGGCACAAUCUGAGACAAAAUGUAAACAUCUGGGUCCACCGUCAAUACCAACGGCACCCGACAGUACGAAACAGUCCAAACUCUACUGUAAAUCGAGCUCGGCCCCUUAGCACGAGCGUAAUCUUAACCUAUACUAACAUGAGUAUCCAUGACGCGCUAACAGCGGUGAUACAAUAGGAAAAUAGCUCCUAAAGUUAAAUUCGUUAAUUUUUUAAAAAGUGACAGUGUAGGUUGAACGAGUUUCUCCUAAGUCAAAUCUCAAUUUAACAUAUAAGAAAUCUUCCAACAUUAAGGCUCCAAAUUCAAAUUUCAUAAAAGAUAUGCAAAAUGAUGAAUUCAAGCUACUAAAUAUGAAGAAUAACCAAGAAAUACAUGCUGACAACUCUAUGACUUAAAAAGAAAUCCGACGAUUUCGGUAAAUAUUAACCCACCUCGAACGUUCGUCCAAUGUCGGCUAGAAGUCGAUAUGAGGACCCUCGCGCUAACUCGAUCUCGAACGGCCUCAACUGGACUCAACCACAGCACACGCGCAAACCUCCAAAUGACAAGAAGAAACAUCAGCUCGAUCUUCAAGCUCCCAACGAGAAGAGAAAAGAAGCUAGAGAGAGAGAGAUGGAGGAGAAGCUAACCUGAAUUCUCCACCUUCAAGCACAAAGAGAAAAGGCUGGGGUUGUUGGGGGUAGGUUGCACUUCUCGACAAUUAAAAAGACCAAAAUACCCCAUACCAACUCAAUUUGCCUUUUGGAGUACCGGUACUCAACUUGGGUACCGAUACUUGGCGCUCUUUCCGCAACCUCUCGCACUGAGUUCCGGUACUAGCCCGAUGCAGUACUGAUACUCAGUUUCAGUACCGGUACUGAAACUAAGUACCGGUACUCACCAACAGGUACCGGUACUCAACAUCAAACUGCGCAAACCCGAGAGCAUUCAGUUCUGUAAUCCCACUGGGGUACCCGUACUCCUCCCAGAUACCGCUACUCAACACUGAAAUCCUACACUUUGCAGAUUUCAGUGUCAGAACUCUACUCUUGCACUGUGCCGAGUCCAUUUUGCGUCUAAUUCGCGCCAAAACGAUUCUGACUUGUCCUGACACUCUCCAGACAUGUCAACAAGGCACUGAUGAUGAAGUCUCUCAGACAGCUAAGUCCCAGGAACACUACAAUUUUAUUCUUUAUUCUUUUUACUUUUUAUUUUUUGCAUAUUUUUUUCUUGGCUCUACUCUCACCUGCACUCGCUCCAAGUUCUCCUUCUCUGGCACCGAUGUCGGACGAAGGCAGAGGAAGAGGAUGCACCGCUAUCCUCGUUACCAUCGUGGAGGGUCGCGGAGGCGGUAGAUGGGAGUCGAAGAAAAAAAAAAAAAGAACGAGAAAAGAAAGAGAGGAAGAGGAUGUGGUGCUGCCCUCUUUACCGUUGUAAAAAGCCGGGAAGGCGAUGGAGGAGGGUCGGAGAGAGAAAAAAAAAGAGGGUCGAGAUGCAGCCUCGGUGGGGUUGGAAGCGAGGAAGGCAGAGGGAGGGUGCAGGGGCGAGGACGCACAAGACAGAGGCGAGUUCGCCUCCGCCUCCGCCUCCGCCUCCGCCGCCCUCUUCGAAGAGAAAGAAAAAAAAAGAAUUGAGAGGAAAAAAAAAAAGGAGAGAGAAAAAGGAAUAAGGGUAUUUUGAUCAGAUUUCUCAAAAUUCGACCCGAAUCUACAAAAUCCAAAAAGACGAUCUACUUUUGCAAAAGCUCAAAUGGAUAUUUUAUGCAUAAUGGCCUACAAAAAAUCCUCCUAUAAAAUUUAUUUUUUAUUUUUUUAACUUUCUGAAACUACAUUGUAUUUCUUUAAAAAUUUUUUAAAAAAAUCAGGAGGUUACAAUAUUAAUAAAGAGGGUGAAAUAAUCAAAUUAUUCUCACUUGUUCUAUAAAAAAAUAACAUUUUGAUAUUCAUAGCAUUAAUUAUAAGAAAUUGAUGAGUAACAGAACCCUGAUAUGCAUCAACUUAAAAUUUAGGGUGUAAAUGUAAGAUUUUCAAAAGUCAAAAGGAAAAAGUAAAAAGCAAAUAUUUACGAAGGAAUUUUUUAUAUUUCAACCAAAAAAACGAAGAGAAUGUAAGGUCCUUCAAAGAAAUAUUUUGUCGAAAUGAAGAAAGAGGCCUUUGUGCGCACUCGAGUAAACAGCAUGAAGUCCAGCCCAUUAGAAAACUACUAAGGCUUCGUUUGGAAUUGCGGAGAGAUUGCGUUACAUGCGGUAAAAUAGUACGUUGGAAAAAUACCAUAUUUAUUUCCGUACGUAAUAUUGCAUUCCGCAUAUCGCGAUGAGUAUAUUUUAUGCAGUCCCACAAGAGAACGCAAAAACAUAUCCCUAUAAAUUUUUCUUCAACUCCAUUUUAUCUAAUAACGUUAGAUAGGUCUCAAUACCAAACUAAGCCUAAGACAAACUUGUUGAAAGAUACUGCUCUGGUACUAAUUAUAGGAACCAGUAUUCGCUCCUAUACUAAUUCUUACAAGAAGAAUAAUUGGUAGAAGAGCAAUACUGCUUCCAAUAAGUUUUAUCAGAGUAAAUAGCAGUUCUUGUAGUUGGCAUCAAAUCAAUAUCAAUUUCAACAAUUAGGAUCAGAGAAUUUUGCAUCAGAAUAAUAUAGUUUCCAACAGCGGAAUAGGAUCGACAGGUAGAUUAGCGUGCGAAGUGACAGUCCUCUGAGAACAAGCCAUCAUCUACAAAACAAAACACAAUCAAGACAUAAAAUAUGCUAAACUCUCACCUCAUAUCUUGAAAAGGAAUCCUACGCACUCGCGCGUCCUAAAUUCCUAAGUAUUGUGUCAUUUUGCCCUAAGGUGUCAACAACCUAAGCUCUGAUACCACUGAAGUUGUCUUACCGCAGAUCCGACUGCUCAGAUCCGAACCAAAACAACCGGCCACGAAUCCAGAGAAAGAACCUCUGAAAACAGAAGGCCUAAAAUCGAUCCAAAGCCACCCUCUUAGUUAAAGACUAAAUAAAAUGAUUUAUUAAUUAAAACAAAGCUGAGCAAUAACUAUUAGAUAUUCAAUUAAUCAAUCUCAAAUCAAAAUAAACUAUCUGUCCAAAAGAUAAAAUCUAUCUAACGAGCUCUCCCGGCCAAUUAUCUCAUACGUCCCGACUCUCGGUACCUCAAAUGAUAGACAACAAAAGAAAGCGCAUUGCUUAACAAGAAAUCUACUUCCAAGAAUAACAAUAAUUUUAAUUUUAAACCACAACGGUCAUAAUUUAGAGCAUCUCCACUCUGUCACUCUAACCACGAGAACUACAAUUACGCGCCAUUCCUCCUCAGAAACCGCAUACAAGAAAAAUCCCUCACCUGCGAGGUAUCCGACCGCAGUAGUCGUAAAUAACAAUAGAUCAUGAUAUAAUAAUGUGUAAGUGAAUAUGCCACGAUAGUCAAUAAUAACUAUAAAACUCAUUCGGACGUACCAGCAACUAGUGAACAAAACAGAUAAUAAUCAUAUCUCGAACCCACUCGGAUCCGCAUAUUUUCUACCAUUUGCAAAAUAGUUACUAUUUACUUGCCUCUAUUAGCGCUCACAAAUUCGUCAAGUUCUAAGAUUGAAGUUUCACAAUAGUCCCAUGCAGCAUCUAUAAUUAUGAAAAGACCCAAAUAAAACUGCAUCACCAAAAUACAUAUAAUCUGAUCACUUGCUCUUCAAAAAGUUCCAAUAAGUGUUCAAGCGUAUCCUAUAAUUUGCGACGAUCCAAACUUUAUCAGAACUAACAGUCACAUAUUCUAGCAAUAAUAACUCAUUGGGCCCAAACCACUAGCCCAAAAUAUUUAAGCUCGAUUAUUAUUAUUAGCGUGUAGGUCUCAUAUAUUCUAAUCAGAAUCAUUCCGACCUGCUAGCAAUCAAAACUCGUUGGGCCUAAACUACUGGCCCAAAAUGCUUAAACCCAAUUAUCAUUACUAAUAUGUAGGCCUCAUAUAUUCUAAUUAGAAUCAUUUUUCCACCUGACGUGGGACUAUUAGAGUGACAUUAAACUGAACCCAUGCAAUGUACUAGGCCCUCUCCCAACAUUGCAUCGGAUUUUCGAUAUGUGACAUUCGCGUGCCUUGUCUGAUCAUUCCUUAUUACAUGCAAAGAACCUAAAUUGCGAAAAAUAACAGCUUGAGAACUUUUUGAAAUUUGCCAUCAUUCCAUCCAAAGGGGUGAAAUAUAACACCUGAAACUCCGGUGACACAUUAAAGUGUAUAUGAAAUGCGACAAACAAAUAUACUGCAUAAAUAUAAUGAAAGCCACAUGAGCAACAUAGAGAUGAUGAAAAAUAUACAACAAACGAAAAAGAAAAAGGAAUAAUAGGUUAGAUCGAACCGAACUCAGAUACCAUCAGUUUGAAAAAAAUGUGUGGUGCGUGAAUUUGAUUUACAAUCACUUCUUGUUAAUCUAUAAAAGUGAUCCUAAAUUGAACAAAUUAUACAUAUCAAAAUCGACACAAAAGACGGUUUUUGUGUCAUAAAAGCUCCACCUGACACAAUGAACUAACGUCUUACGACCUUAUAACUAAAACCGGCACAAAAUAUCUAUUUUUGGUGACAAUUUUUUUCAUUGAAAUAAAUAGUUUGUUAAUCGUAUUGGAAAUUUAAAAACUGACACAAAUUAAUAUUUUCUCAACACAUUUGUGUCGAUGCAAAAUAUUUAGACGUAGAACACAUGCAUUGUUUUGCUGCUUCCAGUGAAGCCUUACAGUGAAGUUAAAGCCCUGGGUAGCCAAUUAAUCAAUUAUCAUCACCAAGUAAUAGAAGAAAAGAUAACUUUAAUUAGACUAAUUCAAGAAAAAAAUUUUCCUCCAAGGUAGAGGAUAAAAUUUCUAGCCAAAAUAAAAGGUCGAGAACGAAAAAAGAGCAAAGUACCAUGUUACUGCAGCCAAAAUUAAAUACAAGCCGAUGAGAAUAUAAAUACAAAGGAUGCAAAUAUUAUCUAUUUUGGAGAUGUAGUACGAAAUCCACAGGUCCAAAUCAUUUAGCAAGCAUUUAACAGGUAAUAAAUAGGUAAUGCGACAUAUUCUAAACUUUACCUCACUAUUUUGAGUGUUAUUUUUGGCCUCAACUCCGCAGGCAUCUGCAAACGAAAGCAUAAAACUAACUGAGAAAAAGGGCAAAUUUUGAAUCUAAAAAUCUUAUUCCUAGCAACGGAAGUGUGCGAACAUACCAGAUUUGCAGAGGAAGAUGCAGCAAAUUCCUAUUAUGAACUGUUAAACUAGAUCAAACAUCAGAAGCAAAGCAACAAAAUAGCCCAAAAGACUAGCUCAAUUAGUAAUACUAUGAACUCAGUGGUGCAGAAAAACCACAAGAAAGAUGCAGAAAAGAGCCAUCGGAAAUUUUAAGGACACAACAUUGCAUAUAAUCUGCAGAAUUUGCAAAAGUAAUUAACCAAUACAAUCAAUCUUAAUAUCGAGACCUCGCUGUGAGAAGCUAAGCACGAAAAGGAAAACCAGCAUUCCGUGUUGCACGAAUUGCCAACCUUCUGAUGAAAAUUCAGUUCCAUUAGUGAGAAUCACCUUUCACAUGUACAAAAAGGAGAGAAAAAAACAACAAAUAAUCUACACCAUCACCUGAAAAAUAUUUCUUUCUUUAAAGAAGAUCUCCAUAAGUGACCUCUUGCUUAGAAUGCAUAAGAAUAUCAGUUAGAAAAGUCUCGAAAGUUCAAAAAGCCGUCUCAAUGUUAAAAUUUCUAUUCCAGGUUUCUAGGAAUCGAACAAUUUCUGCAUCGGCCAACAACUUAGCAACAUCCUUUUAGAGCGGCAGAGAAAGCGAAGGAGGAGCGGGGAAAUCGGUACAUACGAUGCAUUGCCUCCAUGGACUCGGUUCAUGAUUAAAACGGGUAACAGGAGACAAAAGUUGUUAAGUUGCAUAACUAGAGAAGUAAACUUCAGGAAAAAAAACAAAGAAUACACAGACAAGAUAAAAAAAAAUGUAUGGUAAACCGCUAAUGAAAUUGGCAAAUGUAAAUUUCUAAUUGUCAGUUAGGUUACUUGUAGUCAUUCAUCCGUUGGCGGAUAAACAUAGGAGAAGACAGAAAUCAGUGUCUGAAGUGCAGUGCAGGAAAGCACGAUAACUGCAGCAAAUGCUCCCAGGGCCAACCACGGAUUGCUAAAGUGGUUAUGCCUCAACCAUGCGAUCCACCUGUUCAGUCGACUCUGGUAGUGCGCUUCCAUCAUCUGCCACACGGAUUUUAGGUAGUGCUUACCGUUGAAGUCAAAGACGACAUCCUUACUCAGCUUGGUGAAUAGAGUCGACACCUCUUCAUCACUACGCAGUUCAUGCACAAUGAUUCCUCUUUGAGCUAGUAGCAUGACGUCGUCAGGCAUGUUGGUAAGCUGGGACAUGAAAACAAUAUAGGCAGUAACAUCGUUUCCGAACUGAGGACACGUUUGCUCGAGAGCCACAAAGUUCCUGAAAAGAGAGCUCGUGUUCUCAUCAAUCGGCAAACACGGGAUUUCCAGCACUUUCUUGGUAAAUCUUAUGUCCAAAAGAGAAUGGGGGCUUUGCUUAUUGAACUCUCUCUUCUUAAAUUCGACUCCUGCUUCAACGUAUUGUGCUGCUCUGCGCCAGCGCUGCUGGGCUGCUUGUAAGCAAUACGUCUGGUGGUUAAGAGAAAAGACUUGAUCGUUUUCCUCCAGCUGAUGGCUUAGCUUCGAAUAACUGCGGCCAAAGUGAAGAAGACGUUGAAAAAAUCGGGGCCUUGCAUGACGAUGACUGUCUUCCUCCAUUCUCUGACUUGGUCUGAAGUACAUAUGACCCAAGUGGAGCAAAUGGUGAAAAUCUUUUGGCCUCUCAAAUUCUUGAAUUGCUUUCGGAUAGUAAUGCAGAAUUUCUUCCACAUACUCUGCAAUUUUGUCCGUGAGUCGUUGAUUCUCUGUGUCUUUACCUGCGACUAGCUCAUAUAUUCUCUCGACAACGAAAAAGGGUAUCUGGUUCUCGAGCAAGAGUAGAUCGUGAGCAACAAAAUUGGUAUACCACCGACCAAUCUGGUCCGCAUAAUCCGCAUCAUGCUCUGCUAUACUAUUUUGGUUCGCAGCCUCUCCUUCGUGCCUCGGCCACGGAACCUUUUGUCCUACUCCAUUUCCCCCAACAAAUUCCUGAUUAUUAGCUUGUCCAUAUGCUUCAGUUUCGGGCAUUACAAUUCCAGCUGUCCCAUAUAAAGACACUAGUAUAAAGCAUCCAUCAAGCAACAGCAUCUGCCGAAACUUCUUCUUGUCCAUUUUAAUUUCUUCCGUAUAACAGCUUCUCACUUGAUUCUCCAGCCUCUGCAUCACCUUCAGGUAAUCACGCAAUCUCUUUUCACGAUUCAAAUUCAGGAUGUAAUCCAAGCAGUUCCACUUUUCCUUCUCCAUGGCUUGUAAAGUUGGAGUUCCGUAAUGAUACGGACCGAAGGACUGAACCAUCGGCUCGUAAGCAUUCCUGUCGACCUCGCGGAUGUGUUGUGGGAUUUUGUAGAUGAGGCAUAGUUUUGUUCCCCGUUCGCGGGCCUCGCCUAGCGACCAGUAAUAGGUUAGUUCCCUUGUCAUGGAAACCGCCAAUUCAUCUAUGUCUGCGACCGUAGUUCUACAGCUUUCAAAUCCAUCCAUCCGUGCAGCAAGUAUUCAAAAAGGUUAAUUUCCCUGUCUGAUUCUUCACGGCAAACGUAGCAUGCAAUGAGGAAAAACAGAAAAGAGAUGUUAGAUCAACUAUUACUUCACUCUCUCGAAAAACCAACUAAUCUCUAAAACAAAUAUGAAGUAUGAAAGAGCAAAUGAGAACUAAAAAAUUGCAUUAGUGUUUUGUUUCAAGCACCAGCAAGUCUCGGAACAUUCGGAAAUAUCCAAACAAAGUAAAGUUUCUUACACUCAUUUAACUUGAAAGUGCUCGUUAUGUAGUUUAGAUCAGUCGGAUAGGCACAAAGUAUGAACAUGACAAAAUUUAUUCAAAUAAAUGUGUAAUUUAUUGUAUACAUUUAUGCACAAGGAACAAGGAACAAAGAAAUUAUAGUAAGAAGAAUAGUACUAAAUCAUAUUCAAAUAGGUUAGACUGCAUGUGGUAUCAUCUGCAUAGCAUGUCGGCCUCAAGCAACAUACGAACUGUUUGGUCUGUCUUCUAUUCAUGCGUUCAGCAGCAACAAAUAUCUGGGUUUUCUUCUGCAGUGAAAAAAAUGAAAUGAUAUUUUGCAAAAGCUAGAGCUCCAAAUUGGUGCUUCUAAUUCAACCACCAAAGAUCUAUUAGGGGGAUUCUUAAUAUAGUGCUUCUUCUAAAAGUACUACUGAGUUCAGAUCGUAUUGAGAGGUUGUCACACCCCGAGACCCGUUUUAUAAGCCUUUUUUUAAAAAAGGGCCAGUUUGAAAACAGAGUCAGUGAAAAGUGCCCCUUUUUUUUUGAAACAUAAUCUUGCCCCUGGGACGGAACAGACCCACCACAAACACAAGAAUUCCUCUGUCCACUCGGACAGAGGCUCCCCUGCAUUUGCACGGCAUAUCACCUAUUAAAAUAUCCACAACACACAACAUCACUCAAAAAAUCAAGCAAACACAAUAUAAAUGCUCAUAUGUUCAAUCAGCUAACCAUCCUUAAUAUGAUGCAUGCUCUAAUUACUCCUUAGGUGAAGGAUAAUGCAAAUGCACAAUAUACCAAACAACUCUAUCAUUUAAAAGUGCUUCCUACUCGGAAACUUUAUUUUAAAAACCUAAUAUAGAGAUAAAUCUAGAAAAUCAUUUGAAAACUGUUUUCCACACGAAAACUCAUUCUUUUGAAAAUCUGAAUACCAUGAGGGGUAGAAAAUCGUUUUGUCAUAAAACCACAACUAUAACAUCACUACUACCAUAGAUAGUAAACAAAAAUCCCUGUUCAUUUAUUCUCAAAAUAAACAUUCACAUGAACCAAACAAUCAUUUAACUAAACCACAAUACAAUCUACUUUAGAGGUCCACUAGAGAUUAGAGAUUUUGGAAGAAAAAAUAAAAUGUUUCUUUUGCCCUUCCAGCCGAUAUGAAAAUAAAGAAAUGAUUAACAUAUUCGAGAUAAUUACGUAUUUACAAAAGACCGUCUCAACUCAUCCUAUAUCAUCACAUCCGGGAUGUGAUAUGAUUCCAAAGGAUGAAUCGAUAUGGAGGGUUCCGAUAAGAUUUCAUUCUUGCACAAGAAUCUAUUUUUUGACUUAUUUAGUCUAUUCCAUGACCGGAACAAAGGGGGAUACACGUUACACCACGAUUUUGAAUCAGAAGAGAGAUUUCAAGAAAUGGCAGAUCUCUUCACUCUAUCAAUAACCAAGCCGCAUUUGAUUUCCUUACAUUUAAUUCAAAUCCACGUUUUGCAUAUAUCAAAAAUUCUUGAGUAUAAUAUAAGGGGGACUGCUGAAUAUAUAGGAGCUUUUUAAGUAAUCAGUUGUUUCACAUGGUAUUAGAGCUUGGUUCGCACCUCGUCAUAGAAACCAAGAAUUUAAGUGCCGUGGCACGGGGUCGAGCCAAAAGCUUAUUGGCACAGUAUGGCAUGAUGCGUGCUCAACCAUGCCGAUGUGUGCCGGUCAUAAAAAAUACAUGUAUGCCAACACAUAAAUGUAUGGAAUAUUUAUUUUCUUUAGCAAUAAAAUAUUCUAAUUGCUUAUGUAUCUUUAUCAAAGUUUUUAAAUUUAUUAAGAAAAUUAUUUACUAAUUUAAAGUAAAGGGGGUCACCCAUCCUAAGACUACUCUAGUCCUAGCACGCAUAACUCUCUUAACCUCUUGGGCAUAGUCACUGCCUAGAAUGCUAUAGCCGGAUUAAGAGAUUUUAGCCAUUUUAUAUAUUACAUAUAGGACUACUUAGGGUCUCACAUUCUCCUCCCUCCCUUUUUAAGCCCUAACGUCCCCGUCAGGCUAAGACUCAUAAGUACCAUGCGAUGUGAGGCUUAUCUUGCUAACUUAACCGACCUUGUGGGGGAGCCGCGCUCUACCCAUAACAGUCAUCAAUAUGAGAGCCUCGCUCUCCCCAUUAUAUAACCUGGCUUAGCCGAGACUCAUCUUACACUUCCAACUGGUAUUUGGCUCUAAUACCAAUUGUGACACUCCACUUCCUAGGGGGCCAUCCAUCAUAGAACUACUCUAGUCCUAACACGCUUAACUCUUUGAACCUCUUGGGCCUAGCCACCAUCCAUAGCCGGGUUAAGAGUUUUUAGCCAUUUUAUAUCUUAUAUAUAGGACUAUCUGGGGUCUCACAUGUGCCAUCAGCAUGGAGGCUAUAUCGUGCCGAUAUUUUGUUGGUACUAUAUGACAAAGUAGAUACGAUCAGUGUCGAUGGACACUUAAAUCCUUGGUAGAAAGCUUCUUCAACCCAGUUUUCAUCUGGUCCUCAUCUGGUCUUAUGCAGUUCUUUCAAUCCACUAUCAUUCGGUUAUCGGAUGAUCAUAUUAGAUACACAUCAGAAGUCUGACCUGUAUAUAAUGUACCGCAUUUUAAUAACUACCAACUUAACCUUUUAGAAAUAAACGGUAGUUCUGCAAAUGAUACCAACUUAAGCUUUUAGGGCACGUUUGGUUCGCACUAUGAAAAAUUACUAGGAGUAAAAAGAUAUACGAGAAUCUUAUUCAUAUUCAUCCUAUUACUAAAAAUGUAGUAUUUCGCUGUUUGGUUCGUACGGUCAUAUUAUUUAGUCAUAUUACUUAAGAUUAUAAAAAAUAUACAAUUAAUUAAAUUAUUUAUUUAUUUAAUUUUAAAUAAUACUAUAAAAAAUUUCAACAUCUUUUUAGAAAAGAGAGAGAGAGAGAAUAUAGGUUAGAAAGAGAGAGUAUAAUUAAAGAAAUAGGAAGAGAAAUAGAGUCGAUGUUAGAGAGAAUGAGAGGUUGAGAUUUUAGNCUGUAUAAGAGAAUUGUUGCUGCCGUCGGAGAAAGUAACUUAAAUAAAAUGUGUAUUACCUGCUUCUAAUCAUCUUUUAGAUAAAAAAAAUUUAUUUAUUUUUUUUAUAUCGAAGGUAAUUUUAAUAUCUCAUAUACAGAGCAAUAAUAUGUUAUAUUUUAUUUAAUCAAAUAAUAAGAUGCAUAAACUAAAGAGCAUUUUUAAUUACACUCAUUUAAAGAGUCCCUAUUUCGGUGGUUAAUUUGUCGAUUUUUAUGGUAUGACAUGACAUGGCAAUCGAUAAAGCCUUAGAUCGACCUACCUCUAUCAUUUGGUGGUUAAAACAUCACCGGGUGAGCAAUUCCCCACCCUCUGAUGUGGAUCACAAAAUAUGACAAGCAAUCCAAGGUUUGGAGCCAUUUACUCGACAAUUUACCCAACAAGAGGCCGUUUGAUUGCUUAUAGUUAUAAUCACAUAGUAAUUAUAAUUGCAUAUAAAUACAAAUUCGAUAUUUAGUUUGAUGUAUUUAAUUUCAACUGUUGUAGUAGGAAUUACGGGAGAAGGUCCAACUGUAGUAGUAGGAACUACGCCCAAAUUGGCCGCAGUUCUAACUGCAGCAUUUGGAAAGAGUAACUUUAAACGAAAGAUGAGCUUACCUCCUUAAUUAUUUUUUGAAACAAAAAAUAAUUUUUUUUACAUUGAGGGUGCGUUUGGUUCGCACUAUGAAAGAUUACUAUAAAUAAAAAGAUAUCUGAGAAUCUUAUUCCUAUUCAUCCUAUUACUAAGAAUAUGACAUUUCUGUAUUUGGUUCGUACGGUCAUAUUAUUUAAUCAUGCUAUUUAAGAUUACAAAAAAAUAUAGAAUUAAUUUAUUUACUUUUUAAUUAAUUUUAGAUAAUUUUAUAAAAAAUUUCAACAUCUUUUUAGAAAAAAAUGAGAGAGAACAUAGGUUAGAGAGAGAGAUCAUAAUUAAAGAAAUAGAAAUAGAAAUAGAGUCGAGUUUAGAGAGAAUGAAAGAAUUGAGAUUUUAGAAAAAAAAGAUGUUGAAAUUUUUUAUAAAAUUAUCUAGUUUAGAGAGAGAUAUAAGGUUAGAGUGUAAAAAAAAAUAAUACCAACUAGCCGGCGAGUGGAAAGAAAAAAAAAAGAUUAGACAUAUUAUAAUUACUCCAAUCCAUUAAUAUAAGGAUACCCACCCUCCCUCAAAAGAAUGAGAUUAGUAUUUUGGGAUGCAUCUCAUUCCCAAGUAAAUUUAGUAUUACCAACUAGAUUACUUAGUGCGUUUAGCCAAACACCGUCAUUUUUUUUUAUUCCCAUUGGAUUACUAAGAAUCUUGAAAAGAUAGCGCGAACCAAACGCACCCUUAGAGAUAAACGUUUGUUCUGCAAACGAUUGUUCCACGAGUACAAUAUUAAAUCCUAUCACCUUAUUUCUUGAUUCGGAUUACACAAGUUAAUAAUAUAAAUUAAAGAAAUGAAAAAAGAACAAAAUAAAAGAGGAAGCGAUAUUACCUGCCGAAAAAAAUGACGAAAGAACCCGAGUCGGACACUGAGUGAGUUGAUCCGGCUAUAUAAACACAAGAACACAUCACAUUUAAAUUUUUUUUAAAAAAAAAAUAUAAAAUAACCCACCUUUCCUCCAAAAUUAUUACGAAAAAAUAAAAUAAUUUUAAAAAAAAAUUAUAGGGUCGGAAACCCUAGAAAGAACGAGUGGGAGAGGGAGGAGGAGGUGAGUGGAGAGAGUAACAAGAAGCACAGAAUGAGGAGGUUGGGGAGUUUUCUUAGGUCGUUACGUUCUGGGGGCAUUUUAGUAAAACGCGGCGAGCGUUGCAGCAUUGUUCAGUUUUCGUUCGGGGUGAAGACGAUCAGACUUUUGAUAAAUACGGAAACAGCCUCAGAUGUAAGAAAUUUGUAAGUAAUAAUAUAUUCUUACUAUUAUAAUCAAAUAUGUCGGCUGGUUUUAUCUCACUAGGGAUGCAAAUGGAUCCGGGUUGGUGGAGCUCCGCCCCGAUCCGCCCCGAAUGGGGUGGUAAGUGGGAACAAAAAAUAUAGAAAAAUAUAACCCGCCCCGAAUCCGCCCCGAUCCGCCAAGUAAAUGGAGCGGGAGGCGGGAGACUCUUUUCUUCUUUCAAUCUAUCCCGAUCCGUUAAAAAUCCGCUCCCGCCCCGCUCCCGCCCCGAUCCGCCCCGAAUGGAGCGGUAAGUGGGAGCCAAAAAUAAAAUGAAAAGUAACUCGCCCCGAAUCCGCCCCGCCCAGAUAAGAAAUGGAGCGGAAGGUAGGGGAACUCUCCCGCCCCUGGAUCCGCCCCGUUUGCAUCCCUAUAUCUCACUCUUUUUUUCUUUUUUUUUUUAUCGGUACAUACAUAAUUAUUAAAAUACCCUUCUGGUUUUGUCUCUCUUUUUUUUUUUUUAUCGGUACAUACAUAAUUAUUAAAAUACCCUUCACAUUACUAAUAAUAGUAAUUAUUCAAUAAUAUUUAUUGUGAAUUUAAAUUUAAAUUAUUUAAUUAAAUUUAUUUUGAAUUCAAUAAACUAUAAAUUGCAAUUAUAGUUGAAUGUUAAAUUCAAAAUACAAGUUUACGAUUUGAAUUAUAGUUUAUUAUUUAAAUUCAUAUUCAUAUUUAUGUUGUAAAAUAAAGCUCUAUAUUCAAAUUAUAUACUUAAAUUUAAAUUAUUUUUUUUAAUUCAAAUUUCAGUUUUAUUAAAUAAACUACAGAAAAUAUUUGAAUUAAAAAAAUUAAGCUAUUUAAAUUCAUAAUUAAGAAAUUAAGUUCAAAGUUUUAAAUUUACAAUAAGCACUUCACAAACAAUCUUACAAAUAAAAAAAAUUUUCGUUAACAACAUAUCUAAUAAAUUAACAUUGAAUUAUCAAAAUGAAUUUUUAAAUCUUUAAUUUCGAUAUUCUAAUUUGACUUAUUAUACCAAAUUGUAAAUUUAAAUUUAAGCUUAAUUUUUGAAUUCAGAGAACUUCGGAUGGUUCAAUUCAAUGUAAAUAUAGGGUUAGCUGUCAAAAUGACUACAGUAUCAACGACUAGUCGACACAUCUGUAGAGUGUUGGAACGAGUCGGAGUCGUUUUGGCACGAAAUGGAUGCGAAAAUAGACUCGGCGCACUCAAAUAAGCCAAAAUUGAAGUUCUAGCAGUUUAGGGCGUCCAAAAGUGGUUUAGGACGCCCAGAUCCGGAGUGCUGUUUUGUAUUAUUACUAAAAUCAUUUCGGACCCUAUUUAGGGCACCUGGAAGUUGGGUCCGAAAGUUCACUUCGUGAAUAUCGAUCGUGUUGACACAUGUGAUGUGGUAGGUGAGAUCCGCCGGAACCGGAUAGCGGAGUAGCGGACCGUCGGACAGAGAAACUCAGAUGCUUUUUGUGUAAGCUGGAAGUUAUGGGAGCCCGGUUCUGGGUUCUGGGCGCCCGAAUCUUCGAUUUUCUGCAGCAGUACAGGUUAGCAAUGCUUGUUCUUGAAGCUUAUUGCAUCUAACCUAUGCUUCUAUAUAAGGAUGGGGACGACUCCCAGGAACUCUUUUCUCCUCCUCUCCACAGUGAACUUCAAUUGGAGCCAAGGGAGACCCUCCAACUCUUUAGAAUUCCAAAUUUCACCUUGAGGACUUGGAAUUUUAGUAGGAUUUCGGCAGCGAUUGUUGGAGUUUUGGCUUGUGCGCAGUCUAGGAACAUCCAAAUUCUAUGAAACUUGAUUGGGAGAAUUGUGGACUCGUGGAGGAGUGUGUUGAACCUUUCCAACAGUAAAGUAGGUCUGUAAGCUCGAAUUGCUAUUUUUACUGGGAUUUUUUUGUUCUUGAGCUGAAAUUGGGGGUUUUCUUGGUGUUUAUCGAUCCAAAUGCUUUGGGAACUGGAUUUUUGAAGUGGGAAUUGGUUUUCCAUCAUCCUCUACUGGUUUAGAAGCUUUCCCUUCUUGAAUUCAAGUUUUGAGAGGUGAGUUUUAAUUCAGAUUUGGAUAAUUAAGCUUAUAUACUGAUUUUUGGGAGUUUUGAUGGAUUUUUUGGAUUUUUGAGUUCAUAUUUUUAUGAAAAGCUUAUUGAUGGAUUUGGAUUGAUUCCCUACUCUAUUUGAAAGGUUUGCGACCCAACUCCACUAGUUUUAUAACUUAGAAUUCUUAGAUUGAGCUAGAACAAGGAGAUUGCUUAAGUGCUGAAGUUCUGGAUGUAGGUUCUGGGCAUCCAGAAGUGGGUCCGAAUUAGUGUAAAGGCUUUUUGGUGAUCGUGUCGAGCCCAAUUUUGGUGAGAAACCUGGGGAAUUGCUAUUUAGACUUUUGAGGCGAGUUGGGUGAAGUUUCACUGCAUUUGGACUUGAAAAUUGGGUUAAUUCCUAUGUUGAACCCUUGUAGGCUAAAGCUACUAGCUUGUUGUUCUGGGCUUAGGUUCUAGGCGCCCAAAAGUAGCCGCAGGAGGAUCCAAAUCUAGCAGCAGCCUAGUUUGAUUUUCGGUUGAGGUUGAUUUUGUGUGGGGCUUCUCCUAUCGACUUCUAGCCGUUGUUGUAGUUGUGUUUAAGGUGGGUUGAUGUUAUCCGAAGUCUUCGAAAUUCCUCCUAAGUAUUCAAAACUCCAGCAUGUUAGUUUACAUAUAAUCAUUCUGUUUUUUAGCUCAAACUAUGGAUUUGCAUGUUAUAGAUAAAAUCUAAGUUUUGAAGCAUGCUUAGUUAAUUUAUAAUUAUUAUUCUCUACUAAACUGAUAUUUGACUUAGAAGAAAACUUAUUAAACCUACACCUAUCACUUUUCAAAAAGUUAUUAGAUUUAGCUUCAGGAGCUGAUUUUUCCUGUGUAUCACCGUUGUUAGUGCGUCGUGGAUACUUAGACUAGUGUAGGUUGAGAUUACACUCGUGCUGAGGGGCCGAGCUCGUUUUUACAGCAGAGUUAGGCUGUUUUGUACUAUUAAGUGCCGUCGAGGCUGAUAGUGGAUCUAGAUUCUUAUACCUUAUAUCAGAUUGUGCCGAGGGUAUGUGAGCCUUAGUUGUUAGACCAGUUUGACCCAUUUGUAUUGAUUAUAGCUUGUGUUGGCCUGAUUGAGCUCGACAGAGACACGCUUGCAUACUCGGUUAGGUCGCGCCCACGAAUGCCGCUCCGGAGUGAGGCUUUUUUUUCGUUGACGUCACAACAGUCCUGUUUAGGUAGUUUUCUUGGACUGGCCACCCCCGUGGGUGGUGUGCGGUGUAGUUUGGGCACAGGCUGGACUGGUCAGUUGCCGGUCCCUUGAGAUUGGGUCAGUUGUGGUUGAGUUUUAGUUAGUGUCGCAUUUAUAUAUCCAUAGAGAGUACAGUAUGGAUAGCGAUAGUAUAGUGGAAUUUAGCUGUAGAGUUUCUUCUAUCUUAUUUUACUAUCCUUUUUCCUGUCAGUUUAGAUGAGCUUCAUCUCUUCGGUGUUCGUGAUAUUGCCUCGGCGAGCCAAACAGCUAUGGCGAUUGAGCGGAAGAACAAAUUGUUUUGUGGGGAGAAGCCAUCUAGAGAGUCUGCUGAAGGCUCAAACAAGUUUAAAAAGAAGGGGUUCUCUGAUCCUGAUUUAUACUGUGAUUAUUGUAAAGUCACAAGACAUAUCAAGGAUCGAUGUUGGAAGCUCCAUCCAGAGAUGAGACCAAAGAAGAAGGACGAUCGUGGUAAACUCACAACGACAACGGCAACGACAUCGGCAGGAUCGACAAGUGAUGCUCCUACCUUAAUCGGACGGAUGGAUCAAGUGGACACUAGCUUGUUUCUGAUGGCUAUGUCGAAGAAGACAAGCCUGUGCCCGUCAAAUCCGACUGAUAAGAGAGAGGAGUUGUUCAAUUUUCGAGUUCAAAUCAAAAAUGAGGUGAUCGAUGCCAUUAUCGAUCCCGGCAGCCAAAAGAACUUGAUCUCGGAGAAUCUAGUUCAAAGGCUGGGUUUGUCUACUACACCACACCCACACCCAUAUCCAUUAGGGUGGAUUAACAGUAAUAUUGAGAUGAAGAUCGAUCACCAGUGUAAGGUAAAGUUUGCGGUGACCAGCGUCUACAUCGACGAAAUGCUAUGCGAGGUUGUACCGUUGAAUAUUUGCAAUCUUAUCUUCGGCAGUCCCUACCUAUGGGACCGUGACGCUAUCUUCUUCCGUCGUCCUCAGCAAUACCAAAUUGUUAAGGAUAGAUAAAAAUUUGUGUUCACCACAGAGCCAUUAUCAACAACUGUAGACCUGGUAACCAUUUGCCAGGCCAAGAGGACAAUCAAUGUCUGUCAAAAGUUUGCCUUACUGGUCAUUCGGCAAGUUAUAUCUAAGGAGACAAGCAGUAAGAUAUUAAGGCUAGCAUGCAAGGAAAAUACUGAUGAUGCAGCCAAACUGAUCAGUAAGCAUCAGGAUCUGUUUCAAAAAAUACAAGGACUGCCACCAAAGCGAGCCGUGGAACAUAAGAUCCAAUUGAUCAGCGAUGCUCCGUUACCAAAUCUCGACAUAUACCGAAACUCGAUGGUAGAGAAUAAGGAGAUAAAGCGACAGGGGACUGAGUUACUCGAGAGUGGUGCUAUCAAACCGAAUAGCCCCCCCUGUGGCUCCCCGAUCGUGUUGGUGCCAAAGAAAGACGGCGGGUGGCGAAUGUGUAUCGACUACCACCGCCCUCAACAAAAUCACCAUCAAGAACCGGUACCGGCCCCUUACCAUGGAUCGAUGAUCUCUUGGACCAACUGAAGCAUUCUCGCUACUUCACCAAAUCGGACCUGAAGUCCGGCUAUCAUCAGGUUCGGAUCCGAGAGGAUGACACCUAGAAAACCGCGUUCAAGACUCGAUAAGGCCUGUUUGAAUGGCGCGUCAUGCCAUUCGGCCUUUGCAAUGCACCAGCCACUUUUAUGCGACUGAUGAACGACAUUCUACGCCCCUUCCUUAAUGACUUAGUGAUCGUCUACCUCGACGACAUCCUCAUCUACAGUCGAUCGUGGGAUGAGCAUCUGGUACAUGUCAAGAAGGUUUUCAUGGUGCUCAAGGAACACCAACUCUGCUUAAACCCUAAAACGUGUGAGUUCGGCAAGCAAAGCUUGGUGUAUCUUGGGUUCGUGGUAGGCGGCGGCGAGCUUCAGAUCGACCCCGACAAGGUCAGGGUCAUCAAGGAGUGGCCUAGGCCCAAAAAUGUGACAGAGAUGCGGAGCUUCAUGGGCGCUUGCCAAUAUGUCCGGAAGCCUUGUUGCCCCUUUACAUUCACUAACGAAGGCCAACCAAAAGUUCGAAUGGAGUUCAAAACAUGAGGACACGUUCCCACUUCUGCAAUGAAAGAUAUGUGAGGCGUAUGUUCUUGCGCUACCAAAUCUGCAACGACCCUUUAAGUUGAAGGCAGACGCGUCGGGAUAUGCCAUAGGGGCUGUCUGGAUGCAAGACGGUCGGCCUAUCGCGUAUUACUCCAAAAUGUUCCAGGGAGCUCAAAAGAACUAUCCAACCUAUGACAAGGAACUUUUGGCACUACACCAGGCGGUGACGCGUUGGCGGGUCUACCUCUUAGAAAAGAAAAUAGUGGUGCAUACAGACCACCGCCCGCUUCAGUACCUCCAAACGCAAUCAAAAUUGCAGCAGGCACGUCACAUGAAAUGGAUGACGUACUUGCAACAGUUCAAUCUAGUAAUCAAGUACAAGAAAGGUACUCACAACAAAUUGGUUGAUAUGUUAUCACGACCACCAGCGGCGGCACUUUGCUUGCCGAUAUUCUUGCAAGUUCAGCUAGACUUUCAUGAGUAUGCAAGUUUAUAUGCAGAAGACUCGGAUUUUCAGUGAAAACUGAGGAAACUCAAUUUCCUCAGGUGUAGUUCUAGAUCCAGCAGGUACUGGUUCCUCUCAAAAUUAGGAAGCCAUGAUCCGGGACGAUCAAACAUUUCAGAUAAGUUUCAACCGUUAGGGAUAAAGAGGAGGUGGUUCAAACUAAUUCAGUUAGGAUAUGAAUCGAGAUGGUUCCAACUAAUUCGCUUAGGAUAAGGAUUGAGGUGGUUCCAAACUAUUUCGGUUAAGAUAAGAAUCGAGGUGAUUCCAACUACUUCUAUUAGGAUAAGGAUAAAGUUUUUAUUUUCAAAAUAUUUUAUUCUUAUUUUCUUGUAAGCCUGAAGUCUAUAAAUAGAGGCCCUACUAGCUCAUGUAAACUCACUCUAGUUUAGAGAGAAUUAAUAUACAGACUCUUCCACAUAAAAAUAUUGUGUUCAUUUUUUUUUUUUCUCUUUAAUUUGGUUUCAAAUAUCCAUCGGGAAGGCGCUGCCACAUUGCUUCCUCCACCAACCGAUCAACCUAUAAGGCAAGGUGUGACCUUGCAGAUACCUUUUGAGGACCUACUAUAUGUGUGAAGUUGUGAGACCGCGACUAUGGAAAGAGGACGGUUCCCUAAAACACACACGAAGUGAUAUUAGCACAUGGCCAUAAAAGCGCUCACCGGCUUAGAAUCUAAAAGCUGUACCAUGUGUGAUCUUUGUGGAAAUCCGAUUCACCGCCCUUGGUUCAAGGCGUAGUCCACCAUCGUGCCCUCGGAUGUUCAUUGACAAACACUAAAUGAAGGUUCAAACCCGAAAGGUAACUUUGCCGAAUACAUGAUAUAAGAGAUCCAGCAUUCUUUUGAAUUGUUUUGAAUUUCAGUGUAUUUACUUUCUUUAUUUCAAAGUUUAAAUCAUGUGGGGGAAUGUUAGAUUUUAUUGGAUUUUUGGUGAUUUGAAACUUAUUUAGCCUCUUGGGCAGCCCAAUACUUAAUGGGUCUUGCCUGGAAGGCUAACUAAAGUUUUUAUAUGUGAUGUUUAGUCCCACAUUGAAAACUAAAGUUAUGUUGUUGUUAUUUAUAUAUUGCUUUAUUCUCAAGCUAGUUGGUUGGGAGAAAAUAAAAGUUAUGCUCUCGACUAAACACACGCACGCACGCAAGGCACGAGCACGAGCCGAGCAGAGCCGGGCGGGCUGCGGCACGUGCGGUCCAUGCACCCGGUUAAUUUUAUUUUAUUUUAUUUUAUUUUUAUUUUUAUUUUUAUUUUUUGGUUUACCUUUAUCAUAAUCCUAAUCCUAAUCUAUAUCCCGUAUAAUUUUAAGCUUAUCUUGUUCUACACGGAAUUGACGCGUUGAAGCAAGAUUCUUGCCUUGGUUAUAUAUAUUGGAGGAAGUUGCGUGAAUUCAACAUAAACCUAGGCAUAUCUAAGAGCAAAACCCUAUCCUUUACCUCGCCUUUUCGUGAUUUCUCGCCAUUAAUCUUUUGCGCCGAUUUUCGCCGAGCUUUCUCAUAUUUUGCUAGAUUUGAAGCUUGUUGGGUUCAUUUUGCGCCACCUUGAAAUCGUGCCGACGGGGUGGAAUGUGGUCAUUGUAUCGCUGGAAGUAAUUGGCGGAAAGCCUCACAUGUGGAUGGGCAAUUUCGCUUCUAGAAUAGUGCACUACACGCCUCGAUCCACAUGCCUUUUCUAAUCAUUUUCUUUACAGUAUUUGUUAUUUAAUUUCUUUCUCAAAAUUUUUCUAUAACUGAAAUUAAACUUCCGAAUUGUUAUUAAAUAAUAUUUUAAUAAAAGAUCAGAAAGAUUUUCCAACACUAUUAAUGUUUUAAAGUUUUAAAAUUCCUGAGUUGUUUUUUUGUACAAAUGUGAUAAAUUAAUAGGUGCUUAAUACUAUGAUGCUUUACAUGUGCAGAAAAGAUUCUGUUCAUAUUGCGGCUCUGUGUGAAUGGCCGGUCUGGUUUCUGUGCCUAGGUAUGACGUAAUAUUCCACUAAGAUUAAAAAUUUACGAAUGUUGCAAAGCUAAGUUAAUUAUUUAUGAGUCGAUAUGAUUAUUCUAAAUAUUUCUAUUUAUAAGUGACUGUCCCUAGAGCAAUUGGCAAAGAGCUUGGUGGUUGGUAUCUGUCACGCCCCGGAUUACACGUUCCCCGGGCACGCCGACAAAUCCGCCGUAUACAAAGAAAUUUUCCCUGUAUACGAAGCGACAGCUGUACCUGUAAAUCAAACACUACUACGAACAGUAGUAGAGAGCUGCUAGAGAAAACAGAAGCCAAAUAAAACAGAGUUUCAUAUACAUAGUUCAGAUCCAAAAUACAGAGCUACUCGCACUGGCGAGUUAAGUCAACUAUGUACAUAAACUCGAAACAAAACAUCUACCUACAGUAGGGCACCUCUAGCUCAGCACGUCGGGUAGGGCUCUAACUCGCGACGCCCUUGCCUCGAUCCUGAUCCACGGACGGUGCAGCAGCCGGAACCUGUGGCUCUGCAAAAACAUAGGUAACAACUGGGCGUGAGAACUACUGUAAAAACAAGUAGUCCUCAGUGGGUACCGCCCAAAACAACAUCGGUCACCCACUAAGUCUACAGAAGGGAGCAAGGAUAGAAGGAAAAGCAGGAAGUACACUCUACCGCUAUCAUCCACUACACUAUCAUGCUCUACACUAACCAACUGUAGGAAAUGUCAAAUCUGACCCAAUCCAAAUCGGGACUGUAAGCAUACCCGUCCCCGGGACUGUGAAUACACCCGUCCCUGCCCCGUUGCGACUAUCGGGCUCUAUCCACUCUAACUGGUCCGUGGAGAGCAAGUCCAACUGGCAUGAGCGACACCAACGCGAAAGCACAAGCCUGACUCCGGAGUGGCACUCGUGGGCGCUACCCAACCGAGUAUGCAGCGUAUCUCUGUCGAGCUCAAACAGGCUCUGGAAAGCCAAAGUCAAGAAACCGACUCUAAACUGGUCUAACAACCAACAGGUAACGUGCCCUCGGCACAAUCUGACGCCAAAAAGGCGAUACGGGUCCACCGUCAACUCUGACGGCACCCAACAGUCCGAAAUAACCUGAACGACCCGGUAAAAAUCCACUCGGCGAACCAGCACGAGUGUAAAUAUAUUCUAAACUACCUGGAGUACUCGUCUCGACAAUACUGCGACAGUACACUUUUCUAACGGCUUCUAGAGCUAAAUUAGGCAGUUUAUACAGGUGACAGGUCCAAAUCGCAAGUUUUCUCCUAAUUCAAUUUCCAAGUUCAACAUGUAUAAUCUACUUAAUUUAAAAUAAACAUGCUUCAAAAUUCAGAUUUCACAAUCUACAUAUAGUCCAUGAAUUUGAGCUAAAAUUAAUUACCGAAAUCAAGAUCUAUACAUGUCGACCAAUAAGAACUUAGGAGUAAAGCCGAUGUAACCCACCAAAAAAGCUAAUCCCUGGCAGCGAGGGACUCCUCCUGGUGUAGAGCAACCUGCUGGAUCACCCGGAACCCGCCGAGUACAGAAAUCGCCUAAGCUCGAGCUCUACGCAACAAAAUUCACCAAUUCAGUCCAGAAAUUUCAGCGGUGAGGUACAACAGGGAUUCGACCAAGCUAACCUUCACCAAAUCCAGCAAGUAAGGGCUUCGUGGAUUCCUCUCGAAGUCCUGAAUCCAACAAGCCAAGUCUCGUCGCAAUCCGAUGCUCCUACGUCGAGAACGAGCCAAAAUACCGACAGUCGACGAAGAAAUCUGCAGCAGUGGCACCCGAGCCCGAAAAUGAUGAAAUUGAAGUACUUGGAGGGAUGCCCACAGGUAAAAAUACGACAACCAGUACCUUGAAGCAGCACGACGUCAAAGAUGGCGAAAAAAACAACUCGCCCGACCUCCUCGCAGCAACACGACGACGGAAGUAUGCUCGAACGGCUCCGCGGCGCGACGUCGGCGACGAAUCCGAGCUCCCUCUUGCCUUCAACCGGAUGAGGGAGUUAGAGAGAUGGAUAAAAGCAGCUAGAAGACCUCUCUCACUCUCUCCACACGAAGCUAUAUAGAGGGGAGUGAGGGGUGAUACAAGCGAGGGAGAGAAAAUUACUCAUUUAGCCCUCUACCUACCCUCUUGUACCGGUACACGGGCUCCUGUACCGGUACAAGAGCCAACCUGAGAGCAGCUAAGUUCGGUGCGCGCAUCCUGUACCGGUACAGCAACCCCUUGUACCGGUACAACAAGCAGUCCUGCGAUGGUUGUACCGGUACAGCCUGCCCUUGUACCGGUACAGCGAGCAGAAAAUCCUGCUGUUUCGCAGAUUCUCUCGCAGAAUGCUGCCCUCGCAUUGCACGGAGUCCGUUUUGCGCCUAUUUGACGCCAACGCGACUCGGACCUGUCCCGACAAUCUUCAGAGCUGUCGACAAGCCUCCAGUCAAACACCAGAGAUCUCACAUCCUCCCCCUCUAUAAAAAGUUUCGUCCGCAAAACUGAACAUACCUCUACUCAAGCAUCAAACAAGUAGGGAUAGGCUUUCCUCAUCACCGUCUCAGACUCCCAAGUCGCCUCCCGCUCAUCAUGAUUACUCCACUGCACUUUCACAUACGGAAUGACCCGGUUGCGCAAUUCUCUCGUCUCACGAGCAAGAAUCCGCAACGGCCGCUCCUCGUAUCUCAGAUCCUCGCCAAUCUCAAGUGGAGUGAAGUCAAUCACAUGAGAGGGAUCGAAAACGUAUCUCCUCAAUGCUGAGACGUGGAAAACAUCAUGGAUGCCAGCAGGUCGCGGGGGUAGAGCUAUCCUGUAAGCCACCGGUCCGAUACGCUCCAAUACCUCGAAAGGACCAACAAAUCGUGGACUAAGCUUCCCACGUACUCCAAAUCGGCGUAUCCCUCUGGACGGCGAGAUUUUGAGAAAAACAUGAUCCCCAACCUGAAACUCCAAGUCUCGUCUCCGAGUAUCAGCGUAGCUCCUCUGUCGGCUCUGAGCUGUCAAAAGGUGUCGUCGAACGACUCUCACCUUUUCCUCAGCCUCAAGUAGAAUCUCUGGUCCAAGUGUCCUCCGCUCACCCACAUCACUCCAAAACAGGGGGGAUCGACAUCUGCGUCCAUACAACGCCUCAAACGGAGCCAUCUGAAUGCUCGUUUGAUAGCUGUUGUUGUACGCAAACUCAACCAGUCUCACAUGUCGAUACCACCCUCCUCCAAAAUCCAGGACGCAUGCCCUCAGCAUGUCCUCUAGAGUCUGUAUGGUCCGCUCUGACUGACCAUCUGUCUGUGGGUGGAACGCCGUGCUAAAAUGCAGCUGUGUACCCAAGGCUGUCUGCAAACUCCUCCAAAACUGGGAUACAAACCUCGGGUCUCUGUCUGAUACAAUCGACACUGGCACGCCGUGCAGCCUAACGAUCUCAUCCAAGUAUAGCUGCGCAAGUCUCUCCCUGGACCAGGUAGUCUGAACCGGUAGGAAGUGAGCAGACUUGGUCAGUCUGUCCACUAUCACCCAAAUCGCGUCGUAGCCACCCUGCGCUCUAGGCAAUCCAACGACGAAGUCCAUCGUGAUGUGCUCCCACUUCCACUCGGGAACUGGCAGACUCUGAAGCUUGCCAGCAGGCACCUGAUGCUCGGCCUUCACCUGUUGGCAAGUCAAACACUGAGCCACAUAUCUGCCAAUGUCCCGCUUCAUUCCAGGCCACCAGAAUCGUGCCUUAAGAUCCUUAUACAUCUUGGUUCCCCCAGGAUGAACCGUAUAAGGGGAACAAUGAGCCUCUCUCAGAAUAUCCGCUCGAAUCUCCGGAUCCACAGGCACACACAGUCGGUCCCUGUACCGUAGUACUCCCGAACUGUCCAAAGCAAAUCCCUCAGCCUGCCCCCUGUCUAGCUGCUCUCUAAUCCUCAACAAGUACGGAUCUCCACUCUGUUUCUCUCGGAUCCUAUCCAACAGAGUGGGCUGUAAAACUAGAGACGUCAGCCUCGCCGUAGACCCAGGGGGUACUAUCUCGAGUCCCAGCCGCUGUAGCUCCUCGAGUAGGGGUCUCUGCUCAGUAAUCCUCAAACUCAGGCUCUGCACUGACUUCCUGCUCAACGCAUCUGCCACCACAUUCGCCCUGCCGGGAUGAUACUGAAUACUAAUGUCAUAGUCCUUCAGUAACUCCAACCACCGGCGCUGCCUCAGAUUCAGCUCCCUCUGUGUGAACAGAUACUUGAGACUUUGAUGAUCGGUGAAUACCUCGCAGUGCUCGCCGUACAAGUAAUGCCGCCAGAGCUUCAAAGCAAAAACCACCGCGGCAAGCUCCAAAUCAUGCGUAGGGUAAUUCUUCUCAUAAUCCUUUAACUGCCGUGAAGCAUAAGCAAUCACCCUACCAUGCUGCAUCAGCACGCAACCAAGUCCACUGUGCGAUGCAUCACUGUAGAUCACGAAUCCAUCCCCCAUCACCGGAAGGGCAAGGAUAGGAGCCGACGUCAACCUCAGUCUCAACUCGUCAAAGCUCCUCUGACAGUCGUCGCUCCAGACAAAACGAAUCCCCUUCCGCGUCAAGCGUGUGAGGGGUGUGGAAAGCUUCGCAAAGCCUUCCACAAACCGACGGUAAUAUCCUGCCAGUCCCAGGAAGCUCCGUACCUCAGUCACCGUCGUCGG